rnacentral:lncRNA from 1 species
UUGCAACAUAGCUGGAGCCUAUUAGUUAUUUCAAAGGGAUAAAUAAGAUUGGUUACAACAAACCUACUAAUUUUAUAAAAUUCAAGUAACAUAGAAUAAAAUAAAAAAAUAAAUACAAAAUUGACUUUUAUUUUUUAUGGUUGACUAUAUUUUGUGUUCUCUUCGGGCACUGCUACAAUUGUUCCCUAUAUAUCAAUUACACCACAUACUAUCGACACAAGAAAUGAAAUCUAAUAUCACCUGUUUAGUUAAAAAAUCACUCAUGAAAAAAUUUUACCAUUUUGAUUUGAGGAUCCAUAUUUUAAACUACAAGCUAAUGUUCAUCAAGAAUUACUGAUGGACAAAUUAUUUUUUUUGAUAGAAGAAUUUCUUUAGGAACUACUAAAUUAUUAAUAAAAAUAUCGAACACACCCACAUAUCAUCGACACAAUUGAUUUUGAGGAUCCAUGCUUUGAACUACAGCCUAAUGUUCAUCAAGAAUAGAGUAUGGCUUAUGAGUAGAAAAUUUUCUUAUUUUGGCCCAAAAUAAAAAGAAAUUAAAUUGGAUGAGAAUCUGCCACUUUCUCAUGAAGAAAGGCAUACGGAGCAUACCAUGGUACCAUACAAUAUAAGAAGCCUCCGUUCUUUGGUUUUUCAAACUCUGAAGGGGCUAAUAUUGCCAAAUUCCCCCUUGAAAAUUCUGAUUACGACAUUAUUCAUCGCUUGAUGCAAUCAAAGUAGUGACAAAGUUAGGAAAAAUAUGAGUCCUAAGUAAUUGCUAGGCAGGGCUCCUGAGAGCAAAAUUGUCCUAAGCAUUAUAUGCAUACAUAGUGCAGUACAUAGAGCACGUUGAAUUCCCCACUAUAACACAAACCCAGAAAGACAAGUAAUAACUCAACUGAUAUAAAGACAAAAAGAAGAUAAAAUGAUAUAGAAAAAAGAAUUUCAAAGAGACAGCAACAUACAAUAGACUGAAGCCACUUGAUCUGCUCAUUGAUUGCAGCCUUAAACUUGCAAAUAGUUACUGUACGCUAGUGCUCUAAGAAGUGAAAAUGAUGCGAGCCCUGAUUCCCUUUUGACUUCCAUUUACUGUCAAACAUUCUAGUAAUACAAAAAAUUGUUUAGAUAUCUUGCUAUAAAUAUAGCCGUUUGACUGUCAUAAUAAAGUCACAAAUAACCAUUCAUAUUGAUCUACUGUCACACAGCAUGCUUUAUGCAUACAACAGCUGUAUGCAUACCAACUCCUAACCUUAUCAAUACAUUUGGCAAAAACUUAAGAAGAAAGCUAUUUCUCCAUCUCUUUUUUGAAAUUUCACAAUAACCAGCACAAUGUGAAAGCUAUGUUCUAACCUUAUGAUAAAUGCUCCAGACUCCAAAAGGGUUUUAUAUAUGAGAGUUUGUUGCAGCAGAUAUAUUGACUUAUCAAGUAUGAAUCAUUGUCUGGAUGAACUAUCUUUAGAUAAAAGAAUAUUAGAACCACUGUAGAAUAUCUUUACCCUGCUGGUUCUAACAGGAAUCUGCAUGUGGCAACAAUUGCUAGACCCACAAUUCCCCAACUUGAAAUACAUAGUUGCACACCAUGAGAUAGUGCUACAAUCUACUGAGAUCUAACUUAUAUGGUACUUUAAGCUACUAAUGUUUGCAUAUUUCUACAUGUUAAAUUAACACUAUCAUCUAUAAUCACUCCAAAACAACAAAUGAUAAGCAGCUUUUGGCCACUUAUUACUAGCAUACACAAUUAUAAAUAAGAGAUCAUGGGUUUACUUGUUGCACCUACUUAAUUAUCUGCAGUUGACAUCCUGACACAAGGUUUAAAUAGUGACUGCUUAGAACCCUUGUAGUUGGAUCUUGACCUCUCCCAUUGUAGCCAAGAUUGGUUACUCUGGUAAUGAAUCAACACUCUCCUGCUCAGGGCCAUGAAGAUCUGAAAGCUCAGCACUAGUGGAGAACUUCAUCAAUCUCUUCUUCUCAGCAUACUUGAGACAAGGCUGCAUUACGAGACCAAUCACCACAGCACCAACGCUUAAAACUGCAACUUUUAAAGAAGAAAGAGCCAACACAACACAACACAAAUCAAUAUGGUUGGAGGAAUACACAUGAUAAUGGCUCCAACAGUGCCAGUGGGUAUCUUGUAGGGAUGAGAUGCAGCAGGAUAUUGUAUCCUUAACCAUACAAAUGCUAUGAACUCCAUAAUCAUUCCAAAACAGUACAGGAAGUUCUCUGCAGCUACAAUAUCUCGAAAGCUCAGCCAUGAUAGCAAAACCACACCAGAAGCUGAGAAUAUGAUUCCAAUCAAAGGAGUCCCAUAACAAGACCUCUUAGCAAAAAACUGAGGUAGCAUUCCACGCUCAGCCAUCCCCAAAAGUUGGAAAGAGUCGCUGCUCAUCUCAGCCACAAACAUGCCCAUAUUGGACAUUGCUGCAGCCCCCUGGAUGCACCAUCUCAACCAAACUCCUCCAAGCACUUUAGCAAUAUCUGAAAAGUAACCAUCGGUCCACAAGUCGCGAUCUAAUGGAAUAGCUCCAGUUCAAACUAGAAGGGGAAAGAAAUACCCAAAAAUGACCAAGAUCAAAGCAUAAAACAAAGCCUUUGGAAGAGUCUUCUUUGGGUUAUCCACCUCUCCAGCUAGUGUACUUAUUGAGUCCCAGUAGUUGAGAUUCCAAAACAGGGUGUUCAAAUACAAAUUCCAAUCCACUUCACCUAAAUUUACUACAAGCCAUCUUGAAGGCUCUAACUUGGGAAGGGACACAAGUCCCAUAACCCCAAAAGGAAGGAGUGAGAAAAUCCCUAAAAGAACAGCAGCCCAUCCCACAAUGGUUAGACCCCUAUAGUUCAUGAAAGUGAGAACAAAAGUCAAAGCUAACGCCGCAAAGGCUCUAGGUAACCCAUUGCCCAACGCAGGGAUACCAGACUUCAAGUAGUCAAGAAACAGAACUGGGUAUAAAGCAUUAUCAAUAACCCCACUUAGCCAUCCAACCUUGCUGAAAACCCCAAUAUGGGCCUAAGGCAGAUGAAACCCAAACCACAUAACCACAAUUUUCAGGAAACACAGUACCCAUUUCGGCAGUAAUUAAAGCUUCAGGGACACUCCAUAUAAUCGGAAACACCAAGAAACCAAGAAGUGCUAAAAGAGGACCAGCUGCCUUUACACUAUCCUCAACACCAAACGGCCCCCCAGAAACCUCAUAGAAUAUAAGGAAAAUAAGUGGCAAGAUUGAUACUUUUUUAGUGCCAUGGACUCGAGGAGAAGAUGGUUGGUCAUUGAUAUUAACAUAUUCAACAGCAUCAGACUGCCCUAUUUCUACUGAAACUUGCCUAUUUACAGUGUUCCUCAAUUUCUGCAUCAAGUUUAAGCAUAACUAUCAAAAGGGUAUCCGCAUCUAAAUUAUGAAACAAAAUGAGCAUUUACUUAUUAAAAAAAAUCAAAAAACAGAAAUGGAUUUCGCAGAGCACAUGAAUUUAAGUUCAACAUUAAACAGGCGCUUAAGAAAACAAAAGGGUCUGUUCGUAAAGCCAUCAGAUUGCAAGAUUGAACAACAUUAACGGAAUCAAUAGAAUAGAUGUAAAGAGAUCUGAAAAGAAAAUAAAAUAAAAGAUAAAGAGAGAUAAAACGAACCAUCAAAUAAGUGCAUGCAGAGCAGAGAGGCAGAUACUAGAGAAGCUCCGUCAUGUUAGAGAGAGCCUAAUUCAAUCAGAGCUCACUGAGUUUCUUUUCAACCGACCGGCAAAUUUGGAGUGGCACAACAUAAUAUUUUUACUUUUAAUUUUUGGAACACUUUUGAAUAGAAUUUUUUGUUUUUAAAAAAGGUAAGGGAGAUUAGUAUUUAUUUAACGGAUCAGGCUACGGUGCAACUGUGGCACCGUGCCACAGUUGCAUCUAGCCGUUGGAUGCAAUUGGAAUGGUGGAGUCCACUGACAUCCAACGGUUAGAUACAACUAUGACACGGUACCACAGUUGCACCUAAGGUUCCCUUAUUUAACUUUAUAUUUUUUAAAAUACCUUAAAAAUAUUUUUAUGUUAAAAUAUUAAUAUUUUUAUUAAUAAUUUUUAUAUUUUUAAUUUAUUUUUAUAAUAUUAUUUUUUAUAAUAAUUUUUUAUUUAAAUAUUAAUAAAAAAAUAAUUAAAUUAACAAUUUAAUCCUAAAAUAAAUAAACACGUGUUUGGUUUUGGGCUUUUUCUUUUGUUCGUUUAAUAUCAUCUGGCUCCCUGAUUUGUGACUAAUUAUCAACAGAAUCCCGUUGGUUUCUAAAUUGAAAUAAUAGAAGGUCAUGAGACUAUUUACUCCAUUUAGCACUGCAGACUUAGAGUAUAUUGAAAAAGCUUUGUCAAAUAGUAGUAAUAGGGGCAUAAGAAAUAAAUUAUAGCUAUCACAAAUUCGUUAGGAGAAUUUCAAUUUUUUCCAUCAAUAAUGGCUAUGAAGCAAAAUUACCUUAGGUUAUAUUGCAAUACUAAUACUUCAAAUCCUGAUAAUAAAUUUGAUGACAGUCGUUUUUAUCAUGGUUUUAACAGAUAUAAGAAGAGAAAAUUAACUGUUCAAACAAAUUAGAAGCAAAUUCUUUCAUAUCUUUCUUUUAUUUUUCCGCUUACUUUCUUAGCAUCCAAACAAGUUAAAGUUAAAACGCUGUUAGAGCCAACAAUAUGCAGGCAUCAAUAAGCAUAGUAGUUUUGUAUAUGUAUUCUAUACGAUAUUCUAGGGAUGUCAAUUGUAGAACAUUUUGUGGUAACUUUUUUACAUUAAUUAAUGUUUGAAGAACUUGUUAAAAAGAAAAUGGUAAUUUUAUCAUUUUGAAAGACAAAAAAAAAAAAAAAAAGAGUGAAAGUGGCGUUACCUCAUGGUCAUUAGAGACUUGUUGCAAUGAUAGCUCAAAAUUAAAAAUUUGUGAAGAAUUAGUAGACAACGACGAUACUAUAUUUAUACAGUCACCAACGUGUUGAUUUUUGUUUAAUGUUUGAUCGAUAGAAACUUUCGUCGUCGUCGCCGUUGUUGAAUUUGUGCUAAGAAUAUCACAAGAGAAGAAAAAAGGAUGAAAGGGAAGAGAAGAAGAGAGAAGUGGUGGACAGCAAAUAUGAUAUGCUAGCUACACACAGGCCUUAGAGAGUUUUUUUUUAAUAUUUAUUGUAUUUUUGUUUUUGUUAUUGGUUUUUCAUAUGCUUCCAAGGCAGCAAUGCGUUACAUCAUAAAUUGCACCUUUUAGGGGAGGUGGUAAAAAACAUGAGAGCAAUGCAUUCUAGCGCAUACAUGCAGAAAGAGUUUCCAAAUUUUCAAAAGUUUCUUUAUUUCUUCCACCUUUUUUUGCUUAAAAUAAAUUUUAAUUGUAUUUUGCAUUAACUUAGAGAAAAAAAAAUCCAGUUCUAUACAUAAACGCAUACAUUGAUUAGAAAAUGAGUUUUAUGGACACAAAGGGACAAUAUAAGAGAUUCUUUUUGUUUAUUAGAAGUAACAUAACUAGUUAGUGUAACAUGUAAUUAUAAGCUACCAAUAAUUUGCACUAAUGAUAAUUAACGGUAUAGAUUUUGAGCUAUGAAUGUCUUGUGGCUAGUUUAAUUAGAUUUUCGAGUUUUCAGCAGAUCUAUUUUAAUGAUUAUUAAAUUAUUUUCACUUCUUAUGCCUUAAUAAAAAAAAUCAAUAUUUUUUGCUGUAUUCUAUAUUUUAAAACUUAAUUUUUAGUUCUUUAUAUUGCAAACCAAACUGAGUCAAAUAGAGUAUGCUCUUCAAAUAAUUUUUCCAUUGCCUUCAAGAAGAAUUCAUUUUAUUUUUAUAUAUUAAUUUAACACUUGUAAACCGGGCCGUCAGAUUGCACAUAAAGCAAAUGAUCAAACCGUUACAAGACCGGCCCAGGCCCACCGACUCUAUUUUCUUUCAUUUGACCAUUAAAAAGCUUUUGGCCACCCCCACCAAAUAAAUAAGCUCUUGUUCUCUUUUGUUCCCUCUCAAAGGAAAAUAUCUGAUCACCGGAUAAUGAUUCCGGCGACACAAAAGAUCGAAACACCCCCCUAAAUUCCCUAAAUUUACGAUAAUACCCCACCAUGGAUGAUUCCGUUGAAAUGCCGCCUUACGAUGAAAGGCCUAAAAAGGGUUUUAACUUCACCUCCAUGCGCUUGAUCUUAACCCUCGUUUUCCCAAUUUUAACUUGCUUUUUGUUGGCAUUUUUUAUUGGAAUCGUAGCUGUUUUAUUCGGUGAAUCAUCAGUUUCCAGUUCCAUUUUUGUCCCUUCCCAGUGCAAGAUAGUGUCCAGCAGUAAGCUUUUUUUAACAUUUUCAAUUUUUUUUCCAUUUAUGAAGUCCAAAAAUUUUAUUAAUUUUGACUUUUUUGAAUGAUUUUGCAGGUGUUGAUAUAAGGUCAUCAAAAGUUUGUGAACUUGGGGUGUUGAAUUAUAAGGCGAAGCGUGUGUUUUAUCCAUUUGAAGCAAGUAAAUUUCGCUGUCGGUAUGAUUACUAUUAGGCUUCUAUCUUCAAGGUAUUCAUACAUUUUCCCCUGUACUAUAAGCUUCUCAGUGGCGGUCUUGUGAGCGGAAGUGAGCGGUGUGGUUGACAGCUUCUUGAAAAUUAUAAGUUUGAACCAAGCAUGUUAGAGCACCACCAAAAGCCUCUUUAAAUAAGAUUUUAUUAUUUAUUUAAAGAGCCACAUCAAUAUUGAAAGCUCCAAAAGACACUUCAAUUAAAAUUCUUUAAAUAAGAAUUGAUUCUCUUCAAAUUUGGAGAGUUAAUUUCUCCCUCUUCAAUUUAUAUUUUAUUACUUUUCAUUGAAGAAAUAGAGAAAUGCUUUAAUUGCUAUUAACUUUUCCUUUAAAAAACUAAUUAUAUGAUUAAAAUAAUAUUAACUUAUUUAUAUUUGAAGAGUCUUUUGAAGAAUAUCAUAUUUUUUUCACCAUUCUAUUUGCCACAUAGGUAAACAAAUAGAUAUUUAAAGAGUAAAAUUUAUAGAAACUUUUGGAGAUGCUCUUAGACUUUUGUUGACCAAAUUCGAAAGCCAAAUGGCACAGCUCAGAAGCUUUUGAAUUGAAUAACUUACUAGGAAGCUCCAAUUUUUUGUUGGCUACAGUAAAAGGAUGUUGUUUUAUUCUUCUUAUACUUUACGCUUGCAUCAGCUUAAAUCACUUCUUAAACGCUUUGCUUUAACUCCACUGCUUUGCUGGGGCGGAUUUACCUUGGAACAAGUGGGGACUUAAGUCCCCACUGAAAAAAAAAUUGUUUUAAUAAUUAAUUUGAUUUGCCAAAACUUCUCAAUAAAUUUUUCUUAAGCCCCCAUAAUUUCUUUCAACAAGCAAUUGAUCUAAAUGAGUUAAUUUCUGUCAGUUGUAUCCAAAUGAGUUCUCUGCAAUUGAUAUCAUGGCACUUGAAAUUCAACUUGAUACAUAUAUUUUGGAUAUGCGCACUAGUGCGAGACUAAAAGACAUAAGGUAUAUCCAUUGGUUUACUUGUUAAUAAUAUUAGCAUUGACUUUACCCGUUGCCAUUGCUAGUGUAGAGAGUAUUUUCAGCCAUGAACAUUUUGAAGAAUUGGUUAUAAAGCUGUGAGUAAUAGAUGAAUGAUAGUUUAAUUAUUUACAUAGAAAAAUACUUAUUUAAUAAUAUUGAUAAUGAACUUGUAAUGCAACAUUUUUAAUGUAUGAAAACUUGAAAGGACAAUUGUAAACAUAUAUUGAAGUAUGAUAAAUCUUUCAAAUUUAUAUAUUUAUUACUUUUUAAAUUUUUUUAUAUUGCCGUUGAAUGAGCCCCCAGUCAAUCAAUAUGUUGUCUUCACCCUGCUUCGUACUCUUCUAUAUAUGUAUCGGGUAUGCAGUUGUAGUUAAUGGUUGAGACUACGUGUUUGUUUGACGUGGUAGUUACGUUACGAGUCUGUUAAACAUUCGAUGAUUAAAGUAUUAUCUGUUAUUUCAAAGGGACAAAUAAGAUUAGCUACAACACACCCACUAGUUUUAUAAAAUUCGAAUGAGAUGGAAUAAAAUAAAAAAUAAAUAAGUAAAUUGACUUUUAAUUUUAGUGGUUGAAUAUAUUUUCUAUUCUCUUAGGGCACUGCUGUAAUUAUUCCUUAAACGUCAGUCAUACCCACAUAUAAUAGACACAAGAAAUGAAAUCUAAAAUCACCUGUUUAGUUAAAGAAUCAUCAUGAAAAAAUUUUGCCAUUUUGAUUUGAAGAUCCACUUUUUGAACAACCAACUUAUGUUCAUCAAGAACGGAUCAUGGCUUGUGAGUAGAAAAAUUAUUUUUGGACAAAUUAUUUUUUUUAAUAGAAGAAUUUCUCAAGGGACUAAUAAAAUUACUAAUAAAAAUGUCAGACACACCCACGUACCAUCGACACAAUUGACUAUGAGGAUCCAUGUUUUGAACUUCCACCUAAUGUUCAUCAAGAACAGAAUAUGGCUUGUGAAAAGAAAAUUUUCUGAUUUUGGCCUGGAACAAAAAGAAAUUAAAUUGAAGGAGAAUCUGCUACUUUCUCAUUAAGAAAGGCAGACAUGGUAUACCAUGGUACCAUACAAUAUAAAAAGUCUCCAUUCUCUGGCUUUUCAAACUCUGAAGGGGGCAAUAUUCCCCAAUUCUCCCGUGAAAAUUCUAAUUACGACAUUAUUCAUCGGUUGAUACAUAAGUACAAGUAGUGACAAAAUUAGGAAAAAUAUGACUCAUAAGUAAUUACUAGGCAGGGCUCUUGAGAGCAACAUUGUACUAGGCUUUAUAUGCAAACAUGGUGUGGUACAUAGAGCACGUUGAAUUCCACACUAUAACACAAACCCAGAAAGACAAGUAAUAUCUCAACUGAUAUAAAGACAAAAAGAAGAUAAAAUGAUACAGAACAAAGAAUUUCUAAGAGACAGCAACAUACAAUAGACUAAAGCCAGUUGAUCUGCUCAUUGAUUGCAGCCUUAAACUUGCAAAUGUUUACUGUAGCCUGGUGCUCUAAGAAGUGAAAAUGAUGCAAACCUUGAUUCCCUGUUUACUUCCAUUUACCAUCAACACAUUCUAUUCAUAAGAAAAAAAAUGUUUAGAUAUCUUGCCGUAAAUAUAGCCAUUUGAUUGUCUUAAUAAAGCCACACACAACCAUUCAUAUUGAUCCACAUUGCCACAUAGCCUGAUUUAAGCAUACAACAGCUGAAUGUAUACCUAACUCCUAACCUUAUCAAUACAUUGGCGACAACUUAAGAAGAAAACUAUUUCUCCAUCUCUUUUUUGAAAUUUCACAAUAAAACAGCACAAUGUAAGAGCUGCAAUGAAAAUGGACCGUCUGAAACUAUGGCGGAAGCUUCAACUAGUGUAGUGAUUUGACCUUCUUAUUAACCUAGCGAGAUCAAACACUGCCCUUGAUCUUGAACAGAUCAAUACGAUACGCACAACUUAUGAUUGAAUCCAGAAACAAUCAAAUCUUUAGCAAGAAUAAUUAAUCAGAAUCAAGAAACAAGUUUAAUGAAUAUAAACCUAUAAUUGGAACAAACACAGCCAAAGAACCCAAGAAUGACACAACGAACACCAAGGGAGAAGCUUUCCAGUGAGAUUAUAUUGAUGAUCAAAGAAGAAUCUUUUUACAAAGCUAACAAAAGAGAUUUCAGAGAAUAAGCUAUGACCCUCUCUCUCUUCAAUCUCUGUCUAGUUUGUUAACAGUGAUGACCCAAUCUGCUUCGUUAGCCAGCUUCAUAACUGCGUCAGUGACAAACCAGCAAACCCAGAUUGAGCAGACUAACGACACGUGCAUAACGGCUUUAACGAACUUGGUUAAAGAACUGCUCACAUGUUCGUCACGCGUGUUGCUUAAAUGAUAGCCAAAACGACUUCAACCAGAUGCCGUUUUGAAGCUUAUGAAUUAUAAGUGAAAACACGUGCUUGUCUCGUGACAUUUAAAUGCAACAACAAGCCCAAAACACUGCCGUUUCACUAUGUUGAGUUUGCCAUCUCUAAGCUUCACAACUAGCAGCGGACAAGAUGAUAAUUUAAUUGACAUGGACAACUUUUAUAUCACUUUUACAACAUUCUAUAUAAUUGUGAUAUUGGGAAUCGUCGGUGUUGUAUAUGUGAACCCUCGUUGGCGACACUGGUGGUUUUAUCUUUGUUGAAAUAUGGAUGACUUUUUGUUACUAUUUUGUUGUACAUAGUACAUAACCUUAUUCCCAGGAGAUUUAAUCAUUGAAAUUAACAUGUUAGUUUCAUUAGAAGGCUGAGUGGUUAGGGCUGCUACCCUCCAACUUGGAGGGCAAUAGUUUAAACCCACAAGCGCAAUGUGGGGGUAUUUCAUUCUUUAAUUACAUUGUAUAAUUGAAUAAAUGUAAUCUUCUCUCUUACACAAGUGUGAGUGGAGUAGACAUCUCUCGAAUAUUAGCGAGGGUUAAAACUUGGACAGAGCUCAAUAAGUAUUUAUGUAAGUUGGUCCUAGUAAUAAUCUGAUUUGUAAAUAUCAGUUAUAGUCUCAUGUUUCCUUCCUUAAUUAUAUUGUAUAAUUAAGUAAAUGUACUCUUCUCUCUUACCCAAGUGUGAGUGGAGUAAACAUCCCUAGAAUAUUAGUGAGGGUUAAAAUCUGGACAGAGCUCCAUAAGUAUUGAUGUAAGUUGAUCCCAGUAAUAGUAUGAUUUGUAAAUAUCAGUUAUAAUCUCAUGUAAUAUGAGUUGUAAUUUGAGCAACAGUUUCAUGUAAUUACAAAAAAAAUGCUACUUUCAUUACAUUUUUCUUCGUUAAAAUUCUCAAGUAUCAAUUAUGUUUGCUUAAGAAAUAAAAUUUCGUUAUGAAAAUUGUAGUAGUAUUUCCGAGCAUCUCACAUUUUCAAUGAUUUUUCAUAAAUCAAUUAAUCUGUCGUACCAAUAUCAUGUUUAGUUUUUCAGACUAAAUAAUCAAGAAAGCAAACAAAUUCACAGUUUAGAGGGGUAAACUAGCUUUUAGAUUUUAGAACUAGGCUAGAUACCUCACCAAAUUCCAAUUUGUACAGUGAACUACAAGAUUGAGAAAAUAAUGUAUUUAUAGUUUAAUUGAAUCAUGAGAAAACAAUGUAGUCAUAGCUCAAUCGGACAUGAUCACGGAGAGGCAUAUUCUUUUCAAGUUAAUUUGAUCCAUUUAUAAGAAAUGAAGUGGAUCGAAGUUAAAAGUUAAAAUAAAAAAUCCUUAUUCUUGAGUUUUACGACGUCGUUACUCCUUCAAGAGGCUGAUUGUGCAAGUGAAUGGAGAAACAGAAUGCUUUUAUAAUUUUUUUAAUAAUUGUAAAAAUAAUUAACCAUAACAAAUCCCUUGCGUAAAUACUAAUCAUUAUUUAAAAGGUAGAAAGAUAGUUAGUGCACAAUCAAAUUUUAAGCCCCUACCUCCUCGGCCCAAGAUUCAAACUUAGAUGAUCAGCCAAAUAAAAUUAUUUGAAAAUCAUUCAAUCAGGUUCCCGGAGUAAAAAUACAAGAUCCUUAUUAUAAAAGUUGUCCCACCUGCUGGUGUAUAACAACCACUUCAAUUCAAACUAGAUUCUUUUUGUUUUUUUUAAUGUAAUCCUGAUAAUAUUUAUGUUAUCUUAAGAAUAGGUCAGCUUGAUUAUUGCUGAAAUAUAGGAGGAAGUUAGCUUUGAUUCAUUGUAUUAUUUAUACGCUCUGAUACCAUAAAGAGAUUGAUAAUUGAAAAUGAACUCACUUCGUUACUGGUAUGUCUGGUUCGGUGGUUGGCGGGGAAGGUGGAAGAGAUGGUUGGCGGGCAGGUAGAGCUUCCUGUGGGGUUGGGUCAGCUGGUUGUGAAGUAGCCUCAGGCAGAGAUAAUUCUUGAGAGCUAGCUGCAGAUGGAGUGUUGGCUGCCUGCUGGAGUGAUGUGGGAAUGGACACAGUAAGUACAGGAGGAAUCCAAGUGGAUAUGGUAGUGGAAGUAGGACGUGGAAGAGUGGUGUGUAGUGAGGUGUAUGGAAAGACUGAUUCAACAAAUUGAACAUGGCGAGAAACAUGUUGCUGUUGAUUAUCAUUUUAUCAGAGAUCAAGUUCAAUCUGGUCUACUUCGAGUAGCUCAUGUCUCCUCUGCUGAUCAGCUUGCCGAUCUUCUCACCAAGCCACUGCCCACUUCUCAGUUCUUGCUUUUACGGGACAAGAUUGGCCUCUCUACUCGUGGCCUAUCUUGAGGGGGCAUAUAAAAGUUGUCCCACCUGCUGGUGUAUAACAACCACUUCAAUUCAAACUAGAUUCUUUUUGUUUUUUUGAAUGUAAUCCUGAUAAUAUUUCUGUUAUCUUAAGAAUAGGUCAGCUUGAUUAUUGCUGAAAUAUAGGAGGAAGUUAGGUUUGAUUCGUUGUAUUAUUUAUACGCUUUGAUUCUAAUGGAACGAAGUGAGUUCAUUUUCAAUUAUCAAUCUCUUUACUUAUUUGCAUGAUAUAUAUGAAUUAAUGUAAUUUAUUUGAAUUAUCCAAAUUCAUUAGAGAUAAAACUAUAAAAUAUACCAAAAACGUUAGAAGGAAGGGUGUGUUGGGAUGUUUUACAAACUAUAGGAAUCUGGUGAGAUUUUGAGCCAAACUGUAGGGAGUUGAAGGCAUUUGCCCAAUAUGUUUAGUCGUACACUAACCGUUAUUUGAUCUUGUUGUUGGUCCCGGAUGAGCUGUAGUCUUAUUUUAAUUUUAUUUAAACUCACCAUAAGAUUCGCGGAGCUCCUAACUAACUUAAAUGACUCUGCAGAGCAUGUCAACACAUAGCAUGUUUAACCGUUUUAUUUGUAGAAGAAUUUAUGAUUUCCCAUUAGCAUUAUUAUUGAAGUGGGGCGGGGGCGGGUCAAAUCUCAAUUGCUUGAAAAUUUUAUUUAUUAUUAUUAGUCUUGAAGUGAGGUGGGUAACGGUUCGCUCCAAUUCGAGGGAAUCAAAUAUAUCAUCCAAGGUAGAAUUGUGGAAAAUUAAAGCAAAAUAAGAAAUAUGGAAAGAAAAGAAGAAAGUUAAGGCAUGAAAGACAUAUACAGUUGAAAUUAUAAUCAUGUUUCUAUUUUGUUAACUAAUCAAAUGGAAAGCUGAACUGUAAACAAACAUUAAAACGUGUGGACCAAGCUAGCUGCCCUACAAGUCCACAAUAAUAAUUGAGUACUUUGAUUCAUCCUUCUAUAAAUUUCUACCCAUAUUGACUCCACCGAAAUUUCCACAAAAUUAAAAAAAAAAAACUGAAUUUCCACAAAAUACAAAACCCGUUGAACUUAUUUUUUGGUCAUGUGAACUAAGAUGUAAAUUAAAAAAAAAGUAUAAAAUUAAAAAAGAUAAGAUUUCUAAAAUGUGUGGAAGGUGAUUCAUGAUUCACUGAAAUUACUUACCCCAGAUAUAAAAGUAAACCUAUCUAAUUUCAUUAAAAAUAGUUAGAAAAAAUUAACUAAUAAAAAGCUACGGAAAUUAACCCCCCACAAAAAUGACUUUUUAUAGAAGAAUUUAUGUUUUUUAAAAUAUGUUAUCAAAGUGUAUUUGAUCAAAUCUCAAUUGCUUAGUAUGGUUAGGAUUUUGUGAACAUCACUAAAAAGUGAAAAACUAUGAAUGAUAGGGGUGAUGCUUGCAAUAUGAAUAAAUAAUGGACUGAUUCAAUUGAUGAUUACAUUUAUAUAUUAUUGAUUAUUUAUGAAUUUUCAGACUUGUUAUGAUGUAUAACUAUGUGAUUUUGAAACUUGAAACCGUGGCAAACAUUGAAAGGAAUUAUAACUUGAAAGCAUGACUCACGGGGUAUGUCAUGAUUCACGUGCACAAAAAAGGUAGAAUUGUGGAAAUUUACAACCCAACGACAAAUACGGAAAGAAAGGAAGAAAAUUAAAAGACUUCGGGCCUAGCCUGCGUGUAUUAAUUAUUAGAUUACUUUUUUUUUUAUAAGGGUAAUCAUCAAUUUACUCCAUAACAAUCUUUAAUUCAUUUUUAAAAAAUAUGAAAACUUUAAUUUAUCUUUUAAACAUCGUUACCUCUUCAUUGGUUUUAAUAGUUCAAAGGGUAAAAUUAUAUUUGCAUAUUUUCUUGACCGCCAACUAAAUGAUAAAACUCAAAAUUCAAUCUUGUUAUCUUGUUUCAAUCCUCUAUCAAUCAAAUAAGAUUUCUAAAAUAUGUGAAAGAUAUUGCAUGAUUUCCUCAACCUACCUGGCCCCGAACAUCAAGGUAAAUCUCUCUAAAAUAGUUGAUUAAAUCUCAGUUGCUAAGUAUAGUUAGGAUUGUGUGAACAUCACUGAAAACUAUGAUUGAUAGAAGUGAUCUUUGCAAUAUGAAUAAAUAAUUAACUGAAUCAAUUGAUUUAUAUAUUAAAGUUUAUGAAUUUUCGGACUUGUUGCGAUAUAAUAAUAGCAUAUGAUUUGAAACUUGAAACAGUGGUAAAUAUUGAAAGGAAUUAAUUUGAAAGCAUGAUCCGUGGGGAAUGUGAUGAAUCGUGUUUACAAAAAAGGUAGAAUUGUGGAAAUUUAUAACAGAACGAUAAAUAUGGUAAAAAGGAAGAAAAUUGAAAGACUUGGGGCCUGGCCUGGGUGUAUUUUCUAACUGUCCAAUGGACAAAAUUAUAUUUGUAUACUUUCUCUUCCCUAGCUAGGUUUCAUAGAAUAGCUCAUUUCAUUUUUAUUUUUUAAAUAAUAGCCCAAAACAUCCUUAUGUUAAUUCACUGUUAGUUGAAUAUCAUUUGUUAGUAAUUCAUUAAGGGUAAAAAAUGAUUUUCUAUCAAAGAGAAAAUUAGAAAAAUAAAUAAAAGUUGACAUAUAACUAAAAAUGAUCUUAUCUAAUCCCACUAAAUAAGAAAUGCCAAAAAAGAUGAAAAAUUUAUAUUUCAAGCAAUUCUUUUUUCACUUAUUUCUAUUUUGGCGGCAUGAAAGCCCUAUAAACCCUAGAUCUAAAUACCAAAAAUAUCACAAUUUUCUUAUUCAUAUAAGUAUACUCUCUAAUUGCAUUGUAAAAUGGCUUGAAUUGAAUUGAAGAUAAAGAAAAUAUUCAGCACAUGCAAGCACAUAAAAAUUGGUGGCAUUUUUGAGUUUUUCUUCCAAUGAUUUAAAGAUAUUGUUUUAAUUACAGUUUGUUCCUUAUGACAAUUAUUCAAUGGCUAUAUCAAACUAUAUCAUCGUUGAUUUCAUUUAAGAAAAAGUUAAUGAAUUUUGCAUACUUUGUAGUGUUAUUUAAUUGUGUAAAAAAAUUAUUUUAAUAUAGUUUGUAUCACUUUAAUGAAAAAUCUUAUUUUGCUCUCAAUGAAUUACUGGUUAAUAGUUUUACACUCACGGUGAGUUAACGGAAGGAUAUUUUAGGCUAUUGAUUGAAAAGGAGGGAUAAAAUGGGCUAUUGCAUUAAACUUUAGGGAUGAAAAAUGCUUUUUCUCCUUUCUUAUCAAUCAACUAACUGAUAAAAGUCAAAACUCAUAUUUUUUUUUUCCUUGUUUCAAUCCCCUCUCAAUCAAAAAAGUUUCCUUGUCUAAGCAAUGAGGAAUAUGGCUAGAAAGAUUGUUAUUAGAAAGAUUUAUCAAUAGUAAUUGGUUCACAACUGAACAAUUUUAGAUUAUUGUGAGUCAAUAUAGGUCUUGUUUGGAAUUGAAGUGUUGUAGCUUUUAAGCUACAGCUGCUUUAGAAAAAAAACUAUAAUUAUGAAAUAAGAGUUAAUAAUAUAUAAUAAAUAUAAAUUUUAAAUAAUAAAUUUGACAAAAUUAUUAAAAAUAUAAUAGAUUUUUGAUAAUACAAGUAAAAAAAUCAUAUCAACAUAGCUUGCAAGUUACAACAGUUAGUGUUUACCUAAUACUUUAAUACUGUAGCUUUUAAGUUACAGUUGUCCAAUACCUCAAUUCCAAACGCACCUAUAAAAUGGCUUGCUUCAAAAGUCUAUCAACCCAACUUGGAAUGCUCUCAUUGUUGCGGAAACGUGGGUUGAGCAAUUACUAAUACUGCAACUUCUGGAGAAAUAUAAAUGUGGUGAUAAACAAAUGCAAAGAAAAUAGAACACAAUAUUUUACGUGGUUCGGCGUAAUGCCUACGUCCACGGGCAAAAACUGGAAGAUAAUUUUACUAACAAUGAAAUUUACAAAAGUGGGAAAAACUCACAAAACCCACAACCCCAAUACACCCAAAUGGAACCUCACUAGAACACUCAAGUGGAAGCUCUCUCAAAUUCUCUCAAAGAACUCACUUGCAAUUGCUCUCUACUUCUCUCAAAUUGGGAUGGUUACAAUAGCAAAAUGCUUCUCUAUUUAUAGAUUGCAUUCUGCUCCAAGUUGGGUUCAAUUUGUCAAAAUGUUGAGCUGGAUCUUGUAUUGCAUGCACGAGCUUUUCAACACCUAACUUUGUCUUUUGAAAUUGCUUAGCCGACCAUCUUUGCUUUUUUGAAUUUGGCAAGCAAUUCUUUGACUUUUCAACAAUUCUCCACCUCGGCGAAGAUUUAGUAAAUCUGAGCCGAUUAUCAAUAAAUUAUCCUCCAGCCUUUGCCUUCUCCGACUGCUUUUAAACUUGCAGGAUAUUAAUCAAGUUUAGACAAUGCUCAAACUUGAUCGCUGUCACCACCUUGGUCAACAUAUCUGCGGGAUUAUCUAUAGUUUUAAUUUUCUGAAGAAGAAUCUUCCCCUCAUCAAUAAUUUCCCGCACAAAGUGAAAGCGUACAUCGAUGUGCUUCGUACGCACAUGAUAAACUUGGUUCUUCGUUAAAUGAAUAGCACUCUGACUAUCGCAAUACACAUUAAUGUGCUCCUGCGCCAAUCCCAAGUUUUCAAGCAAACCUUAUAACCAAAUAGCCUCUUUAAUAGCCUCUGUAAUUGCCAUGUACUCGGCCUCUGUGGUCGAUAGUGCAACUGUAGACUGUAGUGUAGACUUCCAACUAAUUGGCCCUCCAGCAAAAGUAAAUACAUAUCUGGUGGUUGACCGUCGUUUGUCCAAAUCACCAGCAUAAUCAGAAUCAAUGUACUCGAUCACACUUUGACCAAGUGUAUCGUCUCUUUCAAACAGUAAACCAACAUCCACGGUCUUCUAAAUGUACCGUAGAAUCCAUUUCACAGCUUGCCAAUGUCCUUUACCAGGAUUAUGCAUAUACCUGCUCACUAUACCAACUGCAUGUGAAAUGUCAGGCCUUGUACACACCAUUGCAUACAUCAAGCUACCCACUGCAUUUGAAUACGAAACUUGUAACAUGUAUUCUCGUUCUGCAUAUGUUGAAGGAGAUAAUUGUGCAGAAAGCUUGAAAUGAGAAGCCAACGGGGUACUCACAGGUUUUGUCUGCUCAGUCAUGCCAAACUGCUGUAGUACCUUCUUCAAAUAUUGCUUUUGAGACAAGCUUACUUUGCCACGAGCUCUAUCUCUGCAUAUCUCCAUGCCAAGAAUCUUCUUAGCUUCACCUAAAUCUUUCAUUUCAAAUUCUUGAUUGAGUUGAGUCUUCAACUUCUCAAUCUCAUUUUUGCUCUUCGAUGCUAUUAGCAUAUCAUCGACAUACAAUAGCAAAUAAAUGAAAGAGCCUUCUUGUAGCUUGCGAAAAUACACACAAUAAUCAAAUUUAUUUCUUGUGUACCUUUGUCUUUUCAUAAAUCGAUCAAAUCGCUUGUACCACUGCCUCGGAGAUUGUUUCAACCCAUAAAGCGACUUUGUCAAUUUGCAAACCCAAUUUUCUUUUCCAGCAACCUUAAAUCCAUCUGGCUGAGUCAUGUAGAUUUCCUCUUCCAAAUCACCAUGUAAGAAUGCAGUUUUUACAUCAAGUUGAACUAGUUCAAUAUCAAAUUGCGCAACCAUGGCUAGCAAAAUUCGAAUAGAUGAAUGUUUCACAACUGGAGAAAAUACCUCAUUGUAGUCUAUUCCUUCCUUCUGAGCGUAACCCUUCGCUACCAAUCUAGCCUUGUAUCGAAUUUCAUUUUUACAAGGAAAUCCUUCCUUUUUUGCAUAUACCCAUUUGCACCCAAUUGCCUUCUUUUCCUUGGGCAGUGUAACUAACUCCCAAGUUUCAUUUUUGUGAAGAGACUGCAUUUCUUCGUUCAUUGCUUUCUUCCACUGUAUACUUUCUGGAUUACUUACUGCUUCUCUGUAAGUGGAAGGAACAUCAUCAUCUACAAUUGGAAGUGCAUAGGCCACCAUAUCAACAAAGCGAGCAAGUCUGCGAAUCUCUCUAUGUGGCCUUCUAUAUGCAAUUGAAUCAUGUUGCUGUGAAGGUUCCUAGGUCAGAACCUCUUCAUCAUUUUCGGUCGAUGGAGAAUCAUUAUCCAUCUCAUCGACACCAGCUGGAUCAGCUUUAACUUUUUCAAACUCCACAUGCUGCAAACUGCUACUGGUCUUGUCAUUCUCUUGAGAAUCUUUUUGUUUCAACAUGGUUGAUUCAUCAAAAGUUACAUCUCUGCUGAAAAUAAUCUUCUUCGUUACAGGACACCAGAGACGGUAUCCUUUUACUCCACCAGUUAUACCCAUGAACAAUGCUUUCUUUGCUCUUGGGUCUAACUUAGAUUCUUUUACAUGAUAAUAAGUAGUGGAACCAAAAACAUGUAAAGAAUUAUAAUCAGUAGUAGGUUUACCAGUCCACAUCUCCAUGGGUGUUCUGCCCUCAAUUGCAGUUGAUGGCAAACGGUUGAUCAAAUGGCACGCAUAUACAACUGCCUCAGCCCAAAACUCUUUGCCCAAUCCAGCAUUGGAUAACAUACACCGAACUUUCUCCAGUAUAGUCCGGUUCAUGCGUUCUGCCACCCCAUUCUGUUGUGGUGUAUCUCGAACAGUGAAAUGUCGCACAAUACCCUCAUCUUGGCAUAUUUGAAGAAAUGGAUCAUUCUUGUACUCACCACCAUUAUCUGAGCGAAGUCUUUUGAUCUUUCGACCAUUCUGAGUCUCGACCAUUUUCUUCCAUUUCAUAAAUAUGCCCAAAACUUCAUUUUUGUUCUUCAUCAAAUACACCCACACUUUUCUUGAAUAAUCAUCAACAAAAGUAACAAAAUAGUGCAUACCUCCCAAAGAAGCUGUUUUGGUAUGUCCCCACACAUCACUGUGAACAUAGUCCAUAAUUCCUUUUGUAUCGUGAAUUGCUGAACCAAACUUUACCCUUGUCUAUUUGCCCAGAACACAAUGUUCACAAAAUUCUAAUUUGCAAGAAUUUGUACCUUUCAAUAAGCCUUGCUUCGCUAAAGUUUGCAAAGCUUUUUCACCAGCAUGUCCCAAACGCAUAUGCCACAAUUUGGUUGCUUCUAAAUCUGCAUCUUUUCCAGAAACUGUUGAUGCUGAUCCAAUAACUGUACUUCCUUGGAAAUAGUACAAGUUAUUUCUUCUUGUGCCUUUCAUUACCGUCAGUGCCCCAGCUACUACCUUCAACAAUCCAUCUCUUAAAGUGAUUGUGAGUCCUUUAGAUUCUAGGACUCCUAAUGAGAUGAGAUUUUUCUUCAAGCUUGGUACAUAGCGAACAUCUGUCAAAACUUGGAUUGAGCCAUCAUGAUUCUUUAAUUGGAUUGUACCUAUUCCCAUGGUUUUACAAGCAUUGUCAUUGCCCAUAAAAACAACUCCACCGUCUAGCUCCUUGAAGUUAGAAAACCAGCCCUUGUUAGGACACAUAUGAUAAGUACAACCCGAAUCCAAAAUCCACUCAUCUGAGUGACAUAUCAAUGUCAUGCCAACCAGACUAAAGUCUGACUCCUCAUCAUGCUCUGCUACACAUGCAUCAGAAGUAGCCUUGCCCUUUUGUAACUUAGGACAAUUCUUUUUCCAAUGCCCUUUCUCGCGACAAAAAGCACAUUCAUCUUUGGCAGGUCUCCCUUUAGACUUGUUCCUUUUUCCAGGUUUGUGGCUUUGCGAACGACCUCUCGCUGUCAGUGCUUCUGCAACUGUAUAUCUGUGAUCCUUUCUAUCUUUCUUUCUGGUCUCAGAGUUGUACAAUGCACUGCAUACAGCAUCGAAUGUGACACUGUCCUUCCCAUGAAGCAAAGUAGUGGUAAGAUGAUCAUAUUCAUCAGGAAGGGAAUUCAACAACAAUAAUGCCUUAUCUUCAUCUUCAAAUCUCUCAUCUAGAUUUAGCAAAUCCGCCAAUAUCUUGUUGAAUGAGUUCACGUGGUCAUUCAUUGACAUGCCAUGUGUAUAUGUAAAUCGAUAGAGUUUCUUUUUCAUAUAAAGCCUAUUUUCAAGACUUUUCUUCAUAUGCUUUUCUUCCAGUGUCUCCCACAAUUUCUUUGCCGAUGUCUCCCUCAUGACAGAGUAUUUCUGAUCUUUAGCCAGACAUAGGCGAAUAGUACCACAUGCCUGUCUAUUGAUUUUUAUCCACUCCUUGUCAUCCAUCACGUCAGGCUUUUCUUCAAGAGCAACGUCCAACUCUUGUUGACAUAAGACAUCCAACACCUCACAUUGCCACAUACCAAAAUUAUUGGUACCAUCAAAUUUCUCCACUUCAAACUUUGCAUUAGUCACAGUAGUUCUCGCUGAUGAAGACGACGACGGUGCCUCUGCCAUCCUUUUUAUCUCAAAUGAUCAGUUUCUUCAACAACUAUUUACACUUAAAAAACAGCCUCUAUGAUGUUUAUUUCGCGUGAAUAAAUGCACCAGGAAAGUUCCCAAGAGACUGGACGGGAACUCGGUCCCAAUUAAAAACCAGAAUCCUUAGACUCUUAUCGCCUUUGUUGACAGAACUUUCCUAGACAUGCAAAAAUACACACUACUUACAAUAGACUGCCUCCCAAGUAUAAAUGACCGUCUCCACCGUAUUUGUGAACAGUACCGUUUAUAGGAAUAGUACCGUAUACGUGAACAAUACCGUAUCCCCCCAAGUACGAGCCGUCGGCUCUGAUACCACUUGUUGCGGAAACGUGGGUUGAGCAAUUACUAAUACUGCAACUUCUGGAGAAAUAUAAAUGUGGUGAUAAACAAAUGCAAAGAAAAUAGAACACAAUGUUUUACGUGGUUCGGCGUAAUGCCUACGUCCACGGGCAAAAACUGGAAGAUAAUUUUACUAACAAUGAAAUUUACAAAAGUGGGAAAAACUCACAAAACCCACAACCCCAAUACACCCAAAUGGAACCUCACUAGAACACUCAAGUGGAAGCUCUCUCAAAUUCUCUCAAAGAACUCACUUGCAAUUGCUCUCUACUUCUCUCAAAUUGGGAUGGUUACAAUAGCAAAAUGCUUCUCUAUUUAUAGAUUGCAUUCUGCUCCAAGUUAGGUUCAAUUUGUCAAAACGUUGAGCUGGAUCUUGUAUUGCAUGCACGAGCUUUUCAACACCUAACUUUGUCUUUUGAAAUUGCUUAGCCGACCAUCUUUGCUUUUUUGAAUUUGGCAAGCAAUUCUUUGACUUUUCAACACUCAUUCAAGUGGCUAUAACUAAGAUAAAACGUCGCAAAGGAAGAGUAAUUAAAAAAUGUAACUUCUUUAACAUGUCCAUAUAGCAUUUUUGUUUACAAGUGAAUUUGUGUGAUAGAGAGAGGAUGUAAGCAAGAUAGUAAACUCCUAAAUAUAUUAUUGUUUGUAAUGUCUAAAAUUUGAAGAGAAUCAAGCUAAUAAAACUCCAUUGAAAUUAGACCUUCAAGAGUACGGUUCUUGGGCAUUAUAAAAUGUUGUAAUGUUGAGAGAUUACCCAACCAUUAUGGAAUCCUACCAAGAUGAUUGUUACCACUAAGAUACAAUCCUUCUAGUGAACAACAAUUAGACAAAUUUUUUGGAGAUCUCUCUUACAAAGUCAUUACCAUCCAAUCGCAAUUUUGAAUGAAAAUAAAUUUUUUUUAUUGGGAGUUUGACCUUAACAUUAAAUUUAGACAAUGAAUUUUAACUUUCUUCAAUUAUUAAGCAGAUUACGGACAUUUGAGGAAUUUGAAAACAUUUCAUCCAUCGAAAGUUAAAAUUAGAGAUGGAAGCUAGGUGCUACAGCUAAUGGGAACAUUAAUUCCUGUCCCUCAUCACACUUUAUUUUGGGUCUAAUAAUUUUACGGCAGCAUUGACCACUGCUCAAGGUAAGUAAAACUUACAAAUGUGUGGCAAAAUAAAUAAUUAAGUGGAUAAACUGUUAACUAAUUUUCUUGAUAUAUACAGCUAAUGUAGUUGUUCCUCUGUUAAAAAAACAAAUGCUAAGCAAUUUCGGCUGAGCCUGCUUGUGGUGUUGAUAAAAACGAGGGCUGGCUUCAAAUAUUUGAAUAGACACCUCCACCGUACCUCAAACAAAUCUGUCAUUAUUUGUGCCAUGAAACAUGUUUCGGCCGUCAAAGUCAUGAGAGGGUUGAUGACGCUACUACGUAUGAUGACACACCAGCCGACAGUGUAGUAACAGCUCAAAAACAAAAUCUACCAAAAUCAACGGAAGUUAAUAAAAAAUUAUUUUAUUAAUAAAAAUAAAUAAAUAACUUAUUAUUUUUGGAGACGUGUGUAGUUGAGUCUGUGGACUGAAAUGGAAAAUAUGAAGAAGUUCAGAGUCGUUGUGCAGAUUGACUUCAGUUAAAUGGGACUAGUAGAUAUUUUAUGCUGACGUGGCACGAAUUAGUUAUAAUCUGUUACAACGUUUCCAGAAACAUCAGUAUAAAUAGAAGCUGAUGAGCAGUGCCUGUUGUACUUGUACGAUCCUUUUUCUUCUUCAGUUGUUCGUCAAUUUGCAUAGAAUCUGUUUCAUUGUGAUCUGUGCAAAGUCUUCUAUAAAUCCACUUAUGUUUGAUUAGUUAUUGAUCAAUAUCGAGAACAUUAUCCACCUGGAACGACUUCAAGUCCAAAGUAAAAGAGAGAGUGGCUCCCCGCAAUUUUCUUGUUUUCAGUAUAUUUUCUUUUUUUUUUCUUUUUUAAAAUCUUUUGACGCAUGCAUAAUCUACCCUUGUUUAUUAUCUCUACUUUGCUCUGCUCAAGUCCAUUUUUUCAAAUCUUAUUUUAAAUAAUAAAUUGAAUAAAAGUACAUUUGUGUAAUUAAUUAGUAUCUGAGGGGGGCAGCAUAUUUGGUGGAGUGUUAUGCUAUGUAAGACUCAGCUAUUAUCAAACAGUCCCUUAACCAUUUAAUUUAAACCAACUUCUAUUUGGUUUAUUUGCUAUCUUUGUGGAUCUCAUAGGCGUGGCAGAGUUUAAUAAUUUUAUCGUCUGAAGAAUAGGAUAUUGGCUUCAAUAAAUUUAAUUUAAACCAACUUCUAUUUACUCCAUCAAUUAAUUAAUGACAUUUUGUUUUGAAAAAUUCAAUAAUUAAAUUCUCACGUUUCAUGUGUUUGAAGUCAAAUUAUUCAUUAACUAGAACUCUGUUCAAAAUUGACUGUCUUGUGGUUCCCAAAUGUAGUUGUAAUAUUGAAUGAAAGUAAAAACUUUCUAUGGCGAGUUUAAAUCUAAAUCUGGACAAUGAAUUUUGAGUUUCUCAAUGCUAUUCUAAUAACAAAAAUUAUGUUGAUUGAUUUAUUGUUACAGUUACUAUCCUUUGAAAAUGGAUGGAUUCAUUGUUUCCGUGACCAAAUUAUGCCUGCCUAACGCUGCAACUAUUAAAAAAUUUAAUAUUUAAUGCACAUGUUAAAAGAUUUAAAAUUUUAUGCAUUUAUUAAUUGUUAUAAUCUUAAAAAAAAUUAAUUAAUUCAGGUCAAUCUGAGUUGGUGCAUCUGCAGGAGCCUUUUUUUAAUUUUUUUUUCCCCUUAUUGACCAUAAUGACAUCUCCUUCAACAUGACUAUUGACAAAGAGCAUGUAAAAACAUGGAAACAGAACUUCCACAGGUGGAAUUUAAGUUUUGGCCAUGUGGCCAUGAAAGAAAAAGGAAAAGACGCCUCUAAGAUUUGUUUCAGUGGUUUACAUUGACUCUUUAAUUUAAUUUAUAGUAACACAAUUUUUUUUGUACAAAUAUAUAUUAUUCAUGUUUUGUAUUAUAUUUUAACAUCAUAUUUUUAUUUAUUAUAAAUAUUUAAAGCUAAUUUUUAGGUUGAUAUUUAAUAAAAGGGUAUAAUCGUUCCAUCCAUUUCUCAUCUCGCGAUCUCUCUCAAUUAUCCUUUAUUGAUAGCUCAAAGCGCGUUGCUGUGGAAAAUUGUAGCAAAAUGAAAAAUUGGAAAGAAAGGGAAGAAAAUUAAUGCUUGGAGAAAGCAAUCCAAUAAGUCAACUGGUCUUUAGUGGGAACAUAUUACAAAAAGGCCUCGAUCAUCAUAUCGUAGACUCGGGGAUAAGGAUUUGGAUCGAGUUUUUGUUUUGAUAUUGAAGGACCUACUUCUCUGCCGCGAUGUAGAAUAUAUGCAAGGAGUUGUCUACUGCUCUUUAGGUCAUAAUAAUGUGAUUGGUGCAUUCAACGUUGCCCCGAAACACUGGAAAGUACUUCCAUAUCCUCCGAAUGAGAACUGAUUUAUAUAUGAUUUCCUAAUUGACUCAGGAUCAGAUGACAACAACAACUUAUUAAUAGUUAUAUCAAAACGGCAGAAGACGUGUUUUGUUUACAGGUUUGAUCCAUUUGGAAUGAAGUGGUCUCAAGUCGAAAGUAAUUUAUCGAAUAACUUUCGACUAAUUAAUAGUUAUAUCAAAGGGUGUGGGUGUUUUACCUCAUCAUGUCUUCAAGUGGAAGAUGAAGACUAGCAAGUGAAUUCAGGAAUAUUGCAUGCCAUUAAAUUUGUAGUUUUUACAUGUUGAUCAGCAGGAUACAACAUUAAAUUUUGUCAUUGACAAUACUGCAUGCCUGUCGUCUAAAGCAUUACCUCACAAGGUUUUAUGAGAAACGAAAGAUGUGUUUGCUUUGAACAAUUAAAGUUACUGCUACGAACCUCCCCAAAGGUCAAGAAGACAGAACAGGAAGCUAAUGCCAUCAAUGUCUUGUUCAUUAUAGCUGCUGGGUAGUUAGGUGUAGUUUCCUCAUUUGAAGCUGUCUAUACAUGGGCAUUUCCCCUGCUUAUGUACAAAUAAAUGAACAACCUUGAAGCUUUAUUAUUCGCAACAAAAAGGGAUUACUAAUUGGAGAAGACUAUACAGAGUUUCUCUCACACUUUCACUCUGUCAAUUUCAUCUAGAAGUCCCUCUAAAAGCAUCUCCCAAAACAGUUAGUCAUCUUUUAUGCUCUGUUUGUAAAAAAUGUGGGCUUUAUUCUUUCUAGAAGAGAUGGAAUUCUAGAAGAGAUGGAUUUGCACGGUCAAAAAGAAAAGAAAAGCCGUAAAAUAAACAGUAGCCGCAAAAUGAACAGUAGCCGCAAAAUGAACAGUAACCGCAAGAUGAACAGUAGUCACUGGUGGCUAUAAAUAGAGGAGUGCUCCUCCUUAUUGUUUGUAUCCAAAAUCCCAGAGAAGGAAUCCAAGUUUUGGUGAGAAAUUGAGAAAGAAAAAUAUUCUUAAGCAUGUAGUUAUAUUGAAGGAGCAUUUGUCUCCUCAAUAUGGGUAUUACGAGUUUGCUUUGUUAAGAGGUAUUUCUCAAGAUUAUGUAUUUGGGGUUUGGGUGAGAGAAAAUUUAUGAGAGUGCGGUUGUAAUAAUUUUCCACAUAGUGAAUAUUUUUUCUCUGGUUGUCUUUUUGACAACGGCCGUGGUUUUUUCUCCGGAUUUGGAGUUUUCCACGUAAAUCUUGUGUUGUGGGAUUGAUAUUAUUUUUCAUUUAAUUUUUCUUGUUAAUUUGUUAAUUGACAAAUUGCUUGGAGAGAUCUUGGGAGGAAGCUCAAUUUCCUAACAGUGGUAUCAGAGCCAUUGAUUGAAGUUUUGGUGUCGGGGUACUAUUCACGUAUACGGUACUGUUCACGUGAAGCAGUUUGAGCCAAUCCGAAUAAUCUGUGGUGAAGAGAAUAUGAAGCAAAUAUGUCAGCAGCUGGUGUUUUUCAAACUUGGUUGAAGUUUGAUGUUGUUGAAAAAUUAAUGGGAGAAUGAUUUUAUUGGCUUGUGGAGAAUUCAAGUCAAAGGUGUAUUCAAUCUGGGUUACACAAGGCAUUGAAGGGGAAGCCAUCCCCUGCGUCCAGUGGUGGCUCUGGAAAAGCUAGUAUAAGUGAUGAAGAUUGGGAAGAAUUAGAUGAUCGAGCUGCAAGUGCCAUACGACUAUGUCUAGCAAAGAAUGUUCUUGCAAAUGUAGGAAAAAUUCUUACAGCGAAAGAACUUUGGGAGAAGCUAGAAAAGUUGUAUCAGACAAAGAGCAUCUCAAAUCGAUUGUACCUGAAGGAGCGAUUUCACACACUGCGAAUGGCUGAAGGUAUAAAAAUUUCCGAUCACCUCAGUGUUCUCAAUGGUAUUGUGUCAGAACUAGAAGCCAUUGGAGUUAAAAUUGAAGAUGAGGACAAGGCGCUUAGGUUACUAUGGUCACUUCCAACUUCCUACAAACACUUGUUACCUACUUUGAUGUACGGGAAGGAUACAGUAGAUCUUGAAGAAGUUACUAGUACUUUACUCUCAGAAGAAAGAAGACUGAAUGGUGAAAGUACUAAAACUACAGAUGUCUCGGCUUUGGCAGUUGUAGGGAAUUGGCAGAAAGAUAAAUCUAAGAAGAAAGGAGUCUGCUGGGGGUGUGGACAAUCGGGGCACUUAAAAAGAGAUUGUCAUAGUAGAAAUGGAGUAGGAUCGGCAAGUGGCUCCAGAUUAGAUACUGAUAGUAUUGCUAGUGGUAAGUCUCUCAUCAUCAUGGGAGACGAUGAUCCCUUGUAAAAUGGAUGAUGAUGACAUCCUCAUGGUAUACCGCUAGUACCAUGAAAGGGGAUAUGUUACUACUAGCGGGUCCACAAGAUUUACACACAAGGCAUGGUUGGCAUUGAUGCAGGGUGUGUGGUGGAAUUUAUGUCGAUGAUUGACAAACUUCCAGGAAGGCCAACAUGGAAGUUGCACCAUAAAUUUCAGCAGGAUAUUUCGACAUGUGCCGAUGUAAAAUUCUUAGAAUUGGUAAUUAAUUCUAAGUGGUAUAUUCUUUAUGGUGGAGUAUGAUAAUUCUCUAUGACGAGGAUUAUGACUUAGGUGAAAACAGUAAGGACAGUGUGGAGAUUGAUUGGUUCUUAAUCAAAUCUCCAAGUGAGAGAAUGUAAAAAAUGUGGGCUUUAUUCUUUCUAGAAGAGAUGGAAUUCUAGAAGAGAUGGAUUUGCACGGUCAAAAAGAAAAGAAAAGCCGUAAAAUAAACAGUAGCCGCAAAAUGAACAGUAACCGCAAGAUGAACAGUAGUCACUGGUGGCUAUAAAUAGAGGAGUGCUCCUCCUUAUUGUUUGUAUCCAAAAUCCCAGAGAAGGAAUCCAAGUUUUGGUGAGAAAUUGAGAAAGAAAAAUAUUCUUAAGCAUGUAGUUAUAUUGAAGGAGCAUUUGGCUCCUCAAUAUGGGUAUUACGAGUUUGCUUUGUUAAGGGGUAUUUCUCAAGAUUAUGUAUUUGGGGUUUGGGUGAGAGAAAAUUUAUGAGAGUGUGGUUGUAAUAAUUUUCCACAUAGUGAAUAUUUUUUCUCUGGUUGUCUUUUUGACAACGGCCGUGGUUUUUUCUCCGGAUUUGGAGUUUUCCACGUAAAUCUUGUGUUGUGGGAUUGAUAUUAUUUUUCAUUUAAUUUUUCUUGUUAAUUUGUUAAUUGACAAAUUGCUUGGAGAGAUCUUGGGAGGAAACUCAAUUUCCUAACACUGUUUUCUAGAAACAGAGUCCUAACUAAAUUGAUUGACUGAACAGUGCAUUUCAACAUAGCAUAUUUAACUGUUUAAACAGUUAUUUGAACCGUCUUCAGAGUUAUCAUCAACAAACUCAUUCAUACUGGUCCAAUCUUACGGACGAUAUCAUAUGCUUAAUAAUGAACGAAUAGUCUUGGAUCAGUGUUUUGCGGCAAGAGCAACUCGACACAAUCUGGAUUCAACCUCCUCCUAUCUAACAAGGGAUUUCGAUUUGAGUUACUUGGUGCUCAAGCAAAUUCACAUCAUAGUUUUGAUUCUUUAGAUAUGAAUUCAUCACAUUACAUAUAUCAGAUUAAGUGUAACAAAAUUCUUUAUCUACUGCGAAAAUAAUAUGCGCUAAAAAAUGAUUUCAAGACUAUUUGACUACAAAAAGCAGCUGCAUGGCUCAGCCUCAGGUAAGAAAGCCACAGAAAAGGAAAAUCUCACUGUCACGACUCACGUCACGCAUCAUUCAAGUGAUGGAUUUAACAAGACUGCUUAUGUUCUAUCAAAUUCCUCUGCCUCUCAGAAGAUAACUUUUCUGGGCCAAAUUUCUCAUCUAAAGCAUAUUAUGCCCCAAAGUCAGAGAUAACAAAAUGGGGCACUACCGAUUAUGAAAGAGAGCUAGUAGUUGUCAGAAGCCUAAGUCAAAUUCCGGUAGUAAGAAGAGGCCUUUCUUGAGUUUAGAUUAUGUGUUCGAGUUUUAAUAAAUGCCUAAGUUAAUAAUAAUAACAACAGUAAUAAUAAACUAAAAAGCAUAAUUACUAUUGAAUGGUAAAAAAAAAAAAUGAAAAUGUGUGAACUCCAAUAACCACCCCAGUGGCGAAUUUUGGAGAGGGCUAGGCCGGGCUUCUUAGAAAUUAUUUUUAUUUAAUUACAAAAUCACCUUUACUGAAACCUAUAUAAAAUUUUUUAUAUUAAUUAAUUAUGUUGCCUCUUCAAUUAUCAUUGAAUUCUUGUCCGUUCAUCAUUUGAUGGAUAAAUGUGUAUUUCAAUAAUUUCAAAUAAUGUCUAGAACAAAUAUUUUGAAUGAUAAAACUCAUUAUGUCCUGCAUUACUAGAUGUAUCUAUAAUUUAUUAUUUACAAAUUAUAUUGUAUGAUAAAAAUGUAUUGAAUUUUUUAAAAAAAAAAAAGUUCGGCUCACUCAGAAAAAAAUGUUAUUAGCUUCGCCACUGCACAAAUCUAGAAUAAUAAUUAUUCCUUAUUAUAUUGACUGCACCAAGCAAUAAACUAAUAAGUUCUCAUUAGUGGUUUUUAAUCUUUUUAAUUCUUUUUACCGCACACCUGAUCAAUAAUUCUAUUUUGUUAACUAAUCAAUUGCAAAUCAUAUAUUAGUGUUGAACGGUGAACAAAAUUGAAAAAAAAAAUUCUUAAAAAACGUGUGGACUCGGAUAGCCAGACCAGAAAUCUAUGACAAUAAUUAGCUUUGAUGCUGGGAAUCUUUUAGUUUCUGGCCGUAUUGACUCCACCAGUGAUGCUGGGAAUCUAAUGGAGCUCAUUCUUUGGUUUUACUUGCAGGUCUAGAAGCAGGUGUCAUCUUGUAAAGAAGGAAAAUAAUAUUUGCCUUUUUGAAUAAUUUUAUUGAACCAGGAGACGCAGCUAUAUACAAGAGAUUUCCUACAAUCAUGCUAAUCUAUUCUAGGUAGUCUAAGGGCCAGUUUGGUAAUGCUGCAGCUUUUAAAAUAAUUACUGUUAGCUGUGCUGUAGAAAUAAUCAGCUGUGAAGAGAAUCAGUUAAGUGUUUGGUAAAUUUUAUUUUUAAAAGUACUGUGAAUUUUGAAAGCAGUUAUGGGUGUUUGGUAAAUCUUAUUGUUAAACUGCUGUAAGAAAAUAAAUGACUAAAAUGUACAUAAUGUAGGAUGAAAUUUACUUAUACAUAUAAAAAUAUACACGUACAAUAUUAUAAUAAAAAUUGCAUAGGCAUAGAAUUGUUUAUAUAUAAACAAACCCAAAUAAGACAAACAACAAAUAUUAUAAUAAAAAAUACAUUGAAUAUGCAUGAAAAGGGUGAUGAAUCACUUACUGUUAUUGAAUAUGGUUAUGGAACACAUACUGGAUCUUGCUUUGUUGCACUAGAGAAGUUUUGAUAGAACACAAAAUAUGAAGAAAUAGGGUAAACGAAAGGUGUGUGUUAAUUAUAAUAAAAAAUUAUUAAAAUAUUGAUUUUAUUUCCAAUUUAAAUAAGGAUAAUUUCGGGUUUAAGUAAUAAUUGUAAGGAUAUUUAUGGAAUUAUAUUAAAGGAUAAAAUUGAUUCUCAAAAUCAAAAUCUAAAAGUUACUCCUUCCCUGCUUUUCAAAAUCAGCUGUAGGAGGAGCUGAUUCUGGCAAAAGUAAUUUUGAUUUUUUUUUUACCAAACACCAAAAUUAGCUUUUAGAUUUUUAAAAUCACUUUUAACCCUCUCAAAAGCAAUCCCAAACGGGGCCUAAAUAUAAAAGGCAACUAAACAAAUAUACAACUAAUACAAUAUAUUCGUCAAUGAAUGGUCAGAUAUCAUUGACCUUUCCUUCUCAACACUCCCCCUCAAGUUGGAGAGUGGAUGUCAAGAACUCCCAACUUGCGUAUCAUAGUUGAGAAAGCUUCCUUUCCCAAUGGCUUGGUGAACACAUCUGCAAGUUGAUCUGUUGAGGCAACAUGUUUGGUUACAACUGAACCAUCUUGUAUUUUGUCACGAAUAAAAUGGCAAUCCAUCUCUAUAUGUCUGGUUCUUUCGUGGAAAACGGGAUUGGCAGCUAUAUGUAAGGCUGCUCUGUGUUAUCACAAUAUAAUAAUGCUGGCUUCGGAUGCAAUAUUCUCAAAUCCUUCAAUAAUGAGCGUAGCCAGGAUAAUUCACAACAUGUACCUGUCAUGGCUCUAUAUUCAGCUUCUGCUGAGGAGAGAGAUACGGUUUUCUGCCUCUUUGUCCGCCAAGAAAUAAGAGAAGAUCCCAGAAAAACACAAUAACCCGUAGUGGAUCUACGAGAUAUUGGACAACCAGCCCAAUCCGAAUCAGAAAAAGCUCGCAAAGAUAAAUCAUUCUGAGAAAGGAAAAACAAACCUUGCCCUGGACUAUUUUUCAAAUAACGCUAUACACGCAAGACAGCUUCCAUGUGUGGUCUACGUGGUGCAUGCAUGAAUCUGCUUAACACAUGGACCGAAUAGGUGAUAUCCGGUCGGGUAAUAGUUAAAUAAAUUAGGCGUCCAACAAGUCGUCUAUACUGAGACGGAUCUUUAAGCAAUUCACCUAAAUCCGAGAGCUUUAUGUUUUGUUCCAUGGGAAAGUUCACAGGUUUAGCACCCAAAAAUCCACCAUCUUUUAAAAUUUCCAAAGUAUAUUUUCGUUGCGAGAUGGAAAUACCUUUCUUCGACCGAGAAACUUCGAUGCCCAGAAAAUACUUCAAAUCACCCAAAUCUUUAAUUCGAAAAUGACUAUGUAGAAACUGCUUGAGGGAUACUAUGGCAUUGACGUCAUUACCCGUAAUAAGAAUGUCAUCGACAUAUAUCAACAAAGCUGUAAACGAUUUGCCUUUCCGACAUGUGAAUAACGAGUAAUCAGCUUUGGAUUGAACAAAGCCAGCAGCUUGGAUAGCUGUAGAGAACUUGGCAAACCAUUGUCGGGAAGCUUGCUUUAAGCCAUAUAACGACUUGUGAAGGCGACACACUAGAUUCUCCCCCUGUCGCCGAAGACCAGGAGGUGGAGACAUAUAAAUUUCUUCAUGGAGAUCGCCAUGAAGAAAGGCAUUGUUGACAUCAAGUUGGUGAAGAGACCAAUUCUGGGCAGCUGCUAAAGCCAAUAAACAACGAACAGUAAUCAUUUUAGCAGUGGGAGAAAAAGUGUCAUGGUAAUCUAUACCUUCUAGCUGUGUGUAACCUUUUGCAACCAAACGAGCUUUGAAACGCUCAAUACUACCAUCCGAGUGUCGUUUGAUUUUAUAAACCCAACGACAACCAAUAGGCUUCUUACCAGGAGGAAGAGAAGUGAGGGACCAAGUGUGGUUGGCUUCUAAAGCAGCCAAUUCAGAUUGCAUUGCUUCUUGCCAAUGGGAAUGGGAAGCUGCUUUGGCAUAAGAUGUAGGCUCAAUAUCUUGACUGACAGCAGCAGUAAAAGAGCGAUGUUGUGGUGAGUAACGAUGAUAAGAGACAAAAUUGCAAAGGGGAUAUCGUGUACCUUUUUGUAGACUUGAUGACAAAGGCGGCAAAUGGUUGGGAGACGUUACUUGGUUACAGACAUAAUCACGUAAAGCCAUGGGAGGGUGAUGAGGUCUUUGGGAACGACGUAAAAUGGGUUCGGGAGGAGGACUAGCAGGUGAUAGCUGAGUAGAAACUAAAUUCGGUGGUAAUGGUUGUUGGAUGGGAGAAAUUGGUUCCGGUGGUAAGGGUUGUGGAACUGGUGGGGAAGGAGCGGAUAUAGAAAGAGGAAUCACAUGGUCUGAAUUUAAGGAAGGGGAUGGAAUAGACUCAUAAGGGAAAAUAGUUUCAUGAAAAACAACAUCACGGCUAGUGAACAUUUGGUGGGUGUCAAGGUCAUAGAGCUUGUAAGCUUUUUGACCAACUAGAUAGCCAAGAAAAAGACAUCGUUUAGCUCGAGGAGCAAAUUUAUGGGGGACGUGCACAUUAGUAGCAUAGGCAAGACACCCAAAAACUCGGAUAUGAGAAUAAGAAGGAAGCUUUCCAUAAAGUCGUUCAAAAGGAGUUUGGCGAGAAAGGAGUGGUGUGGGCAAACGAUUAAUUAUAUGAACAGCAGUAGAAACACAUUCUGCCCAAAAAUGUAAAUGAAGGUGGGUUUGAAAACGAAAAGCUCGAGCGGAAGCAAGAAUAUGGCGGUGCUUGCGCUCUACAACCCCAUUUUGUUGAGGGGUAUAGACACAAGAAUGUUGGUAAGUGGUCCCUUUUUGUUUAAAAAAUUCCCGCAUAGAGAAGAAUUCUCCACCAUUAUCAACCCAAAUGUUGGCUAUAGAUACAUGGAAUUGGGUUUGGACAAAUGAAAAAAAAUUGACAAGUAAAUGUUGUGUUUCACUUUUGUGAUGCAUAAAAAACACCCAUGUGAAUCUAGAAUAAUCAUCCACAAUAGUCAAAAAAUAUUUCGCACCAGAAAGAGAGGCAAUUUUAUAGGGACCCCAAAUGUCACAAUGAAUUAAUUCAAAAGGUCUAAUAGAUGAAAUUGAACUAAUAGAAAAUGGAAGUCGACUUUGUUUUGCAAGUGCACAAACAUCACAAGCAUUAUUAGACUGGGAAGGGAAAUUUAACAAAUGUUUUGCCAUAAAAUCUAAUCUAGAGGAAGACAAAUGCCCCAAACGGCGAUGCCACAAAAUGGUGGAGGAGGUGACCUGAGAACUGGGUGAACAGCAAGAAGUGGCUGCUGCGGAUGGAGUUUGAGGUUUUGGUUUUUCUGAUGCUAACGCAACCAAGUAAUAAAGUCCGUCUCGUUGUUCACCCAAACCAAUUGUCGUCCUCGUCGUCAAGUCCUGCAAAAUACACCAAUGAGGGAAAAAAGUUACUGAACAAUUGAGAUCUCUGGUAACUCGACUCACAGACAUUAAAUCCACCUUAAAAGAUGGCACACCAAGCACAUUUUGUAAAGUAAUAGCAGAAUUCAAAGGUAAAUUCCCAAUGGAUGUAAUCGAAGCCUGUUCUCCACUUGGCAUAGCAACUGGUGGCAAAAAAGUGUUCUUAUUGCUGUUGACAAGCAAAGUUGGUGAUGAAGUAAUGUGGUCUGUUGCACCACUGUCGAUAAUUAAUCGAUGGAGGCGCAACAAUCUUUGUAACAAACCUGAGGCAGCAGCAUUAGCUUUAGGAUUGGUGGAUUGUGUUGUCCCUUUACCCUGCAUGAUAGAUAAGAUUUGUUGGAUUUGCAAGUCAGAGAGCCCAUUUGUCACUGAUGGCACUUCCUGCAUUACUGGACUUUCCUUGACAUUGUUGGCUGAAGAUUGAUGGUUAUUGUUGCGCUUGAAAUGAGUGCUUCCUUGAUUAGAUUUGUUUGAUGCAUGUUUAGGGUGUUCUGGUGGGUACCCAUUCAGCUUCCAGCAUUUUUCUCGUACAUGAUGGUCACGAUCACAAUAAGAGCAAUGCAAAGGUUUUCGAUUAGAUGGGUUGGAACGAGAAGAAGAACCUUGUUCAUGUCGAACAGCUAGAGCUACCGGUUCAGCCCUUCGAACAAUCAUGGCUGAGUUCUCCAUCAUCUCACGUGCAACCCCCAGGCUGCGCUGCUUCUCCUCUUGUACAAUGGAAGAGUAAGCCUUAGCAACAUCAGGUAGCGGAUUCAUCAACAAAAUCUGCCCUCGGAUUGCACUGUAGGACUCAUUGAGUCCCAUGAGAAAUUGCAUCAAUCUGCGUCUCUUAUGGUCUGCCCCACAAGAGCAAACGGUGUCAUUAUAGGAUCCUAGUUCAUCCCAUAAUUUUUUUAGCCUUGUGUAAUAAGCUGCAACAGUCAUCUGAUCUUGAGCAAGACAAGCAAUGUCCCUCUCAAUCUGAAAAAUACGAGGGGCAUUGCUUUGAGAAAAACGAUCCCGAAGGUCUUCCCAUACCUCCUGGGCGGUGGUCGAAAAUAUGACACUGUCUGCAAGGUCUUGUGUGAGUGAAUUGAGAAUCCAAGACAGGAUCAUAUCGUUGCAUUUUUUCCACGAAGCACAUUCGUCUGGUUUGGCUGUGGCAGACGGCAUUGUGGUGGUCCCGUCUAUGAAACCUAACUUGGAUUUGGCAUUCAAAGAAAUCGUCAUGGCUCUACACCAUGUCGAAUAAUUAUCCCCAUUAAGGGGCUUGGAAACAAGCACCAUUCCUGGAUGAUCAGAAUGAUGAAGAAAAUAUGGAUUGGCAGCAUCAAGCUUGCCUCCAUUCGAAGGUUGCUGUUCCGUCAUGAUAAUGAGUAACAACGAAAAAAGAAAGAGGGCAGAGAGCUAGGGUAUCGUUCCCUGCUCUGAUACCAUGUAAAGAAGGAAAAUAAUAUUUGCCUUUUUGAAUAAUUUUAUUGAACCAGGAGACGCAGCUAUAUACAAGAGAUUUCCUACAAUCAUGCUAAUCUAUUCUAGGUAGUCUAAAUAUAAAAGGCAACUAAACAAAUAUACAACUAAUACAAUAUAUUCGUCAAUGAAUGGUCAGAUAUCAUUGACCUUUCCUUCUCAACACAUCUAACAGCUGCUUUGAUAAUUUCCCACACCUUCAUCUUUGAUGGAAAUAUGAAAUAAAAACAAAUUGGUGAAAAUGGUUUUGGUACCCGCGGCUCUGUAAUCUAUUUCAAAAACUACACCAUCAAAACGACUGCAUAAGAAUCUAACUUCUCCUCUUGAUUUUUAUGGGCAUGUUGUGUAGUCCAUGCAGACAAAAAUCAUAUUUUAGUUUACUCUUACUCAAUGCUUGGAUUAAAGGUUUUUUUUUUGGGGGGGGGGGGGGGGGGGGGGGAUUGAAGCAGACUAAAAUGACACAAAAAAUAGUUGAACGAGUGUGGGUUUUGUCUUCAUUUUAGGAGAUCUUUAUAAAUUUUAGGAUUUUUUUUCCCGAGAAAAUUUAUGCCAACUCAUUCUUUGCUUCUUUUAUGAAGGGACAGAUGCAACUGAAAGUAUAUUCUUGAAUUCUAUAAGAGACAGCAGUUUAGAUUCUCGAGCCUUCAAAAAAAUAUCAAAUUCUAGAUUGCUGAAAUUUUAUAUAUCCAAGUAUGAUGGUGCACCAAUUAUUAACUCCAGGGUGCAACUUCACCGCGGAUUAGAAUGUCUUCCUGCAGAAUUGAGAAAUCUCCAUUGGCAUAAAUAUUUUUUUGAAAAUACUGUCAUUAGAUAUUUUUAUUAUUCAUACUUCAUUGCACAAGGCACCACCUGGCUUCUAUUUCAAGCCCUAAUAAUGAUCCGCUGCUGGAAAAGAAUUUGUGCAGCAUGUACGCUCCUUGACCACAACAGCAAAGUUUAUUGAUGUUAUUUCAUAUUCUGCUGUGAGUCAAAUAAAAAUUUACUAUGCCCUUUCGGCAUGGCUUGCCUUUCAGCAAAAAAAGAAAAAAAAUCUUUCAAAUUGUGGAAGCAUGCUUACAUUAAUCAGCUCAGUAUGUUAUGUUUCAAGGGAUGCAAAAUUCGUUUUGUUUCUCAUGGAAGAAUUGACUUGUCUGGAUGUAUUAAUCUCAUAGAUUUUCCACAGAUUCGUGGGAAUAUAACAAAGCUAGACUUAAGUGAGAUCCCAAUAGAAGAAGUUCCGUCAUCAAUAAAAUGCCUAGCUGAUCUUAAAACGUUGCGUUUGAGUAAGUGCACGAGGCUGAAGAGGCUUUCCAUCAAGCAUUUGUAAAUUGAAAUCUCUUCUUGAGCUUUAUCUCUAUAACUGCUCAAACCUUGAAAGUUUUCCAGAAAUCAUGGAGAAAAUGGAACGUUUAAAGAUAUAAAUUUAGCAAGGACGGCCAAUUACAGAGCUGCAAUCUUGAUAGCCUUCGGGAUAACAUUAGCAAUUUAAAAUCUUUGAGGUACAUCUCUACUAAUGGAUCAGCCAUUAGUCCUCUGUCGCAGGUUCGGUUGUACUUAAAUAUCUAUCAUUUUCUCAAUACAGAGGUUUGGUAUCAUUGCCUCCAAUAUUAUUGUCAGGUUUAGGUUUAUCGAAUUUGUUACAGCUAAAUUUAAGAGACUCUGCUAUAAUGGAAAUUCCCCAAAAUAUUGUUCGUCAAUCCUCAUUGAAAAUUUUAAAUCUAAAGGCUUGUUUGUUAACUACUUGAAGUAUGUAGUUAAUGCUUUUUUUUUUUUUUUUGUAAUUUAUGUUUGAUUUGAGAUAUUUACAUUUGAAUAAAAAAAUUAAACUUUUGUUACAUUUAUCUAAAAAAAAAAAAGGCUGAAUGGGAAGUAAAUAAUUCCCUUUUUCGUUUUAACUUACAAAAACAUAAAUGUUAACUAUGUUUAAGAAAUUUUUUAUUUAUAAAAAGAAACCAAAUACUACUUAUAUUCGUAUAUCAAAAAAUGAAAAACAAACAUGUUAUUCAUACGUUCACAUACAAACUCAUUCAGACCUCAGCUAAAUACAAAUCCAUUUACAUUUCAAAAAAAUAAAUAAAUACUUCCUAAGCGGGAAUAACUUUGAGAGUUGACUUGCAAGGCUAGAAUAUCUUGACUUGAAGGGUUGCAAUGAUUUCUCAUCAUUGAGAGUUUAUCAUUGUGCUUCAUCAUCAUCAUCAUUAUUAAUAAAAAGGUAAGCAAUUAAGAGUCAAAUUAAACCAGAAAAUCACUCAUCCACGCUUUUGGGACAUCAUUCUGCUCAUUAUUUUUAUUCCGUAUCUUCAUUGUUUUAUUUGGUAAUUAUUACCAUUAGUAAAUAAAGGGAUUAGUUGAUUAUUAUGAACUAACUAAAUGGAGCUCACCCUUAAAUGUCGGCUUGUAUCAGGGAGGUGCCUUAGGGUUAAUAAAUCAACUAAUCCCAUAAUUUGUCGAUGUAGGUGAUGGUUGUUAAAGCCAACAAAAACAAAUACCUACUCUAAAUAAAUUGUGUAUAGUGAUUGAGCAGGGUCGUGUUUACAGAGAUCGGUAAUUAUUUAAAUCCUUUUAAAACGUAAAACAUAAAAUGGGGGUUUUGUUGACAAUAAUAAAAAUCAAAUUAAAAUAACAAGAAUGCAAAUUAAAGUUGUAAUUCAAAUUUGGAGAAAGCUCUGGUUGAAGGAAUUAACUCAGCUUAAUUCGACUACUGAUCAUUUAUUCAAAUAUAAAUUAUUACUACUUAUGAAUAGACCGGUUAUGGCUACUGAGAACCUCUAAUAGCCAAUAUCUCCUUAACUAGUCGAUAACCAAGGUACGACCAUUGAUUAUUUCCCUAAUCAAUAGACAACCCUAGAUACGAUCAUAUGAUUUAAUCAAUUGACAGCCUAAAAAACCAGAGAGACCCAAAUCCUAAUCAACAAACACAUACGAUGGUUCAUUUAAAUUAGAUUGUUUAUUCUCAUAACACAACUCUCUGCUAUGUUAUUUGUCACAAACAUUAAAAUCUUCAUACAAUGAAUCCUUUAAUUGACAAUAGAUUAAGUUGAUAAUUAAAUAGUGGCCAAUUACCUAAUUAACAAACAUAAUCAUGAAAAUAAUUCAGAGAAUAAACAAAUACCCAAAAAGCAAUAAAACAAUUAAAACAUAAGAAAGAUCUCACAGUAGUGAUGAAUCAAAGCUUCAUUAACCUUCAACUAGAAAAAUAGGUUUAGUUCUUCAUAGAGAGAAGAGAAAAGUUUAGAUCUAGCGUUUCUUUCUUUUUCUCCAAUCCCCCCUUUUUCACUAUAGAUUCCUCCCUUAAAUACUCUCUCUCUCUUCUCCUCUAGAGUUCUAUUUAAAAUAAAAUACUAAUAUAUGAAAUAUUAAAUUCGUAAUUACAAAAAUAGCCAAAAAUACAAAACAUGUUAAACUAAAAACUGCAGGUCCGUAGUUGACAGCACGCGCCCACGCCUUAUCAAUAAAGUUCUUCUGACGCUCUAAAUUUCUCCAAGAGAACAAUCAUCUUUAAACAUCAUCUUAUAGCUCAAUUUUAUCACAAAUCAAUAAAAUUGCACCUACAAAAGUAAAACACAAGUAAAUCAUUAUUAUUAAGUGCAAAACAUCGAUAUUAAGGGAAGUAAACAAUGCAAAACUAGUGCAUAAAUUGCACUCUAACAGUAGGGUAGCAAAUUAUUGCCAUAGAUCAGCACACAUCUCGAAAACAUAUUUGAUCCACACAGUGAAGAUGAUUCAAUAUUAAGCAUGUCAUAUAAUCUGGAGUUGGAUAUUGGAUCAAUUUGAUGAUAAUGAGUUUCUUUCAAUCUCAAUAUGUAUCUUCUUCGCAACAUGACUAGCCAUUGCAAACUCAAACUCUGACAAUGAUUUCUCAAUCGCUUUCUAAGACGAUGAGCAUGUAUGUAUAUAUAUGUGUGUGCACGUGCGCGUGUGUGUUUGUGUACGUAUAUAGAGAGAGAGAUAUAUAUAUAUCACACAUGUGCGCUUUCCUUUUGUCAAUAAGAUAUGCAGAGAGCUUAAUAAUCAUAGAUUAGCUUAUAUCCUUCAAACCAUGUGCUAUGAAGUAAUUUCACAAACACUUGUUGAACGUUAUUGAAUCAGUAGUUCACAGUUCAAUACAAUGUAGGUUUCCUAUUUGAAGUAAAUGAUUAUGGUGUGUGCAUUUUUCAUAAAGCUAACUACUGAAUUUACCAUUGAAACUUGCAAAAUGUAACAGAGAGAUGCAGAUAGCAGCCACGAAACACUAAGAUUGAAAAUCAGGACUACUGAAUUCUAUUACAAGCCCUUAAAAUAGACAACAAUCAUCCUCAAAUGUAUAUACUGAAAGUAAAAAAUAUUAAUCGUAAAGUUAUGCAUUAACAAAACUAUUGAAUACUUAUCUUUAGCUAUAUAUUUUUAAUUGUAGCUCCCUACUUUGUUCUAAGAACUAGGCAAAAGUAGCAUAUCUUCAAUCCAAUCAGCAUAUAUACCGCUCAUCUUCUCCAGUUCUUUCCACUUUGAUUUGCAUUUCAUACCCUGCACUUGCUGCUUAGAAAUAGUCAUAGUUUGCACAUUGACAGUAGAAAAAGUACUUGAAACAAUCAUUGGCAUAGCAUGGGAUUCCAUUGAGUCGCGGUCUCCAAGCUUUCAUGGUUCUGUAAAGAAAAUGACAAAAACAUCAUGCUAUUGGCAUUCUACUUUUAGCAAUUUUCCACAAGCUGAGCUUUUUCAUAUCUCUCUAUAAAUUAUGCUGGUUCAACCUUCAGAUAAGUUUGUGAUAAAGGCAUCUAUGAUUACAAUGGGAAAAUUACAUGAACUUAUGUUAUCAAUCAUUGUUUUGCCUUCUCGUGAUAGAAUUCUGCGCAAUAUAAAACAUGACAUAUCUGUUACUUACCAUGCCAUGUCGUGAACCUAGAAGCAAUGCAAAUUGCAAGGAACAUAUUAAGCUAUCUACUGUAUAUAACAAAUUCUUAUUAGCCCACAAUCUUGUGCCCCAACAUUGAUCAAGUAACACUAUUAUUUCAUUUCCAAAAUGGCAUAUAUAAUCUGAUGUUGAACAAACCAAAUUGGGAAUCAUCAUUCCUUACAUUGAGCUGACAUUCGUACCUGCUAGUCCAUGAGCAAAGUUGCUUAUAUUUCCACACAGGCAGCUCCCCUUAUCUCUCGGUUCCGACAGAGCUUUGUUUUCCCAUCACCAGCUUUGGAUUCAUUCGAUCACUGAUGCUCCGAGUUAGCAAGCCCCUUGUUGUGUUCCCAUUUAACAGACCCACUUCUGUUAUCCACAGAAGAUCCACCACUCAAAAUGCUUAUCACCGAACUAUUCCUAAACUGAGUAGAAACUUCCGCACAUCUCUCGGCAUUUACAUGAAGAAAUCGACACCCACCCUCAUAUUUGUAAGUUUUCUGAUAAUAGAAAUGUCUACAAAGCUGCAUUUCGUUAGGCAAUCUAGUCUCUCCAUUCCUAGCAAAGUGACAUUGAUUCCCGUAUUUGUAAUUGCCUAAUUGGGGUUUUGGCAAUAGCCUGGUCUUAAAAUUACCACCCAUUACUUUGUUCAAUGCCACUGGCAUCCUCUGAUUAGGAACAUUUUCACAAUUUUUAGCCCUGUUAGUCGAAUCACAUUCAAGGGGAUAGUGAGACAGUAUUUCACUAAAAGAUUCAAUUUGACUACACAUAUAAGAAUUUGAAAUCACUUUUUCUUGGAAUAUUUAAUGACCCACCCAGGGUGAAAGUUUUUGAAUGGAAAUUAUUUAAUUUGAUUUGUUUUCCAACAAAUUCAAGAAACCCCAGAUAGUAACAUAAAAAAAAAAAAUCAACCAAUAAUACGCAAUGGGUUUCUUUCUUUUUGCUUUUGGAGGGCCAUGAAGAUCUGGAGUGGGCUGUAAGUAAUAGCCUUUAUCACUGGAGUGACAAAUUUGCAGAAGAUGAUGCAUGGGGAAGGAUUGGGCGAGCAUAAAAAUGGCUUUACACUCUUUGGAUUAGCGCCUCAUUUAGGUUGUAGCGAGAUAAAGAUAUCAUUUAAAGUUUUAUAAUCCUUGUUAUGCUUAAGGCUUCACUUAGUAUAGCAUAGAGCUUUUCUAGUUUAGCAUUUUACAAGUAGAAUUUUUUUAAAUUAUUAUUUAUUUGGUUGUUUUGUUCAGAAGAGCUUUUAAAGCUCCAAAAUCUUUGAUAGUCAGGUUUUUUUUUGGUAAGUAAAACUUUUAACAAAAAUUUAUUAUUCACUUGAUCGUUUACAAGAGUUUUCAUUAGAAGUUAUGUAAAGUUCUUUAAUUUUUUUUAUCAGUGCAUCUUUUUACAAGUAUAAUUUUUAUUUUUUAACAAAAAUUAAUUCAAUAAUAUUAAUAAUCUCAAUAUUUGAGUUUUAAUAUCAUAUGUCACUCAUUUAUUGGAUGACAGAUUUCAUAACUUAUAAAAUUAUUUAACUAACAUCCACUAAGCUAAUGUCACUAUAGUGAAGAUUGAAGUUGAAAUUUAGAUGUUACGUUGGGUAAUAUUGCGCUUAUUUGGUUGUUUAUGAGAGUUUUUUUGUACAAAUUUAUUUUUAUACAAAUUGAUAUAGUCUAAAUUCAUUAAUUAGAUGAAAAUAGAAAAUAAUAAAAAUAAAUCUUGUGUACUAAAAGUUAUUUAAUCUAUUUAAUUGAAUUAUCCUACGUUUGUUUGUACUAAAUAAAUUUAUAUAAAAAUUAAUUCUAUUUUUUGAUGUGCAACUAAACUUUUAGUCUCUUAUUAUUCGUAAAAUUCAAAUUCAGUGGCUUAUCAAAUAAAAUUAAAACUAUUGGUUAAUCAAAUAAAAUUAUUUGAAAUCAUUGGGUGUGGUAGCUGGAGCUCUUGAAAGUUGAAACUAUGGAAGCCAUGAAAUAUACCAGCGAAAAGAGUUCUAAUUUUUAAAUGUCUAUUUUAUAAAAAUUUUAAUAAUAAAAGUGUCGCAUCGACAUUGAACAGUAUAAAAAUUUUUAAUAAUAAUUUUUUUACGUUUGGGGUAUUUUUGUAAUUAUACGAAGGUAAACUAAUCGCAAAAUUCAUUUGGCUUACACUUGCUCUGUGUAUGGUUAUGGCGGUAUCAUUAUCAUCUUCUCCAUUCGUACUGACACCAAACCUUAACCGUUCAGAUUCCCUUUCUCGACUGUCAUACCCUACGCCCCGUCUCCGUGUCUCCGAUAAACAGUGCUCAAUUAAGGCCAUCAGAUUAUCCCGGACCCACAUUGAUCCAACGGCUCACAAUGACCGACGACCUCUCCAUCUCCAUUACAAGCUUCCUCUUCAACUGGCUUCUGCCUCUAUCGUACUCUUUCUCGGAUUCGGAGCCCGUAUAUGCUCGGCUGGUCCUACGGAGCUACCUCUCACUCCAGCUGUCAACCAACAAGACCAAUUGCUUAAUCCAGACACAGAACAACAAGAGGGUGAGAAAUUGAAUCAAGAAUUUGAGAAUUGGAAAUCGAAAACGUACGCAUUGACCGUGCCUUUAAGGGUCGUUUCUCUUCAGAAUUCAGUGCCUCAAUCUUGGGUUAAGGAUUUUAUGCGAAGUCAAGGAAAGAGAUUGAAGUUUCAGAUGAAUUUUUGUGCUAGCACUGAUGGGAUCGUUAAAAAUUUAUCUAUGCCCUCUAACAAAGUUAAGGCUAACUCAGCUUCGUAUAUGGCUGCUGAUUUGGUUAGUGUUGGUGAUUCAUGGCUCAGUUUUGCGAUUAAAAAGAGAUUGAUUGAGCCAAUAGCUGAAGCUGAAGAUCAAGAUUGGUUCAAAUGCUUAAGUCACAAAUGGAAGGUAACAUCUUUGUCUUUGACCGGAUGAUUUUUAUUGUCUUACAUUGAAAUUUGGUAAUGUAAUUUGUUCUCUAUCUGUGUUACCUUUGUAGUGAUUUUUUUUUUUAUUUGCUUUUAUUUGCACUAACAAAGUCUUAGGUAUAUCUACGCAGGAAUGAUGCAGAAGAAAUUGAUCCUCGAGGUAAAAUAUGGGCGGCACCAUACAGGUGGGGCACAAUGGUGAUAGCCUACAAGAAAAGUAAAUUUCGAAAGCAUAAUUUGGCUCCGAUUGAGGUAAUAAUUGUCUUUAAACUCAUUUAGUUUUAUAUGAAACAAAAUCAAGACUGCCUUUCUCUUCAAUAUUUUUGAUGAUAAUAUCUUUAGAAGCAUCUCAUUGACAGGUAAUAAUGGUAUCCCUGAAAGAGUCUAUAAACUCAAUGAUAUUAUCUUCUACAAAUGGUUCAUUAAACUUCUUCGUUGCAGUCAAAUGUACACUAAGAACAAUGAGAAGCUAUGCCACUGUAGCAUGUAGUGAUGGCACUUAAUAAGUGAGUUGCUAGGAUGUGAACUAGAAAAAUUAAAUAUUGUCUCCUUGGGUAUGCUAGCUCGUAAGUCAGGGUUAAUAUUAGAACUUAUGAUACUAUAACCAUGAGAAGCUAUUGACUGCCAAUUAAAAUAUCCAUUAAAAUGUCUAGGGAGUUAUGAAGGUGGAGGUAACUUCCAAUUUCUAAGGCCACAUAGUAGACAUCAUGCAGGAUCCUAGGAAAGUGCAGUUAACCUCCUGGUCGAUGCCAUUAAUAAAUUUGAUCAAUGCCACUGAAACCUGCUAACUGAUGUCACAAUGCGACAUGAGCACUUCAAAAUGGGACAGACGGUCAGUAGCACUAAAUUUUUCUUGUCUAAGAUUGAGCAAUUGGUCUAACUACUAACCCCUAUUGUAGGUUGAUCAUUAUGUUUUUCAAUUAUGUUCAGUUUGACCCAAAACAUUACAGAAUCUUGAUCUGAAUAUUGUCACUGAACACUGUCAAUGUCGUUUGGCAUAGCCAACUAACUUGAGUUUGGUAAAACAAACACACAGUGUGUCUCAUGUCUCACAAUUCAAAUUAUCAUCUGUAAUGAUGGAGAAUUUUUCCAAUGUAUGAAGUAUGCUUUGAUACGUGGGUUACCUUGGGGAAGGUAUCUCAAAAUAAAGAAUAUGGGGAGAAAACAGUGCAGUAGUUUAUUAUUCCGUAGUCAAGUUUUGUCUCAAAAAUGGUCAAAAUUUAAAUGAAUAAGGACAGGGGAUCUUCAGUCUUUUUUCCCUUUUUUUAUACCAAGAUAUCUCUCAACCUUUAUAUAAUCCCACUGGAUAUCUGCUUCUAAUAAUUAAAAUAAAAUUUCACCCACACAAAUAAGUACUGACCAAGCUCUAACAAUAAAAAGUAACAUCUUUAGUCAAGUAAUUUACAGUUCCUCAUCAUCUUAGUGUGAGACUAUCAGUACGAUCCAAGAGCAAAAUAAAACUGGUUUGACCCUGUUUAUUGAUGUUUAAAUGUUGUUCAUUGUGACAUGUAGAAAUGAUGAGGUGAAGUUUCUUUGGUCAUCAAUUAGUAAGAUCUCGUUUGAAGUUGUUUUCUGAAAUGAACUGGCAAAUGGUAGUUUUUUUGGGGCAUUUGAUGGCUCUUUUUCUUUUUUCCUCAUUUUAAACAUGUGCCUGCUUGGAACGGGAUGGAUUAAGCUGCAGGUUAUAUAUUUUGACAUGCUCUGGUCAUUACACAAUUUGUUCACACUGGGAAUUAGGAUGAGAAAUUUGUUGAUGCUGUUUUGAGAGACCUGCAUUCUAUGCACAAUAACCUGAUUAAUGAAAAUGGAUUGUAGAACUGGAAAGAUCUGUGGCGGCCUGAGCUCGCAGGAAGAAUUUCAAUGGUUAAUUCUUCCCGAGAGGUUAUUAUUGGUUCAGUUUUUAAGUAUAUGGGAGCAUCAUACAAUUCAAACAAUAUUGAUUCGCAAGUUGCUGGUGGGAAGAUUGCUGUUCAGCAGAAUCUGGCAUUACUGGCAAACCAGGUACUCUUAAAGAAACGAUAUCUGGUCAUUGCAUGUUAUUGCCUGACAACUGAUUUUGUUUGUAAAAGUCUGCUUCUUCAUACAUAUGAAUGCAUAUGUUAGUGUUUUCUUCUCCUUUUCAUAAUAUAUGAAUGCAUAUGUUAGUGUUGUCUUUUCCUUUUCAAACAUAUUAUACAGAUGUUGGUGUUCUCUCCUGAGAUGGAUGCAAUAAAGGCAUUUGCUGCUUAAUUUAGCUGAAGAAAUGGCAAGGGAUGUGAGAUUCUGUCUCAUUAAAUUAACAAAAACCCAAAACAAUGAAAGCCCAUAAUAAUGUAGUGUGGGUAAAUUGGCGCCAUUUGGUUCGUUUCCUUAAUGUGAAUAUGCGAGCAAUAGAGACUAACAAAAUGAAGUGAGAACAGCAAGUCAGUGUCCUUUGAUGGAUGCUUUUUUAAGCAGAAAUAGGUUUGUAAUUGACCAAAUUUGUCUGGCAUGCCAAUUUCAAAAAAAUUAAAUUGUGUGGUUAUUAGCUGUAAUGAAGGGGCAUAGUAGGUGCAAUUAGGCGGAUCCAGGAAAGUUCAACAAAGUUCUGGUAUGGCCUAUUGAAAUUGGUUUUUGCAAUUCAAGAGUCUUUCAAGUGAACGAUGAGGGGUUUUGAUUUAUAAAUGUUAUAAAUCUACUGUGCAUAGUAUUCUAGUAGAAUCAUCUAUAAGUUCUAGUUAUUGAAAUUGUCUACCUUGUUCAGUUUGAGUUAAGGGCAUAUGUAAUAUGAAAAAUAGUUGUCGCAUCUUUUAGGUUACCUAACAUUUGAUCAAUCCUAUUAUGAGGGCUUCAAGAUGUCUAACAAUAUGCAGAAUGCCCAUGCUCCUCCCCAUUGUUUAUCUUAUACAAUAAUUUGUUUUAGAUGCUAAUAUCUUUGUUGAUACCGGUAACAAUAUUGCAAUAUCUGCGUUUAUUGGGUUUUACAUAGGUUCGACUGUUUGACAGUACACACUAUCUGAAGGCAUUUGGAAUUGGAGAUGUAUGGGUUGCUGUUGGGUGGAGUAGUGAUGUUCUUCCUGCUGUCAAACGUAUGUGAGUAUGUCUAAUGUUGCAUUGUUAUCUCCUUCAUAUUAGCGAUCAGUAAACACGAUAAUGUGACUAAUAAGUUUGUAUUCUCUUUUAUAGAUAAAAAAAUAUUAGAUGACUAGUAAUUAACAUUUAAUUAUAGUUGAAAUAUUGUUUAUUAAAUUAGUCUAUUGUCUAAGAACGGUUAUAAAAUUAAUUUCAACAUAUAAUAAGAACUAUUACAAUAAUUUAUUUAGAUUUAUAUAUAUAGCUUAACUAUGAAUUAUUAAAACCAAUAUAGCUUCAUAGUUUGUGUGUUAAUAUCUAUUUUAAUCUUUUGUUUAUCUUAUUAAUUUUUCAUUUAAAUUUAAAUCUAUGUUAAAGAUGUUCUAUCAAUCAAUUUGGACUAGAGAGUAAAUAAACAAUCUAGUAAUCACACAAUAGAUAUUGUAUAUAAUUGUUCAAUUAUAACAAACUUUAAAUUUGCAUUAAUAUGAUUAGAAGUAUUGUUUUGCAAUUAACCGAAUCAUAGGCUAAUAAUUUUCAAUAUGAAAUAACUAACUUAGGAUAAAUUAAUUAAUUGACUGAUUUUUUUUUUAAUUUGAAUAUCUUGUGUUAUCUCUAGUAAACAAUUAAAUUUGUCCUUCAAGACUUGAAACAAAACAAAUUGGAGGGCGAGUCAGAGGUCCCUCUCCCUUAAUCCAUCAAUGGAUAGAGUUCUGCUUGCAAACAGCAAGAGCAUUGCCUUUCAAGCAAGAGGUUAUGCCGGGCGCAUCUCCCUCUGCCCUUGAAAGACUCUGGUUAAGUUGCCUGAAGAACUUCUGAAGGGUAAACCAAGCCUGGAUACUAACUUAAUUGCUGGAGUACCCCCGGCUGAAAUUCUGGCCAGAUGUGAGUUUUUGGAGCCAUUAUCUGAAGCUACUUUGUCAGAUUAUGAGUAGCUGGUUGCUAAUCUGCAAAAACCUGCUCCUGUCUUGAUGAAAAGGGUGCAACAUUACUUGUCAUCAUUAAUCCAAAGCUUUCCAGCAAAAGCUACACUGAAAAGUUAAUGGCACUGCAUGCCAGUCAUUAUAAUGCUGUCAGGGCAAUUGGUUCAGGGCAACUGGGUCAGAGCAUAACUUCAUUGGGAAAAAAGGCUUCAGCUAGUUACCUAUUACAGUGCGCACUGAGAUGGCAGUUCUUGAGGUUUUAUAAGAAAUGAAAGAUGAGUGCUUGUUUGAACAAAGUUGUUGCCAAUCUCGCAGAGUUCAAGAAGAAAGAUCACAGAGCUAAUGCCACCAAUUUCUUCAUCAUUGUAGCCUGCAUAGUUGAAGUUUCCUCACUUGAAGCUGUUUAUGCAAACGCUUUUUCCCUGCUCAAGUACAGGAAAUUGAAGAAUUAACCAGAUAUGAUAUGCUGAAAGAGGGAAUUUCUUCCUUAGUGGCCUUUUGAUUUGUAGUGAAGGAGUAGGAUGAUCACUAGCAAGAACCCUAUCAAGGUAGAUUUUAUGAUGUUAACAUAUUAUUAAGCAUUUGUCACUUAGGAAUGAUACAUUCAUAGCAUGAAAUUAAUUAUAUGAUCCUGAUUAAUCAAUUAAUUUUCAUGAGUUUUAACCUAGGUAAAACUAAGUACAAUCGUCGUUAACAACUACUGAAAUUGGGUAAGUAUGAUCUUGACAUUGAAGAAUUUGAAAACACAACCCACAGAGGAAAUUACCUAUUGCAUGGGGAUGGAGAUGUUUACCGCAGCGAUACAGAGCAGUGUUGUCCACUGCUCUUUGGGCUAUGGUGUCACUAAUUCUGAUUACGUAAUUGACUCUGGAUCGGGUGGAAAUAAUAACACUUUAUUAACAUUGCAUAGUCCGAGUACUUUUCCAGGAUCAGAUACGACGUGGUCUAAUGUUGAUAAUAAUAGUUUAUUAAAUGACAAAUCGUUGUUCAAGUAGAAGAUGAAGGUUGUGCAGGUGAUUUCAGAAAUAAAAUACAUUCUAAGAGAUGCUGGUCUACUAUUGCAUGCCCCCAGAUUUAAGAAUCUUUUGAUUGGGGCAUUUGGCAACGAUUCGACAAAUUCUAGAUUCAAGCUCCUCCACCAAGGGAUACCAACUGAGUUAUCAAUUAUCGUAGCAGUUUCUAUGAACUAAAAUUUGCAAAAUAAUUUCUAGCCCCGUUGACUCCACCAACUAAAGUUUACAACUCUACAAUAAUAAUUUCUAGCCCCGUUGACUCCACCAACUAAAGUUUUUUAAAAUUUAAAAAAGUACAUAGAAUUCCACAACAAGCAAAACGUGUGGAAUUUAAUUUUUUGCCGAAAAAGGACAAGAAAAAUGAUAAGAUUUUUAAAAUGAGUGGAAGGUGAUCCAUAUUUUACUAAAACGACUUACCUCGAACAUUAAGAUAAUUGAUUUUUAUUUUUUAUUUUUUAAUAAUAUCAACUUCCAUAUCUUUCUAGCGGGUCCAGCUAUGUUGCAACAGUGAUACUGUACCAUUGUUGCUUUCAGCCAUUGGAUCUUACUAAUGUAACAGUACAACUAUAGAUCCAAUGACUGGUUGCAACUGUAAUACCAUACCACUGUUGCAACAUAAUUUUGCCCCUUUCUAACCCCCAGAAUAUGCUCACGUUCAAGUCUAUCUUGCUAAUUUAAAAAAAGAAAAUCAAAUCAACACCAAAACAAUGAAAAGUAAAGCUUUUGAAUUUCAACUCGAGCUAGCAAACGUAUUCAGCUUUUUCAAAUUCUUCCCAUUGCAUAUCUUCUUCCUCCAUCAAUGCAAUAUUUGAACGAUUAUGAAAGAGUUUAAGAACAUAAAAAAUCUCCAAGGUUUAUACGGUAUAACAAAUUUAAAUUCUCAAUUACAAUAGAUAAUAAUUAAACUAAUAAUUUUUUAUGUACUUAUUUUAGUAAUUUCACCUAAGAAUAAUAUUGUAAUUAGAAAAAAAAUCUAAUAAGUAGGGUGGUCUUAUAAAAAAUCAACUGGUCUCCCCCCCAUAUAAUUAUAAUCCUUCUAGAAAGCUAAUUUUUAUUAAAUAUUUGCUUUUUAAGUUAAUUUCAAUUAAAAAAUGUUUUAAGUUAUAUAUACUCUAAUGAGAUUCUGAAUUCCUUUAUUCCAAUAAUAAUGAAAACGUAUUAAAUUAGAAAUGAAAAAAUUGGUGUUGACGAUUCAACCUAUUUGGAUAGAUUACGUGAAUAAAAUUGAAAUUUUGAUUUAAUUUUUGUUUAUUGUUAAUUCUCAGGCUAUCUUAAUUUCAAGAAUUUAGAAUGUUAAUUUGGUCAUGGAUUUCAGCCCGUGAGUGUCAUAUUCUAGACUUAAUGGUAUCAUUCUUUGAUUGAGGGCAAUGACUCUCACUCCUCUUGUAAAAAAAUAUUUUCAACUAUUUUGAUGACUUAAAAAUUGAUAGAUUUAUUGUUGUCAUGACCAAAUUAUUCAUUUUAAUGAAAUAUAAUUAAUGCAUCAAAGUUACCAGGUUUAUGUUCUAUCUUAAUGCGCUUUUUUUUUUUUUUCAGUUAUCAGCUAUGCCCCUGAGGCAUUUUGUAGAGUAUAGCUUCUGCUUACCUCUGUUUCAUUUUUUUUUAAUAAAAAAACAAGGGAAGGUUUUUCCGAGUCAUCCAUUAUUUGAUUACCGUCAAUCAAGAAAACGACCAAAUUAAUUUCUCUCCAAAAUUUCCAAAAGCUAGAAAAUUUUGUUAUUUGAAAAUAACAUCAUUAAUUAUAGAGUGGAUCAAACCGCGUUAUUGUCUUUUAUAAAAUUGAUGUCUUUUUAAGAGUCAAUACAUUUUAUUUACGCAAACCAGUCGACAUCAACUUGAACUUCCAUAUUUUUAUUAUUAUGUUAUUUAUUUUAAUCCCCGAUUAUUUGAUUAGCCACUAUAUAUAUCAAGAAAGCGACAAAAUUUAUUUCUCAUGACUUCCAAAAACUAGAAAACAACAUCAUUUAUUAUUUUUUUGCAACCCUAAUUGACAUCAACUUUAACUUUAUUAUGUUAUUAUUUCAAUCCCCCAUUAUGACCUUUCUAAUCCUCCAUUAUGCAUCUUUUAUAGUGCAAAUUUAAUUGCACAUCUAAAUAAAUUGAUUAUUGUCACUCCACCACCAAUAUUUCAAAUAGUCACUAGACCAUUUCUGCCUUUAAUUUUCCCUUAAUUUUAACUGUUGACUGUUUUUAGCAUCUUAAAAUAUACAUUUAUUCCUUGAUUAUGUGAUAAAAUUAUGAAAAUAUCCAUUUUAGCUUAAAUUAAUUGGAAUAACCAUAAGCGUAACAUAAAUUAAUAGAACAAAAUUAUCAAGUGUAUGUUCUAUCUUACUUUUUGAAGAAUUUAACAUAUAUAAUGCUAUACUAUUAAUAAAUUUAUCAUUUACUAUAUAUGUUCAAAUAUUUUAUAUAUUUAUUAAUUGUUAUAUAGUCAAAGGAUGAAUGAUUUUUCAGGUCUACAUGAGUUGGUGCAUCUGCAAGACUCAAUUUUGACAACAAUGAUCUAAGGGGUAAUUUACCUUGGCGUUUGACAAAUAUAACCUCUCUUCAAGAUUUACUUCCAAUCUACUUACUGUAAAUAUCUCCUCAUCUCCUCUCAUUUAUAUGAUAACCCUUGAAGAUCUCACAUUUUCAAACGAUCAUAUUAGGGUUUUUAUUAUUAGCAUCAUUGUGUCAAUAAUAUAUGUUGCAGUAAGAUUUUUUCAGACCAAUUCCCUUCUUCAAAUAAUAAUGGAAAAGUAUUAAUUUAAAAAUAAAAUGAAUAUGCAUUGAUUAUAUCCUGAUUUUCAUCGAUUAUAGAGAGAGUUUCUCCAAAUCAACUCCCUUAUUCAAAUAAUACAGAAAAAAUAGUAAUUUAAUAGUAAAAUUAACAAGUGUUGAUUAUAUAUCCUAAGUUUCAUCGAUUAUGUGAUCAAAGUGGCAUUGUUGAUUUAUUUCUUCUUCAAUGUAAAUUUUUAGGUUAUCUAAAUUUCAAGGAUUUAAAAUCUUUGUUCAUGGAUUACACGCUUAUUAAUUUUUCUGCCAUUGACUGUCAUAUUCUAGACUUAAUGGUACCUUCCUUGAUCAAGGAUAAUUACUCUCUGCUCUCCUCUUAUAAAUUCUUCUUCCAUUAACAUCACUAGGAGUAUGUUGAUCUCUCAGACGUUAACUUCAGUGGAGAGUUUCCAAAUUGAUUGUCACAAAACAACACAAAAACUAGACACACUUGAUCUGUCUAUUAAUUCUCUUUCGGUAAAAUUAAUUAAUUUUAGGGGAAUAUUCGACCAACCUAUAUAAUUUUAGAUUGAUCAUUAAUUAAUUGGACGAAAAAAGUGCUUGUGCUUUUGUGGCGACAAUUGAACCAGAGAAGUGAAGCUGUAAAGAUUUGGCAGUAGUAAAUUGUUAGAAAGACAUAAAGACGAGUUCCCAUUAUUAUAAUUUUUUCAAAAAACUUUUUUACAACACAUGCACCUGGCCAAAAAUUUUAUUUUGCUAACUAACAAUAAUUGAGUAGCUGACCGUAUUGACUCCACCUACUUGCUAAAGUAAAAAAAUAGAAAUAGAAUUUCCACAAAAUGGCAAACAUGUAAAAUCUAAUAUUUGGCCGUGUGGAACAAAAUACAAAUAAAAAAAAAAGAAAAGAAAAAAGGCCUAAAGACUUUUAAAAUGUGUGGAAGUCUUUCGGCCCUUUUAUAAUGGUGUGUUUUUCAAAGGAACAAAUAAUAAUAAUGACACUUCUACGGUUUGUUUUGAUAAUCACACAUAUACUCUUUAAUUUGAUAAAUGGUUACACAAAUUUUGUUUACAAAAAUAUAUUAUUCAUGUUCUGUGUUAUUUUUUAACAUCAUAUUUUUAUUUAUUAUAAUUGUUUAAAGUUAAUUGUUAGGUUGAUAUAUAAUAAAAACGUAUAAUCGUUCUCUUACUAAACACACAUACUCAUAGUUUCUGUUCAUUUGUCAUCUCAAUCUCUCUCAUUUAUCCUUUAUUGAUAGCUCAAAACGCGUCACUGUGGAAAAUUAUAGCAAAACGACAAAUAUGGAAAAAAAUGGGAAGAAAAUUAAUGCAUGAAAGAGUUGCAGAAGACAACCAAAUAAGUCAACUAUACGCUAGCUGGGUGUAUAAAUUGUUAGAUGUGUUAUAAACAAAUAGCAUAGAGCCCUUUGGUUGGUUACAAAGAUAGAAAGAGUGUGUGUGUUUUUUAGAACUUAAAGAUACAGUUAGAAUGGGUGGUUCAAAAUAAAAAAUGGUGAUAAUGUUUGUUCUGUUAUUAAUAAUAUUAGAAGGUGGGGGGAGUGAGGGAUGUUUGGAUCAUGAGAGAUUUGCUCUUUUGCGACUUAAACUUUUCUUUGAUGAUCCUUUUAAUUAUCUUCACGAUUGGAUAGAUGAUGAGGGAGCAACUGAUUGUUGUCAGUGGGAAAGGGUUGAGUGCAGCAACACCACAGGCCGAGUGAUAGCGCUAUACCUUUUUCACACGUAUGGGGGAGAGGACAGCUGGUAUCUGAAUACUUCUUUUUUUACUCCCUUCCAACAACUUGAGUCACUUGCUUUACAUGGCAACAACAUAGCCGGUUUUGUUGAGAAUGAAGGUGCUUCGUCUAAUUCAAUUAAAUUACAUUUCGCUCUCGUAAUUUAAGACGAAUAUCAAGACUGAGCAGCUAUAUGCAUAUUCAUUCAAUUGACAAUUUUUGAAAUUACACCAAACAUCAUAUGUGAUCUUUGUUUUGAUUUUACUUGCAGGUCUAGAAAGAUUGAGCAACUUGAAGGGGCUUGAUUUAAGAGGAAACUUGUUCAACAAUAGCAUCUUAUCAUCUGUGGCUCAUCUUUCAUCACUAACAUCAUUAUAUUUAUCUGAAAAUAGAUUGGAAGGAAGUAUUAAUGUUAAAGGUACGUAAUUAAAACGUCAUCGCUUCUACCAACUCUUUCAUUAACAUGCUAAAAUAAGAUUCAAGGCUUUGAAUUCAAUUUUUUUUAUGAGUAAUAUUAGAAAAAUAGUUUUAAGCAAUUCAUAAAUACAAUUUUCAAUGUUUCUCAUAAUUUCAUCUUGUACUUUUGUAUGUCUUGACUUUAAGAUUAAAAAAAAAAUUACUCUAACUGUGAAGCAAAUACCCCAUGACUAAUUUACAAUUUUGUCCAGUUAAAAAUGAUAAAAUUUAUCAUUUGUUUAUAUUGAUUUAUUAACUCUAUUUUAAGUCUUAAGUCUUGGCGUCUUGGCAUGUUUGCAGAAUUUGAUUCCUUGAGCAACUUAGAGGAGUUGGACAUGAGCGGCAAUGAAAUAGACAAUUUCGAGGUUCCUCAAGGUACACAAUUAAAAUAUUAUUUAAUUAUAUUAAUUUAAUUCGUUUGAUUAGGGAAGGCCCAAAAUGUACAAAAACAUAAUUAAAAAAAAAAUAAAGAAAUAGAGAAUUCAUAUUAUUUCAAAAAACAAAAGGUAAUACUAUUAUUUCAAAAAAAGAAUGUAAUAAAGAUUUGAUUCCGGUUCUUUAAUCUUUAUAGCAAUUGAAAAACAAUGUUGCUCUUUUCCUAAAGCAUAAAAUAUGAAAUGAGUCAUAAUUGAAUUAGUCAUUUAUUUUGUUUAGAUCUAAAUUUAGACAAUAAAUUUUGAUUUUUUUUUUCAAUCCUAUCCUUAUUAUUAUUGUUAAACAGGUUACAGAGGUUUGAGGAAGUUGAAAAGCCUCUAUCUAUCGGAAGUUAAAAUUAGAGAUGGAAGCAAGUUGUUACAGUCAAUUGGAUCAUUCCCAUCCCUCAACACUCUUUACCUUUCAUCUAAUAAUUUUACCGAUAUAGCGACAACUACUACUCAAGGUAAGUAAAAGGUACAGAUGUGGCCAAAUUUAUAAAUAAAUUGUUAAUUAAUUAAUUUUUCCGUAUUAUUAAUAAAGCUAAAUUCGUCGCUCCUUCCUUCUAAUUCUAAACAGAGUUGGCAAUUUCACCAACUUGGAGUAUUUGACAUUGGACUUGUCCUCACUCCAUUUAAGCCUUCUGCAAUUGCUUGAAGAAUGAAUUUAUAUAUUUAUUUAUUAUUAUUAUUAUUGUUAUUGUUGUUGUUGAAGUGAGGUGGGCAAGCGUUCACUCAAUUAAUAUGUGGGGAAUUAAUAAUUACAAUCCAAGGUAGAAUUGUGGAAAAUUAAAGCAAAAUGAGAAAUAUGGAAAGAAAGGAAGAAAGUUAAGGGCAUGAAAGACUGGGAGAAGACUAAAGACCACCAAAUAAGUCAACUGAAAACUAGCUGGGGCCUGGCUGUACAAAUUGUUAGAUGUGUUUGUUAUAAAUAACAUAGAGCCCUCUUGUUGGUUGCAGAGGCAGAGAGACAGAGAGUGUGCAUUUUGUUAAUUAAAAAUAUAUAUAAAAUGGGUGGUUCAAAAUCCAAAAUGGUGAUAAUGUUAGUUUUGUUAGUAUUAAUAAUAUUAUAAGGGAGGUGGCGUGAGGGAUGUUUGGUGCAUGAGAGAUUUGGUCUUUCGAGACUUAAAACAUUUCUUUAAUUCUCCUUAUAAUUUUUGUCACGACUGACCAUUGUCAAUGGGAUGGGGCUGGGUGCAGGGUUGAUUUACGUUAGAACAAUAUAGCCGGUAGUGUUGAGAAUGAAGGUGUUUCAUUUAAUUUAAUUAAUUUACUUUCUCCCUCCUAAUUUAAGUGGAAUAUCAAGACUGAAUAAUUAUAUGCAUCUUCGUUCAGUUGACAAUUUUGACAUAUUUUUUUAAGUGAUUAAUUUUGAAAUUACACCAAACAUUAUUUGUGAUCUCUGCUUUGACUUUACUUGCAGCGCUAGAGACGUUACCAAGAUUGAGCAACUUGACGAUACUUGAUUUAAGAGGAAACUUGUUCAAUAAUAGCAUCUUGUCAUUUGUUGCUCGUCUUUCAUCAUUAACAUCAUUAGAUUUAUCUUACAAUGGAUUGGAAGGAAGUAUUAAUAUUAAAGGUACGUAAUUAAAACGUCAUCGCUUCUCCCAACUCUUCCAUUAACAUGCUAAAAUAAGGUUCAAGGCUUUGAAUUCAAUUUUUUUUAUGAGUAAUAUUAGAAAAAUAGUUUUAAGCAAUUCAUAAAUACAAUUUUCAAUGUUUCUCAUAAUUUCAUCUUGUACUUUUGUAUGUCUUGACUUUAAGAUUAAAAAAAAAUUACUCUAACUGUGAAGCAAAUACCCCAUGACUAAUUUACAAUUUUGUCCAGUUAAAAAUGAUAAAAUUUAUCAUUUGUUUAUAUUGAUUUAUUAACUCUAUUUUAAGUCUUAAGUCUUGGCGUCUUGGCAUGUUUGCAGAAUUUGAUUCCUUGAGCAACUUAGAGGAGUUGGACAUGAGCGGCAAUGAAAUAGACAAUUUCGAGGUUCCUCAAGGUACACAAUUAAAAUAUUAUUUAAUUAUAUUAAUUUAAUUCGUUUGAUUAGGGAAGGCCCAAAAUGUACAAAAACAUAAUUAAAAAAAAUAAAGAAAUAGAGAAUUCAUAUUAUUUCAAAAAACAAAAGGUAAUACUAUUAUUUCAAAAAAAGAAUGUAAUAAAGAUUUGAUUCCGGUUCUUUAAUCUUUAUAGCAAUUGAAAAACAAUGUUGCUCUUUUCCUAAAGCAUAAAAUAUGAAAUGAGUCAUAAUUGAAUUAGUCAUUUAUUUUGUUUAGAUCUAAAUUUAGACAAUAAAUUUUGAUUUUUUUUUCAAUCCUAUCCUUAUUAUUAUUGUUAAACAGGUUAUAGAGGUUUGAGGAAGUUGAAAAGCUUUGAUCUAUCGGAAGUUAAAAUUAGAGAUGGAAGCAAGUUGUUACAGUCAAUGGGAUCAUUCCCAUCCCUCAACGCUCUUUACCUUUCGUCUAAUAAUUUUACCGAUACAGCGACAGCUACUCAAGGUAAGUAAAAGGUACAAAUGUGGCCAAAUUUAUAAACAAACUGUUAAUUAAUUAAUUUUUCCGUAUUAUUAAUUAAGCUAAAUUUGUUGCUCCUUCCUUCUAAAUCUACACAGAGUUGCACAAUUUCACCAACUUGGAAUAUUUGGCAUUGGACUAUUCCUCUCUCCAUAUAAGCCUUCUGCAAAGCAUUGCAUCAAUAUUCCCUUCGUUAAAAAAUUUGUCGAUGUAUCACUGUGUAGUCAAUGGCGUCCUACGUGGUCAAGGUAAAAGAAAAGUGUUGAUUGUGAACUCGCUCAAUGGUGUCCUACGUGUUCAACAUUUUUAUUUAUUUAUUUUAUUGUUUAAUGUUUCUGCUAGGUUUUCCUCAUUUCAAGAGUUUGGAACAUUUGGACAUGGAUUUCGCGAGCAUUGCACUCAACACCAACUUUCUUCAAAUCAUCGGAGAAUCAAUGCCUUCUCUUAAGUACUUAUCACUAUCAUAUUCUAAUCUUAGCACUGACAGCAAGACUCUUGAUCGAGGUUAAUGAGAUGCUUCAACCCUCCCCUUUAAAUCUAUAAUAUUAAUUUUCGAUUAAAUAUAUAAUUAUAGAAACCAAUCACUUAUAAAAGAAUGCUAUGCAUUUGCCAAUUUUUUUAUAUUUUACUGAUUGAUGAAUUAAUAAAUUUUCAGGCCUCUGUUCGUUGGUGCAUCUACAAGAGUUGUACAUUGCAACUCUUGUAGUAAUUAAUUAAUUAAUUAAUUAAGUAUUAGUUAAUUAAUUAAUUAAUUAAUUUUUUGUAUUAUUAAUAAAGCUAAAUUUGUUGCUCCUUCCUUCUAAUUCUGAACAGAGUUGCACAAUUUCACAAACUUGUAAUAUUUGGCAUUAGACUCUUUCUCUCUCCAUAUAAGCCUUCUGCAAAGCAUUGCAUCAAUAUUCCCUACGUGGUCAAGGUAAAAGAAAAGGGUUGAAUGUGAACUCACUCAAUGGUGUCGUACGUGUUCAACAUUUUUAUUUAUUUAUUUAUUUUAUUGUUUAAUGUUUCUGCUAGGUUUUCCUCAUUUCAAGAGUUUGGAACAUUUGGAUAUGGAUUACACUCGCAUUGUACUCAACACCAGCUUUCUUCAAAUCAUCGGUGUAUCGAUGCCUUCUCUUAAGUACUUAUCACUGUCAAAUUCUGAUCGUAGCACUAACAGCAGCAGGAUUCUUGAUCAAGGUUAAUCAGAUGCUCCCACCCUCCCUUCUUAAUCUAUAAUAUUAAUUUUCGAUUAAACAUUUAAUUACACAAACAAAUCACUUAUUAUAAAAGAACAAUACGCAUUCAUUAAUUUUUAUAUUGUAUUAAUUGAUGAAUUUAAUAAAUUUUCAGGCCUCUGUUCGUUGGUGUAUCUGCAAGAGUUGUACAUUGAUAAUAAUGAUUUAAGAGGUAGUUUGCCUUGGUGCUUGGCAAAUAUGACAUCCCUCCGAAUAUUAGAUGUUUCUUCCAAUCAACUUACUGGAAGCAUCUCCUCAUCUCCCCUCAUUCAUUUGACAUCCAUUGAAGAGCUGAUGCUUUCAAACAAUCACUUCCAGAUCCCAAUUUCACUUGAACCACUUUUCAAUCACUCAAGACUCAAGAUUUUCAAUGCUUACAACAAUGAAAUAAAAGCUGAAAUAACUGAGUCACAUUCUUUGAUCGCCCCAAAAUUCCAAUUAAAUACACUCUUGUUGUCUUCCAGUUACGGAGACAGUUUCAUAUUCCCUAAAUUCCUUUACCAUCAACAUGACCUGGCGUAUGUUGAUCUCUCACACAUAAAAAUGAAUGGAGAAUUUCCAACUUGGUUGUUGGAAAACAACACAAAAUUGAGCCACCUUUCUCUCAUCAAUGAUUCUCUUGCAGGACCUUUUUGGUUGCCAAUUCAUUCACACACGCAGUUAAUACUGUUGGAUAUAUCCAACAACAACAUCCGAGGCCACAUUCCACUAGAAAUUGGAGAUGUUUUACCACGUUUAUACGUUUUCAACAAUUCCAUGAAUGCUCUAGACGGUAGCAUUCCCUCUUCAUUUGGUAAUAUGAAAUUCCUCCAAAUUCUGGACUUAUCCAACAAUCACUUGACUGGUGAAAUCCCCGAGCACUUGGCCGUGGGUUGCGUCAACUUGCAGGCUCUUGCAUUAUCAAAUAACAACCUACAAGGUCAUUUGUUCUCUAGAAAUUUUAACUUGACAAACUUGAAAUGGUUACAAUUGGAGGGCAAUCGCUUCGUAGGUGAGAUCCCACAAAGUUUGUCUAAAUGCUCCUCACUAGAAGGAUUGUCUCUUAACAAUAAUAGUCUUUCGGGUAAGAUUCCACGAUGGUUGGGUAAUCUCACACGGUUAGAAUAUAUUAUAAUGCCCAAUAAUAAUCUUGAAGGCCCUAUUCCAGUGGAGUUUUGUCAGCUUGAUUCGCUUCAGAUUUUGGACAUUUCAGACAACAACAUAUCUGGAAGUUUACCAUCUUGUUUCCAUCCUCUCUCUAUCAAACAAGUUCAUCUUUCAAAAAAUAUGUUACAUGGACAGCUAAAAAGAGGUACAUUCUUUAAUUGCUCUUCCCUUGUGACAUUAGAUCUUAGCUAUAACCGCUUGAAUGGCAGCAUUCCGGAUUGGGUUGAUGGGCUUUCUCAGUUAAGCCACCUUAUCUUAGGUCACAAUAAUCUUGAAGGUGAAGUGCCAGUUCAAUUGUGCGAAUUGAACCAACUACAAUUGUUAGAUCUUUCUAAUAAUAAUCUUCACGGUCCUAUUCCUCCUUGCUUUGAUAACACCACACUUCAUGAAAGUUACAGCAAUAGUUCUAGUCCUGAUGAGCAAUUUGAAAUAUCUUUUUUCAUCCAAGAAACUCAGGGAUAUGUAAAAGAGCAAAUCCAUGAAAUUUUUGAGUUCACAACAAAGAACAUUGCGUACAUUUACCAAGGAAAAGUGCUUAGCCUCCUAUCAGGACUUGAUCUUUCUUGCAACAAGUUAAUCGGUCAUAUUCCUCCUCAAAUUGGAAAUUUGACAAGGAUUCAAACAUUGAAUCUAUCACACAACAACUUGACAGGAUUGAUCCCAUCAACAUUUUCAAACUUGAAGCAUAUCGAAAGUUUGGAUCUUUCCUACAACAAAUUGAAUAGAAAAAUCCCUCAUCAACUAGUGGAGUUAAAGACAUUGGAGGUUUUCAGUGUGGCAUACAAUAACUUAUCAGGCGAAAUUCCAGAAUGGAAAGCACAAUUUGCAACCUUCAACGAGAGUAGCUAUGAGGGAAAUACUUUUCUUUGUGGAUUGCCAUUGCCCAUUUGCAGAUCACCAGCAACUACGCCAAAGGCUUCAAUUGGCAAUGAAAGAGAUGAAAAUUUAAUUGACAUGGACAAUUUCUUUAUCACAUUUACAACAUCGUACGUAAUUGUAAUAUUCGGAAUUGUUAUUGUUUUAUAUGUAAAUCCUUAUUGGCGACGUAGAUGGUUUUACUUUGUUGAAAUGUGGAUAAUUUCAUGUUACUAUUUUGUUGUAAACAAUCUUAUUGCAACAAGAUAUUGUCAGUGAAAUUAAUUAGCAGUUUAAUUACGAUUCUUUAAGUUCUAAUCAAGUUUGCUUAGGAAAUAAAUUUAUUUUUAUUUUUUAUUAAAAUUGUAGUAGUAUUUAGCGCUAUAUAGCUUCCAACUUCCAAGCACUUCACAUUUGUCUCUACACUUCCAAACCCAUAUCUAUCCAACAUAACUUAUACUUCCCUAUACUGUGCAGCAUACUUAAAUAAGAGAAUCAUCUCCAAUGUUAAAACCAACCACUCUAUAACAUUCAUUUAGAAACUAUAUUUAGAAUAGUUUUAUAAUCAUACACAAGAAAUGAAACACCUAGAUGCACUUGAUCGCCUAUUUUACUUUAAAAAAUAAUGAUUAUGGUGCUAUCAUCAUCUUCUUCACUAGCAACAUUAACACCAAAUCCAGCGAUGGACCCAGACAUUUAAUCAAGAAAGGUAUAUAUAUAAUAAAGUUGAAGCUUGACAAAAAAUUCAGGAAGAUUAAUGCAUCGCCACAACAAGAGGCACAACAGCAUCAAAGUAGAGAUGAAGCAAUAUUCUCAAAGCUAAAACUCUCAAAUCCACCCACCAGAAUUUCAUAUCUCCUCAACAAUUUUAAGAACUAAAGAUAAUUAGGAUCUAACAUUAGUUUUUUAUAUAUUAGUUUCAUAAUUUACAAAUCAAUGAAGAUGAAGAUUAUGCUAAUGAAUUCAAAUUAUACCAUACAUUCUCGAGAUGUUACCAAAAAUUUCUAAGUCAAUCCCACAUAUUUCAUAAUUUUAAGACUAGAAAAUUUCAUUAGUUAGAAGUUUCAUUACCUUCAAGUGGAAGAUGAAGAACAUUAUACAAUUGAUUCAGAUUAUAUCAUACAUACUCCAAAUGCAACUAGAAAUUAACAAGUUCAUGCACACAGAUUUCAUAACAUUAUGAUUGGAAAGUUUCGCAAAGAGAAAUUCUAAAUUCAAUCUCUUGCAUCAAGGUAGUUUGAUUGAUUUGAGUUACUUUCAAGUCAGGGAGAAAGUAAAUUAAAACAGGGAAAAAAUAACAGUAAAAAUUUGUUGCUAAACAUGAUGUGUAUUUUUUUUUUAAGGCAAUUUGGAAACACAGUUGUUACUACAGAUAUUCUCAACUUAGAGAUAACUACAAAUAUUAAAAUGCAUAUGAUCGCACAUAUUACUUGGAGCUUAGUAGGAUUUCAUUAAGAGAAGCAAUCAAACCACUUAUCAAUUGUUGCAAUCGUUCUAUAAGCUAAAAUAGCAAUAUAAUACAAGAAAAAGAACAUAUAGAUACUUGGCAAGAGUUCAUUAAGAAGUCGCAUCACAUUCGGGUGAGUUUGCUUCUGAUAUCUUGCUAGCUGGGGCUUUUUCUUGUCUUUCUGCGUAUGCCGAAGGAAACCAACCAGCUUGGCCCUUGCAUUCACCUUCUGACCAUCCAGUAGGAGCCACCUUGAGAAGUUAUAACUAAAACAGUGAAUUAAACAAAAGUUGACCGUUCAAAGACCUAAGGGGAAAACUAAUUCUUUUACGUAGGAGUGAAUUAGUUGUGAUCACUGAAAUAACAGCAUAACUAUGGAAGCAUAACAAGAUAUAAAUUCACACGUCUAUAAGGGUAAACUGGGUGGUUUAGAACUGAGCUAGCAACCCUACUAUAUUCUGAUUUGCACUUCAAUGUAAAAGGGAAUAUAUGGUAGGAAUAAAGAAAACCAACUAUCAUUUGUUAACUCAUUGCUUUUCAAUCAAAAUUUUAAGAACAAAAUGCCAUGUGCUUUGAACAUCAAAUAAGUAUAAGCAUUAGUUCUAAAUUCCACAUAUCAUAAGUUAGAAGGAUAAGUUAAUAGCAUAUUAGAAAAAUCUAUGUGUUGUUAUUUAGAGGGGAAAGUACCUGGCGAACCACAACAUAAUCAGCUAUUGAAAGACUUAGCUCUCCAUUUGCUUGAGCAACAAAUGGAUGUAUAACCUGCAAGAUAAUGGGAUAAAUAGAACUUAAUCUUAAAAAAAGCAUAACAAAAGCAGCAACAGUAGCAGCAACGUUCAUUGUAACCACUAUGAUCAUGGCCAACAAAGAUAUAUUAGAAACAAAAUUCCAUUUAUACUACGACAUUAAUAUGUACUAUAUGAUAUCAUGACGAUUGGGUUACCAAGAGCUAUCAAAGUCCAAUAAAUUCUGUAUAACUUUAUGUAGUUAUUCAAAUUAUGGAUCAGAUUUUAAAUCUGAAAUUUUGACUGCUCUCCACAAAACAUGGCCUAUGCGCAAGAAAGUCAUAGAUAAUGAGGAUUACAAGUGUCUGACAUCUUUUGAGUGAUGGAUUUAACAUGAGAGCUUAUGGUCAGUCAAUUUCCUCUGCCUAGUAAUAUAAGCUUUCUCGGCCAGAUUUAUCAUCAAAUACAUAGAUUGCCCCCAAGUCACAUCCAUAUAAACAUAGUUUUUCUAGGUAAACCAAGUAAGGAGAAUCAUAAUUCAGACAUAAUCAUAAAAAGGAACAUCUAACUUAAGAGAAAAUCUCAAAAAGAGGGAUGCUGAGCUAUCAGUCUUGUAUCUAUAAGCAAUAUCAAGACUUUACAUCACCUGCUACAUCGUGAAUGGCUACACAACUUUCAGUGGUUUGUCUUUCUUUGGCAUGCCUAACUCAGCUUUGAUGUUGCUGAGAUAUUGAUAGUAGAGACACAUGAUACUUCUAGCUCAUGCAUUCUAUCUAGCUCAUCCGACAGCUAUGUCUUUUUUAAUUCAUUAGUGUUUGCUAAACCUCAUGCUUAAAAGUCCUGUUGUUCUAAACAAAGUUUCCUAAGAAUGACUUCCUCAGCACCACAUUUGGACACUUUUAGAGCAAUUUAUUUGGGGGAAAAGAAUUUUCAAGGUGUUAACUAAUAAAUUUUAAAAAAUAAUUACUAUUUGUCCUACGAUUAUAUGACAAUUUAUCUGGGAUGAAAGGAUACAGACAGACAUCUUCCACUUUCAAGACUAAUCACUACUUCCGUAGAUGUUUUGCAAUAAUACAAAUACUUGACCAGAUGGUAGUGAUGGUAGAAAAAAAUUUUAUUGCUCCAAAAUUAAAAUAAGAAUGCAAUAUGUUAAGCAAAAGACUGUGCAACAUCAAAUUAAUUGAUAAGUUUGUAAUUCAGUAAAUUAACAACUUUCAUGGUAAAAUACAACAAAUUUCUUUAAAAAAAAAAAAAUCUUAAAAGACAGCAUUCAAUUUUGUGCGCAUCUUAUUUCUUAAGAUUUUCCAGGAGGGCAAUAGAGGGACUUUCACCUAUGCAAGAGAGCAGAAGCCUUACUUUCGCUAUAAAGUAGACGUCAUUCUGAUUAAUAUGCAUUUGCAAAUCAGCUCCAUUUGAAUCAGUAUUCUGAUAGACACAUGAGGCAUUUACAUCCAUUUCCAAAGUCACAUGUUGAGAGGAGGACUCAUUUGAUUGCUCCUCUAGGACCAUCUAAUUCAAGUAGCAAGGGAUGGAAGAGAAUAAAAAGUCACAAUUAUUCUUUUGCAUAAGUGAGACGAAAAUGAUAAAUGCAAUAUUAUCAGCAGUAAACAAGAAGAGAACACUCCAAGGAAUAGAUAGAUGCGGACAAGCAAGUUAAAAUGCACAGUUCCAAACCUCCGCAUACAACUUCUCUAAAAUAGCAAUAACGUGUUGAUGAUAUGUUUUCUCAGCAUCUACCUGCAAAGGCCCGAGACCAGGAAAACAACAAUAAAACCACUAGCUAAAGGAGAAAGUAAAGAAAGAAAUACACUUGACAUAAAUCUUGACAAGAAGCACAAUUUAAGACAUAACAAACCCCAAUCAUAUUGUUUAGAACUACCAUUCAUUAUUUCGUUAUUGUAGCAUUUCGAACAAGUGUUGACUUAAUUCAACAUUGUUGGAAAGAUAGGCUUUUAGAAGCGGAAGAAAGCCACUCAAACCAAAGUGAUUGUCCUUGUAUUGAUCAAGGGAUGUAAACAUAUUACAUUUGCAGGAUGAGUUUUAAUCACUUCCUGAUUUAUUUGGGUUGCAGUAAAACUAAGCGAGCAACUGUUUGACUUUCAAGCAACAUCUAAAUCAGCUAUUAAAAUUCAAAUAAAAUUAUAAUAGAAUAAUAACAGGCCAUCUUGCAUCAAAAUUAAGUUUAAUUUGUGAAUUUUUUUCUAUAGACAUGUUAGUUCCUGCUAUUGAAAUGUUAAAAGCUUUGAAAAAUUAUUCAAUAAAUUAUGCAAACAUUAAAAUAGAGGACAUAUUAAAAAGUUUCUAAUUACAAUGUUAAGAUUUCCUAUAUUUUAGCAUUUGCAUAUUUUAAUUUAUUUAAAAGCUACGUCGAUCAACUUUGGGCGUGAAGAUUUUAGCUUCUACGAGACUUGAUUGGAAUAUGCAUAAGGAAGAGUGUUAAAAUAUGAUGCAUCCAACGAAAGACAAACCAUGUGUAGUCUUUUAAUUAAGCCAAAGUAGCAGCUCAAACAAAUGACACUUGGACCAACAUGCAAUCAUGAAGUGGCCGGAAAAAGGACAAAUGCAACUUUGGCUUAAAUAAAAAAUAACAUGUGACUUGACUUUUCCUGGACAUGCAUCAUGUUAUUACAAGACAACAGAAAUCAGUAUGAUAGUACUAAAAGUUGACAAUAACAUGAAGAUAAGAGGCAGAAUGUCAACACAUGCAUAGGCACACACAAGAAAGUAUUAACAUAUAUACCAUAGCAAAAAGUCUUUGAUAUGUCAUCUGUUGCUGCUGUGAUUCAACUGACAGCAUGGCAGCUGUUGCUUCUCUACCAAGAGCCAUUAUUGUAGAUUUAAGCUCGGUCAAUCUUGCUUCUGCAUUUCGAAGCUUCACAGCACUCUCUGCUGAUAUAUCAGAUUCCCUUAUCUUUGAUCGGUGCCUAAAUACUUCAGCUGCCUGGUGAAAAUAUUCAAUAUAAAUCUAACAUAAUUCUCAUCUUGCCUUAUACAUGCAUAUGUUACCUCAAAGCUUGCCUGGGCUUCAACUUCAUGUCGAAGUUUGUCAUAACGAUGAGUCAGGUGUCGAGCAUCUUCCAAAGGUGCUCCGUUGAUUAACGCCCAUAGUGGCUUAGAUACCUACAUGUCCAAAAACCUGUAACAUAGUUAGAAAAAUGAAAAGAAAGAGCGAAACCUCAAUUAAAAAGUUCCUCCAACAUAAUCAUGGAAUUUGGGCCUACUUCAAGGAUAUAUAUAAGGAUAAUUUAUGCAAUUUUGGGUCUUAGGAUGAUUCAUAUUAGGUUAGUGUUCUUCUCUUCUGUAUUUAAGGUUAAAAUAGAAAUAAACCUAUGCAAAUAUCUAAAUUAGGGCUGUAAGACUUCCACAUGCAUCCUUCAGUCUCAUGGAUUUGAUUUUACUAUAGAUGCAAGUGUCUUUAUCGAAAAUGCUUGGAGUCAAUUGAGAGAACUCACAGCCAAUAACUUGUCACAUGCUAGUCUUUGCUAGUGAUGCAAGAAGUCACAAGGUCUCUUCAACAUUUGAACCAAUAAAAUUAUUAAGUCAUGGAUGUCACUAGCAAUGAUUUCAAUAUAAAACAUUAAAUAUUUCAAGUUGUAACUUUAAAAUGGAUUCUUUUAUUCAAUAUCUUAGAACUAAGUUUCCUUAUGAGAAGAUAAUAGUUUCAGUAGUAAUUUACAUGAAAUUUUCUAUAUUUGAAUUAUUUUCUAGUUAGGGAUGAACUAACCUGAUCAUGAAGAAUCCCAAGCAAAGUUUCCCUCUCAUUUUCCAUCAAAUCAUGUGAAGUGCCAAAUUGAAGAGCAGCUCUUGCAGCGCAAGAAUUGUCACUUUGAUUCUCCGCUCCAUACUUGCAACAAUCUUCAGCCAACUUUCUCGCUACAAUAUUUGAAUACAAAAAUAUUGUACACAAGAACCAGUCAAGAAAAUAAAAAAAAAUCAAAUAUUAUAACGAGAGCAAGAGCAAACAAACAACCUAUUUCCAUUUGUUUCAAGCUUACUGCAACAAACCCUUCAAUGCCACGGACAAUAUUCCUCUGAAAAUGCUGUGCUACAGAGCAUAUAUUCCAAAUUAUUGUUCAGAUAAAACCAUAGAAACCAUCAUAAUUAUCAACAUACAUUAAGCUCCGUUUGGUAAAUACUUGCAACUUCAGUCUAGAAAAUACAGUUGUUUGUACCAUAUUUGACAAAAUUAUUAUUUAAAAAUCAUAACUAAUUACCAAAAGCCACAAUAAAUCAAUAUCAAACAGAGUCUUAUUAUUAGCUAAAGGAGGAUGGUGCCUUAGCUGCCCUGGUGGAAUUGUAUAGAUUUUAAAGUUGUUGGUGACACUCAAUUUCAGCUUCAUGAACCGCAAUAUUUUCAAUACCAAGAUGGAGCAGAUGCUUCAAUACUGCCUGUACAAAUCAUAAAAAACUAAUAAAAAUAAAUAAAAUCGAGAAAUUUCACUAACUAAAAGUCUAAAUAUAAUUUUUGAAAAAAGAAAAGAAACGGACUUGCUGCUGCUUGGCGACUUGUUCUCGGAGCUUGAUUGCCUGUUUCUUGAUAGCUUCCAUACUGUUUCUUUCAAAAAGCAACGACGGCUCAGCUCAUGGAGGUGGAAAAAAAAAGUGUGAUCGAGAAAAAUAAAAAGGCAUGAAUAAUUUUUGACAAAAAGCGAAAAAUAAAAAGGCAUGAAUAAUGAAUAAUUUUUGACAAAAAGCUCUUUCCAGAAAAUAAAAAAAGAAAAAAGAAAAAAGAAAAUUAUAAGUUUGAAAGGAGUAGAUGAUAGUGGAAGUGUGGGGUAAUUUUUAAAAACCUCCCCUGAGGUUUGGGCUUGUUGCAAGUAGAUGACGAGAAUUGAUUUAUUUGUAAAAAACCCCCUACCGUCAGUUAAUUUUAACAUUGACAGUUAGUUGACCGUGCAAAGACAAUAUUACCCUUAACAAUAGUUUGUAAACGAAAAUAACUAAAAAAAAACCAAAAUUAUUAGCUAUUUUACCCUCUUUAAAUUAUUGAUAUUUUCUUAAAGUUCCUAUAAAAAAGAUAAAAUUAAAAACUUGAAAAAUCAUCUUUAAAUUAUUAAUAUUUUCUUAAAGUUCCUACAAGAAAGAUAAAAUUAAAAACUUAAAAAUGAAAUAGUCAUAAUCUUUACCUAUGAUAUUGUAAAUCUUUAGAAUUGACAAGGAUAAAAUUAUCAAAAAAUAGGGUUUGUGCUUUUCGCGCCAACAAUUUUAAUUUUUUUUUAUAGUUAUUUUCAUUUACAAACUAUUGUUAAGGGUAAUAUUGUCUUUGCACGGUCAACUAACAGUCAAUGUUAAAAUUAACUGACGGUAGGGGGUUUUUUACAAAUAAACCAAUUAUCGCCAUCUACUUGCAACAAGCCCAAACCUCAGAGGAGGUUUUUAAAAAUUACCCUGGAAGUGUGCGGUGUGGCUGCCAGCUACUUGGAUUGUAUUGUCGGGUAAGGUAAUAGUAGAGAAUUUUGUUUUUGAAGAAAAAUGGGUAAUUUUUAAAAACCUCCCCUGAGGUUUGGGCUUGUUGUAAGUAGAUGGCGAGAAUCCAUUUAUUUGUAAAAAACCCCCUACGUUUUUGCUCCGCUUGGUUGCCGUUUGUGCAAUUAUGGGCAUUGUUGACAUUUCUCAAUAAAACAAAUCUUUUGCAACUUUCGUUGCCUUGAGAACAAUAGCUAGAUUUCUCAAUCUGUUUCAUCCAACACUUCAAAAAUUUCAACUUUUAUGAGUUAUUGCAUUCUCUGGCAAAGUAGACUUCUUCUAAUUUUAUCACAGUGCUUUCAGGAACAAGAAUGGGAUCCAUUAACAUCCCCUCAAAUUUUACAGCUUCCUUACAGCUAUACACUGCUGUAACACGAAGUUUAAUGAUUCCAUCGCCAAAUAGUCCCCAAAAUCUAUUCUUCCCCAUAUUGAACAACUUAAGUUCACAACACUUGCAUUCUAAAGGCUUCCCACUAACAUCUAAUAUCUCAAGACUCAACGUUGCUUUACAAUAAUUGUUAUUACUACCAAACAAACAUGAAGAAACCCCGAUUAUCGGAUAAAUCAACCCAAAAUGAACAAGAGAAGAACCCAAAACAAGUGAAUCGCUAGAGCAAAACCCCCAACCCAUAUCCCUAAUCCCACACUCAAAAAAACCCAAUUUCUCUCCAAAGUCAUUGACACUAGCAUCACUACUAGACUCUAAUUCCAAUCCUAGAUUACAUUUAAUGUUAACCCAACUAAAAUGAAUGUUCUUACUACAAUACGCAUCGUUUACACUCUCAAACAACGCGCUGAACUUACUCUUAAACGAUCCCACAUUGGUCAAACACUCAUCACUCACAUCGACAUCCAAGAAUUCACUCAAAAACUUCAUAGACUCGACAAUUGGAGAAAACAAAACCACUAAACUCAACUUUAUACAAGCAUACCCAUCGAGAAUCUUACCGUCAUUAACCGAAUCACAACAAAUCACCGGGUCCCACGCGCAGUCGUGAACGAGCUUACGCAUGGACGGGGCAACAUUUAACCCCCGCGGCAAAAACGACGAAGCUUUGGAAAAAUUGUGUUUUAGAGCUGGGUUGAGGAGUAGAGAUUGGAGAGAUUGGAAGGUGGAAUCGGGACGGUCAAAGGAUAGAGAGAGAGAAGGGAAGGGGAUCUUUAAAAGAGAAGUGGGGAGAGGGAGGAGAAGAAGGAUUUGAAAGAGAAAAGAGAGGAACGGAGAGGCGGGAAUGAGAUUAAGGUUUUCACUGCAACUAAAAGAGUAAUCAUGUAUGGCUCUUGGUCUUGGAGAUGAAGGAGAGGAUUCAGGUCGAUUAAGAGGACUAUACGCUGCAUUUUGGUGUAGUCUGCCGCCAUUGGUAGAAGUUUCGAAGUGGGUUUCUGUUUAGAUCCGAGUUUGACGAAGAAACGUGGUGGUUGCGCUUGGGACAAUAUUGUUUUUGCACUGGUCAAUGUAAAAAUUAAACGACGGUAGGGAGUUUUUUUAUAAAUAAAUGAAUUCUCGCCAUUUAUAACAAGCCGAAACCUCAAAAGAAGAUUUUAAAAAUUACCCGAAGAUUCGAAAAAUAGUAGAGAAUUUUUUAAAAAGCUAGAACAGAGCAUGUUAGGCUUUUGUGGACCAAAUUCAAAAGCCAAAGGGCACGGCCCAAAAGCUUUUGAAUACAAUAACUUACUAGAAAGCUCCAUUUUUUGUUGGCUACAGUAAAAGUAUGUUGUUUUAUGCUUCUUAUAUGUUACGCUUAAUCGCUUGCUUUAACUGCAUCGCUCUCUGUGUACUCUUCUACACAUGUAACGGUUAUGCGGUUGUAGUUCACGGCUGAGGCUACGUGUUGGUUUGACGCGGCAGUUACGUUACGACAUUACGAGUCCGUUAAACAUUCGGUGAUAGAGCAUUAUUAGUUAUUUUAAGGAGACAAAUAAGAUUGGUUGCAAUAAACCCACUAAUUUUAUAAAAUUCGAGUAAUAUAGAAUAAAAUAAAAAAAUAAAUACAAAAUUGGCUUUUAUUUUUUAUGGUUGACUGUAUUUUGUGUUCUCUUCCGGCACUACUACAAUUGUUCCCUAUAUAUCAGUCACACCCAUAUAUCAUCAAUACAAGAAAUGAAAUCUAAUGUCACCUAUUUAGUUAAAGAAUUACUCAUGAAAAAAUUUUACCAUUUUACUUUGAGGAUCCAUAUUUUGAACUGCAAGCUAAUGUUCAUCAAGAAUCACUAAUGUUCAUAAAAAACAGAGCAUGGCCGUUGAGUAGAAAAACUAUUUUUGGACAAAUUAUUUUUGUUGAUAGAAGAAUUUCUUAAGGGACUACUAAUAUUAUGAAUAACAAUGUAGAACACACCCACAUAUCAUCGACACAAUUGACUUUAAGGAUCCAUGCUUUGAAUUGCCACCUAAUGUUCAUCAAGAACAGAGUAUGCCUUGUGAGUAGAAAAUUUUAUGAUUUUGGUCCGAAAUAAAAAGAAAUUAAAUUAGAUGAGAAUCUGCCACUUUCUCAUAAAGAAAGGCAUACGGAGCAUACCAUGGUACCAUACAAUACAAAGAGUCUCUAUUCUCUGGUUUUUCAAACUCUGAAGGGGCCAAUAUUCCCGAAUUCUCCCUUGAAAAUUCUGAUUACAACAUUAUUCAAUUCUUGACACAAUCAAAGUAGCGACAAAGUUAAGAAAAAUAUGAGUCCUAAGUAAUGGCUAGGUAGGGUUCUUGAGAGCAAAAUUGUCCUAAGCAUUAUAUGCAUACAUGGUGUGGUACAUAGAGCACGUUGAAUUCCACACUAUAACACAAACCCAGAAAGACAAGUAAUAACUCAACUGAUAUAAAGACAAAAAGAAGAUAAAAUGAUAUAGAAAAAAGAAUUUCAAAGCGACAGCAACAUACGAUAGACUGAAGCCACUUGAUCUGCUCACUGAUUGCAGCCUUAAACUUACAAAUAGUUACUGUACGCUAGUGCUCUAAGAAGUGAAAAUGAUAAGAGACCUGAUUCCCUUUUGACUUCCAUUUACUGUCAAACAUUCUAGUAAUACAAAAAAUUGUUUAGAUAUCUUGCUAUAAAUAUAGUCGUUUGACUGUCAUAAUAAAGUCACAAAUAACCAUUCAUAUUGAUCCACUGUCACACAGCAUGCUUUAUGCAUACAACAUCUGCAUGUAUACCAACUCCUAACCUUAUCAAUACAUUUGGCAAAAAAUUAAGAAGAAAACUAUUUCUCCAUCUCUUUUUUGAAAUUUCACAAUAAACCAGCACAUUGUGAAAGCUAUGUUCUAAUCUUAUGAUAAAUGCUCUAGACUCCAAAAGGAUUUUAUUUAUGAGAGUUUGUUGCAGCAGAUAUAUUGACUUAUCAAGUAUGAAUCAUUGUCUGGAUGAACUAUCUUUAAAUAAAAGAAUAUUAGAACCACUGUAGAAUAUCUUUACGCUGCUGGUUCUAACAGGAAUCUGCAUGUGGCAACAAUUGCUAGAUCCACAAUUCCCCAACUUGAAAUACAUAGUUGCACACCGUGAGAUAGUGCUGCAAUCUACUGAGAUCUAACUUAUUUGAUACUUUAAGCUACUAAUGUUUGCAUAUUUCUACAUGUUAAAUUGACACUACCAUCUAUAAUCACCCCAAAACGACAAAUGAUAAGCAGCUUUUGGCCACUUAUUACUAGCAUCCACAACACAAUUAUAAAUAAGAGAUCAUGGGUUUACUUGUUGCAACUACUUAAUGAUCUGCAUUUGAGACCCUGACGCAAGGUUUAAAUAGUGACUGCUUAGAACCCUUGUAGUUGGAUCUUGACCUCUCCCAUUGUAGCCAAGAUUGGCUACUCUGGUAAUGAAUCAACACUCUCCUGCUUAUUUUUUUGUUUUUAAAAAAUAACGAAAUCAUAAAAUAAAUAAACACGUGUUUGGUUUUGGGCAUUUUCUUUUGUUCAUUUAAUAUCAUCUGGCUCCCUGAUUUUUUACUAAUUAACAACGGAAUCCUGUUAGUUUCUAAAUUGAAAUAAUAAAAGGUCACGAGAUUAUUUACUCCAUUUAGCACUGUAGACUUAGAGUAUAUUGAAAAAGCUUUGUCAAAUAGUAGUAAUAGGGGCAUAAUAAAUAAGUUUUUCAGAAUUUACAUAAUGUACUUGGCUCUAGGAAGAUUGCCCUCUUAUCACUCAAGUUAGGUUUUGCCUUAGAGUUGAGGUAAAUCAUUAAAAUAAAUUAUAGCUAUUACAAAUUCGUUAGGAGAAUUUCAAUUUUUUUUCCAUUAAAUGGCUAUGAUGCAAAAUUACCUCAGCUUAUAUUGCAACACUAAUACUUCAAAUCCUAACAAUAAAAUUGAUGACAAUGGUUUUUAUGUAUAGUAAUUUUCACUCUUUUGUUUGAUCUAAAAGUAGUUCUUAAAAUGACAAUGAUGACUUAUUUAGAAGAAAUGGCAAACUUAUAGUUUGUAAUAUUGUUUGCACAAACAAUAAAGACUAAUUUGAUAAUAAUGAAGUGUUAAUUACUAUUUAACAUUUUUAAUUAAUUUUUAAAUUUAAAAAAAAAUGAAGGCCGAAACUUGUGCAUUAAAUUUUAAUUAAAAGUUGAUUGCUUCGAAGGUUUGAUCGUGACAAAUUGACAAUUGAAAAAAGAAGUAGGGAAUAUAUAUUCUGAUGAAAGGGACAAGAUUAAGCAAGGGGACAAUAUUGUCUAUUGGACCUACAAAUGGGGGCAAAGAUAUAUAUAUUCCAAAAUUUCUUAUUUGUGGAUUGGCCACCACGUGUAACUAAUAUAAAAAGAGAAAAUUUGGCAUGGUUUUAACCGAUAUAAGGGUCCGUUUGGGAUUGAGGUGUUGUAGCUUUUAAGCUAUAGCUGUUGUGGAAAAAAAACUGUAAGUAUUAAAUAAAAGUUAAUAAUAUAUAGUAAAUAUAAAUUUUAAAUAAUAAUUUUGAUGAAAUUAUUAAAGAUAUAAUAGAUUUUCUAUUAUACAAAUGAAAAUUCAUAUCAACAUAGCUUAAAAGUUACAGCAGUUAGUGUUUACCAAACACUUUAGUGCUGUAGCUUUUAAACUACAGCUGCCCAACCUCAAUCCCAAACGCACCCUAAGAAGAGAAAAUUUUGAGUGUAUAAGAAGAGAAAAUUUUGAGUGCACAACAAGAACAAAGCAAAACCCAUGAAAAUUCACCUUUCAUGUGGGUUGGAUUGGAUAAAAUCAAUAUCUUGAAUCAAACAAAAUGUUUGGUACUUGAAGGUUUUUUUAACAUUUUCAUUUUUUUUUUCCAUUUAUGAAGUCCAAUUUUUUUUUUAAUUUUGAUUUUUUUGAAUGAUUUUGAAGGUGUUGAUAUAAGGUCAUCGAAGGUUUGUGAACUUGGGGUGUUGAAUUAUAAGGCGAAGCGUGUGUUUUAUCCAUUUGAAGCAAGUAAAUUUCGCUGUCGGUAUGAUUACUAUUGGGCUUCUAUCUUCAAGGUAUUCAUACAUUUUCCCCUGUACUAUAAGCUUCUUAGUGGCGGUCUUGUGAGCGGAAGUGAGCGGUGUGGCUGACAGCUUCUUGAAAAUUAUAAGUUUGAACAGAGCAUGUUAGACUUUUGUUAACCAAAUUCGAAAGCCAAAUGGCACAGCUCAGAAGCUUUUGAAUUGAAUAACUUACUAGAAAGCUCCAAUUUUUUGUUGGCUACAGUAAAAAGAGGUUGUUUUAUUCUUCUUAUACUUUACGCUUGCAUCAGCUUAAAUCACUUCUUAAACGCUUUGCUUUAACUCCACCGCUUCGUACUGUUCUAUAUAUGUAUCGGGUAUGCGGUUGUAGUUCACUACUGAGACUACGUGUUUGUUUAACGUGGAAGUUACGUUACGAGUCUGUUAAAACAUUCGGUGAUUAAAGUAUUAUCAGUUAUUUCAAAGGGACAAAUAAGAUUAGCUACAACACACACUAGUUUUAUAAAAUUCGAAUGAGAUGGAAUAAAAUAAAUAAGUAAAUUGACUUUUAAUUUAGUGCUUGAAUAUAUUUUGUAUUCUCUUUGGGCACUGCUGUAAUUGUUCCUUAUCACACCCAUAUGUUAUAGACACAAGAAAUGAAAUUUAAGAUCACCAGUUUAAUUAAAGAAUCACUCAUGAAAAAUUUUUGCCAUUUUGAUUUGAGGAUCCACAUUUUGAACAACCAACUUAUGUUCAUUAAGAACAAAGCAUUGCCUGUGAGUAGAAAAAUGAUUUUUGAACAAAUUAUUUUUUGUUUAUAGAAGAAUUUCUCAAGGGACUAUUAAAAUUACUAAUAAAAAUGUCAGACACACCCAUGUACCAUCGACAAAAUUAACUAUGAGGAUCCAUGUUUUGAACUGCCACCGAAUGUUCAUCAAGAACAUAGUAUAACUUGUGACAAGAAAAUUUUUUGAUUUUGGCCUAGAACAAAAUGAAAUUAAAUUGAAGGAGAAUCUACUACUUUCUCAUUAAGAAAGGCAAACGGGGCAUACCAUGGUACCAUACAAUACAAAAAGUUUCUGUUCUCUAGCUUUUCAAACUCUGAAGGGGGCAAUAUUCCCCAAUUGCCUUGUGAAAAUUCUGAUUACGACAUUAUUCAUCGCUUGAUACAUAAGUAAAAGUAGUGAUAAAAUUAGAAAAAAUAUGACUUAUAAGUAAUUACUAGGCAGGGCUCUUGAGAGCAACAUUGUGCUAGGCUUUAUAUGCAUACAUUGUGUGGUACAUUCUACACUAUAACACAAACCCAGAAAGACAAGUAAUAUCUCAACUUAUAUAAAGACAAAAAGAAGAUAAAACGAUACAGAACAAAGAAUUUCAAAGAGACAGCAACAUACAAUAGACUGAAGCCAGUUGAUCUGCUCGUUGAUUGCAGCCUUAAACUUGCAAAUGUUUACUGUAGCCUGGUGCUCUAAGAAGUGAAAGUGAUGCAAACCUUGAUUCCCUGUUUACUUCCAUUUACUGUCAAACAUUCUAUUCAUACGAAAAAAAUUGUUUAGAUAUCUUGCCGUAAAUAUAGCCAUUUGAUUGUCUUAAUAAAGCCACACACAACCAUUCAUAUUGAUCCACAUUGCCAUAUAGCCUGAUUUAAGCAUACAACAGCUGAAUGCAUACUGACUCCUAACCUUAUCAAUACAUUGGAGACAACUUAAGAAUAAAACGAUUUCUCCAUCUCUUUUUUUGAAAUUUCACAAGAAAACAGCACAACGUAAGAGCUGCAAUGAAAAUGGACCGUCAAGAACUAUGGCGGAAGCUUCAACUAGUGUAGUGAUUUGACCUUCUUAUUAACUUUGCGAUAUCAAGCACUGCCCUUCAUCUUGAACAGAUCAAUACAAUACGCACAACUUAUGAUUGAAUCCAGAAACAAUCAAAUCUUUAGCAAGAAAAAUUAAUCAGAAUCAAGAAACAAGUUCAAUGAAUAUAAACCUAUAAUUGGAACAAACACAGCCAAAGAACCCAAGAAUGACACAACCUACACCACGGGAGAAGCUUUCCAGUGAGAUUUUAUUGAUGAUCAAAGAAGAAUCUUUUUACAAAGCUAACAAAAGAGAUUUCAGAGAAUAAGCUAUGACUCUCUCUCUUCAAUCUCUCUCUAGUUUGUUCACAGUGAUGACCCCAAUCUGCUUCGUUAGCCAGCUUCAUAACUGCGUCAGUGACAAACUAAAAAACCCAGAUUGAGCAGAUUACCGACACGUGGAUAACGGCUAUUAAGAACUUGGUUAAAGAACUGCUCACAUAUUCGUCACGCGUGUUACUUAAAUGAUGGCCAAAACGACUUCAACAAGAUGCCGUUUUGAAGCUUGUGAAUUAUAAUUGAAAACACGUGCUUGUCUCGUGACACUUAAAUACAACAACAAGCCCAAAACACUGCCGUUUCACUUUGUUGAGUUUGCCAUCUCUAAGCUUCACAACUAGCAACGGAGAAGAUGAUAAUUAAAUUGACAUGGAGAGUUUUUAUAUCACUUUUACAACAUUCUAUAUAAUUGUGAUAUUGGGAAUCGUCGAUGUUGUAUAUGUGAACUCUCAUUGGUGACACUGGUGGUUUUAUUUUUGUUGAAAUAUGGAUGACAUUUCGUUACUAUUUUAUUGUACACAACAUUUUGUUACUAUUAACAUGUUAGUUUCAUUAGCCACUAGGCCUUUGGCUGAGUCAUUCGGGUGUCUGCCCUCCAACUUGGAGGGCAGCAAUUUGAACCCCCACAAGCGCAAUGUUGGGUAUUUUUUUCUUUAAUCCCUCGAAUAUUAGUGAAGGUUAAAAUCUAGGCAGAACUCCAUAAGUAUUGAUGUAAGUUGGUUUCAGUAAUAGUCUAAUUUGUAAAUAUCAGUUAUAAUCUCAUAUAAGAUGAGUUGUAAUUUGAGCAAUAGUCUCAUAGAAUAAUAAUAAUAAUAAACAUGUUAGCUUCAUUACAUUUUUCUUCGUUAAAAUUCUCAAGUAUUAGUCAGGUUUGCUAAAGUAAUAAAAUUUUGCCAUUAAAAUUGUAGUAGUAUUUCUGAGCACCUCACAUUUUCAAUGAUUUUUCAUAAAUCAAUUAAUCUGUCGUACCGAUAUCAGGUUUAGUUUUUCAUACUAAACAAUCAAGAAAGCAAACAUACGAAUUCACAGUUUAGAGGGGUAAACUAGGUAGGUGGUUUAGAUUUUAGAACUAGGCUAGCUACCCCACUAAAUUCCAAUUUGUACAGUGAACUACAAGAAAUUGAGAAAACAGUGUAUUUAUAGUUUAAUUGAAUCGUGAGAAAGCAAUGUAGUCAUAGCUCAAUCUGAGAUGAUCACGGAGAGGCAUAUUCUUUUCAAGUUAAUUUGAUCAAUUUAUAAGAGAUGAAGUGGAUUGAAGUUAAAAGUUUAAAUAACAAAUCCUUGUUCUUGAGUUUUACGACGUCGUUACUCCUUCAAGAGGCAGAUUAUUUAUGCAAGUGAAUGCAGAAACGCAAUGCAUCAUCCACGGGGAUGGUACAUCAAAAGGCGGGAUCAUAGUCUAUGCCCGCAGAUUAACAAUUUCGCUCAUAUAGAAAAUUAAUUUUUUAUAUAUACUAAUCAACACUAAAUUGAUUGUGUUUUGUAUGUUUAUAUGCGAAUCAACACUAAAUUAUAUUAAAUGAAGAAAUAAUUCAAUUUUUUCUAAUUUAAUUUAGAAAAUAAAAUUAUUAACAUUAAUAUUCCCAAAAAAAAUUAUUUUCCAUUAGUAUUCAAAGUCUUCACUUAUGGAAAAUGUGUUUUACCUGAAUAUUAGUUACCGUGUAAAUUUGAUUGAUAGUGAAAAAUAAUUUUUUAAUUAUUGUAAAAAUAAUUAACCAUAUCAAAUCCCUUACGUAAAUAAUUUUUAUUUUUCAAAAAGGUAGAAAGAUGGUUAAUGCACAAGCAAAUUUUAAGCCCCUCUCUUCUUGGCCUAAGAUUCAAACUCAGAUGACUAGUUAAAUAAACCUAUGUGAAAUCAUUUGGCCAGGUCCGCGGGGAAAAAAUACAAGAUCCUUAAUUUCAUAAUAUAUAUGAAUUAAUGUCAUUUACUUGAAUUAUCCAAAUUCAUCAGAGGUUAACGAAUUUUCCUGACAUGUAGUAGAUGAAGUUGUUGCUUCCUUCUUGGCAUUAUUUCAGCUCUGGUUGUUGGUCCCGAUGAGCUUUAGUCUUAUUUUAAUUUUAUUUAAACUCAUCAUAAGAUUCGUGGAGCAGCUAACUGACUUAACUGACUGUGCAGAAAUGUCACAUAGCAUAUUUAACCGUUUUAACAGUAAUUUUGAACGGUCUUCGCAAUUAUCAUCUACAAACUCGUUCGUAUUGGUCCAAUCUUCCGGACGAUAUCAUAUGCCUAAUAAUGAAUGAAUGGUCUUGGAUCGGUGUUUCGCAGCAAGAGCAACUCGACAAAAUCUGGAGUCAAGCUCCUCCGAUCGAACAAGGGAUUUCGAUUGAUGAUUGAGUUCCUUUGUGCUCAAGCAACUUCAAAUCAUAGUUUUGAUUCUUUAGAUAUGAAUUCAUCACAUUACAUAUAACAGAUUGAGUUAAACAAAAUUUUAAUUUACUGAGAAAAGAAUUCUAUUUUGUGAACUAAUCAAUUGCAAAGCAUUAGUGUUGAACGAUACAAAAAAUUGGGAAAAGAAUUCUAGCCGUAUUGACUCCACCGAAAUUUCCACAAAAGCAAAAAAAAAAAAAAUAUAUUCCACAAAAUGCAAAACGUAUGGAACUUAAUUUUUGGCCCUGUGAUCACUAAGAUACAAGGCAAAUUUUUUUAGAUCUCUCCGACAAAGUGAUUACCAUCUAAUCGCAAUAUUGAAUAAAAAUAAAAAUUUUAAUGGGAGUUUGACCUUAAAUUUAGAAAAUGAAUUUUCACUUUCUUCAAUUAUUAAACAGAUUACAGACAUUUGAGGAAUUUGAAAACACUUUAUCCAUCGAAAGUUAAAAUUAGAGAUGGAAGCUAGGUGCUACAGCUAAUGGGAUCAUUAAUUCCCCUCCCUCAAAUGUGUAGUUGUUCCUCUUUCCACAGCAUAAGCCUUAUAGUUAGAGUUUCUUUUUAAAAAAAAUGUUAAACAAUUUCGGUUGAGCAUGGUUUUGGUAGUUGAAUAGACACCUCCGCCGUACCUCAAACAAAACUGUCAUUAUUCGAGUCAUGAAACAUGUUUCGGCCGUCAAAGUCAUGAGUAGGAGUGGGCAUGGGUUGGUUUGGGUUAGGUUUUAAGUCAAUUCAAACCAAACUAUAAAAAUUUGGGUUCAACCCAAACCAACCCAAAUAUUUUUAACCCAACCCAAACCAACCUAUUUGGAUUUGGUUUGUGUUUGGGUUUGAUUUGAAUUUUAUAAUUAAAAUAUUUUUUAUUUUAAUAAAUUUAACUAUAUCAAAUUAUAAUAAUUAUUAAUUAAUAUUAAUUAUUAAAUUAAUAUUAAAAUAUGAAAAAAUGUAGUGGAUAAAAAUUAUGAAUAAUGGAUUUUACAAUAACUUUGUUCUUAAAUAUUAACCAUAUUACAACAUAAAUUCUAACAAUGUCAAUACAAAUUAAAGUAAGAUAAGAUAUCUCAACUCAAGUAUCAAAGCAAUCCAUCAAAAUUAAAUUAUUUAAUUUUAUAAAUUUAAAUCUUCCGAGAAAUAAAUCUAAAAUUUAUUGUAAUUAGAAAACGCGUCAAAAUUUUAAACGCAGUAAGAAAAAUUAGACAUAAAAUCUAAUUAGGUUUAAAUUUAAUUAAAAAAUAACAAUAGAAUCAUAUUUUAUUUGAUAAAAUCUUAAAAUCAAUUUCAUUUAUUUUAGUAAGUUACAAUACAAAUAGGAUUAUAAAAUUAUAUUACAGGAUUUCAUAAAAAUGUUGUUUGAGUAAUUUAUUAAAGGACUCACCUACGUUGCCACAGUUGUAGCUUACCACGCUUUUUGUCUUUUUCCAGUAAAAUCGUAGGAUGCUUUCAAAUUUAAUCUAACGGAUGCAAUUAAUUAUUAGAUAAUUUAAUCAGCCAUUGGCAACCUUUACAACCGGUUAUAUUCUCUCGUUACAUUUCUCGGCUACCAAACAAUCCCCAAGAAAAUGACGAAGUGAGUAACUAAUACACACACCGCAGAGAAAGAUGACAGGAGAUGAGAUGACGGUAGGCCCACCGGCACAAAGGUUCUUCGAUUGCUCUAUUUCUUCGGCGCCGGAUUUAUCUACACAACUACAAUCGACAAGUGGCGGGAACUCGAGCGGAAGUCAUUGAAGAAGAAACAUCAAGAGAGCAAUCUAUGGACUGAUGAUAACUCAGCAACUACGGUAAAGAAAGCCGUCAAAUGAUCUUUUUAUUUGACUUUUGAUGGAUUUUCAAGAGUUUUGGUAAUAAAAUGUCUCUUAAUUUUUCAUGUCAAUGGCCUAUUGUUUGAGUUAUUAUUAUGCAUAAUUGUUGGAAGAGUUAGGAUUUUACUAUUGGAUUUUGGAAUUUGUAUUUUGGCUUUGAUAUGUUAUUGUUGUGAUGUCGGUCAAGAAAUUUUUGACAACACUCUCCUCGAGUUUGAUACUAUAGCUAAUGAAUUUUUAUGGCAGAUAUAGCUAAUGAAACAAAAAACACUUUAUAACUGGUUAUGCAUUCAUUUAGGAGCUAUUAACUGAGCGUGAGUUCCAUAAUUUUCCAACCAGUGGUUAGGGUUUCACAGAAAAAUGUCGACAUUGAUCUUUAGGCAGCACUUAAGACUGAAAUUGGUUGUAGAGGAUCGAAUUUGGGGAACUAGAAAUUUCUGAUCAUUAAUAAUUGAAAAUGGCCUCUCACUUGUAGGCAGUUGUUGGAUGUAAUGUAUCCAGUUUUUGAAAUCGAAAGCAGAGUGAGUUCUUAGGUUAGAUGUACCUACAUGCAUUAAGGUUCGAAGAUGUAGAAUAGGCCAAUUGUUUGAUGUCAGCUUUGUUGCACAUGUUCUGAAAUUGAUCAUUUAAGAUGGCUUGGAAGCACUCCGUGAUGUGACUAAGAAGAUUCGAGGAAGUAUUAAAUAUGUUGAAAGUUCACAAUUAAUACAAGGAAAGUUCAAUGAGAUCACCCAGCAAGUUGAAAUCAACAGUCAAAAGAGCCUACAGUGUGAUAUUUUUCUCUUGGAUUGUUUUUUUAUUUUCCAUUUCAAAGCUGAUAGUGUAAAUUUUUUGUUUGCAAAAGUUUCUAAAAAGUACUUGAGUCAAGAUGGUUAGGUAUUUCAUAACUUCCUUUUUACUCUUAACUAGAUUCAUACAGAGUUAUAACAUUAACAUAAUUUUUUCUUUUAAAAGUGAUCAAUUAGACACUGAUGAGAUAUCUCACUUUUGAAUCAUUUAGCUUUAUGUAAUUUCAUUACUAUUAUAUGCCCCCAGGAAUUGUUGAAGUAUAUAUAUCUUGGCAUUUCUUCACCGACUGAAUUAUCUUUCAUAAUAUUCCAGCUUCAAAUGGGUACACUGCAGAGCCGAUUGGAUGCAGAAUUCCUUCUAGCUCAUAUGUGCUCUGUAAAAUUCAAAGACUUAAUAGUGGUUAUGGCAACUCUUUUUAGAUGAUCUAAGGUAUAAUGCCCAAUUAUUGCUUUUGCUUUAUCUGUUUUACCUUGCAACAUUUUGAAAUUUAUGAGAAGCAUAAAAUUACUGAGCCAAAAUUGAGGAUCUGAACUUUCGUAAAAAUAUUCAUAUUUUUAAAUUAUAAAAUAUUGCAUUUGAUGUUUUAGGUGGAACUUAGUUCACUACAGAAAGGAAAAUUAUGUUGGGCAUAACCAGAUGCUUUUCAAGAGAAAGUUUCACUGAUAUUUUUCUGAGGAUUUUACUUGGCCAUCUUAUUUCAAGCUGCUUGAAUUUUUUCUUUAUAUCAUCUUGGUUGUAUACUAUAACUCGUUGAAUUUGCUAGCACUUUUGCUAGUUGUUUAUUCUAUAUGUGAUUGUGGUGGUAAAGUUUGGAAGCUCAAAAAGUAAUGGAACUUAGGAAGAGUAUGACAUAGAAUGCUGGAUAAAAUCAAAAUAAUCAUUCUUCAGGCAUCCAAAGAUGAUGUAUUCAAAAUAGCUAGUUUUGACUUUUGAGGCCGUAUAAAUAACUAUUAUCUCACAUGGUUACAUUAUGAUAGGUAGGCACUAGCUUAAUAACUCCAAUUAACUUAAAGUUGUUACCUGAUUUAUUAUGACAGUGUGCAUUACGAUAAGUAUCCUUGCAUAUUAAGAUUUUCCUUCCAGAUCUCUGCGGUACUUUUUGAUCUUUUCCGACAUGAUAUGCGAUUAUGGGAAGCAUAUGCCAUCACCUUACAGGUAUUCUCUUAAUUUUUAGAUAGUGCUCCAGAUGACAUUCAAGUUGGCUAUUAUUGGGUGCAAGAUUUACCAUGCUCUUAUUUUGCUUUUUUAGUCUAACCCGACAUUUGCUUAAUACCAUGAUCUGCUUCAAGCCUUGGAUGAAAAACUUUCAUUUUUUGUAUAUUCUGCAAUGAGAUGAGGGUAGUUUUUCUGAUGAUAUUUGGCAGUAAAUUGGGACUAACUAAAGUAAUUUUCUUAAUGGCAUGUCUACUUCUCAGAUGAAUGACCGUCUGUUCAGACUCCCAGGUGAUGAAUUAACAACCACCGAUCUAUUCUGGGUAAAGAUGAUGACGUUGACACCAAGCCAGUGGAAUGACUAGGACUUCCCUUUUGUUACAAUAAAUUGCGUUCAUUAGACACACGCAGUUAAUUAGUGUAGAUAAAGGAGGUCUAUGCACAAUAGACUGUUUUGUAUUUCGAGAGUCCUUUUUUUGUUUCUUUCAUUCUCCAUUCUUUUGAAAUUAUGUACAAUGGUUAUAUUGUCUGUAUUAUUACGGAUUUAUGAUGGGAGUAUCCUAAGUUUAUGGAAUAAUUAUAAAUAAGGACUUUAAAUUUUUGUUGAAAGAAGUUGAGUGAGAGAAAAGAAGCUAAAGCAGUAAGCAUUUGUUAUACUUCAUUCGAUUGUAUCUAAAUUACAAAGGUUGGUGGCCUUAUUUAUAGUGAAGUUCCCACAGGCCACUUGCACUCAAAACAUUCGAAAUAUGCAAACAUAUUGAUAUAUAAACAUACAGAAUUAAUAUUCUGGAUCCUUGUAAGUAAUGCAAAUAAAAGUGAGGUUGGGGCAGACAAUAUUUACAUCAUGUAUUAAUAGAAAUAAAAUCAAUUAUUUCCAAAUAAAGUCACUUAGUUCAAAGCACGGGCUUCGGUUAAGUUGAACAAGCAAGCCAAUUUUUGUUGUUACUUCAUGAUUGUCGUAAGCUGUGGGUAGUGGAUCGUGUUCCCUAUAAAAGACAAACAGAAGCAUAAGUUUCUCUCAAUUAAGGCACCUGAAAUGUAUUUCCAUGUCUACUAACCUGGUCAUUCGUCCAUGAACUAAACCCUUCUGAGGAUCUUGAAUAGAUUUAUAGAGAUCUCAGAUAAUUUCCUCACGGUGUGCCUGAGUAAAGACAAGUCUUAUGUACUUGAUUACUUCUGGCCAAUCCAUCGAGGCCACCACCUGUCUCAGUCAAUUCAAUCUUUUAAUAGAGUGAAUUACUAGAAUAAAAUUGAUUAAAGUUGAUAUAAAAUCUAAAUUAAAAAAAUCAGAUAAGAGAAUGAUCCAAAAUCCAAAAAAUGAAAUAUUUAAGGAGUGGACUUGUGACCCUCUAUAGAAUCCAUGGAAGAGUAACUAAGGGAAAAACAUUAGAGGUACUUUUGGCGAUACUAUUAGUAUUCUUGUGUUGAUCAUAAUCUUGGGGGUAGAUCUAGACUAAUUAGCUAUUCAUUGAACAUUCCAUUUCUCCGCAAUUACAUGCAAAAGUGCACCUUGCAGUUGCAGCCUAGACCAUAGAAAUAUAGAAUUCCAAUUAUUAACAUCUAAAGCUACUGUAGUGACUUUGCAACCAUGAGAUGAUAUAUACAUAUGCUGAGAUUCAAAUAUUUGAGAAGUUUAAACAUCCUGAUGAAAAAUAGACUAGUUCACAGCUACUUUGGGGAAGUUGAUUUCUACUAGCAGUAGAAAAUACAAGUUUUUUUAAACAUACCUACUCCAGUAAACUCAAUUAACCAAAACAAAACUCAAAGCAUGAAAAAGAGGGAUUUUAACUAACCUAAUCAUUAUCAUUGAUAUUUUAACAUAUUGAUCUUCACAUGGAGUUAACAAACACAAGACUUAGUGCCUAGUACAUAUGUCUGGGGUUGCACAGUCUGUUCGACAAAUUUAUUGAAACUAUAUCCAUGCUCCUUCUCCAAUAAAUAAAUAUCCUCUUGCUUCUUCCAUCCUACUCUAAUUCUUCCUGGAAAGCAUUCUCCCCUUCUCUAAUUCUUCCGAAAAAACAUAACCGACAAUCCUAAACUAAUUACCACCGUUAAAUCUUUCAAACAAAAUUUACAAUUUCUUAUCAGUAGUUUCCUGCCGCAUCCGAUCGAACGGCUCAUCAACGAAUCAAACAGACUUCUUUCCAUCCUUUUUCCAUAUAAUUACAUUUGCCUAAUUCCUAAAGUUUCGGCUCCGCCCAAUGUCGGCCGCAAUUGGCUGCCACAGCGAUAUGUUCAUCUUCAACUUCUCUGCUGCGAUUUCAAAUUUACUUCAGCCUCGUACCACCACACUUCCACUGGCAAUUAAUUUCAUUAUCCGAUUUUACUAUGUGUGGAAUAGAUUUGAGCAAUUUAUGAGUUUUCGCUACGAUUUCGACGAUGUCCUCUCAACACUAAUUUGAUCACCUAAUUUUAACUGUUUUGGGUUAUUUAUUUUUUAUUAUAUUUAUAUACAGUCUCUGCAGACAACCGACUACUUUACUUAUAUGUGGAACUCAUCUGAGCCAUUAGAUGGAGGCCCUCCAGAUCCUACGGCGAUUAUAUAUGAGGACAAAAAGUGUUGUAUGUUGGAACUGUUGCAACGUAGGAGGAUCCUUUAUUAAAAUGUUAAUUUAGUUUUUUAACUCAAGUUGAGACCGUAAAAAGUUGUUAUAUAAUAGUGUAUUGUAUAACCAAUUACAUAUGUAUUUGACUUGUGCAACACUUCUAUUAUUAUUAUAUAAUAAUAAUUAGUAGUAGUAUAAUUACUAUAUAAUAAUAAUUAUUAGUAGUAUAAUUAUUAUAUAAUAAUAAUUUUAAUAAAAAAUUAUUAUUAAAAUAUUGAUUUAGCCUUUCUUAGUUCCAUAUUUGUUGUUUUGCUAUAAUUUUCCACAAUGACGCAUUAUCAGACUUUCUUAGUUCCGUCAUCUUCUAUUACUCAACUUAACGUCUUAUCAUCUCUAGCUCGUCUUCCAUAGCAUGAAAGUGAAUAAAUUUAACUGAAUGGUUAAUUAAUCAAUUAAGUUUCAUGAGCUUUAAUCGAGUUAUAACCAAGUACAAACAUCGUUAACAAAUACUGAAAUUUAGUAAAUUAAAAAAAUAAAAAACUAAUUCAAGUAAUAUGUAGUUUUUACAUGUUGAUCAUCAGGAUACAACAUUAAAUUUUGUCAUUGACAAUAUUGCAUGCCUGUCAUCUAAAGCAUUACCUCACAAGGUUUUAUGAGAAACGAAAGACUAGUGCUUGCUUUGAACAAUUAAAGUUGCUGCUACCAACCUCCCCAAAGAUCAAGAAGACAGAACAGGAAGCUAAUGCCAUCAAUGUCUUGUUCAUUAUAGCUGUUGGGUAGUUAGGUGUAGUUUCCUCACUUGAAGCUGUCUAUACACAGGCUUUUCCCCUGCAAAUGGACAAAUAAAUGAACAGCCUUGAAGCUUUACUAUUCGCAACACAAAGGGAUUACUAAUUGGAGAAGACUUUACAGAGUUCCUCUCACACUUUCUCUCUCUCAAUUUCAUCUAGAAGUCCCUCCGAAAGCAUCACCCAAAACAGUUAGUCAUCCUUUAUACUCUGUUUUCUGGAAACAGAGUCCUAACUAACUUAACUGACUGUACAGAGCACGUCAACAUAGCAUAUUUAACCAUUUUAACGGUAAUUUGAACCGUCUUCAGAGUUAUCAUCAACAAGCUCAUUCAUAUUUGUCCAAUCUUACGGACGAUAUCAUAUGCUUAACUCGACACAAUCUGGAUUCAACCUCCUCCUAUCCAACAAGGGAUUUCGAUUUGAGUUAAUAAUAAUAAUAACGACAAUAAUAAUAAACUAAAAAACAGAAUUAAUUACUAUUGAAUGGUCGGAAAAAAAAAAAAUUGAAAACGUGUGAACUCCAAUAAUCACCCCACAAAUUCAGUGGCGAAUUUUGGAGAGGGCAAGGCCGGGCUUCUCAGAAAAAAAUUUAUUUAGUUACAAAAUUAUCUUUAUUGAAACCUAUAUAAAUUUUUUUAUAUUAAUUAGUUAUGUUACCUCUUCAAUUAUCAUCAAAUUCUUGUCUGUUCAUCAUUUGGUGAAUAAAUGUGUGUCUAAAUAAUUUCAAAUAACAUUUAGAACAAAUAUUUUGAGAGGUAAAGCUUAUUUUGUCUCGCAUUAUUAGGUGCAUCUAUAAUUUCUUAUUUACAAAAUUAUAUUGUACGAUAAAAAUUUAUUGAAUUAGGGGAAAAAAAAAAGUUCAGCUCACUCAAAAACAAAAAAUGGUAUUAACUUCGCCACCGCACAAAUCUAGAAUAAUAAUUAUUCCUUAUCAUGCUGGGGAUCCUUUAUACUUUCUAGCCGUAUUGACAGCACCAGGUAAAGCUUUGUAAAAUAAUAAGUUACUCAUUAGUGGUUUUUAAUCUUUUUAAUUCUUUUUACCGCACACCUGAUCAAGAAUUUUAUUUUGUUAACUAAUCAAUUGCAAAGCAUAAAUAAGUGUUGAACGGUACACAAGAUUGGAAAAAAAAAUCUUAAAAAACGCGCGGAUUCGGUAGCCACACCAGAAAUCUAUUACAAUAAUUUCUGGCCGUAUUGAAGUUUUUAAAAUAACAAGUUCCCCUUCUCGUUUUUUUUUUUUAAAUAUAUAAGCUUAUAACAAUUUUAGAAUAAUGACUCAUUUGUAGAAGAAUUUAUGAUUUCCCAUUAAUAUUAAUAUUGAAGUGGGGUGGGUGUCAAAUCUCAAUUGCUUGAAGAAUUUAUUUAUUAUUAUUAAUAUUAUUAAUAUUAUUAAUAUUGAAGUGGGGUGGGUAACGGACCAGCGGUUCACUCAGUUCGUGGCGAAUUAAAUAUUACCAUCCAAGGUAGAAUUGUGGAAAAUUAAAGCAAAAUGACUAGUAUGGAAAGGAAGGCUGAAAGUAAGGCAUGACGAAAGGCUUUGAGAAGGCUGAAGACUACCAAAGAAGUCAACUGAAAGCUAGCUGGGGCCUGAGUGUAUAAAUUGUUAGAUGCGUUUGUUAUAAAUAACAUAGAGCCCUUUUGUUAUUUAUAGUUAUAGAGAAAGAGAGAAUGUGUGUUUUUUAAUAGUUAGAGAUAUAGCUAGAAUGGGUGGCUCAAAAUCCAAAAUGGUGACAAUGUUAGUUCUCAUAUUAAUAAUAUUAGGAGGGGGGGGGGGGGACUCAGGGGAGGUCGAGUGAGGGAUGUUUGGAGCAUGAGAAAUUUGAUCUUUUGCGGCUUAAACAUUUCUUCAAUUCCCCUUAUACACUUCAAAACUGGGUAGGUGAACAAAGGGAAAGGGUUGAAUGCGGCAACUCCACAUGCCAAGUGGUACAACUACACCUUGGCCUUACUAGGAAUAUCGAUCUGGGAGAGUGGUAUCUGAAUGCUUCUCUAUUUACUUCCUUUCAAUAACUUGGUAACAAAAUAGCCGGCUGCAUGCGUUGAGAAUGAAGGUCCUUCAUUUAAUUUAAUUUACUUAAUUUCUCCCUCCUAAUUAAUGUCUAUAACCAUUAGGAGGAACAAAGGAUUUUAUUAACUCAAAUAUAUCUAAUGGAGCUCAUUCUUUGGUGUCUAAACAUUCACUCACCACUUAUUUCAUGUCUGAUUAUAUGUUGAAAAGAUAUUAAAGUAAUUUAACGCAAUUAAGGCUUAGUAUAUUUUUUAUUAGUAGAGUGUAGAACUUUUAAGAAAUAUAUUAUUAAAUUAUUAUAACUAACAUAUUAUUUUAAAGUUGUGUUAUGAAAAAAAUAAAAUAAAAGGACAAAUAUGUAUUUAUACGAAGCUUGUAAAUUUUUUUGUACUGAUAUUUGAAUAUUAUCAAUUAAAAAAAAUUAGGGUAAUGGUCAUGCUGCAUUAUUUUUGUAGCACACAAAAGGACAACACCGUUUAUGUUAUAAUACUAUCGCUCUGUUAUGAUAAUAUUUUCUUUUGUGGCCAAAUAUCAUUUUUUAAGUAAAAAAAAGUGGACAAAAUGCAAAUCAGUUUUUAAUCCUCAGUCUCUCCCAAAAUUUAAAUUCGUAGUUAACAAAACAAAAUUGUUGGAAAACCAUUAAGCUAGGUCCAUGGGUUGUUAAAACUAUAGCUGACAAAAAGUUACUAACAAAAACAGAAUGUCCAUUUUAUAACUUUCUUAAAAAACAUUCCUUAACUUUUUUAAAAAGUUACCAACAAAAAGUUAUUUCCAAUUUUUAUUUUGUUAUAAUUUUUAUAAUAAAAUUCGUAGUUAACUAAACUCUUCUUAUACCCUUUCUCAACUGCCAUACCCUAACCCUGUUCCCCAUUUCCCCACUAAACCACGCUCAAUUAAGGCCAUCAGAUUCUCCCGGGCCCACAUUAAUCCAACUGCUCACAGAGACCGACAGCCUCUCUAUCUCCAUUUCAAGCUCCCUCUUCAACUGGCUUCUGCUACCGUCCUACUCUUUCUCGGCUUCGGAGUCCGUAUUUUCUCGGCCGGUCCCACGAAGCUCCCUCUCACUCCAAUUGUCGCCCCACAAGACCAAUUGCUUAAUCAAGACACCGAACAAGAAGAGGAUGAGAAGUUGAAACAAGAAUUUGAGAAUUGGAAAUAAAAAACGUACGCAUUGACCGUGCCUUUGAGAGUCGUUUCUCUUCAGAACUCAGUGCCUCAAUCUUGGGUUAAGGAUUUUAUGCGAAGUCAAGGAAAGAGAUUGAAGUUUCAGAUGAAUUUGUGCGCUAGCAUUGAUGGGAUCUUUAACAAUUUAUCUGUGCCCUUUAACAAAGUUAAGGCUAAGUCAGCUUCGUAUAUGGCUGCUGAUUUGGUUAGUGUUGGUGAUUCAUGGCUCAGUUUUGCAAUUAAAAAGAGAUUGAUUGAGCCAAUAGCUGGAGCUGAAGAUCAAGAUUGGUUCAAAUGCUUAUGUCACAAAUGGAAGGUAACAUCUUUAUCUUUGACCCGAUCAUUUUUAUUGUCUUUUUAAUUGCAAUGAGAAGAAAUGCCACUGUAGCAUGCAGUGAUGGCACUUAAUAAGUGAGUUGCUAGGAUGUGAACUAGAAAAAUUAAAUAUUGUCUCCUUGGGUAUGCUAGCUCGUAAGUUAGGGUUAAUAUCAGAGCUUAAGGUACUAUAACCGUGAGAAGCUAUUGACUGCCAAUUAAAAUAUCCAUUAAAAUGUCUAGGGAGUUAUGAAGGUGGAGGUAACUACUAAUAAAAAAUAUCCAGUUAACCUCCUGCUCGAUGCAAUUAAUAAAUUUGGUCAAUGCCACUGAAACCUGCUAACUGACAUCACAAUGCGACAUGAGCACUUCAAAAUGGGACAGACGGUCAGUAGCACUAAAUUUUUCUUGCCUAAGAUUGAGCAAUUGGUCUAACUACUAAUCCCUAUUGUAGGUUGAUCAUUAUUUUUUCAAUUAUGUUCAGUUUGACCCAAAAAGUUGCAGAAUCUUGAGCUGAAUAUUGUCACUGAACACUGUCAAUGUCGUUUAGCAUGGCCAACUAACUUGAGUUUGGUAAAACAAACACACAGUGUGUCUCAUGUCUCACAAAUCAAAUUAUCAUCUGUAAUGAUGGAGAAUUUUUCCAAUGUAUGAAGUAUGCUUUGAUACGUGGGUUACCUUGGAGAAGAUAUCUUAAAAUAAAGAAUAUGGGGAGAAAACAGUUCAGUAGUUUAUUAUUCUGUAGUCAAGUUUUGUCUCGAAAAUGGUCAAAAUUUAAAUGAACAAGGACAGGGGAUCUUCAUUCUUUUUUCCCUUUUUUAUACCAAGAUAUCUCUCAACCUUUAUAUAAUCCCCACUGGAUAUCUGCUUCUAAUAAUUAAAAUAAAAAUUUCACCGCUCUAACAAUAAAAAGUAACAUCUUUAGUCAAAUAAUUUACAGUUCCUCAUCAUCUUAGUGUGAGACUAUCAGUACAUUCCAAAAACAUAAUAAAACUGGUUUGAUCCUGUUUAUUGAUGUUUAAAUGUUGUUCAUUGUGACAUGUAGAAAUGAUGAGGCGAAGUUUAUUUGGACAUCAAUUAGUAAGAUCUUGUUUGAAGUUGUUUUCUGAAAUGAACUGCCGAAUGGUAGUUUUUUGGGGGCAUUUGAUGGCUCUUUUUUUUUCCUCAUUUUCAACAUGUGCCUGCUUGGAACAGGAAGGAUUAGACUGCAGAGUUGUUAUAUAUUUUGAGAUGCUCUGGUCAUUGCACAAUUUGUUCACACUGGAAAUUAGAAUGAGAAAUUUGUUGAUGCUGUUUUGAGAGAUCUGCAUUCUAUGCACAAUAACAUGAUUAAUGAAAAUGCAUUGUAGGACUGGAAAGAUCUGUGGCAGCCUGAGCUCGCAGGAAGAAUUUCAAUGGUUAAUUCUCCCCGACAGGUUAUUGGUUCAGUUUUGAAGUAUAGGGGAGCAUCAUACAAUUCAAACGAUAUUGAUUCGCAAGUUGCUGGUGGGAAGAUUGCUGUUCAGCAGAAUCUAGCAUUACUGGCAAACCAGGUACUCUUACAGAAAUGAUAUCUGGUCAUUGCAUGUUAUUGCCUGACAACUGAUUUUGUUUGUACAAGUCUGCUUCUUCAUACAUAUGAAUGCAUAUGUUAGUGUUUUCUUCUCCUUUUCAUACAUAUAAAUGCAUAUGUUAGUGUUGUCUUUUCCUUUUCAUACAUAUUAAUACAUAUGUUGGUGUUCUCUCCUGAGAUGGAUGCAAUAAAGGCUUUUGCUCCUAAAUUUAGCUGAAGAAAUGGCAAGGGAUGUGAGAUUCUGUUUCAUUAAAUUAACAAAAACCCAAAACAAUGAAAAUCCAUAAUAAUGUGGUGUGGGUAAAUUGGCUCCAUUUGGUUCGUUUCCUUAAUGUGAACGCGCGAGCAAUAGAGACUAACAAAAUGAAGUGACAACAAGAAGUCAGUGUCCUUUGAUGGAUGCAUUUUUAGGCAGAAAUAGGUUUGUAAUUGACCAAAUUUGUCUGGCAUGCCAAUUUAAAAAUAAAUAAAUUAUGUGGUUAUUAGCUGUAAUGAAGGGGGAUAGUAGGUGCAAUCAGGUGGAUCCUGGAAAGUUCAACAAAGUUUUGGUAUGGCGUAGUGAAAUUGGUUUGUGCAACUCAGGAGUCUUUCAGGUGAACGAUGAUAGGUUUUGAUUUAUGAAUAUUAUAAAUCUACUGUGCAUAGUAGAAUCAUCUAUAAGUUCUAGUUAUUGAAAUUGUAUACUUUGCCCGGUUUGAGUUAAGGGCACAUGUAAUAUGAAAGAUAGUUGUCGCAUCUUUUAGGUUACCUAACAUUUGAUCAAUCCUAUUAUGGGGGCUUCAAGAUGUCUAACAAUAUGUAGAAUGCCCGUGCUCCUCCCCAUUGUUUAUCUUAUACAAUAAUUUGUUUUAGAUGCUAAUAUCUUUGUCGAUACCGGUAACAAUAUUACAAUAUCUGCGUUUAUUGGGUUUUACAUAGGUUCGACUGUUUGACAGUACACACUAUCUGAAGGCAUUUGCAAUUGGAGAUGUAUGGGUUGCUGUUGGGUGGAGUAGUGAUGUUCUUCCUGCUGUCAAACGUAUGUCUAAUGUUGCUGUUGUUGUUCCCAAGUCUGGUGCUAGCUGCCUGCCAUUCUACUUCGAUAUUCACAUUGUUAUCUCCUUCAUAUUAGCGAUCAGUAAACACGAUAAUGUGACUAAUAAGUUUGUAUUCUCUUUAUAGGCAAUCCCUGCUGCCUCAAGACUUGAAACAAAACAAAUUGGAGGGCGAGUCAGAGGUCCAUCUCCAUUAAUCCAUCAAUGGAUAGAAUUCUGCUUGCAAACAGCGAGAGCAUUGCCUUUCAAGCAAGAGGUUAUCCCGGGUGCAUCUCCCUCUGCCCUUGAAAGUACUCUGGUUAAGUUGCCUGAAGAACUUCUGAAGGGUAAACCAAGUCUGGAUACUAACUUAAUUGCUGGAGUACUCCCGGCUGAAAUUCUGGCCAGAUGUGAGUUUUUGGAGCCAUUAUCUGAAGCUACUUGGUCAUAUUAUGAGUGGCUGGUUGUUAAUCUGCAAAAAGCUGCUCCUGUCUUGAUGAAAAGGGUGCAACAUUACUUGUCAUCAUUAAUCCAAAGCUUUCUAGCAAGAGCUACAUUGAAAAGUUAAUGGCGCUGCAUGCCAAUCAUUAUAAUGCUGUCAGGGCAAUUGGGUCAGGGCAAUUAGGUCAGAGCAUAACUUCAUUAGGAAAAGAGGCUUCAGCUACGUUAAAUAUUACAGGAUGUACUGAGAUGGCUGAAGUCGUUGAGGUUUUACGAGAAACGAAAGAUGAGUGUUUGUUUGAACAAAGUUGUUACUGCAGCGAUUUUGAAUAUGUGCAAGAUGUUGUCCACUGCUCUUUGGGUUAUGGUGUGACUUUCGAUUUCAAGGUUGCCCUGAAACAACGGAAAAGAUUUACAUACCCUCCAAGGAAUGACAACGGCUGGACUAAUUCUGAUCACCUAAUUGACUCAGGAUCGGCUGGCAAUAAUAACAGUUUGUUAACAAUGCACAGUCCCGAGUACUUUUCCAGGAUCAGAUACGACGUGGUCUAAUGUUGAUAAUAAUAGUUUAUUAAAUGACAAAUCGUUGUCCUUGGGUGUUGAUUUCAGAAAUAAAAUACAUUCUGAGGGAUGCUGGUCUACUAUUGCAAGCCCCCAGAGUUAAGAAUCUUUUGAUUGGGGCAUUUGGCAACGAUUCGACAAAUUCUAUUUUCAGCCUCGUCCACCAAGGGAUUCCAACUGAGUUAUCAAUUAUCGUAGCAGUUCUAUUAACUAAAAUUAGCAAAUAUAGCACCAGAAAAAGAACAACAAAUACGCAGUGAAGUUGAAUUGAAAAUGAAGUUGCCGUUGCCGCCCAUAGCGGCUGACUAAUAAUAAAACGAGACAAAUUAAUUAAACUAUUUAUGGUAUGCAAAAACAAACAAAAACCCGUAAAAAAUUUCAAAAAAUUAUUAAUCACACUCUAAACUUACCACUCAACUCUUAAUAAUAGUCAUAAUUUAAAACAAUUUACAACUUUUGAAAACAUUUUCAAAGUUGCCUUUGCCCAAGAGUGGAUUGCCAUGAGGAAAAUCAUUUUCUCAGUGGAUUGCCAUUGCCCAGGAGUUGCAAUGAAAACAGACCACCAACUGUGCCGGAAGAUUCAACUAGCACUGAAAAAGAUGAUAAUGGAUAGUGUCCAUAUAAUUUUUAAAUCAUCUUAUGUAAUUGUGAUGUCAGGAAGCAUUAAUGUUCUAUAUGUGAACUCUUAUUGGCAACAUUGGUGGUUUUAUCCUGUUAAAAUGUGGAUGACUUCCGGUUACUAUUUUGUCGUACACAAUUUUAUUCAAUUAACAUAUAGUUUAAAACCAUUAUGCAUGUAUGUGCUUUAUUAAGAUUCUCAAGUACCAAUCACGUUUGCUUAAGAAAUAAAAUUUUGCCAUUAAAAGUGUAGUAAUAUUUCCAAGCGCCUCGCAUUUAUCUCAAUAUUUUGAAGGAAUUUCGAGAAAUACACGUGUCCAAAAGUCUAGUCAUCAUCCUUACUAUUGGGGUAUUGGUAUUGAAAAGCCCUACGCUAAAUGCAGUUUGUAAGAGGAUGGAGAUAUUUACUGUCGCAAUAUUAUGGAAUAUGCACAAGGAGUUUUUCUAUUGUUCUUUUGAUGUUGCAGCUGUUGGUGCUUUCAAUGUUUCCCUGAAACAUAGCGAAAGAACGCACAUAUUCUUCGUAUGAGUUGAUUUUUAGUGAUUAUCUAAUUGACUGAGGUGACAACAACAGAACGCACAACGUGGAAUUCAAUAAUAAAAUUCUUCCGUUCAAUUUGUUUUUAAGUUAAAUUAUUAAUUACUUAAAACUCUGUUUUUUUAAGUCUUUAAUUUUAUGUGUUGGCGUAUAUGCAAAGUUGGAUUCUUAAGUGAGUUGGACAUGACCUACAAUGAGAGUGACAGUAAACAAACAUUAAAACGUGUGGACUCCGGUAGCUGCCCUACAAGUCUACAAUAAUAAUUUCUAGCCCCGUUGACUCCACCAACUAAAGUUUUUUAAAAUUUAGAAAAGUACAUCGAAUUACACAACAAGCAAAACGCGUGGAAUUUAAUUUUUUGCGAAUAAAAUAUAAUUUAACGAAAAACAACAAGAAAAAUGGUAAGAUUUCUAAAAUGAAUGGAAGUUGAUCCAUAUUUUAGUCAGGGUGCGUUUGAGAUUAAGGUUCUGUAGCUAUAAUUUAAAAGUUGUAGUAUUAAAAUGUUUGGUAAACACUAAUUAUUGUAACUUAAAAGUUAAGUUAAUAUAAUUUUUUAUUUAUAUGAUGAAAAAUUUAUUAUAUCUUUAUUAAUUUUGUCAAAAUUAUUAUUUAAAAUUUACUCAUUUUUGUUUCAUAGUUACAACAUUUUUCCCACAACAACUGUAGCUUAAAAACUAUAGCAUCUCAAUCCCAAACGCACCCUCAAACAACUUGCCUCCAACAUUAAGAUGAUUGAUUUUUUUUAUUUUUUUAAUAAUAUCAACUUCCAUAUCUUUCCAGAAUAUGCUCACGUUCAAGUCUAUCUUGCUAAUUUGAAAAAGAAAAUCAAAUCAAAUCAACACCAAAACAAUGAAAAGUAAAGCUUUUGAAUUUCAAUCCAGCUAGCUAACAUAUUCAGCGUUUUCAAUUUCUUCCCAUUGCAUAUCUUCUUCCUCCAUCAAUGCAAUAUUUGAACGAUAGGAAAGAGUUUAAGAACAUAAAAAAUCUCCUAGGUUUAUAAGGCAUAACAAAUUUAAAUUCUCAAUUUUAAUAGAUAAUAAUUAAACUAAUAAUUAUUUAUAUACUUAUUUUAGUAAUUUCACCUAAGAAUAAUAUUGUAAUUAGAAAAAAUCUAAUAAGUGGGGCGGUUUUAUACAAAAUCAACUGCAUACAUAUAUGCAGAUGCAAAUAAUAAUUUUUUUUUUUUAAUAAGCAAAUUGUAUAUUGAGAGGAAUAAGAUGUUUAAUUUAAUUAAUUUCCUUACUUUCAAGUUUCAUAUACAUUGCCUUUCUAUCUAAAGAAAGGUUGGUGUUCAGAAUGACAUGAAGUUGCGAGUUGCUGCCCAUGGCUACAGAUUAAUAAUAAAACGAGACAAAUUAAUUAAACUCAGGCCUUUAUGUAUAUGUUAUCCUAACUUUAAUCGCUCUUGUUUGUUAAUAUUCAUUCUUAGGGAGGUGAAAAAAUUACAAGUCUUGAAUAACAAGGAGGAGUUUAAUUGCCUCUAACUUUACUUGGCUUUCUUUAAUCUCAUUAAUAAUCAAUCUCCCUGCAAUUUCGUAAGCCAAGCGCAAAAUCAUACAGAGAAUUAAUUAUCUUUUUAUUAUUAAACCAUCUUCAAGAAGAUUUUCGUCAAUUUGCCCCAGAGUGGUUGGAGCUGUGUUUCUGAUAAGCCAAAGAAUUAGUAGCAAUUAGUAUUAAUAUUGUCCACCCAAGAAAUAUGAGUGAAUUAAAGUAUUAGCAAGACUUCAUUGAGAGGAGCCAUCUAUUAACUAAAAUGCGAAUUUAAUACAAGAAGAAAUAGUAUGUACAUACUUGGCAAUUGAGUUCGUUAAGAAGUGGCAUCGCAUUCUGGUGAUGAGUUUACUUUUGUUAAUAAUUUUAGUCUAAUUACAAUCGUACUUUGACCACUACUCAAGCUAAGUGAAAGUUACGGAUGUGGCAAAAUAAAUAAUUAAAUUAACAAAAUGCUAACUAAUUUUCCUGACUAAAUAGAGUUGCACAAUUUCACUAAUUUGGAACAAUUGACAUUAAUGGACUAGUUUUCACCCCAUAUAAUUAAAAUCCUUCUGGAAAGCUAAUUUUUAUUAAGUAUUUGCUUUUAAGUUAAUUUCAAUUAAAAAAAAGGUUUUAAGCUAUAUGUAGUCUAAUGAGAUUUUCUUCGGAACUUUUUUUUUUUGUUUAUUUUUAAUUUCAAGUUACCUUAAUUUUAAGAAUUUGGAACAUUGAUUUGGUCAUGGAUUAAUUUCAACUAGUAACUGUCAUAUUCUAAACUUAAUGGUAUCAUUCUUGAUCAAGGGCAAUGACUCUUAACUCCUCUUAUAAAAAAAAAUAUUUUCGACUAUUUUGAUGACAAACCUCUCUAACAGAUAGUAGUCUUUAAAACUGAUAGAUUUGGCCAAAUUAUUCAUUUUAACGAAAUAUAAUUUAUGCAUCAAAAUUAUCAGGCAUAUGUCCAAUGCAGCACUUUUUUUUCCCUUAAAAAAAAUGAAAUUAUCGGUUAUGCCCCUGAGGCAUUUUCUAGAGUAUAGGUUCUGCUUACCUCUAUUUCUCUUGUAACUUUCUUUUUCAUUUUUUUAAUGAAGUUAAUUAAUAAAAGAACAAGGGAAGGUUUUUCAAUCAUGAUUUUCCAAGUCAUGCAUUAUUUGACUACCGAUCAAUCAAGAAACCGACCAAAUUAAUUUCUCUCCAUGAUUUCCAAAAGCUAGAAAAUUUUAUUAUUUGAAAACAACAUCGUUAAUUAUAGAGUGAAUCAAACCGCAUUAUCGUCUCUCAUGAAACUGAUGUGAGUCAUACUUUUUAAUUACGCAAACCAGUCAACUUGAACUUUCUUAUUUUUAUUAUUAUUAUACCAUUCAUUUCAAUCCCCGAUUAUUUGACCAGCAACUAUCAAGACACCGACCAAAUUUAUUUCUCCAUGACUUCCAAAAACUACAAAAUAACAUCAUUAAUUGGAGUUGAUCAAACCACAGUAUUAUUGUCAUGUAUUAUUGUGUAAAAAGUAACUCAUGAACAAUGAUGCAGAAUCGCAUGAAUAGAUCUCUGCGAACAGAGAUUUCAGAGUUAGUUAAUUAGGUUAAUUAAUUUUCAAAGGUUUUAGUUUUCCUAUACUUACUAAAAUAGAUAUAAAUUUUUAACAAAUCACUUCCAAAUCUCAACAUCACUUGAACGAUUCUUAAAGUAAAUUGUUAAUUAAUUUCCCUGACGUAUACAGCUAAAGUUGUUGCUCCUCCUAAUUAAAUAAAGUCGCAUAAUUUCACCAACUUGGAAGAAUUGACAUUAAUGGACUGGUCCCCUCUCUAGAUGUAAAGUCUUCUUAAAAGAUAAUUUUAUUGCCUGUUUGCUUUUAAGUUAAUUUAUAUUUCGAAAAAAAUGUUUAAGUUACAUAUAUGACGGAGGGAGUCUUUUAAGGACAAUUCCCUUCUUCAAAUAAUAAUGAAAAAGGGGUAAUUUAAAAAUAAAAUAAAUAAGUGUUGAUUAUAUCUUGAAUUUCAUCGAUUAUGUGAUCAAAGUGAUAAUUUUGAUUUAUUUUUUGUUCAAUUUUAAUUUUUAGGUUAUCUUAAUUUGAAGAAUUUAGAAUAUUCGGUCAUAAAUUACGCACAUGUAAAUUUUUCUGCCAUUGACUAUAAUAUUUUAGACUUAAUGGUACCUUUCUUGAUGAAGGGUAAUGAGUCUAUAUUCUCCUCUUAUAAAAACUAUAUUAGUUGAUUCUUGUUAUGGUUAAUAGUCUUUAAGAAUGGAUAGAUUUAUUGACUUCAUAACCAAAUUAUGCCUGCCUAGGGCUGCGACUAUUAAUAAAAUUAAUAUUUAAUGUUUAUGUUAACAGAUUUAAGAUUUUAUGCGUUCAUUAAUUGUUAUUAGCUAAAGGAUGAAUUAUAUUUUCAAGCCAAUCAGUUGAUGCAGCUGCAAGAGUUUUUUUUGUUUUACUGACCAUAAUUUUCUCCCAGGUAAAUCUUCUCAUCAGCCCUCAUUUAUCUUUUAUAAAUUGAAGAUCUCACAUUUUCAAACUAUCACUUCCAAACUUCAGUAUCACUUGAGCCAUUCUUGAACCAUUCAAAACUGAACAAGCUUGGAAAUAACCAAAUAUAUGCAAAAAUCGAAUCACAUUCUUUGGCCCCUCAAAAUUCUAAUUAUAUAACUUCUAUAUAUCUCAUUGUCUGGUCACGAAGAUGGUGGCACAUUAAACUUCUCUUCCAUCAACAUCAUUAGGAAUAUGUUCAUCUCUCACACAUUAACUUGAGUGGAGAGUUUCCAAAUUGAUUGUUAGAAAACAAUGCAAAAGCUAGGCACACUUGAUCUGUCUAAUAAUUCUCUUUCGGUAAAAUUAAUUAAUUUUAGGGGUAUAUUCGGCCAAUCUAUAUAAUUUCAGAUUGAUCAUUAAUUAAUUAGACGAUACAAAUUGCUAAAGUGAUUUGAUUUUUGCUGACAAUACAACUAUACAAGUUCAUGACUUGAAAUUUGAUCUCUAUCGAUUGGUUUACAAAUGGACGUACCUGUGCCUUGUGAUGAUAAUUGAACCAGAGAUGUAAAGCUAUAAGGAUUUGACAGCACUAAAUUGUUACAAAGACAUAAAAACAAGUUCCCAUUAUUAUUACUUUUGGCAAAUGUGUGUAAUUUAAUUUUUGACUAUGUGGACCAAAAUGCAAAUGAAAGAAAAAAAAAAACCAAAGAUGUGGAAGUCUUUGGGCUUUUCUUAUAAUUGUGGGUUUUUCAAAGGGAAAAAAUGAGGACACUUCUAAUGUUUGUUUUGAUAAUUACACAUAUACUGUUUAAUUUUAUAUAUGGGCAUAUAAAUCUUUUUUACAAAUAUAUAUUAUUCAUUUUCUGUAUUAUUUUUUAACAUCAUAUUUUUAUUUAUUAUAAAUAUUUAAAGCUAGUUUUUAGGUUGAUAUUUAAUAAAAGGGUAUAAUCGUUCUUUUACUAAACACACACGCUCCUAGUUCCUAUCCAUUUGUCAUCUCAAUCUCUCUCAAUUAUCCUUUAUUGAUAGCUCAAAACGCGUCAUUGUGGAAAAUUAUAGCAAAACAACAAAUAUGGAAAGAAUGGGAAGAAAAUUAACGCGUGAAAGACUUGGAGAAGACAACCAAAUAAGUCAACUAUAAGCAAGCUGGGUGUAUAAAUUGUUAGAUGUGUUAUAAACAAAUAGCGUAGAGCCCUCUAGUUGGUUACAGAGACAGAAAGAGUAUGUGUAUUUUUUAGAACUUAAAGAUAUAGUUAGAAUGGGUGAUUCAAAAUCAAAAACGGUGAUAAUGUUUGUUCUGUUAUUAAUAAUAUUUGGAGGUGGGUGGAGUGAGGGAUGUUUGGAUCAUGAGAGAUUUGCUCUUUUACGACUAAAACAUUUCUUCACUGAUCCUUAUGAUAAGGGAGCUACUGAUUGUUGUCAGUGGGAAGGGGUUGAGUGCAGCAACACCACAGGGCGAGUGAUAGGACUAUACCUUUCUGAAACGUAUUCGGGAGAGUACUGGUAUCUGAAUGCUUCUUUAUUUACUCCCUUUCAACAACUUGAGUCACUUGAUUUAAGUUGGAACAAUAUAGCCGGUUGUGCUGAGAAUGAAGGUGCUUCGUUUAAUUUAAUUAAUUUACUUCCUCCCUCCUAAUUUAAGUUGAAUAUCAAGAUCGAGCAAUUAUAUGCAUAUUCAUUCAGUUGACAAUUUUGACAAUUUUUUUUAAAUGAUUAAUUUUGAAAUUAGACCAACAACCAUGAUCUGUUUUCAUUUUACUUGCAGGUCUAGAGGGGCUGUCAAGAUUGAACAACCUAAAGAUGCUUGAUUUAAGUGGGAACGCAUUCAACAAUAACGUCUUAUCAUCUCUAGCUCGUCUUUCAUCAUUAAGAUCAUUAUAUUUAUCUGACAAUAGAUUGGAAGGAAGUAUUGAUGUUAAAGGUACAAAAUUAAAACUUCAUCUCUUCUCCGAACACUUCCAUUAACUUGCUAAAUUAAGAUUUAAGGCUUUGAAUUCAAUUUUUUUACGAGUAGUAUUGAAAAAAAAUGGUUAUAAACAAUUCAAAAAUAAAUGUCCACUGUUUCUCAUAAUUUUAUGUUGAACUUUCGUAUGUCUUAACUUUAGGGUUAAAACAAAAUUACUCUAAUUGCCAACCAAACACUCAUAGCUAAUUUAUCUUUUUUUUUAAUUAUUUAAAAGUGAUGAAAUUUAUCUUAUUUUUCGUGAGGUUUGAAACAUUCAACUCAAUUUGUACUCUUUACAGAAUUAGAUUCUUUGAGAGAUUUAGAGGAGCUAGACAUCGGCGGGAACAAGAUUGACAAAUUUAUGGUCUCAAAAGGUACUACAAAUACCAUAAAAAAUGUAAACUUUUACAAAUUAGCUAAAUUGUUUGCCAUUUGGUUAUUAUUUUGCAGGUUUAAGUAAGUUGAAGUCUCUCGGUUUAAGUGGUACGGGAUUCAAAGGGACAUUCGAUGUUCGAGGUAAGACUAAGCCACUUUCUCAUUUUAUAUAUGCCAGCUAGACUUGUGUAUCAUCGACAUAAUUUAAUAUUUAAUUUGAUUAGUCUGAAGGAAUUACAUACUAAUUAAACAUACUUUUAUAUACUCUGUCGAUCAAUUAAUUAAAUGCUAUUUGGUUUGGUUUAGACGAAAUUCUUAUGACAUUUUAAUUUCUUUCAAUUUAUUAAUUAAUUUACUCUGUUUUAAGUCUUAAGUCUGGGUAUGUUUGCAGAAUUCGAUUCCUUCAACAACUUAGAAGUGUUGGACAUGAGCGGCAAUGAAAUCGACAAUCUUGUGGUUCCUCAAGGUAAACAAUUAAAAUAUUAUUCAAUUACAUUAAUUUAAUUCAUUGAUUAGGCAGGCCCAAAAGCUACAAAAAUAAUAGUAAUAAUAAUAAAGAAACAAAGAGUUUAUAAUAAUAAUAAUAAUAAUAAGCUGUUAAUUAAUUAAUUUCGCUGCUACUUCCUUCUAAACAGAGUUGCACAAUUUCACCAUCUUGAAUAUUUGAGAUUGGACUCUUCCUCUCUCCAUAUAAGCCUUCGGCGAUUGCUUGAAGAAUUUGUUUAUUUAUUAUUAAAAUGUUUAAUUUUGAAAUUACCCCAAACACAUGUGAUCUCUGUUUUGAUUUUACUUACAGGUCUAGAGAGGCUAUCAAGAUUGAGCAAGUUGAAGAAGCUUGACUUAAGAGGAAACUUGUGCAAUAAUAGCAUCUUAUCAUCUGUAGCUCGUCUUUCAUCAUUAACGUCAUUACAUUUGUCUCAUAAUAUAUUGCAAGGAAGUAUUGAUGCUAAAGGUACAUAAUUAAAACUUCAUCUCUUCUCCCAACUCUUUCAUUAACAUGCUAAUAUAAGAUUGAAGGCUUUGAAUUCAAUUUUUUUAUGAGCAAUAUUAGAAAAAUAGUUUAAGCAAUUCAUAAAUACAAUUUUCAAUGUUUCUCAUAAUUCCAUCUUGUACUUUCGUAUGUCUCGACUUUAAAAAAAAAAUUACUCUGACUGUGAAGCAAAUACCCCAUGACUAAUUCAUCAUUUUUUCCAGUUAAAAUUGAUAAAAUUUAUCACUCGUUUUUAUUGAUUAAUUAACUCUGUUUUGAGUCUUAAGUCUUGGCGUCUUGGCAUGUUUGCAGAAUUUGAUUCCCUGAGCAAUUUAGAAGAGUUGGACAUCAACGACAACGAAAUAGACAAUGUUGAGGUUUCUCGAGGUAAACAAUUGAAAUAUUAAUUCAAUUACAUUAAUUUAAUUCAUUUGAUUAGGAAAGGCCCAAAAAGUACAAAAACAUUUAAAAAAAUAGAGAAACAGAGAAUUUAUAUUAUUUAAAAAACAGAACGUAACACUAUUAUUUCAAAAAUAGAGUGUAACAAAGAUUCGAUUCCAGUUCUUUUGAUAUUUACAUCAAUUGAAAAACGAUGUUGCUCUUUUUCCAAAGCAUAAAAUACGAAUUGACUCCCAAUUAAACUAAUCAUUUAUUUCGUUUAUCUCUAAAUUUAAACAAUGAAUUUUGAUCUUCAAUCCUAUCCUAAUUACUGUUAAAAAACAGGUUACAGAGGCUUGAGGAAGUUGAAAAGCCUUGAUCUAUCGGGAGUUGGAAUUAGAGAUGGAAACAAGUUGUUACAAUCAAUGGGAUCAUUCCCAUCCCUCAACACUCUUCACUUGGAGUCUAAUAAUUUUACCGCUACACUGACAACUACUCAAGGUAAGUAAAAGGUACAUAUGUAGCCAAUUUUAUAAAUAAAUUGUUAAUUAAUUAAGUAAUUUUCCAUAUUAUUAAUAAAGCUAAAUUCGUUUUUCUUCCUUAUAAUUCUAAACAGAGUUGCACAAUUUCACCAACUUGGAAUAUUUGACAUUGGACGAUUCCUCUCUCCAUAUAAGCCUUCUGCAAAGCAUUGCAUCAUUAUUCCCUUCGUUAAAAAAUCUGUCGAUGUCUGGUUGUGAAGUCAAUGGCGUCCUAAGCGGUCAAGGUAAAAGAAAAGUGUUGAUUGUGAACUCACUCAAUGGUGUCCUACGUGUUCAAAAUUUUUAUUUAUUAAUUUAUUUAUUGUUUAAUGUUUCUGCUAGGUUUUCCUCAUUUCAAGAGUUUGGAACAUUUGGACAUGAGGUUCGCGCGCAUUGCACUCAACACUAGCUUUCUUCAAAUCAUCGGUGAAUCGAUGCCUUCUCUUAAGUACUUAUCACUGUCAGGUUCUACUCUUGGCACUAACAGCAGCAGGAUUCUUGAUCAAGGUUAAUCAGAUGCUCCCACCCUCCCUUCUUAAUCUAUAAUAUUAAUUUUCAAUUAAAUAUUUAAUUACACAAACCAAUCACUUCUAUAUGAAAGAAUACUCUGCAUUUGUUAAUUUUUAUGUUGUAGUGAUGGAUGCAUUAAUAAAUUUUCAGGCCUCUGCCCAUUGGCGCAUCUGCAAGAGUUGUACAUUGAUAAUAAUGAUUUAAGAGGUAGCUUGCCUUGGUGCUUGGCAAAUACGACAUCCCUCCGAAUAUUAGAUGUUUCUUUUAACCAACUUACUGGAAGCAUCUCUUCAUCCCCCCUCGUUCAUUUGACAUCCAUUGAAGAGCUGAGGCUUUCAAACAAUCAUUUCCGGAUCCCAGUUUCACUUGAACCACUUUUCAAUCACUCAAAACUCAAGAUUUUCGAUGCGAAAAAUAACGAAAUAAAUGGAGAAAUAAAUGAGUCACAUUCUUUGACCCCAAAAUUCCAGUUAAAAUCUCUCUCAUUGUCCUCCAAUUACGGGGAUAGUGUCACAUUCCCCAAAUUCCUUUACCAUCAACAUGAACUGAAGGAAGCUGAACUCUCACACAUUAAGAUGAUUGGAGAAUUUCCAAAUUGGUUGUUGGAAAACAACACAAAAUUAGAAUUUCUUUACCUCGUGAAUGAUUCUCUUGCAGGACCUUUCCGCUUGCCAAUUCAUUCACAUAAGCGGUUAAGAUUCUUAGAUGUCUCCAACAACAACUUCCAAGGCCACAUUCCAGUAGAAAUUGGAGAUAUUUUACCAAGUUUAGUUUAUUUCAACAUUUCCAUGAAUGCUUUGGAUGGUAGCAUUCCCUCCUCAUUUGGCAACGUAAUCUUCCUCCAAUUUCUGGACUUAUCCAAUAAUAAAUUGACUGGUGAAAUCCCUGAUCACUUGGCCAUGUGUUGCGUCAACUUGGAGUUUCUUUCGCUAUCAAACAACAGCCUAAAAGGUCACAUCUUCUCCAGAAUUUUUAGCUUGAGAAACUUGAGAUGGUUACUAUUGGAGGGCAAUCACUUCGUAGGAGAGAUCCCACAAAGUUUGUCUAAAUGCUCCUCAUUAAAAGGAUUGUAUCUUAAUAAUAACAAUCUCUCGGGCAAGAUUCCACGAUGGUUGGGUAAUCUCAAAGGGUUACAACAUAUUGUAAUGCCCAAGAAUCAUCUUGAAGGUCCUAUUCCAGUGGAGUUUUGUCGGCUUGAUUCGCUUCAGAUUUUGGACAUUUCAGACAACAACAUAUCUGGAAGUUUACCAUCUUGUUUCUAUCCUCUUUCUAUCAAACAAGUUCACCUAUCGAAAAAUAUGUUACAUGGACAACUAAAAGAAGGUACAUUUUUUAAUUGCUCUUCCCUUGUGACGUUAGAUCUUAGCUAUAACUACUUGAACGGGAGCAUUCCAGAUUGGAUUGAUGGGCUUUCUCAGUUAAGCCACCUUAACUUGGCUCACAAUAACCUUGAAGGUGAAGUGCCAAUUCAAUUGUGCAGAUUAAACCAACUGCAAUUGUUAGAUCUUUCUGAUAAUAAUCUUCACGGUCUUAUUCCUUCUUGCUUUGAUAACACCACACUUCAUGAAAGUUACAACAAUAAUUCUAGUCCUGACAAGCCAUUUAAAACAUCUUUUUCCAUCAGUGGUCCUCAGGGAAGUGUAGAAAAGAAAAUCCUUGAAAUUUUUGAAUUCACAACAAAGAACAUUGCCUACGCUUACCAAGGAAGAGUGCUUAGCCUCCUAUCAGGACUUGAUCUUUCUUGUAAUAAGCUAGUUGGUCAUAUUCCUCCUCAAAUUGGAAAUUUGACCAGGAUUCAAACAUUGAAUCUAUCACACAACAACUUGACAGGAACAAUCCCUUUAACUUUUUCAAACUUGAGGCAUAUCGAAAGUUUGGAUCUUUCCUAUAACAAAUUGAGUGGGAAAAUCCCUCGUCAACUUGUGGAUUUAAAUACAUUAGCUAUUUUUAUUGUGGCAUACAAUAACUUAUCAGGCAAGAUCCCAGAAUGGACUGCACAAUUUGCAACCUUCAACAAGAGUAGCUAUGAUGGAAAUCCUUUUCUUUGUGGACUACCAUUGCCUAUCUGCAGAUCACUAGCAACUAUGUCGGAGGCUUCAACUAGCAAUGAAGGGGAUGAUAAUUUAAUUGACAUGGACAGUUUCUUUAUCACAUUUACAAUAUCAUACGUAAUUGUGAUAUUCGGAAUCGUUGUUGUUCUAUAUGUGAAUCCUUAUUGGCGACGUAGGUGGCUUUAUCUUGUUGAAAUGUGGAUAACGUCUUGUUACUAUUUUGUCAUAGACAAUCUUAUUCCAACAAGAUUUUGUCAUUGAAAUUAAUAUGUAGUUUAAUUAAGAUCCUUUAAGUUCUAAACAAGUUUGCUUAAGAAAUAAUUUAUUUUUUAAGUACUAAUCAAGUUUGGUUAAGAAAUAAUUUUUUUUUUAUAUUGAAAUUGUAGUAGUAUUGAGCACUAUAUAGCUUCCAACUUCCAAGAACCUAGCAUGUCUCCACACUUAGAAAGCUGGGUGAUUAUGCUUUGCAGAUCUAGAUUUGAAGUAGGAUGGUCCCAAACCCAUAUCUAUGUAUUGUAGCUUACCUAUGAUGUCCAACAUACUUAAACGAGAGCACCAUCUCUAAUGUUAAUAAUAGCCGCUAUAUAGGAUCCUUUUGGAAACUAUAUUCAGAAUCGUUUUAUAAUCAUACAUAGGAAAUGAAAAAUCUUACUGCAAUUGGUUGCCUAUUUUACUCUGAACAAGAACGAUUAUGGCGUUAACAUCAUCUUCUUCACUAGUAGCAUUAACAUCAAACCACGGGAUAGACCCAGACAUUUCAUCAAGAAAGGCAUACAUCUAAUAAAGUUGAAGCUUUGACAAAAAAUUCAAUGGAAGGUCAAUGUCUCGCCACAACAAAGGGCACAACAACAUCAUUCUAGAAGAGAUGAAGCAAUAUUCUCAAAGCUAAAGCUCUCAAAUACACCACACAAUAAUUUCAUAUCUCCUCAUCGAUUUCAAAAACUAAAGAUAAUUAGGAUUUAACAUUGGUUUGUUAUAUAUUAGUUUCAUAAUUUAAAAGCCAAUGAAGAUGAAGAUUAUGCCAAUGAAUUCAAAUUAUACCAUACAUUCUCCGGAUAUCACAAAAAAUUUACAAGUCAAUCCCACAUAUUUCAUAACUUAAAGACUGGAAAGUUUCAUUAGUUAGAAGUUUCAUUACCUUUAAGUAGAAGAUGAAGAAGAACAUUAUGCAAGUGAUUAAGAUUAUAUUAUACAUUCUCCGAAUGCAACUAGAAAUUAACAAGUUCAUGCCACAUAUUCGAUAACAUUAUGAUUGAAAAGCUUGAUAAGGACUUGAGAAAUUCUGAAUUCAACCUUCUGCACUAAGGUUAUUUGAUUGAUUUGAGCUACUUUGUGAUUAAGCUACUAGUACAACAUUUAAUUCAGGGAGGAAAUAAAUUAAAAUUUGGUAGAAAUAGUAAUAAAAAUUUGUUGCUAAACAUGAUGUGCAGUUUUUUUUCUUAAGGCAAUUUGGAAACACAGUUGUUAGUAAAUAUAUUCUCCUCAACUUGGAGAUAAAUACAUAUAUGAAAAUGCCUACGAUCAGAUAAAUACAGAUAUGAAAAUGCAUAUUGUUUGGAAUUUAGAUCUAUUAGAAAUAGAUGUAGGUAAUUAAAAAUUAAAAAUUAAAAAUUAACAGCUUAAUUAUUUCCGGAAGUACUGUUCACUGUUACUGUUCAUGAAUACUGUUCAUCCGCAUAAAAAAUAUUAAUUUUCCAAAAACAUAAUAAAAUGCAGAAAAUAAAUGACACGGAGAUUUUUACGUGGUUCAGAUUAACCAAUCCUACAUCCAUGAGGCCACGCCUAGAUAAAAAGCAAUUCACUAAGUUGAGAUGUUACAACCUAUGGAUUUACCAAACUUAAUACUCUCACUUACAGUUUAUCACCAUACAGUUUACUCAACCUUAGACUAAAUCUGCUUCUCUUGAAUAAUCGCUACCCCUCUUGAUCCACGAUCCUUAAGGCACUUCGCAAAGUGAUCAAUAGCAAUUCUUCAAUUCUUCAAAGUCUAGUGAUCCAAGAUCCACAUAGACUCUCCGCAGAGAUGAACAGAAGAUAAGAAAACAAAUCAACAUAACAUGAUGCGCCAAAUCCAGAUUCUCUGGGGAGGACGCCGAAUUUUGCUUCUGUGCUUUAUGCUCUGUGUUGUGCCAUCUUCAAUUGUGAAAUACCUCUCUUUAUAUAGGCACUAGGAUUUCACCAAAAUAGCAAGUCUUAAAAGACUUGGAUUCUUUCCAAAUAAGAGUUUCUUUCCUCUUAUAAUUCCCAUGAAUUUGAAUAGGAAUAAAUCUGAUCUUCUUGCCUUGCUUGUCUCCCAAGAAAUAUCUAGAGCAUUUAAUGACUUCCUGUUUGAACCAACUUUUAGCUCUAAAUAAAUCUCAUGCGCCAAUUAUAGAAUCCCACCAUUAAUUGACUUGCUAAAAUAGACAUCUAAUUAAAUUAGGAAACAAAUAUUCCUAAUAAAUUGGAAUCUCACUAAAUUAGGGAAUUAAUAAAUUAAUCCCUAUUACAAGAUAUGCAAUAAAUAAACUUCUAAUUUAAUUAGACUUGCCAUAAAAUAUCAACUCUAUAAAUAAUGACCUUAACACAUAUGAUCACACAUAUUACUUGCAACUUAGCAAGAUUUAAUUAAGGGGAGCAAUCAAACCACUUAUCAGUUGUCGUAGUUGUUCUAUAAUCUAAAAUGGCAAUAUAACACAAGAAAAAGAUAACAUAUAGAUACUUGGCAAGGGUUCAUUAAGAAGUCGCAUCACAUUCGGGUGAUGAGUUUGCUUCUGAUAUCUUGCUAGCUGCGGCUUUCUCCUGUCUUUCUACUCAUGCUGAGGGAAACCAACAAGCCUUGCCUUUGCAUUCACCUUCCGACCAUCUAGGAGGAGCCACCUUGAGAAUUUAUAGCCAAAAAGGGUGAAUAAAACAGAAGUUGACCAUUCAAAGACUUGAGGUGAAAUAAUUGAAGCAAAAUAGGAUAAUUCUUUGACUUAGAAAGAGUGAAUUAGUUGUAAUUACUCAAAUAACUGCAUUAACCAUGGAAGUUUAACAAGAUAUAAAUUCACGUGAAAUUCUUAAAUGAAAAUAUAAGAUUAGGGCUCCUCAAUUUGCUUUUAAAUCAGCUAGACAGCUAAGAGUGUUUUGUAGGUGAAAGUAGUUUGUAUAAGCAUAUAUUUAAUUUUUUAGCAAUUCAGUAAGAGUUAAAUCCUUCUUAAUCAUCAAAAUAUGCAGAUUUAUUGCGCCCCUUUGAACAAAGAAUAUAGCAAUUUCAUUAGGAUUUAUUGUCAAAUUAGGCAAUGCACAACAAAGAUUUUUUUAAAAACAAAUCACCUAUUAAAAGAACACACAUAUAAAGUAUCCACAAAAUUACUCCAUUCUACAACGAAUUAUAAAUUGCUCUCUCACUUGUAUUUUCUCUCUCUUCCAUCAAUCCGUUUAUCUUAUCAAUACAAGAAAAAAAAGAAUACUUGACAUUUUUUAUUUGACAAUUUUUAAGAAAUAUCAAAUAUAUAUGACAUUUUGUGAAAAAUUGAGUAAUUGUGAAAUAUAAAUGACAAUUUAUUUAAACGUCAAAUACUAAUGAUGUUUUACCAAAUAAGUAGAAAAUAUAUUAUAUUUUUAUUGAAUAAUUACCAUUUACCUUUUCCUUUUAUUGACUUAAGAAAAAAACAAAAAACGCACUAUACUGCCUUUGUCUCGUUCUUAGAACAUAUUUGUUUCUUUUAAGAAAAUUCAAACUCGUUCCCCUUGCUUUCUUUUCAAUAAUCACCUCACAUUUUUAUCAAUCACUCAAUUUCGAAUUUCAUCUCAAUCCUCUCUCGAAGAAGAACGCACAAAGAAUUUCAGCUUGCUUUAGCCUCAUUUGCUUCUCGAAUUUCAGGUAUUGUUUCCUUUAAUUUUGAUAAUUUGUUUCUACUUCUCUCUUUCUGGUUUGAUAAUUUUAGGGUCAUAGUUGAAUUAUUUGUAUUUUUAAACAAUCUAGGGUUGAUUUAAUUGAUUCCAAGUGUCGUAUCUGUUCUGCUAUUUGAAUGCACAUUACUUGUUUGAUGAAAUGUCUCUUUAAAAGAUUAUUUUUUUUAACAAGCAUCUUAUUGAGAUGUUUCUCGUGAUAAUAUUAACGUAAUGCACUUAGCUUCAAUUUGGUAUGUUUAAUACAUUUUAACAAAGGAAAAUUACAGAACUGCAACAAUUCUCAAAUUGCUUGCAGAUUAGAAGUAAUGUUAUUGAUUUUUAUUAAUUAAUGAGAUUUUUAUUUAUUGAGUCUGUAAACUCACUAUAAGAAGUGAUUAUUGCUAUAAUUUGGUCUGUUUCAUACAUUUUCAUUCUCAUUAUAAAUGACGGUCAACUCUCAUUUUUUUCAUCAAUCACUCAAUUUUAAAUUUCAUCUCCAUUCUCUCUCGAAGAAGGACCCACGAAGAAGUUCAGCUUGCUUCAGCUUCAUUUGCUUCUUGAAUUUCAGGUAUUUUUCUUUUAAUUUUGAUAAUUUUUUUUAAUUCUCUCUUUCUAGUUUGAUAAUUUUAGUGUUAUACUUGAAUUAAUUGUAUUUUUAAUUGAUACUAAGUCUUAUAUCUGUUCUCAUUCAACAAAGAAAGAACGCACAAAUAAUUUUCACUUUCAUUCUCAAUUUUGAAAGAAUCAAUUUAUUUUAUAAACUAUAUUAGACACACUCUAGUUGCUUAAUUAGUAAAAUUGUAAGCUCAUUGCCUUAUUUUUUGGGGUUAAUUCUAUAAUUUUAUCAGUUGUUCUUGUGGUUGCAAACAAUAUCAUUUUUUAAUAUUAAUAAAACUAAAUGAAUAUUAUGUGAUACAUUUGCAGGAAAGUUAAUAGUUUAAAUAUGGAUAAAUCUUGGAUGUUGAUGGAUAGAAGGUUUAUAGAAUAUGAAAAUGGGGUAAAUGAGUUUCUCAAGUUUGCAAUACUUCAUGCUAGUAAUCCUGAACUUUUAAGAUGUCCAUGCCAAGCAUGUGGUAAUUUGGUCUUUCAUGUACCUGUUGAGAUAAGAAAUCAUCUUUAUUGGAAAUGUAUUGACCAAAGCUAUCAGACAUGGACUUGGCAUGGAGAAAGAGCUUCUAGUAGACGACCAUCAAAUGUAAAAGCUUCAUUUGAUGGCAGUCAACAAGAUGAUGAAGCUGCUGAUACAGUAGAAAUGGUUAAUGGUGCAUUUGACACUUGUAAUGGUGACCCCAAGUCUUUCGAAACUCUACUUAAAGAUGCUGAAAAACCUUUGUUUCCUGGCUGUGUGAAAUUCACUAAGUUAUCGGCCUUAAUAAGGCUUUACAACAUUAAAGGAAGAAAUGGAUGGUCAAACAAAAGUUUUUCAGAUUUACUAAGUUGUUUAUCAGAUAUGCUUCCUGAUAAAAAUGAAAUACCUUUAUCUGUAUAUGAAGCAAAGACGAUUAUGGUUGCAUUAGGCUUAGAAUAUGAAAAAAUACAUGCAUGUCCCAACGAUUGCAUCCUAUAUAGAAAAGAAUAUAAGGAUUUAUCUGCAAGUCCCACUUGUGGAAUGUCAAGAUGGAAGAGUCCCAAUAAAAGUAAGGGAAUUCCUGCUAAAAUCUUAUGGUAUUUUCCUCCUAUACCAAGGUUUAAGAGGAUGUUUCAAUCUCUUCGAAUCGCAAAAGACUUAACUUGGCAUGCCAAUGAAAGGGUGAUUGAUGGCAAACUACGUCACCCAGCUGACUCACUGUCAUGGAGGCUAAUGGGCCAAAAAUGGCUAGAUUUCGCUGCAGAAGAAAGAAAUCUUUGGCUGGCUAUUUCUACAGAUGGGAUAAAUCCCCAUAAAACUUUCGCAGUUCGUAUAGUUGUUGGCCAAUUGUUAUGAUUACUUAUAAUCUUCCUCCUUAGUUAUGCAUGAAGAGAAAAUUCAUGAUGUUGACUAUGCUAAUAUCUGGUCCACGACAGCCCGGUAACGAUAUUGAUGUCUAUUUGUCACAACUGAUUGAUGACUUGAAAACUUUGUGGGAAGUUGGUGUCCAAAUUUAUGAUGCAUAUAGACAAGAAUUAUUUACUCUACGGGCUGUCUUGUUGUGGACAAUUAGUGAUUUUCCUACUUAUGGGAACUUGUCUGGAUGCUCAAUUAAAGGAUAUUUUGCAUGUCCUAUAUGUGGGAAAGAUACACAGUCCUAUAGACUUAAGCAUGGGAAGAAAAAUGUGUACAUGCGCCAUAGGCGAUAUCUCCCAGAAUCUCACUUGUUUCGAGAUUUAACAAAGGCUUUUGAUGGUAAACCAGAAAGAGACUUUCCUUUUAAGCCGUUAAGUGGUGAAGAAACAUUAAGAAAGGUUGAAGGGAUUCAAAACUCAUGGGGGAAGAAAACUAGAAAGCGUAAAAAAUUAGAUUCUGAUGAAAAAAUUUGCUGGAAAAAGAAAUCAAUAUUUUUUUCUCUCCAGUAUUGGAAACAUUUGCAUGUUCGCCAUAUGUUAGAUGUAAUGCACAUUGAAAACAAUGUGUGCGAAAGUAUAUAUGGUACAUUAUUGAACAUUCCAGGAAAAGCAAAAGAUGGACUUAAUUCUUGGUUGGACCUUGUUGAUUUCAAUAUUAGGAAAGAAUUAGAAGGGAAUCACACUUAUUUACCUGCUGCAUGUUAUUCAUUGACUAGAGCGGAAAAAGUAAUGUUUUGCGAAACAUUAUUUAAUCUGAAGGUUCCUGAAGAAUACUGUUCAAACUUUAAAAAUCUUGUAUCAAUGAGUGAUUUAAAGCUUAUUAGGUUGAAAUCUCAUGAUUGUCAUGCUUUGAUGCAACAACUCCUACCAUUGGCUAUUCGAGGAAUUUUGCCAUAACAUGUUAGAUAUGCCAUCACUAGAUUUUGCUUUUUCUUCAAUGAUCUUUGUAGCAAAGUUGUGGAUGUAGAGAAGUUAAACCAAAUACAAAAGGAUCUUGUGGUCACAAUUAAUUUAUUUAAAAUGUAUUUCCUUCCUGAAUUUUUUGAUAUCAUGGUUCAUUUAAUUGUGCAUCUUGUUAGAGAAGUCAGAUUAUGUGGGCCUGUAUAUCUUAGAUGGAUGUAUCCCUUUGAAAGAUUUUUAAAAGAUCUAAAAGGGUAUGUGCGGAAUAAAAAUCAUCCCGAAGGUUGUAUUGCUGAAUGUUACAUUGUAGAGGAGGCAUUGCACAGAAUAUUUACCCAAUGUGGAUCCAAUUGGAAUUCCAAUUGCAAGGACGAAUAAUAUAGAAACUGAGGGUCCGCUUCUUGGUGGUCGUUUAAGUGAUAUUGAUCGCGACGAAUGGAAGCAAGCACACCAUUAUGUUUUGCGAAACACACAAGCAGUUCAACCUUACAUUGAGUAAGUUUUCUUAUCUUAACUUUAUUAAAACCAUGUAGAUUCAUCACUAAUAUAUUCGUUUUAUUAUGAAUCUUAAUCUUAGGAUGCAUAUGACAUGGUUGAAAUUGAAUUAUCCUCGCCAAUCUAAAAACAAGAAGUGGUUACGAGAUGAACAUGCUCGAAACUUCAUUUACUGGUUACAAGAAAAUGUUUAAUAAACUAUUUCCUUUUAUUUCUGAAAUUUCUAUAAAAUGUUAUGUAUAGGCAUAAUUUCAACUAUUUUCUUUUCUAAAUUUUAUAGGUUUCAAAUGGUAACGAUAAUCAGUCAUCCAAAUCAUCUUUAUUGAAAUGGCUAGUACAAGGACAUUGGCCUCAUGCAUUCUUAUAUCCUGGUUAUCUUAUUAAUAAUUACCGUUUUCACAUAAAAGAUCGUGAUAAUGAUAAAACCACUCAAAAUAGUGGAGUGACUCUUGUAGCUGAAACAGAGCAAAUUACAAGUGCCAAGGACAAGAAUCCUAUUUUUGGAGAAAUGCCUUACUAUGGAGUCAUUAAAGAGAUAUGGGUGCUCGAAUAUCACAUGAUCCAAAUUCCCAUAUUUAAGUGUGAUUGGGUUGAGAGUCAUAGUGGUGUUAAAGUUGAUGAGCUUAGGACAAUCUUAGUUGACCUUAAUCGUAUAGGUCAUAAAUCAGAUCGUUUUAUUCUAGCCUCACAAGCAAAGCAAGUCUUUAACUGACCAACUAGAUCCAAGGUGGUCAGUUGUACUCCAUUUCCCUAAAAUGAUGCCAAAUCCUGAAAAUUUUGAGAAAGGGGAGAAGGACAGUAAGAAUUACAAGCGUGAUGAUGGUGAGAAGAUCUGGAUUCAUAAUAAAACAAUUAGGAAAGCUUAAUUGUUUGUGUUGUAAAGUAAGAAUGUAGUUUAUUGUUUCUGAAUUUUAAUGAUUUCACUUCUUUGCUUAUUUAAAUUAAUUAUAGUUAAUGAUGUCCUAAUAGCUAAAUUAUCUAUUGAUAUGUGACAAAUGAGUACUUAAUAUUGGAUUGUGCUUUUGCAGGAUUAUGACCAUGGAGGAAUAUGAUGAUGAUAUUAUGUCCAUGGAUGAUAUAGAUGAUGUUGAUGCUGAUGUAGAAGAUCUUGAUUUAGAAGACUUUGAUACUAAUAAGAAGAUACAUAAGACUAGAGGAAUUGUCAAGAUGGAGAGUGUUACUAAGAAUCGUAGUGAUGGGAAGAGAGAGAGUUAGAUUUAAUAGCGAUGGACAAUUGGUGGGUGAAGAGAGACAUAAUGUUAUUAGUACAAUUGGUGCUGUCACUAAGACAUUAGUUUCCAUUCUUUCGAUGGAUUUGCGAAAAGUACCAAAGAAUUCAAAAGAAAAAAAAUAUGGGAAUACAUUCAGGUAUGCUUUAUAAACAUAUUAUGCAUUUUGCAAAGGCAUGAAAAUUUUUUUUAAACUGUCUUUAUAUUUCAUGUCUUACAGAGUUCGUUUGAUGUGGAUGAUCGAUUUAAAAGACAAUGUUUGCAAAUUGCUUGAAGUUCAUUUCGUUCUUUUAGAUAUAAUCUCACACAACAUGUAAAAAAAUACAAAGCCUAUCCAAAUCGUUUGCGUAACCCACCACUAUUGUACUCUUUCAUACAAAAAGGUCAUUGGGAUGCAUUUGUUAAUGAUCGAUUAUCUAAAGAAUUUAAGGUAAUCCUUUUUUAUUAUUGUGAACAUUAUUUUUUUAUAUUUUAUUUAUGUCAAUGCUAAUAAACAUAUGUAUUAUAUGCAUUAGACACUUAGUGGCCUUCAAAAAGAAAGACGAGCACUAAAUCUUUACAACCAUCACCUUGGUUGAAAAGGUUAUAAUGGAUUAGAAGAAGAAAUAGUAAGUAUUUUUUUCAUAAAAAAUUAUAAUUAUUUUUAGCAGUUGAUGUAUGUUUAACAUUGGUCACAUUGCUAUUGGAAUUAGAAAAAAGAAUGUGGAAAUCCCAAUUUGAAAGUGGAUAGAAGUGUAGCAUGGAAAAGGGCUCGUCAAAACCCAAAUGGUGGAUAUCAUCUGGUUGUGAUACCUGUUGUGGAUACAAUUGUAAGUAUAAUAUUCUUUGAGCAAUUUUCCAUCAAUUCCUUGUAUGUUGCAUGAAUAAUCACUACUAGAAAAACAGGCUACCAUGACAGAGAGUAUCUGUCAUCCGACCCCCCUUAUGAGUUAUGACAGAGUUUUCAUCUAUCAUUGUAGCCCUUGUGAUAAAUCCGAGACAAUAUUUUAUCUAUCACAUGUUCCCAUGACAGUGUAUAUCUAUCACGCAUACAUCACGAACCAAGCGAUGUCGUUUUGCAAGGCUUUUGAGAAUUAGUUGGAAAUUUUAGCAAGUAAUUUAAAUUAUAUUGAAUUUGGUGGGCUUUUUCAAAAUCUUUCAUAUAUUAAUGAUUCACAUUCUCUGUCAUGAGAUUUAAGGUUUUAAAAAAUAAAAUUAUUAUUUUUAAUUUUGAAAUUAUAAUAAUACUAAUUAAUAUUAUUUAAAUUCCAAAAUUUUGAAAUAGAAAUAACAAAAGCCACAUUUUAAAAUUUGAAUUAACUGAAAUAAAAAUUACAUUCAAAUUCAUAAAAACUAUCGAAUACCAAAUAUCACCAUAUACUAAAAAUUUCAAUUACUUGAAACUUCCAACAAAUAGCAUCAUCAAAAUACGUGGUGAAUCAAAUCCGUAACAAUAGCUCAUAAAUUCUCUACAAUAUUCAAUCACUACCCCAUCAUUAGAAAAACAAUUAAUCUGGAAAAAGAACACUGAUAGUAAAUUCACAAGAGCCACCAACAUCACCUGAAACACAUAUUACAUUUAGAUGAGUGCCAGAAGAAUAUAUAUUAGCGUAUUGGCCACUUACAAUUAAUCCAAUUCAUGAUGAAGUAUUUUUCCAAGAUUACAAAUUAAUUAAUGCACAACAUCUAACAACAUAAAACCUCUGUUACAUAAUUAAAUAAAAUUCAUCAAAAUUCUAUCCUCUAUCCUCUUCUCUUGAUUCCCCUGUUCUCCUAAAGUUUCACCAUCCUUUUCUUUAUUUCUACUCUUUUUUUUUUCAAUCUUCUCUUUAUUUUUCUUCCACUGUACUUGUUCAAAUUUGUAUAUCAAUCUAAGUUCUAAAACACAUAUAUUACACUGAGACUCCAAGCAACGCAAAUCCAUUUAACUUGUUCAUUAGGGCAAGACAAUCUUGGCUAAGAAGCAGCAUGUGGAAGUAUUUCAAAAUGACUAGAGAAAGACUUGCUCUAGAACUAUGGAAAUUAGCAUAUAAAAAGAAAUAGAAAAACACUAAAUAAACAAACCACCCAAAGAUUUCAUCACAUAAAGCAAGGGCAAAUUAUGUGAGAUUUCAUCACAUCAUCACAUGAAGCAAGGGCAAAAUUAUUAUCACAUCCCACUUCACACAACUCAUUACAUACCUUACCUCAUGGCAUUACCUCAAGAACAAAUACUCUGAAAAAUCACGGAUAUCAUUUGGCCUGGAAUGAUCAGCAGAAAACAAAAACGUUAACAAAGUGCUGCAGCAAUGAUAUCAGCACAAUUUCAAACUUAGAUAGAAUCUCACUUGGGGAGUCCAAUAUUCUCAUCAAACCUUUGACUUUUAUAAAAUUUCACCAGAUGGAGCAAACCAGCUCAAUCAAUUUCCUAUACAAUAGUGUGUAUUUAUCAUAUAUCAAUAUUGAGAACUGGUAAGUGCAACAUGGUCCACAAACCAAAACAUUUCCAAUUAAUAAAGCACAAUAUGUGACAAAUCAAAUAAAAAAAAAAAAUCUUCCAAAAAGUUCAACAUGUCAAUUAAGAGAAAAAUUAUAGGAUUCAUAUCAGUGCAUCCAUAAAUGGCCUAGUUUCUCUGUCAACAAGUUAGUUAUAAGCACAAGUCAAAAUAAAUCAUUUCACUGAAAUGCUAGAAGACCAAGCAAAUAAGCACAAUCACCACCACACAAAGCAUUUGCAUUUCCAAAAAUGUAGUUCACAAAGAUUUUACAGAAGAUAUCUUUCUAAUAGAAAAACACAAGCACCAAUCAAUUGUAAUGGGUUUGAGAACUACGAAAGUAAUUUUCACAGUUGAAGAAUAGUUUCUCACAAAAAUUCACUUUAUGCGAAUACCUCUGGUGAAUAGAUUUUGCAUACAUUUUGGUAACAUACAAUAUUGGACCUACCAUGUGCUCAAUAUAUUUAAUAAAUAAAGGUGAGAAUAAUAACAAUACCUUAGAUAUUGUAUUAGCUAAGGCAAACGUUGCUUCAAUCCGAACUCUUCAAAAGGCCUAGAAACAACAGAAAAAUUCCUUAAUUGUAUUUCAUUAAAAGUAAGUCAAAUCAAAACCACAUAUACCUCUAAAUUUGGUUAACUUGUCACUAAGGAAAUUAUUCAGUGUGCCAACAACAUUGAAAGAAAGACAGGGCAGAGAGUCUAGACUGCUGUAAUUGGUCGUACCUGAGCAACAACAUCUCCAUUCUUCUCUAAUUGAUUUAUCUAAUAAAUCAAAAUAGUCAUGCAAGAUUGUUAUCCAGUUAAUUAAGUAAACAUUGUUAAAAGUUUGUAUCGUCACCAUCUACUCAAUAAAGAACAAUAAAGAAGUAAAAACAGAGAAGCCAUCACUCCACACCCAAAAAGUUUCUCUCACUUUCUCGCCAGCCAAACACUCCUUUUCCUCCCUCAAAACCUCGUCUUACCACUCAAAACUCACUAAAUUUCAGCUCAAAUUCUGUUACAAUUUUACCCUAAGUCGAAGACGUAGCAGCUAACUCACCGUCUUUCUGACGUCGCCAACUCCUCGCAGUACAAUCUUCUCCGAUCCGACUCCACGUAAAUAGCACGCUGCCACUCACUUGUCACGGAAUCGUUCCACGAAGGCCGUAAAGCGGAGUCAUUGGCACGUUAGUCCACGAACUCGAAGUCAGUCCCUUAAGGCCAUGGAGCGGCUUUAUUUUUUUCCUUUUUUUGGCAUAAUUUUAGGGAUUUUGAUAAAUUUAUGUCGAUGGUUGUCUCUUUAAAAAAAAAGAACUCAUCACUUACCUCUCGCGAAAGAAGUCAAUAACAAUGGCUCGAACUUGAAGAAUAUCGGUUGUUCAAGCUAUAAAAUCUUAGUUAAAGAAAACAAACAAAGGGAAAUGGGAAUAGCUAGCAAGCAGUGGAGUGGGGAUGAAGAUGACGACAAAUAUGAACAACAGCAAUUUGUUGUCGGCAAGUGUGAUAGUGUAUUUUUGUGUGAUUCGGUUUGGAUGUAGAGAUUAGGGUUUUCUGUGUGAAGUUCAAAAGAGUGUCCAAUACUCUUAGAUUUUUUUUUAAAGGCUUCAAGACACGGUGUCGUUCAAUGCCCAAAUUGGCCAAUCUUAAACUCACCGUUUCAUUACUAUAUGAAUAUGCUAUCAUGUGCAAGUGACAGAUAAAGAAACUAUCACAAAUCUAUCAUGCAUUGCUGAUAUAUGAAAAUUCUAUGAAAAUUCUAUCAUGUGCGUGUCAUAUUUUUGUGAUAAAUGACUAAUUUUCUGAUAUCUAUCACAAAAAUUCUGUCAUAGUAGCCUAUUUUUCUUGUAGUGAAUGGUCUUAUAUUCUUGUAGGAUGAGUUGACCCAGCUAGCAAAAUUAGGGGUUAUAACCACAUCUAGUGAGAAUGAUAUUUUGGCCCAAGCAUUAAAGAAGCCUGAGCGUAAUGGGCGUGUUACAAGGAAGGGAAGAGGAGUCAACCCAUCUUCUUUCUUUCACAAUGUUAAUUUAGAAUCUGAUUGGCAAAGAGAGAAGAGGCUAUUGAAUGAAAAAAUAGUGAAGAUGCAAGCUAUUAUUCAUGAUCUCUCAAAAUCUUCACCAAAAGCAAGACACUCCAAUGUCUGUAGCAACAUAUUUGGAUCACAAGAUGUAUCUAAUGAGACAAAUAACAAAACAGAUCCAAUUUUUGAAAAGCAAAAAAAUUAGGUAUGCACACUCAAGUAAUUAAAUUAAUCUUUUGAAUUUAUACUUUAAGUGCAUAUUUAAUAAUCUUAUUACUUUUUUUUGUUAGGAUCAAACUUGUCAGUUGGCUGUAGGAUGUAAAGAAAACAUUGUUGCUAUUGGAACUAUUUUGGAGUAUAGGAAGCCAAAUGUUUUAGUUGUAAUUGAUAUGGUAUUAAGUCCAGAUGCCCAUCUUCCAAUCCGGACUAGUGAGCUUGUUCAGUGUUUACGUCAGUGAUGGGUUAGGACAACACAUAUUAUGGCCAGAAAAGUUUGUUUCCCAGCUGCUGUAGUAAACAAGGUAUUGAAUUUGGCAUAUAUUACUUGUUUUUUUUAAUUCCUUAAUUGAGAAUUUAAAUUGUAACCACAUGUGAAUGCUUAAAUUUCUAGAUGUCUAAGUCAGCUUUAAAGCCUUCCAAGGGGAAAUUAGAUGUGAAUGCUGAAGUAAACACCCCAUUGAUACCUGGCCUAUGUUACUAGCUUUAAUUCUUGUUUUAUUUCUUUAUUUAAAAUUUAAGUAAUAAUCAUAUUUGAAUGUUUGCAUUUCUAGGUGUCUAAAUCAGUCAUCAAGCCUUUUAAGGAAAAAUUAGAGGUGAAUGAGGAAGUAAACUCUCCCAUAGUUCAGCAAACAUUUAAAAAAACCUCCUGACAUACAAGUUUUUGAUAAAAUGGUAAAGAAAGUUAUGAAACCUGGUUCCCAAGUUAAGGUUGAUUUUGAGAACACAUUUAGUUACAAAUUGCAUACAUAUCUCACUUUGGAGGAAAUUCAAGAUCUUAUUGAUAUGCAAGAGCUUUCACAAAACAGCAUUGUUGUAUACAUGAGGUAUGAUACUUCAAUAAUGCUUUAUAUUUUGUCAAAUAUUUUUGUUUCACUUUAAUUGACCUAGCACUUUUUCUUAUAUACUAGAUAUCUUUGUGCUGAAACAAAGGCCAGGCUAAUUAAUGAAAAGUUUGAGUUCAUUCAUCCUACCACUCUUUCUUUUUUGGAUGAGAGUACUUUCAAACAGAAAGCAAAAACUCUUGCUAAUCGCUUCCAAGAAUUGAGUGCAAAACAAUUUAUCUUCUUACCAUAUAAUCCUAGGUUAGUUAUUUUGUUGCUUUAAAUAUCUUUGUUUAUCUACUUAGUUUUUACUUUUUAAUUAGUAUUUUUUUCUAACUCUUUAUUCAUUUGUUAAUAGUUGUCAUUGGAUCUUGCUUGUGAUCGACUUGCCCUCAAUGGUUGUUCAUUAUUUGAAUUCAGUGAGAAAUGAAAUCAGUGUUGAUAUAAAAAAAAAUUGUAACUGUGUAAGUAUAUUAAAGAUAUUUAGCAAUAAGUAUACUAGUGGUUUUUGCUAUAUAUAUAAUUAUUGAGUUUAAUAUUUCAUAUUUGAUUUGUAUUUUUUUGUAGUGGGAUUCGAAUGUUUCUUGCCAAAAAAGGACAGCAAAUGAAAAAGAUUAAUUUGAAAUGGAAUGAUGUUAAGGUGCCUAUGCAAAUUGGUAAUGUUGAAUGUGGCUACUAUGUCAUGCGAUUCAUGAAGGAGAUUAUUGCAUAUCAAAGUAUACUUUGUGCAAAGGUUAGAUCAUUAACAUAGCUUAAACUUAUUGCAGAUUUUACAGGGAAAUGUGGUUAAAAUGAAGUCUAUGAAUUAAAAGAGUGACAAAUAAAUAUAGUUUUUUGUCUAUUGAUGUUAGUUUAAUGAAAAAGAUACUUAUGAUGAAGAUGAGAUCAACGAAAUUCACUUUGAUUGGACAACUUAUGUUAGUGACUUGAUUUGAAAAAAAAAAUGCAAAAGAGACAAGUAAUGCAGGUAAAUAGCAUAUGAUUCAAUUGAAGUACAUUAGUUUAUUGUUAAUAUUUUUCAUGCAUAGAUUUUUCCUUCUCUUUGUGCAUAGAUAUCUUAUGCUUUCAUUGCAUAAGGCAACUAUAUCAUCUAGUUGGAUUCAUAAUAAAAGCUCUCAGUUAAUUCAAUCAAAAUUUGUCAAUGCCUUAUUGGUAACCAUGACUUACUUUUUUAGCCUCUUCCUUAGACAGUAACAAUAGUAUAUGGCAGUAAUUUUGGUUUCUUGAUGUGUAGGGCUAUGCCGUGGAGUUAUAUAGAUCUCAAGACCAAGACACAUUUACAAUCAAAGAGGAUAUAAGGGUUAUAAAAUAUCAGAUCUAUUGGGUUAAUGCAAAAUUUGUUUAAAAGCUUUUCCUUUUGUAUGUACAACGCUGCUAUGAAAAACUUUUGGACCGAUGGUGGAAUGCUAACUAUAGGCUCAAUGUAUAGUUUUAGAAACAACAUCUUAUUUUAGAUUUAUACUUAAGACAUUUGAUACAUUUAUACGUACAAUGCAAGUUCAAGUUAAUAUGAAUUCAGGUUUCCUAUGCUUUAUUAUGGUGUUUGAAGUUAGUUGAAAUUUUUUGAAUUUUAUCAUGUUUCAAUGUUAUAACAUAUAUAAUGUGCAGCCCAAGACAAGGAAUUUCACUAUUGUAAUUUUUUUUUUAAAUUAUAAUAUUUGAUAUUUUUAUCAAGUCAUUUGCAUUUGACCAUUUUGAAUAAUGUCACAUGCAUAUGACUAUUAUUAAGUGUCAUACACAUUUGACAAUCUUAUAUUGUGAAAAAUAUUUGAUUAUUAUUAAUUGACAAAAAUAAAUGACAAUUUUACUAAUUGUCAAAUAAGCAUAUUUGACACAGGAAUAUUUGGCACUUUUUAAUUGUCAAAUAUUCCUUUAUUUGACAGUUUUUAAAUAUUAAUUAUUCUCUUUUUUCUUAUAGUGUAUAGAAAUUGGUUUAGUCAGCAACAACCCCUAUAAUCCUUGAAAUAAAAUUUUUUAUGUAAUUUUCUAUAAAUUUCAACAAUACUUUAAACUGGAGCCAAGAUCAUGUUUGAUUUCUAGACAAAAUAAUCAAUCAAACAUAAAAAUUCAUAGUUUAGAGGGGUAAACUGGGUGGUUUAGAACUGAGCUAGCAACCUUAUUAUAUUUUGAUUUGCACUUCAUUGUAAAAGGGAAUAUAUUAUAGGAAAAAAGAAAACCAAUCAUCAUUUGUUAACUCAUUGCUUUUCAAUCAAAAUUUUAAGAAUAAAAUGCCAUGUGCUUUGAAUAUCAAAUAAGUAUAAACACUAGUUUUAAAUUCUACAUAUAAUAAGUUAUAGCAUAAUAGAAAAAUCUAUAUGCUGUUACUUGGACCAGUAAAGGGGAAAAUACCUGGCGAACCACAACAUAAUCAUCAACUGAUAGACUUAGCUCCCUAUCUGCUUGAGCAUCAAAUGGAUGUAUAACCUACAAGAUAAUGGGAUAAAUAAAACUUAAUCUUGAAAAGAAUAACAAAAGCAGCAGCAAUAGCAGUAGUGUUUAUUAUAAGCACUAUGAUUAUGGCCAACAAGGAUACAUUAGAAACACUAUUUUUAUUAGGAAAAUAAUAUGUAGUACAAGAUAUCAUGACUGUUGGGUUUCCAAGAGCUAUCAGAGCUCCACAAGUUCUAUAUGACUUUAUGUAAUUGUUUAAAUUAUGGAUGGGAUUUUAAUUCUGAAAUUUUGAUUGCUCUCCACAAAACAUGGCCUAUGCCACAAGAAAGUCAUAGAUAAUGAGGGUUACAAGUGUCCAACAUCUUUCGAGUGAUGGAUUUAAUAUGACAGCUUAUGGUCAGUCAAUUUCCUCUGCUUAAUAAGAUAAGCUUUCUAGGUCAGAUUUUUCAUCAAAUACAUAGAUGGCCCCCAAGUCACAUCCAUACAAACAUAGUUUUCUGAGUAAACCAAGUAAGGAGAAUUAUAAUUCAGCCACAAUCAUAGAAAGGACCCAUCUAACUUAAGAGAAAAUUUUAAGAAGAGGGAUCAUACUAUGAGCUAUCAAUCUUGUAUCUAUAAGCAAAUAUCAAGACUUUAGAUCACCUGCUACAUCGUGAGUGGCUACACAACUUUGCGGUGGUUUGUCUUUCUUUGGCAUGUCUAACUCAGCUUUGAUGUUGUUGAGAUAUUGGCAGCAGAGACACAUGAUACUUCUAGCUAUACAUUCUAUCUAGCUCAUCAUGCAACUAUCUCUUUUUAAUCCAUUAGGGUUGGCUAAAACUCUUGUUUAAAAGUCUUGUUCUCCUAAACAAAGUUUCCCUAAGAAUGACUUCUUCAGCACCACAUUUUGACACUUUUUAGAGCAAUUUUAUUUGGGGAAAAGAAUUUUCAAGGUGUUAACUAAUAAAUUUUAAAAGAUAGUCACGACUCUGUCCCGUAAUCAUAUGACAAUUUAUCUGGGAUGAAAGGACACAGACAAACAUCUUCCACUUUCAAGACUAAUCACUACUUUCAUAAAUGUUGUGCAAUAAUAAAAAUCCUUGACCAGAUGGUAGUGAUAGUAGAAAAGAAUUUUAUUGCUCUAGAAUUAAAAUAAGAAUGUAAUGUGUUAAGCGAAAGACUGUGCGAGAUAUCUACAUAAGGAGGAGUGUUAAAAUAUGAUGCAUCCAACAAAAGACAAGCCUUGUGUAGUCUUUUAAUUAAGCCAAAGUAGCAGCUCAAACAAAUGACACUUGGACCAACAUGCAAGCAUGAAGUAGUCGGAAAAAGGACGAAUGAUACUUUGGCCUAAAUUAAAAAGUUAUUACAAGACAACAGAAAUCACUAUCAUUGUAAAAUAAGUUGGCAAUAAGUAAGAUGAAGAUAAGAGGUAGAAUCUCAACACAUGCAUAGGCAUACACAAGAAAGUAUUAACUUAUAUACCAUAGCAAAGAGUCUUUGAUAGGUCAUCUGUUGCUGCUGUGAUUCAACUGACAACAUAUAUGGUAGUUGUCGCUUCUGUGCCAAGAGCCAUAACUGUAGAUUUAAGCUCGGUCAAUUUUGCUUCUGCAUUUCGAAGCUUCAUAGCACUCUCUGCUGAUAGAUCAGAUCCCUUAAUUUUUUAUCAGCGCCUCAAUACUUCAGCUACAUGGUGAAAAUAUUCAAUAUGAAUCUAAUAUAAUUCUCAUCUCCCCUUAUACAUAUGUUACCUUAAAGCUUACUUGGGCUUCAACUUCAUGUAGGAGUUUGUCAUAACAAUGAGUCAUGUUGCGUAAAUUAGCAAGGGCACUAGUCGGCACAAGUAAUAUAAUGAAAAAUAGAAUAUCGUCCCAUAGAGAUUAUAUAUCCUAUUAACUACCGAAAUUAUUCUAACAAUAAUAUAUUUGAAUAACCGAAUAAAUGAAUUUAGAUUAAUAAUUAAAUAAAAUAAAAUAACUAGAAAAAUUAAAUAAAGAUGUAUGCAGUAAUAGAAAUCACUAAGAUAUGAAGACACUAGCACAUCGAAUUUCACCAUAACCAAUCCAAUUUAAUCCUUCAUCUAUGUUAUUAAUGUUUAUUACCCAUGUUGACAGUGAAUUUUCCUAAUCUAUUUAAUAUCCUCUCUCGAGUAAUAUAAAAAAUACUUCACAUAUUAACCCACUAUAUCUCUAUGUGAAUUUAAAUAAGCAAAAAUUCAUUAAGCUCUACGGAAAUUCUUAGAAAAACUGCGUGAACCACAUUGGCACAUCUCUGUCUUUCCUUCAGUUCAUGGCAUCUAUUACGCAAACAAAAAAUAUAUAAAUCUCCUCUUGGUCUCAUUAUGUAUCCUCAAGUCAUUCAAAUAUUUGCCAGAUAUUUAAGGGUACGUUGGGCACACAAUACUGUAUUAUGUUGUAUUGCAUUAUUUUAAUGCUGAUGUAUUGUAUUAUGUUGUAUUGCAUUAGCACUGUAUUAUAACAAUGCUGUACAAUGUUUGGUGCUACACUGUACUUUAUUAAUUUUUUGAUUAAUUUAAAUUAUAUAUUAUAUUAUAUUAAUAUUUUAUAUUAUAUUCAUAUAUUUAAAUUGUAUUAAUAUUUAUAUUAUUAUUUAUAUUAUUAUUAAUUUUAAAUUAAUAUUAUUCAAAUUUAUUCAUAUUUAAAUAUUUAUUAUUAAUUAUAUUAAAUUAUAAAUUUACUAACAAAUUAUAAUGUAAAAAUAAAAAAUAUAAUAUAAUAUUAUUGAUUAAUAAAUUAUAAAUUUAUUAAUUUAUAUCAAUAAUUGUAACGUAAAAUAACAAAAUUAAAAUUAAUAUUACAUUAAAAAAAGGAAGAGGCAAGCUAAUGUGGCAGUUGCCGCAUUAGUUUGGGCCCAUUAAUGCAAUACUGCUGUAGCUUUUUAUAUGCCAAACAUGGGUCUGUAUAAAUUUAAUACAAUAAGGAGGUCUAAUACUUUAACAAACAUGCCCUAAAAGCAUUAAGCAUAAUAAUGAACACUCAACCAUGAAAUAAUAAACUAAAUAUAACACAGAUUUAUAUAAUUAAAUUUUCAUAAUUAGACUACAUUAUAUCCCUAAUAAAAUAUUUUGGAAGUUGCUCCGUUGAUUAACGCCCGUAUUGGCUCAGAUACCUCCAUGUCCAAAAACCUGUAACAUAAUUAAAAAGAUGAAAAAAAAAAGACUGAAACCUUAAUUGAAAAGUUCCUGUAGCAUAAUCAUGAAAUUUGGGCCUACGUUAAGAAUAUAUAUAUAAGGAUAAUUUAUGCAAUUUUGGGUGUUAGGAUGAUUAGUCUUAGGUUAGGGUUCAUCCUUCUGUAUUUAAGGUUAAAAUAGAAAUAAACCUGUGUAAAUAUUUAAAUUAGGGCUAUAAGACUUCCACAUGCAUCCUUCAGUGUCAUGGAUUUGAUUUUACUAUAGAAACAAGCGUCUUUAUCCAAAAUGCUUGGAGUUAAUUGAGAGAACUCACGGCCAAUAACUUGUCCCACGCUGAUCUUCGCUAGUGAUUUAACAAGUGACAAUGUUUCUUCAACAUUUGAACCAACAAAAUUAUUAAGUCAUGGAUGUCACUAGCAAUGGUUAAAACAUUAAAUAUUUCAGAGUUGUAACGUUUAAAUGGACUCUUUUAUUCAAUAUCUUAGAACUAAGUUUCCUUAUGAGAAGAUAAUAGUUUUGAAAGUAAUUUUACAUAUAAUUUUCCAUAUUUGAAUUAUUUUCUCGUUAGGGAUGAAUUUACCUGAUCACCAAGAAUCCCAAGCAAAGUUUCCCUCUUAUUUUCCAUCAAAUGAUAUGAAGUGCCAAAUUGAAAAGCAGCCCUUGCAACACAAGAAUUGUCACUUUGAAUCUCCGCUCCACAUUUGCAACAAUCUUCGGCCAACUUUCUCGAUACAAUAUUUGAAUACAAAAAUAUUAUACACAGAAACUAGUCAAGAAAAACAAAAUCAAAUAUUAUAAUGAAAGCAAGUGCAAACAAACAACCUAUCUCCAUUUGCUUCAAGCUUACUGCAACAAACCCUUCAACACCACGGACAAUAUUCCUCUGAAAAUGCUGUUCUACAUGGCAUAUAUUCCAAAUUAUUGUUCAGAUAAAACCAUAAAAACCAUCAUAAUUAUUCAACAUACAUUAAGCACUGUUUGGUAAAUACUUGUGACUCCAGUCUAGAAAAUAUAGUUGUUUGUACCAUAUUUGACAAAAUUAUUAUCUAAAAAUCAUAUUUAAUUAGCAAAAGCCACAAUAAAUCAAUACGAAAACAGAGAGGAUAGUACCUUAGCUGCCCCGGUGGAAUUGUACAGAUUUUGAAGUUGUUGGUGACACUCAAAGUUCAGCUUCAUCAACCGCAACAUUUUCAUUACCAAGACGCAGCAAAUGCUUCAAUACUGCCUGUACAAAUCAUAAAGAAAUAAUAAAAAAUAAAAUUGAGAAAUUUCACUAAUUAAACGUCUAAAUGGUUUUAAAAAAGAAAAGAAACGGACUUGCUGCUGCCUGGCGACUUGUUCGCGGACCUUGAUUGCCUGUUUCUUGAUAGCUUCCAUACUGUUUCUUUCAAAAAGCGACGACAGCUCAGCUCAGUUAAUUGAAAAAAGUGUGAUCUAGAAAAAUCAAAAGGGAUGAAUAAUUUUGGCAAAAGGCAAAGCCAAGUAAAGCCAGCUCUUUCCAGAAAACAAAAAAAUUAAAAAAAAAAAUUGUAAGUUUGAAAGGAGAAGAUGAUAGUGGAAGCGUGCAGUGUGGCUGCCAGCUAUUUGGAUUGUAUUGUCGGGUAAGGUAAUAGUAGAGAGAGAAUUUUUUAAGGAUCUAAAAUCGGGCACGUUGACUUUGUUGACCAAAUGGCACAGCCCAGAAAAUUUUUAAUACACUACAAGCAAGCUGUUUUAUUCCUCUCAUACUUUACGCUUGCAUCAGCUUAAAUCACUUCUUAAAUGCUUGCUUUAACCGAACCGCCUCGUACUAUUCUAUAUAUGUAACGGUUGCGCGGUUGUAGUUAACGGCUGAGGCUACGUGUUUGUUUGACGUGGUAGUUUUGUUACGACGUUACGAAUCUGUUGAACGUUCGGUGAUAGAGUAUUAUUUGUUAUUUUAAAGUGACAUAAAAUUAGUUACAAUACACCCGCUUGUUUUAUAAAAUAAAAAAUAAAUAAGUAAAUUGACUUAUAUUUUUAGUGGUUGAAUAUAUUUUGUGUUCUCUUGGGGCACUGUUGCAAUUGUUUCUUAAAUGUCAGUCACACCCACAUAUCAUUGACACAAGAAAUAGAAAUCUUAGAUCACUUGUUUAAUUAAAGAAUCACUCAUAAAAAAAUUUUGCCAUUUUGAUUUGAGGAUUCAUGUUUUGAACUACCAACUAAUGUUCAUCAAGGACAAAGUAUGGCUUGUAAGUAAAAAAAUUAUUUUUGGACAAAUUAUUUUUGUUGAUGGAAGAAUUUCUCAAGGGACUAUUUAAAUUAUUAAUAAAAAUGUCAGACACACCCACAUAUCAUCCCACAUAUCAUUGACACAAUUGAUUUUGAGAAUUCAUGUUUUGAACUACCACCUAAUGUUCAUCAAGAACAAAGUACGGCUUGCGAGUAGAAAAUUUUCUGAUUUUGGCCUAGAACAAAAAGAAAUUAAAUUGAAGGAGAAUCUACUACUUUCUCAUUAAGAAUGGCAUACGGGGCAUACGGGGCAUACCAUGGCACCAUACAACACCAGGAGUCUCCGUUCUCUGCUUUUUCAAACUCUGAAGGGGGCAAUAUUGUAAAAGUCAAACCAAGCUUUUGACAAAGAAAAGCUUUAUGAUAAAAGCUUGACAAAAUUGACCAAAACGUGUUAAAAUUUGGCACCAAACUUGGAAAUUUCAACAAACAUAUAGCUGGCAUGCAAGCUUUCUAUAGCUGGCAUGCAAGCUAGCACAAAUGGGCAAAUUGCCGUGUUGAAUUUUGGCCAUUCUUUAGGCUAUAAAUAGAGAAGUGAUGAGAGCUUGAAUUGCAUCCCGAAAACUUAAGAGCAUCCCAUUUAUUUAAGAGCUUAAGAGGAAUUGCAAGUGAAGCAAUUCUAGAGUUAUGAAAGUGUGAGCAAUUGGAGAGUGUGUGUGAGAGUGCUUUGGGUGUAUUUGGGUUUUGGGAAGUGAGGUUUUCAUUACUCAAAUAUUGUACUCCAAUAAUUGUUAGUAAUACAAUUAUUUUUCUCUUGCUCUCGUGGACGUAGGCAUAAUUGCCGAACCACGUAAUUAUUGUGUCCUUUAUUUUUCUGUGAUUAUUUGGUGCGCUUGAUUCCGCAUUCCGCGCACAAUAAGCGGUAUCAGAGCCGACGGUUCGUAUUUGGGGGGAUACGUACUGUUCACGUAUAUGAUACUAUUCACGUAUACGACACUAUUCCUAUAUACGGUACUGUUCACGAAUAUGGUAGAGACGGCCAUUUGUACUUGGGAGACAGUCUAUUGUAAGUAGUGUGUAUUUUUGCAUGUCUAGGAAAGUUCUGUGAACAAGGCGAUAAGAGUCUAAGGAUUCUGGUUUUUAAUUGGGACCGAGUUCCCGUCCAGUCUCCUGGGAACUUUCCCGGUGCAUUUAUUCACGCGAAAUUAACAUCAUAGAGAAUGUUUUUCAAGUGGAAUAGUUCGUUGAGAAAAUGGUAGAAUGUGAAACUUCCAGAAUUGGGGAGAGAUCUACCGAGACUAUUUCAAGAGAUACUUCAGGUGGGAAGCGAGAUUUGUCAAAUCGCUAUUCAACACCUGUUAUAGGAGACCAAAAGAUCGAUGUUGAAAAGUUUGAUGGGAAAAUCAACUUCGGCAUGUGGAGGCGCGAAGUUAUGGAUGCCCUUAUUCAAAUCGAUCUCGAUGUUAUUCUGAAAAAUAAAAAACACUUGUAUGAUGAAGAAAUUUGGGAUCGUAUGAACGAGAAAGCUUGUGGUCAGAUCAGAUCUUGUUUGACCAAGGAGGUGAAAUACUUGGUGAAAGAUGAGGAGUGUACGAUGACUUUGUGGCGUACAUUGGAGGAGAAGUACUUGCUGAAAAAUCCUGAAAAUCGUCUUCAUGCAAUUAGGGGUGGGCAAAAUAUCCGAUCCGACCCGACCCGAUCCGAUCCGAUCCAAAAAAUAUCGGGUUCGAAUCGGAUCAGAUUGUUGAUAUAACCCGAUCGGAUCAUGAUCGGAUCGAAUGAAACCCAAUCCGAUCCGAAAAACCGAUCGGGUUGCCAAAGAAAAAAAAAGAAAUUAAAGGUAAAAAAAGGAAACCUAAACCCAAAGACUAAAGAGCACAUGCACGUGAAGAACAUUCAACACUCUUUAAUAGCUAAAAGACAAAAUCACAUUUUAGCCAAGCUAAUAACAUUCUUCAGUUGCAUCAAAACGGAAAAAAAAAAGAAAAAAAACAGAGAAGACUCUUCCUCCCUUCCUCAACUUCUCAAUCUCAUCUCAAGAACACUCUUCACAAUUUCAUGCACACAACCACGCACACAUAUCGGAAAAGCAAAGGGCAGCCAGAUCGAUUUUUCCCGCAGUCACCGCUGACGCUAACUGCUCCGCGAGGACCGCAAAUGGAUCUGCUGCUACCGGAUUUGUUGCUACCAGAUCUGUUGCUACCGGAUCUGUUUCUACCGGAUCUGCUGCUACCGGAUCUGCUGCUCCACGCCGCCAUUCCUCCACCAUCACCUGAUCUGAUCCAAGAUCCAUUCAACCCGGUAAUUGCAAGGCUGCAACCCGAGUUUCCUUUUCCUCUUUUGAAGCUCUGUUGGUAUAAUAGUACUAUACCAGAUUGUUCGCCAUUUAGCAGUAAUAUAUCAUAUAUUAUUAUAUUACAUGUGAAAUUGUUAAUUUGUAAUUAUGUAUUGUUAAAUGUUAAUAAAAAAAUAAGAAAAUUGUAAAUCUGAACCCGAUCCGAACCGAAUUUAACCCUAUUUAUUGACCUGAUCCGAUCCAAUCCGAAUAUAUAUCGGAUCAGAUCGGAUCGGGUUAUAAGUUCGGGUUGUGUUCGGAUGAAUUUGUGUUCAACCCGAUCAAUCCGAAAUCCGAUCGGGUUGAUCCGAAUCCGACCCGAACCCGUAUUUGCCCACCCCUACAUGCAAUGAGCCAAGUAUAUGGCUUUCGAAUGAAGCCUGAGGUGUCAAUGCACGAUCAUGUCUCAAGAUUUGAAAAGUUACUUGUUGAUUUGAAGAAUCUUGAUGAAGAUAUUAAGGAUGAAGUCAAGGCUAUGAUUCUGUUACACUCACUACCAGAGGAAUAUAGUCAUUUUGUGACUACCUUGAUAUAUGGGAAGAGUGUGAUCGUCUUCAAAGAUGUUUGCACAGCAUUGACUAACUUGGAGAUUCGAAAUAAUGAUAAAAAUUCUGAACGAGCAUCGUCUGAAGCUUUGGUGAGCAGAGAUUGGGCGAUGGAGAAAAAGAAAAAGCGUGGUGGAAAGAAUUCUCGAUAAGCGUGGUGGAAAGAAUUCUCGAUCCAAAUCGAGAAGCAGAAAUAUAGCUCGAGACGACUGUGCCUUUUGUCAUGAAAAGGGUCAUUGGAGGAAAGAUUGUCCAAAGGCUCAAAAGAGAUAUGGGAAUAAACCAGCAGCAGCAAACAUGGCACAGAAAGAUGAGGACUCUGAUUAUUCACUAAGUAUUACUCCUGCAGCAUACAUGGCUAGUUCGAGCGAGUGGAUACUUGAUACUGGAGCAACAUACCAUUUGUGUCCUAUUAAGGAAUGGUUUACGGAUUUUCGUAAUCUGGAAUCCGGUGCAGUUGUGAUGGGGAAUGAUCAACCUUGUCGCACAAUGGGGAUAGGAACAAUUCGACUCAAAAUAUUUGAUGGAAUGAUCAGAGAACUCAAAGAGGUUAGAUUUAUUCCAACUUUAAAGAACAAUCUAAUUUAUAUGGGUGCUUUGGAAGCUAAAGGCUACAAGGUUACCAUUGAAGAUGGAACAAUGAAGUUUACACAUGGGGCUAUGGUGAUUAUGCAAGGGGUUCGACGUCACAAUUUGUACUAUUUGAAAGGAGGUACAACUGAUGAAGCAAAUGUUGUUGAGGUGCACAGUGACACCACCAAGCUAUGGCAUGUACGACUGGGACAUGCUGGAGAGAAGUCUUUGCAAACUCUGAUGAGGCACGGACUCUUAAAAGGUACUAAAACCUAUAAAUUAAAUUUUUGUGAGCAUUGUGUAGUAGGUAAGAAAACAAGGGUCAAGUUUGGUACGGCUAAUCACGAUACUCGUAAGAUCCUUGAAUAUAUUCACAGUGAUGUAUGGGGACCAACCAAGACUGCAUCAAUUGGUGGAAGCCAUUAUUUUGUUACAUUUGUUGAUGAUUUCUCUAGACAUAUGUGGGUGUACACUAUGCGAGCUAAGGAUGAGGUUCUAGAGAUUUUCGUGAAAUGGAAGAAAUUGGUGGAGACUCAAACUGGCAGAAGAUCAAAGUAUUACGAUAUGAUAAUGGUGGUGAAUAUACUUCUGAUCCAUUUUUGCAAGUAUGCUAGAACGAGGGUAUUAAAAGACAUUUCACGGUGAGACAUACUCCGCAACAGAACGGUGUGGCUGAGCGUAUGAAUCGUACUUUGCUAGAGAAAGUACGGUGUAUAUUAUCUCAUGCUGGUUUAGAUAAAACGUUUUGGGCUGAAGCCGUGAGCUACGCAAGUCACUUGAUAAACCGGUUGCCUUCUACUACAAUUGGAUGUAAAACUCCUAUGGAAAUGUGGUCUGGAAAGCAUGCACAAGACUAUGAUUCCCUUCGUAUAUUCGGGUGUCCAGCUUAUUAUCAUGUCAAAGAUGGUAAAUUGGAUCCUCGUGCUAGAAAAUCUAUCUUUGUGGGAUUCAAAGGUGGAGUAAAAGGCUUCAAGCUUUGGGAUCUCGAAGAUAAAAAGUUUGUGUGUAGCAGAGAUGUCACGUUUGAUGAAGCUUCAAUAAUGAAAGUUUCAAGUUCUCAGCAGGUGGAGAACAAGACCACAGAGGUAUUGCAACGGGUGGAGUUUGAUGCAACUCCAUAUGUACCAGUUAGUUCUACAUCAGAGAAUGAUUCAACUAUGGAGGUGACACCUAGGGUUGAAGAAGAUGUUGUUUUUUCUGAUGUCCCACAAAAUGCAGAAACAAUUGAAGAUGUAGAUAAUGAUGAUUUCAUUGCAACAAGGAGGCCAAGAAGAGAGAUAAAGAAACCCGGAUGGCUUACUAAAGACAUGGUGGUAGCAUAUGCACUUCCAGUUAUUGAUGAUGACAUCUCCAACACUUUCAGUGAAGCAUUACGCAGCAGUGAAAGUGAUCAAUGGAAGUUAGCCAUGGAGGAAGAGAUGAAAUCUCUCCAUCAAAACCAGACUUGGGAACUUGUAAAGUUACCAAAGGGGAAAAAGGCUAUUGGCAAUAAAUGGGUCUACACCAAGAAGCAAGGAUCUCCGAAUCAAUCAACUCCUCGAUAUAAGGCAAUGCUCGUUGCAAAAGGUUUUGCUCAGAAGGAAGGUAUUGACUACAAUGAAGUUUUAUCUCCAGUUGUAAAACAUACUUCCAUUCGUAUCCUACUUGCCUUAGUUGCAGAAUAUGAGUUAGCGUUGGCUCAAUUGGAUGUUAAGACGACGUUCUUACAUGGAGAUUUGGAGGAGGAAAUCUAUAUGAUUCAGCCUUGUGGUUUCAAAGUUGCUGGAAAGGAGAAUCAUGUGUGUAGAUUGAUUAAAUCUUUGUAUGGACUGAAGCAAUCGCCAAUGCAGUGGUACAAAAGAUUUGAUCAAUUUAUACAAGGGCAGAAAUUCACUAGAAGUGAACACGAUCAUUGUGUUUACUUUAGAAGACUACUAAAUGGAGCUUUCAUCUAUUUGUUACUCUAUGUCGACGAUAUACUUAUAGCUUCGAAGAAUAAAGAUGAGAUCGAGAGACUGAAGAAUCAGCUGGCUUCUGAGUUUGAGAUGAAAGACUUGGGUGAUGCACAGAGAAUACUUGGAAUAGAGAUUUGUAGAGACAAGAAGAAUGUGAGCGUAUAGUUGACUCAAAAGUCUUAUUUGAAGAAAGUGCUAGAAAAAUUCGGUACGGAUGACAAAACUAAACUGGUAUGUACACCUCUAGCUCCUCAUUUCAAAUUAAGCUCUUCUUCAUGUCCUACAUCUCAAGAAGAACGUGAUUAUAUGGCUCGUGUUCCAUAUGCUAGUGUUGUGGGUAGUCUUAUGUAUGUUAUGGUAUGCACAAGGCCCGAUAUAUCUCAAGCAGUGAGCAUGGUUAGUAGAUACAUGCACAAUCCGGGUAAAAAUCAUUGGCUUGCGGUGAAGUGGAUUCUCCGAUAUCUGUAUGGGACAGUUGAUGUUGGGUUAUUAUUUAAGAAGGAUUGUGGUCAACAAUGUGUUGGAUAUUGUGAUUCUGAUUUCGCCGGAGACCUAGAUAAGCGAAGAUCAACAACGGGCUACGUAUUCACAUUGGGUGGAGGUCCGGUUAGCUGGAGGUCGAUUCUACAAUCGACAAUUGCUCUGUCCACUACAGAAGCAGAGUACAUGGCAGCAACUGAAGCUGUAAAGGAAGCUAUCUGGUUGAAAGGCUUGUUAGGUGAUUUGGGAGUAAUCCAAGAGAACAUUGCGGUCUUUUAUGAUAACCAAAGUGUGAUAUUCCUCGCGAAGAAUCAAACAUAUCACUCUCGGACGAAGCACAUAGAUGUGAAAUAUCAUUAUGUGAGGGAGAUUAGCGAGGGUGGUGAUGUGUUGUUGAAAAAGAUCAAUACCAAGGAUAACCCAUCAGAAAUGUUGACAAAUGUGAUUUCUGGAGUUAAGUUUCAACAUUGCUUGAAACUAAUUCAAAUUCUUCGAAUGCAUUAAGUUUGGGAAAUUUUGAACUACGGUUGGCUUGAUCCCAAAUUUGUGGGUACGUAGGCAGUCACAGAGAUGCAGUCACUUUUGGGACGAUGGAUCGUUAGUAGUCGGCUCAGAUUUGGACAAAUUUUCGCCGAGGUGGAGAUUUGAGAUUUGUAAAAGUCAAACCAAGCUUUUGACAAAGAAAAGCUUUAUGAUAAAAGCUUGACAAAAUUGGCCAAAACGUGUUGAAAUUUGGCACCAAAACUUGGAAAUUUCAACAAACAUAUAGCUGGCAUGCAAGCUUUCUAUAGCUGGCAUGCAAGCUAGCACAAAUGGGCAAAUUGUCGUGUUGAAUUUUGGCCAUUCUUUAGGCUAUAAAUAGAGAAGUGAUGAGAGCUUGAAUUGCAUUCCGAAAACUUGAGAGCAUCCCAUUUAUUUGAGAGCUUAAGAGGAAUUGCAAGUGAAGCAAUUCUAGAGUUCUGAAAGUGUGAGCAAUUGGAGAGUGUGUGUGAGAGUGCUUUGGGUGUAUUUGAGUUUUGGGAAGUGAGGUUUUCAUUACUCAAAUAUUGUACUCCAAUAAUUGUUAAUAAUACAAUUAUUUUUCUCUUGCUCCCGUGGACGUAGGCAUAAUUGCCGAACCACGUAAUUCUUGUGUCUUUUAUUUUUCUGUGAUUAUUUGGUGCGCUUGAUUCCGCAUUCCGCGCACAACAAAUAUUCCCUAAUUUCCCCUUGAAAAGUAUUUCUCCAUCUCUUUUUCGAAAUUUCACAAUAAACCGGCACAUUGUAAAAGUUAUGUUCUAACCUUAUGAUAAAUGCUCUAGACUUCAAAUGGAUUUUAUAUAUGAGAGUUUGUUGCAGCAGAUAUAUUGACUUAUCAAAUAUGAAUCAUUGUCUCGAUGAACUAUCUUUAGAUAAAAGAAUAUUAGAACCACUGUAGAAUAUCUUUACCCUGCUGGUUCUAACAAAAAUCUGCAUGUGGCAGCAAUUACUAGAUCUACAAUUUCCCAAAUAAUAUUUUGUGUUUCUUAAAAAAUUUGAAAUACAUAGUUGCACACCGUGAGACAGUGCUACAAUCUACUGAGAUCUAAAUUAUAUGAGACCUUAAGCUACUAAUGUUUGCAUAUUUCUACACGUCAAAUUAACAUUACCAUCUAUAAUCCAAAACGACAGAUGAUAAACGGCUUUUGGCCACUUAUUACUAGCAUCCACAAAUAAUUAUUUUGCAGCAAUCAGCUUAUUUUAUAGAAAUUGAUUUAGUCAGCAACAAACACUAUAAUUCUUGAAAUUAAUUUUUGUUCUUUGUAAUUUUCUAUGGUUUUUCAUAAAUCAAUUAAUCUGCAGUGCCAAGAUGAGGUUUAGCUUUUCAAACUAAAUAAUCAAGCAAGCAAAAAUACAAAUUCAGAGAUUAGGGAGUGAACUAGCUAGGUGGUUUAGAACUGGGCUGGCUAGCUCACUAUAUUCCAAUUUGUACAGUGAAUUCAUUGAAUCAUGAGAAAACAAUGUGGUCAUAGCUCAAUAUGAGAUGAUUUCGGAAGGGCAUACUGUUUCCAAGUUAAGUUGAUCCAUUAAGAGAUGGAGUGGUAGGGGUGUCAAAAAAGCCCGCUCGGACCGGACCCGCCAAUCCGGUCCGGGCAAAACCCGAACCGCAUGCACAUAAAAACCGGACCCGGGUUUGAAAUUCUCAAACCCGGACAUUUCCGAGCCCGGGUCCGGGUUCAACACAAAAAAUCCGGAACCCGGACCGGACCCGGUUUUUUAAUAAAUUUUAAAAAAAAUAAAUAUAUUAUAUAUAAAUAUAUAAUUAUGAAUUUAUGAUAUGUUGGAUGUUAUUUAAAUUUAUUGUGUGAUUAUUGUGUUGUUGAAUUUAAUUUAUUUAUUUUAUAUAUAGAUUGAAUGAGUUUAAGUUAGAAAUUGGAUGAAUUUAGGUAUUAGAAAGUAGAUUGAAAUAAUUUUUAUUUAUCAUUUGUGAAAAAUUUGCAUUGUUAGUGUGUUAUAUAUUUGUAUUUGACUAUUUUCUUUUUUAAAGUUUGAGAUUGAAUGAGUUUAUUUGAUUAUUUUCUUUUUUAAAAUUUGUAUUGUUAGAGAAAUGAAAGAAAAAAUUGAAGAAAAAAAAUUGAAGUUAUCACAUGCGGGUUUAAAAAAUCCGGAUCAAAACCCGGACCCGGAAGGUGCCGGGCUCAAGCCCGGACCGCACCCGGAAAAACCGGAUUUUAACCCGGAUCCGGUCUUGCAUUUCUCUCAUCCGGUCCAGUCCCAGGCAACACCAAAACCUAUGGAGUGGAUUGUGUGGAAAGUCUAAAUAACAAAUCCUUGUUCUUGAGUUUUACGACGUCGUUACUCCUUCAAGCGGCAGAUUAUGCAAGUGAGUUAAAAAACACAAUGCAUCAAUCACGGGGAUGCUACAUCAAAAAGACGGGAUCAUAGUGUCUAUGCAUUGAACAGUUACAGUUGCUGCUACAUCAAAAACACAAUGCAUCAAGAACACUUUCGCUCUGUCUAUAUCCUUAUUGACCCCAAAAAGGAUUAAUAAUUGAAGACGACUAUACAGAGUUAAUCUCACACUUUCGUUCUCUCAAUUUCUUUCAGAUGUCCCUCUGAAAAUAGCUGCCAAAACAGUUGGUAAGCUUUUAUACUCUGUUUUCUGGAAACAGAGUCCUAACUAACUGAACUGACGGUGCAGAGUAUGUCAACAUGCAUAAUUAAUCGUUUUAACAGUAUUUUUGAGUUGUCUUCGCAGUGAUCAUCAACAAACUCAUCACAAGAUUUUUGGAGCACCCUAGGACUAUCACUAGAUUCUAAAAUGACUAGUUCACUAUUCUUUUACAGUCCUUUCACCAGUAAAAUUAUUCGACUUCUGGAACUGGGAAUGAAGUGCAAUGAUGGAGCAACAUUUACAAUGUCUCUGGUUUCUCCUGACUCUCAGAUUUUUGUAGUGAGAACAUAUAACAAAAAAAGGCCUCCAUCAACAUAUGUAGACUCCGGGAUAUGGAUUGGAUCGAGUUUUUGUUUGAUAUUGAAGAACCUCUUUACUAUCGCGAUUUAGAAUAUGUGCAAGGAGUUGUCUACCGUUUUUUGCCUUAUGCUAUGAUCGGUGCUUUUGACGUUGCCCUGAAACGGUGGAAAAUACUUCGAUAUCCUCCGUUUGAUGAUGCAAAGAACUGGUUAAUGUACGAUUACCUAAUUGACUCUGGAUCAAGUAACAACAACAAUUUAUUAAUAGUAAUAGCAUAAACUAAGAAGAUUUUGGAGAGGGAGAUGUAUGCGUAUACUGUUUACAGGUUUGAUCCAUUGGGGAUGAAGUGGUCUCAAGUUGAAAGUGAUUUAUUAAAUAACAAGUCAUUGCUCUUGGGUUAUACCUCAUUAUGUCUUCAAGUGGAAGAUAAGAUUAUGCAAGAUGAAGAUCGAGUUUUAGUUUGAUAUUGAAGAAUUUGAACAGAGAGCCCAUAGAAAGUACCUAAAUAAGCAUAUUCUUGAGGUAAAAUAUGGAGGAGGAGUUGUUUACUGUGUGCUGCGUAGUUAUGCUAUGAUCGGUGCUUUCGGCAUUGCGCAAACAGUGGAAAAUACUUCAUUUCCUCGACAUGAUAAUGAAAAGAAAUUGGUUGCCGAUUACCUAAUUGACUCAGGUGGCAACAAUCUAUUAAUAGCACAAUUUGAUGUGAUGCCAGUUAGGUAUAUGAUUUAGAGGUUUGAUUCAUCAGUGAUGAAGUGGACUGAAUUAAAAGUUUAAAUAAUAAGUAGUUGUUAUUGGGCAUAUCCUCAUUACUAUUUUAAGUGAUCAAAGAUGAAGAUGAAAAUUGUGCAAGUGAGUUCAAGAAUACCACACAUCAUUACUUCGGAUACUUCUUCAAACCUGGAUGGGGUUAUAAUUUACUCCCACGAAUUUCAACCCAAUUUUAUGAUUGGAGUGUCUCACCAUGACUCAGAAAAAAUUCUGAUUCAACCUCCUCCACCAAUGGAUUUUGAUAAAGUUACUUUGUGAUCAAGCAUAAAUUCACAGUUUGAUUUUGUUGCUACCACAUUUUUUUUAAAAUGUGGCCACGUGAGGAGAGCGGACCAGAGUGUCACUUCCUCAACAAGCACUUUAAAGAUGGACUUUAGAAGAAGAUAUAACUGCAAUUGUUUUCGUGUGUGUGUGUAUACAAAACUACAGAACAUUCAGUUCAUAAAAGAAAUUUUUGCUAACCAUGAUAUGUGGUAGUGUUUUUUAGGCAAUGUAGAAACAGAGUUGUUCAACUUACAACAGAUAUUCUCCUCAAGUUCGACUUAAUUAAUCUUACGAUGACACAUAUAACUUGCUUCAAAAUUAGAAAUUAUAAAUUGCCGAUUUACAAUGCAUAUAACUUGGAAGAAUUGGUGUUAAAAGAACAACUACACGCAUAACUUGGAGAGCAAUUGCGACAGUAGCAAAGGAUAUAUUAACUAAACUGGCCAUUGAGCAAUUAAGAGGAGCCAUCAAACAUCUUACUAGUUCUGGCAGCAGUUUAUUAACUAAAAUAGCAAUAUGAUGUGAGAAAAAGGAACAUACGUAGACAUACUUGGCAACAGUUCAUGAGAAGUAGCAUCGCAUUAAGGUAAUGACUUUACUGCCGUUAUCGUGCAAGGUAAUACUUCAUUUCUCCCUUUCUUUUUUUCACUUUAACAAAGUUGAAGUCAGUGAAAUUAUGACUCGACAUAAAAAAAAAGUCAGUGAAAGGCCAAUACCCUACUACAACAACAGGUACAAAUUAAAAGCUUCAUUCUAGAAAAGAUGACGCAUUAUUCUUUAUCCCUAAGGCUUAAGCCCACCACAGUGGAAUUUCAUAUUAAUUUCCGAAUGACUCGAGCAAUUCUUGAUUCAAACUCGUCCACCAAGCUGGGAUUUCGAUUGAGUGAGUUACCUUCUGCUCAAGCAACUUAAAGUCGUCGUUUGAUUUUGCUGCCACCCCAUUUUUUAAAAUUAAUUUCAAUUCCACCUCAAGGAAUUCUUAUCACUGAACAGUUGAAGUUAAUUUACUUUGAACUUUUGAAAAUUAUAUUUUUGAUGUUUUGCACUUUAUGGUUACUUAAAAUAAAAUUUGACGGUGUUUCUAUGAUUAAUUAUUUGUGAUAGUCUGUACUUAGCAAGAGUUCACGAGAAGUUUGUCUAAAUGCUCUUCACUAGAAGGACUAUAUCUUAUUAAUAAAAAUCUCUUGGGGAAGAUUCCACGCUGGUUGGAUAAUCUCUCAAUGUUAAAGCAUAUUAUAUUGUCCAAGACCUAUCUUGAAGGUCAACCUAUUCCAUUGGAGUUUUGUCAUCUUUAUUCUCUUCAAAUUUUGGACAUUUGAAAAAACAAUAUAUUUGGAAAUUUACUAUUUUUUUUCCACUCUCUCCCUAAUUAACAAGUUCACUUGUCGAAUAAUAUGUUACAUAGGCAUCUAAAAUGAAAGUACAUUUUCUAAAUGCUCUUCCUUAGUGACAUUAGAUCUUAGAUAUAACUGUUGUUGAUGCUGAAAUCUGCUCGCCUUUUACCCGACCAGAUCUUUUCACCAACGUUUAUGUGGUCAAUCGAGAAAAUGUCGCCUUCUUUCUGUUUCAACGAUUGCUUGAGUCCCUGGGACUAGAACCACCCUUUUUCUUCUUUCUGAUGCCUAUGUUCACAAAAACAGAUCAGAGACGCCGAUGGUUUUACCGACGUAAACCCUCCGAUGCUUAAGUUAGCACGAGAUGUUUACGGGAAAACUAUGUAAUUUAGAUUGUGUGAUUUCUUAAAAUACUCUCACAAAUUUGUAUGGAAUGUAAUCUGGUUUCAAUUUGGCAGAGUUUUCCCUUUGCUCUCAAUUUUUUCUGUCUCCUUUUUCAUCGGUUUCCUGGCUUCUUAUAGCCGUUGUCCCACGUUUCUGCGUACUCUUCAUGCCCCCCUUUUUCGAGUGAUGGCAGACCCUCAUGGGUCUCCAACCACUGGAUUGUGGGUAAACGUGGAAUGCCAUGUCUCUCCCAACAGUUCGGGAUAUAGUGAAACUGUCGCAAUUUCGUGAGAUCGUGUGCCCUUUCUUUGGGUGAUGGGUAUCUGGUCGGUAUAUGUCUCUGGUUGGUGCUCGUCUCUAGUUGGCACAUGUUUGUAUAAGAUGUUUUAUCAGGACUCUUCUUGUGCCAUUCAGUUGAGGAGAUUCGCCUCGGGGUGGGAGAUGAGGGCAUGGCCGAGCUGGUACUUUUUAUUACUUAACAACUGCUUGAAUGACAGCAUUUUGAGAUUUGGUUGUUAACUUUCUCAAUUAAGAAACCUUAUCUUGACUCCCAAUAAUCUUGAAGGUGAAAUGCAAUUUCAGUUGUGCUAAUUGUACCAAUUGCGAUUAAUAGAUCCUUCAAAUAACAAAUUUUAGAUAACGUUGCACUUCAUGAUAGAAUGUAAGAUAAAACUUGUUUUUUUUUUUCUUUUUUAUAGUAUUGACAUUUGAACGCUAUCAAAAUAGAAUGUAAGAUAUUGUUCAUACUACAAUAUUAUUGUAGCAAAACUAGCUGAUAGCAGUAUUCAUACUACAGUGCUAUUGUUUCUAUCAUAGUAAUAUUUUGUUGGUGGCUAAAUAUUAUUUUUUUUAUUAAAUAAAAAAGUGGGUAAUACUCAAAUUAAUUUUUAAUUUCCAAUCUCUCUCGAGUUCUCAAUUCAAGUAGCCAAUCAAAUAAAAAUAUUUAAAAUUAAUUAGAUCAUCCAUGGGCCUUUUUUUUUUUUUUUUUUUCAAAGGAGAUGGAUUCUUAAAACUACAGGUAAUGAAAUUAACUAACAAAAACAGGUUUAAAUGUCCAUUUUAAAUUUUUUUAAUAAUUUUUUGUUUACUAUUUUACCAGCUAUAUAAAGAGUGCCACGCCAAUACAUCAAUUGAUUUAGAAAUUACAUUUGGGGUUUUUUUAAUCAUAUAAAGGUGAUUAAAUAAUUUUGUAAAAUUCAUUUGGCUUGCACUUGGUCGCCUCUGUUCUCUGAAUGGUCAUGACGUUAUCAUCAUCUUCUUCUUCACUUGUACUAACAUUAAAUUCUUCUUGUUCACUUGUACUAACAUUUUAAUUUCCAAUCUUUCUCAGCUAUAUAAAGAGUACUCUUUCUCGGAUUCUAGGUAGUCCCACACAGCUCCAUCUCACUCCAAUUGUCACCCAACAAGACCAAUCGCUUAAUCAAGACACAGAACAAAAAGAGGAUGAGAAAUUGGAACAAGAACUUGAGAAUUGGAAAUCGAAAACGUACGCAUUGACCGUGCCUUUGAGAGUCGUUUCUCUUCAGAAUUCAAUACCUUAAUCUUGGGUUAAGGAUUUUAUGCGAAGUCAAGGAAAGAGAUUGAGUUCUCAGAUGAAUUUGUGUGCUAGCAUUGAUGGGAUCUUAACAAUUUAUCUGUGCCUUUUAACAAAGUUAAGGCUAAGUCAGCUCUUAUAUGGCUGCUGAUUUGGUUAGUGUUGGUGAUCCAUGGCUCAGUUUUGCGAUUAAAAAGAGAUUGAUUGAACCAAUAGUUGGAGCUGAAGAUCAAGAUUGGUUCAAAUGCUUAAGUCACAAAUGGAAGGUAACAUCUUUAUCAUUGUCCCGAUAUUUUUUAUUGUCUUACAUUGAAGUUUGGUAAUGGAAUUUGUUCUCUAUUUAUUUCCCUUUGUAGUCAUUUUAUUUAUUUUUUUGUUUGCAUUUAUUUGCACUUACGAAGUCUCAGGUAUAUCUACGCAGGAAUGAUGCAGGAGAAAUUGAUCCUCUAGGUAAAAUAUGCGCGGCACCAUAUCAGUGGGGCACAGCGGUGAUAGCUUACAAGGAAAGUAAAUUUCGAAAGCUUAAUUUGGCUCCGAUUGCGGUAAUAAUUGUCUUUAAACUCAUUUAGUUUUAUAUCAAACAAAACCAAGACUGCCUUUCUCUUCAAUAUUUUUUAUGAUAAUAUCUUUAGAAGCAUCUUAUUGAUGGGUAAUAAUGGUACCCCUUAAAGAGUUUAUAAACUCAAUGAUAUUAUCUUCUGCAAAUGGUUCAUUAAACUUUGUCGUUGUAGUCAAAUGUACACUCAGAGCAAUGAGAAGCUAUGCCACUGUAGCAUGUAGUGAUGGCACUUAAUAAGUGAGUUGCUAGGAUGUGAACUAGAAAAAUUAAAUAUUGUCUCCCUGGGUAUGCUAGCUCAUAAGUCAGGGUUAAUAUUAGAACUCAAGAUACUUUAACCAUGAGAAGCUAUUGACUGCCAAUUAAAAUAUCCUUUAAAAUGUCUAGGAAGUUAUGAAGGUGGAAGUAUCUUCCGAUUUCUAAGGCCACAUGGUAGAUAUCAUCCAGGAUCCUAGUACAGUGCAGUUAUCCUCCUGCUAGAUGCAAUUAAUAAAUUUGGUCAAUGCCACUGAAACAUGCUAACUGACGUCACAAUGCGACAUGAGCACUUCAAAAUGGGACAGACGGUCGGUAGCACUAAAUUUUUCUUGCCUAAGAUUGAGCAAUUGGUCUAACUACUAACCCCUUUUGUAGGUUGAUCAUUAUUUUUUCAAUUGUUUUCAGUCUGACCCAAAAUGUUACAGAAUCUUGAUCUGAAUAUUGUCACUGAACACUGUCAAUGUCGUUUAGCGUAGCCAACUAACUUGAGUUUGGUAAAACAAACACACAGUGUGUCUCAUGUCUCACAAUUCAAAUUAUCAUUUGUAAUGAUGGAGAAUUUUUCCAAUGUAUGAAGUAUGCUUUGAUACGUGGGUUACCUUGGAGAAGGUAUCUCAAAAUAAAGAAUAUGGGGAGAAAACAGUUCAGUAGUUUAUUAUUCUGUAGUCAAGUUUUGUCUCAAAAAUGGUCCAAAUUUAAAUGAAUAAGGACAGGGGAUCUUCAUUCUUUUUUCCCUUUUUUAUACCGAGAUAUCUCUCAACCUUUACAUAAUCCCCACUGGAUAUCUGCUUCUAAUAAUUAAAAUAAAAAUUUCACCCACACAAAUAAUGUAAUACCCCACACCCGAUUAUUUUUUUACUCUCCACCUAUAUAAAUUGAGCGCGAUUAAAAGUUCGAGUAGUCGGAUGUAUUUUCAUCACGGGACCGGUAUAAGUUUAAUUUGUAUCAAGUUUAAGUGGAAAAAAAAAGAGAAAGAAAAAGAAAUCGGGUUUUAUAUAUGGAAAUGGGGGAAACUGUUUUUGAUUUACAAAGAAAGAGGGAGAAGGCACGAGAGAGAGAGAGAGAGAGAGAGAGUGUUUGACCCGGUUUGACCCGCAACCCGACCCGGAACCCGCGACCGUGACCCGGAAUUUUCUCUCGAUUCCGGCCACCUCACCGGCCGUGCUUGGUACCGAUUUGAAGCUUGGAAGCCGCCCGACCUAUCCCCGCUGUCCUCGUUGCCGGAAACUGACCAGAACGCCGGCGAUUUGAGCUCGAAAACUCGCGGCCAAGGCUCGUUUUUGCCGCCGUCGAUUUCGCCGGAUUUUGGGCACACUUCCAGCUGGGUUCUACUCCUCACGUCACCAGCAUCAUUUUCCGACCAACCUCGUCACCUGAAACGGCCGGAUUGCCGGCGAUCAACCACUUGGGAAGCUCGUGGUUUUUGGAAGCUCGAUUUGCCGCCGCUGCCGCGCGUGGAAGGUCACCACCGCCACCAUUGGACUCAGCAUGGCUUGAACUUUCAGUUCUGAGCUUCUCGUCGCCGUCGGAUGAAUUCCGGUGACCGUUGACCGGCAAGGGUAUUUUGGUAAUUUCACAGUCUAAGGGCAAUUUUGUAAUUUCAGAUUUUGUGGGUAUUUUAGUAAUGGCUGUAAUUGAGGAUAAAGUUGGUAAUUUAUGAUUUUGAGGUUAAUUUGGUAAUUUUGAUAUGAGGGUAUUUUGGUAAUAUUGAAUUCAAGGGUAAUUCGGUAAAUUCAUAAAACUUGAGGGUGAAUCUGUAAUUUGUGGAAUCAUGGGAUAAAUUGGUAAUUUUAAGUUAGGGCAGUGUGGUAAUUUGAGAUUACGAGGGUAAUUCGGUAAUUUAAGACGUUAAGGACAUUUCGGUAAUUUUAUGCCCCAAGGGUAAUUUCGUACUUUCGGACAAUGUGAUUAAUUUAUGUAAUCUGAAUUGAGGACAAUAUGGUAAUUGACGAAUAUGAGGAUAAUUUGGUAAAAUAAUGAAGUUUGAGGAUAAGUUGGUAAAAUAUUGAUGUUGGGGGUAUUUUGAUAAUUUUGGCAUGUAGGGGUAUUUCGGUAAUUUUGUGCAUGCGGGAAUAGUUUAUUGUUGAUAAAUAUUCGUUUCGAGAUUUAUUAUAUAAAAUUGGUUGUAUUUCAAGUUUACGGAGAAUGUUUAUGUCGUUUCCCUGAUUAGGAGGAUCUGCGAACGAGAAUCAACCCGCGGACGUUGUUGAUACCGAGUCUAGACAUCAUCACUGUGAGUGGAAUAUACAAAACCUAUUUUCAUAGUAUAUGCUGAUUUUAUGAUAAGUAUUUAAUGCUUCGAUUAAAUGAUUUUCCGGCAAAUUAAUUUUUAUCUAUGUGUCGGUCUUUAUUGUUAUUGAGAAUGAGUUUGAUUAAUGAUUUUAUUAGCGUUUUUGAGUAAAGGCAUGAUAUUAGAAUUGAGCAGAUUUUGAGAUAUGUUGAAUAGAAAGAAAAUGAGAUUUCAGAUGAGAUUCUAUGUUUAUGUAUAUGUUAUUUUUGAAAUCAUUAGACAGUACCCUUCCCUCCAGAUACAGAGAAACAGAUAAUAUGAGAUGAGAAAAGAGAUACAGAUAAGAUGAGAUAGAGGCCUUUGGGGCCCGUCAGGACACACAUAGAGGCUUUGGGCCGUGUGUUCGGGCGCUUUUGCCUUUUGGGGGCUUAUGCAUGCGCAGUACAGAUAUAUCAGAUAUGAGAUGAGAUCGUCCCCAUCUAUCCGUUGUAGCUCCGGGGCGUGACGUUACCCAGAUAGUACGUCAUUGCCCGUCCGUCGAGGUCCGGAUAUGAUCAGAUUAUCCCCUGGGUACUUGCUUGAUGAUAGUUUUCAGUAUUCAGUAUUUUAUAUGAUAAGUAUUAUGAUUCCAUUGAAUUUAUGCAGAUUUUAAUGUGAUAUAGUAUUUCAAUGAACUAAUUUGAACUUAAUAAGUUUAUGUAAGUUCUUAUGAUAUUUUGAUGAAAUUGUCUGAGCAAAUUGAUUUAUGAAAUUGAUUUGAGGAAGUGAUUUGAGAAAGUGAUUUGAGAAAGAUUAAAUGAUUUUAAAUAAAUUUAUUAAAUUGUCAGCAACUACUAUCCACUCACUGAGCUCACUGAGUUUUAUACUCACCCCUCUUUUAUUAUAUUUCCCCCCCCCACAGGAGAUUUACAGGUACAUCAGUCAACCUAGUAGCGAACGUUAGUGUGAUAUUGUGGCCACGUGAUGGUGCUAGGAGUCGUGAAUUUAAUUAUUAUUAUAUUUGGGAUUUUUGCGAGUUGUGUUUAUUUAUUAUUUUAUGUUAUUAAGGAUAAUCGAUGUAUUUUAAUAUUAGGAUGAUUUGGAUGAUGUUUGAUAUAUUGAUUUGAGAAGUUGGUUAUGGAGGAUGGUUGGAUAUUAAAUUAUUUUGGGAGUGUUGCUUUAUAAUUUGCAGGAUUGGAUAUGUUUUAUUUAUAAGGGAGAUUCUGCCGAAAUUUUUAUAGAAUAGUUUCGAUUUUACGAGUUUAGAUAGACUCGCCCUGGGGAGUUGCGGGGCGGGUCGUUUCAAAUAAAUACUGACCAAGCUCUAACAAUAAAAAGUAACAUCUUUAGUCAAGUGAUUUACAGUUCCUCAUCAUCUUAGUGAGACUAUCAGUAUGUUCCAAAAACAUUAUAAAACUGGUUUGUUCCUGUUUAUUGAUGUUUAAAUGAUGUUCAUUGUGACAUGUAGAAAUGAUGAGGCGAAGUUUAUUUGGCCAUCAAUUUGUAAGAUCUUGUUUGAAGUUGUUUUCUGAAAUGAACUGCCAAAUGGUAGUUUUUUUGGGCAUUUGAUGGCUCUUUUUUCCUCAUUUUAAACAUGUGCCUGCUUGGAACAAGAAGGAUUAGGCUGCAGAGUUGUUAUAUAUUUUGACAUGCUCUGGUCAUUGCACAAUUUGUUCACACUGGAAACUAGAAUGAGAAAUUUGUUGCAUUCUAUGCACAAUAACAUGAUUCAUGAAAAUGGAUUGUAGGACUGGAAAGAUCUGUGGCAGCCUGAGCUCGCAGGACGAAUUUCAAUGGUUAAUUCUCCCCAAGAGGUUAUUGGUUUAGUUUUGAAGUAUAUGGGAGCGUCAUACAACUUGAUUCGCAAGUUGCUGGUGGGAAGAUUGCUGUUCAGCAGAAUCUGGCAUUACUGGCAAACCAGGUACUCUCAAAGAAAUGAUAUCUGGUCAUUGCAUGUUAUUGCCUGACAACUGAUUUUGUUUGUAAAAGUCUGCUUCUUCAUACAUAUGAAUGCAUAUGUUUGUGUUUUCUUCUCCUUUUCAUACAUAUGAAUGCAUAUGUUACUUCUUUUCCUUUCCAUACAUAUUAAUACAUAUGUUGGUGUUCUCUCCUGAGAUGGAUGCAAUAAAGGCUUUUCUGAAGAAAUGGCAAGGGAUGUGAGAUUCUGUCUCAUAAAAUUAACAAAAACCCAAAACAAUGAAAACCCAUAAUAAUGUGGUGUGGGUAAAUUGACACCAUUUGGUUCGUUUCCUUGAUUUGAAUACGCGGGCAAUAGAGACUAACAAAAUGAAGUGACAACAAGAAGUCAGUGUCCUUUGAUGGAUGCAUUUUUAGGCAGAAAUAGGUUUGUAAUUGACCAAAUUUGUCUGGCAUGCCAAUUUCAAAAAAAUUAAAUUAUGUGGUUAUUAGCUGUAAUGAAGGGGGAUAGUUGGUCCAAUCAGGUGGAUCCAGGAAAGUUCAACAAAGUUCUGGUAUGGCGUAGAAAUUGGUUUGUGCAACUCAAGAGUCUUUCUGGUGAACGAUGAUGGGUUUUGAUUUAUAAAUGUUAUAAAUCUACUGUGCAUAGUAUUCUAGUAGAAUCAUCUAUAAGUUCUAGUUAUUGAAAUUGUCUACCUUGUUCAGUUUGAGUUAAGGGCACAUGUAAUAUGAAAAAUAGUUGUCGCAUCUUUUAGGUUACCUAACAUUUGAUCAAUCCUAUUAUGAGGGCUUCAAGAUGUCUAACAAUAUGUGGAAUGCCCAUGCUCCUCCCCAUUGUUUAUCUUAUAUAAUAAUUUGUUUUCGAUGCUAAUAUCUUUGUCGAUACCGGUAACAAUAUUAUAAUAUCUGCGUUUAUUGGGUUUUACAUAGGUUCGACUGUUUGACAGUACACACUAUCUGAAGGCAUUUGGAAUUGGAGAUGUAUGGAUUGCUGUUGGGUGGAGUAGUGAUGUUCUUCCUGCUGUCAAACGUAUGUCUAAUGUUGCAGUUGUUGUUCCCAAGUCUGGUGCUAGCUUAUGGGCUGAUCUUUGGGUAUACCCAUGCCUGCCAUUCUACUUCAAUAUUCACAUUGUUAUCUCCUUCAUAUUAGCGAUCAGUAAACACGAUAAUGUGACUAAUAAGUUUGUAUUCUCUUUAUAGCCAAUCCCUGCUGCCUCAAGACUUGAAACAAAACAAAUUGGAGGGCGAGUCAGAGGUCCAUUUCCAUUAAUCCAUCAAUGGAUAGAAUUCUGCUUGCAAACAGCAUGAUCAUUGCCUUUCAAGCAAGAGGUUAUCCCGAGCGCAUCUCCCUCUGCUCUUGAGAGUACUCUGGUUAAGUUGCCUGAAGAACUUUUGAAGGGUAAACCAAGUCUGGAUACUAACUUAAUUGCGGGAGUACCCCCGGCUGAAAUUCUGGCCAGAUGUGAGUUUUUGGAGCCAUUAUCUGAAGCUACUUUGUCAGAUUAUGAGUGGCUGGUUGCUAAUCUGCAAAAACCUGCUCCUGUCUUGAUGAAAAGGGUGCAACGUUACUUGUCAUCAUUAAUCUUUAGCUAAAGGUACAUUGAAAAGUUAAUGGCACUGCAUACCAGUCAUUAUAAUUGGGUCAGGGCAAUUAGGUCAGAGCAUAACUUCAUUAGGAAAAGAGGCUUCAGCUACGUUAAAUAUUACAGGAUGUACAGAGAUGGCUGAAGUUGUUGAGGUUUUACGAGAAACGAAAGAUGAGUGUUUGUUUGAACAAAGUUGUUGCCAAUCUUGCAGAGUUCGAGAAGAAAGAUCACAGAGCGAAUGCCACCGAUUUCUUCAUCAUUGUAGCCUCCAUAGUUGAAGUUUCCUCAUUUGAAGCUGUUUAUGCAUUAAGCUUAUUCCCUGCUCAAGUACAGGAAACUGAAGAAUUAACCAGACAUGAUAUGCUGAAAGAGGGAAGUUUUCUUCCUUGAAUGUGGCCUUGUGAUUUGUAGUGAAGUAAUAGGAUGAUCACUAGCAAGAACCCUAUCAAGGUAGACUUUAUAAUGUCAACAUAUUAUUAAGCAUUUGUCAAUUUAGCACUUUCGCAAUGAUACAUUCAUAGCAUGAAAUUAAUUAUAUGAUCCUGAUUAAUCAAUUAAUCUUCAUGAGAUUUAACCUAGUUAAAACUAAGUACAAUCAUCGUUAACAAAUACUGAAAUUGGGUAAAUAUGAUCUCGACAUUGAAGAAUUUGAAAACACAACCCACAGAGGAAAUUACUUAUUGCAUGGGGAUGGAGAUGGUUACUGCAGGGAUAUAGAAUAUGUGCAAGGUGUUGUCCACUGCUCGUUGGGUUAUGGUGUGACUUGCGAUUUCAAGGUUGCCCUGAAACAAUGGAAAAGAUUAACAUAUCCUCCAAUGAAUAAAAACGGCUUGACUAAUUCAAAUUACUCAGGAUCAGGUGGCAAUAAAACAGUCCAUUUACUUUUCCAGGAUCAGAUGUUGAUAAUAAUAGUUUAUUAAAUGAAAAAUCAUUGUUCUUGGGGGUUGGUUGUAUACGUCAUUACUACUUCAAGUAGAAGAAAAAGGUUGUGUAGGUGAUUUCAGAAAUAAAAUACAUUCUGAGAGAUGAUGGUCCACUAUUGCAUGCCCCCCAGAUUUAAUAAUCAUCACUUUUCCUUAAAAAACUGCUACGCUUUGAUUUUAGUGCUGAAUAUUUAUUGAACUCUGAUAGAGGGAGUUUGAAGUCAAACUCGUAAUUACAGGUUAUCUAAUUGCGAGUUGCUGUCCAUAGCUGUUGAUUUGUAGUGAUUAUUUAAUUGACUGAGGUAACAACAAUUUUUUUUUUAAUUUUCAGUAAAAUAAAUUCUCCUAGUUAAUUUGUUUCAAGUUAAAUUAUUAAUUACUUAAACUCUGUUUUAAGUCUUUAAUUUUAUGUCUUGGCGUAUAUGCAAAAUUGGAUUCUUGAGCGUGCUGGACACGACCAACAAUGAAAUUGACAGUAAAUAAACAUUACAACGUGUGGACUCCGGUAGCUACAAGUCUACAACUUCACAAAUAAUAAUUGAGUAAGCGCCUUUGAUUCUCGGGACCCUUCAAUGAAUUUCUAGUCCCGUUGACUCCGCCGACUAAAGUUCUGUUAAAAAAAAAAAUACAUAGAAUUCCACCAAAUGCAAAACGCGUGGAAUUUAAUUUUCGGCCAUGUGGACCGAAACAUAAUUUAACAAAAAAAGAAAAAAAAUGAUAAGAUUUCUAAAACGUGUGGAAGGUGAUCCAUAUUUUACUGAAACGACUUGUUAAAAUUUUCAAAGAUUUAGAAUAUUUGGUUAUAAAUUACGCUCAUGUUAAUUUUUCUGCCAUUGACUAUCAUAUUCUAGACUUAAUGGUACCUUUCUUGAUGAAGGGUACUUAGUCUCUCUUCUCGUCUUAUAAAAAUUAUAUUAAUUGAUUUCUUGUUAUAAUUAAUAGUCUUUAGGAACGGAUAACUUUAUUGUUUUCAUGACCAAAUUAUGCCUCCUAAGCUUGCGACUAUUAAUAAAAUUAAUAUUUAAUAUUUAUGUUAAAAGAUAUAAGAUUUUAUGCAUUCAUUAAUUGUUAUUAGCUAAAUGAUGAAUUAUUUUUUAAACCCAAUCAGUUGAUGCAUCUGCAAGAGUUUUUUCUUUUAUUGACCAUAAUUAUAUUCCGGGUACAAUAAAUUGUCAUUGGUGCUUGGAAAAUAUGACUUCUUACUUCAAGUUUGAUAUGUCUCUCUCCAUAAGCUUACUGGAAAUAUAUCCUCAUCUACUGUCAUUUAUCUAAUAUCAAUUGAAAGAUCUCACUUUUUCAAACUAUCACUUCCAAGUCUCAUUGUCACUUAGCCAUUCUUGGACCAUUCAAAACCAAUCUGUUGAAAUAAUCAAAUAUAUGCAAAAUUAGAGUCACGAUUGUUGGUCCCCCAAAUUCUAAUUAUAUAUCUUCUAUAUAUCUCAUUGUCAGGUCACGAACUUGUUGGCAUAUUUUCCAAAUUCCUCUUCCAUCAGCUCUCACAUGUUAACUUGAGUGGAAAGUUUCCAAGUUGAUUGCUAGAAAGCAACGCAAAAUCAGACACACUUGAUCUAUCCCCUAAUUCUCGUUUCUACGUUGAAAAAGAAAGUAUAUAUAUAUAUCUAUGUAAAAAUAAAUAAUAAACUGAGUAAAAGUACAUUUGUUUAAUUAACAUCUGAUCGGGGCAUUUUUGGUGUAAUUUCGUGCCGUGUAAGCCACAACUAAAAUCAAACAGCCCCUUAGCAUACUUCUUCCAUAUUAUCUGCUACUUUUGUGGAUCUUAUAGGGUGGGCAUGUGGACAGAAUUUAAAAGUUUUAAUAGUCUCAAAGAAUAAGAUAUGUUAAAGCUAAAGUUGUUGCACCUUCUAAUUAAAUAAAGUUGCAUAAUUUCACCAACUUGAAAGAAUUGACAUUAAUGGACUGGUCCCCUCUCCAUAUAUGAAGCCUUCUUAAAAGUUAAUUUUUAUUUCAGAAAAAAAAAGUUUAAGUUACAUAUAUUACAGUAAGAUUUUUUGAGACCAAUUCCCUUCUUCAAAUGAUAAUGGAAAAGUAUUAAUUUAAAAAUAGCAUGAAUAUGUAUUGAUUAUAUCUUGAUUUUCAUCAAUUAUAGUCAGAGUUUCUCCAAAUCAAUUCCCUUAUUCAAAUAAUACAGAAAAUAAUUUAAUAGUAAAAUAAAUAGGUGUUGAUUAUAUAUCCUAAGUUUCAUCGAUUAUGUGAUCAAAGUGGCAUUGUUGAUUUAUUUCUUGUUCAAUGUUAAUUAAUUUUAGGGGAAUAUUCGGCCAACCUCUGUAAUUUCAGAGUGAUCAUUAAUUAAUUAAACGAUACAAAUAUCUAAAGUGAUUAGAUGUUUGCUGACAAUACAAGUUCAUGGCUUGAAAUUUGAUCUCUAUCGAUUGGUUUACAAAUGGACGCACUUGUGCCUUUGUGGCGAUAAUUGAACAGAGAUGUGAAGUUGUAAAGAUUUGGCAGUAGUAAAUUGUUAUAAAGACAUAAUGACAAGUUCCCAUGAUUAGUAUUUUUUUCCAAAAACUUUGUUACAACAAAUUCAUCUCGCCCAAAAAUUCUAUUUUGCUAACUAACAAUAAUUGAGCACUUGGCCGCAUUGACUCCACGUCUCCACCUACUUUGUAAGUAAAAACAUGGAAAUGUAAUCUCCACAAAAUGCCAAACGUGUGGAAUUUAAUUUUUGGCCUUGUGAAUCAAAAUGCAAAUGAAAGAAAAAGAGAGAAAAAAACAAGGCCCAAAGACUACGAAAAGAUAUAAAAGUCUUUGGGCCUUUUUAUAACGGCGAAUUUUUUAAAAGGCAAAAAUAACAACACUUCUAUGGUUUGUUUUGAUAAUCACAUUUACAUAUACUCUCUAAUUUUCAAAAUGGACACAUAAAUCUUUUUUUUUUCUACAAAUGUAUAUUAUUCGUAUUUUUUAUUAUUUUUAAUAUCAUAUUGUUAUUUAUUAUAAAUGUUUAAAGUAAAUUUUUAGGUUAAAAUAUAAUAAAAGGGUAUAAUCGUUCUCUUAUUAAACACCCAUACUUUUAGUUUCUAUCCAUUUGUCAUCUCAAUCUCUCUCAAUUAUUCUUUAUUGCUAGCUCAAAACGCGUUGCUGUUGCAAAUUAUAGCAAAAAGACAAAUAUGGAAAAGAAAAAAGGGAAGAAAAUUAGUGCAUGAAAGACUUGGAGAAAACAACGAAGUAAGUCAACUAUAAUCUAGCUGGGUGUAUAAAUUGUUUGAUGCUUUAUAAGCAAAUAACAAACAGAGACAGACAGUGUGUGUUCGUUUUUUCAUAGUUAAAGAUAUAGUUAGAAUGGGUGGUUCAAAAUCAAAAAUGGCGAUAAUGUUUGUUAUGUUAUUAAUAAUAUUUAAAAGUGGGUGGAGUGAGGGAUGUUUGGAUCACGAGAGAUUUGCUCUUUUGCGACUGCAACAUUUCUUCAAUGAUCCUCGUAAUUCUCUUUACAACUGGGUCGAUGAUGAGGGAGCUACUGAUUGUUGUCAGUGGGAAAGGGUUGAGUGCAGCAACACCACAGGCCGAGUGAUAGCGCUAGACCUUUUUGAAAUGUAUUCGGGAGAGUACAGCUGGUAUCUGAAUGCUUCUUUGUUUACUCCCUUCCAACAACUUGAGUCACUUGAUUUAACUGCCAACAAAAUAGCCGGUUGUGUUGAGAAUGAAGGUGCUUCGUUUAAUUUAAUUAAUUUACUUUCUCCCCCCUAAUUUAAGUUGAAUAUCAAGACCGAGCAACUAUACGCAUAUUCAUUUAGUCGACAAUUUUGACUUUUUUUUAAGUGAUUAAUUAAUUUUAAAAUUACACCAAUAUCUAUGAUCUUUUUUUUUUUUAAUUUUGCUUGCAGGUCUAGAGAGGCUAUCAAGAUUGAACAACUUGAAGAUGCUUAAUUUAAGUGAAAACUCUUUGAACAAUAGCAUUUUAUCAUCUCUAACUCAUCUUUCAUCAUUAAGCUCAUUAAAUUUAUUUUUAAAUAGAUUGGAAGGAAGUAUUGACUUUAAAGGUACAUAAUUAAAACUUCAUCCCUUCUCCAAGCUCUUUCAUUAACUUGCUAAAAUAAGACUCAAGGCUUUGAAUUCAAUUUUUUUUAUGAUUAGUAUUAAAAAAAACAGUUUUAAGCAAUUUAUAAAUACAAGUUUUAAUGGUUAUCGUAAUUUCAUCUUGUAAUUUCAUAUGUCUUGAAUUUAAGAUUAAAAAAAACUCUAAUAGCGAACCAAACACCUCCACAACUUAUUAUUAUUAUUAUUAUUAUUAUUAUUUGUGGUGAGGUUGGAAACAUUCAACUUAAUUUGUACUUAUUACAGAAUUUGAUUCUUUGAGAGAUUUAGAGGAGCUAGACAUUGGCGGGAACAAGAUUGACAAAUUUGUGGUCUCAAAAGGUACUACAAAUACCACAAAAAAUGUAAACUUUUACAAAUUAGCUGGAUUCUUUGCCAUUUGGUUUAUUAUUUUACAGGUUUGAGUAAGUUGAAGUCUCUUGAUUUAAGUGGUAUCAAACUCAACCGUAGUAUCUUAUCUUCUCUAACUGUCUUUUCUUCAUUAAGAGAAUUACAUCUACGUAAUAUCAUAUUCAAAGGAACAUUUGAUGUUCGAGGUAAGCCUAAGCCUUGCUUUCUCAUUUUCUAUAUGCCAACUAGAUUUGUGUAUCAUCGGCAUAAUUUAAUAUUUAAUUUGAUAAGUCUGAAGGAAUUACAUGCUAAUUUAAACAUACUUUUAUUUACUUUGUCAAUUAAUUAAUUAAUUAAUUACUAUUUGACAUUGGACGGUUCCUCUCUCCAUAUAAGCCUUCUGCAAAGCAUUGCAUCAUUCACUUCGUUAAAAAAUCUGUCGAUGUCUGAUUGUGAAGUCAAUGGUGUCCUACGUGGUCAAGGUAAAAGAAAAGUGUUGAUUGUGAAUAAGCUGUUAAUUAAUUAAUGUUGUUGCUCCUUGCUUCUAAACAGAGUUGCGCAAUUUCACCAACUUGGAAUAUUUGAAUUGGAUUCUUCCUCGCUCCAUAUAAGCCUUCUACAAUUGCUUGAACAAUUUAUUUAUUUAUUUAUUUAUUAUUAUUGUUGUUGUUGUUGUUGUUGAAGUGGGGUGGGCAAGCGUUCACUCAGUUAAUAUGUGGGGAAUUAAAUAUUACAAUCCAAGGUAGAAUUGUGGAAAAUUAAAGCUAAAUGAGAAAUAUGGAAAGAAAGGAAGAAAGUUAAGGGCAUGAAAGACUGGGAGAAUACUAAAAACCACCAAAUAAGUCAACUGAAAACUAGCUGAGGCCUGGGUGUACAAAUUGUUAGAUGUGUUUGUUAUAAAUAACAUAGAGCCAUCUUGUUGGUUGCAGAGGCAGAGAGACAGAGAGUGUGCAUUUUGUCCAGUUAAAAAUGAUAAAAUUUAUCAUUUGUUUAUAUUGAUUUAUUAACUCUAUUUUAAGUCUUAAGUCUUGGCGUCUUGGCAUGUUUGCAGAAUUUGAUUCCUUGAGCAACUUAGAGGAGUUGGACAUGAGCGGCAAUGAAAUAGACAAUUUCGAGGUUCCUCAAGGUACACAAUUAAAAUAUUAUUUAAUUACAUUAAUUUAAUUCGUUUGAUUAGGGAAGGCCCAAAAUGUACAAAAACAUAAUUAGAAAAAAUAAAGAAACAGAGAAUUCAUAUUAUUUCAAAUAACAAAAGGUAAUACUAUUAUUUCAAAAACAGAUUGUAAUAAAGAUUUGAUUCCAAUUCUUUAAUCUUUACAGUGAUUGAAAAACGAUACUACUUCCCAAAGCAUAAAAUACGAAUUGACUCUCAAUUAAAUUAAUCAUUUAUUUCGUUUAGGUCUAAAUUUAGAAAAAUGAAUUUUGAUUCUCUUGAAUCAUUUCCUAAUUAUUAUUAUUCAACAGGUUACAGAGGUUUGAGGAAGCUGAAAAGCCUGCAUCUAUCGGGAGUUGGAAUUAGAGAUGGAAGCAAGUUGUUACAGUCAAUGGGAUCAUUUCCAUCCCUCAACGCUCUUUACCUGAGCAAUAAUAAUUUUACCGGUACAACGUCAACUACUCAAGGUAAGUAAAAGGUACAGAUGUGGCCAAAUUUAUAAAUAAACUGUUAAUUAAUUAAUUUUCUGUAUUAUUAAUAAAGCUAAAUUUUUUGCUCAUUCCUUCUAAUUCUAAACAGAGUUGCACAAUUUCACCAACUUGGAAUAUUUGACAUUGGACGAUUCCUCUCUCCAUAUAAGCCUUCUGCAAAGCAUUGCAUCAAUAUUCCCUUCGUUGAAAAAACUGUCGAUGUCUUAUUGUGAAGUCAAUGGUGUCGUACAUGGUCAAGGUAAAAGAAAAGUGUUGGUUGUGCACUCACUCAGUGGUGUCCUACGUGUUCAAUAUUUUUAUUUAUUUAUUUUAUUGUUUAAUGAGAUGCUUCCACCCUCCCCUUUAAAUCUAUAAUAUUAAUUUUCGAUUAAUAUAUAAUUAUAGAAACCAAUCACUUAUAAAAGAAUGCUAUGCAUUUGCCAAUUUUUUUAUAUUUUACUGAUUGAUGAAUUAAUAAAUUUUCAGGCCUCUGUUCGUUGGUGCAUCUACAAGAGUUGUACAUUGCAACUCUUGUAGUAAUUAAUUAAUUAAGUAUUAGUUAAUUAAUUAAUUAAUUAAUUUUCUGUAUUAUUAAUAAAGCUAAUUUUUUUGCUCAUUCCUUCUAAUUCUGAACAGAGUUGCACAAUUUCACCAACUUGGAAUAUUUGGCAUUGGACUCUUCCUCUCUCCAUAUAAGCCUUCUGCAAAGCAUUGCAUCAUUAUUCCCUUCAUUAAAAAAUCUGUCGAUGUCUAGUUGUGAAGUCAAUGGUGUCGUACGCAGUCAAGGUAAAAGAAAAGGGUUGAAUGUGAACUCACUCAAUGGUGUCCUACGUGUUCAACAUUUUUAUUUAUUUAUUUUAUUGUUUAAUCUUUCUGCUAGGUUUUCCUCAUUUCAAGAGUUUGGAACAUUUUGACAUGGAUUUCACGCGCAUUGCACUCAACACUAGCUUUAUUGCACUCAACACUAGCUUUCUUCAAAUCAUCAGUGAAUCGAUGCCUUCUCUUAAGUACUUAUCACUAUCAUAUUAUACUCUUGGAACUAAUAGCAGCGGGACUCUUGAUCAAGGUUAACGAGAUGCUCCCACCCUCCCCUCCUAAUCUAUAAUAUUAAUUUUUUAUUUAAUAUAAUUACACAAACGAAUCACUUAUAAAAGAAUGAUAUGCAUUUGUUAAUUUUUUUAUUGUACUGAUGGAUGAAUUAAUAAAUUUUCAGGCCUCUGUUCGUUGGUGCAUCUACAAGAGUUGUACAUUGCAAGCAAUGAUUUAAGAGGUAGCUUGCCUUGGUGCAUGGCAAAUAUGACAUCCCUCAGAAUAUUAGAUGUUUCUUCUAAUCAACUUACUGGAAGCAUCUCCUCAUCUCCCCUCGUUCAUUUGACAUCCAUUGAAGAGCUGAUGCUUUCAAACAAUUACUUCCAGAUCCCAAUUUCACUUGAACCACUUUUCAAUUACUCAAGACUCAAGAUUUUCAAUGCUGAGAACAACGAAAUAAAAGCUGAAAUAACUGAGUCACAUUCUUUGAUCGCCCCAAAAUUCCAAUUAAAUACUCUCUCAUUGUCUUCCAAUUACGGAGACGGUUUCAUAUUCCCCAAAUUCCUUUACCAUCAACAUGACCUGGAGUAUGUUGAUCUCUCACACAUAAAGAUGAAUGGAGAAUUUCCAAAUUGGUUGUUGGAAAACAACACAAAAUUAGAAACUCUUUUUCUGGUUAAUGAUUCUCUUGCAGGACCUUUUCGGUUGCCAAUUCAUUCACACAAGCGGUUAAGACAGUUGGAUGUCUCCAACAACAACAUUCGAGGCCACAUUCCAGUAAAAAUUGGAGAUGUUUUACCAAGUUUAUACGUUUUCAACAAUUCCAUGAAUGCUUUAGACGGUAGCAUUCCCUCUUCAUUUGGUAAUAUGAAAUUCCUCCAAAUUCUGGACUUAUCCAACAAUCACUUGACUGGUGAAAUCCCCGAGCACUUGGCCGUGGGUUGCGUCAACUUGCAGUUUCUUGCAUUAUCAAAUAACAACCUACAAGGUCAUUUGUUCUCUAGAAAUUUUAACUUGACAAACUUGCAAUGGUUACAAUUGGAGGGCAAUCGCUUCGUAGGUGAGAUCCCACAAAGUUUGUCUAAAUGCUCCUCACUAGAAGGAUUGUACCUUAACAAUAAUAGUCUUUUAGGUAAGAUUCCACGAUGGUUGGGUAAUCUGACACGGUUACAAUAUAUUAUAAUGCCCAAUAAUCAUCUUGAAGGCCCUAUUCCAGUGGAGUUUUGCCAGCUUGAUUCGCUUCAGAUUUUGGACAUUUCAGACAACAACAUAUCUGGAAGUUUACCAUCUUGUUUCCAUCCUCUCUCUAUCAAACAAGUUCAUCUUUCAAAAAAUAUGUUACAUGGACAGCUAAAAAGAGGUACAUUCUUUAAUUGCUCUUCCCUUGUGACAUUAGAUCUUAGCUAUAACCGCUUGAAUGGCAGCAUUCCGGAUUGGGUUGAUGGGCUUUCUCAGUUAAGCCACCUUAUCUUAGGUCACAAUAAUCUUGAAGGUGAAGUGUCAGUUCAAUUGUGCGAAUUGAACCAACUACAAUUGUUAGAUCUUUCUAAUAAUAAUCUUCACGGUCCUAUUCCUCCUUGCUUUGAUAACACCACACUUCAUGAAAGUUACAGCAAUAGUUCUAGUCCUGAUGAGCAAUUUGAAAUAUUUUUUUCCAUCGAAGGCCAUCAGGGAUUUUUAGAAAAGCAAAACCAUGAAAUUUUUGAGUUCACAACAAAGAACAUUGCGUACAUUUACCAAGGAAAAGUGCUUAGCCUCCUAUCAGGACUUGAUCUUUCUUGCAACAAGCUAAUUGGUCAUAUUCCUCCUCAAAUUGGAAAUUUGACAAGGAUUCAAACAUUGAAUCUCUCGCACAAUAACUUGACAGGAUCGAUCCCAUCAACAUUUUCAAACUUGAAGCAUGUCGAAAGUUUGGAUCUUUCCAACAACAAAUUGAAUGGGAAAAUCCCUCAUCAACUAGUGGAGUUAAAGACAUUGGAGGUUUUCAAUGUGGCAUACAAUAACUUAUCAGGCGAAAUUCCAGAAUGGAAAGCACAAUUUGCAACCUUCAACGAGAGUAGCUAUGAGGGAAAUACUUUUCUUUGUGGACUGCCAUUGCCCAUUUGCAGAUCACCAGCAACUAUGCCGGAGGCUUCAAUUGGCAAUGAACAAGAUGAUAAUUUAAUUGAUAUGGACAGUUUCUUUAUCACAUUUACAACAUCGUACGUAAUUGUGAUAUUCGGAAUUGUUAUUGUUUUAUAUGUAAAUUCUUAUUGGCGACGUAGAUGGUUUUACUUUGUUGAAAUGUGGAUAACUUAAUGUUACUAUUUUGUUGUAAACAAUCUUAUUGCAACAAGAUAUUGUCAUUGAAAUUAAUUAGCAGUUUAAUUACGAUUCUUUAAGUUCUAAUCAAGUUUGCUUAGGAAAUAAUUUUUUUUUUAUUUUUUUAUUAAAAUUGUAGUAGUAUUUAGCGCUAUAUAGCUUCCAACUUGGUAGAAAGCUCCAUUUUUUGUUGGCUACAGUAAAAGCAUGUUGUUUUAUUCUUCUUAUACUUUACGCCUGCAUCAGCUUAAAUCACUUCUUAAACGCUUGCUUUAACUGCACCGCUUCGUACUGCUCUAUAUAUGUAACGGUUAUGCGGUUGUAGCUCACGGCUCAAGCUACGCGUUUGUUUGACGUGGUAGUUACGUUAUGAUGUUUCGAGUCUGUUAAACAUUCGGUGAUAAGAUUAGUUACAACAAACCUACUAGUUUUAUAAAAUUCAAGUGAGAUGGAAUAAAAUAAAAAAUAAAUAUAAAAUUGGCUUUUAUUUUUUAGGUUAACCAUAUUUUGUGUUCUCUUCGGGCACUACUACAAUUGUUCCCUAUACAUCAGUUACACUCACGUAUCAUCGACACGAAAAAUGAAAUCUAAUAUCACCUGUUUAGUUAAAGAAUCACUCAUGAAAAAAAAUUACCAUUUUGAUUUGAAGAUCCAUAUUUUGAACUACCAAUUAAUGUUCAUCAAGAACAGAGUGUGGCCGUUAAGUAGAAAAACUAUUUUUGGACAAAUUAUUAAAUUCCAAUAUUGUAUCCAUAUGCAAACGAUGCCUGAAGCAGAGCCUCCAAACAAUGACCAGGGCACAAAACAAGAGUGUAGUAAUCAAGUGUAUUGUCUCAUAAUCAAUUAAAAGCAGAUAUACAGGAUACCAUAUUCAAUUCCAAAAUAACAAAAGCAUAAUGAGGAUGAGAAGAACAAUGAUCACUCAAAUAUUUCUUCACUUUGGUUGUCAAUUAUCUAUUCAAAUUAAUCAGUGUCAUUAUGGACUUAUUUAUUUAGAAGAGCGGGUGAUAAAUAUAUUCAAUAAUGUGAACAAGAAGUUGAUUAACUUUUAUGAUCAUUUGGAAGGUCGGCGUGUCAUCACUCGUCAAACACAUUGCAUCGAUCCACCAGCAUGAACCGACCGGAUUAUGCCCAAAAGUUGAAAUAUCAAUAAAAAAAACAAUUAAUUAAAGGUCGAAGAUGGGUCCUUUACAUAUGUUUUUGUUUUCGUAUUAGGUAGGAGGUUAUUAUAUUAUAUCAUGUAAUUAAUUUAUUAUUACUCAACACUAAGUAAUAACUUAACUAUAUAAAGACAACAAGAAGAUAAAAUGAUAUAUAAAAAAAAAAAGAAUUUCAAAGAGAUAGCAACAUACAAUAGACUGAAGCCAUUUGAUCUGCUCAUUGAUUUCAGCCUUAAACUUGUAAAUAGUUACUGUCAAAUAUUCUAUUCAUACGAAAAAAAUGUUUAGAUAUCUUACUAUAAAUAUAGCCGUUUGACUGUCUUAAUAAAGUCACACACAACCAUUCUUAUUAAAUUAGCAAGAUCAAACACUGCCCUGGAUCUUGAACAGAUCAACACAAGAUGCACAACUUAUGAUUGAACCCAGAAACAAUCAAAUCUUUAGCAAGAACAAUUAAUCAGAGUCAAGAAACAAGUUUAAUGAAUAUAAACCUAUAAUUGAAACAAACAUAGCCAAGAAAAAAAUACAGAUUUUACACGGUUCAGUUGUACCUAGGAUGGCACAACCUACACCACGAGAGAAGCUUUCUGGUGAGAUUUUAUUGAUGAUCAAAGAAGAAUCUUUUGACAAAGCUAAUAAUAGAGAUUUCAGAGAAUAAGCUGUAACCCUCUCUCCCUCUUCAAUCUCUCUCUAUUUUGUUCCCAUUGAUGACCCCAAUCUGCUUAGUUAUCCAGCUUUAUAGCUGCAUCAGUAACAAACCAGCAAACCCAGAUUGAGCAGAUUGACGACACGUGGAUAACGGCUUUAACGAACCUGGUUAAGAACUGCUCACAUGUUCGUCACGCGUGCUGCUUAAAUGAUGGCCAAAACGACUUCAAACAAAUGUCGUUUUGAGGCUUAUGAAUUACAAGUGAUAACACGAGCUUGUCUCAUGACUUUUAAAUGCAACAACGUGCCCACAACGCCGUCGUUUUACUCUGUUGAGUUUGAUUCAUUACUAAGCUUUACGACUGGCAAUGGAGAAGAUGAUAAUUUAAUUGACACGGACAGUUUUUAUAUCACUUUUACAACAUCCUAUGCAAUUGUAAUAUUGGGAAUUAUUGAUGUUUUAUUCUGUGAAUCCUCAUUGGCAAAAACUAGUGGUUUUAUCUUUGUUGAAAUAUAGAUGACCUCUCGUUACUGUUUUAUUAUAAACAUAUAGUUUCGUAAGUGAAACUAUAUGUUUAUAAUAAAAUUAACAUAUAGUUUUGUUACAUUUCUGCCUCAUUAAGAUUCUCAAAUACCAGUCAGGUUUGCUUAAGAAAUAAAUUUUUUCCAUUAAAAUUGCAGUAGUAUUUCCAAGCAUAUCGCAUUUUCUAUGAGUUUUCAUAAAUUAAUUAAUCUGCGGUGCCAAUAUCAGAUUUAGUUUUUCAAACUAAAUAAUCAAGAAAGCAAACAUACAAAUAUACAGUUUAGAGGGGUAAACUAGGUAGGUGGUUUAGAUUUUAGAACUAAGCCAGCUACCUCGCUAAAUUCCGAUUCGUACAGUGAACUGCAAGAAACUGAGAAAACAAUGUAUUUAUAAUUUAAUAGAAUCAUAAGAAAACAAUGCAGUCAUUGCUCAAUAUAAGAUGAUGAUUUCGGAGAGGCACAUUGUUUUCAAGUUAAUUUGAUCCGUUUAUAAGAGAUGAAGUGGAAUGAAGUUGAAAGUUUAAAUAACAAAUCCUUGUUCUUGAGUUUUACGACGUCGUUACUCCUUCAAGUGGCAGAUUAUGCAAGUGAAUGCAGAAACACAAUGCAUCAUCCGCGGGGAUGAUACAUCAAAAGGCGGGAUUUGUUUAUGCCUGCAGAUUAGCAAUUUCACUCAUAUAGAAAAUUAAUUUUUUAUAUAUACUAAUCAACACUAAAUUGAUUAUGUGUUGUAUGUUUAUAUGCUAAUCAACACGAAAUUAUAUUGAAUUAUUAACAUUCAUAUUCCUAAUAAAAAUUAUUUUCCAUCAGUAUUCAAAAUUUUCACUUAUAGAAAAUGCGUUUUACGUGAAUACUAGUUAUUGUGUAAAUUUGAAUGAUAGCGAAAAAUAAACCUAUUUGAAAACUGUAAGGGUGUGUUGGGAUAUUUUACAACUGUCGGAAUCUGGUAGGAUAUUGCACCAUUUGCCCAAUAUUUUUAGACGUACUCCAACCGGUAUUCAAGAUAAGUAAAAUUUACAAGCGUGGCAAAAUAAAAAAAAAUUAAAUUCGUAACUUGUAAACGAAUUUUCCUGACAUGUAUAGUAAAUGAAGUUGUUGAUCCUUUCUUUGGAUUAUUUCAGCUCUGGUUGUUGGUCACCGAUGAGCCGAAGUCUUAUUUUAAUUUUAUUUAAACUCAUCAUAAGAUUCGUGGAGCACCUAACUAACUUAACUGACUGCGCAGAUCAUCUCAACAUGGCAUAUUUAACCAUCAUUCAAGUGAUGGGUUUAAUAAGACUGCUUUUGUUCUAUCAACUAUCAAGUUCCUCUGCCUCUAAGCAGAAUUACUAUUGAAGGGCCAAAAGGAAAAUGAAAACGUGUGAGCUCCAACAACCACCCCACAAAUUCAAUGACGAUGCUCGGAGAGGGUUAGGUUGGGCCUCUGAGAAAAAAAAAAAUUAUUUUGUUAAAAAGUUACCCUUAUUGAAACCUGUAUAAACAUUUUAUAUUAAUUAGUUAUGUCGCCUCUUCAACGAUGAUCAAAUUCUUAUCUGAGCUCAUCAUUUAAUGAGUAAACAUGUAUUUUAAUGAUCUCAAUUAAUAUUUAGAACAAAUAUUUUAAGAAGUAAAGCUCAUUAUAUCUUCCAUUAUUAUGUAUUUCUUUAAUUUCUUAUUUACAUAAUUAUAUUGUACAUUAAAAAUGUAUUGAAUUUGAAGAAAAAAAAAUUCAACUCAAAAAAAAAAAAUGCUGGUAGCUUCGUAAUAAUUACUGUAUUGACUGCACCAGAUAAAGUUUUGUAAAAUAAUAAGUUCUCAUAAGUGGUUUUUCAUUUUUAAUUUUCUUUUCCGGCACACCUGAUCAAGAAUUCUAUUUUGUUAACUAAUCAAUUGCAAAGCAUAAGUGUUGAACGGUACAAAAAAUUUAAAAAAAAUACACUUAAAACGUGGGGUGGGUAACGGCUCACUCAAAUCGUUAGGUAGAAUUGUGGAAAACUAAAGCGAAAUGAGAAAUAUAGAAAGAAAGGAAGAGGUGAUGUUUUUCUAUGAAUUUCUAUGGGUAACGGCUCACUCAUCCUUCUAUGAAUUUCUAGCUGUAUUGACCCCAACUGCUAAAGUUUUGUAAAAUAAAAAUAAAAAUAAAAAACUGGAAUUUCAACAAAAUUCAAAACGUUUGAAAUUUAAUUUUUGGCCAUGUGGAACAAAAUGUAAAUUAAGUAAAAAAUAUAAAUCUCAAUUGCUUAGUAUGGUUAGGAUUUUGUGAGCAUCACUAAAAAGUGAAAACUAUGAAUGAUAGAGGUGAUGUUUGCAACAUGAAUAAAUGAUGAACUGAAUCAAUUGAUGAUCGUAAUUACAUAAUGAACAAAAUUUACAAAAUCAACAAAAGUUAAUAAAAAAUUAUUUUAAUAAUAAAAAAUCAAUAAAACUUAUUAUUUAAGGGCGCUCUAACCAUGGAAUACCAUAAUCAUAAUCUUCUUUUAAGAAAAUUAUAACUUAUUAUUUUACAGGAUUGAUCCAUUUGGAAUGAAGUGGUCUCAAGUUGAAAGUAAUUAAUUUAUUGAAUAACUUUCGACUUAUUAAUAGUUAUAUCAAAGGGUGUUUUACCUCAUCAUGUCUUCAAGUGGAAGAUGAAGACUAUGCAAGUGAAUUCAGGAAUAUUGCAUGCCUGUUGUCUAAAGCAUUACCUCACAAGGUUUCAUGAGAAACGAAAGAUGUGUUUGCUUUGAACAAUUAAAGUUACUGCUACGAACCUCCCCAAAGGUCAAGAAGACAGAACAGGAAGCUAAUGCCAUCAAUGUCUUGUUCAUUAUAGCUGCUGGGUAGUUAGGUGUAGUUUCCUCAUUUGAAGCUGUCUAUACAUAGGCAUUUCCCCUGCUUAUGUACAAAUAAAUGAACAACCUUGAAGCUUUAUUAUUCGCAACAAAAAGGGAUUACUAAUUGGAGAAGACAAUACAGAGUUUUCUCUCACACUUUCUCUCUGUCAAUUUCAUCCAGAAGUCCCUCUGAAAGCUUCUCCCAAAACAGUUAGUCAUCUUUUAUGCUCUGUUUUCUGAAAACAGAGUCCUAACUAAAUUAAUUGACUGUACAGUGCAUUUCAACAUAGCAUAUUUAACCGUUUUAACAGUUAUUUGGACCGUCUUCAGAGGUAACAUCAACAAACUCAUUCAUAUGCUUAAUAAUGAACGAAUAGUCUUGGAUCGAUGUUUUGCAGCAAGAGCAACACGACACAAUCUGGAUUCAACCUCCUCCUUUCUAACAGGGGAUUUCGAUUUGAGUUACUUUGUGCUCAAGCAAAUUCACAUCAUAGUUUUGAUUCUUUAGAUAUGAAUUCAUCUCAUUACAUAUAUCAGAUUAAGUGUAACAAAAUUUGUAAUUUACUGCGAAAAGAAUAUGCACUAAAAAAUGAUUUCAAGACUAUUUGACUACAAAAAGCAGCUGUCAGAGUGCACUAAAAAUUUCUGUAGGAUAUUUUGUAGCUGUUUAAUAUGUUAUGAUGGGCAUAUAAUUCUCAAAUUUUGAUGCCUCUCAGCGAAAAAUAUAUCAAAGUUACGGAUGAUAUCACGUAAAACAUGCAUGGCUCAGGCUCAGGCUCAGGUAAGAAAGCCACAGAAAAGGAAAAUCUCACUGUCACGACUCACGUCACGCAUCAUUCAAGUGAUGGAUUUAACAAGACUGCUUAUGUUCUAUCAAAUUCCUCUGCCUCUCAGAAGAUAACUUUUCUGGGCCAAAUUUCUCAUCUAAAGCAUAUUAUGCCCCAAAGUCACAGAUAACAAAAUGGGGCACUACCGAUUAUGAAAGAGAACUAGUAGUUGUCAGAAGCCUAAGCCAAAUUCCGGUAGUAAGAAGAGGCCUUUCUUGAGUUUAGAUUAUGUGUUCGAGUUUUAAUAAAUGCCUAAGUUAAUAAUAAUAACAACAGUAAUAAUAAACUAAAAAGCAUAAUUACUAUUGAAUGGUAAAAAAAAAAAUGAAAAUGUGUGAACUCCAAUAACCACCCCAGUGGCGAAUUUUGGAGAGGGCUAGGCCGGGCUUCUUAGAAAUUAUUUUUAUUUAAUUACAAAAUCACCUUUACUGAAACCUAUAUAAAAUUUUUUAUAUUAAUUAAUUAUGUUGCCUCUUCAAUUAUCAUUAAAUUCUUGUCCGUUCAUAAUUUGAUGGACAAAUGUGUAUUUCAAUAAUUUCAAAUAAUGUCUAGAACAAAUAUUUUGAAUUAUAAAACUCAUUAUGUCCUGCAUUACUAGAUGUAUCUAUAAUUUAUUAUUUACAAAUUAUAUUGUAUGAUAAAAAUGUAUUGAAUUUUUUUUUAAAAAAAAAGUUCGGCUCACUCAGAAAAAAAUGUUAUUAGCUUCGCCACUGCACAAAUCUAGAAUAAUAAUUAUUCCUUAUUAUAUUGACUGCACCAAGCAAUAAACUAAUAAGUUCUCAUCAGUGGUUUUUAAUCUUUUUAAUUCUUUUUACCGCACACCUGAUCAAGAAUUUUAUUUUGUUAACUAAUCAAUUGCAAAGCAUAUAUAAGUGUUGAACGGUACACAAGAUUGGAAAAAAAAAUCUUAAAAAACGUGCGGAUUCGGGUGGCCACACCAGAAAUCUAUUACAAUAAUUAGCUUUGAUGCUGGGAAUCUUUUAAUUUCUGGCCGUAUUGAAGUUUUUAAAAUAACAAGUUCCCCUUCUCGUUUUUUUUUUUUUUAAAUAUAUAUGCUUAUAACAAUUUUAGAAUAAUGAUUCAUUUGUAGAAGAACUUAUGAUUUCCCAUUAAUAUUAAUAUUGAAGUGGGGUGGGUCAAAUCUCAAUUGCUUGAAGAAUUUAUGUAUUAUUAAAUAUUACCAUCCAAGGUAGAAUUGUGGAAAAUUAAAGCAAAAUGACAAGUAUGGAAAGGAAGGCUGAAAGUAAGGCAUGACGAAAGGCUUUGAGAAGGCUGAAGACUACCAAAGAAGUCAACUGAAAACUAGCUGGGGCCUGAGUGUAUAAAUUGUUAGAUGCGUUUGUUAUAAAUAACAUAGAGCCCUUUUGUUAUUUAUAGUUAUAGAGAAAGAGAGAAUGUGUGUUUUUUAAUAGUUAGAGAUAUAGCUAGAAUGGGUUGCUCAAAAUCCAAAAUAGUGACAAUGUUAGUUCUCGUAUUGAUAAUAUUGGGGGGGGGGGGGGGGGGGGGGGGGGGGGGGUGUUGGGAGGUCGAGUGAGGGAUGUUUGGAGCAUGAGCAAUUUGAUCUUUUGCGGCUUAAACAUUUCUUCAAUUAAUAUCGAUCUGGGAGAGUGGUAUCUGAAUGCUUCUCUAUUUACUUCCUUUCAACAACUUUGGUAACAAAAUAGCCGGCUGCAUGCGUUGAGAAUGAAGGUGCUUCAUUUAAUUUAAUUUACUUAAUUUCUCCCUCCUAAUUAAUGUCUAUAAUCAUUAGGAGGAACAAGGGAUUUUAUUAACUCAAAUAUAUCUAAUGGAGCUCAUUCUUUGGUUUUACUUGCAGGGCUAGAAGCAGGUGUCAUCUAACAGCUGCUUUGAUAAUUUCCCUCCCCUUCAUCUUUGAUGGAAAGAUGAAAUAAAAACAAAUUGGUGAAAAUGGUAUUGGUACCUGAGGCUAUGUAAUCUAAUUCAAAAACUGCACCAUCAAAACGAUUACAUAAGUCUCAGAAGAAUCAAAUAUCAGUUUGCAAAAUAUCAAUUGCUGGAGGUUUGAUUCUAACUUCCGCUCUUCAUUUUUAUGGGCAUAUUGUGUUGUACUUGGCAUCCGAAAAUCAUAUUUUAGUUUACUUGCACUCAAUGCUUGGAUUAAAGUUUUUUUUUGGGGGGGGGGGAUUGAAGAAGACUAAAAUUACACCAAAAAAGAGUUGAGCGAGAGCGGGUUUUGUCUUCAUUUAAGGAGCUCUUUAUAAAUUUUGGGAUUUUUUUCCUGAGAAAAUUUAUGCCAACUCAUUCUUUGCUUCUUUUCUGAAGGGACACAUGCAACCGAAAGUAUAUUCUUGAAUUCUCCAGGAUAAGAGACAUACGUUUAGAUUCUGGAGCAUUUAAAACAAUGUCAAAUUUUAGAUUGCUGAAAUUUUAUAUAUCCGAGUAUGAUGGUGUUCCAAUUAUAAGCUCCAGGGUGCAACUUCACUGAGGUUUAGAAUGCCUUCCUAUAGAAUUGAGAAAUCUCCAUUGGCAUAAAUAUCUUUUUGAAAAUACUGACAUCAGAUUUUGAAUUGGAGAACCUGAUUGGACUCAGCUUGCCCUGUAGUAAGGUUAAGCAAAUUUGGAAAAGAGAAAAGGUAUAAUGUAUUACUAUUACCAAAGUAUCUAUUUUUCUUUCUUUAAGUAUUUAUAAUGAAUAACUUUGAAAUUCAAUGAUGCUCAUUUAGUAUAGUUAUGUAUCUUUGGUUAUAGGAAGCUGUCAAGUUAAAAUCUAUAGACCUUCACCACCCCUUUAUCUCAAUAGGAUCCCAGAAAUACUAAAUCUUAAAAAAAUAAAUCUUUCAAAUUGUGAAAGCAUGCUUACGUUACCCCCGUAUAUCCACAAUUUCAACUAGCUGAGUAUGUUGUGUUUCAGGGAUGCAAAAUUCAUUUUGUUUCUCAUUGAAAGGAUUGACUUGUCCGGAUGUAUUAGGGUUAGUAAACCAACUAAUCCCAUAAUUUGUUGAUGUAGGGUCCUAACAAAUUAUUGCAGUAGAUUGUAGAUCAGUACACUAUUCGAAAACGUAUUUGAUCCACACAGUGAAGUGGAUAUUGGACCAAUUUGAUGAUAAUGAAUUUCUUUCAAUCUCAAUCUUUUUUCUUUUUAGCAACAUGACUAGUCAUUGUGCAAAUUCAAACUCUGACAAUAAUUUCUCAAUCGGUUUCUAAGAUGAUGACCAUGCAUGUAUAUGUAUAUUGCGUGUGUAUAUGUGUGUGUGUGUAGAGAGAGAGAGAGAGAUCACACGUGUGUGAUUUCCUUUUGCCAAUAGGAUAUGCAAGAGAGCUUGAUCUUACCCAAUAGCGAAACAAACUUCCUAAUAAGUGAAGGUAUAGUAUAAAUACUUAUACUUUCAUGUUAUUUUGUUCAUCAGUAGCUUGAUUAUUUUAUAUGCGUCUUCGAUUUUAAUUUUCUUUCCCUAUAAUCGCUAUUAUCUUUGAACUGGUCAUAAUUUGCCCAUAAGAUUUCUCAUGUUGUUUUGAGGUGCAACGGAUUUUGAAUUAGUGACAAGCAGUGGAAGCCAGAAGGCAAAUUAUGAAAAUGGAUAAAGAUCUAUAAUUAGCUGUUAUGGGAUGUCACAUAUCAUAUUGAUGGUAACGUUAUAUAUAUGUACAUAUAAUUAAUGGGGUUGGCUCACGAGCCCAUUAAUUAAUGGUUAUAUUAGCUUAUAUACUUCAAACAAUGUACUAUGAAGCAAUUUCACAAAUACUUGUUAGCUUAUGUUGAGCUUUAUUGAAUCAGUAGUUCACAGUUCAAUAAAAUGCAGGUUUGCUAUUUGAAGUACAUGGUUAUGGUGCGUACAUUCUUCAUAAGGCUAACUACUAAUUUAUCAUUGAAACUUGAAAAAUGUGAUAGAGAGAUGUAGAUAACAGCCGCAAAACACUGAAUUGAAAAUCAGGGCUACUAAAUUCUAUUAAAAGUCCUUAAAAUAGACAGCGAUCACCCUGAAAUGUAUAUACUGAAACUAAGAAAAUAUUAAUCGCAAAGUUAUGCAUUAAUAGAACUAUUGACUACUUAUCUUUAGCAUAAAGUAUAUUUUUAACUACAGCUUUCUGCUUUGUUCUAAGAACUAGGCAAAAGUGGUGUAUCUUCAAUCCAAUCAACAUAUAUACCACUUAUCUUCCUCUUCACUUCUGUCUAUUUUGAUUUGCACUUCAUAUCCUGCACUUGCUGCUUAGAAAUAGUCUUUAUUCUGGACAUUUGAAAGUAGAAAAAGUACUUGAAACAAUCAUUGGCACAGCCCGAGAUUCCAUUGAAUCGUGGACUCCAAGCUUUCAUAGUUCUAUAAAGAAGAUGACAAAACUUCAUACAACUGGCAUUCUGCUUUUAACAUUUGCACAACCUGAGCGAGUUAGCAAGCCCCUUGUUGCGUUCCCAUUGAAUAGACCUACUUCUGUUAUCCGCAGAAGAUCCACCACUCAAAAUGUUUAUCACCAGGCUAUUCCUUAAAACUGAGCCUAAACUGAGUAGAACUUCCGCACAUCUCUCAGCAUUUACAUGAAGAAAUCGGACAACUAUCCUCAUCUCUCAGCACAUCUCUUCAGCAUUCUACAAAGUUGCAUUUCACUAAGCAAUCUAUCCUCUCCAUUCCUAGCAAAGUGACAUUGAUUCCCGUAUUUGUAAUCGCCUAACUUGGGUUUUGGGCAUAGCGUGGUCUUAAAAUUACCACCCCAAUACUUUGUUCAGUGCCACUGGCAUCCACAAGCUCUAGCCCUGUUAGUUGAAUCAUAUUCAAUGGGACAGUGAGGCAGCAUUUCACUAACAUUAUUCAAUUUGACUACUUAUAUUGACGCAAAUAUUAGAAUUUGAAAUCACUUCUUUUAUUGGAAUAUUAUAUUAAUAUGACCCCAAAUGAAAGUUCUUGAAUGGAAAUGAUUUUUAUUUACUUUUCGAACAGAUUCAAGAAAAACCCAGGAGAACACAAAAUUUACACAGUAAUAUGAUUAAGAGCUGAGAACGUAUAUGUAGUAAAUGUCUAUCAAAAACACCCAAGGGUUUCUUUAAAAAUUAGUAACUAGUAAACAAAAAGAAAGAAUCAUUUUACAUUUUUAGCAACUUUGGGGUGAGUGAGUGAGUGAGAAAUUGAAACCCUCAAGUGAUGACAACAGUAAGAUUCCAGUAUGAAGUGAAACCCCAAUUUGAAAUGUAGGCAUGAGUUGCUGAGUCAGUAGAUGAAGCUAUAAAUAGGCAUUCGGUUUCCUUCUUUUCGGUUUGGAGGGCCAUGGAAUAGUGUAUUGGAGUGGGCUCCAAGUAAUAGCCUCUAUCACUGGAACGACACAUCUAUAAAAUGUGAUACAUGGGGAAGGAUUGGGCAUUUUAUUCUUAGAUUAGCCCCUUAUUUAGGGUGUAUAUUAAGCAGAUUAUAUAUUACAUGGAGAUGGAGUUUAUGAAAUAGAUUAAAAAGAAAAGGAAAUUUUUGGUGCCCUAAAGUUUGCCACUUGGAAUAUUUCGGUGUCUAAAAAUUCACUCACCACUUAUUUCAUGUUUGAUUAUAUGUUGAAAAGAUAUUAAAAUAGUAUAAUGCUAUUAAGGCUUAACGUAUAUUUUUUAUUAGUAGAGUGGUAGAAUUUUUAAGAAAUAAAUUAUUAAAUUAUUAUAACUAACAUAUUAUUUUAAAGUUGUGUUAUGAAAAAAAUGAAAUAAAAAUGUACAGUAAAUAAGAAUAUUUUAAAACUUUUAUCUUUUUAAAAUUAGUUUUUAACAUAAGGUGAACUAUUUUUUUUUUUUAAAAUCACAUAUUCUAGUUAAAAUCAAAUAUGUAUUUAUACGAAGCUUGUAAAUUUUUUUUUUUAGUACUGAUAUUUUGAAUAUUAUCAAUAAAAAAAAGGUAAUGUUCAUGCUGCAUUAUUUUUGUAGCACACAAAAGGACAACACCGUUUAUGUUAUAAUACUAUCGCUUCUGUUAUGAUAAUUUUUUUUGUGGCCAAAUAUCUUUUUUUUUUUUAAGUAAAAAAAGUGGACAAAAUGCAAAUCAGUUUUUAAUCCUCAAUCUCUCCCAAAAUAUAUAUUUCGGUGUCUAAAAAUUCACUCACAAAACUAUAGCUGACAAAAAGUUACUAACAAAAAGUUAGGUCCAUGGGUUGUUAAAACUAUAGCUGACAAAAAGUUACUAACAAAAACAGAAUGUCCAUUUUAUAACUUUCUUAAAAAACUUUCCUUAACUUUUUUAAACAAAAAGUUAUUUCCAAUUUUUAUUUUGUUAUAAUGUUUAUAACAAAAUUCGUAGUUAACUAAACUCUUCUUAUACCCUUUCUCAACUGCCAUACCCUAACCCACUAAACCACGCUCAAUUAAGGCCAUCAGAUUCUCCGGGCCCACAUUAAUCCAACUGCUCACAGAGACCGACAGCCUCUCUAUCUCCAUUUCAAGCUCCCUCUUCAACUGGCUUCUGCUACCGUCCUACUCUUUCUCGGCUUCGGAGUCCGUAUUUGCUCGGCCUGUCCCACGAAGCUCCCUCUCACUCCAAUUGUCGCCCCACAAGACCAAUUGCUUAAUCAAGACACCGAACAAGAAAAGGAUGAGAAGUUGAAACAAGAAUUUGAGAAUUGGAAAUAAAAACGUACGCAUUGACCGUGCCUUUGAGAGUCGUUUCUCUUCAGAACUCAGUGCCUCAAUCUUGGGUUAAGGAUUUUAUGCGAAGUCAGGGAAAGAGAUUGAAGUUUCAGAUGAAUUUGUGUGCUAGCAUUGAUGGGAUCUUUAACAAUUUAUCUGUGCCCUUUAACAAAGUUAAGGCUAAGUCAGCUUCUUAUAUGGCUGCUGAUUUGGUUAGUGUUGGUGAUUCAUGGCUUAGUUUUGCCAUUAAAAAGAGAUUGAUUGAGCCAAUGGCUGGAGCUGAAGACCAAGAUUGGUUCAAAUGCUUAAGUCACAAAUGGAAGGUAACAUCUUUGUCUUUGAUCCUCGAGGUAAAAUAUGGGCGGCACCGUACAGGUGGGGCACAACGGUGAUAGCCUACAAGAAAAGUAAAUUUCGAAAGCAUAAUUUGGCUCCGAUUGAGGUAAUAAUUUUCUUUAAACUCAUUUAGUUUUAUAUCAAACAAAAUCAAGACUGCCUUUCUCUUCAAUAUUUUUUAUGAUAAUAUCUUUAGAAGCAUCUCAUUGACGGGUAACAAUGGCAUCCCUGAAAGAGUCUAUAAACUCAAUGAUAUUAUCUUCUACAAAUGGUUCAUUAAACUUUGUCGUUGUACUCAAAUGUACACUCAGAUCAAUGAGAAGNNNNNNNNNNNNNNNNNNNNNNNNNNNNNNNNNNNNNNNNNNNNNNNNNNNNNNNNNNNNNNNNNNNNNNNNNNNNNNNNNNNNNNNNNNNNNNNNNNNNNNNNNNNNNNNNNNNNNNNNNNNNNNNNNNNNNNNNNNNNNNNNNNNNNNNNNNNNNNNNNNNNNNNNNNNNNNNNNNNNNNNNNNNNNNNNNNNNNNNNNNNNNNNNNNNNNNNNNNNNNNNNNNNNNNNNNNNNNNNNNNNNNNNNNNNNNNNNNNNNNNNNNNNNNNNNNNNNNNNNNNNNNNNNNNNNNNNNNNNNNNNNNNNNNNNNNNNNNNNNNNNNNNNNNNNNNNNNNNNNNNNNNNNNNNNNNNNNNNNNNNNNNNNNNNNNNNNNNNNNNNNNNNNNNNNNNNNNNNNNNNNNNNNNNNNNNNNNNNNNNNNNNNNNNNNNNNNNNNNNNNNNNNNNNNNNNNNNNNNNNNNNNNNNNNNNNNNNNNNNNNNNNNNNNNNNNNNNNNNNNNNNNNNNNNNNNNNNNNNNNNNNNNNNNNNNNNNNNNNNNNNNNNNNNNNNNNNNNNNNNNNNNNNNNNNNNNNNNNNNNNNNNNNNNNNNNNNNNNNNNNNNNNNNNNNNNNNNNNNNNNNNNNNNNNNNNNNNNNNNNNNNNNNNNNNNNNNNNNNNNNNNNNNNNNNNNNNNNNNNNNNNNNNNNNNNNNNNNNNNNNNNNNNNNNNNNNNNNNNNNNNNNNNNNNNNNNNNNNNNNNNNNNNNNNNNNNNNNNNNNNNNNNNNNNNNNNNNNNNNNNNNNNNNNNNNNNNNNNNNNNNNNNNNNNNNNNNNNNNNNNNNNNNNNNNNNNNNNNNNNNNNNNNNNNNNNNNNNNNNNNNNNNNNNNNNNNNNNNNNNNNNNNNNNNNNNNNNNNNNNNNNNNNNNNNNNNNNNNNNNNNNNNNNNNNNNNNNNNNNNNNNNNNNNNNNNNNNNNNNNNNNNNNNNNNNNNNNNNNNNNNNNNNNNNNNNNNNNNNNNNNNNNNNNNNNNNNNNNNNNNNNNNNNNNNNNNNNNNNNNNNNNNNNNNNNNNNNNNNNNNNNNNNNNNNNNNNNNNNNNNNNNNNNNNNNNNNNNNNNNNNNNNNNNNNNNNNNNNNNNNNNNNNNNNNNNNNNNNNNNNNNNNNNNNNNNNNNNNNNNNNNNNNNNNNNNNNNNNNNNNNNNNNNNNNNNNNNNNNNNNNNNNNNNNNNNNNNNNNNNNNNNNNNNNNNNNNNNNNNNNNNNNNNNNNNNNNNNNNNNNNNNNNNNNNNNNNNNNNNNNNNNNNNNNNNNNNNNNNNNNNNNNNNNNNNNNNNNNNNNNNNNNNNNNNNNNNNNNNNNNNNNNNNNNNNNNNNNNNNNNNNNNNNNNNNNNNNNNNNNNNNNNNNNNNNNNNNNNNNNNNNNNNNNNNNNNNNNNNNNNNNNNNNNNNNNNNNNNNNNNNNNNNNNNNNNNNNNNNNNNNNNNNNNNNNNNNNNNNNNNNNNNNNNNNNNNNNNNNNNNNNNNNNNNNNNNNNNNNNNNNNNNNNNNNNNNNNNNNNNNNNNNNNNNNNNNNNNNNNNNNNNNNNNNNNNNNNNNNNNNNNNNNNNNNNNNNNNNNNNNNNNNNNNNNNNNNNNNNNNNNNNNNNNNNNNNNNNNNNNNNNNNNNNNNNNNNNNNNNNNNNNNNNNNNNNNNNNNNNNNNNNNNNNNNNNNNNNNNNNNNNNNNNNNNNNNNNNNNNNNNNNNNNNNNNNNNNNNNNNNNNNNNNNNNNNNNNNNNNNNNNNNNNNNNNNNNNNNNNNNNNNNNNNNNNNNNNNNNNNNNNNNNNNNNNNNNNNNNNNNNNNNNNNNNNNNNNNNNNNNNNNNNNNNNNNNNNNNNNNNNNNNNNNNNNNNNNNNNNNNNNNNNNNNNNNNNNNNNNNNNNNNNNNNNNNNNNNNNNNNNNNNNNNNNNNNNNNNNNNNNNNNNNNNNNNNNNNNNNNNNNNNNNNNNNNNNNNNNNNNNNNNNNNNNNNNNNNNNNNNNNNNNNNNNNNNNNNNNNNNNNNNNNNNNNNNNNNNNNNNNNNNNNNNNNNNNNNNNNNNNNNAGAGAGAGAGAGAGAGAUCACACGUGUGUGAUUUCCUUUUGCCAAUAGGAUAUGCAGAGAGCUUGAUCUUACCCAAUAGCGAAACAAACUUCCUAAUAAGUGAAGGUAUAGUAUAAAUACUUAUACUUUCAUGUUAUUUUGUUCAUCAGUAGCUUGAUUAUUUUAUAUGCGUCUUCGAUUUUAAUUUUCUUUCCCUAUAAUCGCUAUUAUCUUUGAACUGGUCAUAAUUUGCCUAUAAGAUUUCUCAUGUUGUUUUGAGGUGCAACGGAUUUUGAAUUUAGUGACAAGCAGUGGAAGCCAGAAGGCAAAUUAUGAAAAUGGAUAAAGAUCUAUAAUUAGCUGUUAUGGGAUGUCACAUAUCAUAUUGAUGGUAACGUUAUAUAUAUGUACAUAUAAUUAAUGGGGUUGGCUCACGAGCCCAUUAAUAAUGGUAUAUUAGCUUAUAUACUUCAAACAAUGUACUAUGAAGCAAUUUCACAAAUACUUGUUAGCUUAUGUUGAGCUUUAUUGAAUCAGUAGUUCACAGUUCAAUAAAAUGCAGGUUUGCUAUUUGAAGUACAUGGUUAUGGUGCGUACAUUCUUCAUAAGGCUAACUACUAAUUUUCAUUGAAACUUGAAAAAUGUGAUAGAGAGUAGAUAACAGCCGCAAAACACUGAGAUUGAAAAUCAGGGCUACUAAAUUCUAUUAAAAGUCCUUAAAAAUAGACAGCGAUCACCCUGAAAUGUAUAUACUGAAACUAAGAAAUAUUAAUCGCAAAGUUAUGCAUUAAUAGAACUAUUGACUACUUAUCUUUAGCAUAAAGUAUAUUUUUAACUACAGCUUUCUGCUUUGUUCUAAGAACUAGGCAAAAGUGGUGUAUCUUCAAUCCAAUCAACAUAUAUACCACUUAUCUUCCUCUUCACUUCUGUCUAUUUUGAUUUGCACUUCAUAUCCUGCACUUGCUGCUUAGAAAUAGUCUUUAUUCUGGACAUUGAAAGUAGAAAAAGUACUUGAAACAAUCAUUGGCACAGCCCGAGAUUCCAUUGAAUCGUGGACUCCAAGCUUUCAUAGUUCUAUAAAGAAGAUGACAAAACUUCAUACAACUGGCAUUCUGCUUUUAACAUUUGCACAACCUGAGCGAGUUAGCAAGCCCCUUGUUGCGUUCCCAUUGAAUAGACCUACUUCUGUUAUCCGCAGAAGAUCCACCACUCAAAAUGUUUAUCCAGGCUAUUCUUAAACUGAGCCUAAACUGAGUAGAAACUUCCGCACAUCUCUCAGCAUUUACAUGAAGAAAUCGACAACUAUCCUCAUCUCUCAUCUCUCAGCAUUCUACAAAGUUGCAUUUCACUAAGCAAUCUAUCCUCUCCAUUCCUAGCAAAGUGACAUUGAUUCCCGUAUUUGUAAUCGCCUAACUUGGGUUUUGGGCAUAGCGUGGUCUUAAAAUUACCACCCAAUACUUUGUUCAGUGCCACUGGCAUCCACAAGCUCUAGCCCUGUUAGUUGAAUCAUAUUCAAUGGACAGUGAGGCAGCAUUUCACUAACAUAUUCAAUUUGACUACUUAUAUUGACGCAAAUAUUAGAAUUUGAAAUCACUUCUUUUAUUGGAAUAUUAUAUUAAUAUGACCCCAAAUGAAAGUUCUUGAAUGGAAAUGAUUUUUAUUUACUUUUCGACAGAUUCAAGAAAACCCAGAGAACACAAAAUUUACACAGUAAUAUGAUUAAGAGCUGAGAACGUAUAUGUAGUAAAUGUCUAUCAAAAAACACCAAGGGUUUCUUUAAAAUUAGUAACUAGUAAACAAAAAGAAAGAAUCAUUUUACAUUUUUAGCAACUUUGGGUGAGUGAGUGAGUGAGAAAUUGAAACCCUCAAGUGAUGACAACAGUAAGAUUCAGUAUGAAGUGAAACCCCCAAUUUGAAAUGUAGGCAUGAGUUGCUGAGUCAGUAGAUGAAGCUAUAAAUAGGCAUUCGGUUUCCUUCUUUUCGGUUUGGAGGGCCAUGGAAUAGUGUAUUGGAGUGGGCUCCAAGUAAUAGCCUCUAUCACUGGAACGACACAUCUAUAAAAUGUGAUACAUGGGGAAGGAUUGGGCAUUUUAUUCUUAGAUUAGCCCCUUAUUUAGGGUGUAUAUUAAGCAGAUUAUAUAUUACAUGGAGAUGGAGUUUAUGAAAUAGAUUAAAAAGAAAAGGAAAUUUUGGUGCCUAAAGUUUGCCACUUGGAAUAUUUCGUGUCUAAAAAUUCACUCACCACUUAUUUCAUGUUUGAUUAUAUGUUGAAAAGAUAUUAAAAUAGUAUAAUGCUAUUAAGGCUUAACGUAUAUUUUUUAUUAGUAGAGUGUAGAAUUUUUAAGAAAUAAAUUAUUAAAUUAUUAUAACUAACAUAUUAUUUUAAAGUUGUGUUAUGAAAAAAAUGAAAUAAAAAUGUACAGUAAAUAAGAAUAUUUUAAAACUUUUAUCUUUUUAAAAUUAGUUUUUAACAUAAGGUGAACUAUUUUUUUUUUUAAAAUCACAUAUUCUAGUUAAAAUCAAAUAUGUAUUUAUACGAAGCUUGUAAAUUUUUUUUUUAGUACUGAUAUUUGAAUAUUAUCAAUAAAAAAAAGGGUAAUGUUCAUGCUGCAUUAUUUUUGUAGCACACAAAAGGACAACACCGUUUAUGUUAUAAUACUAUCGCUUCUGUUAUGAUAAUUUUUUUUGUGGCCAAAUAUCUUUUUUUUUUUUAAGUAAAAAAAAGUGGACAAAAUGCAAAUCAGUUUUUAAUCCUCAAUCUCUCCCAAAAUAUAUAUUUCGGUGUCUAAAAAUUCACUCACAAAACUAUAGCUGACAAAAAGUUACUAACAAAAAGUUAGGUCCAUGGGUUGUUAAAACUAUAGCUGACAAAAAUUACUAACAAAAACAGAAUGUCCAUUUUAUAACUUUCUUAAAAAACUUUCCUUAACUUUUUUAAACAAAAAGUUAUUUUCCAAUUUUAUUUUGUUAUAAUUUUAUAACAAAAAUUCGUAGUUAACUAAACUCUUCUUAUACCCUUUCUCAACUGCCAUACCCUAACCCACUAAAACCACGCUCAAUAAGGCCAUCAGAUUCUCCCGGCCCACAUUAAUCCAACUGCUUCACAGAGACCGACAGCCUCUCUAUCUCCAUUUCAAGCUCCCUCUUCAACUGGCUUCUGCUACCGUCCUACUCUUUCUCGGCUUCGGAGUCCGUAUUUGCUCGGCCUGUCCCACGAAGCUCCCUCUCACUCCAAUUGUCGCCCCACAAGGACCAAUUGCUUAAUCAAGACACCGAACAAGAAAAGGAUGAGAAGUUGAAACAAAAGAAUUUGAGAAUUGGAAAUAAAAAACGUACGCAUUGACCGUGCCUUUGAGAGUCGUUUCUCUUCAGAACUCAGUGCCUCAAUCUUGGGUUAAGGAUUUUAUGCGAAGUCAGGGAAAGAGAUUGAAGUUUCAGAUGAAUUUGUGUGCUAGCAUUGAUGGGAUCUUUAACAAUUUAUCUGUGCCCUUUACAAAGUUAAGGCUAAGUCAGCUUCUUAUAUGGCUGCUGAUUUGGUUAGUGUUGGUGAUUCAUGGCUUAGUUUUGCCAUUAAAAAAGAGAUGAUUGAGCCAAUGGCUGGAGCUGAAGACCAAGAUUGGUUCAAAUGCUUAAGUCACAAAUGGAAGGUAACAUCUUUGUCUUUGAUCCUCGAGGUAAAAUAUGGGCGGCACCGUACAGGUGGGGCACAACGGUGAUAGCCUACAAGAAAAGUAAAUUUCGAAAGCAUAAUUUGGCUCCGAUUGAGGUAAUAAUUUUCUUUAAACUCAUUUAGUUUUAUAUCAAACAAAAUCAAGACUGCCUUUCUCUUCAAUAUUUUUAUGAUAAUAUCUUUAGAAGCAUCUCAUUGACGGGUAACAAUGGCAUCCCUGAAAGAGUCUAUAAACUCAAUGAUAUUAUCUUCUACAAAUGGUUCAUUAAACUUGUCGUUGUACUCAAAUGUACACUCAGAUCAAUGAGAAGCUAUGCUACGUUAGCAUGUAGUGAUGCACUUAAUAAGUGAGUUGCCUAGGAUGUGAACUAGAAAAAUUAAAUAUGUCUCCUUGGGUAUGCUAGCUGGUAAGUCAGGGUUAAUAUCAGAGCUUAAGAUAGUAUAACCGUGAGAACCUAUUGACUGCCAAUUAAAAUAUCCAUUGAAAUGUCUAGGGAGUUAUGAAGGUGGAGGUAACUUCCAAUUUCUAAGGCCACAGAGUAGACAUCAUCCAGGAUCCUAGGAAAGUCCAGUUAACCUCCUGCUCGAUGCAAUUAAUAAAUUUGGUCAAUGCCACUGAAACCUGCUAACUGACGUCACAAUGCGACAUGAGCACUUCAAAAUGGGACAGACGGUCAGUAGCACUAAAUUUUUCUUGCCAAAUGAGCAAUUGGUCUAACUACUAAUCCCUAUUGUAGGUUGAUCAUUAUUUUUUCAAUUAUGUUCAGUUUGACCCAAAAAGUUGCAGAAUCUUGAGCUAAAUAUUGUCACUGAACACUGUCAAUGUCAUUUAGCAUAGCCAACUAACUUGAUGUUAAAACAAACACACAGUGUGUCUCAUGUCUCACAAUUCAAAUUAUCAUCUGUAAUGUUGGAGAAUUUUUCCAAUGUAUGAAGUAUGCUUUGAUACGUGGGUUACCUUGGAGAAGAUAUCUCAAAAUAAAGAAUAUGGGGAGAAAACAGUUCAGUAGUUUAUUAUUCUGUAGUCAAGUUUUGUCUCGAAAAUGGUCAAAAUUUAAAUGAAUAAAGGACAGGGGAUCUUCAUUCUUUUUUCCCUUUUUUAUACCAAGAUAUCUCUCAACCUUUAUAUAAUCCCCACUGGAUAUCUGCUUCUAAUAAUUAAAAUAAAAAUUUCACCGCUCUAACAAUAAAAAGUAAACAUCUUUCCUCAAAUAAUUUACAGUUCCUCAUCAUCUUAGUGUGAGAAUAUCAGUACAUUCCAAAAACAUAAUAAAACUGGUUUGAUCCUGUUUAUUGAUGUUUAAAUGUUGUUCAUUGUGACAGGUAGAAAUGAUGAGGCGAAGUUUAUUUGGACAUCAAUUAGUAAGAUCUUGUUGAAGUUGUUUUCUGAAAUGAACUGCCAAAUGGUAGUUUUUUGGGGCAUUUGAUGGCUCUUUUUUUUUCCUCAUUUUCAACAUGUGCCUGCUUGGAACAUGAAGGAUUAGGCUGCCAGAGUUGUUAUAUAUUUUGAGAUGCUCUGGUCAUUGCACAAUUUGUCACACUGGAAAUUAGAAUGAGAAAUUUGUUGAUGCUGUUUUGAGAGAUCUGCAUUCUAUGCACAAUAACAUGAUUAAUGAAAUGCAUUGUAGGACUGGAAAGAUCUGUGGCAGCCUGAGCUCGCAGGAAGAAUUUCAAUGGUUAAUUCUCCCCGAGAGGUUAUUGGUUCAGUUUUGAAGUAUAGGGGAACAUCAUACAAUUCAAACUAUAUUGAUUCGCAAGUUGCUGGUGGGAAAGAUUGCUGUUCAGCAGAAUCUGGCAUUACUGGCAAACCAGGUACUCUUACAGAAAUCAUAUCUGGUCAUUGCAUGUUAUUGCCUGACAACUGAUUUGUUUGUAAAAGUCUGCUUCUUCAUACAUAUGAAUGCAUAUGUUAGUGUUUUCUUCUCCUUUUCAUACAUAUAAAUGCAUAUGUUAGUGUUGUCUUUUCCUUUUCACACAUAUUAAUACAUAUGUUGGUGUUCUCUCCUGAGAUGGAUGCAAUAAAGCUUUUGCUCCUAAAUUUAGCUGAAGAAAUGCAAGGGAUGUGAGAUUCUGUCUCAUUAAAUUAACAAAAACCCAAAACAAUGAAAAUCCAUAAUAAUGUGUGUGGGUAAAUGGCUCCAUUUGGUUCGUUUCCUUAAUGUGAAUGCGCGAGCAAUAGAGACUAACAAAAUGAAGUGACAACAAGAAGUCAGUGUCCUUUGAUGGAUGCAUUUUUAGGCAGAAAUAUGUUUGUAAUUGACCAAAUUUGUCUGGCAUGCCAAUUUCAAAAAAAUUAAAUUAUGUGGUUAUUAGCUGUAAUGAAGGGGAUAGUAGGUGCAAUCAGGUGUAUCCAGGAAAGUUCAACAAAGUUUUGGUAUGGCGUAGUGAAAUUGGUUUGUGCAACUCAGGAGUCUUUCAGGUGAACGAUGAUAGGUUUUGAUUUAUGAAUAUUAUAAAUCUACUGUGCAUAGUAUUCUAGUAGAAUCAUCUAUAAGUUCUAGUUAUUGUAUACUUUGCCUGGUUUGAGUUAAGGGCACAUGUAAUAUGAAAGAUAGUUGUCGCAUCUUUUAGGUUACCUAACAUUUGAUCAAUCCUAUUAUGGGGCUUCAAGAUGUCUAACAAUAUGUAGAAUGCCCAUGCUCCUCCCCAUUGUUUAUCUUCUACAAUAAUUUGUUUUAGAUGCUAAUAUCUUUGUCGAUACGUAACAAUAUUACAAUAUCUGCGUUUAUUGGGUUUUACAUAGGUUCGACUGUUUGACAGUACACACUAUCUGAAGGCAUUUGCAAUUGGAGAUGUAUGGGUUGCUGUUGGGUGGAUUAGUGAUGUUCUUCCUGCUGUCAAACAUAUGUCUAAUGUUGCUGUUGUUGUUCCCAAGUCUGGUGCUAGCUUAUGGGCUGAUCUUUGGGUAUACCCAUGCCUGCCAUUCUACUUCAAUAUUCACAUUGUUAUCUCCUUCAUAUUAGUGAUCAGUAAACACGAUAAUGUGACUAAUAAGUUCGUAUUCUCUUUAUAGGCAAUCCCUGCUGCCUCAAGACUUGAAACAAAACAAAUUGGAGGCGAGUCAGAGGUGCAUUUCCAUUAAUCCAUCAAUGGAUAGAAUUCUGCUUGCAAACAGCGAGAGCAUUGCCUUUCAAGCAAGAGGUUAUCCCGAGCGCAUCUCCCUCUGCCCUUGAGAGUACUCUGGUUAAGUUGCCUGAAGAACUUUUCAAGGGUAAACCAAGUCUGGAUACUAACUUAAUUGCUGGAGUACCCCCGACUGAAAUUCUGGCCAGAUGUGAGUUUUUGGAGCCUUUAUUUGAAGCUACAUUGUCGGAUUAUGAGUGGCUGGUUACUAAUCUGCAAAAAUCCACUCCUGUACUGAUCAACAAGAUGCAACAUUACAUGUCAUCAUUGAUCUUUAGCUAAAGGUACAUUGAAAAGUUAAUGGCACUGCAUACCAGUCAUUAUAAUUGGGUCAGGGCAAUUAGGUCAGAGCAUAACUUCAUUAGGAAAAGAUGCUUCAGCUACGUUAAAUAUUACAGGAUGUACUGAGAUGGCUGAAGCUGUUGAGGUUUUACGAGAAUCGAAAGAUAGUGUUUGUUUGAACAAAGUUGUUGCCAAUCUUGCAGAGUUCGAGAAGAAAGAUCACGAAGUGAAUGCCACCGAUUUCUUCAUCAUUGUAGCCUCCAUAGUUGAAGUUUCCUCAUUUGAAGCUGUUUAUGCAUACGAUUUUCCCCUGCUCAAGUACAGGAAAUUGAAGAAUUAACCAGAUGUGAUAUGCUGAAAGAGGGAAGUUUUCUUCCUUGAAUGUGGUCUUUGUGAUUUGUCUUGAAGGAAUAGGGUGAUCACUGGCAAGAACCCUAUCAAGGUAGAUUUUAUGAUGUUAACAUAUCAUUAAGCAUUUUGUUACAUCAGCAAUGAUGCUUUCAUAGCAGCAUGAAAGUGUUUAAAUUUAACUGAAUGAUCUUGAUUGAUCAAUUAUGAGUUUUAAUCGAGUAAAAACUAAAUACAAUAAUCGUUAACAAAUAUUGAAAUUGGGUAAAUAUGAUCUUGAUAUUGAAGAAUUUGAAAUCACAACCCACACAGGAAAUCACCCUUCGCGUGGGGAUGGAGAUGUUUACUGCAGCGAUAUUGAAUAUGUCCACCGCUCUUUGGGUUAUGGUGCGACUUGCCCUGAAACAAUGGAAAAGAAUAAUUAAUAAUUUAACGCCAAGACAUAAAAUUAAAACGUGUGGACUCCGGUAGCUGCCCUACAAGUCUACAACUCUACAAACAUUAACUCUACAAACAUUAAAACGUGUGGACUCCGGUAGCUGCCCUACAAGUCUACAACUCUACAAGAAUAAUUUCUAGCCCUGUUGACUCCACUAACUAAAGAAAUUUCAAAACGUACAUAGAAUUCCACAACAAGCAAAACGUAUGGAAUUUAAUUUUUUGCCGUGUGGAACAAAAUACAAUUUAACAAAAAAGGAUAAGAAAAAUGGUAAGAUUUCUAAAAUGAGUGGAAGGUGAUUCAUAUUUUACUGAAAUGACUUGUCCUGAACAUUAAGACGAUUGAUUUUUUUUUUUUAAUAACAUCAACUUCCAUAUCUUUCUAACCCCUAGAAUAUGCUCACGUUCAAGUCUAUCUUGGUAAUUUGAAAAAGAAAAUCAAAUCAAAUCAACACCAAAACAAUGAAAAGUAAAACUUUUGAAUUUCAACUUUAAACUUUUGUUAACCCCUAGAAUAUUCAGCGUUUUCAAAUUCUUCCGAUUGCAUAUCUUCUUCCUCCAUCAAUGCAAUAUUUGAACGAUUAUGAAAGAGUUUAAGAACAUAAAAAAUCUCCAAGGUUUAUACGGUAUAACAAAUUUAAAUUCUCAAUUACAAUAGAUAAUAAUUAAACUAAUAAUUUUUUAUGUACUUAUUUUAGUAAUUUCACCUAAGAAUAAUAUUGUAAUUAGAAAAAAAAAUCUAAUAAGUAGGGUGGUCUUAUACAAAAUCAACUGUACUGUGAUGAGUUUCCUUUUGUUAAUAAUUUUAGUCUAAUUUCAAUUGUACUGUGAUCGCUUCUCAAGGUAAGUGAAAGUUACAGAUGUGGCAAAAUAAAUAAUUAAGUUAACAAAAUGCUAACUAAUUUUCCUCAAUACCUAGGGUUGUACAAUUUCACCAACCUGGAAGAAUUGACAUUAAUGGACUGGUCUCCUCCCCAUAUAAUUAUAAUCCUUCUAGAAAGCUAUUUUUUAUUAAAUAUUUGCUUUUAAGUUAAUUUCAAUUAAAAAAUGUUUUAAGUUAUAUAUACUCUAAUGAGAUUCUGAAUUCCUUUAUUCCAAUAAUAAUGAAAACGUAUUAAAUUAGAAAUGAAAAAAUUGGUGUUGAUGAUUCAACCUAUUUGGAUAGAUUACGUGAAUAAAAUUAAAAUUUUGAUUUAAUUUUUGUUUAUUGUUAAUUCUCAGGCUAUCUUAAUUUCAAGAAUUUAGAAUGUUAAUUUGGUCAUGGAUUUCAACCCGUGAGUGUCAUAUUCUAGACUUAAUGGUACCAUUCUUUGAUUGAGGGCAAUGACUCUCACUCCUCUUGUAAAAAAAUAUUUUCAACUAUUUUGAUGACUUAAAAAUUGAUAGAUUUAUUGUUGUCAUGACCAAAUUAUUCAUUUUAAUGAAAUAUAAUUAAUGCAUCAAAGUUACCAGGUUUAUGUUCUAUCUUAAUGCGCUUUUUUUUUUUUUCAGUUAUAGCUUCUGCUUACGUCUGUUUCAUUUUUUUUUAAUAAAAAAACAAGGGAAGGUUUUUCCGAGUCAUCCAUUAUUUGAUUUCCGUCAAUCAAGAAAACGACCAAAUUAAUUUCUCUCCAAAAUUUCCAAAAGCUAGAAAAUUUUGUUAUUUGAAAAUAACAUGAUUAAUUAUAGAGUGGAUCAAACCGCGUUAUUGUCUUUCAUAAAAUUGAUGUCUUUUUAAGAGUCAAUACUUUUUAUUUACGCAAACCAGUCGACAUCAAUUUAAACUUCCAUAUUUUUAUUAUUAUUAUGUUAUUUAUUUUAAUCGCCGAUUAUUUGAUUAGCCACUAUAUAUAUCAAGAAAGCGACAAAAUUUAUUUCUCAUGACUUCCAAAAACUAGAAAAACAACAUCAUUUAUUAUUUUUUUGCAACCCUAAUUGACAUCAACUUUAACUUUAUUAUGUUAUUAUUUCAAUCCCCCAUUAUGACCUUUCUAAUCCUCCAUUAUGCAUCUUUUAUAGUGCAAAUUUAAUUGCACAUCUAAAUAAAUUGAUUAUUGUUACUCCACCACCAAUAUUUCAAAUAGUCACUAGACCAUUUCUGCCUUUAAUUUUCCCUUAACUAUUGACUGUUUUUAGCAUCUUAAAAUAUACAUUUAUUCCUUGAUUAUGUGAUAAAAUUAUGAAAAUAUCCAUUUUAGCUUAAAUUAAUUGGAAUAACCAUAAGCGUAACAUAAAUUAAUAGAACAAAAUUAUCAAGUGUAUGUUCUAUCUUACUUUUUGAAGAAUUUAACAUAUAUAAUGCUAUACUAUUAAUAAAUUUUUCAUUUACUAUAUAUGUUCACAUAUUUUAUAUAUUUAUUAAUUGUUAUAUAGUCACAGGAUGAAUGAUUUUUCAGGUCUACAUGAGUUGGUGCACAUGCAAGACUCAAUUUUGACAACAAUGAUCUAAGGGGUAAUUUACCUUGGUGUUUGACAAACAUAACCUCUCUUCAUGAUUUACUUCCAAUCUACUUACUGUAAAUAUCUCCUCAUCUCCUCUCAUUUAUAUGAUAAGUGAUAACCCUUGAAGAUCUCACAUUUUCAAACGAUCAUAUUAGGGUUUUUAUUAUUAGCAUCAUUGUGUCAACAAAAUAUAUGUUGCAGUAAGAUUUUUUCAGACCAAUUCCCUUCUUCAAAUAAUAAUGGAAAAGUAUUAAUUUAAAAAUAAAAUGAAUAUGCAUUGAUUAUAUCCUGAUUUCCAUCGAUUAUAGCGAGAGUUUCUCCGAAUCAACUCCCUUAUUCAAAUAAUACAGAAAAAAUAGUAAUUUAAUAGUAAAAUUAGCAAGUGUUGAUUAUAUAUCCUAAGUUUCAUCGAUUAUGUGAUCAAAGUGGCAUUGUUGAUUUAUUUCUUGUUCAAUGUUAAUUUUUAGGUUAUCUAAAUUUCAAGGAUUUAAAAUCUUUGUUCAUGGAUUACACGCUUAUUAAUUUUUCUGCCAUUGACUGUCAUAUUCUAGACUUAAUGGUACCUUCCUUGAUCAAGGAUAAUUACUCUAUGUUCUCCUCUUAUAAAUUCCUCUUCCAUUAACAUCACUAGGAGUAUGUUGAUCUCUCAGACGUUAACUUUAGUGGAGAGUUUCCAAAUUGAUUGUUACAAAACAACACAAAAACUAGACACACUUGAUCUGUCUAAUAAUUCUCUUUCGAUAAAAUUAAUUAAUUUUAGGGGAAUAUUCGACCAACCUCUAUAAUUUCAUAUUGAUCAUUAAUUAAUUAGACGAAAAAAGUACUUGUGCUUUUGUGGCGACAAUUGAACUAGAGAAGUGAAGCUGUAAAGAUUUGGCAGUAGUAAAUUGUUAGAAAGACAUAAAGACAAUUUCCCAUUUUAUAAUUUUUUCAAAAAACUUUUUUACAACACAUGCACCUGGCCAAAAAUUUUAUUUUGCUAACUAACAAUAAUUGAGUAGCUGACCGUAUUGACUCCGCCUACUUGCUAAAGUAAAAAAAUAGAAAUAGAAUUUCCACAAAAUGUCAAACAUGUAAAAUCUAAUAUUUGGCCAUGUGGAACAAAAUACAAAUGAAAAAAAAAAUAGAAAAAAGGCCUAAAGACUUUUAAAAUGUGUGGAAAUCUUUCGGCCCUUUUAUAAUGGUGUGUUUUUCAAAGGAACAACUAAUAAUAAUGACACUUCUACGGUUUGUUUUGAUAAUUACACAUAUACUCUUUAAUUUGAUAAAUGGUUACACAAAUUUUGUUUACAAAAAUAUAUUAUUCAUGUUCUGUAUUAUUUUUUAACAUCAUAUUUUUAUUUAUUAUAAUUGUUUAAAGUUAAUUGUUAGGUUGAUAUAUAAUAAAAACGUAUAAUCGUUCUCUUACUAAACACACAUACUCGUAGUUUCUAUCCAUUUGUCAUCUCAAUCUCUCUCAUUUAUCCUUUCUUGAUAGCUCAAAACGCGUCACUGUGGAAAAUAAUAGCAAAACGACAAAUAUGGAAAGAAUGGGAAGAAAAUUAAUGCAUGAAAGAGUUGCAGAAGACAACCAAAUAAGUCAACUAUACGCUAGUUGGGUGUAUAAAUUGUUAGAUGUGUUAUAAACAAAUAGCAUAGAGCCUUGGUUGGUUACAGAGAUAGAAAAACUGUGUGUGUUUUUUAGAACUUAAAGAUACAGUUAGAAUGGGUGGUUCAAAAUCAAAAAUGGUGAUAAUGUUUGUUCUGUUAUUAAUAAUAUUAGAAGGUGGGUGGAGUGAAGGAUGUUUGGAUCAUGAGAGAUUUGCUCUUUUGCGACUCAAACAUUUCUUCGAUGAUACUGGUAGUUAUUUUUACUACUGGGCAGAUGGUGAGGGAGCUACUGAUUGUUGUCAGUGGGAAAGGGUUGAGUGCAGCAACACCACAGGCCAAGUGAUAGUGCUAGACCUUUUUGAAACGUAUUUGGGAGAGUACAGCUGGUAUCUGAAUGCUUCUUUGUUUACUCCCUUUCAACAACUUGAGUCACUUGAUUUAUAUGGCAACAAAAUAGUCGGUUUUGUUGAGAAUGAAGGUACUUCGUCUAAUUCAAUUAAUUUACAUUUCGCUCUCCUAAUUUAAGUCGAAUAUCAAGACUGAGCAGCUAUAUGCAUAUUCAUUCAAUUGACAAUUUUUACAUAUUUUUUAAAAUGUUUAAUUUUGAAAUUACACCAAACAUCAUAUGUGGUUUUGAUUUUACUUGCAGGUCUAGAAAGAUUGAACAACUUGAAGAGGCUUGAUUUAAGUUAUAACUUGUUCAACAAUAGCAUCUUAUCAUCUGUGGCUCAUCUUUCUUCACUAACAUCAUUAGAUUUAUCUGGAAAUAGAUUGGAAGGAAGUAUUAAUGUUAAAGGUACGUAAUUAAAACGUCAUCGCUUCUCUCAACUCUUUCAUUAACAUGCUAAAAUAAGAUUCAAGGCUUUGAAUUCAUUUUUUUUUAUGAGUAAAUAUUAGAAAAAUAGUUUUAAGCAAUUCAUAAAUACAAUUUUCAAUGUUUCUCAUAAUUUCAUCUUGUACUUUCGUAUGUCUUGACUUUAAGAUUAAAAAAAAAAAAUUACUCUAACUGUGAAGCAAAUACCCCAUGACUAAUUUAUCAUUUCGUCCAGUUAAAAAUGAUAAAAUUUAUCAUUUGUUUAUAUUGAUUAAUUAACUCUAUUUUAAGUCUUAAGUCUUGGCGUCUUGGCAUAUUUGCAGAAUUUGAUUCCUUGAGCAACUUAGAGGAGUUGGACAUGAGCGACAAUGAAAUAGACAAUUUAGAGGUUCCUCAAGGUAAACAAUUAAAAUAUUAUUCAAUUACAUUAAUUUAAUUCGUUUGAUUAGGGAAGACCCAAAAGGUACAAAAUAUAAUAAUAAUAAUAAAAGAAACAGAGAAUCUAUAUUAUUUCAAAAAAUAAAACGUAAUACUAUUAUUUCAAAAAUAGAUUGUAAUAAAGAUUUGAUUCCGGUUCUUUAAUCUUUACAGCAAUUGAAAAACGAUGUUGCUCUUUUCCUGAAGCAUAAAAUAUGAAAUGACUCCAAUACAAUUAAUCAUUUAUUUCGUUUACUCUAAAAUUAGACAAUGAAUCUUUAUUUUCUUCAGUCUUAUCCUAAUUAUUAUUAAUAAACAGGUUACAAAGGUUUGAGGAAGUUGAAUUAUCUUGAUCUAUCGAAUGUUGGAGUUAGAGAUGGAAGCAAGUUGUUACAGUCAAUGGGAUCAUUCCCAUCCCUCAACACUCUUUACCUGAAGGAUAAUAAUUUUACCGAUAUAGCGACAACUACUACUCAAGGUAAGUAAAAGAUACAGAUGUGGCCAAAUUUACAAAUAAAUUGUUAAUUAAUUAAUUUUUCCGUAUUAUUAAUAAAGCUAAAUUCGUCGCUCCUUCCUUCUAAUUCUAAACAGAGUUGGCAAUUUCACCAACUUGGAGUAUUUGACAUUGGACUUGUCCUCGCUCCAUUUAAGCCUUCUACAAUUACUUGAAGAAUGAAUUUAUUUAUUAUUAUUAUUGUUGUUGUUGUUGUUGUUGAAGUGAGGUGGGCAAGCGUUCACUCAAUUAAUAUGUGAGGAAUUAAUAAUUACAAUCCAAGGUAGAAUUGUGGAAAAUUAAAGCAAAAUGAGAAAUAUGGAAAGAAAGGAAGAAAGUUAAGGGCAUGAAAGACUAGGAGAAGACUAAAGACCACCAAAUAAGUCAACUGAAAACUAGCUGGGGCCUGGGUGUACAAAUUGUUAGAUGUGUUUGUUAUAAAUAACAUAGAGCCAUCUUGUUGGUUGCAGAGGCAGAGAGACACAGAGUGUGCAUUUUGUUAAUUAAAAAUAUAUAUAAAAUGGGUGGUUCAAAAUCCAAAAUGGUGAUAAUGUUAGUUUUGUUAGUAUUAAUAAUAUUAGAAGGGAGGUGGCGUGAGGGAUGUUUGGUGCAUGAGAGAUUUGGUCUUUCGAGACUUAAAACAUUUCUUCAAUUCUCCUUAUAAUUUUUGUCACGACUGACCGUUGUCAAUGGGAUGGGGCUGGGUGCAGGGUUGAUUUACGUUAGAACAAUAUAGCCGGUAGUGUUGAGAAUGAAGGUGUUUCAUUUAAUUUAAUUAAUUUACUUUCUCCCUCCUAAUUUAAGUGGAAUAUCAAGACUGAACAAUUAUAUGCAUCUUCGUUCAGUUGACAAUUUUGACAUUUUUUUUAAGUGAUUAAUUUUGAAAUUACACCAAACAUUAUUUGUGAUCUCUGUUUUGACUUUACUUGCAGCGCUAGAGACGUUAUCAAGAUUGAGCAACUUGACGAUACUUGAUUUAAGUUAUAACUUGUUCAAUAAUAGCAUCUUGUCAUUUGUUGCCCGUCUUUCAUCAUUAACAUCAUUAGAUUUAUCUUACAAUGGAUUGGAAGGAAGUAUUAAUGUUAAAGGUACGUAAUUAAAACGUCAUCGCUUCUCCCAACUCUUCCAUUAACAUGCUAAAAUAAGAUUCAAGGCUUUGAAUUCAAUUUUUUUUAUGAGUAAUAUUAGAAAAAUAGUUUUAAGCAAUUCAUAAAUACAAUUUUCAAUGUUUCUCAUAAUUUCAUCUUGUACUUUUGUAUGUCUUGACUUUAAGAUUAAAAAAAAAUUACUCUAACUGUGAAGCAAAUACCCCAUGACUAAUUUACAAUUUUGUCCAGUUAAAAAUGAUAAAAUUUAGGGAAAUUAUCAUUUGUAUACCCUUAGUUUACUCUAUUAUCAAAAAUACUACAACACUUUGAGGGUGUAUCAAUCGUCCACCCUAAGUUGACAAAAUGUAUUAGCCAACCACCAAACCGUUAGUUGCCGUUUAAAUAUGAUAACAUCAUAAGGGUAAUCUGGUCUUUUCAUAUGAUACAAGUGAUAAUUUAAGGGUAUACAAGUGAUAAAAAGAGAGUUUAAGGGGAUACAAGUGAUAAUUUUCAAGGGUAAAAUCGUCAAUUUACUGUAAUUCCGUUAACUUUCAAACGGCAAUUAACAGUUUGGUGGUCGGUUGAUACAUUUCAUCAACUUAGGGUGGACGAUUGAUACACCCUUAAAGUGUUGUAGUAUUUUUGAUAAUAAAGCAAAUAUAGGGUAUACGAAUGAUAAUUUCCCUAAAAUUUAUCAUUUGUUUAUAUUGAUUUAUUAACUCUAUUUUAAGUCUUAAGUCUUAAGUCUUGGCAUGUUUGCAGAAUUUGAUUCCUUGAGCAACUUAGAGGAGUUGGACAUGAGCGGCAAUGAAAUAGACAAUUUCAAGGUUCCUCAAGGUACACAAUUAAAAUAUUAUUUAAUUACAUUAAUUUAAUUCGUUUGAUUAGGGAAGACCCAAAAUGUACAAAAACAUAAUUAAAAAAAAAUAAAGAAACAGAGAAUUCAUAUUAUUUCAAAAAACAAAAGGUAAUACUAUUAUUUCAAAAAAAGAAUGUAAUAAAGAUUUGAUUCCGGUUCUUUAAUCUUUAUAGCAAUUGAAAAACAAUGUUGCUCUUUUCCUAAAGCAUAAAAUAUGAAAUGAGUCAUAAUUGAAUUAGUCAUUUAUUUUGUUUAGAUCUAAAUUUAGACAAUAAAUUUUGAUUUUUUUUUCAAUUCUAUCCUUAUUAUUAUUGUUAAACAGGUUACAGAGGUUUGAGGAAGUUGAAAAGCCUCUAUCUAUCGAAUGUUGGAGUUAGAGAUGGAAGCAAGUUGUUACAGUCUAUGGGAUCAUUCCCAUCCCUCAACACUCUUUACCUGAAGGAUAAUAAUUUUACCGAUAUAGCGACAACUACUACUCAAGGUAAGUAAAAGGUACAGAUGUGGCCAAAUUUAUAAAUAAACUGUUAAUUAAUUAAUUUUCUGUAUUAUUAAUAAAGCUAAAUUUUUGCUCAUUCCCUCUAAUUCUAAACAGAGUUGCACAAUUUCACCAACUUGGAAUAUUUGACAUUGCACGGUUCCUCUCUCCAUAUAAGCCUUCUGCAAAGCAUUGCAUCAAUAUUCCCUUCGUUAAAAAAUCUGUCGAUAUCUUAUUGUGAAGUCAAUGGUGUCGUACAUGGUCAAGGUAAAAGAAAAGUGUUGGUUGUGCACUCACUGAGUGUUGUCCUACGUAUUCAAUAUUUUUAUUUAUUUAUUUUAUUGUUUAAUGUUUCUGCUAGGUUUUCCUCAUUUCAAGAGUUUGGAACAUUUGGGCAUGAUGUCCACGCGCAUUGCACUCAACACCAACUUUCUUCAAGUCAUCAGUGAAUCGAUGCCUUCUCUUAAGUACUUAUCACUGUCAUAUUCUACUCUUGGCACUAACAGCAGCAGGAUUCUUGAUCGAGGUUAAUCAGAUGCUCCCACCCUCCAUUCUUAAUCUAUAAUAUUAAUUUUCAGUUAAAUAUUUAAUUACACAAACCAAUCACUUAUUAUAAAAGAACAAUACGCAUUCAUUAAUUUUUAUAUUAUAUUAAUUGAUGAAUUUAAUAAAUUCCAGGCCUCUGUUCGCCGGUGCAUCUGCAAGAGUUAUACAUUGGUUCUAACGAUUUAAGAGGUAGCUUGCCUUGGUGCAUGACAAAUUUGACAUCCCUCCGAAUAUUAGAUGUUUCUUCCAAUCAACUUACUGGAAGCAUCUCCUCGUCUCCCCUCAUUCAUUUGACAUCCAUUGAAAAGCUGUAUCUUUCAAACAAUCACUUCCAGAUCCCAAUUUCACUUGAACCACUUUUCAAUCAUUCAAGACUCAAGACUUUUUAUGCUGACAACAACGAACUAAAUGCAGAAAUAACUCAGUCACAUUCUUUGACCGCCCCAAACUUCCAAUUAUCACGUCUCUCAUUGUCUUCCGGUUAUGAAGAUGGCGUCACAUUCCCCAAAUUCCUUUACCAUCAACAUGAUCUGGAGACUGUUGAGCUCUCACAUAUAAAGAUGAAUGGAGAAUUUCCAACUUGGUUGUUGGAAAACAACACAAAAUUGAGACAACUUUCUCUCGUCAAUGAUUCUCUUGGAGGACCUUUCCGGUUGCCAAUUCAUUCACACAAGCGGUUAGGAAUGUUGGAUAUAUCCAACAACAACUUCCGAGGCCACAUUCCAAUAGAAAUUGGAGAUGUUUUACCAAGUCUAUACCUUUUCAACAAUUCCAUGAAUGCUUUAGACGGUAGCAUUCCCUCUUCAUUUGGUAAUAUGAAAUUCCUCCAAAUUCUGGACUUAUCCAACAAUCACUUGACUGGUGAAAUCCCCGAGCACUUGGCCGUUGGUUGCGUCAACUUGCAGUCUCUUGCAUUAUCAAAUAACAACCUACAAGGUCACAUGUUCUCUAGAAAUUUUAACUUGAUAAACUUGAAAUGGUUACAAUUGGAGGGCAAUCGCUUCAUAGGUGAGAUCCCACAAAGUUUGUCUAAAUGCUCCUCACUAGAAGGAUUGUAUCUUAACAAUAAUAGUCUUUCGGGUAAGAUUCCACGAUGGUUGGGUAAUCUCACAUGGUUACAAUAUAUUAUAAUGCCCAAUAAUCAUCUUGAAGGCCCUAUUCCAGUGGAGUUUUGUCAGCUUGAUUUGCUUCAGAUUUUGGACAUUUCAGACAACAACAUAUCUGGAAGUUUACCAUCUUGUUUCCAUCCUCUCUCUAUCAAACAAGUUCAUCUUUCAAAAAUAUGUUACAUGGACAGCUAAAAAGAGGUACAUUCUUUAAUUGCUCUUCCCUUGUGACAUUAGAUCUUAGCUAUAAUCGCUUGAAUGGCAGCAUUCCGGAUUGGGUUGAUGGGCUUUCUCAGUUAAGCCACCUUAUCUUAGGUCAUAAUAAUCUUGAAGGUGAAGUGCUAGUUCAAUUGUGCGAAUUGAACCAACUACAAUUGUUAGAUCUUUCUAAUAAUAAUCUUCACGGUCCUAUUCCUCCUUGCUUUGAUAACACCACACUUUAUGAAAGUUACAGCAAUAGUUCUAGUCUUGAUGAGCAAUUUGAAAUAUUUUUUUCCAUCGAAAGCCCUCAGGGAAAUGUAGAAAAGCAAAUCCAUGAAAUUUUUGAGUUCACAACAAAGAACAUUGUGUACAUUUACCAAGGAAAAGUGCUUAGCCUCCUAUCAGGACUUGAUCUUUCUUGCAACAAGCUAAUUGGUCCUAUUCUCCUCAAAUUGGAAAUUUUGACAAGGAUUCAAACAUUGAAUCUAUCACACAACGACUUGAUAGGAUUGAUCCCAUCAACAUUUUCAAACUUGAAGCAUGUCGAAAGUUUGGAUCUUUCCAACAACAAAUUGAAUGGGAAAAUCCCUCAUCAACUAGUGAGUUAAAGACAUUGGAGGUUUUCAGUGUGGCAUACAAUAACUUAUCAGGCGAAAUUCCAGAAUGGACUGCACAAUUUGCAACCUUCAAUGAGAGUAGCUAUGAGGGAAAUACUUUCUUUGUGGAUUGCCAUUGCCCAUUUGCAGAUCACCAGCAACUAUGUCGGAGGCUUCAAUUGGCAAUGAACGAGAUGAUAAUUUAAUUGACAUGGACAGUUUCUUUAUCACAUUUACAACAUCGUACGUAAUUGUGAUAUUUGCAAUUGUUAUUAUUUUAUAUGUAAAUUCUUAUUGGCGACGUAGAUGGUUUUACUUUGUUGAAAUGUGGAUAACUUCAUCUUACUAUUUUGUUGUAGACAAUCUUAUUCCAACAAGAUUUAUCAUUGAAAUUAAUUAGUAGUUUAAUUACGAUUCUUUAAGUACUAAUCAAGUUUGUUUAGGAAAUAUUUUUUUAUUAAAAUUGUAGUAGUAUUUAGCAUUAUAUAGCUUCCAACUUCCAAGCACUUCACAUUUGUCUCUACACUUAAAAAACUGAGUGAUCAUGUUUUGCAGAUCUGGAUUUGGAGCAGGAUGGAUCCAAACCCAUAUCUGUCCACCGUAACUUAUAGCUUCCCUAUACUGUGCAGCAUACUUAAAAUAAGAGAACCAUCUCCAAUGUUAAAAGCAUUCACUCUAUAACAUUCAUUUAGAAAACUAUAUUCAGAAUAUUUUAUAAUUAAACACAAGAAAUGAAAACACACAGAUACACUUGAUCGCCUAUUUUACUCUAAAAAAGAACGAUUAUUGUGCUAUCAUCAUCUUCUUCACUAGCAACAUUAACACCAAAUCGAUGGACCCAUACAUUUCAUCAAGAAAGGUCUAUAUCCAAUAAAGUUGAAGCCUAACAAAAAAUUCAAGAAGAUUCAUGCCUCGCCACAACAAGGGCACAACAACAUCAAAGUAGAGAUUAAGCAGUAAUUCUCAAAGCUAAAACUCUCAAAUCCACCCACCAGAAUUUCAUAUCUCCUCAACAAUUUAAGAACUAAAGAUAAUUAGGAUUUAACAUUAGUUUUUUAUAUAUUAGUCAUAAUUUACAAAUCAAUGAAGAUGAAGAUUAUGCUAAUAAAAUUCAAAUUAUACCAUACAUUCUCUAGAUGUUACCAAAAAUUUCUAAGUCAAUCCCACAUAUUUCAUAAUUUUAAGACUAGAAAAUUUCACUAGUUAGAAGUUUCAUUACCUUCAAGUGGAAGAUGAAGAACAUUAUACAAGUGAUUCAGAUUAUAUCAUACAUACUCCAAAUGCAACUAGAAAUUAACAAGUUCAUGCACACAUAUUUCAUAACAUUAUGAUUGAAAAGUUUCACAGAGAAAAUUCUAAAUUCAAUCUCUUGCAUGAAGGCAAUUUGAUUGAUUGAGUUACUUCUUAUCAAGCUACUAAUAUAACAUUCAAGUCAGGAGAAAAUAAAUUAAAACUGGGAAGAAAUAACAGUAAAAAAUUUGUUGCUCAACAUGAUGUGUAUUUUUUUUCAAGGCAAUUUGGAAACACAAUUGUUACCACAGAUAUUCUUCUCAAACUUGGAGAUAAAUACAAAUAUUAAAAUGCAUAUGAUCGCACAUAUUACUUCGAGUUUAGUAAGAUUUCAUUAAAAGAAGCAAUCAAACCACUUAUCAAUUGUCGCAGUCGUUCUAUAAACUAAAAUAGCAAUAUAAUACAAGAAAAAGAACAUAUAGAUACUUGGCAAGAGUUCAUUAAGAAGUCACAUCACAUUCAGGUGAGGAGUUUGCUUCUGAUAUCUUGCUAGCUGGGGCUUUUUCUUGUCUUUCUACGUAUGCCGAGGGAAACCAACCAGCUUGGCCCUUGCAUUCACCUUCCGACCAUCCAAUAGGAGCCACCUUGAGAAGUUAUAACUAAAAUGGUGAAUUAAACAAAAGUUGACCGUUCAAAGACCUAAGGGGAAAACUAAUUCUUUUACGUAGGAGGAGUGAAUUAGUUGUGAUCACUGAAAUAACAGCAUAACUAUGGAAGCAUAACAAGAUAUAAAUUCACACGUCUAUAAGGGUAAACUGGGUGGUUGAGAACUGAGCUAGCAACCCUACUAUAUUCUGAUUUGCACUUCAAUGUAAAAGGGAAUAUAUGGUAGGAAGAAAGAAAACCAACCAUCAUUUGUUAACUCAUUGCUUUUCAAUCAAAAUUUUAAGAACAAAAUGCCAUGUGCUUUGAACAUCAAAUAAGUAUAAGCAUUAGUUCUAAAUUCCACAUAUCAUAAGUUGUUAGAAGGAUAAGUUAAUAGCAGAGUAGAAAAAUCUAUGUGUUGGUAUUUAGAGGGGAAAGUACCUGGCGAACCACAACAUAAUCAUCAAUUGAAAGACUUAGCUCUCCAUUUGCUUGAGCAUCAAAUGGAUGUAUAACCUGCAAGAUAAUGGGAUAAAUAGAACUUAAAAAAAGCAUAACAAAAGCGGCAACAGUAGCAGCAACGUUCAUUGUAACCACUAUGAUCAUGGCCAACAAGAUAUAUUAGAAACAAAAUUCCAUUUUUACUACGACAUUAAUAUGUACUAUACGAUAUCAUGACGAUUGGGUUACUAAGAGCUAUCAAAGUCUAAUAAGUUCUGUAUAACUUUAUGUAGUUAUUUAAAUUAUGGAUCAGAUUUUAAAUUUGAAAUUUUGACUGCUCUCCACAAAACAUGGCCUAUGCACAAGAAAGUCAUAGAUAAUGAGGAUUACAAGUGUCCGACAUCUUUUGAGUGAUGGAUUUAACAUGAGAGCUUAUGGUCAGUCAAUUUCCUCUGCCUAGCAAUAUAAGCUUUCUCGGCCAGAUUUAUCAUCAAAUACAUAGAUUGCCCCCAAGUCACAUCCAUAUAAACAUAGUUUUUCUAGGUAAACCAAGUAAGGAGUAUCAUAAUUCAGACAUAAUCAUAAAAAGGCCCAUCUAACUUAAGAGAAAAUCUCAAAAAGAGGGAUGCUGAGCUAUCAGUCUUGUAUCUAUAAGCAAUAUCAAGACUUUACGUCACCUGCUACAUCGUGAGUGGCUACACAACUUUCAGUGGUUUGUCUUUCUUUGGCACGCCUAACUCAGCUUUCAUGUUGCUGAGAUAUUGAUAGUAGAGACACAUGAUACUUCUAGCUCAUGCAUUCUAUCUAACUCAUCCAACAACUAUCUCUUUUUUAAUUCAUUAGUGUUUGCUAAACCUCAUGCUUAAAAGUCCUGUUCUCCUAAACAAAGUUUCCUAAGAAUGACUUCCUUAGCACCACAGUUGGACACUUUAGAGCAAUUUUAUUUGGGGGAAAAGAAUUUUCAAGGUGUUAACUAAUAAAUUUUAAAAAAUAAUUACAAUUUGUCCUACGAUCAUAUGACAAUUUAUCUGGGAUGAAAGGAUACAGAUAGACAUCUUCCACUUUCAAGACUAAUCACUACUUCCGUAGAUGUUGUGCAAUAAUACAAAUACUUGACCAGAUGGUAGUGAUGGUAGAAAAAAAUUUUAUUGCUCCAAAAUUAAAAUAAGAAUGCAAUAUGUUAAGCAAAAGGCUGUGCAACAUCAAAUUAAUUGAUAAGUUUGUAAUUCAGUAAAUUAACAACUUUCAUGGUAAAAUACAACAAAUUUCUUUUGAAAAAAAAUAAAUAAAUCUUAAAAGACAACAUUCAAUUUUGUGCACAUCUUAUUUCUUAAGAUUUUUCAGGAGGAGGGCAAUAGAGGGACUUUCACCUAUGCAAGAGAGCAGAAGCCUUACUUUCCCUAUAAAGUAGACGUCAUUCUGAUUAAUAUGCGUUUGCAAAUCAGCUCCGUUUGAAUCAGUAUUCUGAUAGACACACGAGGAAUUUACAUCCAUUUCCAAAGUCACAUGUUGCGAGGAGGACUCAUUUGAUUGCUCCUAUACGAUCAUCUAAUUCAAGUAGCAAGGGUUGGAAGAGAAUAAAAAGUCACAAUUAUUCUUUUGCAUAAGUGAGACGAAAAUGAUAAAUGCAAUAUUAUCAGCAGUAAACAAGAAGAGAACGCUCCAAGAAAUAGAUAGAUGCAGACAAGCAAGUUAAAAUGCAUAGUCCCAAACCUCCGCAUACAACUUCUCUAAAAUAGCAAUAACGUGUUGAUGCUAUGUUUUCUCAGCAUCUACCUGCAAAGGCCCGAGACCAGGAAAACAACAAUAAAACCACUAGCUGAAGGAGAAAGCAAAGAAAGAAAUACACUUGACAUAAAUCUUGACAAGAAGCACAAAUUAAGACAUAACAAACCCCAAUCAUAUUGUUUAGAACUACCAUUCGUUAUUUCGUUAUUGUAACAUUUCGAACAAGUGUUGACUUAAUUCAACAUUGUUGGAAAGAUAGGCUUUUAGAAGCAGAAGAAAGCCUCUCAAACCAAAGUGCUGGUCCUUGUAUUGAUCAAGGGAUGUAAACAUAUUACAUUUGCAGGAUGAGAUUUAAUCACUCCCCUGAUUUAUUCGGGUUGCAGUAAAACUAAGCGAGCAACUGUUUGACUUUCAAGCAACAGCUAAAUCAGCUAUUAAAAUUCAAAUAAAAUCAUAAUAGAAUAAUAACAGGCCAUCUUGCAUCAAAAAUUAAGUUUAAUUUGUGAAUUGUUUUCUAUAGACAUGUCAGUUUCUGCUAUUGAAAUGUUAAAAGCAUUGAAAAAUUAUUCAAUAAAUUAUGCAAGCAUUAAAAUAGAGGACAUAUUAAAAAGUUUCUAAUUACAAUGUUAAUAUUUCCUAUAUUUUAGCAUUUGCAUAUUUUAAUUUAUUUAAAAGCUACGUUGAUCAACUUUGGGCAUGAAGAUUUUAGCUUAUACGAGACUUGAUUGGAAUAUGCAUAAGAGUGUUAAAAUAUGAUGCAUCCAAUGAAAGACAAACCACGUGUAGUCUUUUAAUUAAGCCAAAGUAGCAGCUCAAACAAAUGACACUUGGACCAACAUGCAAUCAUGAAGUGGCCGGAAAAAGGACAAAUGCAACUUUGGCUUAAAUAAAAAAUAACAUGUGACUCGACUUUUGCUGGACAUGCAUCAUGUUAUCACAAGACAACAGAAAUCAGUAUGAUAGUACUAAAAGUUGACAAUAACAUGAAGAUAAGAGGCAGAAUGUCAACACAUGCAUAGGCACACACAAGAAAGUAUUAACUUAUAUACCAUAGCAAAAAGUCUUUGAUAUGUCAUCUGUUGCUGCUGUGAUUCAACUGACAGCAUGGCAGCUGUUGCUUCUCUACCAAGAGCCAUUAUUGUAGAUUUAAGCUCGGUCAAUCUUGCUUCUGCAUUUCGAAGCUUCACAGCACUCUCUGCUGAUAUAUCAGAUUCCUAAUCUUUGAUCGGCGCCUAAAUACUUCAGCUGCCUGGUGAAAAUAUUCAAUAUAAAUCUAACAUAAUUCUNNNNNNNNNNNNNNNNNNNNNNNNNNNNNNNNNNNNNNNNNNNNNNNNNNNNNNNNNNNNNNNNNNNNNNNNNNNNNNNNNNNNNNNNNNNNNNNNNNNNNNNNNNNNNNNNNNNNNNNNNNNNNNNNNNNNNNNNNNNNNNNNNNNNNNNNNNNNNNNNNNNNNNNNNNNNNNNNNNNNNNNNNNNNNNNNNNNNNNNNNNNNNNNNNNNNNNNNNNNNNNNNNNNNNNNNNNNNNNNNNNNNNNNNNNNNNNNNNNNNNNNNNNNNNNNNNNNNNNNNNNNNNNNNNNNNNNNNNNNNNNNNNNNNNNNNNNNNNNNNNNNNNNNNNNNNNNNNNNNNNNNNNNNNNNNNNNNNNNNNNNNNNNNNNNNNNNNNNNNNNNNNNNNNNNNNNNNNNNNNNNNNNNNNNNNNNNNNNNNNNNNNNNNNNNNNNNNNNNNNNNNNNNNNNNNNNNNNNNNNNNNNNNNNNNNNNNNNNNNNNNNNNNNNNNNNNNNNNNNNNNNNNNNNNNNNNNNNNNNNNNNNNNNNNNNNNNNNNNNNNNNNNNNNNNNNNNNNNNNNNNNNNNNNNNNNNNNNNNNNNNNNNNNNNNNNNNNNNNNNNNNNNNNNNNNNNNNNNNNNNNNNNNNNNNNNNNNNNNNNNNNNNNNNNNNNNNNNNNNNNNNNNNNNNNNNNNNNNNNNNNNNNNNNNNNNNNNNNNNNNNNNNNNNNNNNNNNNNNNNUAACCCUCUCUCCCUCUUCAAUCUCUCUCUAUUUUGUUCCCAUUGAUGACCCCAAUCUGCUUAGUUAUCCAGCUUUAUAGCUGCAUCAGUAACAAACCAGCAAACCCAGAUUGAGCAGAUUGACGACACGUGGAUAACGGCUUUAACGAACCUGGUUAAGAACUGCUCACAUGUUCGUCACGCGUGCUGCUUAAAUGAUGGCCAAAACGACUUCAAACAAAUGUCGUUUUGAGGCUUAUGAAUUACAAGUGAUAACACGAGCUUGUCUCAUGACUUUUAAAUGCAACAACGUGCCCACAACGCCGUCGUUUUACUCUGUUGAGUUUGAUUCAUUACUAAGCUUUUACGACUGGCAAUGGAGAAGAUGAUAAUUUAAUUGACACGGACAGUUUUUAUAUCACUUUUACAACAUCCUAUGCAAUUGUAAUAUUGGGAAUUAUUGAUGUUUUAUUCUGUGAAUCCUCAUUGGCAAAAACUAGUGUUUUAUCUUUGUUGAAAUAUAGAUGACCUCUCGUUACUGUUUUAUUAUAAACAUAUAGUUUCGUAAGUGAAUAUUUUAUUAUAAAAUUAACAUAUAGUUUUGUUACAUUUCUGCCUCAUUAAGAUUCUCAAAUACCAGUCAGGUUUGCUUAAGAAAUAAAUUUUUUCCAUUAAAAUUGCAGUAGUAUUUCCAAGCAUAUCGCAUUUUCUAUGAGUUUUCAUAAAUUAAUUAAUCUGCGGUGCCAAUAUCAGAUUUAGUUUUUCAAACUAAAUAAUCAAGAAAGCAAACAUACAAAUAUACAGUUUAGAGGGUAAACUAGGUAGGUGGUUUAGAUUUUAGAACUAAGCCAGCUACCUCGCUAAAUUCCGAUUCGUACAGUGAACUGCAAGAAACUGAGAAAACAAUGUAUUUAUAAUUUAAUAGAAUCAUAAGAAAACAAUGCAGUCAUUGCUCAAUAUAAGAUGAUGAUUUCGGAGAGGCACAUUGUUUUCAAGUUAAUUUGAUCCGUUUAUAAGAGAUGAAGUGGAAUGAAGUUGAAAGUUUAAAUAACAAAUCCUUGUUCUUGAGUUUUACGACGUCGUUACUCCUUCAAGUGGCAGAUUAUGCAAGUGAAUGCAGAAACACAAUGCAUCAUCCGCGGGGAUGAUACAUCAAAAGGCGGGAUUUGUUUAUGCCUGCAGAUUAGCAAUUUCACUCAUAUAGAAAAUUAAUUUUUUAUAUAUACUAAUCAACACUAAAUUGAUUAUGUGUUGUAUGUUUAUAUAUGCUAAUCAACACGAAAUUAUAUUGAAUUAUUAACAUUCAUAUUCCUAAUAAAAAUUAUUUUCCAUCAGUAUUCAAAAUUUUCACUUAUAGAAAAUGCGUUUUACGUGAAUACUAGUUAUUGUGUAAAUUUGAAUGAUAGCGAAAAAUAAACCUAUUUGAAAACUGUAAGGGUGUGUUGGGAUAUUUUACAACUGUCGGAAUCUGGUAGGAUAUUUGCACCAUUUGCCCAAUAUUUUUAGACGUACUCCAACCGGUAUUCAAGAUAAGUAAAAUUUACAAGCGUGGCAAAAAAAAAAAAUUAAAUUCGUAACUUGUAAACGAAUUUUCCUGACAUGUAUAGUAAAUGAAGUUGUUGAUCCUUUCUUUGGAUUAUUUCAGCUCUGGUUGUUGGUCACCGAUGAGCCGAAGUCUUAUUUUAAUUUUAUUUAAACUCAUCAUAAGAUUCGUGGAGCACCUAACUAACUUAACUGACUGCGCAGAUCAUCUCAACAUGGCAUAUUUAACCAUCAUUCAAGUGAUGGGUUUAAUAAGACUGCUUUUGUUCUAUCAACUAUCAAGUUCCUCUGCCUCUAAGCAGAAUUACUAUUGAAGGGCCAAAAGGAAAAUGAAAACGUGUGAGCUCCAACAACCACCCCACAAUGAAUGACGAUGCUCGGAGAGGGUUAGGUUGGGCCUCUGAGAAAAAAAAAUUAUUUUGUUAAAAAGUUACCCUUAUUGAAACCUGUAUAAAAAUUUUAUAUUAAUUAGUUAUGUCGCCUCUUCAACGAUGAUCAAAUUCUUAUCUGAGCUCAUCAUUUAAUGAGUAAACAUGUAUUUUAAUGAUCUCAAUUAAUAUUUAGAACAAAUAUUUUAAGAAGUAAAGCUCAUUAUAUCUUCCAUUAUUAUGUAUUUCUUUAAUUUCUUAUUUACAUAAUUAUAUUGUACAUUAAAAAUGUAUUGAAUUUGAAGAAAAAAAAAUUCAACUCAAAAAAAAAAAAAUGCUGGUAGCUUCGUAAUAAUUACUGUAUUGACUGCACCAGAUAAAGUUUUGUAAAAUAAUAAGUUCUCAUAAGUGGUUUUUCAUUUUUAAUUUUCUUUUCCGGCACACCUGAUCAAGAAUUCUAUUUUGUUAACUAAUCAAUUGCAAAGCAUAAGUGUUUGAACGGUACAAAAAUUUAAAAAAAAUACACUUAAAAACGUGGGGUGGGUAACGGCUCACUCAAAUCGUUAGGUAGAAUUGUGGAAAACUAAAGCGAAAUGAGAAAUAUAGAAAGAAAGGAAGAGGUGAUGUUUUUCUAUGAAUUUCUAUGGGUAACGGCUCACUCAUCCUUCUAUGAAUUUCUAGCUGUAUUGACCCCAACUGCUAAAGUUUUGUAAAAUAAAAAUAAAAUAAAAACUGGAAUUUCAACAAAAAUUCAAAAACGUUUGAAAUUUAAUUUUUGGCCAUGUGGAACAAAAUGUAAAUUAAGUAAAAAAUAUAAAUCUCAAUUGCUUAGUAUGGUUAGGAUUUUGUGAGCAUCACUAAAAAGUGAAAACUAUGAAUGAUAGAGGUGAUGUUUGCAACAUGAAUAAAUGAUGAACUGAAUCAAUUGAUGAUCGUAAUUACAUAAUGAACAAAAUUUACAAAAUCAACAAAAGUUAAUAAAAAAUUAUUUUAAUAAUAAAAAAUCAAUAAAACUUAUUAUUUAAGGGCGCUCUAACCAUGGAAUACCAUAAUCAUAAUCUUCUUUUAAGAAAAUUAUAAACUUAUUAUUUUACAGGAUUGAUCCAUUUGGAAUGAAGUGGUCUCAAGUUGAAAGUAAUUAAUUUAUUGAAUAACUUUCGACUUAUUAAUAGUUAUAUCAAAGGGUGUUUUACCUCAUCAUGUCUUCAAGUGGAAGAUGAAGACUAUGCAAGUGAAUUCAGGAAUAUUGCAUGCCUGUUGUCUAAAGCAUUACCUCACAAGGUUUCAUGAGAAACGAAAGAUGUGUUUGCUUUGAACAAUUAAAGUUACUGCUACGAACCUCCCCAAAGGUCAAGAAGACAGAACAGGAAGCUAAUGCCAUCAAUGUCUUGUUCAUUAUAGCUGCUGGGUAGUUAGGUGUAGUUUCCUCAUUUGAAGCUGUCUAUACAUAGGCAUUUCCCCUGCUUAUGUACAAAUAAAUGAACAACCUUGAAGCUUUAUUAUUCGCAACAAAAAGGGAUUACUAAUUGGAGAAGACAAUACAGAGUUUUCUCUCACACUUUCUCUCUGUCAAUUUCAUCCAGAAGUCCCUCUGAAAGCUUCUCCCAAAACAGUUAGUCAUCUUUUAUGCUCUGUUUUCUGAAAACAGAGUCCUAACUAAAUUAAUUGACUGUACAGUGCAUUUCAACAUAGCAUAUUUAACCGUUUUAACAGUUAUUUGGACCGUCUUCAGAGGUAACAUCAACAAACUCAUUCAUAUGCUUAAUAAUGAACGAAUAGUCUUGGAUCGAUGUUUUGCAGCAAGAGCAACACGACACAAUCUGGAUUCAACCUCCUCCUUUCUAACAGGGGAUUUCGAUUUGAGUUACUUUGUGCUCAAGCAAAUUCACAUCAUAGUUUUGAUUCUUUAGAUAUGAAUUCAUCUCAUUACAUAUAUCAGAUUAAGUGUAACAAAAUUUGUAAUUUACUGCGAAAAGAAUAUGCACUAAAAAAUGAUUUCAAGACUAUUUGACUACAAAAAGCAGCUGUCAGAGUGCACUAAAAAUUUCUGUAGGAUAUUUUGUAGCUGUUUAAUAUGUUAUGAUGGGCAUAUAAUUCUCAAAUUUUGAUGCCUCUCAGCGAAAAAUAUAUCAAAGUUACGGAUGAUAUCACGUAAAACAUGCAUGGCUCAGGCUCAGGCUCAGGUAAGAAAGCCACAGAAAAGGAAAAUCUCACUGUCACGACUCACGUCACGCAUCAUUCAAGUGAUGGAUUUAACAAGACUGCUUAUGUUCUAUCAAAUUCCUCUGCCUCUCAGAAGAUAACUUUUCUGGGCCAAAUUUCUCAUCUAAAGCAUAUUAUGCCCCAAAGUCACAGAUAACAAAAUGGGGCACUACCGAUUAUGAAAGAGAACUAGUAGUUGUCAGAAGCCUAAGCCAAAUUCCGGUAGUAAGAAGAGGCCUUUCUUGAGUUUAGAUUAUGUGUUCGAGUUUUAAUAAAUGCCUAAGUUAAUAAUAAUAACAACAGUAAUAAUAAACUAAAAAGCAUAAUUACUAUUGAAUGGUAAAAAAAAAAAAUGAAAAUGUGUGAACUCCAAUAACCACCCCAGUGGCGAAUUUUGGAGAGGGCUAGGCCGGGCUUCUUAGAAAUUAUUUUUAUUUAAUUACAAAAUCACCUUUACUGAAACCUAUAUAAAAUUUUUUAUAUUAAUUAAUUAUGUUGCCUCUUCAAUUAUCAUUAAAUUCUUGUCCGUUCAUAAUUUGAUGGACAAAUGUGUAUUUCAAUAAUUUCAAAUAAUGUCUAGAACAAAUAUUUUGAAUUAUAAAACUCAUUAUGUCCUGCAUUACUAGAUGUAUCUAUAAUUUAUUAUUUACAAAUUAUAUUGUAUGAUAAAAAUGUAUUGAAUUUUUUUUAAAAAAAAAGUUCGGCUCACUCAGAAAAAAAUGUUAUUAGCUUCGCCACUGCACAAAUCUAGAAUAAUAAUUAUUCCUUAUUAUAUUGACUGCACCAAGCAAUAAACUAAUAAGUUCUCAUCAGUGGUUUUUAAUCUUUUUAAUUCUUUUUACCGCACACCUGAUCAAGAAUUUUAUUUUGUUAACUAAUCAAUUGCAAAGCAUAUAUAAGUGUUGAACGGUACACAAGAUUGGAAAAAAAAAUCUUAAAAAACGUGCGGAUUCGGGUGGCCACACCAGAAAUCUAUUACAAUAAUUAGCUUUGAUGCUGGGAAUCUUUUAAUUUCUGGCCGUAUUGAAGUUUUUAAAAUAACAAGUUCCCCUUCUCGUUUUUUUUUUUUUUUAAAAUAUAUAUGCUUAUAACAAUUUUAGAAUAAUGAUUCAUUUGUAGAAGAACUUAUGAUUUCCCAUUAAUAUUAAUAUUGAAGUGGGGUGGGUCAAAUCUCAAUUGCUUGAAGAAUUUAUGUAUUAUUAAAUAUUACCAUCCAAGGUAGAAUUGUGGAAAAUUAAAGCAAAAUGACAAGUAUGGAAAGGAAGGCUGAAAGUAAGGCAUGACGAAAGGCUUUGAGAAGGCUGAAGACUACCAAAGAAGUCAACUGAAAACUAGCUGGGGCCUGAGUGUAUAAAUUGUUAGAUGCGUUUGUUAUAAAUAACAUAGAGCCCUUUUGUUAUUUAUAGUUAUAGAGAAAGAGAGAAUGUGUGUUUUUUAAUAGUUAGAGAUAUAGCUAGAAUGGGUUGCUCAAAAUCCAAAAUAGUGACAAUGUUAGUUCUCGUAUUGAUAAUAUUGGGGGGGGGGGGGGGGGGGGGGGGGGGGGGGGGGGGGGGGGGGGGGGGGGGGGUGUUGGGAGGUCGAGUGAGGGAUGUUUGGAGCAUGAGCAAUUUGAUCUUUUGCGGCUUAAACAUUUCUUCAAUUAAUAUCGAUCUGGAGAGUGGUAUCUGAAUGCUUCUCUAUUUACUUCCUUUCAACAACUUGGUAACAAAAUAGCCGGCUGCAUGCGUUGAGAAUGAAGGUGCUUCAUUUAAUUUAAUUUACUUAAUUUCUCCCUCCUAAUUAAUGUCUAUAAUCAUUAGGAGGAACAAGGGAUUUUAUUAACUCAAAUAUAUCUAAUGGAGCUCAUUCUUUGGUUUUACUUGCAGGGCUAGAAGCAGGUGUCAUCUAACAGCUGCUUUGAUAAUUUCCCUCCCCUUCAUCUUUGAUGGAAAGAUGAAAUAAAAACAAAUUGGUGAAAAUGGUAUUGGUACCUGAGGCUAUGUAAUCUAAUUCAAAAACUGCACCAUCAAAACGAUUACAUAAGUCUCAGAAGAAUCAAAUAUCAGUUUGCAAAAUAUCAAUUGCUGGAGGUUUGAUUCUAACUUCCGCUCUUCAUUUUUAUGGGCAUAUUGUGUUGUACUUGCAUCCGAAAAUCAUAUUUUAGUUUACUUGCACUCAAUGCUUGGAUUAAAGUUUUUUUUUGGGGGGGGGGGAUUGAAGAAGACUAAAAUUACACCAAAAAAGAGUUGAGCGAGAGCGGGUUUUGUCUUCAUUUAAGGAGCUCUUUAUAAAUUUUGGGAUUUUUUUCCUGAGAAAAUUUAUGCCAACUCAUUCUUUGCUUCUUUUCUGAAGGGACACAUGCAACCGAAAGUAUAUUCUUGAAUUCUCCAGGAUAAGAGACAUACGUUUAGAUUCUGGAGCAUUUAAAAACAAUGUCAAAUUUUAGAUUGCUGAAAUUUUAUAUAUCCGAGUAUGAUGGUGUUCCAAUUAUAAGCUCCAGGGUGCAACUUCACUGAGGUUUAGAAUGCCUUCCUAUAGAAUUGAGAAAUCUCCAUUGGCAUAAAUAUCUUUUGAAAAUACUGACAUCAGAUUUUGAAUUGGAGAACCUGAUUGGACUCAGCUUGCCCUGUAGUAAGGUUAAGCAAAUUUGGAAAAGAGAAAAGGUAUAAUGUAUUACUAUUACCAAAGUAUCUAUUUUUCUUUCUUUAAGUAUUUAUAAUGAAUAACUUUGAAAUUCAAUGAUGCUCAUUUAGUAUAGUUAUGUAUCUUUGGUUAUAGGAAGCUGUCAAGUUAAAAUCUAUAGACCUUCACCACCCCUUUAUCUCAAUAGGAUCCCAGAAAUACUAAAUCUUAAAAAAAUAAAUCUUUCAAAUUGUGAAAGCAUGCUUACGUUACCCCCGUAUAUCCACAAUUUCAACUAGCUGAGUAUGUUGUGUUUCAGGGAUGCAAAAUUCAUUUUGUUUCUCAUGAAAGGAUUGACUUGUCCGGAUGUAUUAGGGUUAGUAAACCAACUAAUCCCAUAAUUUGUUGAUGUAGGGUCCUAACAAAUUAUUGCAGUAGAUUGUAGAUCAGUACACUAUUCGAAAACGUAUUUGAUCCACACAGUGAAGUGGAUAUUGGACCAAUUUGAUGAUAAUGAAUUUCUUUCAAUCUCAAUCUUUUUUCUUUUUAGCAACAUGACUAGUCAUUGUGCAAAUUCAAACUCUGACAAUAAUUUCUCAAUCGGUUUCUAAGAUGAUGACCAUGCAUGUAUAUGUAUAUGCGUGUGUAUAUGUGUGUGUGUGUAGAGAGAGAGAGAGAGAUCACACGUGUGUGAUUUCCUUUUGCCAAUAGGAUAUGCAGAGAGCUUGAUCUUACCCAAUAGCGAAACAAACUUCCUAAUAAGUGAAGGUAUAGUAUAAAUACUUAUACUUUCAUGUUAUUUUGUUCAUCAGUAGCUUGAUUAUUUUAUAUGCGUCUUCGAUUUUAAUUUUCUUUCCCUAUAAUCGCUAUUAUCUUUGAACUGGUCAUAAUUUGCCCAUAAGAUUUCUCAUGUUGUUUUGAGGUGCAACGGAUUUUGAAUUUAGUGACAAGCAGUGGAAGCCAGAAGGCAAAUUAUGAAAAUGGAUAAAGAUCUAUAAUUAGCUGUUAUGGGAUGUCACAUAUCAUAUUGAUGGUAACGUUAUAUAUAUGUACAUAUAAUUAAUGGGGUUGGCUCACGAGCCCAUUAAUAAUGGUAUAUUAGCUUAUAUACUUCAAACAAUGUACUAUGAAGCAAUUUCACAAAUACUUGUUAGCUUAUGUUGAGCUUUAUUGAAUCAGUAGUUCACAGUUCAAUAAAAUGCAGGUUUGCUAUUUGAAGUACAUGGUUAUGGUGCGUACAUUCUUCAUAAGGCUAACUACUAAUUUAUCAUUGAAACUUGAAAAAUGUGAUAGAGAGAUGUAGAUAACAGCCGCAAAACACUGAGAUUGAAAAUCAGGGCUACUAAAUUCUAUUAAAAGUCCUUAAAAUAGACAGCGAUCACCCUGAAAUGUAUAUACUGAAACUAAGAAAUAUUAAUCGCAAAGUUAUGCAUUAAUAGAACUAUUGACUACUUAUCUUUAGCAUAAAGUAUAUUUUUAACUACAGCUUUCUGCUUUGUUCUAAGAACUAGGCAAAAGUGGUGUAUCUUCAAUCCAAUCAACAUAUAUACCACUUAUCUUCCUCUUCACUUCUGUCUAUUUUGAUUUGCACUUCAUAUCCUGCACUUGCUGCUUAGAAAUAGUCUUUAUUCUGGACAUUGAAAGUAGAAAAAGUACUUGAAACAAUCAUUGGCACAGCCCGAGAUUCCAUUGAAUCGUGGACUCCAAGCUUUCAUAGUUCUAUAAAGAAGAUGACAAAACUUCAUACAACUGGCAUUCUGCUUUUAACAUUUGCACAACCUGAGCGAGUUAGCAAGCCCCUUGUUGCGUUCCCAUUGAAUAGACCUACUUCUGUUAUCCGCAGAAGAUCCACCACUCAAAAUGUUUAUCACCAGGCUAUUCUUAAACUGAGCCUAAACUGAGUAGAAACUUCCGCACAUCUCUCAGCAUUUACAUGAAGAAAUCGACAACUAUCCUCAUCUCUCAGCACAUCUCUCAGCAUUCUACAAAGUUGCAUUUCACUAAGCAAUCUAUCCUCUCCAUUCCUAGCAAAGUGACAUUGAUUCCCGUAUUUGUAAUCGCCUAACUUGGGUUUUGGGCAUAGCGUGGUCUUAAAAUUACCACCCAAUACUUUGUUCAGUGCCACUGGCAUCCACAAGCUCUAGCCCUGUUAGUUGAAUCAUAUUCAAUGGGACAGUGAGGCAGCAUUUCACUAACAUAUUCAAUUUGACUACUUAUAUUGACGCAAAUAUUAGAAUUUGAAAUCACUUCUUUUAUUGGAAUAUUAUAUUAAUAUGACCCCAAAUGAAAGUUCUUGAAUGGAAAUGAUUUUUAUUUACUUUUCGAACAGAUUCAAGAAAACCCAGAGAACACAAAAUUUACACAGUAAUAUGAUUAAGAGCUGAGAACGUAUAUGUAGUAAAUGUCUAUCAAAAAACACCCAAGGGUUUCUUUAAAAUUAGUAACUAGUAAACAAAAAGAAAGAAUCAUUUUACAUUUUUAGCAACUUUGGGGUGAGUGAGUGAGUGAGAAAUUGAAACCCUCAAGUGAUGACAACAGUAAGAUUCAGUAUGAAGUGAAACCCCAAUUUGAAAUGUAGGCAUGAGUUGCUGAGUCAGUAGAUGAAGCUAUAAAUAGGCAUUCGGUUUCCUUCUUUUCGGUUUGGAGGGCCAUGGAAUAGUGUAUUGGAGUGGGCUCCAAGUAAUAGCCUCUAUCACUGGAACGACACAUCUAUAAAAUGUGAUACAUGGGGAAGGAUUGGGCAUUUUAUUCUUAGAUUAGCCCCUUAUUUAGGGUGUAUAUUAAGCAGAUUAUAUAUUACAUGGAGAUGGAGUUUAUGAAAUAGAUUAAAAAGAAAAGGAAAUUUUGGUGCCUAAAGUUUGCCACUUGGAAUAUUUCGGUGUCUAAAAAUUCACUCACCACUUAUUUCAUGUUUGAUUAUAUGUUGAAAAGAUAUUAAAAUAGUAUAAUGCUAUUAAGGCUUAACGUAUAUUUUUUAUUAGUAGAGUGUAGAAUUUUUAAGAAAUAAAUUAUUAAAUUAUUAUAACUAACAUAUUAUUUUAAAGUUGUGUUAUGAAAAAAAUGAAAUAAAAAUGUACAGUAAAUAAGAAUAUUUUAAAACUUUUAUCUUUUUAAAAUUAGUUUUUAACAUAAGGUGAACUAUUUUUUUUUUUAAAAUCACAUAUUCUAGUUAAAAUCAAAUAUGUAUUUAUACGAAGCUUGUAAAUUUUUUUUUUAGUACUGAUAUUUGAAUAUUAUCAAUAAAAAAAAGGGUAAUGUUCAUGCUGCAUUAUUUUUGUAGCACACAAAAGGACAACACCGUUUAUGUUAUAAUACUAUCGCUUCUGUUAUGAUAAUUUUUUUUGUGGCCAAAUAUCUUUUUUUUUUUUAAGUAAAAAAAAGUGGACAAAAUGCAAAUCAGUUUUUAAUCCUCAAUCUCUCCCAAAAUAUAUAUUUCGGUGUCUAAAAAUUCACUCACAAAACUAUAGCUGACAAAAAGUUACUAACAAAAAGUUAGGUCCAUGGGUUGUUAAAACUAUAGCUGACAAAAAGUUACUAACAAAAACAGAAUGUCCAUUUUAUAACUUUCUUAAAAAACUUUCCUUAACUUUUUUAAACAAAAAGUUAUUUCCAAUUUUUAUUUUGUUAUAAUGUUUAUAACAAAAUUCGUAGUUAACUAAACUCUUCUUAUACCCUUUCUCAACUGCCAUACCCUAACCCACUAAACCACGCUCAAUUAAGGCCAUCAGAUUCUCCCGGGCCCACAUUAAUCCAACUGCUCACAGAGACCGACAGCCUCUCUAUCUCCAUUUCAAGCUCCCUCUUCAACUGGCUUCUGCUACCGUCCUACUCUUUCUCGGCUUCGGAGUCCGUAUUUGCUCGGCCUGUCCCACGAAGCUCCCUCUCACUCCAAUUGUCGCCCCACAAGACCAAUUGCUUAAUCAAGACACCGAACAAGAAAAGGAUGAGAAGUUGAAACAAGAAUUUGAGAAUUGGAAAUAAAAAACGUACGCAUUGACCGUGCCUUUGAGAGUCGUUUCUCUUCAGAACUCAGUGCCUCAAUCUUGGGUUAAGGAUUUUAUGCGAAGUCAGGGAAAGAGAUUGAAGUUUCAGAUGAAUUUGUGUGCUAGCAUUGAUGGGAUCUUUAACAAUUUAUCUGUGCCCUUUAACAAAGUUAAGGCUAAGUCAGCUUCUUAUAUGGCUGCUGAUUUGGUUAGUGUUGGUGAUUCAUGGCUUAGUUUUGCCAUUAAAAAGAGAUUGAUUGAGCCAAUGGCUGGAGCUGAAGACCAAGAUUGGUUCAAAUGCUUAAGUCACAAAUGGAAGGUAACAUCUUUGUCUUUGAUCCUCGAGGUAAAAUAUGGGCGGCACCGUACAGGUGGGGCACAACGGUGAUAGCCUACAAGAAAAGUAAAUUUCGAAAGCAUAAUUUGGCUCCGAUUGAGGUAAUAAUUUUCUUUAAACUCAUUUAGUUUUAUAUCAAACAAAAUCAAGACUGCCUUUCUCUUCAAUAUUUUUUAUGAUAAUAUCUUUAGAAGCAUCUCAUUGACGGGUAACAAUGGCAUCCCUGAAAGAGUCUAUAAACUCAAUGAUAUUAUCUUCUACAAAUGGUUCAUUAAACUUUGUCGUUGUACUCAAAUGUACACUCAGAUCAAUGAGAAGCUAUGCUACGUUAGCAUGUAGUGAUGGCACUUAAUAAGUGAGUUGCUAGGAUGUGAACUAGAAAAAUUAAAUAUUGUCUCCUUGGGUAUGCUAGCUGGUAAGUCAGGGUUAAUAUCAGAGCUUAAGAUAGUAUAACCGUGAGAACCUAUUGACUGCCAAUUAAAAUAUCCAUUGAAAUGUCUAGGGAGUUAUGAAGGUGGAGGUAACUUCCAAUUUCUAAGGCCACAGAGUAGACAUCAUCCAGGAUCCUAGGAAAGUCCAGUUAACCUCCUGCUCGAUGCAAUUAAUAAAUUUGGUCAAUGCCACUGAAACCUGCUAACUGACGUCACAAUGCGACAUGAGCACUUCAAAAUGGGACAGACGGUCAGUAGCACUAAAUUUUUCUUGCCCAAGAUUGAGCAAUUGGUCUAACUACUAAUCCCUAUUGUAGGUUGAUCAUUAUUUUUUCAAUUAUGUUCAGUUUGACCCAAAAAGUUGCAGAAUCUUGAGCUAAAUAUUGUCACUGAACACUGUCAAUGUCAUUUAGCAUAGCCAACUAACUUGAUGUUAAAACAAACACACAGUGUGUCUCAUGUCUCACAAUUCAAAUUAUCAUCUGUAAUGUUGGAGAAUUUUUCCAAUGUAUGAAGUAUGCUUUGAUACGUGGGUUACCUUGGAGAAGAUAUCUCAAAAUAAAGAAUAUGGGGAGAAAACAGUUCAGUAGUUUAUUAUUCUGUAGUCAAGUUUUGUCUCGAAAAUGGUCAAAAUUUAAAUGAAUAAGGACAGGGGAUCUUCAUUCUUUUUUCCCUUUUUUAUACCAAGAUAUCUCUCAACCUUUAUAUAAUCCCCACUGGAUAUCUGCUUCUAAUAAUUAAAAUAAAAAUUUCACCGCUCUAACAAUAAAAAGUAACAUCUUUCCUCAAAUAAUUUACAGUUCCUCAUCAUCUUAGUGUGAGAAUAUCAGUACAUUCCAAAAACAUAAUAAAACUGGUUUGAUCCUGUUUAUUGAUGUUUAAAUGUUGUUCAUUGUGACAGGUAGAAAUGAUGAGGCGAAGUUUAUUUGGACAUCAAUUAGUAAGAUCUUGUUUGAAGUUGUUUUCUGAAAUGAACUGCCAAAUGGUAGUUUUUUGGGGGCAUUUGAUGGCUCUUUUUUUUUCCUCAUUUUCAACAUGUGCCUGCUUGGAACAUGAAGGAUUAGGCUGCAGAGUUGUUAUAUAUUUUGAGAUGCUCUGGUCAUUGCACAAUUUGUUCACACUGGAAAUUAGAAUGAGAAAUUUGUUGAUGCUGUUUUGAGAGAUCUGCAUUCUAUGCACAAUAACAUGAUUAAUGAAAAUGCAUUGUAGGACUGGAAAGAUCUGUGGCAGCCUGAGCUCGCAGGAAGAAUUUCAAUGGUUAAUUCUCCCCGAGAGGUUAUUGGUUCAGUUUUGAAGUAUAGGGGAACAUCAUACAAUUCAAACUAUAUUGAUUCGCAAGUUGCUGGUGGGAAGAUUGCUGUUCAGCAGAAUCUGGCAUUACUGGCAAACCAGGUACUCUUACAGAAAUCAUAUCUGGUCAUUGCAUGUUAUUGCCUGACAACUGAUUUUGUUUGUAAAAGUCUGCUUCUUCAUACAUAUGAAUGCAUAUGUUAGUGUUUUCUUCUCCUUUUCAUACAUAUAAAUGCAUAUGUUAGUGUUGUCUUUUCCUUUUCACACAUAUUAAUACAUAUGUUGGUGUUCUCUCCUGAGAUGGAUGCAAUAAAGGCUUUUGCUCCUAAAUUUAGCUGAAGAAAUGGCAAGGGAUGUGAGAUUCUGUCUCAUUAAAUUAACAAAAACCCAAAACAAUGAAAAUCCAUAAUAAUGUGGUGUGGGUAAAUUGGCUCCAUUUGGUUCGUUUCCUUAAUGUGAAUGCGCGAGCAAUAGAGACUAACAAAAUGAAGUGACAACAAGAAGUCAGUGUCCUUUGAUGGAUGCAUUUUUAGGCAGAAAUAUGUUUGUAAUUGACCAAAUUUGUCUGGCAUGCCAAUUUCAAAAAAAUUAAAUUAUGUGGUUAUUAGCUGUAAUGAAGGGGGAUAGUAGGUGCAAUCAGGUGUAUCCAGGAAAGUUCAACAAAGUUUUGGUAUGGCGUAGUGAAAUUGGUUUGUGCAACUCAGGAGUCUUUCAGGUGAACGAUGAUAGGUUUUGAUUUAUGAAUAUUAUAAAUCUACUGUGCAUAGUAUUCUAGUAGAAUCAUCUAUAAGUUCUAGUUAUUGUAUACUUUGCCUGGUUUGAGUUAAGGGCACAUGUAAUAUGAAAGAUAGUUGUCGCAUCUUUUAGGUUACCUAACAUUUGAUCAAUCCUAUUAUGGGGGCUUCAAGAUGUCUAACAAUAUGUAGAAUGCCCAUGCUCCUCCCCAUUGUUUAUCUUCUACAAUAAUUUGUUUUAGAUGCUAAUAUCUUUGUCGAUACCGGUAACAAUAUUACAAUAUCUGCGUUUAUUGGGUUUUACAUAGGUUCGACUGUUUGACAGUACACACUAUCUGAAGGCAUUUGCAAUUGGAGAUGUAUGGGUUGCUGUUGGGUGGAUUAGUGAUGUUCUUCCUGCUGUCAAACAUAUGUCUAAUGUUGCUGUUGUUGUUCCCAAGUCUGGUGCUAGCUUAUGGGCUGAUCUUUGGGUAUACCCAUGCCUGCCAUUCUACUUCAAUAUUCACAUUGUUAUCUCCUUCAUAUUAGUGAUCAGUAAACACGAUAAUGUGACUAAUAAGUUCGUAUUCUCUUUAUAGGCAAUCCCUGCUGCCUCAAGACUUGAAACAAAACAAAUUGGAGGGCGAGUCAGAGGUGCAUUUCCAUUAAUCCAUCAAUGGAUAGAAUUCUGCUUGCAAACAGCGAGAGCAUUGCCUUUCAAGCAAGAGGUUAUCCCGAGCGCAUCUCCCUCUGCCCUUGAGAGUACUCUGGUUAAGUUGCCUGAAGAACUUUUCAAGGGUAAACCAAGUCUGGAUACUAACUUAAUUGCUGGAGUACCCCCGACUGAAAUUCUGGCCAGAUGUGAGUUUUUGGAGCCUUUAUUUGAAGCUACAUUGUCGGAUUAUGAGUGGCUGGUUACUAAUCUGCAAAAAUCCACUCCUGUACUGAUCAACAAGAUGCAACAUUACAUGUCAUCAUUGAUCUUUAGCUAAAGGUACAUUGAAAAGUUAAUGGCACUGCAUACCAGUCAUUAUAAUUGGGUCAGGGCAAUUAGGUCAGAGCAUAACUUCAUUAGGAAAAGAUGCUUCAGCUACGUUAAAUAUUACAGGAUGUACUGAGAUGGCUGAAGCUGUUGAGGUUUUACGAGAAUCGAAAGAUAGUGUUUGUUUGAACAAAGUUGUUGCCAAUCUUGCAGAGUUCGAGAAGAAAGAUCACGAAGUGAAUGCCACCGAUUUCUUCAUCAUUGUAGCCUCCAUAGUUGAAGUUUCCUCAUUUGAAGCUGUUUAUGCAUACGAUUUUCCCCUGCUCAAGUACAGGAAAUUGAAGAAUUAACCAGAUGUGAUAUGCUGAAAGAGGGAAGUUUUCUUCCUUGAAUGUGGUCUUUGUGAUUUGUCUUGAAGGAAUAGGGUGAUCACUGGCAAGAACCCUAUCAAGGUAGAUUUUAUGAUGUUAACAUAUCAUUAAGCAUUUUGUUACAUCAGCAAUGAUGCUUUCAUAGCAGCAUGAAAGUGUUUAAAUUUAACUGAAUGAUCUUGAUUGAUCAAUUAUGAGUUUUAAUCGAGUAAAAACUAAAUACAAUAAUCGUUAACAAAUAUUGAAAUUGGGUAAAUAUGAUCUUGAUAUUGAAGAAUUUGAAAUCACAACCCACACAGGAAAUCACCCUUCGCGUGGGGAUGGAGAUGUUUACUGCAGCGAUAUUGAAUAUGUCCACCGCUCUUUGGGUUAUGGUGCGACUUGCCCUGAAACAAUGGAAAAGAAUAAUUAAUAAUUUAACGCCAAGACAUAAAAUUAAAACGUGUGGACUCCGGUAGCUGCCCUACAAGUCUACAACUCUACAAACAUUAACUCUACAAACAUUAAAACGUGUGGACUCCGGUAGCUGCCCUACAAGUCUACAACUCUACAAGAAUAAUUUCUAGCCCUGUUGACUCCACUAACUAAAGAAAUUUCAAAACGUACAUAGAAUUCCACAACAAGCAAAACGUAUGGAAUUUAAUUUUUUGCCGUGUGGAACAAAAUACAAUUUAACAAAAAAGGAUAAGAAAAAUGGUAAGAUUUCUAAAAUGAGUGGAAGGUGAUUCAUAUUUUACUGAAAUGACUUGUCCUGAACAUUAAGACGAUUGAUUUUUUUUUUUUUUUAAUAACAUCAACUUCCAUAUCUUUCUAACCCCUAGAAUAUGCUCACGUUCAAGUCUAUCUUGGUAAUUUGAAAAAGAAAAUCAAAUCAAAUCAACACCAAAACAAUGAAAAGUAAAACUUUUGAAUUUCAACUUUAAACUUUUGUUAACCCCUAGAAUAUUCAGCGUUUUCAAAUUCUUCCGAUUGCAUAUCUUCUUCCUCCAUCAAUGCAAUAUUUGAACGAUUAUGAAAGAGUUUAAGAACAUAAAAAAUCUCCAAGGUUUAUACGGUAUAACAAAUUUAAAUUCUCAAUUACAAUAGAUAAUAAUUAAACUAAUAAUUUUUUAUGUACUUAUUUUAGUAAUUUCACCUAAGAAUAAUAUUGUAAUUAGAAAAAAAAAUCUAAUAAGUAGGGUGGUCUUAUACAAAAUCAACUGUACUGUGAUGAGUUUCCUUUUGUUAAUAAUUUUAGUCUAAUUUCAAUUGUACUGUGAUCGCUUCUCAAGGUAAGUGAAAGUUACAGAUGUGGCAAAAUAAAUAAUUAAGUUAACAAAAUGCUAACUAAUUUUCCUCAAUACCUAGGGUUGUACAAUUUCACCAACCUGGAAGAAUUGACAUUAAUGGACUGGUCUCCUCCCCAUAUAAUUAUAAUCCUUCUAGAAAGCUAUUUUUUAUUAAAUAUUUGCUUUUAAGUUAAUUUCAAUUAAAAAAUGUUUUAAGUUAUAUAUACUCUAAUGAGAUUCUGAAUUCCUUUAUUCCAAUAAUAAUGAAAACGUAUUAAAUUAGAAAUGAAAAAAUUGGUGUUGAUGAUUCAACCUAUUUGGAUAGAUUACGUGAAUAAAAUUAAAAUUUUGAUUUAAUUUUUGUUUAUUGUUAAUUCUCAGGCUAUCUUAAUUUCAAGAAUUUAGAAUGUUAAUUUGGUCAUGGAUUUCAACCCGUGAGUGUCAUAUUCUAGACUUAAUGGUACCAUUCUUUGAUUGAGGGCAAUGACUCUCACUCCUCUUGUAAAAAAAUAUUUUCAACUAUUUUGAUGACUUAAAAAUUGAUAGAUUUAUUGUUGUCAUGACCAAAUUAUUCAUUUUAAUGAAAUAUAAUUAAUGCAUCAAAGUUACCAGGUUUAUGUUCUAUCUUAAUGCGCUUUUUUUUUUUUCAGUUAUAGCUUCUGCUUACGUCUGUUUCAUUUUUUUUAAUAAAAAAACAAGGGAAGGUUUUUCCGAGUCAUCCAUUAUUUGAUUUCCGUCAAUCAAGAAAACGACCAAAUUAAUUUCUCUCCAAAAUUUCCAAAAGCUAGAAAAUUUUGUUAUUUGAAAAUAACAUGAUUAAUUAUAGAGUGGAUCAAACCGCGUUAUUGUCUUUCAUAAAAUUGAUGUCUUUUUAAGAGUCAAUACUUUUUAUUUACGCAAACCAGUCGACAUCAAUUUAAACUUCCAUAUUUUUAUUAUUAUUAUGUUAUUUAUUUUAAUCGCCGAUUAUUUGAUUAGCCACUAUAUAUAUCAAGAAAGCGACAAAAUUUAUUUCUCAUGACUUCCAAAAACUAGAAAAACAACAUCAUUUAUUAUUUUUUUGCAACCCUAAUUGACAUCAACUUUAACUUUAUUAUGUUAUUAUUUCAAUCCCCAUUAUGACCUUUCUAAUCCUCCAUUAUGCAUCUUUUAUAGUGCAAAUUUAAUUGCACAUCUAAAUAAAUUGAUUAUUGUUACUCCACCACCAAUAUUUCAAAUAGUCACUAGACCAUUUCUGCCUUUAAUUUUCCCUUAACUAUUGACUGUUUUUAGCAUCUUAAAAUAUACAUUUAUUCCUUGAUUAUGUGAUAAAAUUAUGAAAAUAUCCAUUUUAGCUUAAAUUAAUUGGAAUAACCAUAAGCGUAACAUAAAUUAAUAGAACAAAAUUAUCAAGUGUAUGUUCUAUCUUACUUUUUGAAGAAUUUAACAUAUAUAAUGCUAUACUAUUAAUAAAUUUUUCAUUUACUAUAUAUGUUCACAUAUUUUAUAUAUUUAUUAAUUGUUAUAUAGUCACAGGAUGAAUGAUUUUUCAGGUCUACAUGAGUUGGUGCACAUGCAAGACUCAAUUUUGACAACAAUGAUCUAAGGGGUAAUUUACCUUGGUGUUUGACAAACAUAACCUCUCUUCAUGAUUUACUUCCAAUCUACUUACUGUAAAUAUCUCCUCAUCUCCUCUCAUUUAUAUGAUAAGUGAUAACCCUUGAAGAUCUCACAUUUUCAAACGAUCAUAUUAGGGUUUUUAUUAUUAGCAUCAUUGUGUCAACAAAAUAUAUGUUGCAGUAAGAUUUUUUCAGACCAAUUCCCUUCUUCAAAUAAUAAUGGAAAAGUAUUAAUUUAAAAAUAAAAUGAAUAUGCAUUGAUUAUAUCCUGAUUUCCAUCGAUUAUAGCGAGAGUUUCUCCGAAUCAACUCCCUUAUUCAAAUAAUACAGAAAAAAUAGUAAUUUAAUAGUAAAAUUAGCAAGUGUUGAUUAUAUAUCCUAAGUUUCAUCGAUUAUGUGAUCAAAGUGGCAUUGUUGAUUUAUUUCUUGUUCAAUGUUAAUUUUUAGGUUAUCUAAAUUUCAAGGAUUUAAAAUCUUUGUUCAUGGAUUACACGCUUAUUAAUUUUUCUGCCAUUGACUGUCAUAUUCUAGACUUAAUGGUACCUUCCUUGAUCAAGGAUAAUUACUCUAUGUUCUCCUCUUAUAAAUUCCUCUUCCAUUAACAUCACUAGGAGUAUGUUGAUCUCUCAGACGUUAACUUUAGUGGAGAGUUUCCAAAUUGAUUGUUACAAAACAACACAAAAACUAGACACACUUGAUCUGUCUAAUAAUUCUCUUUCGAUAAAAUUAAUUAAUUUUAGGGGAAUAUUCGACCAACCUCUAUAAUUUCAUAUUGAUCAUUAAUUAAUUAGACGAAAAAAGUACUUGUGCUUUUGUGGCGACAAUUGAACUAGAGAAGUGAAGCUGUAAAGAUUUGGCAGUAGUAAAUUGUUAGAAAGACAUAAAGACAAUUUCCCAUUUUAUAAUUUUUUCAAAAAACUUUUUUACAACACAUGCACCUGGCCAAAAAUUUUAUUUUGCUAACUAACAAUAAUUGAGUAGCUGACCGUAUUGACUCCGCCUACUUGCUAAAGUAAAAAAAUAGAAAUAGAAUUUCCACAAAAUGUCAAACAUGUAAAAUCUAAUAUUUGCAUGUGGAACAAAAUACAAAUGAAAAAAAAAAUAGAAAAAAGGCCUAAGACUUUUAAAAUGUGUGGAAAUCUUUCGGCCCUUUUAUAAUGGUGUGUUUUUCAAAGGAACAACUAAUAAUAAUGACACUUCUACGGUUUGUUUUGAUAAUUACACAUAUACUCUUUAAUUUGAUAAAUGGUUACACAAAUUUUGUUUACAAAAAUAUAUUAUUCAUGUUCUGUAUAUUUUUUAACAUCAUAUUUUUAUUUAUUAUAAUUGUUUAAAGUUAAUUGUUAGGUUGAUAUAUAAUAAAAACGUAUAAUCGUUCUCUUACUAAACACACAUACUCGUAGUUUCUAUCCAUUUGUCAUCUCAAUCUCUCUCAUUUAUCCUUUCUUGAUAGCUCAAAACGCGUCACUGUGGAAAAUAAUAGCAAAACGACAAUAUGGAAAGAAUGGGAAGAAAAUUAAUGCAUGAAAGAGUUGCAGAAGACAACCAAAUAAGUCAACUAUACGCUAGUUGGGUGUAUAAAUUGUUAGAUGUGUUAUAAACAAAUAGCAUAGAGCCUUGGUUGGUUACAGAGAUAGAAAAACUGUGUGUGUUUUUUAGAACUUAAAGAUACAGUUAGAAUGGGUGGUUCAAAAUCAAAAAUGGUGAUAAUGUUUGUUCUGUUAUUAAUAAUAUUAGAAGGUGGGUGGAGUGAAGGAUGUUUGGAUCAUGAGAGAUUUGCUCUUUUGCGACUCAAACAUUUCUUCGAUGAUACUGGUAGUUAUUUUUACUACUGGGCAGAUGGUGAGGGAGCUACUGAUUGUUGUCAGUGGGAAAGGGUUGAGUGCAGCAACACCACAGGCCAAGUGAUAGUGCUAGACCUUUUUGAAACGUAUUUGGGAGAGUACAGCUGGUAUCUGAAUGCUUCUUUGUUUACUCCCUUUCAACAACUUGAGUCACUUGAUUUAUAUGGCAACAAAAUAGUCGGUUUUGUUGAGAAUGAAGGUACUUCGUCUAAUUCAAUUAAUUUACAUUUCGCUCUCCUAAUUUAAGUCGAAUAUCAAGACUGAGCAGCUAUAUGCAUAUUCAUUCAAUUGACAAUUUUUACAUAUUUUUUAAAAUGUUUAAUUUUGAAAUUACACCAAACAUCAUAUGUGGUUUUGAUUUUACUUGCAGGUCUAGAAAGAUUGAACAACUUGAAGAGGCUUGAUUUAAGUUAUAACUUGUUCAACAAUAGCAUCUUAUCAUCUGUGGCUCAUCUUUCUUCACUAACAUCAUUAGAUUUAUCUGGAAAUAGAUUGGAAGGAAGUAUUAAUGUUAAAGGUACGUAAUUAAAACGUCAUCGCUUCUCUCAACUCUUUCAUUAACAUGCUAAAAUAAGAUUCAAGGCUUUGAAUUCAUUUUUUUUUAUGAGUAAAUAUUAGAAAAAUAGUUUUAAGCAAUUCAUAAAUACAAUUUUCAAUGUUUCUCAUAAUUUCAUCUUGUACUUUCGUAUGUCUUGACUUUAAGAUUAAAAAAAAAAAUUACUCUAACUGUGAAGCAAAUACCCCAUGACUAAUUUAUCAUUUCGUCCAGUUAAAAAUGAUAAAAUUUAUCAUUUGUUUAUAUUGAUUAAUUAACUCUAUUUUAAGUCUUAAGUCUUGGCGUCUUGGCAUAUUUGCAGAAUUUGAUUCCUUGAGCAACUUAGAGGAGUUGGACAUGAGCGACAAUGAAAUAGACAAUUUAGAGGUUCCUCAAGGUAAACAAUUAAAAUAUUAUUCAAUUACAUUAAUUUAAUUCGUUUGAUUAGGGAAGACCCAAAAGGUACAAAAUAUAAUAAUAAUAAUAAAGAAACAGAGAAUCUAUAUUAUUUCAAAAAAUAAAACGUAAUACUAUUAUUUCAAAAAUAGAUUGUAAUAAAGAUUUGAUUCCGGUUCUUUAAUCUUUACAGCAAUUGAAAAACGAUGUUGCUCUUUUCCUGAAGCAUAAAAUAUGAAAUGACUCCCAAUACAAUUAAUCAUUUAUUUCGUUUACUCUAAAAUUAGACAAUGAAUCUUUAUUUUCUUCAGUCUUAUCCUAAUUAUUAUUAAUAACAGGUUACAAAGGUUUGAGGAAGUUGAAUUAUCUUGAUCUAUCGAAUGUUGGAGUUAGAGAUGGAAGCAAGUUGUUACAGUCAAUGGGAUCAUUCCCAUCCCUCAACACUCUUUACCUGAAGGAUAAUAAUUUUACCGAUAUAGCGACAACUACUACUCAAGGUAAGUAAAAGAUACAGAUGUGGCCAAAUUUACAAAUAAAUUGUUAAUUAAUUAAUUUUUCCGUAUUAUUAAUAAAGCUAAAUUCGUCGCUCCUUCCUUCUAAUUCUAAACAGAGUUGGCAAUUUCACCAACUUGGAGUAUUUGACAUUGGACUUGUCCUCGCUCCAUUUAAGCCUUCUACAAUUACUUGAAGAAUGAAUUUAUUUAUUAUUAUUAUUGUUGUUGUUGUUGUUGUUGAAGUGAGGUGGGCAAGCGUUCACUCAAUUAAUAUGUGAGGAAUUAAUAAUUACAAUCCAAGGUAGAAUUGUGGAAAAUUAAAGCAAAAUGAGAAAUAUGGAAAGAAAGGAAGAAAGUUAAGGGCAUGAAAGACUAGGAGAAGACUAAAGACCACCAAAUAAGUCAACUGAAAACUAGCUGGGGCCUGGGUGUACAAAUUGUUAGAUGUGUUUGUUAUAAAUAACAUAGAGCCAUCUUGUUGGUUGCAGAGGCAGAGAGACACAGAGUGUGCAUUUUGUUAAUUAAAAAUAUAUAUAAAAUGGGUGGUUCAAAAUCCAAAAUGGUGAUAAUGUUAGUUUUGUUAGUAUUAAUAAUAUUAGAAGGGAGGUGGCGUGAGGGAUGUUUGGUGCAUGAGAGAUUUGGUCUUUCGAGACUUAAAACAUUUCUUCAAUUCUCCUUAUAAUUUUUGUCACGACUGACCGUUGUCAAUGGGAUGGGGCUGGGUGCAGGGUUGAUUUACGUUAGAACAAUAUAGCCGGUAGUGUUGAGAAUGAAGGUGUUUCAUUUAAUUUAAUUAAUUUACUUUCUCCCUCCUAAUUUAAGUGGAAUAUCAAGACUGAACAAUUAUAUGCAUCUUCGUUCAGUUGACAAUUUUGACAUUUUUUUUAAGUGAUUAAUUUUGAAAUUACACCAAACAUUAUUUGUGAUCUCUGUUUUGACUUUACUUGCAGCGCUAGAGACGUUAUCAAGAUUGAGCAACUUGACGAUACUUGAUUUAAGUUAUAACUUGUUCAAUAAUAGCAUCUUGUCAUUUGUUGCCCGUCUUUCAUCAUUAACAUCAUUAGAUUUAUCUUACAAUGGAUUGGAAGGAAGUAUUAAUGUUAAAGGUACGUAAUUAAAACGUCAUCGCUUCUCCCAACUCUUCCAUUAACAUGCUAAAAUAAGAUUCAAGGCUUUGAAUUCAAUUUUUUUUUAUGAGUAAUAUUAGAAAAAUAGUUUUAAGCAAUUCAUAAAUACAAUUUUCAAUGUUUCUCAUAAUUUCAUCUUGUACUUUUGUAUGUCUUGACUUUAAGAUUAAAAAAAAAUUACUCUAACUGUGAAGCAAAUACCCCAUGACUAAUUUACAAUUUUGUCCAGUUAAAAUGAUAAAAUUUAGGGAAAUUAUCAUUUGUAUACCCUUAGUUUACUCUAUUAUCAAAAAUACUACAACACUUUGAGGGUGUAUCAAUCGUCCACCCUAAGUUGACAAAAUGUAUUAGCCAACCACCAAACCGUUAGUUGCCGUUUAAAUAUGAUAACAUCAUAAGGGUAAUCUGGUCUUUUCAUAUGAUACAAGUGAUAAUUUAAGGGUAUACAAGUGAUAAAAAGAGAGUUUAAGGGGAUACAAGUGAUAAUUUUCAAGGGUAAAAUCGUCAAUUUACUGUAAUUCCGUUAACUUUCAAACGGCAAUUAACAGUUUGGUGGUCGGUUGAUACAUUUCAUCAACUUAGGGUGGACGAUUGAUACACCCUUAAAGUGUUGUAGUAUUUUUGAUAAUAAAGCAAAUAUAGGGUAUACGAAUGAUAAUUUCCCUAAAAUUUAUCAUUUGUUUAUAUUGAUUUAUUAACUCUAUUUUAAGUCUUAAGUCUUAAGUCUUGGCAUGUUUGCAGAAUUUGAUUCCUUGAGCAACUUAGAGGAGUUGGACAUGAGCGGCAAUGAAAUAGACAAUUUCAAGGUUCCUCAAGGUACACAAUUAAAAUAUUAUUUAAUUACAUUAAUUUAAUUCGUUUGAUUAGGGAAGACCCAAAAUGUACAAAAACAUAAUUAAAAAAAAUAAAGAAACAGAGAAUUCAUAUUAUUUCAAAAAACAAAAGGUAAUACUAUUAUUUCAAAAAAGAAUGUAAUAAAGAUUUGAUUCCGGUUCUUUAAUCUUUAUAGCAAUUGAAAAACAAUGUUGCUCUUUUCCUAAAGCAUAAAAUAUGAAAUGAGUCAUAAUUGAAUUAGUCAUUUAUUUUGUUUAGAUCUAAAUUUAGACAAUAAAUUUUGAUUUUUUUUUCAAUUCUAUCCUUAUUAUUAUUGUUAAACAGGUUACAGAGGUUUGAGGAAGUUGAAAAGCCUCUAUCUAUCGAAUGUUGGAGUUAGAGAUGGAAGCAAGUUGUUACAGUCUAUGGGAUCAUUCCCAUCCCUCAACACUCUUUACCUGAAGGAUAAUAAUUUACCGAUAUAGCGACAACUACUACUCAAGGUAAGUAAAAGGUACAGAUGUGGCCAAAUUUAUAAAUAAACUGUUAAUUAAUUAAUUUUCUGUAUUAUUAAUAAAGCUAAAUUUUUGCUCAUUCCCUCUAAUUCUAAACAGAGUUGCACAAUUUCACCAACUUGGAAUAUUUGACAUUGCACGGUUCCUCUCUCCAUAUAAGCCUUCUGCAAAGCAUUGCAUCAAUAUUCCCUUCGUUAAAAAAUCUGUCGAUAUCUUUGUGAAGUCAAUGGUGUCGUACAUGGUCAAGGUAAAAGAAAAGUGUUGGUUGUGCACUCACUGAGUGUUGUCCUACGUAUUCAAUAUUUUUAUUUAUUUAUUUUAUUGUUUAAUGUUUCUGCUAGGUUUUCCUCAUUUCAAGAGUUUGGAACAUUUGGGCAUGAUGUCCACGCGCAUUGCACUCAACACCAACUUUCUUCAAGUCAUCAGAAUCGAUGCCUUCUCUUAAGUACUUAUCACUGUCAUAUUCUACUCUUGCACUAACAGCAGCAGGAUUCUUGAUCGAGGUUAAUCAGAUGCUCCCACCCUCCAUUCUUAAUCUAUAAUAUUAAUUUUCAGUUAAAUAUUUAAUUACACAAACCAAUCACUUAUUAUAAAAGAACAAUACGCAUUCAUUAAUUUUUAUAUUAUAUUAAUUGAUGAAUUUAAUAAAUUCCAGGCCUCUGUUCGCCGGUGCAUCUGCAAGAGUUAUACAUUGGUUCUAACGAUUUAAGAGGUAGCUUGCCUUGGUGCAUGACAAAUUUGACAUCCCUCCGAAUAUUAGAUGUUUCUUCCAAUCAACUUACUGGAAGCAUCUCCUCGUCUCCCCUCAUUCAUUUGACAUCCAUUGAAAAGCUGUAUCUUUCAAACAAUCACUUCCAGAUCCCAAUUUCACUUGAACCACUUUUCAAUCAUUCAAGACUCAAGACUUUUUAUGCUGACAACAACGAACUAAAUGCAGAAAUAACUCAGUCACAUUCUUUGACCGCCCCAAACUUCCAAUUAUCACGUCUCUCAUUGUGCAUCCAACGAAAGACAAACCACGUGUAGUCUUUUAAUUAAGCCAAAGUAGCAGCUCAAACAAAUGACACUUGGACCAACAUGCAAUCAUGAAGUGGCCGGAAAAAGGACAAAUGCAACUUUGGCUUAAAUAAAAAAUAACAUGUGACUCGACUUUUGCUGGACAUGCAUCAUGUUAUUACAGACAACAAAAAUCAGUAUGAUAGUACUAAAAGUUGACAAUAACAUGAAGAUAAGAGGCAGAAUGUCAACACAUGCAUAGGCACACAAAGAAAGUAUUAACGUAUAUACCAUAGCAAAAAAGUAUUUGAUAUGUCAUCUGUUGCUGCUGUGAUUCAACUGACAGCAUGGCAGCUGUUGCUUCUCUACCAAGAGCCAUUAUUGUAGAUUAAGCUCGGUCAAUCUUGCUUCUGCAUUUCGAAGCUUCACAGCACUCUCUGCUGAUAUAUCAGAUUCCCUAAUCUUUGAUCGGUGCCUAAAUACUUCAGCUGCCUGGUGAAAAUAUUCAAUAUAAAUCUAAUAUAAAUUCUCAUCUUGCCUUAUGCAUGCAUAUGUUACCUCAAAGCUUACCUGGGCUUCAACUUCAUGUCGAAGUUUGUCAUAACGAUGAGUCAGGUGUCGAGCAUCUUCCAAAGGUGCUCCGUUGAUUAACGCCCGUAGUGGCUCAGAUACCUACAUGUCCAAAAACCUGUAACAUAGUUAGAAAAAUGAAAAGAAAGAGCGAAACCUCAAUUAAAAAGUCCUCCAACAUAAUCAUGGAAUUUGGCCUACUUCAAGGAUAUAUAUAUAGGAUAAUUUAUGCAAUUUUGGGUCUUAGGAUGAUUCAUAUUAGGUUAGUGUUCUUCUCUUCUGUAUUUAAGGUUAAAAUAGAAAUAAACCUAUGCAAAUAUAUAAAUUAGGGCUGUAAGAACACAUGCAACAUGGAUUUGAUUUUACUAUAGAUGCAAGUGUCUUUAUCGAAAAUGCUUGGAGUCAAUUGAGAGAACUCACGGCCAAUAACUUGUCACACGCUAGUCUUUGCUAGUGAUGUAAGAAGUCACAAGGUCUCUUCAGCAUUUGAACCAAUAAAAUUAUUAAGUCAUGGAUGUCACUAGCAAUGAUUUUAAUAUAAAAUAUUAAAUAUUUCAAGUUGUAACUUUAAAAUGGAUUCUUUUAUUCAAUAUCUUAGAACUAAGUUUCCUUAUGAGAAGAUAAUAGUUUCAGUAGUAAUGUACAUAUAAUUUUCUAUAUUGAAUUAUUUUCUAGUAGGGAUGAACUAACCUGAUCACGAAGAAUCCCAAGCAAAGUUUCCCUCUCAUUUUCCAUCAAAUCAUGUGAAGUGCCAAAUUGAAGAGCAGCUCUUGCAACGCAAGAAUUGUCACUUUGAUUCUCCACUCCAUACUUGCAACAAUCUUCGGCCAACUUUCUCGCUACAAUAUUUGAAUACAAAAAUAUUGUACACAAGAACUAGUCAAGAAAAUUAAAAAAAAAAUCAAAUAUUUAACGAGAGCAAGAGCAAACGAACAACCUAUUUCCAUUUGUUUCAAGCUUACUGCAACAAACACUUCAACGCCACGGACAACAUUCCUCUGACAAUAUUCCAAAUUAUUGUUCAGAUAAAACCAUAGAAACCAUCAUAAUUGUUCAACAUACAUUAAGCUAAAGGAGGAUGGUGCCUUAGCUGCCCUGGUGGAAUUGUAUAGAUUUUGAAGUUGUUGGUGACACUCAAUUUCAGAUUCAUCAACCGCAACAUUUUCAAUACCAAGAUGGAGCAGAUGCUUCAAUACUGCCUGUACAAAUCAUAAAAAAAUGAAAAAUAAAAUAAAAUCGAGAAAUUUCACUAACUAAAAGUCUAAAUUAAUUUUUUAAAAAGAAAAGAAACGGACUUGCUGCUGCUUGGCGACUUGUUCUCGGGCUUGAUUGCUGUUCUUGAUAGCUUCCAUACUGUUUCUUUCAAAAGCGACGACGGCUCGCUCAUGGGAGUGGAAAAAAAAGUGUGAUCGGGAAAAUAAAAAGGCAUGAAUAAUUUUUGAAAAAAAGCGAAAAUCAAGGAAGCCAGCUCUUUCCAGAAAUAAAAAAGAAAAAAAAAAGAAAUUAUAGUUUGAAGGAGAAGAUGAUGUGGAAGUGCGGUGUGGCUGACAGCUACUUGGAUUGUAUUGUCGGGUAGGUAAUAGUAGAGAAUUUUUUUUUAAGAAAAUAGUAGAGAAUUUUUUAGAAGCUAGAACAGAGCAUGACAUUAGACUUUUGUUGACCAAGGAUGUUGUUUUAUUCUUCUAUACUUUACGUUUGGUUUGGUUUUUCAAACUAAAUAAUCAGUAGCAAAAUACAAUUUAGAGAUUAGGGGGUGAACUAGCUAGGUGGUUUACAAAUAUUCUAUUUGUAAGGUGAAUUAAUUGAAUCAUGAGAAAACAAUGUGACCAUAGCUCAAUAUGAGAUGAUUUCGGAGAGGCAUAUUGUUUUCAAGUGAAUUUGAUCCAUUAAGAGAUGAAGUGGAUUGAAGUGGAAAGUUUAAAUAACAAAUCCUUGUUCUUGAGUUUUACGACGUUGUUACUCCUUCAGGUGGCAGAUUAUGCAAGUGAAUUCAAAAACACAAUGCAUCAAUCACGGGGAUGCUACAUCAAAGACGGGAUCAUAGUCUAUGCAUUGAACAGUUACAGUUGCUGCUACCAAUUGCCUCGGCAAAGAUCAAGAAGACUGAACGGGAAGUUAAUGCCAUCAAGGAGUUGUCUAGUGUUCUUUUCCUUAUGCUAUGAUCGGUGCUCUUGAGGCUGCCCUGAAACACAGGAAAAUACUUCGAUAUCCUCCAUUCGAUGAUGCAAAGAACGGUUAAUGUAUGAUUACCUAAUUGACUCAGGAUCAGGUAACAACAACAACAAUUUUUAAUAGUAAUAUCACAAACGAAGAAGAUUUCGGAGAGGAGAUGUAAGCGUAUACUGUUUACAGGUUUGAUCCACUGGGGAUGAAGUGGUCUCAAGUGGAAAGUGAUUUAUUAAACAACAAAUCAUUGUUCUUGGUUAUACCUCAUGAUGUCAUCAAGUGGAAGAUGAAGAUCGUUUGAUAUUGAAGAAUUUGAACAGAAAGCCCAUAGAAAGUACUUAAAUAAGCAUAUUUUGUUGGGGUAGAAUAUUAAGAAAGGAGUUGUCUACUGUGUGUUGCGUAAUUAUGCUAUGAUCGGUGCUUUCAACAUUGCCCUGAAAACAGUGGGAAAUACUUCAUACCCUCGACAUGAUGAUGAAAAAUUGGUUACCGAUUACCUAAUUGACUCAGGUGACAACAAUCCAUUAAUAGCACAAUUUGACGUGAUGCCGUUUAGGUAUAUGGUUUUCAAGUUUGAUUCAUCAGUGAUGAAGCGGACUAAAAUUAAAAGUUUAAAUGAUAAGUCAUUGUUCUUGGGCAUAUCGUCAUUACUACUUCCAGUGAUCAACGAUGAAGAUGAAGAUGAAAAUUGUGCGAGUUCAAGAUUACCAUUUAUCAUUACUUGGGAUAUUACUUCAACAUAGAUGGGGUUAUAAUUUACUCCCACGAACAUCAACUCAACUUUAUGAUUGGAGUGUCUCACCGUGACUCAGACAAAUUCUGAUUCAACCUCCUUCACCAAUGGAUUUUGAUUAGUUAUUUUGUGAUCAAGCAACUUAAUUAAACUCACAGUUUGUUAGUCUAAUUUUAGUUUUACUGUGACCACUAUUCAAGGUAAGCGAAAGUUACAGAUGUGGCAAAAUCAAUAAUUAAAUUCAUAAAAUGUUAAAAAUAAAACUUAUAAAUGUUGCAUGACUACUUACUAAUAAAUAAAUAAGUUAGAAUGUAGUUAGUUAAUUUUACACCAUAUUAUAUAUUAUUCGAUAAUAAUAUAAAAUAAAAAUAAUUAAAAAAUAAAUAAUUGAAUAAAUAAAUAUGGCUUUCUAAACAGUAAAAAUUCUAGAGUUAAAAUUUAUAUUAUUAUUUUAUUUUUUAAAAUUGACAUUUUUCUAUUGUCUUACAUGUACAAAGAUUUUGAGAGUUGAGAAGAAUAUAUUUAAUGAAGCUUGAUAACAUUUGAUGGGAUAGCAAGUAAGGGUAAAUAAGAUAUUUUUAUUUGUUAUUUAUUUGAAUUAUAUCUAUUUGUUCAAGUUAAAAUACUAAAUAUAAAUUGGAGGUAGACAUUUUAACAGAUCAUCUAAGCUCUCAAAUCUGAAAUUUUGUGUAGAUUUAAAUUCAUAAUCCCCAAUUAUUUGAUCAGCAACUAUCAAGAACUAACCAAAUUUAUUUCUUCAUGACUUCCAAACACUAGAAAAUUUUGUUAUUUGAUAAUAAUAUCAUUAAUUAGAGUUUAUCAAACCGCAUUAUUUUCUUUCAUAAAAUUGAUGCCUAUUAGUGUCACACUUUAUUUGUAUUACCUAGCGGACAUCAACUUUUUUUUUAAUUUUUUAAAUUAAAAAGACCAUUUGAUUUUAACCCAUGUUCUUGGCCUUAGGGAAGCUGACUUCUUUUAUAGUCAGGCGAUGAGUUAAGAAGUGACAUAGCAUUCAGGCGAUGAGUUUAUUUUUGUUAUCUUGCUAACAGUUUUAGUCUAAUUUUAGUUUUACUGUGACCACUAUUCAAGGUAAGCGAAAGUUACAGAUGUGGCAAAAUCAAUAAUUAAAUUCACAAAAUGUUAACUAAUUAAAUUCAUAGAGUUGCACAAUUUCAUCAACUUGGAAGAAUUGACUUUAAUGGACUGGCCUUCUCCCCUAUAAUUCUAAUGCUUCUAGGAAGCAAAUUUUUAUAAAUUAUUUAUUUUUGAGUUAAUUUCAAUUUCAAAAAACAAAUUUUUUAAGUUAUUGAUACUCUAAUGAGAGUAUCUUCAUAACAAUUCCCUUGCUCCAAUAAUAACAAAAAGGUGGUUACUUAGAAAUAAUUAAAAUAAAUAAGUGUUGAUUAUAUAUCCUAAUUUGCAUCGAUUUUUUUUUACCUUAAUUUCAGGAAUUUGGAAUAUAAGUUUGUGAAUGGAGGAUGAUCACGCGUGUGUUAAUUUUUCAGUCAUUGACUGUCGUAUUCUCGACUUAACGAUAGUGUUCUUGAUCAAGGGCAAUGACUCCCACCCCUCUUUUAAAAAUAUUGUCAAGUAUAUUGAUGACAAAAUCUCUUAUAGUUAAUAGUCUUUAAAAAUUUAUAGAUUUACUAUUGUCAUGACCAAAUUAUUCAUGUUUAAUGAAAUAUUAAUGCAUCAAAAUAGAUAUCUUCGGAAUCUAAUCCGAUCGGCUCAAUCCGUUUCAUUCGCAAAAGUGCAAUCCGCAAAAAUUUGAUCUGUGGAUUAGUGGAUUGGAUUGGAUUGAAAGUUUAAAAAUCCAUAGUCGAUAAAUUGGAUAUCGAUUUACUUCUCUAAAUAUGCAAAAAUUCAUGAAUUCGCAAAAAAAAAAUGUAUUUACUAAUAAAUAAAUAAGUUAAAAUGUAGUUAGUUAAUUUAACACCAUAUUAUAUCUUAUUCGAUAAUAAUAUAAAAUAAAAAUAAUUAAAAAAUGAAUAAUUGGAUAAAUAAAUAUGACUUUCUAAACAGUAAAACUUCUAGAGUUAAAAUUUAUAUUGUUAUUCUAUUUUUUUAAAUUGACAUUUUUCUAUUGUCUUACAUGUACAGAGAUUUUGAGAGUUGAAAAGAAUAUAUUUAAAUAAAAUAUUUUUAUUUGUUAUUUAUUUCAAUUAUAUCUAUUUUGUUCAAGUUAAAAUACUAAAUAUAAAUUGGAGGUAGGCAUUUUAACAGAUCAUCUAAGCUCUCAAAUCUGAAAUUUGUGUAGAUUUAAAUUCAUAAUUUUAGUUAAUUUUCAUAUAUUCAUAUAAACAAAUUUAUGAGAUUUUUUUCUUUUCAACAUGUUAUAUUUUUAAACUUUCAAUGUAUUAUUUUAGCUAUAUUUAAACAAUUAAUUUAUUUAAUUUUAAAUUUGAUCAGUAUAAAAUGUUUUUAUAUCAAAUUUUUUUAUUUAAAUAGUUCGUGGAUUGGACAAAAUUAAACAUUUUUAAUUCUUAAAUGAUGGAUUGGAUAUGAAUUGGAUCAAAUCCACAUUCGAUCCGCAGUUAUAUGGAUUGAAUUUGAAUUGAAUUUCAUCAAUCUAUGGAUUAUAUUGGAUUAAAAAUUUAUAAUCCACAAAAUCGUUGAUUAGAUAUGGAUUGAUGUCCAAUUCGCAAAAUCUAAUUGCCGAACACUCCACUAUCAAAAUUUUCAAAAUAUGUUUUAUCCUAUAAUUUUUUUUUAAAGUCAUAGUCUAAUGGCAGCUCAAUUUCUACUGCAUUCAUAUAAGCGGAGUUCAAAUCUCAUACCUCUUAUCUCCACACGAGAUUUAACCAGUUGAAAUAGCUAGCACCCACAAAUAUACUAGUACAGCAUCUCUUAACGUUUAACAUACGUAUAAUUAACGCCAUAGCUAUUGAUAAACACAUUGUUCAAUAUAUAUGAUCAAGAAUCUGAUCCUGCGAGCAACAGCAGUAAGAAGAACCAUUAUAAUGCCUAGCUCUUAUCCCGGUUAAUCCUCUGGCCCGAUGCUUCAUCAUAGUGAUUUAAAAAACAAACAACAGCUCUCUAAAAGAGAUGAAGAUAUCAUCUACGUAAAGAACAUGAAACGGAGAUUCACAACCCAUAAGAACUGAGAUAAAUUGGACCAGACCGGUAAUCUUGAGAUAAGUUAAACUGUGACCUAAGUUGAAAUCAGAGGACCAGAAUUUUAAAAUCUUUCGGCUAAGCCCCUGAGCAAUUUUCUAGAGUACGGCUUCUGCUUACCUCUGUUUAAUUUCUCUUUAUAUUUUUCUUUCAUUUCAUUAAUAAAGUCAAAUAAUAAAUCAAAGAACGAGGGAAGAUUUUUCCAAGUCAUGCAUUAUUUGAUUACCAUCAAUCAAGAAACCGACCAAAUUAAUUUCUCUCCGUGAUUUUUAAAAAUUAAAAAAAAAAUUAUUUGAACAUAACAUCAUUAAUUAUAGAGUGGAUCAAACUGCGUUAAUCAUGAAACUGAUACCUAUUAAGAGUCAAACUUUUUACUUAUGCAUACUAAAAGACAUCAAAUUGUUCCGAUCCCCAAUUAUUUGAUCAGCAACUAUCAAGAACUGACCAAAUUUAUUUCUUCAUGACUUCCAAACACUAGAAAAUUUUGUUAUUUGAUAAUAAUAUCAUUAAUUAGAGUUUAUCAAACCGCAUUAUUUUCUUUCAUAAAAUUGAUGCCUAUUAGUGUCACACUUUAUUUGUAUUACCUAGCGGACAUCAACUUUUUUUUUAAUUUUUUUAAAUUAAAAAGACCAUUUGAUUUUAACCCAUGUUCUUGGCCUUAGGGAAGCUGACUUCUUUUAUAGGUGAUAUCUGCUUGAACUUUGGUGUGUUAAUUAUUUCAAUCCCCAAUUAUGUAAUUUUUAAAUUAUAGCCUAACGGCGGUCUCAUCACCACGUGUGUGAUUUUCUUUUGCCAAUAGGAUCUGCAGAGAGCUUGAUCUCAUCCAAUAGCAAAAUAAACUUCCUAAUAAGUGAAGGUAUAGUAUAAAUAUUUCACCCCCAUAUUAUUUAUUAGCAGCUUGAUUAUUUUAUAUGCAUCUUUGAUUUUAAUUUUUUUUCCCAUAAUUGCUACUAUGUUCGAACUGGUCAUGAAUUAUCUAUAAGAUUUUUCAUGUUGCUUUUAGGUGCAUUGGAUUUUUUGAGUUUAGUGCAAGAGUAGAGGAAGGCAAAUUAAGAAAAAGGAUAAAGAUCUAUGAUUAGCUAUUUUGGGAUGUCUCAUAACAUAUUGAUGCUAACAUUAUACAUAUGUAUAUCUAAAUAAUGGGCUUGGAUCAAGAGCCCAUUAAUAAUCAUAGAUUAGCUUAUAUAGUUCAAAAAAUGUACCAUAAAGCAAUUUUACAAGCACUUGUUAGCCUAUGUUGAGCUUUAUUAUCAAUAGUUCAUAGUUCAUCAGUGCACUGCAAGUUUACUAUUUGAAGUAAAUGUUGUGGUGCGUGCAUUCUUCAUAAGGCCAACUAUUGAAUUUAGCAUUGAAACUUACAAAAUGUAAUAGAAAGAGGUAGAUAACAGCCAUAAAACACUAAGAUUGGAAAUCAGGGCAACUAAAUACUAUUACAAGCCCUUAGAAAAGACAGCGAUCAUCCUGAAAUAUAUAUACUGAAAGUAAGAAAUGUUAAUCGCAAAGUUAUGUGCCAACAGAACUAUUGACUACUUGUCUCUAGUAGAAAGUAAAUAUUUUUAACUUCAGCCCUCUACUUUGUUCUAAGAACAAGGCAAUAUAAGGAAACAUCGGUGUCUAAAAUUUGCCGCUUGGAAUAUUUCACUGUCUAAACAUUCACUCACCACUUAUUUCAUUAAUGAAUUUUGUCUAAUUAUAUGUUGAUAAAGAUAUUAGAGUAAUAUAAUACAUUUAAGGCUUAACUUAUAUUUUUUAUUAGUAGAGUGUAGAACUUUUAAGAAAUAAAUUAUUAAAUUACUAUAACUAACAUAUUAUUUUAAAGUUAUGUUAAGGAAAAGAAUGAAACAAAAAUAAAUAAAUAAAUAAGGGUAUUCUAAAACUUUGAUCUUUUUAAAAGUAGAUUUUGACAUAGAUAAAAUAAUUUUUAUAUUUUUUAAAUCACAUACUCUAGUUAAAAUCAAAUUUGUAUUUAUAAAGUUUGUAAAUUUUUUUUUUUUUUUAGCACUGAUAUUUGAACACUAUCAAGAUAAGAAAUAGGGCACUGGUCAUGCUACAACAUUAUUAUAGCACAUAAAAAGACAAUACCAUUUAUUUUAUUGUACUAUCAUUGUUGUUAUAAUAGUAUUUUGUUAGUGGUCAAAUAUUAUUUUUUUAAGUAAAAAAAGUGAACAAUGUAAAUUAACUUUUAAUCUCUCCUAAAAUUCUAAUUCCUAGUUACGAAACAAAAUUGUUUAAAACCAUAGGUGAUAGGUGAUAGAAGUUACUAACACAAGCAAAUUUGACGGUCCAUUUUAUAAAAUUUGUUAUUUACCAUUUUACCACCUAUAUAAGGAGUGCCGCAUCGACAUAUCAACUCAUUUGCAGAUUAUUUUAAUUUUGUAAAAUUCAUUUAACCUGCACUUGGUCGCCCCUAUUCUCUGAAUGGUUAUGGCGAUAUCAUCAUUAUCGUUACUUGUACCAACGCUAAACCCUUCUUAUUCCCUUUCUCGCCUGUCAUACCCUAACAUUAUAUCCCGUGUCCACACUAAAGACAAGUAGUCAAUUCAAGCCAUCAGAUUAUAGUGGACCCACAUCAAUCCAACUACUUACAAUGACCGACAGCCUCUCCAUCUCCAUUUCAGGUUUCCUCUUCAACUGGCUUCUGCUUCCGCUGUAUUUGCUCCAUUUCUUGGAUUCGGAGUCCGUAUUUGGUCGGUCGGUCCCGCACAGCUCCCUCUCACUCCAAUUGUCACCCAACAAGACCAAUUGCUUAAUCAAGGCACAGAACAAGAAGAGGAUGAGAAAUUGAAACAAGAAUUUGAGAAUUGGAAAUCGAAAACGUACGCAUUGACCGUGCCUUUGAGGGCAAUUACUUUUCUUGAGAAUUGAAGUUUGGUAAUGUAAUUUGUUCUCCAUCUGUGUUCCCUUUGUAGUCAUUUCAUUUAUUUGUUUGUUUGCUUUUAUUUGCACUUACGAAGUCUCAGGUAUACCUACGCAGGAAUGAUGCAGGAGAAAUUGAUCCUCGAGGUAACAUAUGGGCGGCGCCAUAUCGGUGGGGCACAGUGGUGAUAGCUUACAAGAAAAGUAAAUUUCGAAAGCAUAAUUUGGUUCCGAUUGAGGUAAUAAUUGUCUUUAAGCUCAUUUAGUUUUAUAUCAAACAAAAUCAAGACUGCCUUUCUCUUCAAUAGUUUUGAUGAUAAUAUCUUUAGAAGCAUCUCAUUGACAGGUAAUCGUGGUACCCCUUAAAGAGUCUAUAAACUCAAGGAUAUUAUCUUCUGCAAAUGGUUCAUUAAACUUCUUAGAUGUAGUUAAAUGUACACUGAGAACAACGAGAAGCUAUGCCACUGUAGCAUGUAGUGAUGGCACUUAAUGAGUGAGUUGCUAGGAUAUGAACUAGAAAAAUUAAAUAUUGUCUCCCUCUCCCUGGGUAUGCUAGCUCAUAAGUCAGGGUUAAUAUUAGAGCUUGAGAUACUAUAACCAUGAGAAGCUAUUGACCACCAGUUAAAAUAUCCAUUAAAAUGUCUAGGGAGUUAUGAAGGUGGAGGUAUCUCCCAAUUUCUAAGGCCAUAUAAUAGACAUCAUCCAGGAUCCUAUAGAGUGCAGUUAGCCUCCUGCUUGAUGCUAAUGUCAAACAAUUAAUAAAUUUGGUCAAUGUAACUGAAACUUGCUAAUUGACGUCAGAUUGCGACUUGAGCACCUUAAAAUGGGAUAGACGAUUAGUGGCACUGAAUUCUUCUUGCCUAAGAUUGAGCAAUUGUUUUAACUACUAUCUCCUAUUGUAGGUUGAUUAUUAUGUUUUAAUUAUGUCCAUUUUGACCCAAAAAAUUACACAAUCUUGAUCUGCAUUUUGUCACUGAGCAGUGUCAAUAUCGUCUAACAACUAACUUGAUUUUGAUAUGACAAACACACGGUGUGUCUCUCAUGUCUCACCCAUGUCUCACCAUGAUGGAGAAUUUUUCUAAUGCAUGAAGUAAGCUUUGAUAUGUGGGUUAGCUUGGAGAACAUAUCUCAAAAUGAAGAAGAUGGGGAGUUAAUGGGAAGAAACAGUCCAGUAGUUUAUAAUUCUGUCGACGAGCUGUAUCUCUAACAUGGUCAAAAUUUAUGUGAAUAAGGACAGGGAAUCGUCAUUCCUCUUUUCCUUUUUAUACCGGGAUAUCUCUCAACCUUUAUAUGUUGCCCGCUGGAGAUCUCCUUCUAAUAACUAAAAUAAAAAUUUCAUCCACUCAAAUAAAUGUUGACCAAGCUUUCACAAGAAAAAGUAACGUCUUUAGUGAAGUAAUUUACAGUUCCUUAUCAUCUUCGUGUGAGUCUAUCAGUAUGAUCCAAAAACAUAAUAAAUCUUGUUAGAUCCUGUUUAUUGAUGUUUAAAUGUUGUUCAUUGUGCAAUGUAGAAAUGAUGACGUGAAGUUUCUUUGGUCAUCAAUUAGUGAGAUCUUGUUUGAAGUUGUUUUCUGAAAUGAACUGCAAAAUGGUAGUUUUUUUUUUUUUCUUGGGUGCAUUUGAUGGCUCUUUUCUCCUCAUUUUAAGCAUGUGUCUGCUUGAAAUGGGAAGGAAUAGGCUUCAGAGUUGUUAUAUAUGUUGAUAUGCUCUGGUCAUUACACAAUAUGUUCAAAUUGGAAAUUAGAAUGAGAUAUUUGUUGAUGCUUUUUGAGAGAUCUGCAUUCUAUGCACCAUAACAUGAUUAAUGAAAACGGGUUUAAGGACUGGAAAGAUCUGUGGCAGCCCAAGCUUGCAGGAAGGAUUUCAAUGGUUAAUUCUCCUAGAGAGGUUAUUGGUACAGUUUUGAAGUAUAUGGGAGUAUCAUACAAUUCAAACGACAUUGGGAGGAUUGCUGUUCAGCAGAAUCUGGCAUUACUGGGAAACCAGGUACUCUUAAAGAAACGAUAUCUGGUCAAUGCAUAUUAUUGGGUGACGGCUGAUUUUGUUUGUAAAGUGUGCCUUUUCAUACCUAUGAAUGCAUAUGUUAGUGUUGUGUUCUCCUUUCCAUAAAUAUGAAUGCAUAUGUUGGUGUUCUUUUCUGAGAUGGAUGCAAUAAAGGCUUUUUCUUCUAAAUUUAGUUGAAGAAAUGGCAAGGAAUGUGAGAUUCUAUCUCAUUAAAUUAACAAAAACCCAAAACAGUGAAAACCCAUAUUAUGUGGAUGAAUUGGCGACAUUUGGCUUGUUUCCUGAACGUGAAUUAGCAAGCAAUAGAGACUAAAAAAAUGGAGUGAUAAUAACAAGUCAUUGUCAUUUGAUGAAUGCAUUUUUAAGCAAAAAUAGGUUUGUAACUGAAUAAAUUUGUCUGGCAUGCCAAUAUCAAAAAAUUAAAUUAUGUGGUUAUGAGCUGUAAUGAAGGGGGAUUGUAGGUGCAAUCAGAUCGAUCCAAGAAAGUUCAACAAAGUUCUGGUUUGGUGUAGUGAAAUUGGUUUGUGCAACUUGAGUCUUUCAGAUGAACAAUGACGAGUUUUCAUUUAAAAAUGUUAUAAAUCUGCCAUGCAUAGUAUUCUAGUAGAAUCAUCUAUAAAUUCAAGUUAUUGAAAUUGUCUAUUUGUCCAGUUUGAGUUAAGGACGCAUGUAAUAUGAAAAAUUGUUGUCGAAUAUUGUAGGUUAGCUAAUAUUUGAUCAAUCCUAUAGGGAGGGCUUUAAGAUGUCUAACAACAUGUAGAAUGCCCCUGCUUCCCCCACAAUUUUUAUCUUAUACAAUUUUUAUCUAUAAACAGUAUUUGCCAGACCUUAACCGUUCAGAUUCCCCUUCUCGACUAUCAUACCCUACGCCCCAUCUCCGUGUCUCCGAUAAACAGUGCUCAAUUAAGGCCAUCAGAUUAUCCCGGUCCCGCAUUGAUCAACGGCUCACAAUGGCCGACAACCUCUCUGUCUCCAUUACAAGCUCCCUCUUCAACUCGCUUCUGCUUCCACCUACUCUUUCUCGGAUUCGGAGCCCGUAUAUGCUCAGCUGGUCCCACAAAGCUCCCUCUCACUCCAGCUGUCAACCGACAAGACCAAUUGCCUUAUCAAGACACAGAACAAAAAGAGGAUGAGAAAUUGAAACAAGAAUUUGAGAAUUGGAAAUCGAAAACGUACGCAUUGACUGUACCUUUGAGAGUUGUUUCUCUUCAGAAUUCAGUGCCUCAAUCUUGGGUUAAGGAUUUUAUGCGAAGUCAAGGAAAGUGAUUGAAGUUUCAGAUGAAUUUGUGUGCUAGCAUUGGUGGGAUCUUUAACAAUUUAUCUCUGCCCUUUAACAAAGUCAAGGCUAAUUCAGCUACUUAUAUGGCUGCUGAUUUGGUUAGUGUUGGUGAUUCAUGGCUUAGUUUUGCCAUUAAAGAGAGAUUGAUUGAGCCAACGGCUGGAGCUGAAGACCAAGAUUGGUUCAAAUGCUUAAGUCACAAAUGGAAGGUAACAUCUUUAUCUUUGACCCGAUAAUUUUUAUUGUCUUACAUUGAAAUUUGGUAAUGUAAUUUGUUCUCUAUCUGUAUUACCCUUUUUAGUCGUUUUAUUUAUUUGUUUAUUUGCUUUUAUUUGCACUAACGAAGUCUCAGGUAUAUCUACGCAGGAAUGAUGCAGGAGAAAUUGAUCCUCGAUGUGAAAUAUGGGCGGCACCAUACAGGUGGGGCACAAUGGUGAUAGCCUACCAGAAAAGUAAAUUUCGAAAGCAUAAUUUGGCUCUGAUUGAGGUAAUAAUUGUCUUUAAAAUCAUUUAGUUUUAGAUCAAACAAAAUCAAGACUGCCUUUCUCUUCAAUAUUUUUAUGAUAAUAUCUUUAGAAGCAUCUUAUUGAUGGGUAAUAAUUGUAUCCCUGAGACAGUCUAUAAACUCAAUGAUAUUAUCUUCUACAAAUGGCUCAUUAAACUUUGUCGUUGUAGUCAAAUGUACACUCAGAGCAAUGACAAGCUAUGCCACUGUAGCAUGUAGUGAUGGCACUUAAUAAGUGAGUUGCUAGGAUGUGAACUAGAAAAAUUAAAUAUUGUCUCCCUGGGUAUGCUAGCUCAUAAGUCAGGGUUAAUAUUAGAACUCAAGAUACUAUAACCAUGAGAAGCUACUGACUGCCAAUUAAAAUAUUCUUUAAAAUGUCUAGGAAGUUAUGAAGGUGGAAGUAUCUUCCGAUUUCUAAGGCCACAUGGUAGAUAUCAUCCAGGAUCCUAGUACAGUGCAGUUAACCUCCUGCUUGAUGCAAUUAAUAAGUUUGGUCAAUGCCACUGAAACAUGCUAACUGACGUCACAAUGCGACAUGAGCACUUCAAAAUGGGACAGACGGUCGGUAGCACUAAAUUUUUCUUGCCUAAGAUUGAGCAAUUGGUCUAACUACUAACCCCUUUUGUAGGUUGAUCAUUAUUUUUUCAUAUUUUCAGUUUGACGGAAAACGUUACAGAAUCUUGAUCUGAAUAUUGUCACUGAACAUUGUCAAUGUCGUUUAGCGUAGCCAAUUAACUUGAGUUUGGUAAAACAAAUACACAGUGUGUCUCAUGUCUCACAAUUCAAAUUAUCAUUUGUAAUGAUGGAGAAUUUUUCCAAUGUAUGAAGUAUGCUUUGAUACGUGGGUUACCUUGGAGAAGGUAUCUCAAAAUAAAGAAUAUGGGGAGAAAACAGUUCAGUAGUUUAUUAUUAUGUAGUCAAGUUUUGUCUCAAAAAUGGUCCAAAUUUAAAUGAAUAAGGACAGGGGAUCUUCAUUCUUUUUUCCCUUUUUUAUACCGAGAUAUCUCUCAACCUUUAUUUAAUCCCCACUGGAUAUCUGCUUCUAAUAAUUAAAAUAAAAAUUUCACCCACACAAAUAAAUACUGACCAAGCUCUAACAAUAAAAAGUAACAUCUUUAGUCAAGUGAUUUACAGUUCCUCAUCAUCUUAGUGAGACUAUCAGUAUGUUCCAAAAACAUAAUAAAACUGGUUUGUUCCUGUUUAUUGAUGUUUAAAUGUUGUUCAUUGUGACAUGUAGAAAUGAUGAGGCGAAGUUUAUUUGGUCAUCAAUUUGUAAGAUCUUGUUUGAAGUUGUUUUCUGAAAUGAACUGCCAAAUGGUGGUUUUUUUGGGGCAUUUGAUGGCUCUUUUUUCCUCAUUUUAAACAUGUGCCUGCUUGGAACAGGAAGGAUUAGGCUGCAGAGUUGUUAUAUAUUUUGACAUGCUCUGGUCAUUGCACAAUUUGUUCACACUGGAAAAUAUAAUGAGAAAUUUGUUUCAUUCUAUGCACAAUAACAUGAUUAAUGAAAAUGGAUUGUAGGACUGGAAAGAUCUGUGGCAGCCUGAGCUCGCAGGACGAAUUUCAAUGGUUAAUUCUCCCUGAGAGGUUAUUGGUUUAGUUUUGAAGUAUAUGGGAGCAUCAUUCAAUUCAAACGAUAUUGAUUCGCAAGUUGCUGGUGGGAAGAUAGCUGUUCAGCAGAAUCUGGCAUUACUGGCAAACCAGGUACUCUCAAAGAAAUGAUAUCUGGUCAUCGCAUGUUAUUGCCUGACAACUGAUUUUGUUUGUAAAAGUCUGCUACUUCAUACAUAUGAAUGCAUAUGUUAUUGUUUUCUUCUCCUUUUCAUACAUAUGAAUGCAUAUGUUGCUUCUUUUCCUUUCCAUACAUAUUAAUACAUAUGUUGGUGUUCUCUCCUGAGAUGGAUGCAAUAAAGGCUUUUCUGAAGAAAUGGCAAGGGAUGUGAGAUUCUGUCUCAUAAAAUUAACAAAAACCCAAAAACAAUGAAAACCCAUAAUAAUGUGGUGUGGGUAAAUUGACGCCAUUUGGUUCGUUUCCUUGAUGUGAAUACGCGGGCAAUAGAGACUAACAAAAUGAAGUGACAACAAGAAGUCAGUGUCCUUUGAUGGAUGCAUUUUUAGGCAGAAAUAGGUUUGUAAUUGACCAAAUUUGUCUAGCAUGCCAAUUUCAAAAAAAUUAAAUUAUGUGGUUAUUAGCUGUAAUGAAGGGGGAUAGUAGGUCCAAUCAGGUGGAUCCAGGAAAGUUCAACAAAGUUCUGGUAUGGCGUAGAAAUUGGUUUGUGCAACUCAAGAGUCUUUCUGGUGAACGAUGAUGGGUUUUGAUUUAUAAAUGUUAUAAAUCUACUGUGCAUAGUAUUCUAGUAGAAUCAUCUAUAAGUUCUAGUUAUUGAAAUUGUCUACCUUGUUCAGUUUUAGUUAAGGGCACAUGUAAUAUGAAAAAUAGUUGUUGCAUCUUUUAGGUUUACCUAACAUUUGAUCAAUCCUAUUAUGAGGGCUUCAAGAUGUCUAACAAUAUGUGGAAUGCCCAUGCUCCUCCCCAUUGUUUAUCUUUAUAUAAUAAUUUGUUUUAGAUGCUAAUAUCUUUGUCGAUACCGGUAACAAUAUUAGAAUAUCUGCGUUUAUUGGGUUUUACAUAGGUUCGACUGUUUGACAGUACACACUAUCUGAAGGCAUUUGGAAUUGGAGAUGUAUGGAUUGCUGUUGGGUGGAGUAGUGAUGUUCUUCCUGCUGUCAAACGUAUGUCUAAUGUUGCAGUUGUUGUUCCCAAGUCUGGUGCUAGCUUAUGGGCUGAUCUUUGGGUAUACCCAUGCCUGCCAUUCUACUUCAAUAUUCACAUUGUUAUCUCCUUCAUAUUAGUGAUCAGUAAACAUGAUAAUGUGACUAAUAAGUUCGUAUUCUCUUUAUAGGCAAUCCCUGCUGCCUCAAGACUUGAAACAAAACAAAUUGGACGGUGAGUCAGAGGUGCAUUUCCAUUAAUCCAUCAAUGGAUAGAAUUCUGCUUGCAAACAGCGAGAGCAUUGCCUUUCAAGCAAGAGGUUAUCCCGAGCGCAUCUCCCUCUGCCCUUGAGAGUACUCUGGUUAAGUUGCCUGAAGAACUUUUUAAGGGUAAACCAAGUCUGGAUACUAACUUAAUUGCUGGAGUACCCGACUGAAAUUAUGGCCAGAUGUGAGUUUUUGGAGCCAUUAUCUGAAGCUACAUUGUCGGAUUAUGAGUGGCUGGUUGCUAAUCUGCAAAAAUCCACUCCUGUACUGAUCAACAAGAUGCAACAUUACAUGUCAUCAUUGAUCUUUAGCUAAAGGUACAUUGAAUAUUGAAGUAGGUCAGAGCAUAACUUCAUUAGGAAAAGAGGCUUCAGCUACGUUAAAUAUUACAGGAUGUACUGAGAUGGCUGAAGUUGUUGAGGUUUUACGAGAAACGAAAGAUAGUGUUUGUUUGAACAAAGUUGUUGCCAAUCUUGCAGAGUUCGAGAAGAAAGAUCACGAAGCGAAUGCCACCGAUUUAUUCAUCAUUGUAGCCUCCAUAGUUGAAGUUUCCUCAUUUGAAGCUGUUUAUGCAUAUGCUUUUUCCCUUCUCAAGUACAGGAAAUUGAAGAAUUAACCAGAUGUGAUGUGCUGAAAGAGGGAAGUUUUCUUCCUUGAAUGUGGCGAAGAACCCUAUCAAGGUAGAUGGCGAAGAACCCUAUCAAGGUAGAUUUUAUGAUGUUAACAUAUUAUUAAGCAUUUUGUUACAUCAGCAAUGAUGCUUUCAUAGCAGCAUGAAAGUGUUUAAAUUUAACUGAAUGAUCUUGACUGAUCAAUUAUGAGUUUUAAUCGAGUAAAAACUAAAUACAAUAAUCGUUAACAAAUAUUGAAAUUGGGUAAAUAAGAUCUUGAUAGUGAAGAAUUUGAAAUCACAACCCACACAGGAAAUCACCCUUCGCGUGGGGAUGGAGAUGUUUACUGCAGCGAUAUUGAAUAUGUCCACUGCUCUUUGGGUUAUGAUGCGACUUGCCCUGAAACAAUGGAAAAGAUUAACAUACCCUCCAAUGAAUGAAAACGGGUGGACUAAUUCUGAUUACCUAAUUGACUCAGGAUCGGCUGGUAAUAAUAACAGUUUAUUAACAAUGCACAGUCCGAGUACUUUUCCAGGAUCAGAUACGACGUGGUCUAAUGUUGAUAAUAAUAGAUUAUCAAAUGACAAAUCGUUGUUCUACUAUUGCAAGCCCCCAAAUUUAAGAAUCUUUUUCAGAAAUUAAAUACGUUCUGAGAGAUGCUGGUCUACUAUUGCAACUUGCCAGCCCCCAGAUUUAAGAAUCUUUUGAUGGUAAUUUAUCACCUGUAACUGUGCCGGAAGAUUCAACUAGCACUGAAAAAGAUGAUAAAUUAAUUGAUAUGGAGAGUUUCCAUAUCACUUUUAAAUCAUCUUAUGUAAUUGUGAUGUUAGGAAGCAUUAUUGAUCUGUAUGUGAAUUAUUAUUGGCGCCAUUGGUGGUUUUAUCUUGUUAAAAUAUGGAUGAAUUCCAGUUACUAUUUUGUUGCAGACAAUCUUCUUCAAUUAACAUAUAGUUUAAAAUCAUUAUGUAAAUCAAUCUAUUAAUUUUUAUGAUAUUUAACUGAGUUAAAACUAAGUGCACUCAAUAAAUCUCUUUUCCUUUAAAAAACGGUUACGCUUUGAUUUUAGUGCUUAAUAUUUAUUGAACUCCAAUACAGGGAAUUUGAAAUCAAACUCGUAACUACAUAUUAUCUAAUUGCAAGUUUCUGUCCAUAGCUGCUGAUUUGUAGUGAUUAUCUAAUUGACUGAGGUGACGACAAUUUUUUUUUUUAAUUUUCAAUAGCACAUUGUGGAAUUCAAUAAUUAAAUUCUCCUUUUUAAUUUGUUUCCAGUUAAAUUAUUAAUUACUUAAACUCUGUUUUAAGUCUUUAUGUUUAUGUGUUUAUGCAGAAUUGGAUUCUUGAGCGUGUUGGACACGACCAACAAUGAAAUUGACAGUAAAGAAACAUUACAACGUGUGGACUCCGGUAGAUGCCAUACAAGUCUACAACUUUACAAAUAAUAAUUGAGUAAGCAACUUUGAUUCUCGGGGCCCUUCAAUGAAUUUCUAGCCCCGUUGACUCCGCCAACUAAAGUUUUGUAAAAUAAAAAAAUACAUAGAAUUCCACCAAAUGCAAAACGCGUGGAAUUUAAUUUUCGGCCAUGUGGACCAAAACAUAAUUUAAUGAAAAAGGAAAAAAAUGAUAAGAUUUCUAAAAUAUGUGAAAGAUGAUCCAUAUGUUACUGAAACGACUUAUUAAAUUUUUCAAAAAUUUAGAAUAUUUAGUCAUAAAUUACGUGCAUGUUAAUUUUUCCGCCAUUGACUAUCAUAUUCUAAACUUAAUAGUACCUUUCUUGUUGAAGGGUACUUAGUCUCUCUUCUCCUCUUAUAAAAAUUAUAUUGAUGAAUUUCUUAUUAUAGUUAAUAGUCUUUAAGAACGGAUAACUUUAUUGUUUUCGUGACCAAAUUAUGUCUGCCUAAGGUUGUGACUAUUAAUAAAAUUAAUAUUUAAUGUUUAUGUUAAAAGAUAUAAGAUUUUAUGCGUUCAUUAAUUGUUAUUAGCUAAAGGAUGAAUUAUUUUUUCAACCCAAUCAGUUGAUGCAUCUGCAAGAAUUUUUUCUUUUAUUGACCCUAAUUAUGUUCCGGGUACAAUAAAUUGUCUUUGGUGCUUGGAAAAUAUGACUUCUUACUUCAAGUUUGAUAUGUCUCUCUCCAUAAACUUACUGGAAAUAUAUCCUCAUCUAUUAUCAUUUAUCUAAUAUCAAUUGAAGAUCGCACUUUUUCAAACUAUCACUUCCAAGUCUCAUUGUCACUUGGCCAUUCUUGGACCAUUCAGAACCAAUCAAGUGUUGAAAUAAUCAAAUAUAUGCAAAAUUAGAGUCACAAUUUUUGGUCCCCCAAAUUCUAAUUAUAUAACUUCUAUAUAUUUCAUUGCCAGGUCACGAACUUGUUGGCACAUUUUCCAAAUUCCUCUUCCAUCAGCUCUCACACGUUAACUUAAGUGGAAAGUUUCCAAGUUGAUUGCUAGAAAGCAACGCAAAAUCAGACACACUUGAUCUGUCCCCUAAUUCUCUUUUCUACGUUGAAAAAGAAAAAAAAAAAAUAUAUAUAUAUAUAUAUAUGUAAAAAUAAAUAAUAAACUGAGUAAAAAUACAUUUAUUUAAUUAACAUCUGAUCGGGGCAUUUUUGGUGUAAGCCACAACUAAAAUCAAACAGCCCCUUAGCAUACUUCUUCCAUUUUAUCUGCUACUUUUGUGGAUCUUAUAGGGUGGGCAUGUGGACAGAAUUUAAAAGUUUUAAUAGUCUCAAAGAAUAAGAUGUGUUAAAUCUAAAGUUGUUGCACCUUCUGAUUACCUUCUGAUUAAAUAAAGUUGCACAAUUUUACCAACUUGAAAGAAUUGACAUUAAUGAACUGGUCGCCUCUCCAUAUAUGAAGCCUUCUUAAAAGUUCAUUUUUAUUUCAGAAAAAAAAAGUUUAAGUUACAUAUAUUAUAGUAAGAUUUUUUUUCUUGAAAUAAUAAUGGAAAAGUAUUAAUUUAAAAAUAAAUUGAAUAUGUAUUGAUUAUAUCUUGAUUUUCAUCGAUUAUAGUGAGAGUUUCUCCAAAUCAAUUCCCUUAUUCAAAUAAUACCGAAAAAAUAGUAUUUUAAUAGUAAAAUAAACAGGUGUUGAUUAUAUAUUCUAAGGUUCAUCGAUUAUGUGAUCAAAGUGGCAUUGUUGAUUUAUUUCUUGUUCAAUGUUAAUUUUUAGGUUAUCUAAAUUUCAAGAAUUUAAAAUCUUUGAUCAUGGAUUACACGCUUAUUAAUUUUUCUGCCAUUGACUAUCAUAUUCUAGACUUAAUGAUACUUUUCUUGAUCAAGGGUAAUUACUCUCUCUUCUCCUCUUAUAAAUUCCUCUUCCAUUAACAUCACUAAGAGUAUGUUGAUCUCUCAUACGUUAACUUGAGUGGAGAGUUUCCAAAUUGAUUGUUACAAAACAACAAAAGAACUAGCCACACUUGAUCUGUCUAAUAAUUCUCUUUCGGUAAAAUUAAUUAAUUUUAGGAAAAUAUUCUGCCAACCUCUGUAAAUUCAGAGUGAUCAUUAAUUAAUUAAACGAUACAAAUAUCUAAAGUGAUUAGAUGUUUGCCGACAAUACAACCUUUGUGGCGAUAAUCGAACAAGUUCCCAUGAUUAUUAUUUUUCCAAAAACUUUUUUACAACAAAUUCAUCUCGCCAAAAAUUCUAUGUUGCUAACUAACAAUAAUUGAGCACUUGGCCGCAUUGACUCCACGUCUCCACCUCUUUCUAAAAACAUGGAAAUGUAAUUUCCACAAAAUGUCAAACGUGUGGAAUUUAAUUUUUUGCCUUGUGGAUCAAAAUACAAAUGAAAGAAACAGGAGAAAAAAAAGGCCCAAAGACUUCUAAAAGAUGAAGAAGUCUUUGGGCCUUCUUAUAAUGGUGAAUUUUUUAAAAGAAAAAAAUAACAACAUUUUUAUGGUUUGUUUUGAUAAUCAUAUUUACAAAUACUCUAAUUCUCAAAAUGGACACAUAAAUCUUUUUUUUUUUACAAAUAUAUAUUAUUCAUAUUUUUAUUUUUUAUUAUCAUAUUUUUAUUUAUUAUAAAUGUUUAGAGUAAAUUUUUAGGUUGAAAUAUAAUAAAAAGGUAUAAUCGUUCUCUUAUUAAACACACAUACUUUUAUUAGUUUCUAUCCAUUUGUCAUCUCAAUCUCUCUCAAUUAUUCUUUAUUGCGAGCUCAAAACGCGUUGUUGUUGCAAAUUAUAGCAAAAUGACAAAUAUGGAAAAAAAUGGAAGAAAAUUAAUGCAUGAAAGACUUGGAGAAAACAACAAAAUAAGCCAACUAUGAGCUAGUUGGGUGUAUAAAUUGUUAGAUGUGUUAUAUACAAAUAGCGUAGAGCCCUCUAGUUGGUUCCAGAGACAGAAAGAGCGUGUGUGUUUUUUCACAGUUAGAGAUAUAGUUAGAAUGGGUGGUUCAAAAUCAAAAAUGAUGAUAAUGUUUAUUAUGUUAUUAAUAAUAUUUAAAAGUAGGUGGAGUGAGGGAUGUUUGGAUCACGAGAGAUUUGCUCUUUUGCGAUUCAAACAUUUCUUCAAUGAUCGUCUUAAUUAUCUUUACGACUGGGUAGAUGGUGAGGGAGCUACUGAUUGUUGUCAGUGGGAAAGGGUUGAGUGCAGCAACACCACAGGCCGAGUGAUAGCGCUAGACCUUAUUGAUACGUAUGGGGGAGAGCACAGCUGGUAUCUGAAUGCUUCUUUGUUUACUCCUUUCCAACAACUUGAGUCACUUGAUUUACAUGGCAACAACAUAGCCGGUUUUGUUGAGAAUGAAGGUGCUUCAUUUAAUUUAAUUAAUUUACUUUCUCCCCCCUAAUUUAAGUUGAAUAUCAAGACCGAGCAAUGAUACGCAUAUUCAUUUAGUCGACAAUUUUGACUUUUUUUAAAUGAUUAAUUUUGAAAUUACACCAGUAUCUAUGAUUAUUUUUUUUAUUUUAUUUGCAGGCAUAGAGAGGCUAUCAAGAUUAAACAACUUGAAGGUGCUUGAUUUAAGUGAAAACUCGUUCAACAAUAGCAUCUUAUCAUCUCUAACUCGUCUUUCAUCAUUAAGAUCAUUAAAUUUAUAUGGGAAUAGAUUGGAAGGAAGUAUUGACGUUAAAGGUACAUAAUUAAAACUUCAUCCCUUCUCCAAGCUCUUUCAUUAACUUGCUAAAAUAAGAUUCAAGGCUUUGAAUUCAAUUUUUUUUAUGAUUAGUAUUAAAAAAAAAAACAGUUUUAAGCAAUUUAUAAAUACAAGUUUUAAUGUUUCUCAUAAUUUCAUCUUGUACUUUCAUGUGUCUUGAAUUUAAGAUUAAAAAAAAAUCUAAUAGCAAACCAAACACCUCCACAACUUAUUGUUAUUAUUAUUAUUAUUUGUGGUGAGGUUUGAAACAUUCAACUCAAUUUGUACUUAUUACAGAAUUUGAUUCUUUGAGAGAUUUAGAGGAGCUAGACAUUGGCAGGAACAAGAUUGACAAAUUUGUGGUCUCAAAAGGUACUACAAAUACCAUAAAAAAAAUGCUAACUUUUACAAAUUAGCUGGAUUCUUUGCCAUUUGGUUUAUUAUUUUACAGAUUUGAGUAAGUUGAAGUCUCUUGGUUUAAGUGGUGUCAAACUCAACCGUAGCAUCUUAUCUUCUCUGACUGUCUUUUAUUCGUUAAGAGAAUUAGAUAUAAGUGAAACCGGAUUCAAAGGAACAUUCGAUGUUCGAGGUAAGCCUAAACCCUGCUUUCUCAUUUUAUAUAUGCCAACUAGAUUUGUGUAUCAUCGACAUAAUUUAAUAUUUAAUUUGAUUAGUCUGAAGGAAUUACAUGCUAAUUUAAACAUACUUUUAUUUACUCUGUCAAUCAAUUAAUUAAUUAAUUACUAUUUGGCUUGGUUUGGACGAAAUUCUCAUGAUGUUUUAAUUUCUUUAAAUUGAUUAAUUAAUUAACUCUGUUUUUAAGUCUUAAGUCUGGGCAUGUUUACAGAUUUUGAUUCCUUCAAUAACUUAGAAGUGUUGGACAUGAGUGGCAAUGAAAUCGACAAUCUUGUGGUUCCUCAAGGUAAACAAUUAAAAUAUUAUUCAAUUACAUUAUUUUAAUUCAUUUGAUUAGGGAAGGCCAAACAGGUCCCAAAAAAUAAUAAUAAUAAAGAAACAGAUAAUUUGUAUUAAUUAAAAAACAAAAUGUAAUAAAGAUUUGAUUCCAGUUCUUUAAUCUUUAAAGCGAUUGAAAAACAAUGUUGCUCUUUUCCCAAAGCAUAAAAUACAAAUUGAAUGGCAAUUAACUUAAUCAUUCAUUUCGUUUAGCUCUAAAUUUAGACAAUGAAUUUUUAUAUUAUUUCAAAAACAGGACGUAAUAGAAUUUUUUAAAAAACAGAAUGUAAUAAAGAUUUGAUUCCAAUUCUUUAAUCUUUACAGUGAUUGAAAAACGAUACCAAUUAAAUUAAUCAUUUAUUUCGUUUAGGUCUAAAUUUAGAAAAAUGAAUUUUGAUUAUCUUCAAUCUUUUCUUAAUUAUUAUUAAUAAACAGGUUACAGAGGUUUGAGGGCUGAAAAGCCUUGAUCAUUCCCAUCCCUCAACACUCUUUACCUUUGGGAUAAUAAUUUUACAGAAACAGUGACUAGGCUAGCUAAGUGAAAAGGUACAGAUGUGGCCAAAUUUAUAAAUAAAUUGUUAAUUAAUUAAUUUUUCCGUAUUAUUAAUAAAGCGAAAUUCGUUGCUCCUUCCUUCUAAAUCUAAACAGAGUUGCACAAUUUCACCAACUUGGAAUAUUUGUCAUUGGACGAUUCCUCUCUCAAUUUAAGCCUUCUGCGAAGCAUUGCAUCAUUAUUCCCUUCAUCAUUAUUCCCUUCAUUAAAAAAUCUUUUUCUUCAUUAAAAAGAAAAGCGUUGAUUGUGAACUCACUCAAUGGUUUCCUACGUGUUCAACAUGUUUGUUUAUUUAUUUUAUUGUUUAAUGUUUCUGCUAGGUUUUCCUCAUUUCAAGAGUUUGGAACAUUUGGACAUGAUGUCCACGCGCAUUGCACUCAACACCAGCUUUCUUCAAAUCAUCGGUGAAUCGAUGCCUUCUCUUAAGUACUUAUCGCUGUCAGAUUCUAACAGCAGCAGGAUUCUUGAUCGAGGUUAAUCAGAUGCUCCCACCCUCCCUUCUUAAUCUAUAAUAUUAAUUUUCAAUUCAAUAUUCAAUUACACAAACCAAUCACUUAUUAUAAAUGAAUAAUACGCAUUCAUUAAUUUUUAUAUUGUAUUAAUAAUUGAUGAAUUUAAUAAAUUUUCAGGCCUCUGUUCGUUGGUGCAUCUACAAGAGUUGUACAUUGAUAAUAAUGAUUUAAGAGGUAGCUUGCCUUGGUGCUUGGCAAAUAUGACAUCCCUCCGAAUAUUAGAUGUUUCUUCCAAUCAACUUACGGGAAGCAUCUCCUCAUCUCCCCUCGUUCAUUUGACAUCCAUUGAAGAGUUGAUGCUUUCAAACAAUCACUUCCAGAUCCCAAUUUCACUUGAACCAUUUUUCAAUCACUCAAGACUUAAGUUUUUCUAUGCUGAAAAUAACCAAAUAAAUGCAGAAAUAACUCAGUCACAUUCUUUGAUCCCCCCAAAAUUCCAAUUAUCACGUCUCUCAUUGUCUUCCGGUUAUGAAGAUGGCGUCACAUUCCCCAAAUUCCUUUACCAUCAACAUGACCUGGAGUAUGUUGAUCUCUCACACAUAAAGAUGAAUGGAGAAUUUCCAACUUGGUUGUUGGAAAACAACACAAAGUUGAUACAACUUUCUGUCGUCAAUGAUUCUCUUGCAGGACCUUUUCGGUUGCCAAUUCAUUCACACAAGCAGUUAAGACUGUUGGAUAUAUCCACCAACAACUUCCGAGGCCACAUUCCAGUAGAAAUUGGAGAUGUUUUACCAAGUUUAUACGUUUUCAACAAUUCCAUGAAUGCUUUAGAUGGUAGCAUUCCCUCUUCAUUUGGUAAUAUGAAAUUCCUCCAAAUUCUAGACUUAUCCAACAAUCACUUGACUGGUGAAAUCCCCGAGCACUUGGCCGUCGGUUGCGUCAACUUGGAGUCUCUUGCAUUAUCAAACAACAACUUAGAAGGUCAUAUGUUCUCCAGAAACUUCAACCUGGCAAACUUGAAAUUGUUACAAUUGGAAGGCAAUCGCUUCGUAGGAGAGAUCCCACAAAGUUUGUCUAAAUGCUCUUCACUAGAAGGAUUGCAUCUUAAUAAUAAUAGUCUCUCGGGUAAGAUUCCACGAUGGUUGGGUAAUCUCACAUGGUUACAAUAUAUUAUAAUGCCCAAUAAUCAUCUUGAAGGCCUUAUUCCAGUGGAGUUUUGUCAGCUUGAUUCGCUUCAGAUUUUGGACAUUUCAGACAACAACAUAUCUGGAAGUUUACCAGCUUGUUUCCAUCCUCUCUCUAUCAAACAAGUUCAUCUUUCAAAAAAUAUGUUACAUGGACAGCUAAAAAGAGGUACAUUCUUUAAUUGCUCUUCCCUUGUGACAUUAGAUCUUAGCUAUAACCGCUUGAAUGGCAGCAUUCCGGAUUGGGUUGAUGGACUUUCUCAGUUAAGCCACCUUAUCUUAGGUCACAAUAAUCUUGAAGGUGAAGUGCCAGUUCAAUUGUGCGAAUUGAACCAACUACAAUUGUUAGAUCUUUCUAAUAAUAAUCUUCACGGUCCUAUUCCUCCUUGCUUUGAUAACACCACACUUCAUGAAAGUUACAGCAAUAGUUCUAGUCCUGAUGAGCAAUUUGAAAUAUUUUUUUUCAUCGAAGGCCCUCUGGGAGAUUUAAAAGAGCAAAUCCAUGAAAUUUUUGAGUUCACAACAAAGAACAUUGCGUACAUUUACCAAGGAAAAGUGCUUAGCCUCCUAUCAGGACUUGAUCUUUCUUGCAACAAGCUAAUCGGUGAUAUUCCUCCUCAAAUUGGAAAUUUGACAAGGAUUCAAACAUUGAAUCUAUCACACAACAACUUGACAGGAUUGAUCCCAUCAACAUUUUCAAACUUGAAGCAUAUCGAAAGUUUGGAUCUUUCCUACAAUAAAUUGAAUGGGAAAAUCCCUCAUCAACUUGUGGAGUUAAAGGCAUUGGAGGUUUUCAGUGUGGCAUACAAUAACUUAUCAGGCGAAAUUCCAGAAUGGGAAGCACAAUUUGCAACCUUCAACGAGAAUAGCUAUGAGGGAAAUACUUUUCUUUGUGGACUGCCAUUGCCCAUUUGCAGAUCACCAGCAACUACGCCGGAGGGUUCAAUCGGCAAUGAACGAGAUGAUAAUUUAAUUGACAUGGACAGUUUCUUUAUCACAUUUACAACAUCGUACGUAAUUGUGAUAUUCGGAAUUGUUAUUGUUUUAUAUGUAAAUUCUUAUUGGCGACGUAAAUGGUUUUACUUUGUUGAAAUGUGGAUAACUUCAUGUUAUUAUUUUAUUGUAGACAAUCUUAUUACAACAAGAUAUUGUCAUUGAAAUUAAUUAGCAGUUUAAUUACGAUUCUUUAAGUUCUAAUCAAGUUUGCACUUGAUCGCCUAUUUUACUUUAAAAAAUAAUGAUUAUGGUGCUAUCAUCAUCUUCUUCACUAGCAACAUUAACACCAAAUCCAGCGAUGGACCCAGACAUUUUAUCAAGAUAUAUAUAAUAAAGUUGAAGCUUGACAAAAAAUUUAGGAAGAUUAAUGCCUCGCCACAACAAGGGGCACAACAACAUCAAAGCAGAGAUGAAGCAAUAUUCUCAAAGCUAAAACUCUCCAAUCCACCCACCAGAAUUUCAUAUCUCCUCAACAAUUUUAAGAACUAAAGAUAAUUAGGAUAUAACAUUAGUUUUUUAUAUAUUAGUUUCAUAAUUUACAAAUCAAUGAAGAUGAAGAUUAUGUUAAUGAAUUCAAAUUAUACCAUACAUUCUCGAGAUGCUACCAAAAAUUUCUAAGUCAAUCCCACAUAUUUCAUAAUUUUAAGACUAGAAAAUUUCAUUAGGUAGAAGUUUCAUUACCUUCAAGUGGAAGAUGAAGAACAUUAUACAAUUGAUUCAGAUUAUAUCAUACAUACUCCAAAUGCAACUAGAAAUUAACAAGUUCAUGCGCACAGAUUUCAUAACAUUAUGAAUGGAAAGUUUCACAAAGAGAAAUUAUAAAUUCAAUCUCUUGCAUCAAGGUAGUUUGAUUGAUUUGAGUUACUUUCUGAUCAAGCUAUUAAUAUAACAUUCAAGUCAGGGAGAAAGUAAAUUAAAACUGGGAAGAAAUAACAGUAAAAAUUUGUUGCUAAACAUGAUGUGUAUUUUUUUUUUAAGGCAAUUUGGAAACACAGUUGUUACUACAGAUAUUCUCCUCAACUUAGAGAUAAUACAAAUAUUAAAAUGCAUAUGAUCGCACAUAUUACUUGGAGCUUAGUAAGAUUUCAUUAAGAGAAGCAAUCAAACCACUUAUCGUUGCAAUCGUUCUAUAAGCUAAAAUAGCAAUAUAAUACAAGAAAAAGAACAUAUAGAUACUUGGCAAGAGUUCAUUAAGAAGUCGCAUCACAUUCGGGUGAGGAGUUUGCUUCUGAUAUCUUGCUAGCUGCGGCUUUUUCUUGUCUUUCUACGUAUGCCGAGGGAAACCAACCAGCUUGGCCCUUGCAUUCACCUUCCGACCAUCCAGUAGGAGCCACCUUGAGAAGUUAUAACUAAAACAGUGAAUUAAACAACAGUUGACUGUUCAAAGACCUAAGGGGAAAUUCUUUUACGUAGGAGGAGUGAAUUAGUUGUGAUCACUGAAAUAACAGCAUAACUAUGGAAGCAUAACAAGAUAUAAAUUCACACGUCUAUAAGGGUAAACUGGGUGGUUUAGAACUGAGCUAGCAACCCUACUAUAUUCUGAUUUGCACUUCAAUGUAAAAGGGAAUAUAUGGUAGGAAGAAAGAAAACCAACCAUCAUUUGUUAACUCAUUGCUUUUCAAUCAAAAUUUUAAGAACAAAAUGCCAUGUGCUUUGAACAUCAAAUAAGUAUAAGCAUUAGUUCUAAAUUCCACAUAUCAUAAUUUAGAAGGAUAAGUUAAUAGCAUAGUAGAAAAAUCUAUGUGUUGUUAUUUAGAGGGGAAAGUACCCGGCGAACCACAACAUAAUCAUCAAUUGAAAGACUUAGCUCUCCAUUUGCUUGAGCAUCAAAUGGAUGUAUAACCUGCAAGAUAAUGGGAUAAAUAGAACUUAAUCUUAAAAAAAGCAUAACAAAAGCAGCAACAGUAGCAGCAGCGUUCAUUGUAACCACUAUGAUCAUGGCCAACAAAGAUAUAUUAGAAACAAAAUUCCAUUUUUACUACGACAUUAAUAUGUACUAUAUGAUAUCAUGACGAUUGGGUUACCAAGAGCUAUCAAAGUCCAAUAAGUUCUGUAGAACUUUAUGUAGUUAUUCAAAUUAUGGAUCAGAUUUUAAAUCUGAAAUUUUGACUGCUCUCCACAAAACAUGGCCUACGCACAAGAAAGUCAUAGAUAAUGAGGAUUACAAGUGGCUGACAUCUUUUGAGGGAUGGAUUUAACAUGAGAGCUUAUGGUCAGUCAAUUUCCUCCGCCUAGCAAUAUAAGCUUUCUCGGCCAGAUUUAUCAUCAAAUACAUAGAUUGCCCCAAGUCACAUCCAUAUAAACAUAGUUUUUCUAGGUAAACCAAGCAAGGAGAAUCAUAAUUCAGACAUAAUCAUAAAAAGGCCCAUCUAACUUAAGAGAAAAUCUCAAAAAGAGGGAUGUUGAGCUAUCAGUCUUGUAUCCAUAAGGAAUGUCAAGACUUUACAUCACCUGCUACAUCGUGAGUGGCUACACAACUUUCAGUGGUUUGUCUUUCUUUGGCAUGCCUAACUCAGCUUUGAUGUUGCUGAGAUAUUGAUAGUAGAGACACAUGAUACUUCUAGCUCAUGCAUUCUAUCUAGCUCAUCCGACAACUAUCUCUUUUUUAAUUCAUUAGUGUUUGCUAAACCUCAUGCUUAAAAGUCCUGUUGUUCUAAACAAAGUUUCCUAAGAAUGACUUCCUCAGCACCACAUUUGGACACUUUUAGAGCAAUUUUAUUUGGGGGAAAAGAAUUUUCAAGGUGUUAACUAAUAAAUUUUAAAAAAUAAUUACAAUUUGUCCUACAAUUAUAUGACAAUUUAUUUGGGAUGAAAGGAUACAGACAGACAUCUUCCACUUUCAAGACUAAUCACUACUUCCGUAGAUGUUUUGCAAUAAUAAAAAUACUUGACCAGAUGGUAGAAAAAAAUUUUAUUGCUCCAAAAUUAAAAUAGGAAUGCAAUAUGUUAAGCAAAAGACUGUGCAACAUCAAAUUAAUUGAUAAGUUUGUAAUUCAGUAAAUUAACAACUUUCAUGGUCAAAUAUAACAAAUUUCUUUUAAAAAAAAAUUAAAAAUAAAUAAAUCUUAAAAGACAACAUUCAAUUUUGUGCGCAUCUUAUUUCUUAAGAUUUUCCAGGAGGGCAAUAGAGGGACUUUCACCUAUGCAAUAGAGAGCAGAAGCCUUACUUUCGCUAUAAAGUAGACGUCAUUCUGAUUAAUAUGCGUUUGCAAAUCAGCUCCAUUUGAAUCAGUAUUCUGAUAGACACACGAGGCAUUUACAUCCAUUUCCAAAGUCACAUGUUGCGAGGAGGACUCAUUUGAUUGCUCCUCUAGGAUCAUCUAAUUCAAGUAGCAAGGGUUGGAAGAGAAUAAAAAGUCACAAUUAUUCUUUUGCAUAAGUGAGACGAAGAUGAUAAAUGCAAUAUUAUCAGCAGUAAUAACGUGUUGAUGAUAUGCUUUCUCAGCAUCUACCUGCAAAGGCCCGAGACCAGGAAAACAACAAUAAAACCACUAGCUAAAGGAGAAAGUAAAGAAAGAAAUACACUUGACAUAAAUCUUGACAAGAAGCACAAUUUAAGACAUAACAAACCCCAAUCAUAUUGUUUAGAACUACCAUUCGUUAUUUCGUUAUUGUUGCAUUUCGAACAAGUGUUGACUUAAUUCAACAUUGUUGGAAAGAUAGGCUUUUAGAAGCGGAAGAAAGCCACUCAAACCAAAGUGAUUGUCCUUGUAUUGAUCAAGGGAUGUAAACAUAUUACAUUUGCAGGAUGAGUUUUAAUCACUCCCCUGAUUUAUUUGGGUUGCAGUAAAACUAAGCGAGCAACUGUUUGACCUUCAAGCAACAUCUGAAUCAGCUAUUAAAAUUCAAAUAAAAUCAUAAUAGAAUAAUAACAGGCCAUCUUGCAUCAAAAAUUAAGUUUAAUUUGUGAAUUUUUUUCCAUAGACAUGUUAGCUCCUGCUAUUGAAAUGUUAAAAGCAUUGAAAAAUUAUUCAAUAAAUUAUGCAAACAUUAAAAUAGAGGACACAUUAAAAUGUUUCUAAUUACAAUGUUAAUAUUUCCUAUAUUUUAGCAUUUGAAUAUUUUAAUUUAUUUAAAAGCUACGUCGAUCAACUUUGGGCGUGAAGAUUUUAGCUUCUACGAGACUUGAUUGGAAUAUGCAUAAGGAAGAGUGUUAAAAUAUGAUGCAUCCAACGAAAGACAAACCACGUGUAGUCUUUUAAUUAAGCCAAAGUAGCAGCUCAAACAAAUGACACUUGGACCAACAUGCAAUCAUGAAGUGGCCGGAAAAAGGACAAAUGCAACUUUGGCUUAAAUAAAAAAUAACAUGUGACUUGACUUUUGCUGGACAUGCAUCAUGUUAUUACAAGACAACAGAAAUCAGUAUGAUAGUACUAAAAGUUGACAAUAACAUGAAGAUAAGAGGCAGAAUGUCAACACAUGCAUAGGCACACACAAGAAAGUAUUAACUUAUAUACCAUAGCAAAAAGUCUUUGAUAUGUCAUCUGUUGCUGCUGUGAUUCAACUGACAGCAUGGCAGCUGUUGCUUCUCUACCAAGAGCCAUUAUUGUAGAUUUAAGCUCGGUCAAUCUUGCUUCUGCAUUUCGAAGCUUCACAGCACUCUCUGCUGAUAUAUCAGAUUCCCUAAUCUUUGAUCGGCGCCUAAAUACUUCAGCUGCCUGGUGAAAAUAUUCAAUAUAAAUCUAACAUAAUUCUAAUCUUACCUGGGCUUCAACUUCAUGUCGAAGUUUGUCAUAACGAUGAGUCAGGUGUCGAGCAUCUUCCAAAGGUGCUCCGUUGAUUAACGCCCGUAGUGGCUCAGAUACCUACAUGUCCAAAAACCUGUAACAUAGUUAGAAAAAUGAAAAGAAAGAGCGAAACCUCAAUUAAAAAGUUCCUCCAACAUAAUCAUGGAAUUUGGGCCUACUUCAAGGAUAUAUAUAAGGAUAAUUUAUGCAAUUUUGGGUCUUAGGAUGAUUCAUAUUAGGUUAGUGUUCUUCUCUUCUGUAUUUAAGGUUAAAAUAGAAAUAAACCUAUGCAAAUAUAUAAAUUAGGGCUGUAAGACUUCCACAUGCAUCCUUCAGUCUCAUGGAUUUGAUUUUACUAUAGAUGCAAGUGUCGUUAUCGAAAAUGCUUGGAGUCAAUUGAGAGAACUCACGGCCAAAAACUUGUCACACGCUAGUCUUUGCUAGUGAUGUAAGAAGUCACAAGGUCUCUUCAACAUUUGAACCAAUAAAAUUAUUAAGUCAUGGAUGUCACUAGCAAUGAUUUUAAUAUAAAACAUUAAAUAUUUCAGAGUUGUAACUUUAAAAUGGAUUCUUUUAUUCAAUAUCUUAGAACUAAGUUUCCUUAUGAGAAGAUAAUAGUUUCAGUAGUAAUUUACAUAUAAUUUUCUAUAUUUGAAUUAUUUUCUAGUUAGGGAUGAACUAACCUGAUCACGAAGAAUCCCAAGCAAAGUUUCCCUCUCAUUUUCCAUCAAAUCAUGUGAAGUGCCAAAUUGAACAGCAGCUCUUGCAACGCAAGAAUUGUCACUCUGAUUCUCCGCUCCAUACUUGCAACAAUCUUCGGCCAACUUUCUCGCUACAAUAUUUGAAUACAAAAAUAUUGUACACAAGAACUAGUCAAGAAAAAAAAAAAAAUCAAAUAUUAUAACGAGAGCAAGAGCAAACGAACAACCUAUUUCCAUUUGUUUCAAGCUUACUGCAACAAACACUUCAACGCCACGGACAACAUUCCUCUGAAAAUGCUGCGCUACAGAGCAUAUAUUCCAAAUUAUUGUUCAGAUAAAACCAUAGAAACCAUCAUAAUUAUUCAACAUACAUUAAGCUCCGUUUGGUAAAUACUUGCAACUUCAGUCUAGAAAAUACAGUUAAUUUUUAUUUAAAAAAACAUCAUAAUUAUCAACAUACAUAUUUGACAAAAUUAUUAUUUAAAAAUCAUAACUAAUUACCAAAAGCCACAAUAAAUCAAUAUCAAACAGAGUCUUAUUAUUAGCUAAAGGAGGAUGGUGCCUUAGCUGCCCUGGUGGAAUUGUAUAGAUUUUGAAGUUGUUGGUGACACUCAAUUUCAGCUUCAUCAACCGCAACAUUUUCAAUGCCAAGAUGGAGCAGAUGCUUCAAUACUGCCUGUACAAACCAUAAAAAACUAAUGAAAAAUAAAUAAAAUCGAGAAAUUUCACUAAUUAAAAGUCUAAAUAAUUCAAAAACAAAAAAAGAAAAGAAACGGACUUGCUGCUGCUUGGCGACUUGUUCUCGGAGCUUGAUUGCCUGUUUCUUGAUAGCUUCCAUACUGUUUCUUUCAAAAAGCGACGACGGCUCAGCUCAUGGAAGUGGAAAAAAAAAAGUGUGAUCGAGAAAAAUGAAAAGGCGUGAAUAAUUUUUGACAAAAAGCGAAAAUCAAGGAAAGCCGGCUCUUUCCAGAAAAUAAAAAAGAAAAAAGAAAAUUAUAAGUUUGAAAGGAGAAGAUGAUAGUGGAAGUGUGCGGUGUGGCUGCCAGCUACUUGAAUUAUAAGAAAUUUUUUUUUUUUUUGGAGAAAAAUAGUAGAGAAUUUUUUAAGAAUCUAGAAUAACUGCAUCACUUCUUAAUCGCUUGCUUUAACUGCAUCGCUCUCUUUGUGCUCUUCUAUAUAUGUAACGGUUAUGCGGUUGUAGUUCACCACUGAGGCUACAUGUUGGUUUGACGUGGCAGUUACGUUACAAGGGGAUAAAUAAGAUUGGUUUCAACAAACCCACUAAUUUUAUAAAAUUCGAGUAAUAUAGAAUAAAAUAAAAAAAUAAAUACAAAAUGGGCUUUUACUUUUUAUGGUUGACUGUAUUUUGUGUUCUCUUCUGGCACUACUACAAUUGUUCCCUAUAUAUCAGUCACAGCCAUAUAUCAUUAACACAAGAAAUGAAAUCUAAUGUCACCUAUUUAGUUAAAGAAUCACUCAUGAAAAAAAUUUACCAUUUUGAUUUGAGGAUCCAUAUUUUGAACUGCAAGCUAAUGUUCAUUAAGAAUCCCUAAUGUUCAUAAAAAUCAGAGUAUGGCCAUUGAGUAGAAAAACUAUUUUUGGACAAAUUAUUUUUGUUGAUAGAAGAAUUUCUUAAGGGACUACUAAAAUUAUUAAUAAAAAUGUAGAACACACCCACAUAUCAUCGACACAAUUGACUUUGAGGAUCCAUGCUUUGAAUUGCUGCCUAAUGUUCAUCAAGAACAGAGUAUGACUUGUGAGUAGAAAAUUUUAUGAUUUUGGCCCGAAAUAAAAGGAAAUUAAAUUAGAUGAGAAUCUGCCACUUUCUCAUGAAGAAAGGCAUACGGAGCAUACCAUGGUACCAUACAAUACAAAGAGUCUCUGUUCUCUGGUUUUUCAAACUCUGAAGGGGCCAAUAUUCCCGAAUUCCCCCUUGAAAAUUCUGAUUACGACAUUAUCCAUCGCUUGACGCAAUCAAAGUAGCGACAAAGUUAUGAAAAAUAUGAGUCCUAAGUAAUUGCUAGGUAGGGUUCCUGAGAGUAAAAUUGUCCUAAGCAUUAUAUGCAUACAUGGUGUGGUACAUAGAGCACGUUGAAUUCCCCACUAUAACACAAACCCAGAAAGACAAGUAAUAACUCAACUGAUAUAAAGACAAAAAGAAGAUAAAAUGAUAUAGAAAAAAGAAUUUCAAAGAGACAGCAACAUACGAUAGACUGAAGCCACUUGAUCUGCUCAUUGAUUGCAGCCUUAAACUCGCAAAUAGUUACUGUACGCUAGUGCUCUAAGAAGUGAAAAUGAUGCGAGCCCUGAUUCCCUUUUGACUUCCAUUUAUUGUCAAACAUUCUAGUAAUACAAAAAAUUGUUUAGAUAUCUCGCUAUAAAUAUAGCCGUUUGACUGUCAUAAUAAAGUCACAAAUAACCAUUCAUAUUGAUCCACUGUCACACAACAUGCUUUAUGCAUACAACAACUGUAUGUAUACCAACUCCUAACCUUAUCAAUACAUUUGGCAAAAACUUAAGAAGAAAACUAUUUCUCCAUCUCUUUUUUGAAAUUUCACAAUAAACCAGCACAUUGUAAACGUUAUGUUGUAACCUUAUGAUAAAUGCUCUAGACUCCAAAUGAAUUUUAUAUAUGAGGGUUUGUUGCAGCAGAUAUAUUGACUUAUCAAGUAUGAAUCAUUGUCUAGAAGAACUAUCUUUAGAUAAAAGAACAUUAGAACCACUAUAGAAUAUCUUUAGGCUGCUGGUUCUAACAGGAAUCUGCGUGUGGCAACAAUUGCUAGAUCCACAAUUCCCCAACUUGAAAUACAUAGUUGCACACCGUGAGAUAGUGCUGCAAUCUACUGAGAUCUAACUUAUAUGAUAUUUUAAGCUACUAAUGUUUGCAUAUUUCUACAUGUUAAAUUAAGCAGCUUUUGGCCACUUAUUACUAGCAUCCACAAUUAAUUUUUGUUCAGUAAUCAGCUUAUUUUAAAGAAAUUGAUUUAGUCAACAAGAAACACUAUAAUCCUUGAAAUUAGUUCUUGUUCUUUGUAAUUAUGUAUGAUCUUUCAUACAUCAAUUAAUCUGCAGUACCAAGAUGAGGUUUUCAGAGAAUUGGGGGUGAACUAGCUAGGUGGUUUACUGUUAAAGAUAUAGUUGCAGCUGAGCUAAACAGAGUAGCUGGAGGUUGCUGAACAGUUACAUCAAAAGACGGGAUCAUAGUCUAUGCAUUGAACAGUUACAGUUGCUGCUACCAAUUGCUUCGGCAAAGAUCAAGAAGACUGAACGGGAAGUUAAUGCCAUCAAUGUCGUCUUCACUAUAGCUGCUGGGAAUGUAGGUGAACUUUCCUCAUUUGCAGCUGUCUAUACAUAGGCUUUUCCCCAGCUUAAGUACAAAUAAAUGAACCUGCCUUGAAGGCUUUAUUAUUGACCCCAAUAAGGAUUACUAAUUGAAGAAGACUAUACGGAGUUAAUCCCACACUCUCGUUCUCUCAAUUUCUUUCAGAAGUGCCUCUGAAAAUAGCUGCCAAACCGUUAGUCAGCUUGUAUACUCUGUUUUCUGGAAACAGAGCCCUCACUAACUGACUGUACAGAGUAAGUCAACAUAGCAUAUUUAAUCGUUUUAAUUGAAUUAUCUUCGCAGCGAUCAUCAACAAACUCAUCAUAAGAUAUUUGAAGCACCCAAGGACUAUCACUGGGUUUCUCUUCUGGUUGAUUUAUUAAUUAAUCAUAGAACGGUUGGAUACCCAGCGACAAUUAAAAUUAUUCGACUUCUGGAACUAGGAAUGAAGUGCAAUGAUGGAGCAAAAUUUACAAUGUCUCCGGUUUCUCCUGACCAUCGGACUUUUGCAGUGAGAACAUAUAACAAAAAGGCCUUCAUCAAAAUUUGUAGACUCCGGGUAUGGAUUGGAUUGAGUUUUUUGUUUGAUAUUGAAGAACCUCUUUACUAUCGCGAUAUAGAUUAUGUGCAAGGAGUUGUCUACUGUUCUUUGCCUUGUGCUAUGAUCGGUGCUCUUGAGACUGCCCUGAAACACAGGAAAAUACUUCGAUAUCCUCCGUUCGAUGAUGCAAAGAACCGGUUAAUGUAUGAUUAUCUAAUUGACUCAGGAUCAGGUAACAACAACAACAAUUUAUUAAUAGUAAUAUCACAAACGAAGAAGAUUUCGGAGAGGGAGAUGUAUGCGUAUACUGUUUACAGGUUUGAUCCACUGGGGAUGAAGUGGUCUCAAGUGGAAAGUGAUUUAUUAAACAACAAAUCGUUGUUCUUGGGUUAUACCUCAUGAUGUCAUCAAGUGGAAGAUGAAGAUUAUGCAAGACGAAGAUCGUUUGAUAUUGAAGAAUUUGAACAGAAAGCCCAUAGAAAGUACUUAAAUAAGCAUAUUCUUGUUGGGGUAGAAUAUUGAGAAAGGAGUUGUCUACUGUGUGUUGCGUAAUUAUGCUAUGAUCGGUGCUUUCAACAUUGCCCUGAAAACAGUGGGAAAUACUUCAUAUCCUCGACAUGAUGAUGAAAAAUUGGUUACCGAUUACCUAAUUGACUCAGGUGACAACAAUCCAUUAAUAGCACAAUUUGACGUGAUGCCGUUUAGGUAUAUGGUUUUCAAGUUUGAUUCAUCAGUGAUGAAGCGGACUAAAAUUAAAAGUUUAAAUGAUAAGUCAUUGUUCUUGGGCAUAUCGUCAUUACUACUUCCAGUGAUCAACGAUGAAGAUGAAGAUGAAAAUUGUGCGAGUUCAAGAUUACCAUUUAUCAUUACUUGGGAUAUUACUUCAACAUAGAUGGGGUUAUAAUUUACUCCCACGAACAUCAACUCAACUUUAUGAUUGGAGUGUCUCACCGUGACUCAGACAAAUUCUGAUUCAACCUCCUUCACCAAUGGAUUUUGAUUAGUUAUUUUGUGAUCAAGCAACUUAAUUAAACUCAGUUUGUUAGUCUAAUUUUAGUUUUACUGUGACCACUAUUCAAGGUAAGCGAAAGUUACAGAUGUGGCAAAAUCAAUAAUUAAAUUCAUAAAAUGUUAAAAAAUAAAACUUAUAAAUGUUGCAUGACUACUUACUAAUAAAUAAAUAAGUUAGAAUGUAGUUAUUUAAUUUUACACCAUAUUAUAUAUUAUUCGAUAAUAAUAUAAAAUAAAAAUAAUUAAAAAAUAAAUAAUUGAAUAAACAAAUAUGGCUUUCUAAACAGUAAAAAUUCUAGAGUUAAAAUUUAUAUUAUUAUUUUAUUUUUUAAAAUUGACAUUUUUCUAUUGUCUUACAUGUAUAAAGAUUUUGAGAGUUGAGAAGAAUAUAUUUAAUGAAGCUUGAUAACAUUUGAUGGGAUAGCAAGUAAGGGUAAAUAAGAUAUUUUUAUUUGUUAUUUAUUUGAAUUAUAUCUAUUUUGUUCAAGUUAAAAUACUAAAUAUAAAUUGGAGGUAGACAUUUUAACAGAUCAUCUAAGCUCUCAAAUCUGAAAUUUUGUGUAGAUUUAAAUUCAUAAUUUUAGUUAAUUUUCAUACAUUCAUAUAAACAAAUUUAUGAGAUUUUUCUUUUCAGCAUGUUAUAUUUUGAAACUUUCAAUGUAUUAUUCUAGCUUUAUUUAAACAAUUAAUUUAUUUAAAAUUUAUUUAAUUUUGAAUUUGAUCAGUAGUAAAAUUAUUUUUAUAUCAAAUUUUUUUAUUUAAAUAGUUCGUGGAUUGGACAAAAUUAAAAAUUUUUAAUCCACAAAAUGGUGGAUUAGAUAUGAAUUAGGUUAAAUCCACAUUCGAUCUGCAGUGGUAUGAAUUUGAUUUGGAUUGAAUUUCAUCAAUUCAUGGAUUAGAUUGGAUUGAAAAUUUAUUAUCCGUAAAAUCAUGGAUCGAAUAUGGACUAAUGUCCAAUCAGCAAAAUCCGAUCCCCGAACACGCCUCUAUCAAAAUUUUCAAGAAUAUGUUUUAUCUUACAAAUUUUUUUUAAAGUCAUAGUCUAAUGGCAGCCCAAUUUUAUAAAGUCACACACAACCAUUCUUAUUAAAUUAGCAAGAUCAAACACUGCACUGGAUCUUGAACAGAUCAACACAAGUUGCACAACUUGCGAUUGAAUUCGGCCAGAAACAAUCAACUCUUUAGCAAGAACAAUUAAUCAGAGUCAAGAAACAAGUUUAAUGAAUAUAAACCUAUAAUUGAAACAAACAUAGCCAAGAAAAAAAUACAGAUUUUACACGGUUCAGUUGUACCCAGGAUGGCACAACCUACACCACGAGAGAAGCUUUCUGGUGAGAUUUUAUUGAUGAUCAAAGAAGAAUCUUUUGACAAAGCUAAUAAUAGAGAUUUCAGAGAAUAAGCUAUGACCCUCUCUCCCUCUUCAAUCUCUCUUUAUUUUGUUCCCAUUGAUGACCCCAAUCUGCUUAGUUAGCCAGCUUUAUAGCUGCAUCAGUAACAAACCAGCAAACCCAGAUUGAGCAGAUUGACGACACGUGGAUAACGGCUUUAACGAACCUGGUUAAGAACUGCUCACAUGUUCGUCACGCGUAGGGAUGGCAAAUAUCCAAUUAUGGAUGGAUAAUAUCCAUCCAAACACAAAUCCAUAAUUAUCCAUAAUAGAUAUAUCCAUAUCCAUAUCUAGUAUUUAAUAUUGGACAUGGAUAUGGAUUUUAUCCAUAUAACUAUGGAGAUCCAUGGAUAUCCAUGGAUAUUUUAUUUUUAUUAUAUAAAAAUAAUAAUAUAAAAUAGUUAAAAUAUCCAUAUCCAUAUAACUAAUAAUAUAUAUAUAUAUAUAAUAAAAUGGCGGUCCGGUAGUCGGUGGCGGCGGUCCGGCAACUUUCCGGCAAAUUCCGGCGAAAUUCCGGCGACGGUCCGCGCGAUGUCCGACGGUGGUCCGGCAACUUUCCAGUGAAUUUCGGCGGAGGUCCGGCGACAUUCCGGCGUGGUCCGGUGGUGGUCCGGCGACUUUCCGGUGGAUGUCCAUUUAUAAUAUUAAAUUAAUAAAAUAAAAUAAUAAUUAUUAAUAGUAUUAAAUAAGUUAAAAAAUUAAAGGAUAAUUUUGAAAACUUUAGUUUUUAAUAUAAGAGGAAUUUAAAAUUUUCACUAGUUAAUAUAAUAUUUUUAUAAUUGUUUGUUUAUUAUAUUUUUUAUUUUUUAUUUUAUAAAAUUAAAAAUUUUUUAAACUUGUGUUGGGUUAAACGGAUAUUCAUUGGGUAAAAAUAAUUAUCUAUAUCCAUCCAUAUCCAUCUGGAUAUAAUUUUAAAAUAUCCAUUUCAAAAUCCAAAAAUUUUUGGAUGGAUAUUAUCCGAUCUAAUUGGAUAGAUAUUGUGGAUAUCCAUUAUGGAGCGAUCCAAUUGCCAUCCCUAGUCACGCGUGCUGCUUAAAUGAUGGCCAAAACGACUUCAAACAAAUGUCGUUUUGAGGCUUAUGAAUUACAAGUGAUAACACGAGCUUGUCUCAUGACUUUUAAAUGCAACAGCGUGCCCAAAACGCCGUCGUUUUACUCUGUUGAGUUUGAUUCAUUACUAAGCUUUACGACUGGCACUGGAGAAGAUGAUAAUUUAAUUUACAUGGACAGUUUUUAUAUCACUUUUACAACAUCCUAUGCAAUUGUAAUAUUGGGAAUUAUUGAUGUUUUAUUCUGUGAAUCCUCAUUGGCAAAAACUAGUGGUUUUAUCUUUGUUGAAAUGUAAAUGACCUCUCGUUACUAUUUUAUUAUAAACAUAUAGUUUCGUAAGUGAAACUACAUGUUUAUAAUAAAAUUAACAUAUAGUUUCGUUACAUUUCUGCCUCAUUAAGAUUCUCAAAUACCAGUCAGGUUUGCUUAAGAAAUAAAAUUUUUCCAUUAAAAUUGCAGUAGUAUUUCCAAGCAUAUCGCAUUUUCUAUGAUUUUUCAUAAAUUAAUUAAUCUGCGGUGCCAAUAUCAGAUUUAGUUUUUCAAACUAAAUAAUCAAGAAAGCAAACAUACAAAUAUACAGUUUAGAGGGGUAAACUAGGUAGGUGGUUUAGAUUUUAGAACUAAGCCAGCUACCUCACUAAAUUCCGAUUCGUACAGUGAACUGCAAGAAAUUGAGAAAACAAUGAAUUUAUAAUUUAAUAGAAUCAUAAGAAAACAAUGUAGUCAUUGCUCCAUAUAAGAUGAUGAUUUCGGAGAGGCACAUUGUUUUCAAGUUAAUUUGAUCCGUUUAUAAGAGAUGAAGUGGAAUCAAGUUGAAAGUUUAAAUAACAAAUCCUUGUUCUUGAGUUUUACGACGUCGUUACUCCUUCAAGUGGCAGAUUAUGCAAGUGAAUGCAGAAACACAAUGCAUCAUCCGCGGGGAUGAUACAUCAAAAGGCGGGAUUUGUUUAUGCCUGCAGAUUAGCAAUUUCACUCAUAUAGAAAAUUAAUUUUUUAUAUAUACUAAUCAACACUAAAUUGAUUAUGUGUUGUAUGUUUAUAUGCUAAUCAACACGAAAUUAUAUUGAAUUAUUAACAUUCAUAUUCCUAAUAAAAAUUAUUUUCCAUCAGUAUUCAAAAUUUUCACUUAUGGAAAAUGCGUUUUAUGUGAAUACUAGUUAUUGUGUAAAUUUGAAUGAUAGCGAAAAAUAAACCUAUUUGAAAACUGUAAGGGUGUGUUGGGAUAUUUUACAACUGUCGGAAUCUGGUAGGAUAUUGCACCAUUUGCCCAAUAUUUUUAGACGUACUCUAACCGGUAUUCAAGAUAAGUAAAAGUUACAAGCGUGGCAAAAUAAAAAAAUAAAAUUUGUAAUUUGUAAACGAAUUUUCCUGACAUGUAUAGUAGAUGAAGUUGUUGAUCCUUUCUUUGGAUUAUUUCAGCUCUGGUUGUUGGUCACCGAUGAGCCGAAGUCUUAUUUUAAUUUUAUUUAAACUCAUCAUAAGAUUCGUGGAGCACCUAACUAACUUAACUGACUGUGCAGAGCAUCUCAACAUGGCAUAUUUAACCAUCAUUCAAGUGAUGGGUUUAAUAAGACUGCUUUUGUUCUAUCAACUAUCAAGUUCCUCUGCCUCUAAGCAGAAUUACUAUUGAAGGGCCAAAAGGAAAAUGAAAACGUGUGAGCUCCAACAACCACCCCACAAAUUCAAUGACGAUGCUCGGAGAGGGUUAGGUUGGGCCUCUGAGAAAAAAAAAUUAUUUAGUUAAAAAGUUACCCUUAUUGAAACCUGUAUAAAAAUUUUAUAUUAAUUAGUUAUGUUGCCUCUUCAACUAUGAUCAAAUUUUUAUCCGAGCUCAUCAUUUAAUGAGUAAACAUGUAUUUUAAUGAUCUCAAUUAAUAUUUAGAACAAAUAUUUUAAGAAGUAAAGCUCAUUAUAUCUUCCAUUAUUAUGUAUUUCUUUAAUUUCUUAUUUACAUAAUUAUAUUGUACAUUAAAAAUGUAUUGAAUUUGAAGAAAAAAAAAUUCAACUCACUCAAAAAAAAAAAAAAAUGCUGGUAGCUUCGUAAUAAUUACUGUAUUGACUGCACCAGAUAAAGUUUUGUAAAAUAAUAAGUUCUCAUUAGUGGUUUUUAAUUUUUUUAAUUUUUUUUUCCGGCACACCUGAUCAAGAAUUCUAUUUUGUUAACUAAUCAAUUGCAAAGCAUAAGUGUUGAACGGCAAAAAAAUUUAAAAAAACACUUAAAACGUGGGGAAAUGAGAAAUAUAGAAAGAAAGGAAGAAAGUUGAGACAUGAAACUGAUCUGCAGUGAAAUUGAUAAUCAUGUUUCUAUUUCGUUAACUAAUCAAACGGAAAACUGAAACUGUAAACAAACAUUAACACGUGUGGACUCUGCUAGCUGCCCUACAAGUCUACAAUAGUAAUUGAGUACCUUUGAUUCAUCCUUCUAUGAAUUUCUAGCUGUAUUGACCCCAACUGCUAAAGUUUUGUAAAAAAUAAAAAUAAAAAUAAAAAAACUGGAAUUUCAACAAAAUUCAAAACGUGUGAAAUUCAAAAAUGGACUUUGGCCAUGUGGAACAAAAUGUAAAUUAAGGAAAAAGUAUAAAUCUCAAUUGCUUAGUAUGGUUAGGAUUUUGUGAGCAUCACUAAAAAGUGAAAACUAUGAAUGAUAGAGGUGAUGUUUGCAACAUGAAUAAAUGAUGAACUGAAUCAAUUGAUGAUCGUAAUUACAUAAUGAACAAAAUUUACAAAAUCAACAAAAGUUAAUAAAAAUUUAUUUAAAUAAUAAAAAAUCAAUAAAAACUUAUUAUUUAACGACGCUCUAACCAAGGAGUAUCAUAAUCAUAAUCUUCUUUUAAGAAUUAUAACCUAUUUCAAAUAGCACCGCAAUAUAAUUCUAGAUAUUUAAAAGAAAAACAUUAUCCACCUGGAAUGACUUGAAGUCUAAAGAAAAAGAGAGAAUGGCUCCCCGCAAUUUUCUUGUCUUCGGUAUAUUUUCUUUUUUAAAAUCUUUUGCCGCAUACAUAAUCUACCCUUGUUUAUUAUCUCCACUUUGAUCUGUUCAAGUCCAUUUUUUUCAAAUCUUAUUUUAAAUAAUAAAUUGAAUAAAAGUAUAUUUUUGUAAUUAAUUAGUAUUUGAGAGAGGGGAGGGGGGGGGGGGGCAUAUUUUUUGCACUCAGCUAUUAUCAAACAGUUCCUUAACCUAUUUCUCAGUUUAUUUGCUAUCUUUGUGGAUCUCAUGGGCGUGGCAGAAUUUAAUAAUUUUAUUCGUCUGAAGAAUAAGAUAUUGGCUUCAAUAAAUUUAAACCAACUUUUAUUUACUCUAUCAAUUAAUUAAUGCCAUUUUGUUUUAGAUUAGAUUCUUUUAAUGGCUUAGGUACAUACACAGUACCAGAUCCGGAUCCCGGAAAUGGUGCUCUGAAGGAAUGGAGGGAGAAGAAAAGAUUUACAACUGAGGAUUGAGAUCUGGUCUCGUUGCCUCAGAGGAAUGUACAGAUUUUAUGGCAGAUCUGAUAAAAACCAGUCUGCAAACAUGCUUUGAAGAAAGAAUUAGGCGGUUUCUGUAAACAAUUCAAUUAUGACCCCUUUAAAACUUCUACUUCCAAAGAUUGUAAUGGUGAGUGUUCUAAACCUCGCAAAAACAUUACAAAUCUAGAAAUUUUAGGAAACCCUUUCGUAAUUUUAGAGAACUUCCUUAUAAGAAACCUUCGAGGCCUUAUAAGAAACCCAAGUUCCCUAAAAAAGAGUUCAAAGCCAAACCAAAAAACUCCUUUCACUCCUUUCAAUUACAAAGAAGCUAUAUGUCACAGAUGUGGCAUGAAAGGUCAUACUGCAAAGUACUGCAGAAUGAACAAAAAGCUUCAUGAGCAGUUCGUCAUAAGGGAUUCGGUUAUCAUACAGGGUUUUAAUGGAAUUUCUAACCUUCUCUCCAAGGAGAGUUGGUAAUCCUGCAAGGAAUUUUUCUUUCCAAGUUGUAUGAUUAGCAUCAUCCCUAAGGAAAAGACGAGUGAAGAAAGUGGUUUUAUAGCUUUGGAAUUCACUAAGUUUCCUACAUCUUAAAUUAUGUAGUAACUCAGCGUUUUUAUCACGAAGAUGAGAAGGAUCACCAAUUAAAUGGAGGGAAAUUGUCAAAAUUAGAGUAGCAACGGCAUCCUGGAUUGGAUUGUUGAACUCAUCAAGAAUAGGGGCUCCAUUUUCAUCGACUUGUAUAGAAUUUAGAAUGUCUAGUUGUUGCCGAUUAGUGAGAAGAUGAUCCCACCAACCUUUCAAUUGACCAGUAAAACCGGCAAUGAGGAUUUCUGAUAUGGCACGAUCAGAAGUUCCUGCUUGGGUUUUAUAGGCAUUGGCUGCCAUUGUCAUUUGUUGCAACAAUCCUAGAAUAUUAUACUCGGACAUACCAUCAAUAUUCCACUCAUAGACUGAGGAUGCAUUAUAUCGAGAUUGAUUUAAUGCACUUGGUCUAUUAUCUAUUGCUAGAUCUGGUGGAGUCUUGACAGUGGGAAGGGCUAUUUACAAAAGGAUUUAAAUUUUCAAAGAAUUGAAAGUCAAUUACAAAGUGAUUUUGUUCAAAGAAAAAUCUCUGAUUUCAAAAACCUUAUUGAAAACGAAAUCUGUGCUGAUUUACCAUCUGCUUUUUGGAAUCGAAAACAGCAUUUAGUGGAUUUGCCAUAUGAAAGUUCUUUUGAUGAAAAACAGUAAGAUUCCACUCAGGGAUUUUCUUUCUAACAGUAAUAGGGUUUGACUCUUUGAAUGGAUAAGAGAUGUUGUUCUCCGAAGAAUAUAUUUCGAACCAAUCAAAAAACAAUAUAUGAAUUUUAUGAAAAUUCACAAAUUCAUAAUAAGUUUGUUGGAUUUCUUUUCUUUGAUUUAAAAAAUGUUUGAAGAACCAAAUUCUUUUUUCUUUGUUCAAAUCUGAAUAAAAAUCAUUAUGAAGAAAUGCUUUAUCCAAUUCAAAAUCUUUUUCGAUGACAUUAAUGACAUUUUCUGUAACAGCAGAAAAUGUAGGAGAUGUUGGAGGAGAAGGUUCCUUCUCUUCCUGACUUUGUACCUGUUGACUACUAGUGUAGAUCGGAUGAGGAACACUAGUGGUGUAAUCAACUGAAUGAAUGGAGGUGCUAGGUAAAUCUGAAGUAGAAAACCUAGGCUGACACUUUGUAUUUUGGAAUGGAUGAUUUAUAACAGAAGGUACUUUUGUAAAUUUCCUUUCUAGUGAAGGAAUGCUUGAGCACGACUCUUUAUCAGAAAAUCUGUGAGAGGUAGACCUUCUGAAUGAUAGUUUGACUUUACCAUCGGAAUACUGAGUCACAUUUUGCAACUCUGUAUUGGGCUCAAGUUGUUUCGGAGUCACCUGUGGGGCAGCUCCUUUAAGGAUCCAUUCUUCUGGAAGAUUAACAUCUUUCCAUUGGAUCGGUUUUGGAAUGACAGUGUUUGCUUUGGACAAGUCAGUCUGCAAGAGAAGAGUUUCAUCUCUUUUUGACUGGAAUUUAUGUUGCGUACAAAACGCAGAGACCAUAGCUUUAUAUGAAAUCUUGAAAAUCAAAGCAACUGGGAUGGACCCUUUAACCAUUUGGUAAUUAUGGGUUUUGAUUUGUAAAAUCAUGCUUUUUAAAAUGUUUUUGUCUUUAAGAGAAGAAAUUCUUUUCUUUUAAUUUCUUUAAAGAUUUUUCUGAAAAUAAAUAAAUUGUUUCAAAAGGCUCUGAAAGAGUGGUAUCACGUUCUUCAGUUUUUAUAAUAUAAUCACUUUUUAAAAGAUCAAGCAUUUUUGUUUUGUAAAUCUUUUCUUUGGAAAUUUUUGGAAGUUCCCAACAAUCAAUUGCUUUAUCAAAGUUCUCAAUAAUGAAUUCUUCUGAACUCACAACAUGCUUUGAAUCACUAGUCUUCCCGGAAGAAGAGCUAGAAAAGGACGAUGUUCUACCGAGUAGAGGAUCCAUGUCCAAGACCUUAUGGUCUAUUUUUGGUUUGGUCAGAAUGGCUACAGGUAUGGAUUUACAGCCCUCAGCGGAUAGCUAGAUUGUGGGGUAUCAGGGGCUAUUUGAACUUUGCUAGAUGAGGAAGAAGCAGCUUCUAUCCGAUCUAGUUGUUCUCUAAUGGCUUUAGCAAAAUCUGAUUUUGACUCUUGGACAAGCUUUUGGCUAGUUUUCGAAACCUGAAAAGGUUUGAAAAUAGGUUCCUUAAGCUUUUUAUCAGAAUCCGAUUUUGUUUGAACAGUAGUUGAUGAAACAGUAAUGGUUGACUUUUGGAAUUGGUUUUCUAUCCUAGUCAACUGCUUUCCGAUUGUAUUUAAGUUAGUAUUACAGAAAUUGUUCUGUUGGAUAAUACUACUUAAAUUUGCCUCGGAAUCAUUUGGUUUUGGAAUUUUGUAAGGUGAUGCUCUAAUUUCGACAGGAGGUUCACCAUGAUCUAUGGUUAUACUCCUAAGAGGUGGAUGCUCAGACUCGAUGGAUCAUUCAUUUUUAAAGAAAAUCAAUGUUUUGACUAAAGACUAAGAGACUUUUCUUGAACUUGUAAAACAUAUUUCUGAUCCAAAUCUUCAAAAAGAAUAUCUUGAUAAACUUUUGAAAACUUUGGAUUUUAAUAAAGCCGAGACUUCUAAAGUCCCAAUUGUUAAAAAGAAUUCUUAUGAUCUUACCCAGAUUUUAGAUAAAAAGAAAACAAAGAAGUCAAUGCCCACGAUUCAAGAUCUUCAAAAAGAAAUCAAAGAGAUUAAACUUGAGAUUAAGGAUUUGAAAGAAAAACAGAAAACUGAUUCUGAAACUAUCCAACUCCUUUUACAAAAGCAUUUGGAUAAUGAUUCUGAUAAAGAUGCCGAUUCUGAUGGUGAUCAUAAUGACCAAAAUGUUGAUAAUAUUGAAUCUAUACCAAAUGAUUUUUUGUUUGUUUUAAAACAAAUCACCACCAGGAAGUAUUUAAUUAAAAUCUCUUUAAUUUUUUCCAAAGAUUUUGCUAUCGACGCCAUUGCCCUUUUUGACACUGGUGCUGAUUUAAAUUGUAUAAGAGAGGACAUUGUCCCCAAAAGAUUUCAUGAAAAGACAAAAGAAAGCCUUCUGUUCAAACACCAGUCACUAUCAAUAAAAUGAGCUGUGAUCACCAUGUAGCUCAUGUUUUGAACAGAAGUCCAUAAAUCAGUGGUAAGAGACACUCGCUGUUUGUUGUUGCAAAUCAAACUCUUCAACAUUAUCUUUUCUUCCAAAAAUAAAUCCAUAACAUCCCUACCAACAGUUCUCCGAGAUGGCAUAACAAACUGUGGAAUGGCUACACUACAGAAAUGCCUGAACCCUUUGUUAUCCACAAAACUAAGUGGCAACUCACCCAUAAUGAUCAUUUUGGUGACUGCCCUUCUACAAGCGUCUUGACUCCACCCUUUAGCCAAAACCAUAUUACUUGCAUUUCCUUCCCCACCCUCAGUUGUCAAGUUUUGUUGACUUCCCUCUUGUUGUUCCCGGAAUGUCUUGUAUGCAAGGCAAGCCAGUAUAUGAUUUCUCAUAUUUGUAAUCCCAUCACGCCUUGAAUGACAUUGAUAUUGUCUACCACAAUAGUUGCACUUGCAUUUGUUUGGAUUGUCCUCGAGCAAAGUAAAAUGAUUCCACGUCGCAGAUCUUUUCUUCAUCGCUGGUCUUUUCCGCUUUGCCUUUUGAGUUCCUUCCAUUUGAACACUUUGAUUGUCAUCAUCACUUAUUGAAUUCGAUCUUGAGUGUCCAGACAUCUAAACAUACAAAUAAAUAAUUAUUAAUCAUUAAUUCAUAAAUUAAAACACAAAAAGACUAUUAAAAAAAUCUACUUAAUAGUUAGUAUUACAAAUUGAUUCAAAUAAUUGUUAAUUUAAUUUUAUGAAACUUUUUGAAAUCGAUAUUUCCAAUUUUCCACCAUAAUGUUUAUAUAUGAUCAAGAAUUCAAGAUGCAUAUGCCCACAUUAUAUGUAGUUAACCACUUAAUAUUUACUUAUUGGUUAAUGGUUAUCAUGCAAUUAAUUAAAUUGAUUAAUUAUUUAUUGAAGUUGAAACUUAAAACUACUGCAAUUAAAUUGGUUAAUGGUUAAUUUUUUGUUGAAGUUGAAACUAUUCUACAAAUACACAUAUCAUAUGACAUAUACAAUUAUAAUUUAUAUUGUAACAUAAUAUUUAAUUUUAAUUUUUAAUCUAACAUUAUACUAUUCAUACAAAAAAUCAAUUAUUAAUUAAUAACAGAAAAUUAAUGCCAGAUUAUUUUCAUUUUAUUGAUAAAAUUUAACAAUAUAUAAUUAAAAAUUUAACAUACAAAAUUACAAUUAACAUUUCUCAUAUAACAUAUAACAAAUAAAAAUUAUAAUUAAUCAUUAAUGCAUAUAUAAUUAUAUAAUAUAUACCAUCUCUUAAAUAACUUUAAAAGCCGGAUUUGCUGUCUUGCACUCUUGCUUUGCUUCUUAUUCGGGCUUCAGCCUUCAAGCCUUCAAGUUCCAAUUCCAAACUUCCAAAUUUCCAAUUCCAAAACAGAGAGUGAAGAGAGUCAGAGAGACAGAGACCUUUUGAGACUGGAGGCUGGAUCCGUGACCCGUGAGGCGUGACCGUGAAUGGGUGUGGUGGCCGGAUGUCAACACUCAACAGCCGUGACCCGUGGAUGCCAAUGGUGGAGACUCGAGUAGAUCGGAGGUAGCUUGCUGGGUGGAUCUUCAAUCGGACUGAGUUAUGGUGGAGUGGAGGAUUCAAGGCGUGGAUCCGGCGCUUGGUUGCAGCAGAUCUGUAGAUCGGGUCACGAUCUUCGCGAAUCAGCUUCGGCUUCGGUUGGGGUCGUUCUCGGAAGUGGUUGCUGGCUGCGUGUGGUGGCCGGUUGAAGCUAGCUCCGUGAACUGUGCGUGUGUGUUUGCUGCGCGUGGUGAGUGACGAAGGCCGUGACUCCGUGAGGCGUGAAUGAGCGUGGGACAGUGGGUUGGCUGCUGCCUGCUUGUGCUUGACGGCUGCUGGUUUCAGUGAUUUUUGUGUGACACUGUGACAGUGAGGGUUUGUGAAUUGUGAUAGUGAUACCGUGAGUGAGGGUUUGUGACUGUGAGUUGUUACUUGUUACUUUGCUUAAUUGCUUUGCUUGUGUUGUUUUCUUGGUGAAUUAUUGAAUUGUUUUGUAACUUUUGUUGCGGUGAAUACUGAAUAGUUUGGAGUGAAUUGACUGAAUUCCUGAAUUGUUUUGUUGCGGUGAAUACUUUGUGAAAUGUGAAUUAUUGAAUUGAAUUGUGAAUUACUGUAAAUCCGUGAGUCUGUACUCUGUACUGUGAUCUGUAUUUUGUUUCUGUGAGAGUGUGAGUUACUGAUUCAAUGCAUGUACUCGUGUGAGAUGUGAAUGUGCCAUGUGUGUGUCUGUGUGAUAUUGUAAGUGUAAAUCUGUAAUUUUUGCCCACUUUUUUUUUUUGUCUCAACCCGAUCGGGUUUUCGGAUCGGAUCGGGUGAAACCCGAUCCGAUCAUGAUCCGAUCGGGUUGAGACAAUUUCACCCGAUCGGGUUUUGUUGACCACCCGAUCCGAUCCGAAUCCGAAAUUUUUCGGAUCGGGUCGGGUCGGAUAAUUUGCCCACCCCUACUUCUAGUUCUAGAUGAAAUUGAGAGAGAGAGAGAGAGAGUGUGAGAGAAACUCUGAAAAGCUUCAAGAAUAAUAAAGCCUAUGUACAGGCUGCUGUUCAUUUAUUUGUACAUAAGCAGGGGAAAAGCCUAUGUAUAGACUGCUUCAAGUGAGGAAACUACACCUAACUACCCAGCAGGUAUAAUGAAGAAGACAUUGACGGAGGUUGGUAGCAGCAACUUUAAUUGUUCAAAGCAAACACGUACCUUUCGUUUCUCAUAAAACCUUGUGAGGUAAUGCUUUAGAUGACUGGCAUGCAAUAUUGUCAAUGACAAAAUUUAAUGUUGCAUCCUGCUGAUAUUAGGUUUAUUAAUAGUUGCAGCCUUAGGCAGGCAUAAUUUGGUCACGGAAACAAUAUAUCCAUCCAUUUUCAAAGGAUAGUAACUGUAACAAUAAAUCAAUUAAUAUAAUUUUUAUAAUUGGGAUAGCAUUGAGAAAGUCAAAAUUCAUUGUCCAGAUUUAGAUUUAAACUCGCCAUAGAAAGUUUUUACUUUCAUUCAAUAUCACAACUACAUUUGGGGACCACAAGACAGUCAAUUUUGAACAGAGUUAUAGUUAAUGAGUAAUUUAAAUUCAAACGCAUGAAACGUGAGGAUUUAAUUAUUGAUUUUUUAGUUUUAGUGUCAUUGAAGAUCAUAGAGGGAAAACGAUCGGUAAAAAGAUUGUAGCUUGUUUACAAGAUUGGGGGAUAGAGAGAUUGUUUGCAAUAACUGUUGAUAAUGCCAGUACAAAUGAUGUUGCUGUUAAUUAUGUGACUAUGCAAUUACUUGCUUGGAGGAAUGAUGAUGCAAUUGUAUUGGCGGGUCAGUAUAUGCAUGUGCGUUGUUGUGCACAUAUUUUGAACUUGAUUGUUGUUUCGGGGUUGAAUGAAUUGCAUGCUAGUGUUGCCGCCAUCCGGAAUGCUGUGAAGUAUGUGAGAUCCUAGCGGCAGCUAUGGUGGUACAAGUUAUUCUCCUUAUUUUACAACUGAUGUUGGUUUGCCGGAGGGUCCUAGUGGUGAUGGUGAUGACAUUUUCCGAGUUUCUCGCCCUUUCUUUGGGUAUGCUCAGAAAGUGUUUGUUCAGAAUGAGGGCAAGAGAGUAGUAUCUGAGGUGGAACGAUAUUUGAGUGACCCAGUUGAAGAUCCGAGCAAUCUUAAGCUCAAUGUUUUGCUUUGGUAGAAGGUUAAUGGAUCGAAGUAUCCGAUAUUAGAGAAAAUUGCAAGGGAUGUCCUCGUUGUUCCUGUUUCCACAAUGGCAUCUGAAUCUGCCUUUAGCACAGGGCGUCGCGUCAUUGACGAAUAUCGGAGUUCUUUGACCCCUUGUAUGGUUGAGGCAUUGAUAUGUACCGAAAAUUGGUUACAAGCUAAACUUUUUGCUAAUCUUGUCUACAACCUUCAGGAAGAUAUUAAAGAGCAGAUAUUCCAUAUGGAGCUACAAGAAGGUAAUAUUUUUCUCAUACUUUAUAAAGUUAAGAUGUAUUAUAACUUUAUAAAUAGCAUCUACAUGUACUUAAGUUACUUACUAAUUUCAUUUUUUUUUUGACAUUUUAAAGAGUUUGUAAGAUCACAAGCUUCAACGGUGGAAACAGUGAGCGUUGAUAUGGGUGUUAUGGAUAUUUGAAAGGUAAUUCUUAAUAUAUAUUAUUAUUUAUAAUUUCAUAUUAUAUGUUUAGGUUGUAAUUUACACUAUAAUAAUAGACAAUAGUUGUUAUAGUUUUAAUUUUUAAGUUUUAAUUCAAAUUGUAAUAUUAUAAUUGUUUUAUUUAUUUUAGACACAUUGAAAUUGAUGGAAUGGUAUUACUUGGGCAUAUUUUUUCAAUUUUUCCCUAGGGGAUAUAUGCUUCAAUUCUUCAACUUGGAGUAGAAGAAAUUGAAGUUAAAAGUUGUCAAAGUGCUUGCGAGGAAUGGUGGAGCCGUGGAGGAAGUUGAUCUAGAUUUACAUUUAAACUUUGUUGUGUUUUGGAUUUUGGAACUUUGUCAUUUGUGUUUUGGAAAAUGGAAACUAUUUAAUUAUGUUUAAUUUUGUGUUCUAAAGAUUAAUGUUUAGAUUUUAGAAUUGGAUAUUGCGCUUUGGAUGGAGACUAUUAAAUUUAAACUUUGUGUUAAUUUUAAUUUUAUGCUUUGUGUUAAUUUUUAAUUUUGAAUCAUUUGAAUUUAAUUCUAGAGUAGUUUUCUUUUUUUGUUGGUUGAAAUGAAUGGAUGGAUAAAUGAGGGAGGACAAGGAAGGUGGGAGAGAAAUGUCUUAGUUAGCAAGGUGACAAUAGUGGAAAAGAAACCAAUUGAAAAAUUUUGAGAAAAAAAGAAGAUUAGAAUCCAGCUUAGAUUAUUUGGAAUUUUGGUUAGAAUCCGUGCAUAUAUUAUUUGGAAUUUUGGAUACCAUGCAUAUAUUAUUUGGAAUUUUGGUUAUAGGAUGCACAUGAUAGUUCAACUUUUUUCAUUAUUAAAUGGCAGAGGUAUGAGUAUUUGUUAUAGCUUAAAGCAUUGAUGACAUACUCCAUUGAAGAUUUUUCUUUGUAUUGACAAGUUGGGUUGGUUUUAAUAGUCUGCAAGUGCACAAAUUCUGUUAUUGCCAGAAUGUGAGUAUUUCUUUGUAUUGACAAAUUCUGCAAGUGCACAAGCCACAAAUGCUUGUUUUACAAAUGACAUGCACGUUCAUGUUGUUAUUGCCACUUUGCCAGAAUGAAAAUGAAUCAAUCCCUUACGUUUGCUGUGUUUGUCUUUUGGAUUAGAUAAAUGUUGUCAAAGUUUGGUUAAUUAUUAUAACUAAGUAAUGAAUCAAUCCCUUGUUUUAUAAAUGUUGGGCAAUAAUGCAAAUCUUAUGUCCGUCUCUAUAAAUUUUUUUAUACAUGUUGUCAAAUUUUGGUUUCUUUUAAACGGUUGUACUAUGCCUGUAUCUCCCGAGGUCCCCAUGGCAAAAAGAAUAAAAAAAAGAAGAAAAAAUACAAUAAAAUUAUAAUAAAUUAAUUUCCUUAGUUAGAAUGUGACUUUCCAGCAUCAAAACCCCUUAGGAAAAAAUACAAUAAAAUUAUAAUAAAUUAAUUUCCUAAUUUCACCUCCCCAAUUGCCAAAUUAAUUAUAACCCGAAUUGACCCGAAUUGAUCCGAAUAACCCGAAUUUAAUCCGAACCCGAACUAAUCCGAAUCCGAUCCGAUUACACCCGACCCGAAUUAACCCGAAUUCAUCCGAAUAACCCGAAUUUAAUCCGAACCCGAAUUAACCCGAAUCUGAUCCGAUCCGAACUCCACCCGACUUUUUAACCCGAUCCGAUCCGAUCCGAAUUUAAUUCGGAUCGGAUCGGAUCGGGUUUUAAGUUCGGGUGGAGUUCGGAUCGAUUUUUAUCCAACCCGACUAACCCGAAACCCGAUCGGGUUGAUCCGAACCCGACCCGAACCCGAUUUUGCCCACCCCUAUCUAGAAGUCCCUCCGAAAGCAUCACCCAAGACAGUUUGUCAUCUUUUAUACUCUGUUUUAACAGUAAUUUGAACCGUCUUCAGAGUUAUCGUCAACAAACUCAUUCAUAAUUUGUCCAAUCUUACGGACGAUAUCAUAUGCUUAACUCGACACAAUCUAGAUUCAACCUCCUCCUAUCCAACAACGGAUUUCGAUUUGAGUUACUUUGUGCUCAAGCAAAUUCACAUCAUAGUUUUAAUUCUUUUGAUAUGAAUUCAUCACAUUACAUAUAUCAGAUUAAGUGUAACAAAAUUUUUAAUUUACUACGAAAAGAAUAUGCGCUAAAAAUUAUUUCAAGACUAUUUGAUUACCAAAAGCUGCUGUCAGAGUGCACUGAAAGUUUCUGUAGGAUACUUUGCGGUUGUUUAUUAUGUUAUGAUGGGCAUAUAAUUCUCAAAUUUUGACUCCUCUUAGCGAAAAAUAUAUCAAAGUUUAGAUUGAGUGCAGCAACUCCACAGGCCGAGUGGUACAACUACACCUUGGUCUUACUAGGAAUAUCGAUCUGGGAGAGUGGUAUCUGAAUGCUUCUCUAUUUACUUCCUUUCAACAACUUGGUAACAAAAUAGCCGGCUGCAUGCGUUGAGAAUGAAAGUCCUUCAUUUAAUUUAAUUUACUUAAUUUCUCCCUCCUAAUUAAUGUCUGUAACCAUUAGGAGGAACAAGGGAUUUUAUUAACUCAAAUAUAUGUAAUGGAGGAGCUCAUUCUUUGGUUUUACUAGCAGGUCUAGAAGCAGGUGUCAUCUAACAGCUGCUUUGAUAAUUUCCCACCCCUUCAUCUUUGAUGGAAAGAUGAAAUAAAAACAAAAUGGUGAAAAUGGUAUUGGUACCUGAGGCUAUGUAAUCUAAUUCAACAACUGCACCAUCAAAACGAUUACAUAAGUCCCAGAAGAAUCAAACAUUAGUUUGCAAAAUAUCAAUUGCUGGAGGUUAGAUUCUAACUUCCGCUCUUGGUUUUUAUGGGCAUGUUGUAUUGUACUUGCAUACGAAAAUCAUAUUUUAGUUUACUUACACCCAACGCUUGGAUUAAAGUUUCAGAUGGGGAAAAUUGAAGGAGACUAAAAUGACUCAAAAAAUAGUUGAAUGAGUGAGGGUUUUGUCUUCAUUUAAGGAGCUCUUUAUAAAUUUUAGGAUUUUUUUUCCCGAGAAAAUAUAUUUCAACUUAUUCUUUGCUUCUUUUCUGAAGGGACAAAUGCAACUGAAAGUGUAUUCUUGAAUUCUCCAGGAUAAGAGACAUACGUUUAAUUAGAUUCUCGAGCCUUCAAAACAAUAUAAAAUUUUAGAUUGAUAAAAUUUUAUAUAUCUGAGCAUGAUGGUGUUUGACAUGACUUAAAACUAUUUAAUUUACUCUCACGUACAAGAAUAUCUAGUUAUAUUGUAGCUCAGAGUUCGAGGUUAAUCCAUAGACAAAUGAUUUAAUUUCUUUAUUUAAGAUUAUCCCAUAAAUAAAAAUAAAAUUUAAAUAUAUGUAAUUUAAUUUGAAAAAAGUUAUGAAAUUAAAUUAUUUAGGGUCAUGGAUCCACUCUUAGUAAGUACAAUUUAAUAAAUUCUUUUUAUUUUUAUUUUAUUUCCCAAAAGAUUAAUUAUAUAAAUUAUAAUUAUUUUCCCAUUAAUUUUAUUAUGGAUUAAGUACUUAAUGUGCCAAAACUUAACUUGUUUACAAUAAGUCAAAAUACCAUUUUACCAUACUUUAUGCUAAGAUAUUAAGAAUUCAUGUGCCAAACUCCCAUGUUUGUCUACAAUAAAUCAAAAUUUCAAAACAUAAAAUAUGGAUCAAAUUAAAUAAAAAAUAAUUUAAUUUAUAUAAUUAAAAAUAGAAUUUGAUUAAAUCAUAUUUUUCUACUCAGAGUUUUACCUCACCCUAACUAUUAGUAUUUAGCUAAACAUAUUUGAAAUAAAUGAAAUUAUUAAAAUUGAAAAAUACAUAAUUAAAAAAUGGUAUUUGAAAAUUAGAAAUAAAACUAAUUUUAUUUAUUGAAAAUGUAUUACAAAGAAAGAUGAGAAUAAGAAUUUGAGGGGAAAGAAGAGAAGAAAAUUUGUGGAGAGGUGUGUGAAAUUAUAUUGUAAAGAUGUUACACAAACAAAUGAAUAAAAAAAAAACUAAAUGAAAAUUACACAAAUUAAAAAGAAAAUGAAAAUUAAAUAAAUAAGAUAAAUGUGCAAGAAAAAAAUGCGCAAUAAAAAUAAAUAAACUGAAAAGUAAUUAACUAAAAUUAAAAUAACUAAAUAGGCGGUAAACAAAGUAAAUGCCAAAAAUAAAAUAAGUGCGAAAAUUAAAUUACAUAAAUUAAAAGAAGAAAGAAAGAAAAAAAAUUAUCUCAAAGUGUAAACUCUUUUUCUUUUUCUUUUUCUUUUCAAAUUUUAAAUAUUACUAGUCAAUUAAGUGAUUAAUUCAAAUUAUUAGGCUUUAAUAGUAAUUUUUAAAAUCAAUAUUCAGUUUAUUGAGUCCAAAUAAGGUCCAAAGAAGUUCAAGUUGUUGGUCUAAAAUUGAGAAUUUUGGGAAAUAUUGGCAACGGACCUAUUCAAAAAGUUCUAUAAUUUUGUGGUCAAACUACAAUUAUGAGAAGAAUGAUCCAAAAAUUAGAAUUUUUGGGGUGAGUGAGAUUUAGAAAGAUUUUGUGGAUAUAACAUAAUUUAAGAAAGAAAAAGGAGGUAAAUGAAAAUUUACACAAAAAGUAAAAAAAGAAAAAAAAAAGAAAACAAAAUAAAUACCUCUCCCAGCAACGGCGGUAAAAACUUAACACGAAUUAAAAGUAUUUAAUUUACUCUAAAGUAUAAGAGUACCUAGUUAUAUUAUAUCGCGAGAAGUCUGAGAUCGAUCUACAGAAAAAUUAUUUAAUUAAUUUAUUUAAGUUUAUCUAAAAAAUAAAAAUAAAAUUAAAUACAUGCAAUUUAAUUUGAGAAAAAUUAUGAAAUUGAAGUAGUUAGGAUUAUGGAGCUCUUUAUAAAUUUUAGGAUUUUUUUCCUGAGAAAAUUUAUGCCACCUCAUUCUUUGCUUCUUUUUUGAAGGGACACAUGCAACCGAAAGUAUAUUCUUGAAUUCUCCAGGAUAAGAGACAUACGUUUACAUGCUGGAGCAUUUAAAACAAUGUCAAAUUUUAGAUUGCUGAAAUUUUAUAUCUCCGAGUAUGAUGGUGUUCCAAUUAUAAGCUCCAGGGUGCAACUUCACUGAGGUUUAGAAUGCCAUCCUUUAGAAUUGAGAAAUCUCCGUUUGCAUAAAUAUCUUUUGAAAAUACUGACAUCAGAUUUUGAAUUGGAGAACCUGAUUGGACUCAGCUUGCCUUGUAGUAAGGUUAAGCAAAUUUGGAAAAGAGAAAAGGUAUAAUGUAUUACUAUUACCAAAGUAUAUAUUUUUCUUUCUUUAAGUAUUUAUAAUGAAUAACUUUGAAAUUCAAUGAUGCUCAUUUAGUAUAGUUAUGUAUCUUUGGUUAUAGGAAGCUGUCAAGUUAAAAUCUAUAGACCUUCACCACCCCUCUAUCUCAAUAGGAUCCCAGAAAUACUAAAUCUUAAAAAAAUAAAUCUUUCAAAUUGUGAAAGCAUGCUUACGUUACCCCCGUAUAUCCACAAUUUCAACUAGCUGAGUAUGUUGUGUUUCAGGGAUGCAAAAUUCAUUUUGUUUCUCAUGAAAGGAUUGACUUGUCCGGAUGUAUUAGGGUUAAUAAACCAACUAAUCCCAUAAUUUGUUGAUGUAGGGUCCUAAAAAAUUAUUGCAGUAGAUUGUAGAUCAGUACACUAUUCGAAAAUGUAUUUGAUCCACACAGUGAAGUGGAUAUUGGACCAAUUUGAUGAUAAUGAAUUUCUUUCAAUCUCAAUCGUUUUUCCUUUUAGCAACAUGACUAGUCAUUGCGCAAAUUCAAACUCUGACAAUGAUUUCUCAAUCGGUUUCUAAGAUGAUGACCAUGCAUGUAUAUGUAUAUGCGUGUGUAUAUGUGUGUGUGUGUGUGUAGAGAGAGAGAGAGAGAUCACACGUGUGUGAUUUCCUUUUGCCAAUAGGAUAUGCAGAGAGCUUGAUCUUACCCAAUAGCGAAACAAACUUCCUAAUAAGUGAAGGUAUAGUAUAAAUACUUAUACUUUCAUGUUAUUUUUUUCAUCAGUAGCUUGAUUAUUUUAUAUGCGUCUUCGAUUUUAAUUUUCUUUCCCUAUAAUCGCUAUUAUCUUUGAACUGGUCAUGAUUUGCCUAUAAGAUUUCUCAUGUUGUUUUGAGGUGCAAUGGAUUUUGAAUUUAGUGACGAGCAGUGGAAGCCAGAAGGCAAAUUAUGAAUAUGGAUAAAGAUCUAUAAUUAGCUGUUAUGGGAUGUCACAUAUCAUAUUGAUGGUAACAUUAUACAUAUGUACAUAUAAUUAAUGGGGUUGGCUCACGAGCCCAUUAAUAAUCAUAUAUUAGCUUAAAUACUUCAAACAAUGUACCAUGAAGCAAUUUCACAAAUACUUGUUAGCUUAUGUUGAGCUUUAUUGAAUCAGUAGUUCACAGUUCAAUAAAAUGCAGGUUUGCUAUUUAACGUACAUGGUUAUGGUGUGUGCAUUCUUCAUAAGGCUAACUACAAAUUUAUCAAUGAAACUUGAAAAAUGUAACAGAGAGAUGUCGAUAACAACCGCAAAACACUGAGAUUGAAAAUCAGGGCUAGUAAAUUCUAUUAAAAGCUCUUAAAAUAGACAGCGAUCAUCCUUAACCGCAAAGUUAUGCACUAAUAGAACUAUUGACUACUUAUCUUUAGCAGAAGGUAUAUUUUUAACUACAGCUUUCUGCUUUGUUCUAAGAACUAGGCAAAAGUGGUAUAUCUUCAAUCCAAUCAACAUAUAUACCACUUAUCUUCCUCUUCACUUCUGUCUAUUUUGAUUUGCACUUUACAUCCUGCACUUGCUGCUUAGAAAUAGUCUUAGUCUGGACAUUGAAAGUAGAAAAAGUACUUGAAACUAUCAUUGGCACAGCUCGAGAUUCCAUUGAAUCGUGGACUCCAAGCUUUCAUAGUUCUAUAAAGAAAAUUACAUAACUUCAUACAACUGGCAUUCUGCUUUUAACAUUUGCACAACCUGAGCAAGUUAGCAAGCCCCUUGUCGCGUUCCCAUUGAAUAGACCUACUUCUGUUAUCCACAGAAGAUCCACCACUCAAAAUGUUUAUCACCAGGCUAUUCUUAAACUGAGCCUAAACUGAGUAGAAACUUCCGCACAUCUCUCAGCAUUUACAUGAAGAAAUCGACAACUAUCCUCAUCUCUCAGCACAUCUCUCAGCAUUCUACAAAGUUGCAUUUCACUAGGCAAUCUAUCCUCUCCAUUCCUAGCAAAGUGACAUUGAUUCUCGUAUUUGUAAUCUCCUAACUUGGGUUUUGGGCAUAGCGUGGUCUUAUAAUUACCACCCAAUACUUUGUUCAGUGCCACUGGCAUCCACAAGCUCUAGCCCUGUUAGCUGAAUCAUAUUCAAUGGGACAGUGAGGCAGCAUUUCACUAACAUAUUCAAUUUGACUACUUAUAUUGACGCAAAUAUUAGAAUUUGAAAUCACUUCUUUUCUUGGAAUAUUAUAUUAAAAUAACCCCAAAUGAAAGUUCUUGAAUGGAAAUGAUUUUUAUUUAAUCUUCCAACAGAUUCAAGAAAACCCAGAGAACACAAAAUUUACACAGUAAUAUGAUUAAGAGCUAAGAACGUACAUGUAGUAAAUGUCUAUCAAAAACACCAAAGGGUUUCUUUAAAAUUAGAAACUAGGUAAACUGUUAAGAUUUCGUUGGCUUCACUUGACUAAUUGAGAGAGAUUGUUUCCUUAUAUGUGGCUGAUUUGUAAUCCCUUUGAAUAUGGGAUCGUUAUUUACGUUCCUUUGUUUUGUGAAUAUUAGCUCUUUUAAACUUAUAUAUAAAUCCUCUAUAAUUCUACUGCAGAAAAAACAGAGAAGAAUAAAAUCAGUAUUCUUUUCAAAUAUCAUUUUUUCAUGGUAUCAGAGCAAUGGUUUUGAUUCAGUAAAACACUUUCGCUUCUCUUUUUUUUUUUAUGGAUGAUAUUGAUAGUGAUAGCAGUCACAAUCAUUCACCAAAUCAUAUAUCCUCUCAAACCUCUCAUCACAUUAUGUCUAUGUCUAUGGUUGAUUCCUCAUACCCUCUUUUUCUUCAUGCUUCUGAUCAUCUUGGCAUGAUUCUUGUUCCAAAAGUCUUAGAUGGAACAAAUUAUGCUAUGUGGAAGAGAUCUAUGCUAGUGAGUCUUAGUGCAAAAAAACAAACUGGGAUUCAUUAAAGGAACCAUUCACACACCAGAUGAAGAUGAUCCAAAACAUUCUUUAUGGCAGCGCUGCAACGAUAUGGUGCUUUCUUGGAUCCUUAACUCUCUAAAUCAGGAGCUUGCAAUAGUGUACUCUAUUUAGAGACACCCUCAGAGAUUUGGACUGACCUUCAAGAACGUUUCUCUCGAGGUGAUUUUUCCCACCAUUAUCAAACUCAGCAAUUUAUUGUUGAAUUGAAACAAAAUCAAGAUUCAAUUUUUUCUUAUUACACAAAGAUAAAAAUGUUGUGGGAUGAGCUAACUACUUGCAGUCCUUCAAUCACAUGCACAUGUGGAGGACAAAAAGACUUGAAAGAAAAAGAAGAAAAGAUUAGGCUGGGACAAUUCCUCAUGGGAUUGAAUGAAACAUACUCAGCUUUGCGAGGACAAAUAAUGUUAAUGUAUCCUCUACCAACUGUCAAAAGGCAUAUUCUCUUCUCUGUGAGGAAGAAAAGCAGCGAGGACUUACUGAAGCCAAAGGCAUUGAUCUCAUUCAUGCCAUGAGUAUCAAAGCUCGUGAUAAAUCUAGAGAAACACAAUUUGAUGCACAACAACAAACCAAACAAGGAUCAUCCUCUCAUCCCAAGCCACAAGGAAUGAAGAAAUCUUUCUUUCAUACUUACUGUGAGGGCACAACUCAUUCAGUAGAUUGUUGUUACUACUUGAAUGGAUUCCCAGUUGGUCAUAAGCUUCAUGGCAAAGACGUUCAGCCUCCAAAUCGAAGCAGAAAACCUGUUGUGCAUUAAACUAGUGCUGAAAUGAAUCAGAACUUAGCAAAGACACCAACUAAACAAACUCCCCAAUUUAUCUCUGAAGAGCUUGCCCAAAUAAAAGCUUUCUUUAGAAAUGGUAACAAUCCUGCUCGAUCAAACUACAUAGGUAUCCCUAUACCUUUCUGUUCAUCUUUCAAUACGCAAAAGACAGACUUGAAUCACUGGAUUAUUGAUAGUGGUUCAACAAAUCACAUAGCAACUUCAAUACCUAUUAAAACUCCUCUGUCAUCUCAAGUAACCUUGCCUAAUGGUGCCUAUUCUUAGAUAACUGGAAUUGGUUCAACACAACUCUCAAACCACCUACAUGUUAAUAAUGUAUUAUGUGCACCAUCAUUUCAUGUUAAUUUACUUUCAGUGAGUCAACUUACUGUUGCCAUGAAUUGUUCAAUCCAUUUUUUUUCCCACUUUCUGUAUAUUGCAGGACCUAGCUUCGAAGAAGAUGAUUGGCUUGGGGAAGCAGCUUAAUGGCUUGUACUACUUUGUUCCUCAAGUGAAGUCUACACCAACUUCUUUUUCAAUCACCCAUCAUGCUGAUUUUACUACACAUAUUACUUGGCACAAGUGGUUAGGACAUCCCUUAAAAGCACCUUCACAAUUUUUAAGCAAUAAUAUUCCUGCAUUUGUAUUUGAUUCUCAAUAUUCCUGUGAAACUUGCCCUUUGGCAAAGCAAACUCGUUUACCAUUUUCUUUAAGUUCUAUUCAAACUUUGCAUUCAUUUGAUCUUAUUCAUUGUGAUAUUUGGGGACCUUUUCGUACUGCAACUCAUACAGGGGCACAUUAUUUCAUGACUAUAGUUGAUGAUUACACUCGUUUCACUUGGAUUUUUUUAAUGAAAUUUAAAUUCGAAACCCAAGGAUUAAUAAAAACAUUUAUUUCUUUUGUGAACACUCAAUUUAAUUGUCAAGUUAAAUGUCUUAGAAGUGAUAAUGGCUCAGAAUUUCUUUCCAUGAAACCUUAUUUAUCCACCCUUGGUAUUUUAUUUUAAAACUCAUGUCCAUCUACAACUCAACAAAAUGGUGUCGUGGAACGAAAACACCGUCAUCUCUUAAACGUUAGUCGGGCUUUGAGAAUGGAUGCCAAUCUUCCUUUAAAAUUUUGGGGGGAGAGUUUACUUACUGUAGCCUAUCUUAUAAAUCGUCUUCAUACUCCCUUGUUGCAAUAUAAAUCUCCAUAUGAGUUGUUGUAUAAUAAGCCACCUAACUACACUCACUUACAAGUUUUUGGAUGUCUCUGUUAUGCAACAAAUCUACAGCCGUCCAAUAAGUUUGAUUCUCGGGCUCGACAAUGCAUCUUUGUUGGUUACCCUAUAGGCCAAAAAGCCUAUCGAUUAUAUGAUCUCCAUACUCACCAAUUCUUUUCCAGUCGUGAUGUCAUUUUUCAUGAGUCUAUUUUUCCUUCUCUUCGUAUUGAAAAAUCAUUAGAUAGCACUUUUCCUCAACUUGAGAUAUUAGAUUACAUCGAUAAUCUAUCUCCUCCUGCAACUCAUCCUGUCCCUCCAACAUUAGAGACCAUUAUUCCCUCUCCUAAUCUUUUAUUGUCAUCAACUCCUUCCCCUUCUUCCUCUAUAUCUUCUCCUGCCCCUCAUAUUCGUAAAAGUGAUCGUGUCAGGCAACCAUCUGUUCUUCUUCGUGACUUUCAUUGUGGACAGAUUAGUACAACACCAUCAACUGCAACUUCAAGUCAGUCAUUUUCAACUAAGUCAGGUACUCAAUAUCCUUUAAGCAAAUACAUUUCCUAUGAUUCUUUGUCUUCUACUCAUAAACACUUUGUUAACACCAUUUCAAGUGUCCUAGAACCAACCUCUUAUGCUCAUGCUAUAUUGGAUCCGAAAUGGCAAGAGGCUAUGCAAUGUGAACUUGAUGCUCUCAAAUCACAGAAGACAUGGUCCUUGGUCCCUUUACCCGCUGGCCAUCGCCCCAUUGGCAGCAAAUGGGUUUAUCAUAUCAAAUACAAUUCUAAUGGUACGAUUGAAUGUUACAAAGCUCGAUUAGUUGCCAAAGGAUUUUCUCAACAAGAAGGCCUGGAAUACACUGAGACAUUUGCUCCUGUGGCUAAAUUGACCGUUGUUCGUUGUUUACUUGUUGUGGCAACUGCAAGACAUUGGCCAUUGUAUCAAAUGGAUGUGACCAAUGCUUUUUUGCAUGGUGAUUUAGAAGAAGAAGUAUAUAUGACUCCACCGCCGGGACUUUGUCGACAGGGGGAGAAGCUUGUUUGUUGACUUCAUAAGUCCCUUUAUGGGCUUAAAUAAGCUCCUCGCAAUUGGUUUGCGAAAUUUUCUCAUGCUGUCAAGAAAGCUGGCUUUAUUCAAUCACAUUCGGAUUACUCGUUGUUUGUGAAGACAAAAGGCACAUCUAUAACCAUGGUUCUUAUUUAUGUAGAUGAUAUGGUGAUAACUGGAAAUGAUGCAGUCGCUAUACAUAAUCUCAAACAAUUUCUUCACUAGCAAUUUCAUAUCAAAGAUCUCGGUCAUCUUAAAUAUUUUCUUGGGCUGGAAGUUGCAAGGUCCAAAGCAGGUCUUGUUAUCUCUUAACGAAAAUAUACCUUAGAAAUCAUAGAUGAUGUUGUAUACUUGGGUGCUCAACCGGUAAAUUUUCCCAUGGAGAUGAAUUUGAAACUCACAAACCAUUAAGGUGAUUUGCUACAUAAUCCAACUCGCUACAGGAGAUUAGUUGGCCGACUAAUAUAUCUCACAAUUACGAGACCAGACAUUACAUACUCAGUUAACAUCUUAAGCUAAUUUAUGCAUGCUCCAAGAAAGCCUCACUGGGAUGCUGCUCUUCGUAUUAUGAAAUAUUUAAAGGGCAGCCCUGGUUUAGGUUUGUUAUUCUCCUCAAGCAAUUCCUUUACUUUAAAGGCUUACUGUGAUGCUAAUUGGGCAAAUUGUCGUAUAACAAGAAGAUCAACAACAGGUUAUUGUGUGUUCUUAGGGGAUUCUUUGAUUUCUUGGAAAGUAAAGAAGCAGAAAACAGUCUCAAGAUCAUCAUUAGAAGCUGAGUACAGGUCCAUGGCAGCAGCAACUUGUGAGCUCACUUGGUUUAGAUUUUUAUUCAAUGAUAUGCAAAUUUCCAUAGGACCAGCAAGGCUAUUAUGUGAUAACCAAGCUGCUCUUCACAUAGCAGCAAAUUCGGUAUAUCAUGAACGCACCAAACACAUAGAUCUUGACUGUCAUGUGGUAAGGGAGAAAAUGUACGAUGGUCAGAUAAUCACCAAAUUUGUUCCAUCUCAUUUACAGUUGGCAGACAUUUUUACAAAAGCUCUUGGAGGAAAGGUGUUUAAGAGACUAACAACCAAGUUGAACAUGCUAGAUAUACAUGCUCCAACUUGAAGGGGGAGUGUUAAGAUUUCGUUGGCUUCACUUGACUAAUUGAGAGAGAUUGUUUCCUUAUAUGUGGCUGAUUUGUAAUCCCUUUGAAUAUGGGAUCGUUAUUUACUUUCCUUUGUUUUGUGAAUAUUAGCUCUUGUAAACUUAUAUAUAAAUCCUCUAUAAUUCUACUGUAGAAAAAACAGAGAAGAAUAAAAUCAGUAUUCUUUUCAAAUAUCAUUUUUUCAUAAACAAAAAGAAAGAAUCAUUUUACAUUUUUAGCAAGUUUGAAUGAGUGAGAAAUUGAAACCCUAAAGUGAUGACAACAAUAAGAUUCAGUAUGAAGUGAAACCCCAAUUUGAAAUGUAGGCAUGAGUUGCUGAGUCAGUAGAUGAAGCUAUAAAUAGGCAUUCGGUUUCUUUCUUUUCGGUUUGGAGGGCCAUGGAAUAGUGUAUUGGAGUGGGCUCGAAGUAAUAGCCUUUAUCACUGAAUGACACGUUUGCAAAACGUGAUACAUAGGGAAGGAUUGAGCAUUAUACUCUUAGAUUAGCGCCUUAUUUAGGGUGUAUAUUAAGCAGAUUAUCUAUAUAUUACAUGGAGAUGGAGUUUAUGAAAUAGAUUAAAAAGAAAAGGAAAAUUAGUGUCUGGAGUUUGCCACUUGGAAUAUUUCGGUGUCUAAACAUUCACUCACCACUUAUUUCAUGUCUGAUCAUAUGUUGAAAAAAUAUUAAAGUAAUAUAACGCUAUUAAGGCUUAACGUAUAUUUUUUAUUAGUAGAGUGUAGAACUUUUAAGAAAUAAAUUAUUAAAUUACUAUAACUAGCAUAUUAUUUUAAAGUUGUGUUGUGAAAAAAAAAAUGAAAUAAAAACGUGAAGUAAAUUAGAGUAUUCUAAAACUUUUAUCUUUUUAAAAUUAGUUUUUAACAUAAGGUGAACUAUUUUUUUUUUAAAUCACAUACUCUAGUUAAAAUCAAAUAUGUAUUUAUAUGAAGCUUGUAAUUUUUUUUUCAGUACUGAUAUUUGAAUAUUAUCAAUAUUAUUUUUAUGGCCCACAAAAGGACAACACCGUUUAUGUUAUAAUACUAUCACCUCUGUUAUGAUAAUAUUUUUUUUGUGGCCAAAUAUCAUUUUUUUAAGUAAAAAGGUGGACAAAAUGCAAAUCAAUUUUUAAUCCUCAAACUCUCCCAAAAUUUAAAUUCGUAGUUAACAAAACACAAUUGUUGGAAAACCAUUAAGCUAGGUCCAUCGGUUGUUAAAACUAGGGAAAUUUAUAAAAAUAACUUAAAAACUUUUAUAAUUUCACAUUUUACCCUCCGAAAUUUUUCCUAUCAACAUUAGCAAAAAAUCCUUUCAAGUGCCGAAAAUACCCCUCCCAUUCUCAUCAAACUUCCUCUCUCUCUCUCUAACCAACGAUUUCUUUCUCAAGGUGGUCACUCAUCGCCGCCGGCUUUCCAGAGUCCAUCCUUGAUAGUCAACAUCACCAAAAUUUCAGUCAAGAUCUGAAAUCAAAGAUUAAUUUAAAAACCCUAGAUUUUGAAGCAUGUUCUAUUUCUAUUCUUCUUUUAUGUUGUGGUUUUGUUGUUGUGCUGGUGAUGGUGAGUGAAGAUUGAAGUGUUUGUGAUGUUGAUGGCAUGGGCGAAGUUGUUGGUGUAGUGCAUGGGUGAAGAUUGAAGUUGGCGUGGGCUUGGGGCCGGGAGAUAUCGUGCCUGAUCAGGCGCAACAACGCCCCUGUCGCACAAGAUCUGGGAGACAGGCACGCGCACCUGUCACUCACGCCUGUCGCGCGUGCUUGGUGCGACAGGCAGCAUGUUACAAUUUUUUUUUUUAACGUGAAGUUGGUGCGACAGGCGCAAUUUCGGUGCAACUCACACCUGUCGCACAAAUUUAGUACGACAGGCGCCUGUCGCACUAACAUACAAUCACACUGAAACUCUCUUGUCGCACGAAAUCAAGUUGACAAAACAUCUCUUAACACUCGGUGAUGCAAAAACAAAGUAUAAACAAUCAAAGAAACAUUUCAUCAAACACUUAAUACGCAAUAUUUUUACAAAACUAAUUUCCUUUUAAUUAGCUUACCUAGAUUUUGGGCUCUAUUUCACUUUGUUAGAAUUGUGUCCGAUUGGUGUUGGAUCCGAAUGGAUUUGGCUAUCUUUGAUCUUAGUUCACUUUUACCGUUCGCAGUCAUCGUUUGCCGUUGCCAUUUGCCUGUGAUGAUUUAAGAGUUCAAGGCUGCGUUUGGUUUGAUAAAGAGGGAGAAGAAAAGUUGCGUUUGGUUUGAUAGACAAGAGUAAUUUAGGGAAGAAACCUUAUGUUUGGCUGAUUAUGAUAGUAAAAACUUUAGAGGGCCAAUUGUAAAAAUUAUAAAAGUUUUUAGGUUAUUUUUAUAAAUUUCUCUUAAACUAUAGCUGACAAAAAGUUACUAACAAAAAGAGAAUGUCUAUUUUAUAACUUUCUUAAAAAACUUUCCUUAACUUUUUCAAAAAAGUAAUGAUAUAGUCACAAAUUCUUGUAUAAAUUUAUUUUGUACAAAUUAAUGUGAUAUGAUAAAAUUAGUUGAAUUAAAUAUCUUUUGGUCCACAUAAUUUAUUUUUAUUAUUUAUAUUUUCAUUCAACUAAUAAAUUAAUAACACGUAAGAGUUAUGACUGUAUCAUCAUUCUUUUUAAAAAGUUACUAACAAAAAGUUAUUUCCAAUUUUUAUUUUGUUAUAAUUUUUAAAACAAAAUUCGUAGUUAACUAAACUCUUCUUAAUUCCUAUGCCCUUUCUCAACUGCCAUACCCUACCCUGCUCCCCAUGUCCCCACUAAACCACGCUCAAUUCAGGCCAUCAGAUUCUCCCGGACCCACAUUAAUCCAACUGCUCACAGUGACCGACAGCCUCUCUAUCGCCAUUUCAAGCUCCCUCUUAAACUGGCUUCUGCUACCGUCGUACUCUUUCUCGGAUUCGGAGUCCGUAUUUGCUCGGCCGGUCCCACGCAGCUCCCUCUCACUCCAAUUGUCACCCAACAAGGCCAAUUGCUUACUCAAGGCACAGAACAAGAAGAGGAUGAGAAAUUGAAACAAGAAUUUGAGAAUUGGAAAUCGAAAACGUACGCAUUGACCGUGCCUUUGAGGGUUGUUUCUCUUCAGAAUUCAGUGCCUUAAUCUUGGGUUAAGGAUUUUAUGCGAAGUCAAGGAAAGACAUUGAUAAGUUUCAGAUGAAUUUGUUUGCUAGCAUUGAUGGGAUCUUUCACAAUUUAUCUAUGCCCUUUAACAAAGUUAAGGCUAAGUCAGCUUCAUAUAUGGCUGCUGAUUUGGUUAGUGUUGGUGAUUCAUGGCUCAGUUAUGCGAUUAUAAAGAGAUUGAUUGAGCCAAUAGCUGUAGCUGAAGAUCAAUAUUGGUUCAAAUGCUUAAGUCACAAAUGGAAGGUAACAUCUUUAUCUUUGCCCCGAUAAUUUUUAUUGUCUUACAUUGAAAUUUGGUAAUGUAAUUUGUUCUCUAUCUGUGUCACCCUUUGUAGUCAUUUUAUUUAUUUAUUGUUUUGCUUUUAUUUGCACUAACGAAUUCUCAGGCAUAUCUACCCAGGAAUGAUGCUGGAGAAAUUGAUCCUCGAGGUAAAAUAUGGGCGGCAGCAUACCGGUGGGGCACAAUGGGAUAGCUUACAAGAAAAGUAAAUUGCGAAAGCAUAUUUGGCUCCGAUUUAGGUAAUUGCCUUUAAGCUCAUUUAGUUUUAUAUGAAACAAAAUCAAGACUGCCUUUCUCUUCAAUAUUUUUGAUGAUAAUAUCUUUAGAAGCAUCUCAUUCACGGGUAAUCAUGGUAUCCCUUAAAGAGUCUAUAAACUCAAUGAUAUUAUCUUCUACAAAUGGUUCAUUAAACUUCUUAGUUGCAGUCAAAUGUACACUAAGAACAACGAGAAGCUAUGCCACUGUAGCAUGUAGUGAUGGCACUUAAUAAGUGACUUGCUAGGAUGUGAACUAGAUAAAUUAAAUAUUGUCUCCCUGGGCAUGCUAGCUCAUAAGUUGGGGUUAAUAUUAGCUAUUGACUGCCAAUUAAAAUAUCCAUUAAAAUGUCUAAGGAGUUACGAAGGUGGAGGUAUCUUCCAAUUUCUAAGGCCAAAUAGCAGACAUCAUCCAGGAUCCUGGGAAAGUGCAGUUAACUUCCUGCUUGAUCCUAAUGUGAAAACAAUUAAUAAAUUUGGUCAAUGCAACUGAAACCUGCUAACCGAUGUCACAAUGCGACAUCAGCACCUCAAAAUGGGAUAGAUGGUUAGUAGCACUAAAUUUUUCUGGCCUCAGAUUGAGCAAUUGGCCCAACGACUAACCCCGAUUGUGGGUUGAUGAUAAUUUUUUAAUUAUUUUCAUUUUGACCGAAAAAGUUACAGAAUCUUGAUCUGAAUAUUGUCACUGAACAGUGUCAAUAUCGUUUAGCAUAUCCAACUAACUUGAGUUUGGUGAAACAAACACAGAGUGUGUCUCUCAUGUCUCACCCUUCAAAAUUAUCAUCUGUAAUGAUGGAGAAUUUUUCUAAUGUAUGAACUAUGCUUCGAUAUAUGGGUUAGCUUGGAGAAGAUAUCUCAAGAUAAAGAAUAUGGGAAGCUAAUGGGAAGAAACAGGGGAUCUUCAUUCUUUUUCCUUUUUAUACCCAGAUAUCUCUCGACCUUUAUAUGAUCCCUACUGGAUAUUUGCUUCUAAUAACUAAAAUAAAAAUUUCACCCACCAAAAUGAAUACUGACCAAGCUUUAACAAUAAAAAGUAGCAUCUUUAGUCAAGUAAUUUGCAGUUCCUCAUCAUCUUAGUGUGAGUCUAUCAGUAUGAUCAAAAAACAUAAUAAAACUGGUUAGAUCCUGUUCAUUGAUGUUUAAAUGUUGUUCAGUGUGAAAUGUAGCAAUGAUGAGGUGAAGUUUCUUUGGUCAUCAAUUAGUAAGAUCUUGUAAUCUGGCAUUACUGGGAAACCAGGUACUCUUAAAGAAAUGAUAUCUGGUCAUUGCAUGUUAUUGCCUGACAACUGAUUUUGUUUGUAAAAGUCUGCUUCUUCAUACAUAUGAAUGCAUAUGUUAGUGUUGUCUUUUCCUUUUCCUACAUAUUAAUGCAUAUGUUGGUGUUCUCUUAUGAAAUGGAUGCAAUAAAGGCUUUUUCUCCUAAAUUUAGCUGAGGAAAUGGCAGGGGAUGUGAGAUUCUGUCUCAUUAAAUUAACAAAAACCCAAAACAAUAAAAACCCAUAAUAAUGUGGUGUGGGUAAAUUGGCGACAUUUGGCUCGUUACCCUGAUGUGAAUAUGCGAGCAAUGGAGACUAACAAAAUGAAGUGACGAUUCAGUGUCCUUUGAUGGAUGCAUUUUUAAGCAAAAAUAGGUUUGUAACUGACCAAAUUUGUCUGGCAUGCCAAUUUAAAAAAAUUAAAUUAUGUGGUUGUUAGCUGUAGUGAAGGGGGGGUAGUAGGUCCAAUCCGGUCGAUCCAGGAAAGUUCAACAAAGUUCUGGUAUGGUGCAGUGAAACUGGUUUGUGCAACUCAAGAGUCGUUCAGGUAAAAGAUGAUGUGUUUUGAUUUAAAAAUGUUAUAAAUUUACUGUGUAUAGUAUUCUAGUAGAAUCAUCUAUAAAUUUAAGUUUUUGAAAUUAUCUGCUUUUCCCAGUUUGAGUUAAGGGCACAUGUAAUAUGAAAAAUAGUUGUCGAAUGUUGUAGGUUACCUAACAUUUGAUCAAUCCUAUUAUGAUGGCUUCAAGAUGUCUAACAAUAUGUAGAAUGCCCCUGCUCCUCCCCAUUGUUUAUCUUAUACAAUAAUAUGUUGUGGAUGCUAAUAUCUUUGUCGAUACCUGUAACAGUAUUACAAAAUCUGCGUUCAUUGGGUUUUAUAUAGGUUCAACUGUCUGACAGUUCACACUGUCUGAAGGCAUUUGGAAUUGGAGAUGUAUGGGUUGCCGUUGAGGGGAGUAGUGAUGUUCUUCCUGCUGUCAAACGUAUGUCUAAUGUUGCAGUUUUUGUUCCCAAGUCUGGUGCUAGCUUAUGGGCCGAUCUUUGGGUUAUAACCAUGCCUGUCAUUCUACUUCGAUAUUCACUUUGUUAUCACCUUCAUAUUAGUGAUCAGUAAACAUGACAAUGUGACUAAUAAAUUUGUAUUCUCUUUAUAGGCAAUCCGAGCUGCCUCAAGACUUGAAACAAAACAAAUUGAAGGCAAGUCAGAGGUCCAUCUCCAUUAAUCCAUUAAUAGAUAGAGUUCCACUUGCAAACAGCAAGAGCAUUGCCUUUCAAGCAAAAGGUUAUCCCGGGUGCAACUCCCUCUGCCCUUGAAAGUACUCUGGUUAAGUUGCCUGAACAACUUCUGAAGGGUAAACCAAGUCUGGAUACUAACUUAACUGCUGGAGUACCUCCGGCUGAAAUUCUGGCCAGAUGUGGGUUUUUGGAGCCAUUAUCUGAAGCUACAUUGUCAAAUUAUGAGUGGCUGGUUGCUAAUCUACAAAAACCUGCUCCUGUCUUGAUGAAAAGGGUGCAACAUUACAUGUCAUCAUUAAUCCGAAGCUUUCUAGCAAAAGCUACAUUGAAAAGUUAAUGGCACCGCAUGCCAGUCAUUAUAAUGCUGUCAGGGCAAUUGGGUCAGAGCAUAACUUCAUUGGGAAAAGAGGAUUCAGCUAGGUUACCUAUUACAGGACGUACUGAGAUGGCUGAAGUUCUUGAGGUUUUAUGAGAAAUGAAAGAUGAGUGCUUGUUUGAACAAAGUUGUCACCAAUCUCGUAAAGUUCAAGAAGAAAGAUCACAGAGCUAAUGCCACCAAUUUCUUCAUUAUUGCAGCCUCCAUUGUUGAAGUUUCCUCAUUUGAAGCUGUUUAUGCAUAUGCUUCUUCCCUGCUCAAGUACAGGAAAUUGAAGAAUUAGCCAGAUAUGAUAUGAUGAAAGAGGGAAGUUUUCUUCCUUGAAUAUGGCCUUGUAAUUUGUAGUGAAGGAGUAGGAUGAUCACUAGCAAGAACCCUAUCAAGGUAGAUUUUAUGAUGUUAACAUAUUACUAAGCAUUUGUUUCUUUAGCAAUGAUACUUUCAUAGCAUGAAUUUAAUUAUAUGAUCCUGAUUAAUCAAUUAAUUUUCAUGAGUUUUAACCUAGUUAAAACGAAGUACAAUCAUCGUUAACAAAUACUGAAAUUGGGUAAAUAUGAUCUUGACAUUGAAGAAGAAUUUGAAAACACAACCCGCAGAGGAAAUUACCUAUUGCAUGGGGAUGGAGAUGUAUAUUGCAGCGAUAUAGAAUAUGUGCCAGGCGUUGUCUACUGCUCUUUGGGUUAUGGUGUGAUUUGCGAAUUCAAUGUUGCCCUGAAACAAUGGAAAAGAUUAACAUAUCCUCCAAUGAAUGAAAACGGCUUGACUAAUUUUGACUACCUACUUGACUCAGGAUCAGGUGACAAUAAUGGCGGUUUAUUAACAUUGCACGGCCCCAGUACUCUUCCAGGAUCAGAUACGAAGUAGUCUAAAGUUGAUAAUAAGAGUUUUAUUAAAUGACAAAUCAUUGUUGUUGGGUGUUGGUUAUAUACGUCAUUACAACUACAAGUUGAAGAUGAAGGUUAUGCAAGUGAUUUCAGAAAUACAAUACAUUCCAAGAGAUGCUGGUCUACAAUUGCAUGCCCCCAGAUAUAAGAAUCUUUUGAUUGGGGCAUUGAAAAUGAAGAAUUGAAAAUGAAGUUGCAAGUUGCCGCCUAUAGCUGCUGAGUAAUAAUAAAACGAGAUAAAUUAAUUAAUCUCAGACCUCUAUGUAUAUGUUAUCCUAACUUUACUUACCCUUAUUUGUUAUAUUCACUUAAAACUUGAUGCCUAAACCAUUAAAAUCAAAUGACCAUAGGGGUAUUUACAGUAUGUAAAAACAAACAAAAACACGUAAAAAAUUUCAAAAAAUUAAUAAUCACACUCUAAACUUACCACUCAACUCCUAAGAAUAGUCAUAAUCUAAAACAAUUUACAACUUUUGAAGGGAGUAGCUAUGAAGAUGGGGGAAAAUCCUUUUCUCAGUGGAGUGCCAUUGCCCAAGAGUUGCAAUGAAAACGGACCACAUACAGCUGUGCCGGAAGAUUCAACGAGGUAUGAAAAAGAUGAUAAUUUAAGUGAUAUGGGCAGUAAUUGUGAUGUCAGAAAGCAUUAGUAUUCUAUAUGUGAACCAUUAUUGACGACAUCAUUGGUUUUAUCUUAUUAAAAUGUGGAUGACUUCCAGUUACUAUUUUAUUAGAAACAAUCUUAUUCAAUUAACAUAUAGUUUAAAACUAUUAUGUAAAUCAAUCUAUUAAUUUUCAUGGUAUUUAACUGAGUUAAAACUAAGUGCAAUCAAUAAAUCUUUUUUUCUUUAAAAAACUGCUACGCUUUGAUUUUAUUACUUAAUAUUUAUUGAACUCUGGUACAGGAAAUUUGAAAUCAAACUCGUAACUACAGAUUAUCUAAUUGCGAGUUACUGUCCAUGGCUGCUGAUUUGUAGUGAUUGUCUAAUUGACUGAGGUGACAAUAUUUUUUUUUUAAUUUUCAAUAGCACAAUGUGAAAUUCAAUAAUUAAAUUCUCCUGUUUAAUUUGUUUCAAGUUAAAUUAUUAAUUACUUAAACUCUUUUUUAAGUCUUUAAUUUUACGUCAAGUGACUUGGACAUGACGUACAAUGAGAGUGACAGUAAACAAACAUUAAAACGUGUGGACUCCGGUAGCUGACCUACAAGUCUACAAUAAUAAAUUGGGCCGGGGUUAAGUUACAUGAUCACGUAACAAACAUUACAUGAAUGAGGGCCGUUAGAUGUGAACAGUAAAAUCGAAUGGAUGGGAAUGAAAUGAACAGAAAAAAAGAAGUGAUGGGAAACUGGGAAAACUGGUGAACGAAAACCGCUUGGGCCACCGGGUCAAAACAAGGGUUAUUGUUUGAAUUCGAUUCAGGAGGCAAGAAACCUGAUUUUUUGUAAUUCGAUUCAGCGCCAUUAAAGCUGGUUUUCACAGCAACUAUGAUUUUUUUUUUUUAUAAUAGCACCAACUCCUACCCUUAAUUUAUAAUCAAACAUUACAUCUUCAAGAUUUAAUUUAUACCAAUAUUCAGGGGCAGACGACCAUGAAAAGUUCCUUGGAGCUUCCAUUAAUGGAGUUAAAAAUUAAUAUCUCGUUGAUGACUACUCUCAGCACAAGCGGUGAAGUGGCUUUGGCUUUAGCAAAAACCUUCUAUGCAUCUUCAUCUUUUAAAAAGCACACCCUUUCUUGCUCCCCAGUUAGUCCACAUCAAAAUUACAAGCGAACAAGCGAUUCUUUUUUGAGUUAUUUGAUGAAGAGGCAGCAUAAUUCAUAAAAUCCAUAAGUUAUGUCCAGUCCUUUUAAUCAACUCAGGAAAAAAUUAGAAUGAAUCUAAUUAAACUUUUGAUUUUUUGCAUCCAAUACGAGCAGGACAUAAAACUGCAUCUUUCACCGGCUUCAGAUGGUCAGCAAAAACUUUCUUUUUUUAAGCGUUUGGGAGCAAAUCGGAUAAAGCUCUUCAUAAAAAUCAAAAAGUAACCCCAAGGAUCAUCCAGGUCAAUCUGCAUGAGUUUUGCUGUUCAUACAUGAGCCAUAGAAGCAAGUUGAACCGCCAAACCGGGCACUAUGGUAAGACGUGGAAACACCGGAUCCCAUUCGUACCUCGAUCUGUUCGUUUUCUCGUUCAGAACGGGCCGAUAUGCGCAAGUAAGAAGUUUCCUCAGCCUGAGAGUUCAAAGAAAUCAUGUCACUUUGGGUUGCACAGGCUAUAGGAGAAAUUAUUCUUUUCGACUUACUUUUUUCAACCGGCUACAAACCGCUUCAAUCGGUAAAAUUAGAAUUAUAAUAGUUACACGUGUUGUAAUGUUGUUGAUUUAUUUGUCAAUUUCUUUAAUGUUUGUUACAUGUUAUGUAAGGUAACGAGACCCAUAAUUGAGUGCAUAGAAUUUCAAUGAAUUUCUGCCCCGUUGAGUUCACCGACUAAACUUUUGUAAAAUUAAAAAAAAAAAAAGUACAUAAAAUUUCAGAAAGGCUAAUACUAAGUUAUAUGCAUGUAACUUACAACCCUCUUACAUAAAUAAUGAAUAAUAUGAGCCCACUCAUUAUUUAUGUAAGAGCAUUAUAAGUUACAUGCAUGUAACUUAAGGUGAUCCUUUCAGAAAAUACAAAACGCGCGGAAUUAACCAAAAUAUAAUUUAACAAAAAAGGAAAAAAAAAGUAAGAUUUUUAAAAUGUGUGGAAGGUAAUCCAUAUUUUAUUGAAAUGACUUGUCUCGAAUAUUAAAAUGAUUGAUUUUUUUUUUUAAUAAUAUCAACUUCCAUAUUUUCUACCCCAGAACAUGCUCACAUUCAAGUCAAUCUCGCUAAUUUGAAAUACAAAAUCAAAUCAACACCAAAGCAAUGAAAAGUAAAGCUUUUAAAUUUUAACUCCAGCUAGCAAACGUAUUCAGCGUUUUCAAAUUCUUCCCAUUGCAUCUUCCUCCAUCAAUGCAAUAUUUGAACGAUUAAGAAAGAGUUUGAGAACAUAAAAAAUCCCCAAGGCUUAUACGGUAUUAACAAAUUUAAAUUCUCAAUUAUAAUAGAUAAUAAUUAAACUAAUAAUUAUUUAUUUUUUUAUUUUAGUAAUUUCACCUAAGAAUAAUAUUGUAAUUAGAAAAAAAAUCUAAUAAGUAGGGUGGUCUUAUACAAAAUCAACUGCAUAUACAUAUAUAUAUAUAUAUAUAUAUAUGCAGAUGCAAAUGAUAAUUUUUAAUUCUUUUUUUUUAAUAAGAAAAUUGUGUAUUGAGAUGAAUGAGAUGUUUAAUUUAAUUAAUUUCCUUACUUUCAUAUACAUUGUCUUUCUAUCUAAAGAAAGCUUGGUGUUGAGAUCGACAUGAAGUUGCAAGUUGCUGCCCAUGCCUGGCUGCUGAUUAAUAAUAAAACGAGACAAACUAAUUAAACUCUGGCCUCCAUGCGUAUGUCAUCCUAACUUUACUUGCUCUUGUUUGUUAAUAUUCAUUCUUAGAGAGGUGAAAAAAUUACAAGUCUUGAAUAACAAGGAGUUUAAUUGCCUCUAACUUCACUUGGUCUAUCAAUUCCCCUGCAAUUUCGGAAGCCAAGCGCAAAAUCAUACAGAGAAUUAAUUAUCUUUUUAUUAUCAACCCAUCUUCAAGAAGAUUUUCCUCAAUUUGCCCCAGAGGAGUUGGAGCUGUGUUUCUGAUAAGCCAAAGAGAUAGUAGCAAUUAAUAUUGAUAUUGCCUACCCAAGAAAUAUGAGUGAAUUAAGUAUUAGCAAGACUUCAUUCAGAGGAGCAAUUAAACCACUUCCUUAUCAAUUGCGGCAGCCGUCUAUUAACUAAAAUGCCAAUCUAAUACAGGAAGAAACAACAUUUACAGAUUCGGCAAUUGAGUUCAUUAAGAAGUAGCAUCAUAUUCGGGUGAUGAGUUUCAUUUUUUUAAUAAUUUUAGUCUAAUUUCAAUUGUACUGUGACCGCUACUCAAGGGAAGUGAAAGUUACAGAUGUGGCAAAAUAAAUAAUUAAAUUAACAAAAAUGCUAACUAAUUUUCCUGAAUACCUAGGGUUGCACAAUUUCACCAACCUGGAAGAAUUGACAUUAGUGGACUGGUCUCCUCCCCAUAUAAUUAUAAUCCUUCUAGAAAGCUAAUUUUUAUUAAAUAUUUGCUUUUAAGUUAAUUUCAAUUAAAAAAUGUUUUAAGUUAUAUAUACUCUAAUGAGAUUCUGAAUUCCUUUCUUCCAAUAAUAAUGAAAACUUAUUAAAUUAGAAAUGAAAAAAUGGGCGUUGAUGAUUCAUCCUGAUUUGGAUAGAUUACUUGUAUAAAAUUGACAAUUUUGAUUUAAUUUUUGUUUAUUGUUAACUUUCAGGCUAUCUUAAUUUCAAGAAUUUAGAAUAUUAAUUUGGUCAUGGAUUUCAACCCGUGACUGUUAUAUUCUAUACUUAAUGGUACCAUUCUUGAUUGAGGGCAAUGACUCUCACUCCUCUUGUAAAAAAAUAUUUUCAACUAUUUUGAUGACUUAAAAAUUGAUAGAUUUAUUGUUGUCAUGACCAAAUUAUUCAUUCGGCAAAGCUUAUCUUACAUCACCUGUAACAAACAGCCAAUACAUAUGGGUGGUUAGAUUUUGAUAUUUCUUAAUCUAAUGGAUGAAAAUAAUUUUAACGCAAAACAAGGUAUGGGUGUAAUAGCUAUUUACAAAAAAAUUUAUUUUGAAUCACAUAUUACUUAUUUUUUCAAAUAAGUCCUCAUUAAUUUUUUAUAACUAAAUGAUUUUAUCGUCCAUCUCUUUUACAUCUAUUUUUAAAAAUUGUUAAAGUUUUUACUAAAUUUUUAUAAAGAUCUAAAUGAUUAUCAUGUUUAUAAAAAUCUACAAAUUCUAAAUAUAUAUUUGCAUUUACAUUUAUAAUUUUUUGUCUCUCUUAAAAUAUAAACUAGAUUUUUUUUUCUUUUAUAUAAUUCAAGAUGCUAAAUUUAGAUAAGAGAUAUUAUAUGUGAUAAAUAUAUUAUGACUCUAAUAAAUUACUAGAAAGAUGGUAAAAUGAAUAAAUUAUUGGAACCUCUAAUAAUUUCACAAAAUAUAAAAAUUAAUAAAUUAUCACAUUCUAGCUAUACACAAAGAGGAUUUUCGUAUGAAAGAUUAAAAUCCUUUGACCUAAUCAAUGAUUCAGACAUGCGGAGAAAUAAUCAAUUAAAUUAAAUUUCACUAUAUUUAUCAAAUAAAUUAGGAAAACCCAAAUUUAUCUAUAAAUGAUAUAAAAAAAAUGAAAUAUUAAAAAUUAAAAAUUUCAAUGAAGAAAACAUACAACAAAUUAAAAAGUUAGGAGUUCAAAUGAGUAAAAAGUCUGCGCUCUUACCAUUUGAGUUAGCCUUCGCCUCAACUUGAACUUUAUUAUUUUUUUGUAACCCUAAUUGACAUCAACUUUAACUUUAUUAUGUUAUUAUUUCAAUCCCCCAUUAUGCCUUUUUAAUACUCCAUUAUACCAUUUUUAUAGUGCAAAUUUAAUUGCACAUCUAAAUAAAUUGAUUAUUGUUACUCCACCACCAAUAUUUCGAAAAGUCACUAGACCAUUCCUGCCUUUAGUUUCCCUUAAGUUUAACCAUUGACUGUUUUUAGCAUCUUAAAAUAUACAUUUAUUCCUUGAUUAUGUGAUAAAUUUAUGAAAAUAUCCAUUUAACUUAAAUUAAUUGGAAUAACCAUGCGUAACAUAAAUUAAUAGAACAAAAUUAUCAAGUGUAUGUUCUAUCUUACUUUUUGAAGAAUUUAACAUAUAUAAUGCUAUACUAUUAAUUAUAUCCUGAUUUUCAUCGAUUAUAGCGAGAGUUUCUCCAAAUCAACUCCCUUAUUCAAAUAAUACAGAAAAAAUAGUAAUUUAAUUGUAAAAAAAACAGGUGUUGAUUAUAUAUCCUAAGUUUCGUCGAUUAUGUGAUCAAAGCGGCAUUGUUGAUUUAUUUCUUUUUCAAUGUUGAUUUUUAGGUUAUAUAAAUUUCGAGGAUUUAAAAUCUUUGGUCAUGGAUUACAUGCUUAUUAAUUUUUCUGCCAUUGACUGUCAUAUUCUAUACUUAAUGGUACCUUUCUUGAUCAAGGGUAAUUACUCUCUCUUCUCCUCUUAUAAAUUCCUCUUCCAUUAACAUCACUAGGAGUAUGUUGAUCUCUCAGACGUUAACUUGAGUGGAGAGUUUCCAAAUUGAUUGUUAUAAAACAACACAAAAACUAGACAUACUUGAUCUGUCUAAUAAUUCUCAUUCGGUAAAAUUAAUUAAUUUUAGGAGAAUAUUGGGCCAAACUAAUUGCACUCAAUAAAUCUCUUUUCCUUUAAAAAACUGCUACGCUUUGAUUUUAGUGCUUAAUAUUUGCUGAACACCGAUACACGGAAUUUGAAAUCAAACUCGUAACUACAGAUUAUCUAAUUGCAAGUUUCUGUCCAUAGCUGCUGAUUUGUAGUGAUUAUCUAAUUGACUGAGGCGACAACAAUUUUUUUUUUUUAAUUUUCAAUAGCACAAUGUGGAAUUCAAUAAUUAAAUUCUCCUUCAUAAUUUGUUUCCAGUUAAAUUAUUAAUUACUUAAACUCUGUUUUAAGUCUUUAAUUUUAUGUGUUUAUGCAGAAUUGGAUUCUUGAGCGUGUUGGACACGACCAACAAUGAAAUUGACAGUAAACAAACAUUACAACGUGUGGACUCCGGUAGCUGCCCUACAAGUCUACAACUUUACAAAUAAUACUUGAGUAAGCACCUUUGAUUCUCCGGACCCUUCAAUGAAUUUCUAGCCCCGUUAACUCCACCGACUAAAGUUUUGUAAAAUAAAAAAAAAAUACAUGGAAUUCCACCAAAUGCAAAACGCGUGGAAUUUAAUUUUCGGCCGUGUGGACCAAAACAUAAUUUAAUGAAAAAGGAAAAAAAUGAUAAGAUUUCUAAAAUGUGUGGAAGGUGAUCCAUAUUUUACUGAAACGACUUGUUAAAUUUUUUAAGAAUUUAGAAUAUUUGAUCAUAAAUUACAUGCAUGUUAAUUUUUCCGUCAUUGACCAUCAUAUUCUAGACUUACCUUUCUUGAUGAAGGGUACUUAGUCUCUCUUCUCCUCUUAUAAAAAUUAUAUUAAUUGAUUUCUUGUUAUAGUUAAUAGUCUUUAAGAACGUAUAGAUUUAUUGUUUUCAUGACCAAAUUAUGCCCGGCUAAGGUUGCGACUAUUAAUAAAAUUAAUAUUUAAUGUUUAUGUUAAAAGAUAUAAGAUUUUGUGCAUUCAUUUUGUGCAUUCAUUAAUUGUUAUUAGCUAAAGGAUGAAUUUUUUUUUCAACCCAAUCAGUUGAUACAUCUGCAAGAGUUUUUUCUUUCAUUGACCAUAAUUAUAUUCCGGGUACAACAAAUUGUCUUUGGUGCUUGGAAAAUAUGACUUCUUACUUCAAGUUUGAUACGUCUCUCACCAUAAGCGUACUGGAAAUAUAUCCUCAUCUUCUGUCAUUUAUCUAGGACCUUGCUACGUUACAGACUCUGUAUGUAACGCAGCAAAUGAGGAGCAUCCACGCGUUGCAGGAGAGAGGAAAAGUUGUUGGAAUUUAGCUGAUACAAGACUAAUUUCCAUUGAGCUGUUACAUACAGAGUCUGUAAGGUAGUUUUGUCCCAUUUAUCUAAUAUCAAUUGAAGAUCUCACUUUUUCAAACUAUCACUUCCAAGUAUCAUUGUCACUUGGCCAUUCUUGGACCAUUCAAAACCAAUCAAGUGUUGAAAUAAUCAAAUAUAUGCAAAAUUAGAGUCAUGAUUUUCGGUCCCCCAAAUUCUAAUUAUAUAACUUCUAUAUAUCUCAUUGUCAGGUCACGAACUUGUUGGCACAUUUUCCAAAUUCCUCUUCCAUCAGCUCUCACAUGUUAACUUGAGUGGAAAGUUUCCAACUUAAUUGCUAGAAAGCAACGCAAAAUCGGACACACUUGCUCUGUCCCAUAAUUCUCUUUUCUACGUUGAAAAAGAAAAAAAAAAGAAAAAAGAAAAUAUAUCUAUGUAAAAUUAAAUAAUAAACUGAGCAAAAGUACAUUUGUUUAAUUAACAUCUGAUCGGGGCAUUUUUGGUGUGAUUUCGUGCUGUGUAAGCCACAACUAAAAUCAAACAGCCCCUUAGCAUACUUCUUCCAUUUUAUCUGCUACUUUUGUGGAUCUUAUAGGGUGGGCAUGUGGACAGAAUUUAAAAGUUUUAAUAGUCUCAAAGAAUAAAAUAUGUUAAAGCUGAAGUUGAAAAAAUGGGUGUUGAUGAUUCAUCCUGAUUUGGAUAGAUUACGUGAAUAAAAUUGACAAUUUUGAUUUAAUUUUUGUUUAUUGUUAAUUUUCAGGCUAUCUUAAUUUCAAGAAUUUAGAAUAUUAAUUUGGUCAUGGAUUUCAAUCCGUGAGUAUCAUAUUCUAGACUUAAUGGUACCAUUCUUGAUUGAGGGCAACGACUCUCACUCCUCUUGUAAAAAAAUAUUUUCAACUAUUUUGAUGACUUAAAAAUUGAUAGAUUUAUUGUUGUCAUGACCAAAUUAUUCAUUUUAAUGAAAUAUAAUUAAUGCAUCAAAAUUAGCAGGUGUAUGUUCUAUCUUACUUUUUCAAUACUGCACCUUUUCAAUACUGUUUCUCUUGUAAUUUUCUUUUUCCUUUUUUCAAUGAAAAAAAAGGGAAGGUUUUUCCGAGUAAUCCAUUAUUUGAUUACCGUCAAUCAAGAAAACGACCAAAUUAAUUUCUCUCCAUGAGCUAGAAAAUUUUGUUAUUUGAAAAUAACAUCAUUAAUUAUAGAGUGGAUCAAACCGUGUUAUUGUCUUUCAUAAAAUUGAUGUCUUUUUAAGAGUCAAUACUUUUUAUUUACGCAAACCAGUCGACAUCAAUUUAAACUUCCAUAUUUUUAUUAUUAUUAUGUUAUUUAUUUUAUCAGCGGCUAUAUAUCAAGAAAGCGACAAAAUUUAUUUCUCAUGACUUCCAAAAACUAGAAAACAACAUCAUUAAUUGGGGUUGAUCAAACCGCAUUAUUAGUGUCACACUAUAUUUGUACAACCAAGUCAACAUCAAUUUUUUUAAAUUUUAUAAAUUAAGAAGAUCAUUUUGGCCUUACAGAGUCUGCGCUCUCACCAUUUGAUUUAGCCUUCGCCUCAACUUGAACUUCAUUAUUUUUUUGUAACCCUAAUUGACAUCAACUUUAACUUUAUUAUGUUAUUAUUUCAAUCCCCCAUUAUGCCUUUUUAAUCCUCCAUUAUACCUUUCUUAAAGUGCAAAUUUAAUUGCACAUCUAAAUAAAUUGAUUAUUGUUACUCCACCACCAAUAUUUUGAAAAGUCACUAGACCAUUCCUGCCUUUAGUUUCCCGUAAGUUUAACUAUUGAUUGUUUUUAGCAUCUUAAAAUAUACAUUUAUUCCUUGAUUAUGUGAUAAAAUUAUGAAAAUAUCCAUUUUAGCUUAAAUUAAUUGGAAUAACCAUGCGUAACAUAAAUUAAUAGAACAAAAUUAUCAAGUGUAUGUUCUAUCUUACUUUUUGAAGAAUUUAACAUAUAUAAUGCUAUACUAUUAAUAAAUUUAUCAUUUAAUAUAUAUGUUCAAAUAUUUUAUAUAUUUAUUAAUUGUUAUAUAGUCAAAGGAUGAAUGAUUUUUCAGGUCUACAUGAGUUGGUGCAUCUGCAAGACUCAAUUUUGACAACAAUGAUCUAAGGGGUAAUUUACCUUGCUGUUUGAAAAAUAUAACCUCUCUUCAUGAUUUACUUCCAAUCUACUUACUGUAAAUAUCUCCUCAUCUCCUCUAACUUAUAUGAUAACCCUUGAAGAUCUCACAUUUUCAAACGAUCAUAUUAGGGUUUUUAUUCUUAGCAUCAUCGUGUCAAUAAUAUAUGUUGCAGUAAGAUUUUUUCAGACCAAUUCCCUUCUUCAAAUAAUAAUGGAAAAGUAUUAAUUUAAAAAUAAAAUGAAUAUGCAUUGAUUAUAUCCUGAUUUUCAUCGAUUAUAGCGAGAGUUUCUCCAAAUCAACUCCCUUAUUCAAAUAAUACAGAAAAAAUAGUAAUUUAAUUGUAAAAAAAACAGGUGUUGAUUAUAUAUCCUAAGUUUCGUCGAUUAUGUGAUCAAAGCGGCAUUGCUGAUUUAUUUCUUUUUCAAUGUUGAUUUUUAGGUUAUAUAAAUUUCGAGGAUUUAAAAUCUUUGGUCAUGGAUUACACGCUUUUUAAUUUUUCUGCCAUUGACUGUCAUAUUCUAUACUUAAUGGUACCUUUCUUGAUCAAGGGUAAUUACUCUCUCUUCUCAUCUUAUAAAUUCCUCUUCCAUUAACGUCACUAGGAGUAUGUUGAUCUCUCAGACGUUAACUUGAGUGGAGAGUUUCCAAAUUGAUUGUUACAAAACAAAACAAAAACUAGACACACUUGAUCUGUCUAAUAAUUCUCAUUCGGUAAAAUUAAUUAAUUUUAGGGGAAUAUUCGGCCAACCUCUAUAAUUUCAUAGUGAUCAUUAAUUAAUUAAACGAUACAAAUAUCUAAAGUGAUUAGAUGUUUGCUGACAAUACAAGUUCAUGGCUUGAAAUUUGAUCUCUAUCGAUUGAUUUACAAAUGGAAGUACUUGUGCCUUUGUGGCGAUAAUUGAACCAGAGAUGUGAAGCUGUAAAGAUUUGGCAGUAGUAAAUUGUUAAUUAUAAAGACAUAAAGAAAAGUUCCCAUGAUUAUUAUUUUUCCAAAAACUUUUUUACAACAAAUUCAUCUCGCCAAAAAUUAUAUUUUGCUAACAAACAAUAAUUGAGUACUUGGCCGUAUUGACUUCACGUCUCCACCUGCUUUCUAAGUGAAAACAUGGAAAUGUGUAAUUUCCACAAAAUGCCAAACGUGUGGAAUUUAAUUUUUAGCCUUGUGGACUAAAAUGCAAAUGAAAGAAAAAGGGGAAAAAACAAAAAAGAGCCCAAAGACUUUUAAAACGUGUAGAAGUCUUUGGGCCCCAAAGACUUCUAAAACGUGUGGAAGUCUUUGGGCCUUUUUAUAAUGGUGGAUUUUUUUUUUUUUUUUUAAAUUGGAAACUUCAUUAAGAGGCAAAGAUUACAGAGAAGUCCCCAGUUCGAGUCGCAGGAAAGUCGCCUUUGUUGGGAGAACCUGUGCCUCUCGGUUCGAGUGGGGACUUCUAGUCUAGGUUGUGGUACGGACUUAAAGGUGUCUCCCACAGUUGGGGCCCUCCCCAGAAUACCUCGUGGUCAAAACAAAAAAAAAAAAAAAAAAAGAUUACAGAGAAGUAAAUAACCAAGGAGGUGGGACAUGACUCCACUCCUCAAAGCCUGACAAAGAACCCCCCACCCGAGCGGUAACAUGGGCGGCAGUGUUCAAAGACCUUCGAAUAAAAGAGAACUCAAUAUCUCCUAUAGACUUAGCUAAAGCUAGACAAUCAUCAAGAAUAAGACCAUACCCAUUCGGACAAGAAUAGCUUGCUGUGAGAGCUUUAAAAACCUGGAAGCAGUCCAUUUCUACUACAACACAAGACAAAUGCCGCUUCUUAAUCCAGCUGAGGAUCUCACGCACACCAAGCGCUUCAGCAUCCCUUGCACCAAAACUACCCAGGACAGAUGCACAGCAAGCUGCCACAAACAGCCCAUCAGAGUUGCGAAUGACCCCUCCAUAACUUACUUUUCCCUAAGCUGAAAAUGUUGCGGCAUCAACGUUACACUUAAGCCAACCUAACUGAGGAGGUGUCCAGCAAAUUGCCCCAUGACGGCCUUGGAAACAAGUAGCAUUAUUGACAUCAGAUUUCUGCCUCGCAAUUUGACAUUGAAACAAAUAAUUUCCAGCAGAGUUGAGGACAUGACGCACACUACAGACUUUGUUAUUCCAAACUUUGGAUUUUUUAAAAGAAAAAAAUAACAACACUUCUAUGGUUUGUUUUGAUAAUCAUAUUUACAUAUACUCUCUAAUUUUCAAAAUGGACAUAUAAUUUUUUUUUACAAAUAUAUAUUAUUCGUAUUUUUUAUUAUUUUUAUUAUCAUAUUUUUAUUUAUUAUAAAUGUUUAAAGUAAAUUUUUAGGUUGAAAUAUAAUAAAAGGGUAUAAUCGUUCUCUUAUUAAAGACACAUACUUUUAUUUUCUAUCCAUUUGUCAUCUCAAUCACUCUCAAUUAUUCUUUAUUGCUAGCUCAAAACGUGUUGCUGUUGCAAAUUAUAGCAAAAUGAAAAAUAUGGAAAAAAAAAAGGGAAGAAAAUUAAUGCAUGAAAGACUUGGAGAAAACAACCAAAUAAGUCAACUAUAAUCAAGCUGGGUGUAUAAAUUGUUUGAUGUGUCAUAAGCAAAUAGAGAGACGGACAGUGUGUGCGUUUUUUAAUAGUUAAAGAUAUAGAUAGAAUGGGUGGUUCAAAAUCAAAAUUGGUGAUAAUGUUUGUUCUGUUAUUAAUAAUAUUAGAAGGUGGGGGGAGUGAGAGAUGUUUGGAUCAAGAGAGAUUUGCUCUUUUGCGACUUAAACUUUUCUUUGAUGAUCCUUUUAAUUCGCUUCACCACUGGGUAGAUGAUGAGGGAGCUACUGAUUGUUGUCAAUGGGAAAGGGUUGAGUGCAGCAACACCACAGGUCGAGUGAUACAACUAGACCUUUCUUUCAUUGGGAAUUGGGAUUUGAAAGAGCGGUAUCUGAAUGCUUCUUUGUUUACUCCCUUUCAACAACUUGAGUCACUUUAUUUAAAAUACAACAAUAUAGCCGGUUGUGUUGAGAAUGAAGGUGCUUCGUUUAAUUUAAUUAAUUUACUUUCUCUCCCCUAAUUUAUGUUGAAUAUCAAGACCAAGCAAUUAUAUGCAUAUUCAUUCAGUUGACAAUUUUGACUAAUUUUUUUUAAAUGAUUAAUUUUGAAAUUACACGAGUACAAUUUUUAAAUGAUCUUUUUUUUUAUUUUACUUGCAGGUAUAGAGAGGCUAUCAAGAUUGAGCAACUUGAAGAUGCUUGAUUUAAGUGAAAACUUGUUCAACAAUAGCAUCUUAUCAUCUGUAGCUCAUCUUUCAUCAUUAACAUCAUUAUAUUUAUAUUCGAAUAGAUUGGAAGGAAGUAUUGAUGUUAAAGGUACAUAAUUAAAAUUUCAUCUCUUCUCCAAGCUCUUUCAUUAACUUGCUAAAAUAAGAUUCAAGGUUUUGAAUUCAAUUUUUUUUUAUGAUUAAUAUUGAAGAAAAAAAUAAUUUUAAGCAAUUCAUAAAUACAAGUUCUAAUGUUUCUCAUAAUUUUAUCUUGUACUUUUUCGUAUGUCUUGAAUUUAAGAUUAAAAAAAAACUCUAAUGGGGAACCAAACACAUCCACAACUUAUUAUUAUUAUUUUCUAAUUUUUCUGUGUGUUUUGAAACAUUCAACUCAAUUUGUACUUUUUACAGAAUUAGAUUCUUUGAGAGAUUUGGAGGAGCUAUACAUUGGUUGGAACAUGAUUGACAAAUUUGUGGUCCCAAAAGGUACUACAAAUACCAUUAAAAAAUUUAAAUUUUUACAAAUUAGGUAGAUUCUUUGCCAUUUGGUUCAUUAUUUUACAAAUUAGCUAGAUUCUCUGAAUUUAGACAAUGAAUUUUGAUUUUCUUAAAUCCUAUUAUAAUUACUAUUAAAAAACAGGUUACAGAGGUUUGAGGAAGUUGAAAAGCCUAGGUCUAUCGGGAGUUGGAAUUACAAAUGGAAGCAAGUUGUUACAGUCAAUGGGAUCAUUCCCAUCCCUCAACACUCUUCACCUUUCGUUUAAUGAAUUUACGGAAACAGUAACAACUACUACUCAAGGUAAGUAAAUGGUACAUAUGUCGCCAAAUUUAUAAAUAAACUGUUAAUUAAUUAAUUAAUUUUUUCGUAUUAUUAAGAAAGCUAAAUUCGUUGCUCCUUCCUUUUAAAUCUAAACAGAGUUGCACAAUUUCACCAACUUGGAAUAUUUGACAUUGGACUAUUCCUCUCUCCAUAUAAGCCUUCUGCAAAGCAUUGCAUCAUUCACUUCGUUAAAAAAUCUGUCGAUGUCUUAUUGUGAAGUCAAUGGCGUCCUAAGCGGUCAAGGUAAAAGAAAAGUGUUGAUUGUGAAUAAGCUGUUAAUUAAUUAAUGUUGUUGCUCCUUGCUUCUAAACAGAGUUGCGCAAUUUCACCAACUUGGAAUAUUUGAAUUGGACUCUUCUUCCUCGCUUGUCAAAUAUUGGACUCUUCCUCGCUUGCGCAAUUUCAUCAUUCACUUCUGCAAUUUCUUGAAGAAUGAAUUUAUUUAUUUAUUUAUUAUUGUUGUAGUUGUUGUUGUUGUUGAAGUGGGGUGGGCAAGCGUUCACUCAAUUAAUAUGUGGGGAAUUAAAUAUUAACAUCAACGUAGAAUUGUGGAAAAUUAAAGUAAAAUGAGAAAUAUGGAAUGAAAGGAAGAAAGUUAAGAGCAUGAAAGACUGGGAGAAGAAUAAAGACCACCAAAUAAGUCAACUGAAAACAAGCUGAGGCCUGGGUGUACAAAUUGUUAGAUGUGUUUAUUAUAAAUAACAUAGAGCCCUCUUGUUGGUUGCAGAGGCAGAGAGACAGAGAGUGUGCAUUUUAUUAAUUAAAAAUAUUUAUAGAAUGGGUGGUUGCAAAAUCCAAAAUGGUGAUAAUGUUAGUUUUGUUAGUAUUAAUAAUAUUAGAAGGGGGGUAGUGUGAGGGAUGUUUGGUGCAUGAGAGAUUUGCUCUUUCGAGACUUAAAACAUUUCUGCAAACCUCCUUAUAAUUUUCGUCACGAAUGACCGCUGUCAACACCACAGGCUGAGUGGUAUCUGAAUGCUUCUUGGUUUACUCCCUUUCAACAAUAUAGUCGGUAGUGUUGAGAAUGAAGGUGUUUCGUUUAAUUUAAUUAAUUUACUUUCUCCCUCCUAAUUUAAGUUGAAUAUCAAGACCGAGCAACUAUAUGCAUAUUCAUUUAGUUGACAAUUUUGACAUAUUUUUUUAAAUGAUUAAUUUUGAAAUUACACCAAACAGAUGCGAUCUCUGUUUUGAUUUUACUUGCAGGUCUAGAAAGAUUGGCCAACUUGAAGAUGCUUGAUUUAAGAGGAAACUUGUUCAAUAAUAGCAUCUUAUCAUCUCUAGCUCGUCUUUCAUCAUUAACAUCAUUAGAUUUAUCUUACAAUCGAUUGGAAGGAAGUAUUAAUGUUAAAGGUACGUAAUUAAAACGUCAUCUCUUCUCCCAACUCUUUCAUUAACAUGCUAAAAUAAGAUUCAAGGCUUUGAAUUCAAUUUUUUUAUGAGUAAUAUUAGAAAAAUAGUUUUAAGCAAUUCAUAAAUACAAUUUUCAAUGUUUCUCAUAAUUUCAUCUUGUACUUUUGUAUGUCUUGACUUUAAGAUAAAAAAAAAAAUUACUCUAACUAUGAAGCAAAUACCCCAUGACUAAUUUAUCAUUUUGUCCAGUUAAAAAUGAUAAAAUUUAUCAUUUUGUUUUUAUUGAUUAAUUAACUCUGUUUUAAGUCUUAAGUCUUGGCUUCUUGGCAUGUUUGCAGAAUUUGAUUCCUUGAGCAACUUAGAGGAGUUGGACAUGAGCGGCAAUGAAAUAGACAAUUUUGAGGUUCCUCAAGGUAAACUAUUAAAAUAUUAUUCAAUUACAUUAAUUUAAUUCGUUUGAUUAGGGAAGGCCCAAAAGGUACAGAAACAUAAUUGAAAAAAAAAAUAAAGAAACAGAGAAUUCAUAUUAUUUCAAAAAACAAAAGGUAAUACUAUUAUUUCAAAAAUAGAAUGUAAUAAAGAUUUGAUUUCGGUUCUUUAAUCUUUACAGCAAUUGAAAAACAAUGUUGCUCUAAAUAUGAAAUGACUCCAAAUUGAAUUAGUCAUUUAUUUCGUUUAGCUCUAAAUUUAGAAAAAAUGAAUUUUGAUUCUCUUCAAUUCUUUCAAAAUUAUUAUUAAUAAACAGGUUACAAAGGUUUGAGGAAGUUGAAAACUUUGUAUCUAUUGGGAGUUGGAAUUAGAGAUGGAAGCAAGUUGUUACAGUCAAUGGGAUCAUUCCCAUCCCUCAACAAUCUUGACCUCUCUUAUAAUAAUUUUACCGAUACAGUGACCACUACUCAAGGUAAGUAAAAGGUAUAGAUGUGGUCAAAUUCAUAAACAAACUCUUAAUUAAUUAAUUAAUUUUCCAUAUUAUUAAUAAAAGUGAAAUUUGUUGCUUCUUCCUUCUAAUUCUAAACAGAGUUGCACAAUUUCGCCAACUUGGAAUAUUUGACAUUGCACGGUUCCUCUCUCCACAUAAGCUUUCUGCAAAGCAUUGCAUUAAUGUUUCCUUCGUUAAAAAAUCUGUCGAUGCUUGAUUGUAAAGUAAAUGGUGUCGUACGUGGUCAAGGUAAAAGAAAAGUGUUGAUUGUGAACUCAUUGUUGUCCUACGUGUUCAACAUUUUAUUUAUUUAUUUUAUUGUUUAAUGUUUCUGCUAGGUUUUCCUCAUUUCAAGAGUUUGGAACAUUUGGACAUGGAUGACUUGCGCAUUGUACUCAACACCAGCUUUCUUCAAAUCAUCGGUGAAUCGAUGCCUUCUCUUAAGUACUUAUCACUGUCAUAUUCUAGUGCUAUCACUAACAGCAGUGGGAUUCUUCAAGGUUAAUAAGAUGCUCCCACCGUUCCCUCUUAAUCUAUAAUAUUAAUUUUUGAUUAAAUAUAUAAUUACAAAAACCAAUCACUUAUAAAAGAAUGCUAUGUAUUUGUUAAUUUUUUUAUUGUACUGAUGGAUAAAUUAAUAAAUUUUCAGGCCUCUGUUCGCUGGUGCAUCUGCAAGAGUUGCACAUGGCUGAUAAUGAAUUAAGAGGUAGCUUGCCUUGGUGCUUGGCAAAUAUGACAUCCCUCCGAAUAUUAGAUGUUUCUUCCAAUCAACUUACUGGAAGCAUCUCCUCAUCUCCCCUCUUUUACUUGACAUCCAUUGAAGAGCUGAGCCUUUCAAACAAUCACUUCCACAUCCCAAUUUCACUUGAACCACUUUUUAAUCACUCAAGACUCAAAAUUUUCUAUGCUGACAACAACCCAAUAAAUGCAAAAAUAACUAAGUCACAUACUUUGACCACCCCAAAAUUCCAACUAGCAUCUCUUUCAUUGUCUUCCAGUUAUGGAGAUGGUGUCACAUUCCCCAAAUUCCUUUACUAUCAACAUGACCUGGAGGAUGUUCAUUUCUCACGCAUACAAAUGAAUGGAGAAUUUCCAAAUUGGUUGUUGGAAAACAACACAAAAUUAAGACAACUUUCUCUCGUCAAUGAUUCUCUUGCAGGACCUUUUCGAUUGCCAAUUCAUUCACACAGGCAUUUAAGACUGUUGGAUGUCUCCAACAACAACUUCCAAGGCCACAUUCCAGUAGAAAUUGGAGAUAUUUUACCACGUUUAAUAUCCUUCAACAUUUCAAUGAAUGCUUUGGACGGUAGCAUUCCCUCUUCAUUUGGUAAUAUGAACCUUCUCCAAAUUCUGGACUUAUCCAACAACCAAUUGACUGGUGAAAUCCCCGAGCACUUGGCCAUGGGUUGCGUCAACUUGGAGUUUCUUGCAUUAUCAAACAACAGCUUAAAAGGUCAUAUGUUCUCCAGAAACUUUAACCUGAUAAACUUGAGAUGGUUACAAUUGGAAGGCAAUCACUUCGUAGGAGAGAUCCCACAAAGUUUGUCUAAAUGCUCCUCACUAGAAGGAUUGUAUCUUAAUAAUAACAGUCUCUCGGGUAAGAUUCCACGAUGGUUGGGUAAUCUCACAUGGUUAAUACAUAUUAUAAUGCCCAAGAAUCACCUUGAAGGUCCUAUUCCAGUGGAGUUUUGUCAUCUUUAUUCGCUUCAGAUUUUGGACAUUUCAGACAACAAUAUAUCUGGAAGUUUACCAUCUUGUUUCCAUCCUCUCUCUAUCACACAAGUUCACCUAUCGAAAAAUAUGUUACAUGGACAGCUAAAAGGAGGUACUUUCUUUAAUUGCUCUUCCCUUGUGACAUUAGAUCUUAGCUAUAACCUCUUGAAUGGCAGCAUUCCAGAUUGGAUUGAUGGGCUUUCUCAGUUAAGCCACCUUAUCUUAGGUAACAAUAAUCUUGAAGGUGAAGUGCCAGUUCAAUUGUGUGGAUUGAACCAACUACAAUUGUUAGAUCUUUCUAAUAAUAAUCUUCACGGUCUUAUUCCUCCUUGUUUUGAUAACACCAAACUUCAUGAAAGUUACAACAAUAGUUCUAGUCCUGAUGAGCAAUUUAAAAUAUUGUUUUCCAUCAAAGGCCAUCAGGGACAUGUAGAAAAGAAAAUCCAAGAAUUUUUUGAGUUCACAACAAAGAACAUUGCGUACAUUUUCCAAGGAAAAGUGCUUAGCCUCCUAUCAGGACUUGAUCUUUCUUGUAACAAGCUAAUCGGUCAUAUUCCUCCUCAAGUUGGAAAUUUGACAAGGAUUCAAACAUUGAAUCUAUCACACAACAACUUGACAGGAUUGAUCCCAUCAACAUUUUCAAACUUGAAGCAAAUCGAAAGUUUGGAUCUUUCCUACAACAAAUUGAAUGGGAAAAUCCCUCAUCAACUUGUGGAGUUAAAGGAAUUGGCUGUUUUCAGUGUGGCAUACAAUAACUUAUCAGGCGAAAUUCCAGAAUGGAAAGCACAAUUUGCAACCUUCAACGAGAAUAGCUAUGAGGGAAAUACUUUUCUUUGUGGACUGCCAUUACCCAUUUGUAGAUCACCAACAACUAUGUCGGAGGCUUCAAUCGAAAAUGAACGAGAUGAUAAUUUAAUUGACACGGACAGUUUUUUUAUCACAUUUACAACAUCGUACGUAAUUGUGAUAUUCGGAAUUGUUACUGUUUUAUAUGUAAAUUCUUAUUGGCGACAUAGAUGGUUUUACUUUGUUGAAAUGUGGAUAACUUCAUGUUACUAUUUUGUUGUAGACAAUCUUAUUCCAACAAGAUUUUGUCAUUGAAAUUAAUUAGUAGUUUAAUUACAAUUCUUUAAGUACUAAUCAAGUUUGCUUAGGAAAUAAAUUUAUUUUUAUUUUUAUUAAAAUUGUAGUAGUAUUUAGCAUUAUAUAGCUUCCAACUUCCAAGCACUUCACAUUUGUCUCUACACUUAAAAAGCUGAGUGAUCAUGUUUUACAGAUAUGGAUCUGGAGUAGGAUAGAUCCAAACACCAAACUCAUAUCUGUCCAUCAUAGCUUAUAGCUUCCCUAUACUGUGCAGCAUACUUAAAUAAGAGAAUCAUCUCCAAUGUUAAAAGCAGCCACUCUAUAACAUUCAUUUAGAAACUAUAUUCAGAAUAGUUUUAUAAUCAUACACAAGAAAUGAAACACCUAGAUGCACUUGAUCGCCUAUUUUACUCUGAAAAAGAACAAUUAUGGUGCUAUCAUCAUCUUCUCAAUUAGCAACAUUAACACUAAAUCCAGCGAUGGACCCAGACAUUUCAUCAAGAAAGGUAUAUAUCUAAUAAAGUUGAAGCUUGACAAAAAAUUCAGGAAGAUUAAUGCCUCGCCACAACAAGGGGCACAACAACAUCAAAGUAGAGAUAAAACAGUAUUCUCAAAGCUAAAACUCUCAAAUCCACCCACCAGAAUUUCAUAUCUCCUCAACAAUUUUAAAAACUAAAGGUAAUUAGGAUUUAACAUUAAUUUUUUAUAUAUUAGUUUCAUAAUUUACAAAUCAAUGAAGAUGAAGAUUAUGCUAAUGAAUUCAAAUUAUACCAUACAUUCUCUAGAUUUUACCAAAAAUUUCCAAGUCAAUCCCACAUAUUUCAUAAUUUUAAGACUGGAAAGUGUUAUGCCAAAACUCAGUAAAGAACUGACAAUGGCUCCCCAAGAUCCACUCAAGAAGGGUUCUUGUAUCUAAAACUAUUGUGAGCCCAAGCAAUCAAAGCAAGUCAAUGAAAGAAUUAAAAGAGGCAGAAAGAACAAUACACAGGAAAGCUUAUAGUGGUUCGGCUAUGGAAGCCUACAUCCACUGUGAAAGGGUGAAUCCAAGUUUGUAUUCAAUGAGUGUCUUACAGAGUACAAGCUUAUUAGAGAAGCUUAACCAUUCAUGAACAACAUGACAUAUUCCAGAAUACCCAGCUAUAUAUAUAAGCAAUGCUCGAUCAUCACCUGCAAGCUUCCCCUGUUAUCCGUGAAGAAGAACAGCAGCUUCCCGCGCUAAUUAACGGCUUAACAGACUCCUGAUAAGCCUCCCUCACACGUGUCUUCAUCUCUAUUAUCUUAAGUACUAAAACGACACUUCAAGCAGCCGUUUUGGUUAAGUGAAUCACGUGCAAACCACAAGCCUUCUUUGCGCACACAGACGACACAAUUUUCUUGUCAUAUAGCUAUCUCAGGACUGUCAACCAACGUGUAAUGGUGUUAACAAAUCUUCAACCGACUUGUCGCACUUGACUAUAAACUGAUUUGCAGUUCAUAUUCAACAUUCUCCACCUUGAGCUCAAAUCAUCCAUCCCUCAGGUUCACCCUUCCACUUCUUUCCUGCAGUCUAUAUCCUGCAGAUGCCAGCUGAGUUCAAACAGAACUCAAACUUGGCUCCUGGUACAGCUUUGGUAAGCAUGUCAGCAAUGUUGCUAUCAGUGUGUAUUUUAGCCAGCUUAAUCACACCCUUUGAUAUUUCCAAUCUGACAAAGUGAAGCUUGAUGUCAAUAUGCUUGGUUUUCUCGUGAUGUAUCUGGUUCUUACUCAGACAUAUAGCACUUUGGCUGUCACAGUGAAUUGUAAUUUGGUUUUGUUCAAAUCCCAGUUCUGUCACUAUCCCUCUGAGCCAGAUAGCUUCUUUGAUUGCCUCUGCAGCUGCUGUGUAUUUUGCCUCAGUUGUUGACAGAGCAACAACACUCUGCAGUGAAGCCUUCCAGUUUAUGGUGCAGCCAUUAAGCAUAAACAGAAAACCUGUUAAAGACCUUCUUUUAUCCAGAUCUCCAGCAUAAUCUGCAUCCACAUAACCCUCCACACUAACCUCUUCAUAUUUCUCAGCUCCAUAGAUCAGACCAUAACCAGUUGUACCAGCCAGGUAUCUUAAGAUCCAUACAACAGCCCUCCAAUGAUCUUUCCCUGGGUUUGCCAUGUACCUGCUUACCACACUCACUGCAUGAGAGAGAUCAGGCCUAGUCAGGACCAUUGCAUACAUUAAACAUCCAACAGCACUUGAGUAUGGAUAUUUAUUCAUUUCAGCCUUUUCAGUAUCAGAGUUUAGACACUGUUGGCAGGACAGUCUGAAAUGAGAGGGCAGUGGUGUCUGUACUGGUUUACAUUUAUCCAUAUUGAAUUUCUCAAGUACUUUCCUGAUGUAUUUGUGCUGUGUUAGGCUUAGGAUACCAUUCUUUCUGUCUCUCUUUAGCUGAACUCCAAGGAUCUUCUUUGCAGCACCCAGAUCCUUCAUCUCAAAUGUAUUGCUCAGCUGCUGUUUCAGUUCAUUGAUGAACUCCAUCUCCUUACAAGCUAUUAACAUAUCAUCUACAUAGAGUAGCAGGUAGAUCUUGUCACCACCUUCUAUGGUUUUAAAAUAGAUACAGCAGUCAAAACUGCUCCUUUGAAAACCAUGAUCUGACAUGAACCUGUCAAACCUUAGAUACCACAGUCUUGGAGACUGUUUUAAUCCAUAUAGUGACUUCCUUAGAUGACAUACAUGAUCAGUCUUUUCUGGAUCCUCAUACCUUUCAGGUUGUGACAUCACUAUCAUCUCAUCUAUUUCACCAUGCAAGAAGGGAGUCUUCACAUCCAUCUGUUCAAGAUGCAUGUCUUGUACAGCCACUAGAGAUAACAAGAUCCUCAGGGAGGCAUGUCUCACCACUGGGGAGAAAACUUUUGUAAAGUCCACCCCCUCUUUCUGAGUGAAGCCUUUUGCAACCAAUCUGGCUUUAUAUCUUUGUGGCUCAACAUCUGGUAUUCCCUCCUUAAUCCUGUAGAUCCAUUUGCACCCUACUACCUUCUUGUUUGCUGGUCUUUCAAUGAGAUUCCAGGUGUGAUUCUUUUUCAAAGACAUCAUUUCCUCAUCCAUGGCCUUGAUCCAUUCUUCUGCUUUAUCACUGUUAAUAGCUUCUGAGUAUGUUCUUGGUUCAUCUGUUGCUACUUCAUGUGCUGCUGUUAAUGCAAAUGCUAUUAGGUCUGCAUAUGCAUAUCUUCUAGGAGGUCUUAUUACUCUCUUUUCUCUGUCCCUUACUAACUGAUAAUCUCCACUUCUUCCCUGAUCACUUGCUGCUUCAAUCUCAGUGUCAUGCAUUUCCAUGUCUGCUAUGUCUCCAGCCUCUGAUCUUGGUUUCAGUUUCUAGUUUGAGUUUGACAGCUCCACCUCAAGAUAAGAUUUCUCAUCUUUUUCUUUCAUUUCUGCAUUUGUAGUUUUUAAGGAUGCUGAGUGUUGGAGCAUUUCAGCUUCAUUAAAAACUACAUCUCUGCUUAUGAUUGCUUUUGGUGGCUUCAUGUCUGUGCACCACAGUUUAUACCCUUUUACCCCUUCAGGGUAACCAAGAAAUACACACUUCAAUGCCCUAGGCUCUAAUUUGCCUUGUCUAAUGUGAGCAUAUGCUGGACAACCAAAUAUCUUCAAACUGGAGUAAUCUGCUGGUUCACCAUACCAAAGUUCAUAUGGUGUCUUGAAGUUAAUUCCAGUUGAAGGGCUUCUGUUCACAAUGUGACAAGCUGUUGACAGAGCCUCAGCCCACAAGGACAUAGGUAGCUUGGAGUGAAUGAGCAUACACCUCACUUUGUCAACUAAGGUUCUAUUCAUCCUCUCAGCUAAUCCAUUUUGCUGAGGUGUAUAUCUUACUGUUCUGUGCCUCAUGAUCCCAUGCUUGCUGCAAAACUCUUCAAACCUCUUGUUGCAGAAUUCUAAUCCAUUAUCAGUUCUGAGCUUCUUAACCUUCCUAUUGGUCUGAGUUUCAAUCAGUGUUUUCCAGUUCUUGAAAUGUUCAAACACUUCAUCUUUGUUCUUCAGCACAUACACCCAAACCAUUCUGGAAUGGUCAUCAAUUAGAGAUAGAAAAUACCUUGCCCCUCCUAAAGAUGUUGUUUGUGCAGGUCCCCACAGAUCAGCAUGUAUGUAUUCUAGAGUUCCUCUUGAAACAUGUGCACCUGUGCUGAAUUUGACUCUUGAUGAUUUGCCUAGGACACACUCCUCACAAAAUUUCAAGUACUCUAUUUUACCUUCACCCAAGACUCCCUGUUUUGAUAGUUCUCUCAAGCCUCUCUCACUCAUAUGGCCUAAUCUAAAGUGCCACAAUAAGGUUUUGUUUAGGUUCUGGUUUGAAACUCCAACAUCUCCUGUGACUUCAGACCCCUGGAGCACAUACAGGCCAUUGUCUAAGUUUCCUUUCAUCAACACCAUAGACCCUUUUAUCACCUUUAAAGUGCCUGACUCAAGCUUGAUUACACACCCCAUUCUGUCAAGCAUGCCAAGAGAAAUUAGGUUCCUCUUUAAAUCAGGGAUGUGUCAAGCAUUUGUUAAUUCUCUUAUUGUGCCAUCAAGCAUUUCCAGAAUACCCAGCUAUAUAUAUAAGCAAUGCUCGAUCAUCACCUGCAAGCUUCCCCUGUUAUUCGUGAAGAAGAACAGCAGCUUUCCGCGCUAAUUAACGGCCUAACAGACUCCUGAUAAGCCUCCCUCACACGUGUCUUCAUCUCUAUUAUCUUAAGUACUAAAACGACACUUCAAGCAGCCGUUUUGGUUAAGUGAAUCACGUGCAAACCACAAGCCUUCUUUGCGCACACAGACGACACAAUUUUCUUGUCAUAUAGCUAUCUCAGGACUGUCAACCGACGUGUAAUGGUGUUAACAAAUCUUCAACCGACUUGUCGCACUUGACUAUAAACUGAUUUGCAGUUCAUAUUCAACAGAAAGUUUCAUUAGUUAGAAGUUUCAUUACCUUCAAGUGGAAGAUGAAGAAGAACAUUAUGCAAGUGAUUCAGACUACAUCAUACAUACUCCAAAUGCAACUAGAAAUUAAGAAGUUCAUGCCCACAGAUUUCAAAACAUUAUGAUUGGAAAGUUUCACAAAUACAGACAAAUUUUAAAUUCAAUCUCUUACAUCAAGGUAGUUUGAUUGAUAUGAGUUACUUUCUGAUCAAACUACUAAUAUAACAUUCAAUUCAGGGAGAAAGUAAAUUAAAAUUGGGAAGAAAUGAUAGUAAAAAUUUGUUGCUAAACAUGAUGUGUAUUUGUUUUUUUUAGGCAAUUUGGAAACACAGUUGUUACUACAGAUAUUCUCCUCAACUUGGAGGUAAAUACAAAUAUUAAAAUGCAUAUGAUCACACAUAUUACUUGGAGCUUAGUAAGAUUUGAUUAAGAGAAGCAAUCAAACCGCAAUCAAAGCACUUAUCAAUUGCCGCAGUCGUUAUAUAAACUAAAAUGGCAAUAUAAUACAAGAAAAAGAACAUAUAGAUACUUGGCAAGAGUUCAUUAAGAAGUCGCAUCACAUUCGGGUGAGGAGUUUGCUUUUGAUAUCUUGCUAGCUGGGGCUUUUUCUUGUCUUUCUAUGUUUGCCGAGGGAAACCAACCAGCUUGGCCCUGGCAUUCACCUUCCGACCGUCCAGUAAGAGCCACCUUGAGAAGUUAUAACUAAAAAGGUGAAUUAAACAAAAGUUGACCGUUCAAAGACCUAAGGGGAAAACUAAUUCUUUUACGUAGGAGUGAAUUAGUUGUGAUUACUGAAAUUACAGCAUUAACCAUGAAAGCAUAACAAGAUAUAAAUUCAUAUAUCUAUAAAGGUAAACUGGGUGGUUUAGAAUUGAGCUAGCAACCCUACUAUAUUCUGAUUUGCACUUCAAUGUAAAAGGGAAUAUAUAGUAGGAAGAAAGAAAACCAACCAUUAUUUUUUAACUCAUUGUUUUUCAAUCAAAAUUUUAAGAACAAAAUGUCAUGUGCUUUGAACAUCAAAUAAGUAUAAGCAUUAGUUCUAAAUUCCACAUAUUAUAAGUUGUUAGAAGAAUAAGUUAAUAGCAUACUAGAAAAAUCUAUGUGUUGUUAUUUAGAGGGGAAAGUACCUGGCGAACCACAACAUAAUCAUCAAUUGAAAGACUUAGCUCCCCAUUUGCUUGAGCGUCAAAUGGAUUUAUAACUUGCAAGAUAAUGGGAUAAAUAGAACUUAAUCUUAAAAAAAACAUAACAAAAGCAGCAACAGUAGCAGCAGCGUUCAUUGUAACCACUAUGAUUAUGGCCAACAAAGAUAUAUUAGAAAAAAUUUCCAUUUUUACUACGACAUUAAUAUGUACUAUACGAUAUCAUGACGAUUGGGUUACCAAGAGCUAUCAAAGUUCAAUAAGUUCUGUAUAACUUUAUGUAGUUAUUUAAAUUAUGGAUCGGAUUUUAAAUUUGAAAUUUUGACUGCUCUCCACAAAACAUGGCCUAUGCAUAAGAAAGUCAUAGAUAAUGACGAUUACAAGUGUCCGACAUCUUUUGAGGGAUGGAUUUAACAUGACAGCUUAUGGUCAGUCAAUUUCCUCUGCCUAACAAUAUAAGCUUUCUCGGCCAGAUAUAUCAUCAAAUACAUAGAUUGCCCCCAAGUCACAUCCAUAUAAACAUAGUUUUUAUAGGUAAACCAAGUAAGGAGAAUCAUAAUUCAGACAUAAUCACAAAAAGGCCCAUCUAAAUUAAGAGAAAAUCUCAAAAAGAGGGAUGUUGAGCUAUCAGUCAUGUAUCUAUAAGCAAUAUCAAGACCUUACAUCACCUACUACAUCGUGAGUAUCUACACAACUUUCAGUGGUUUGUCUUUCUUUGGCAUGCCUAACUCAGCUUUGAUGUUGCUGAGAUAUUGAUGGUAGAGACACAUGAUACUUCUAGCUCAUGCAUUCUAUCUAGCUCAUCCGACAGCUUUCUCUUUUUUAAUUCAUUAGUGUUUGUUAAACCUCAUGCUUCAAAGUCUUGUUCUCUAAAACAAAGUUUCCUAAGAAUAACUUCCUCAGCACCACAUUUGGACACUUUUAGAGCAAUUUUAUUUUGUGGAAAAGAAUUUUCAAGGUGUUAACUAAUAAAUUUUAAAAAAUAAUUACAAUUUGUCCUACGAUCAUAUGAUAAUUUAUUUGGGAUGAAAGGAUACAGGCAGACAUCUUCCACUUUCAAGACUAAUCACUACUUCCGUAGAUGUUGUACAAUAAUACAAAUACUUGACCAGAUGGUAGUGAUAGAAGAAAAAAAUUUUAUUGCUCCAAAAUUAAAAUAAGGGUCAAUCUAUAAUGCCGUAACUAAAUUUACGACAUUGAUACCGUAAUGUACGUGGACCGUUAGAUUUGAAAAAAAAAUCUCUACCAUUAAUUCUAAAUAAAUAGGUAACCUGUUACCUAAGUAGCAGGUAAUUACUAUUUUUUGUUCAAGUUCCAUGUUACAUUUACCAAUUUUAUGUGUGAUUUACAAGUUUUAUGAAACUUUUACAAGUUUUAAGCAACAUUUACAAGUUUUAUGCAACAUUUACAAGUUUUUGUUUUAUUUACAAGUUCUUCUCACAAUUACAACUGUAACAUUAAUUUACCUAUUUUUCCAUUAAUUUAUUAGUUUUAUGUGUGGUUUACAUAUUUUAUGUUUUAUUUCACACUUAAUGUGAAUUUACUAGUUCUAUGUCAUUUUUCUAAGUUUUUGUUUUGUUUACAAAUUCUUCGUACAAAUUACAACUCCGGCAUUAAUUUACUCAUUUUUUCAUCAAUUUACUAGUUUUAUGUGUGAUUUACACAUUUUUUGUUUUAUUUCACAAUUAAUGUCAAUUUACUAGUUCUAUGUCAUUUUUAUAAGUUUUUGUUUUGUUUACAAGUUCUUCGUGCAAAUUACAAUUCCAACAUUAAUUUAUCAUUUUUUUCAUUAAUUUACUAGUUUUAUGUGUGAUUUACAUAUUUUUUGUUUUAUUUCACACUUAAUGUGAAUUUACAAGUUCUAUGUCAUUUUUCUAAGUUUUUGUCUUGUUUACAAGUUCUUCUUACAAUUUACAACUCGAAUAUUAAUUUACCAUUUUUUCCAUACAUUUACUAGUUUUAUGUGUGGUUUACAUAUUUUUUGUUUUAUUUCACACUUAAUGUGAAUUUACAAGUUCUAUGUCAUUUUUCUAAGUUUUUGUCUUGUUUACAAGUUCUUCUUACAAUUUACAACUCGAACAUUAAUUUACCAUUUUUUCCAAACAUUUACUAGUUUUAUGUGUGGUUUACAUAUUUUUUGUUUUAUUUCACACUUAAUGUGAAUUUACUAGUUCUAUGUCAUUUUUCUAAGUUUUUGUUUUGUUUACCAGGUUUUCGUACAAAUUACAACUCCAACAUUAAUUUACUCAUUUUUCCAUUAAUUUACUAGUUUUAUGUGUGAUUUACACAUUUUUUGUUUUAUUUCACAAUUAAUGUCAAUUUACUAGUUCUAUGUCAUUUUUAUAAGUUUUUGUUUUGUUUACAAGUUCUUCGUGCAAAUUACAAUUCAAACAUUAAUUUACCAUUUUUUUCAUUAAUUUACUAGUUUUAUGUGUGAUUUACACUUUUGUUUGUUUUAUUUCACACUUAAUGUGAAUUAACAAGUUCUAUGUCAUUUUUCUAAGUUUUUGUUUUGUUUACAAGUUCUUCGUACAAGUUACAACUCCAACAUUAAUUUACUCAUUUUUCCAUCAAAUUACUAGUUUUAUGUGUGAUUUACACAUUUUUUGUUUUAUUUCACAAUUAAUGUCAAUUUACUAGUUCUAUGUCAUUUUUAUAAGUUUUUGUUUUGUUUACAAGUUCUUCGUGCAAAUUACAAUUCCAACAUUAAUUUACCAUUUUUUAAUUAAUUUACUAGUUUUAUGUGUGAUUUACACUUUUGUUUGUUUUAUUUCACACUUAAUGUGAAUUAACUAGUUCUAUGUCAUUUUUCUAAGUUUUUGCUUUGUUUACAAGUUUUUCGUACAAAUUACAACUCCAACAUUAAUUUACUCAUUUUUCCAUCAAUUUACUAGUUUUAUGUGUGAUUUACACAUUUGUUGUUUUAUUUCACAAUUAAUGUCAAUUUACUAGUUCUAUGUCAUUUUUAUAAGUUUUUGCUUUGUUUACAAGUUCUUCGUGCAAAUUACAAUUCCAACAUUAAUUUACCAUUUUUUUAAGUAAUUUACUAGUUUUAUGUGUGAUUUACACAUUUUUUGUUUUAUUUCACACUUAAUGUCAAUUUACUAGUUCUAUGUCAUUUUUAUAAGUUUUUGUUUUGUUUACAAGUUCUUCGUGCAAAUUACAAUUCCAACAUUAAUUUACCAUUUGUUUAAGUAAUUUACUAGUUUUAUGUGUGAUUUACAUAUUUUUUGUUUUAUUUCACACUUAAUGUCACUUUACUAGUUCUAUGUCAUUUUUAUAAGUUUUUGUUUUGUUUACAAGUUCUUCGUGCAAAUUACAAUUCCAACAUUAAUUUACCAUUUUUUUCAUUAAUUUACUAGUUUUAUGUGUGAUUUACAUAUUUUUUGUUUUAUUUCACACUUAAUGUGAAUUUACAAGUUCUAUGUCAUUUUUCUAAAUUUUUGUCUUGUUUACAAGUUCUUCUUACAAUUUACAACUCGAACAUUAAUUUACCAUUUUUUCCAUACAUUUACUAGUUUUAUGUGUGGUUUACAUAUUUUUUGUUUUAUUUCACACUUAAUGUGAAUUUACAAGUUCUAUGUCAUUUUUCUAAGUUUUUGUCUUGUUUACAAGUUCUUCUUACAAUUUACAACUAGAACAUUAAUUUACCAUUUUUUCCAUACAUUUACUAGUUUUAUGUGUGGUUUACAUAUUUUUUGUUUUAUUUCACACUUAAUGUGAAUUUACAAGUUCUAUGUCAUUGUUCUAAGUUUUUGUCUUGUUUACAAGUUCUUCUUACAAUUUACAACUCGAACAUUACUUUACCAUUUUUUCCAAACAUUUACUAGUUUUAUGUGUGGUUUACAUAUUUUUUGUUUUAUUUCACACUUAAUGUGAAUUUACAAGUUCUAUGUCAUUGUUCUAAGUUUUUGUCUUGUUUACAAGUUCUUCUUACAAUUUACAACUCGAACAUUAAUUUACCAUUUUUUCCAAACAUUUACUAGUUGUAUGUGUGGUUUACAUAUCUUUUGUUUUAUUUGACACUUAAUGUGAAUUUACAAGUUCUAUGUCAUUGUUCUAAGUUUUUGUCUUGUUUACAAGUUCUUCUUACAAUUUACAACUCAAACAUUAAUUUACCAUUUUUUCCAAACAUUUACUAGUUUUAUGUGUGGUUUACAUAUCUUUUGUUUUAUUUCACACUUAAUGUGAAUUUACUAGUUCUAUGUCAUUUUUCUAAGUUUUUGUUUUGUUUACAAGUUUUUCGUACAAAUUACAACUCCAACAUUAAUUUACUCAUUUUUCCAUUAAUUUACUAGUUUUAUGUGUGAUUUACACAUUUUUUGUUUUAUUUCACACUUAAUGUCAAUUUACUAGUUCUAUGUCAUUUUUAUAAGUUUUUGUUUUGUUUACAAGUUCGUCGUGCAAAUUACAAUUCCAACAUUAAUUUACCAUUUUUUUCAUUAAUUUACUAGUUUUAUGUGUGAUUUACAUAUUUUUUGUUUUAUUUCACACUUAAUGUGAAUUUACAAGUUCUAUGUCAUUUUUUUAAGUUUUUGUCUUGUUUACAAGUUCUUCUUACAAUUUACAACUCGAACAUUAAUUUACCAUGUUUUCCAUACAUUUACUAGUUGUAUGUGUGGUUUACAUAUUUUUUGUUUUAUUUCACACUUAAUGUGAAUUUACAAGUUCUAUGUCAUUUUUCUAAGUUUUUGUCUUGUUUACAAGUUCUUCUUACAAUUUACAACUCGAACAUUACUUUACCAUUUUUUCCAAACAUUUACUAGUUGUAUGUGUGGUUUACAUAUCUUUUGUUUUAUUUCACACUUAAUGUGAAUUUACAAGUUCUAUGUCAUUGUUCUAAGUUUUUGUCUUGUUUACAAGUUCUUCUUACAAUUUACAACUCAAACAUUAAUUUACCAUUUUUUCCAAACAUUUACUAGUUUUAUGUGUGGUUUACAUAUCUUUUGUUUUAUUUCACACUUAAUGUGAAUUUACUAGUUCUAUGUCAUUUUUCUAAGUUUUUGUUUUGUUUACAAGUUUUUCGUACAAAUUACAACUCCAACAUUAAUUUACUCAUUUUUCCAUUAAUUUACUAGUUUUAUGUGUGAUUUACACAUUUUUUGUUUUAUUUCACACUUAAUGUCAAUUUACUAGUUCUAUGUCAUUUUUAUAAGUUUUUGUUUUGUUUACAAGUUCGUCGUGCAAAUUACAAUUCCAACAUUAAUUUACCAUUUUUUUCAUUAAUUUACUAGUUUUAUGUGUGAUUUACAUAUUUUUUGUUUUAUUUCACACUUAAUGUGAAUUUACAAGUUCUAUGUCAUUUUUUUAAGUUUUUGUCUUGUUUACAAGUUCUUCUUACAAUUUACAACUCGAACAUUAAUUUACCAUGUUUUCCAUACAUUUACUAGUUGUAUGUGUGGUUUACAUAUUUUUUGUUUUAUUUCACACUUAAUGUGAAUUUACAAGUUCUAUGUCAUUUUUCUAAGUUUUUAUCUUGUUUACAAGUUCUUCUUACAAUUUACAACUCGAACAUUACUUUACCAUUUUUUCCAUACAUUUACUAGUUUUAUGUGUGGUUUACAUAUUUUUUGUUUUCUUUCACACUUAAUGUGAAUUUACAAGUUCUAUGUCAUUGUUCUAAGUUUUUGUCUUGUUUACAAGUUCUUCUUACAAUUUAUAACUCGAACAUUAAUUUACCAUUUUUUCCAAACAUUUACUAGUUUUAUGUGUGGUUUACAUAUUUUUUGUUUUAUUUCACACUUAAUGUGAAUUUACUAGUUCUAUGUCAUUUUUCUAAGUUUUUGUUUUGUUUACAAGUUUUUCGUACAAAUUACAACUCCAACAUUAAUUUACUCAUUUUUCCAUUAAUUUACUAGUUUUAUGUGUGCUUUACACAUUUUUUGUUUUAUUUCACACUUAAUGUCAAUUUACUAGUUCUAUGUCAUUUUUAUAAGUUUUUGUUUUGUUUACAAGUUCGUCGUACAAAUUACAACUCCAACAUUAAUUUACUCAUUUUUCCAUUAAUUUACUAGUUUUAUGUGUGAUUUACACAUUUUUUGUUUUAUUUCACACUUAAUGUCAAUUUACUAGUUCUAUGUCAUUUUUAUAAGUUUUUGUCUUGUUUACAAGUUCGUCGUGCAAAUUACAAUUCCAACAUUAAUUUACCAUUUUUUUCAUUAAUUUACUAGUUUUAUGUGUGAUUUACAUAUUUUUUGUUUUAUUUCACACUUAAUGUGAAUUUACAAGUUCUAUGUCAUUUUCUUAAGUUUUUGUCUUGUUUACAAGUUCUUCUUACAAUUUACAACUCGAACAUUAAUUUACCAUGUUUUCCAUACAUUUACUAGUUGUAUGUGUGGUUUACAUAUUUUUUGUUUUAUUUCACACUUAAUGUGAAUUUACAAGUUCUAUGUCAUUUUUCUAAGUUUUUGUCUUGUUUACAAGUUCUUCUUACAAUUUACAACUCGAACAUUACUUUACCAUUUUUUCCAAACAUUUACUAGUUUUAUGUGUGGUUUACAUAUUUUUUGUUUUAUUUCACACUUAAUGUGAAUUUACAAGUUCUAUGUCAUUUUUCUAAGUUUUUGUCUUGUUUACAAGUUCUUCUUACAAUUUACAACUCGAACAUUACUUUACCAUUUUUUCCAUACAUUUACUAGUUUUAUGUGUGGUUUACAUAUUUUUUGUUUUCUUUCACACUUAAUGUGAAUUUACAAGUUCUAUGUCAUUGUUCUAAGUUUUUGUCUUGUUUACAAGUUCUUCUUACAAUUUAGAACUCGAACAUUAAUUUACCAUUUUUUCCAAACAUUUACUAGUUUUAUGUGUGGUUUACAUAUUUUUUGUUUUAUUUCACACUUAAUGUGAAUUUACUAGUUCUAUGUCAUUUUUCUAAGUUUUUGUUUUGUUUACAAGUUUUUCGUACAAAUUACAACUCCAACAUUAAUUUACUCAUUUUUCCAUUAAUUUACUAGUUUUAUGUGUGAUUUACACAUUUUUUGUUUUAUUUCACACUUAAUGUCAAUUUACUAGUUCUAUGUCAUUUUUAUAAGUUUUUGUUUUGUUUACAAGUUCGUCGUGCAAAUUACAAUUCCAACAUUAAUUUACCAUUUUUUUCAUUAAUUUACUAGUUUUAUGUGUGAUUUACAUAUUUUUUGUUUUAUUUCACACUUAAUGUGAAUUUACAAGUUCUAUGUCAUUUUGUUAAGUUUUUGUCUUGUUUACAAGUUCUUCUUACAAUUUACAACUCGAACAUUAAUUUACCAUGUUUUCCAUACAUUUACUAGUUGUAUGUGUGGUUUACAUAUUUUUUGUUUUAUUUCACACUUAAUGUGAAUUUACAAGUUCUAUGUCAUUUUUCUAAGUUUUUGUCUUGUUUACAAGUUCUUCUUACAAUUUACAACUCGAACAUUACUUUACCAUUUUUUCCAAACAUUUACUAGUUGUAUGUGUGGUUUACAUAUCUUUUGUUUUAUUUCACACUUAAUGUGAAUUUACAAGUUCUAUGUCAUUGUUCUAAGUUUUUGUCUUGUUUACAAGUUCUUCUUACAAUUUACAACUCAAACAUUAAUUUACCAUUUUUUCCAAACAUUUACUAGUUUUAUGUGUGGUUUACAUAUUUUUUGUUUUAUUUCACACUUAAUGUGAAUUUACUAGUUCUAUGUCAUUUUUCUAAGUUUUUGUUUUGUUUACAAGUUUUUCGUACAAAUUACAACUCCAACAUUAAUUUACUCAUUUUUCCAUUAAUUUACUAGUUUUAUGUGUGAUUUACACAUUUUUUGUUUUAUUUCACACUUAAUGUCAAUUUACUAGUUCUAUGUCAUUUUUAUAAGUUUUUGUUUUGUUUACAAGUUCGUCGUGCAAAUUACAAUUCCAACAUUAAUUUACCAUUUUUUUCAUUAAUUUACUAGUUUUAUGUGUGAUUUACAUAUUUUUUGUUUUAUUUCACACUUAAUGUGAAUUUACAAGUUCUAUGUCAUUUUGUUAAGUUUUUGUCUUGUUUACAAGUUCUUCUUACAAUUUACAACUCGAACAUUAAUUUACCAUGUUUUCCAUACAUUUACUAGUUGUAUGUGUGGUUUACAUAUUUUUUGUUUUAUUUCACACUUAAUGUGAAUUUACUAGUUCUUUGUCAUUUUUCUAAGUUUUUGUUUUGUUUACAAGUUCUUCGUGCAAAUUACAAUUCCAACAUUAAUUUACCAUUUUUUUCAUUAAUUUACUAGUUUUAUGUGUGAUUUACAUAUUUUUUAUUUUAUUUCACACUUAAUGUGAAUUUACAAGUUCUAUGUCAUUUUUCUAUGUUUUUGUCUUGUUUACAAGUUCUUCUUACAGUUUACAACUCGAACAUUAAUUUACCAUUUUUUCCAUACAUUUACUAGUUGUAUGUGUUGUUUACAUAUUUUUUGUUUUAUUUCACACUUAAUGUGAAUUUACUAGUUCUAUGUCAUUUUUCUAAGUUUUUGUUUUGUUACAAGUUUUUCAUACAAAUUACAACUCCAACAUUAAUUUACUACAUUUUCUAUCAAUUUACUAGUUUUUUUCUAUUUUUUAUUUUUUUUAAUUUUGUAGACCAAUUUACCACUGUAACGCUAAUUUACCCGUUUUACCUUCAAUGUACGAGUCAUACGUGUGGUUUAGAAAUUUUUUUUCUUAUUUCACAUUUAUUUGGAAUUUAGGUUAUUUAGUUUAAGUCAAUUGCCUCAACUUAAAUCCAACGUGAAAAUGGUUAAAGAGUUGGAUUAUUGACAUUUUAUGAUUUAGAUAGAAUGAUAUAAGGGUGGGCAUGAGUUGGGUUUGAUAGGGUUAGUGAAAUUCUAACAUGGUCUACUUUUUAAUGAGCUGAUAUAAAAUUCAUCCAAUUUAACUAAAUAAACUUGUUUAACUAAAUUCUACCCAAACCUUAUAUCGUCUGGUUAAGUUGAUUAGGUUGAAGCUCAAAUCAAAAUUUUAAAUUGAACAAUGAAAAUGAUAUUAAACUUAUUAAAAUCAAAUAUAAAUCUUUUAUAACAUGAAAUUUUCAUUCACUAUCUAGUGUACGUAAAGAAAGUUAAUAAAUUAACUAUCUUUAAAUUAAGAAAAUUUCCACAAAAAGCAUAUAGACUUUAUUUCUCUUGCAUCUCCUUUUCCAAUUCCAAAUUAAGACUUUUUAGAUAAUUAGCUAGCAUCAUAUACAAAAAUAAAAUGAAAGUGAUAUAUAAUUAUGUGCCGUUAAGUAUUCACUAAAAAAAUAAAAAAAAAUUAAAACCAACUUACUUUUAUAUUAAUCUUAUAAAAUAAUAAAUUUACUUAUAAGAGAGUGUGAUUUUGGUUUUGGAAUUGUAGUCUAAAGCAGCAGAUGCAAGAAUGAAAUAUCCUCUUGUAUUAAAAGAUUAAAAAGAAUAAAAAAUUAGAUAAACCAUUUAAGUCGUUAUAAUCUUGCAAUUGAGAAUUAACACAUUAUCAUUUUCCUUUUUCUUCUUCUUCUUCUUCUUCUUCUUCUUAUUAUUAUUAUUAUUAUAGAUUUGGUUGGGUUAGACUGGUUAAUUAUAAUUUAUCCAACCCAAACUAAUUAUUAAUUAGGUUUGAAAAAAACAGACCCAAUUAAACCACAAUAAUCUGCUCAUGGUGCAUUUACCAAUCAGUAAUCAUAACGGGCUACAAUCAGAAUCAAGAAUGUGAAUAAGAAUAAGUUAUUUAUUUGAGCUGUAGAAAUUGAAGUCGGAAUGAGAUUCAUUUCCAUCAAUGUGUUUAAUUUGUCUUGAAAUCGGAAUGAAUUAUCAUAAUUUCUUAAAUGCCCUUUGUUGAUUAUUGUCAAUUGGUGGUAAUAAUAAUCAUAAUAAUAAUAAUAAUAAUAAUAAUAAUCAUCAUCAUCAUAAUAUUUAUUAAAAUAGUAUUAUAAUUAUGAUUACUAAUUCAUUAUUGAUAUUAUUUAUUAAUUUCAUGAUUUUGUUUUAUGAUUAUUAUUUAUGAAAAUAUUAUUGUAAUCAAACUUUAUAAUAAUUAUUAUAAUAAUAAGUUAUUAUUAUUAUUAAUAUUUUAUUAUAUUAUUAUUUCGUAAAAAUAUUAUUAUAUUUAUAAUUUUAUUGUUAUUAUUAUUAAUAUGAAAUUAUUUCAUUAUUGUUUAUUAUAAUAUUAUAUUAAUUAUAAUUCAUUAUAAUUUAUUAAUCUUUCAUUAUUGUUCAUGUGCGUAGGAGUUAGAUUUGAGAUAAUGUUCUGAAAAUAACUCGGUUAAUGUUUGAAAUCUUGUUUAUAUUAGGUCUUAUUUUUCUAGCUAGGUUACUAUUAUGCUUGCAAUUUUAUUUUUCUAAAUAAUUAGAUUAUCAUCAUGCUAUCGCAGCAAGUUUGGACAGACAUGAUGGUUGCGUAAAACCUCAACUAUUUUUUAUUAUUGACUAGGCCUUGCUUGCUUCUUGUUUUUCAAUUUAGGCAGUGAUGGUAGUAAAAGCUUUUGGAGUUUUGGACAAUGAUGAUGGCAACUCACAGCUCACAAUGUCAGAACACAUUCAAUUUUACACAACAAUGAUAAGUAUUGACCAUGAGGCAGGAUACUGAAAAUUUGUUGUGUCCGUCAAUGGUAAAAUGAUUACAAUUGAGAUGGUGAUUACAAUUGAUUUUUUUUUAAUGAAACCAUAUGUUUUAAUUAUUUAUGCUUGUAUCCGUCAAUGGUAAAAUUAUUAUGGUAUAUUUGUGUUAGAAAUUAUAUUUAUUUCAUUUGUUGCUGUAACAACAUAAAUAUAAACUAUGCUGAUUAACUUGAAUAUUUCGUUUGGAGUCAAACAAUGAUAAAAACAAAAUAAUACAUAAAAAUUGGAGUGUUGUGGUUGAAAGCAAAUAAAGGCAAAGCUCACACACGGUACAACUGCAAUUAAAAGAAAAAGGCAAAGCAAAACGCACUGAUAUCAAACUUUAAUCACAUCUCGAAUUUACACAAUAAUCAAUAGCAGAUCCUAAAAAAUUCCAAAAGAAAAUCUUAAAACAAAUAGUCAACAAGAUAUUAGAAUCAUUAUAAAAAUAAAUAACCAAGAAUAAUACUAAUUUCAAAUAAAAUAUAUAGAAUGGUAGUAAAACAAAGAACUAUCGUUACUACUGCUCCCCAACAAAGAUGAUCCACUUUCCCACAAGAUGUUACUAAAGAGGAAAUUGUGAGCCACCUGGAGAAUAAAGGAAAACUUGCAUUAAACAUUGACUAUUUCCAGUCCACAUUCUGCUUAUACUCGGUACGCAAUUGCAAAUUGGAAAUUGUUUCUAAUUAAUUUUAUGUGAAACAACAAUUAUAAUUGCAAUAACUAAUAAAUAACUACUACAAAUCAUGAAAUGUAAUAGGAGCAAAAAAAAAGCAAGAAAGAAAUAGUUAAAGAGAACCUACUUUUAACAUGCUGCAAGCUUUUGGACUCUACUUUUUCUUCUUCAAAUUCUUUUGACCAUUAACUUUGUUCGUCACUUUGUUCGGUGGAAGAUUAUUCUUGUGCGAAUCAUAAAUUCUUCAGCCUUACAUCUGAUACUAUCUCUCACUUUAUUUGUAUCUCCGUUGACAAGGUGGAGUGCAAUGCGAUAUCUUUCUAUUGUUGAGUUAUACUAAAUAUAGUACGAGAAAAAAUAAAAAAGUGAGAAACAGAGUCAUCAUUCAUUUUAAAACUUUAAAUCAAUAUGAUAUAAAAUUAAUGUCACAUACAUGUUUUAUAGAUAAUAGAUCACAUUGCGUCUCCAUGAACUUGAUCACAAACAAACCGCAGUCAGUUCCAUUUGGUUGUACUGGGACAUUAUCUGGAUAUGAAAUUUUAAAACUAAAAAAAUCCCAACAUGAAUAAAAUUUUCCCAAAAAAUCAUCGAGGAAAACUUCAUUGAGUCCCUGUAACUGUGAUAAUGAUGAUAAUAGUCAGCAUACAUUUGCAUUUAUUGGUAAUAAUACAGGUGAAAUGCAAGCUUCACUUACAAUUGCUCUAACAAUUUCCUCUCGAUGUGAAUUCGAACUAUUACUAGGUAAAGAGUCCCAAAUUUCAACGGUUUGCGUUUUAACAAUCAACACCGCUAGAUACCAAUGUGCAGAGCCAUCAUUUAUAGGAACAUAGAUCUACAUGACAAAUGCAUAAUUUUUAAUAAUUACCAUUAAAUGUCUUAAACAAUGGCAUGAUUUAUUGUAAUUUUGCAUUUAAUUUCUUACCUUUUCACAUACUGCUAGUUCUGACAUGUAUUUAUCUCGAAUAUUAUGAUUUUUGACAAAAUCUUCGAUGCUUGAUUUCUUAUUGCAGGCCAUGUUUGCCACUAUUUUUUGCUGCAAAACUCAUAAAAUAAAUACAAAAUUAGUAUAUUAUCAACAUAUAGGGUCAACUGUCAAUAAAAAAAUUCACAGUAUAACAUUUACAACUUACCGAAAAGAUGGUGGGCAAAUACCAAAUACGCAUCUUUAGGCUCGUUUUUGCACGUUCUUUGUUUGUCAAGUAGUUGACGAAACAAUCUAUGACCUACGAAUAGAGCCAUUAAACAAGAAGACUUAAAUACUUAGAAAGAAAAUAAAUAAAUUGAAUGAUUAAACUAAAUAUAAAGAAGGUAUGCUUACUGUGUCAAUGAUCCAAGUAUUAGGAGCCAAAGAAAACAUCUCUUGGCGAGAGACGAAAAAACUAAUUCCAUCAACAAUAUGCUCACUAUAUUAAGAAUCCAAAAAUAUAAUUAAAACUAUAGCAGUGUUAAUGCAAAAAUAAUAACAUAUGGAAAGUGGGUCAUGAGAAAAUCUAAUUACUCCAUAGGCAAUUCUCCUUGAAAUAUAUAUUGCAGCAACUUCAUAUCUUCCUCUGAAAAUGAAUUUAGUAGAGUGAUUGAAUCAUGAAAAAAUUUUUGUUUGCUUCGUCUUUUGGGAAACUGAUUAUAAGGGGAUUUUUGGUAUGGACUAGGCUUUCGCUUUCGGGAGCGCAUAUCUUUAACCUCAAAUACACUAAGUUGGUUUGAUGAUUCCUCUUCAAUAGAACAAUCAUCAUUCGGGCCAUUAUCCUACAAAAAUUAUGAUUUAUAACUUAAUACUCAUCUAUGCACUAUUAUGUUUUACUUGUGCAAAAAAGAAGAUCACAGUUUAUUGCUAAAUACUUGUAUAGCUGCAUUGUAGAAAAUUUGCUUACGCUUUCCCUCAUUUAGGUCUGACUCACCCGUCAAAAUUCUCUCAUCAUGUUUCUCUUCAACAUUCUCCUCAUCCACUAAUUUCUUCUCAAGAAUAUCAUCUCCAUCUGGCCUUUCUUUGGCUCUCUUCAUUAGUUCCGCAAAAGUUAAAAUUUCAUGGCUUGAUUCAUCGUUCUUUUGUUGCUUUCGGGAAGGAGAAGUAAUUCCAACAGCAGCGCCAUUAUUCUCCUUUUUCUGCUCAACUUGCUUUUGUGUUAAGUUCUCUUUAAGGGUUUCCAUUACUUGUUGCAUUUGCUGCAUCCAGCUACCCAUUGAAUGCUUUAAACCAUCAAGCUCCAAUGCCAUACGGCCAAUAUCUUUUCGAACAAGUGAUAAUUCCUUCUGAUGUUGACAAUUAUGUAUGCAUUCUUCAUUCUUCCGACUUAUUCCAUCAAAUGUUUCAUGGGCCGUGUUUUGUUGAGGAUGGAUUUCUCGCAAAUUAACCUAAUAAAUACCACAUACUAUUAAAUACAUGUCAUUUCAAUAUGAUACGUUAAUAUUUAAUUAAUAAAAAGUAGAUGUCCUACCUUUGAGCUCCCAUAACCGCCAUUUUUCUUAACAAAACUCAAUAAGUUAGUUACAUCUCGAUUUGUCCAUGUUGUUAUUGGACUCAAAGAUUUAUCAAUAAAUUUUCGUGCAAAUGAUAUAGAAUCCAUGUAAAAAAGCUACAAUAUUAACAAAAUGAUCAAAACAAAGCAAAAACAAAAUAACACAAUAAAACUGAUGAAAUCAUUUUUAAAAAAAAUUACCUCCAAAAAUAGUACACAACCAUUAACAACUUUAUGUUGUCCUGCCUUGAACUUUUGUAUGCCCUCAACUAGCCCUUUAAAAGCCCACGUUGCCCAAUUUUUUUUAUUUAUGGCACUGGUGUCUUUCAAAAAAACCAAGUAAUACGGGGCUAAAUUCAACCCCGAUUUAGGAAAAAUAAUUGUAGCUAUAGCAAACAAAACAAAGCUUCUUUUAAAGUCAUCAUUCACCUCCCUUUGAUUCACCAAUUUUGACUCUAAAGUUUUCAGCUUAAUGUAUCCACUGUCAUCACAAUAUUCAUUCCUCAAUUUAUCUAUGUCAUCAAUAGCAAGAUCCACAUCAAUGUCGACUCCACCAUCUUUUAUUCCCAUAAUGUACUCAAAAUCUCGAGGCGACAGAUUGAUACUCUUACCAUGCAAAAAAAUACAUGAAGUAAAUGGAUCAAAAUUUUGAACCAACCAUGAACAUAAAUCUCGUUUCAGUCGACCACAUUUUAUGUGCAGAAGACUUUCAAAUCCUAACUCCACAACAACUUUUUUUUGAUUUUCUGACAAUUUUGCGACCAGUUUUGUAAAACGAUCUGGAGCGCAUCUAGUUUCCAUGGCUUUUUGAGUUCCCUUCACAAAAUCAUCUUCUUUGUCUUUAUUCUGUGCUAUAUCACUAUCAACCAUUCUAAAUUUAGCCUUUUCUUCUUCACUCAAAUUUUUUAAACAUUUCCCUAAUUUAAUUCUGUUCUAAAAAAUUAAAAAAAAAUAUGACAAUAAGUUAUUGCUUGUAACACAUCCCAAAUUUAAUGGAAAUUAAUUAUCGCACCUACACUCACCAUUUUUUUCCUUGUUCCCAUAAUAUUUUUGCUUCUUGCUUGCUGCAGUCAAUUAAAUAUUUUGAAAAAAAUAUAUAUAAUCAGUGCAUGUUAACAUUAUUAUGCUCGGCUUUACUAAAUAUUCAUAAAUUUACCAACAGUCAAACACAUAAUAUUUAAUGUAAGAAGACUUACAAAUACUCAAUGAAAGGCCGAUUUCUUCUUAAAUUUUCAUUUUCCUGGCUCACAUUAUCAUUCUCCUUGAAAUCAUUCUCAUUACCCUCAUCUACAUUUUCAGCCAUUUUCGAGUUUACAAGAACCUGUACAUGAAGAUUUAGCACAAAAAGAAAUGUCAAAUAUCACAAGUUUUGGAUCCUGUAAAACAACAGAAACUUUAACCCAAAAGCAGUAAUAAAUUUAUCCAGAAACAGCAAAAAAUGUAACUAAAAAACAGCAGUAAAUUUUACCCAAAAAUAAUAGAAAAUUUAACCCAAAUACAGCAGCAAAUGAAGCCCAAAACACCAAAAACAUUUACAUGUAAACAGCAAAAAAUUUAGCCAAAAAACAGUCGUAAAUUUAUCCAAACAGCAACAAAUUUACCCAGAAAUAGCAAAAAAUUUAACACAAAAAUAACAAUAAAUUUAUCCAGAAAUAGUGAAAAAUUUAACUGUAAAACAGCAGCAAAUUUACCUAGAAGCAACAGAAAAUUUAACCUAAAAAGAGUAGCAAAUGAAGCCCAAACACCAGAAAAAUUUACCUAAACACAGCAGAAAAUUUAACCCAAAAAUAGCAGUAUAUUUACACAGAAACAGCAAAAUAUUUAACCAAAAAACAGCAGCAAAUGAAGCCCAGAACACCAAAAAAACUUACCUGGAAACAGCAAAAAAUAUAACCCAAAAACAGCAGUAAAUUUAUCCAAAAACAGCAAACAAUUUAACUCAAACAAAAGCAGCCAAUUUACCCAAAAAUAGCAGAAAAUUUAACCUAAAAAUAGCUGCAAAUGAAGCCCAAAAUACCAGAAAAAUUUAACCAAAAACGGCAGCAAAUCAUCACAAAUGCAGCAGAAAAUUUAUUCAAAAACAGCAAAAAAUUUAAGUGAAAAACAGUAGUUUAUUUACCCAGAAACAGCAAAAUAUUUAACCCAAAACCAGCAGCAAAUGAAGCCCAAAACACCAAAAACAUUUACCUUAAAACGGCAGAAAAUAUAACCCAAAAACAGCAGUAAAUUUAUCAAAAAAUAGCAAAAAAAUAAACUAAAAACCAGCAGUCACCUUACCCAGAAACAGCAGAAAAUUAAAUCUAAAAAUAGCAGCAAAUGAAGCCCAAAACACCAAAAAAAUUUACCUUAAAACAGCAGAAAAUAUAACCCAAAAACAGCAGUAAAUUUAUCAAAAAACAACAAAAAAAUAAGCUGAAAAAUAGCAGCCACCUUACCCAGAAACAGCAGAAAAUUAAAUCUAAAAAUAGCAGCAAAUGAAGCUUUAUCAAUAGGAAAGUUUAAAAUAUUUUUUUUCUGAAGCCAAAGCAAGAAAUCUAUAAAGUCCUUGUGAUCUUCAACUUGAGAAUUGUUACUCAUCCUAUUCUCAUGUUCUUGAAUGACUACCUCAAGAAAAUUAUCAACUCCUUGGUCACUAAAUUUUUCUACUCUAACAUCACGAAAAGAAUAAUGAAUCCUUUUGUUACUUAAAAGUUGUACAACAAAUAAGAUUUGAACUUUUCUUAAGUACUCACCAUAAGGUGUCAUAGAGACAUCUACACAACCGUUUAAAAGUUUUACAAAUGGGGUUAAUUUUGGUUGAUUGCAAAGAUUACAUUUCUAACGAUCUCACAGGAUAGCUUGUCAAAGCGGAACUAGAUUAUCGUUACAAUAAAUUAAAAUGCAUUUAUGGUUUUAUGCAUUUUUGUCAUUUAUUGUGAAUAUUAUUUCAAAUUAUUUAUGCAUGGAUGUUUUAUUUUUCAGAAAAUGUCUUCCCUGAGCCCACUUACUAUUAUUCUGAGUCAAAACAAACUCACUGGAGAGAACUAUAUAGAUUGGAAAAGAAAUCUAUUCAUUGUCCUGACUGCUGAAAAUUAUAAAUAUGUCUUAACCCAGCCAUGCCCCCCAGUUCCAGCGGAUGAUGCUCAUAGAAAUCAGAGGAGGCUUUAUGAGAAAUGGCAAAAGGCCAAUGAAAUGGCAAAGUGCUACAUUUUAGCCUCGAUUUCUAAUAUUCUGCAGACCAAACAUCAGAACUUGGAGACUGCCACUGAAAUAAUGGAUAGUCUCCAACAGAUGUUCGGUCAGAGUACUCGCUCUGCGAGACAAGCAGCGCUGAAAGGAAUUAUGAACAGUAAAAUGGGGAAAGGCACAAGAGUUCGUGAUCAUGUCCUCAAAAUGAUGGACUAUUUGAAUGAGGCUGAGAUUCAGGGAGCACAAAUCGAUGAUAACUCAAAGAUUGACAUGGUGCUAGAAUCUCUGCCAGAAACAUUCAAGGAGUUUAAGGUCAAUUAUAACAUGAACAAAAGAAACAUGACCUUAACUGAAUUGAUGAACGAACUCCAUUCUGCUGAAGAGAUCUAUCGUGCUGAGAAAUCUCUGGGAAGCAUAAAUAUUACUGAAAAAAGUUCAUCUUCUGGGCCUAAACCGAAAGGCAAAGGUAAGAAGAAAGCUGGGAAAAAGAGACCGUCUACCAAGCAAGAUGGCAAGCCGAAAGGCAAAUGCUUCAAGUGUGGACAGAAAGGUCACUGGAAAAAGGAUUGCCCUAAGAUUGUGAAAUCAGGUAUGGGAAAUCUUUUUGUAAUUGAGGCCUGUUUAGUUCAAAAUCCUAUUGACACUUGGGUGUUGGAUUCAGGAGCAACUAAUCAUAUUUGUAAUUCACUUUAUUGGUUUCAGGAAACCAGGAAAAUAAGUGAAGGAAGCGUCAACCUGCAGUUAGGGACAGGACAGUUCGUGUCAGCAGUAAAGACUGGAUCUGUUUUAUUAUCUUUUAAUAAUAAGACUUUAGUUUUGAAUAAUUGUCUUUAUGUUCCAGACAUUAAGAGGAAUUUAAUUUCAGUAGCUUGUUUGUCAAAGCAAGGGUACACUGUAAAUUUUGGAUCCUCUGUUUCUAUUUUUCAUAAUAAGAGACUUAUUUGUUCUGGUACAUUGGAAGAUAAUUUAUAUCAUUUAAGUCCAAUGAUCCAUUCUAUGCAUGACACAGUGAUAAAUAAUGAUGAGCAUACACAUUUAUCUAAGAAAAGAAAUAUUUCUUCCAACCAAUGUUACCUCUGGCAUUUACGCUUGGGUCAUAUAAACCAAAAUAGGAUACAGAGAAUGAUCAAAGAUGGGCUCUUGGGUCCAUUAGAAAAUGAAUCAUUGCCACUCUGUGAAUCCUGUUUAGAAGGGAAAAUGACCAAAAGGCCAUUCUCGGCCAAAGGAGUACGUGCAACAGUACCACUUGAAUUGGUACAUACAGAUGUAUGUGGACCAAUCAAUGUACAAGCUCGAGGAGGUUAUGAGUAUUUCAUCACUUUUACUGAUGAUUACUCAAGAUACGGUUAUGUUUAUCUAAUGCGUCAUAAGUCUGAAGCUCUUGAGAAAUUCAAAGAGUAUAAGGCUGAGACAGAAAAGUAAUUAGAUAAGAACAUAAAGAAACUUCGAUCUGAUCGAGGUGGUAAAUUUCUCUCAGGAGAUUUCAAAGAGUAUCUGGUUGAAAAUGGGAUUAUAUCUCAAUUGACUGCCCCGGGAACACCACAACAAAAUGGGGUAGCUGAAAGAAGAAAUAGAACUCUUUUGGAUAUGAUGAGAUCUAUGCUUAGUUAUUCGUCAUUACCAAUCUCUUUUUGGGGACUAGCACUGGAAACUGCAGUUUACCUUUUGAACUUAGUUCCAUCUAAGUCAGUGCCUAAAACCCCAAUAGAAUUAUGGUCAGGUCGCAAACCAAGUUUACGACAUGUCCGUAUUUGGGGAUCACCAGCACAUGUGCUGAAACCAAAGGCAGACAAAAUGGAUUCACGUUCUGAGGUUUGUAUGUUUGUGGGGUAUCCCAAAGGAACAAGGGGAGGUUUAUUUUAUAGUCCUCAAGAUAGGAAAGUGAUCGUGAGCACACAUUUCACUUCCCUUGAGGAAGACUAUAUGAAUAACUUCAAACCUAAGAGUAAGGUAAUACUUGAAGAACUGUCAGGUGAUCAGGUUGAUGCUCAGCUUUCAAUGCCUAUUACAGAACAGGAAGAACAGCAACAACCAGAUGAUCAACACAGGAUUAACCCUGAACAACCAUCACUUUUAGAACCUCGUCGUAGUGGGAGGGUAACUAGGUUACCUGCGAGAUACAUGCUUUUGGGAGAAACCUAUACGGCUAUCUCAGAUGAACAUGUACAAGAUCCCACUAGUUACAACGAAGCUCUAAUAGAUAGAGAUGUUGAAUUUUGGAAAAAGGCCAUGAAUCAAGAAAUGGAAUCUAUGUAUUCCAAUCAAGUCUGGGAACUUGUAGAGGCACCAAAUGGGGUAAAACCUAUAGGAUGCAAGUGGAUCUACAAGAGAAAAAGAGGAGUAGACGGAAGGGUGGAAACAUUUAAAGCAAGAUUAGUAGCCAAAGGGUUUACUCAGAAAGAGGGAAUCGAUUAUGAGGAAACUUUUUCUCCGGUUGCUAUGCUUAAAUCCAUCAGGAUUCUGCUCUCCAUUGCUGCAGUGCUAGAUUAUGAAAUUUGGCAAAUGGAUGUCAAGACUGCCUUUCUCAACGGGCAUCUUGAAGAAAACAUCUACAUGCAGCAACCAGAUGGAUUUAUACAAAAAGGCCAACAACACAUGGUAUGUAAGUUGCAGAGAUCCAUUUAUGGAUUGAAGCAAGCAUCCCGGUCAUGGAACAUCAGAUUUGAUCAAGCGAUAAAAUCGUUUGGAUUCAUUCAGAACAUUGAUGAACCAUGUGUGGACAAGAAAAUUCAAGAAAAAUCUGUAGCCUUCCUAAUUCUUUAUGUAGACGAUAUUCUCCUAAUUGGAAACGAUAUAGGAGUACUGACUACAAUAAAGAGUUGGUUACCAAAACAAUUUGAUAUGAAAGACCUGGGAGAGGCAAGUUAUAUUCUUGGUAUCAAAUUACUACGAGACCGGAAGAAUAAAACUUUAGCCUUGUCUCAAGCGGUCUAUAUCGAUAAGAUAUUGGCUAGAUUUAGCAUGGAAAAUUCCAAGACUGGUUUAUUACCAUUCAGACAUGGAAUUACAUUCUCUAAGGAUCAAUCACCUAAAACAUCUGAAGAGAUAGAGAGAAUGAGACGAGUUCCCUGUGCAGAAGCUGUGGGAAGUCUUAUGUAUGCCAUGCUUUGCACUAGGCCAGACAUCUGUUUUGCGGUAGGGAUGGUUAGUAGAUAUCAAUCUAAUCCUGGACCUGAACACUGGACUGCGGUCAAGCAUAUAAUGAAGUAUCUGAAAAGAAAUAAAAAUUAUAUGCUUGUGUAUUCUGGUGUUGAACUCAUUCCAGUGGGUUAUACUGAUUCUGACUUUAUGUCAGAUAAGGAUUCUAGAAAAUCAACUUCCGGCUAUGUGUUUGCAUUGGGAAGUGGAGCUAUUAGUUAGAGGAGUGUGAAACAAUCUUGUAUCACAGACUCAACAACUGAAGCUGAAUAUGUGGCUGCAUCUGAAGCUGCAAAAGAAGCUGUAUGGCUCUGCAAGUUCCUACGAAAUCUUGAGGUGGUACCUGUUGUAACUGCACCCCUUAAACUAUUUUGUGAUAAUGGUGGUGCGGUAGCUCAAUCUAAGGAACCAAGGAACCACAAGAAACAAAACAUAUUGACAAGAAGUAUCAUCUUAUAAGGAAAUAGUGUAGAAAGGUUAUAUGACAGUACCCCAAAUGGCAUUAGAUGCUAAAUGGCAGAUCUUAUUACAAUGGCCAUUAGUGGGAAACCUUUAUAACUUGCACUUAGAGCCCUAGAGCAUGUGCAAUAUGCCAGAUAUGCUUUGAGAGCUAGUGGGAGAUUGUUGGGAAAAUAUGCUCUUUAAAAGCAUAUGUGUUUAUUUAAUUGUAAUAAACAAUUUUUCUGAUUAAUAAAAUAAAUGAGGUAUUUUAUUCAAAUAUCUUAAUUGCAUUAAUAUUUGUAUUAAAGUCCAUUUAAUCAUAUUAUAUGUAUUUAUGUGAUCACCAUGUGGAUUCACAGAAGACAUAAAUACAAGUUAUCUUAUGAUUAAAUAAAUUUAGUUCGCAGUUGAUAAAUAAAGUUGGGCACUUUAUUUAGGUAUAGACUGUAAUAAAUUCAUUGAAUGAUUUGUCUUAAUCAUGUAUGAAUUUAUUGAUGUAGUACGACUACAUUGAACAGGAUCACAUAUGAGAUUUAAUUAACUUUGUAAUAACUGUCAGACUUAUUAAAUCUCAUAGGCGUUGAUUUUACUGUAAUCUUAAUCUUGAGUUAAUUAUGAUUUCAUGAUUGUGAUUGUUAUUUCAUUUGAGUUACCAAUGGGCACGACACAUCCUUGUGGUCAAGAUUACCCGGUAUCUUGGUGGGAGCAAUUAUGAGUAUUGGAGUUAUGGAUUAACAAUAUAGAAUUUGUACAACACAUCUCUUGAUAGGUUUUCGGUACUUGAUCAUAGAAUUCUCUGGCCAGAGUGUGUCAACAUAUUUAGUAUGUUGAAAAUGAUCAUUAGAGAAAACCAGUAAGGAUCAAGGAAUAAGAUGUUAUUAAAUUGAUUGGACAGUUGAGAUAUCAAUUUAAUUAACGAUGUGGUACAAAGGAUUGUGCAGUAAAGAAAUCAAUGUGGCUUGGGACGAAUUAUUAUUCGAGCAUACAAUUAUGGAAGUCAGUUCUAAUCUUUUAGUGGAGUAGAUUUGGAAUUAAAUAAUUGGGCUAGUUUAAUUACAGGCCUAAUUAUUGUAGCCACUAUUGUAUGUUCCCAAAUGAUCCCCGGGUUAGCUCAUUUAAUUGACUGCACCACUACUGGACUAAUAAGUAAGAUAACUAGCUAUUUGGGUCAAAAGCCUAAAUAUAUCAUUUAGUGGGAGGCUCCAUUUAAUUAGCUUUUGUAUAAGGGGCCUUAUGUUAUUUUACAAGGUGGGUCCCCUAUUGAAAAAGCAAAUAAACGUGAGUUUUGUUUUUUGAUUAUUUGGAGCCCAGGGUUUUCACUAAAGGGUGAUAUAAAAGGCUUAUUUUUCCCUAAAGAAAAAAAGAGAAGCCAUUUUAUACAGAUCAGAGAAAAAGAUUUUUAUCUCCAUUGUUGAGAGAAAAAUUUUCUCGUGCUAGUUGCUUUGGUAGUGAUAAAGGCGCCCACACGUCAAGUGCAUAUCGAACCUGAGUCAUAACCUGGAAGAUCAUUGGAGACAGUUCGUGAUCUAACAAGCGUGGUGGUGACGGAUCGUGAUCUAACAGGAGUGGUGGUGGCGGAUCGUGAUCUAGGAGCCUAAAUCACUUCAACGGAAAAAGUCCAAUCGGAUUUUCAAGGUACGAUUUCUAGAAUACAAAUUCUUAUAUAUUAUAUGAGAGCGAUCUUCAAAAGGUUUUAUAAAAAUUUAAAAACCGAAUUUUUCCCCAACAUAAAUAUCCUUUGAAAAUAUUGCCAUCAGAUUUUGAAUUGGAGAACCUGAUUGAACUCAGCUUGCCUUGUAGUAAGGUUAAGCAAAUUUGGAAAAGAGAAAAGGUAUAAUGUAUUACUAUUACCAAAGUAUCUAUUUUUCUUUCUUUAAGUAUUUAUAAUGAAUAACUUUGAAAUUGAAUGAUGCUCAUUUAGUAUAGUUGUGUAUCUUUGGUUAUGGGAAGCUGUCAAGUUAAAAUCUAUAGAUCUUCACCACCCCCUGUAUCUCAAUAGGAUCCCAAAAAUACUAAAUCUUAAAAAAAUAAAUCUUUCAAAAUGUGAAAGCAUGCUUACGUUACCCGCGUAUAUCCACAAUUUCAACUAGCUCAGUAUGUUGUGUUUCAUGGGAUGCAAAAUUCAUUUUGUUUCUCAUGAAAGGAUUGACUUGUCCGGAUGUAUUAGGGUUAAUGAACCAACUAAUCCCAUAAUUUGUUGAUGUAGGGUCCUAACAAAUUAUUGCAGUAGAUUGUAGAUCAAUACACUAUUCGAAAACGUAUUUGAUCCACACAGUGAAUGUUUGAGGGUGCAUUUCUCGCGAACUAGCCAUACCCUAAACGAGGAGCCAGUCUCCUUGUAAUUGAGCAGACAGGUGAAGUCUGGUAGCAAAUAUCCAAGAGCAGGAAUUCUAUGCUCAAUCACAAGGACAUCCUCUUUUGGACUAUAAUUCGAACAUGGUUCCUACUAGGAGCCGAGAGCCUUUCCUGCUGGAGAUCGGGGUCGGCAGACCUAGUCUAUAACGGUUAACGAGACGUGCACUCCUAUUUGAGAAUCUAGGCACGAAACCAACUCAGCCGCAACUACGACAUUCAGGCAUCCACUUCCGUAAGCUGAGGGAGGUGAUGGACGUGGAUCGUGGGGCGUUGGAUUCGUAGGAAGGCUAUAAAACGGUAAUCAACGAAGGUAAAGGGGUUAGACACUUUUACACUAGAACUUAAGAAAUAAGAGCAUUUACUAAAAAAGGAGAGAAACACUCAUAGGUGUUCCACUGCCUAAGAGAUCAUGAGAGAGCCACGAGAUCAGUGGCCGAGUUUCCCAAAAAGUAAACUUAAAUUUUUGACUUGAGCGUAGGAGGAUUUUUCCUGCGUGCUCUGACCAGUUUUUGUGUGCGCAGGAGUCUGCUAAGUCAUACGAGGCAUAGCUCUGCUCGGUUAGAAGAGUUACGUGAAGUAUCCUAGGUUGGUCGUGAGUUCGGGAGUUGAGGAGAGAUCCUGGUUGCAGACGAGCAGACACCAGAAUCUCGCAUCAACAGUGAAGAUAGGGAUGGCAAAAGUCCGGGUCGGGUCCGGGUUUGGGGGUGCCCGAGACCGACCCGGAUUUCACACAUAACUGCCCGGACCCGGACCAUGCCCGGAUUUUUUCUAUGCGGGCCGGGUAUAUACCCGGCACUAUCCGGGCAUGGGUUUUUUCCAGGUUUUCUCUACCCGCAUUUUCAAAACUGACUAAAAAAAAAAAUUUGAUAAAAAAUGCUAAAUAAGUAAACAGGGCAGUGGAAAUUCACAAGGUUGAAAGCUUGCGCAAUUGGGCCUGAAAAUUCAUAACUUAUCCCCGAAUUAGCACUUAGCAGAAAACUCCCUUUCAAACUGUAAAGAGAUUUGAUGCCCAGGAAUCGAUUUGACGAAAGAAGAAAAAUGCCUUGGUCUUUUUGUUCUCUCUUCUUUUUCCACAGUGAAGAGGAAAGAAAAAUGCCCAGGAUUAUCUUGUGGACAGCAAAGUUGAUUUCAUGUGCUUUGUUGUCUUCUUAUUUUCAAAUCCCUUAGAAACAAAGUCAGAACCUGAAAUCACUAUCCUUAAACCUGCAAUUCCCUAUGUUGCAAGUCAUUUUCAGCUUCAUAGUUUUCGGUAUCAGCCUCCCUUUCCCCUUCUCCGUCAUCAUGGACGCUUCCAUUUUCUUCUUCCUCAUCUUCAUCUACUUCUACUUCAUCUUCCUCGUACUCCCCUUCUUCUAGUUCCUAGAUGUCAUCCAAGAAAAUAAUUAAGCAUGCUGCAUAUAUAUAUAUAACACCUAACAACAAUAAUGCCAAUUACUUAAUUUCUUCAUUUUUUUUUGAAAAAAACAGCCAAAAAAAAUUAAUAAUACCUCGUGGUCGUGGGUCGUGGCUGUGUUGGUGAAGUUGCAGCUGAACAAGAACAGCUGAUGCCGUCGCGUGGUGGCUGCUGCUGAGAAGAUGAACAAACGGUGAAGAGCCCUGUGACAGGACGGCUGUGCUUUGCGAGGAGAAAUAGAGUUGACUGAGGAAGGUAAGAGUUUCGGGGAGGGAGAGGCACGGUCAACACUGCAUCAGUGCCGGUGGGUGGUGGAGAGACGGAGAGAGGUGCCGCCGAUUUGGAGAUUUCUGGGUGGGUGCUGACUGCUGCAGUGCUGCAUUGUUCACUUGCAAAGUUGCAAUCGCGUUUUAGGGUUCAGUUUUGGGGGCAAUUAGGCAAAGCAAAUUUUAUUUUCGGUUUUAUAUUUUCCUUUUUUUUUUUACUUAAUAAAAAACCGGGCACAGGUCCGAGUUCCGGGUUCUUGGUGCUGUGACCGGACCCGUGCCCGGAAGCAUCCGGGCAUUGAAAAUCAAUGCCCGGAUUCGCUUUUUUCAUUCAUGCGGUCCGGGUAAAACCCAGACCGCACACACCGGGUCCGGGCCGGAUCCGGUCCGGACGGGUUUUUCUGCCACCUCUAAGUGAAGAUGAUUCAAUAUUAAGCAUGUCAUAUAAUCUAGAAGUGGAUAUUGGACCAAUUUGAUGAUGAAUUUCUUUCAAUCUCAAUCUUUUUCUUUUUAGCAACAUGACUAGUCAUUGUGCAAAUUUAAACUCUGACAAUGAUUUCUCAAUCGGUUUCUAAAAUGAUGACCAUGCAUGUAUAUGUGUGUGUGUAGAGAGAGAGAGAGAGAGAUCACACGUGUGUGAUUUCCUUUUGCCAAUAGGAUAUGCAGAGAGCUUGAUCUUACCCAAUAGCGAAACAAACUUCCUAAUAAGUGAAGGUAUAGUAUAAAUACUUAUACUUUCAUGUUAUUUUGUUCAUCAGUAGCUUGAUUAUUUUAUAUGCAUCUUCGAUUUUAAUUUUCUUUCCCUAUAAUCGCUAUUAUCUUUGAACUGGUCAUGAUUUGCCUAUAAGAUUUCUCAUGUUGUUUUGAGGUGCAAUGGAUUUUGAAUUUAGUGACGAGCAGUGGAAGCCAGAAGGCAAAUUAUGAAAAUGGAUAAAGAUCUAUAAUUAGCUGUUAUGGGAUGUCACAUAUCAUAUUGAUGGUAACAUUAUAUAUAUAUAUGUACAUAUAAUUAAUGGGGUUGGCUCACGAGCCCAUUAAUAAUCGUAUAUUAGCUUAUAUACUUCAAACAAUGUACUAUGAAGCAAUUUCACAAAUACUUGUUAGCUUAUGUUGAGCUUUAUUGAAUCAGUAGUUCACAGUUCAAUAAAAUGCAGGUUUAAUGUGACAGAGAGAUGUAGAUAACAGCCGCAAAACACUGAGAUUGAAAAUCAGGGCUACUAAAUUCUACUAAAAGCCCUUAAAAUAGACAGCGAUCACCCUGAAAUGUAUAUACUGAAACUAAGAAAUAUUAAUCGCAAAGUUAUGCAUUAAUAGAACUAUUGACUACUUAUCUUUAGCAUAAGGUAUAUUUUUAACUACAGCUUUAUGCUUUGUUUUAAGAACUAGGCAAAAAUGGUGUAUCUUCAAUCCAAUCAACAUGUAUACCACUUAUCUUCCUCUUCACUUCUGUCUAUUUUGAUUUGCACUUCAUAUCCUGCACUUGCUGCUUAGAAAUAGUCUUAUUCUGGACAUUGAAAGUAGAAAAAGUGCUUGAAACAAUCAUUGGCAUAGCCCGAGAUUCCAUUGAAUCGUGGACUCCAAGCUUUCAUAGUUCUAUAAAGAAAAUGACAAAACUUCAUACAAUUGGCAUUCUGCUUUUAACAUUUGCACAACCUGAGCGAGUUAGCAAGCCCCUUGUUGCGUUCCCAUUGAAUAGACCUACUUCUGUUAUCCACAGAAGAUCCACAACUCAAAAUGUUUAUCACCAGGCUAUUCUUAAACUGAGCCUAAACUGAGUAGAAACUUCCGCACAUCUCUCAGCAUUUACAUGAAGAAAUCGACAACUAUCCUCAUCUCUCAGCACAUCUCUCAGCAUUCUACAAAGUUGCAUUUCACUAAGCAAUCUAUCCUCUCCAUUCCUAGCAAAGUGACAUUGAUUCCCGUAUUUGUAAUCGCCUAACUUGGGUUUUGGGCAUAGCUUGGUCUUAAAAUUACCACCCAUUACUUUGUUCAGUGCCACUGGCAUCCACAAGCUCUAGCCCUGUUAGCUGAAUCAUAUUCAAUGGGACAGUGAGGCAGCAUUUCACUAACAUAUUCAAUUUGACUACUUAUAUUGACGCAAAUAUUAGAAUUUGAAAUCACUUCUUUUCUUGGAAUAUUAUAUUAAAAUGAACCCAAAUGAAAGUUCUUGAAUGGAAAUGAUUUUUAUUUAAUUUUCGAACAGAUUCAAGAAAACCCAGAGAACACAAAUUUUACACAGUAAUAUGAUUAAGAGCUGAGAACGUACAUGUAGUAAAUGUCUAUCAAAAAACACCCAAGGGUUUCUUUAAAAUUAGAAACUAGUAAACAAAAAGAAAGAAUCAUUUCACAUUUUUAGCAACUUUGGGGUGAGUGAGUGAGUGAGAAAUUGAAACCCUAAAGUGAUGACAAUAGUAAGAUUCAGUAUGAAGUGAAACCCCAAUUUGAAAUGUAGGCAUGAGUUGCUGAGUCAGUAGAUGAAGCUAUAAAUAGGCAUUCGGUUUCCUUCUUUUCGGUUUGGAGGGCCAUGGAAUAGUGUAUUGGAGUGGGCUCCAAGUAAUAGCCUCUAUCACUGGAACGACACAUCUGUAAAACGUGAUACAUGGGGAAGGAUUGGGCAUUAUAUUCUUAGAGUUAGAUUAGCGCCUUAUUUAGGGUGUAUAUUAAGCAGAUUAUACAUUACAUGGAGAUGGAGUUUAUGAAAUAGAUUAAAAAGAAAAGAAAAUUUCGGUGUCUAAAGUUUGCCACUUGGAAUAUUUCGGUGUCUAAAAAUUCACUCACCACUUAUGUCAUGUUUGAUUAUAUGUUGAAAAGAUAUUAAAAUAGUAUAAUGCUAUUAAGGCUUAACGUAUAUUUUUUAUUAGUAGAGUGUAGAAUUUUUAAGAAAUAAAUUAUUAAAUUAUUAUAACUAACAUAUUAUUUUAAAGUUGUGUUAUGAAAAAAAAAUAAAAUAAAAACAUACAGUAAAUAAGAAUAUUCUAAAACUUUUAUCUUUUUAAAAUUAGUUUUUAACAUAAGGUGAACUAUUUUUUUUUAAAUCACAUAUUCUAGUUAAAAUCAAAUAUGUAUUUAUAUGAAGCUUGUAAAUUUUUUUUUUAGUACUGAUAUUUGAAUAUUAUCAAUAAAAAAAAAAGGGUAAUGUUCAUGCUGCAUUAUUUUUGUAGCACACAAUAGGACAACACCGUUUAUGUUAUAAUACUAUCGCUUCUGUUAUGAUAAUAUUUUUUUGUGGCCAAAUAUCUUUUUUUUUUUUUUUAAGUAAAAGGGUGGACAAAAUACAAAUCAGUUUUUAAUCCUCAAUCUCUCCCAAAAUUUAAAUUCGUAGUUAACAAAACAAAAUUGUUGGAAAACCAUUAAGCUAGGUCCAUGGGUUGUUAAAACUAUAUAGCUGACAAAAAGUUACUAACAAAAACAGAAUGUCCAUUUUAUAACUUUCUUUAAAAACAUUCCUUAACUUUUUUAAAAAGUUACCAACAAAAAGUUAUUUCCAAUUUUUAUUUUGUUAUAAUUUUUAUAACAAAAUUCGUAGUUAACUAAACUCUUCUUAUUCCCUUUCUCAACUGCCAUACCCUAACCCACUAAACCACGCUCAAUUAAGGCCAUCAGAUUCUCCCGGGCCCACAUUAAUCCAACUGCUCACAGAGACCGACAGCCUCUCUAUCUCCGUUUCAAGCUCCCUCUUCAACUGGCUUCUGCUACCGUCCUACUGUUUCUCGGCUUCGGAGGCCGUAUUUGCUCGGCCGGUCCCACGAAGCUCCCUCUCACUCCAAUUGUCGCCCCACAAGACCAAUUGCUUAAUCAAGACACCGAACAAGAAGAGGAUGAGAAGUUGAAACAAGAAUUUGAGAUUGAAGUAAUUUGAGGAUAGACUGCCUAUCCUCUUUCUUUUCGGAAUUCAGUGCCUCAAUCUUGGGUUAAGGAUUUUAUGCGAAGUCAGGGAAAGAGAUUGAAGUUUCAGAUGAAUUUGUGUGCUAGCAUUGAUGGGAUCUUUAACAAUUUAUCUGUGCCCUUUAACAAAGUUAAGGCUAAGUCAGCUUCGUAUAUGGCUGCUGAUUUGGUUAGUGUUGGUGAUUCAUGGCUCAGUUUUGCAAUUAAGAUUGGUUCAAAUGCUUAUGUCACAAAUGGAAGGUAACAUCUUUAUCUUUGACCCGAUAAUUUUUAUUAUCUUUUUAAUUGCAAUGAGAAGAAAUGCCACUGUAGCAUGUAGUGAUGGCACUUAAUAAGUGAGUUGCUCGGAUGUGAACUAGAAAAAUUAAAUAUUGUCUCCUUGGGUAUGCUAGCUUGUAAGUCAGGGUUAAUAUCAGAGCUUAAGAUACUAUAACCGUGAGAAGCUAUUGACUGCCAAUUAAAAUAUCCAUUAAAAUGUCUAGGGAGUUAUGAAGGUGGAGGUAACUUCCAAUUUCUAAGGCCACAGAGUAGACAUCAUCCAGGAUCCUAGGAAAGUCCAGUUAACCUCCUGCUUGAUGCAAUUAAUAAAUUUGGUCAAUGCCACUGAAACCUGCUAACUGACGUCACAAUGUGACAUGAGCACUUCAAAAUGGGACAGACGGUCAGUAGCACUAAAUUUUUCUUGCCUAAGAUUGAGCAAUUGGUCUAACUACUAAUCCCUAUUGUAGGUUGAUCAUUAUUUUUUCAAUUAUGUUCAGUUUGACCCAAAAAGUUGCAGAAUCUUGAGCAGAAUAUUGUCACCGAACACUGUCAAUGUCGUUUAGCAUAGCCAACUAACUUGAUGUUAAAACAAGCACACAAUGUGUCUCAUGUCUCACAAAUCAAAUUAUCAUCUGUAAUGAUGGAGAAUUUUUCCAAUGUAUGAAGUAUGUUUUGAUACGUGGGUUACCUUGGAGAAGAUAUCUCAAAAUAAAGAAUAUGGGGAGAAAACAGUUCAGUAGUUUAUUAUUCUGUAGUCAAGUUUUGUCUUGAAAAUGGUCAAAAUUUAAAUGAAUAAGGACAGGGGAUCUUCAUUCUUUUUUCCCUUUUUUAUACCAAGAUAUCUCUCAACCUUUAUAUAAUCCCCACUGGAUAUCUGCUUCUAAUAAUUAAAAUAAAAAUUUCACCGCUCUAACAAUAAAAAGUAACAUCUUUAGUCAAAUAAUUUACAGUUCCUCAUCAUCUUAGUGUGAGACUAUCAGUACAUUCCAAAAACAUAAUAAAACUGGUUUGAUCCUGUUUAUUGAUGUUUAAAUGUUGUUCAUUGUGACAUGUAGAAAUGAUGAGGCAAAGUUUAUUUGGACAUCAAUUAGUAAGAUCUUGUUUGAAGUUGUUUUCUGAAAUGAACUGCCAAAUGGUAGUUUUUUGGGGACAUUUGAUGGCUCUUUUUUUUUCCUCAUUUUCAACAUGCGCCUGCUUGGAACAGGAAGAAUUAGGCUGCAGAGUUGUUAUAUAUUUUGAGAUGCUCUGGUCAUUGCACAAUUUGUUCACACUGGAAAUUAGAAUGAGAAAUUUGUUGAUGCUGUUUUGAGAGAUCUGCAUUCUAUGCACAAUAACAUGAUUAAUGAAAAUGCAUUGUAGGACUGGAAAGAUCUGUGGCAGCCUGAGCUCGCAAGAAGAAUUUCAAUGGUUAAUUCUCCCCGAGAGGUUAUUGGUUCAGUUUUGAAGUAUAGGGGAGCAUCAUACAAUUCAAAUGAUAUUGAUUCACAAGUUGCUGGUGGGAAGAUUGCUGUUCAGCAGAAUCUGGCAUUACUGGCAAACCAGGUACUCUUACAGAAAUGAUAUCUGGUCAUUGCAUGUUAUUGCCUGACAACUGAUUUUGUUUGUAAAAGUCUGCUUCUUCAUACAUAUGAAUGCAUAUGUUAGUGUUUUCUUCUCCUUUUCAUACAUAUAAAUGCAUAUGUUAGUGUUGUCUUUUCCUUUUCAUACAUAUUAAUACAUAUGUUGGUGUUCUCUCCUGAGAUGGAUGCAAUAAAGGCUUUUGCUCCUAAAUUUAGCUGAAGAAAUGGCAAGGGAUGUGAGAUUCUGUCUCUUUAAAUUAAAAAAAACCCAAAACAAUGAAAAUCCAUAAUAAUGUGGUGUGGAUAAAUUGGCUCCAUUUGGUUCGUUUCCUUAAUGUGAAUGCGCGAGCAAUAGAGACUAACAAAAUGAAGUGACAACAAGAAGUCAGUGUCCUUUGAUGGAUGCAUUUUUAGGCAGAAAUAUGUUUGUAAUUGACCAAAUUUGUCUGGCAUGCCAAUUUCAAAAAAAUUAAAUUAUGUGGUUAUUAGCGGUAAUGAAGGGGGAUAGUAGGUGCAAUCAGGUGGAUCCAGGAAAGUUCAACAAAGUUUUGGUAUGGCGUAGUGAAAUUGGUUUGUGCAACUCAGGAGUCUUUCAGGUGAACGAUGAUAGGUUUUGAUUUAUGAAUAUUAUAAAUAUACUGUGCAUAGUAUUCUAGUAGAAUCAUCUAUAAGUUCUAGUUAUUGAAAUUGUAUACUUUGCCCGGUUUGAGUUAAGGGCACAUGUAAUAUGAAAGAUAGUUGUCGCAUCUUUUAGGUUACCUAACAUUUGAUCAAUCCUAUUAUGGGGGCUUCAAGAUGUCUAACAAUAUGUAGAAUGCCCAUGCUCCUACCCAUUGUUUAUCUUCUACAAUAAUUUGUUUUAGAUGCUAAUAUCUUUGUCGAUACCGGUAACAAUAUUACAAUAUCAGCGUUUAUUGGGUUUUACAUAGGUUCGACUGGUUGACAGUACACACUAUCUGAAGGCAUUUGCAAUUGGAGAUGUAUGGGUUGCUGUUGGGUGGAUCAGUGAUGUUCUUCCUGCUGUCAAACAUAUGUCUAAUGUUGCUGUGUUGUUCCCAAGUCUGGUGCUAGCUGCCUGCCAUUCUACUUCGAUAUUCACAUUGUUAUCUCCUUCAUAUUAGCGAUCAGUAAACACGAUAAUGUGACUAAUAAGUUCGUAUUCUCUUUAUAGGCAAUCCCUGCUGCCUCAAGACUUGAAACAAAACAAAUUGGAGGGCGAGUCAGAGGUCCAUCUCCAUUAAUCCAUCAAUGGAUAGAAUUCUGCUUGCAAACAGCGAGAGCAUUGCCUUUCAAGCAAGAGGUUAUCCUGGGUGCAUCUCCCUCUGCCCUUGAAAGUACUCUGGUUAAGUUGCCUGAAGAACUUCUGGAGGGUAAACCAAGUCUGGAUACUAACUUAAUUGCUGGAGUACUCCCGGCUGAAAUUCUGGCCAGAUGUGAGUUUUUGGAGCCAUUAUCUGAAGCUACUUUGUCAGAUUAUGAGUGGCUGGUUGUUAAUCUGCAAAAACCUGCUCCUGUCUUGAUGAAAAGGGUGCAACAUUACUUGUCAUCAUUAAUCCAAAGCUUUCUAGCAAGAGCUACAUUGAAAAGUUAAUGGCGCUGCAUGCCAGUCAUUAUAAUGCUGUCAGGGCAAUUGGGUCAGGGCAAUUAGGUCUGAGCAUAACUUCAUUAGGAAAAGAGGCUUCAGCUACGUUAAAUAUUACAGGAUGUACUGAGAUGGCUGAAGUUCUUGAGGUUUUAUGAGAAAGAUGAGUGUUUGUUUGAACAAAGUUGUUGCCAAUCUUGCAGAGUUCGAAAACAAAGAUCACGGAGCGAAUGCCACCAAUUUCUUCAUCAUUUUAGCCUCCAUAGUUGAAGUUUCCUCAUUUGAAGCUGUUUAUGCAUAUGCUUUUUCCCUUCUCAAGUACAGGAAAUUGAAGAAUUAACCAGAUGUGAUAUGCUGAAAGAGGGAAGUUUUCUUCCUUGAAUGUGGCCUUUGUGAUUUGUCUUGAUGGAAUAGGGUGAUCACUGGCGAGAACCCAAUCAAGGUAGAUUUUAUGAUGUUAACAUAUUAUUAAGCAUUUUGUUGCAUCAGCAAUGAUGCUUUCAUAGAAUGAAAGUGUUUAAAUUUAACUGAAUGAUCUUGAUUGAUCAAUUAUGAGUUUUAAUCGAGUAAAAACUAAAUACAAUGAUCGUUAACAAAUAUUGAAAUUGGGUAAAUAUGAUCUUGAUAUUGAAGAAUUUGAAAUCACAACCCACACAGGAAAUCACCCUUCGCGUGGGGAUGGUGAUGUUUACUGCAGCGAUAUUGAAUAUGUCCGCUGCUCUUUGGGUUAUGGUGCGAGUGCGACUUGCGAUUUCAAGGUUGCCAUGAAACAAUGGAAAAGAUUAACAUGCCCUCCAAUGAAUGAAACUAUUAUGUUAUUAACAAUGCACAGUCCGAGUACUUUUCCAGGAUCAGAUACGAGGUGGUCUAAUGUUGAUAAUAAUAGAUUAUCAAAUGACAAAUCGUUGUUCUUGGGUGGUGAUUUCAGAAAUAAAAUACAUUCUGAGAGAUGCUGGUUUACUAUUGCAAGCCCCCAGAUUUAAGAAUCUUUUGAUGAUAAUUUAUCACCUGCAGCUGUGCCGGAAGAUUCAAGUAGCACUGAAAAAGAUGAUAAUUUAAUUGAUAUGGACAGUUUUCAUAUCACUUUUAAAUCAUCUUAUGUAAUUGUAAUGUUAGGAAGCAUUAGUGAUCUAAAAGUGAACUAUUAUUGGUGUAAUUGGUGGUUUUAUCUUGUUAAAAUAUGGAUGACUUCCUGUUACUAUUUUAUUAUAGACAAUCUUAUUCAAUUAACAUAUGGUUUAAAACCAUUAUGUUUUAUGUAAAUCAAUCUAUUAAUUUUCAUGAUACUUAACUGAGUUAAAACCAAGUGCACUCAAUAAAUGUCUUUUCCUUUAAAAAACUGCUACGCUUUGAUUUUAGUGCUUAAUAUUUCGUAACUACAGAUUAUCUAAUUGCGAGUUGCUGUCCAUAGCUACUAAUUUGUAGUGAUUAUCUAAUUGACGAAGGUGACAAUAAUUAUUUUAUUUUCAAUAGCACAACGUGGAAUUCAAUAAUUAAAUUCUCCUGUUUAAUUUGUUUUAAGUUAAAUUAUUAAUUACUUAAACUCUGUUUUAAGUCUUUAAUUUUCUGUGUUUAUGCAGAAUUGGAUUCUUGAGCGUGUUGGACAUGACCAACAAUGAAAUUGACGUAAACAAACAUUACAACGUGUGGACUCCGGUAGCUACCCCGCAAGUCUACAACUUUACAAAUAAUAAUUGAGUAAGCACCUUUGAUUUCUAGCCCCGUUGACUCCACCGACUAAAGUUUUGUAAAAUAAAAAAAAAAUGCAUAGAAUUCCACCAAAUGCAAAACGCGUGGAAUUUAAUUUUCGGCCGUGUGGAUCAAAACAUAAUUUAAUGAAAAAGGAAAAAAAAUGAUAAGAUUUUUAAAAUGUGUGGAAGGUGAUUCAUAUUUUACUGAAACAACUUGUUAAAUUUUUCAAGGAUUUAUAAUAUUUGGUCAUAAAUUACGUGCAUGUUAAUUUUUCCGCCAUUGACUAUCAUAUUCUAGACUUAAUGGUACCUUUCUUGAUGAAGGGUACUUAAUCUCUCUUCUCCUCUUAUAAAAAUUAUAUUAAUUGAUUUCUUAUUAUAGUUAAUAGUCUUCAAGAACGGAUAGAUUUAUUGUCUUCAUGACCAAAUUAUGCAUGCCUAACGUUGCAACUAUUAAUAAAAUUAAUAUUUAAUGUUUAUGUUAAAAUAUAUAAGAUUUUAUGCAUUCAUUAAUUGUUAUUAGCUAAAGGAUGAAUUAUUUUUUCCCAAUCAGUUGAUGCAUCUGCAAGAGUUUUUUUUUUCUUUUAUUGACCAUAAUUAUAUUCCGGGUACAAUAAAUUGUCUUUGGUGCUUGGAAGAUAUGACAUCUCUCUGUCAACUUACUGGAAAUAUCUCCUCAUCUACUCUCAUUUAUCUAAUAUCAAUUGAAGAUCUCAUAUUUCCAAACUAGGACCUCCAAAUCUCAUUAUCAUUUGAGCAUUCAAAACUAAUCAAGUGUGGAAAUAAUCAAAUAUAUGCAAAAAUCGAGUCACAAUCUUUGGCCCCUCAAAAUUCUAAUUAUAUAACUUCAUAUCUCAUACAUUUUCCAAAUUCCUCUUCCAUCAACAUCACUAGGAGUAUGUUCAUCUCUCACACAUUAACUUGAGUGGAGAGUUUCCAAAUUGAUUGUCAGAAAACAAUACAAAAGCUAGACACACUUGAUCUGUCUAAUAAUUCUCUUUCGGUAAAAUAAAUUAAUUUUAGGGUAAUAUUCAGCCAACCUCUGUAAUUUCAGAGUGAUCAUUAAUUAAUUAAUUAAACGAUACAAUAUCUAAAGUGAUUAGAUGUUUGCGGACAAUAUAAGUUCAUGGCUUGAAAUUUGAUCUCUAUCGAUUGGUUUACAGAUGGACGUACUUGUGCCUUUGUGGUGAUAAUUGAACCAGAGAUGUGAAGCUGUAAGGAUUUGGCAGUAGUAAAUUGUUAUAAAGGCAUAAAGACAACUAUUUUACAACAAAUUCAUCUCGCCAAAAAUUCUAUUUUGCUAACUAACAAUAAUUGAGCACUUGACCGCAUUGACUCCACGUCUCCAGCUACUUUCUAAGUAAAAACAUGGAAAUGUAAUCUCCACAAAAUGCCAAACGUGUGGAAUUUAAUUUUUGGCCUUGUGGACCAAAAUGCAAAUGAAAGAAAAAGAAGGAAAAAAACAAGGCCCAAAGACUUCUAAAAGAUGUAAAAGUCUUUGGGUUUUUUUAUAAUGGUGGAUUUUUUAAAAGAAAAAAAAUAACAACACUCCUAUGGUUUGUUUUGAUAAUCACAUUUACAUAUACUCUCUAAUUUUCAAAAUGGACACAUAAAUCUUUUUUUUUCCUACAAAUGUAUAUUAUUCGUAUUUUUUAUUAUUUUUAAUAUCAUAUUGUUAUUUAUUAUAAAUGUUUAAAGUAAAUUUUUAGGUUGAAAUAUAAUAAAAGGGUAUAAUCGUUCUCUUAUUAAACACCCAUACUUUUAGUUUCUAUCCAUUUGCCAUCUCAAUCUCUCUCAAUUAUUCAUUAUUGCUAGCUCAAAAUGCGUUGCUGUUGCAAAUUAUAGCAAAAAGACAAAUAUGGAAAAGAAAAAACGGUAGAAAAUUAGUGCAUGAAAGACUUGGAGAAAACAACGAAGUAAGUCAACUAUAAUCUAGCUGGGUGUAUAAAUUGCUUGAUGCUUUAUAAGCAAAUAACAUACAGAGACAGACAGUGUGUGUUCGUUUUUUCAUAGUUAAAGAUAUAGUUAGAAUGGGCGGUUCAAAAUCAAAAAUGGUGAUAAUGUUUGUUAUGUUAUUAAUAAUAUUUAAAAGUGGGUGGAGUGAGGGAUGUUUGGAUCACGAGAGAUUUGCUCUUUUGCGACUCAAACAUCUCUUCGAUGAUACUGGUAGUUAUCCUUACGACUGGGUAGAUGGUGAGGGAGCUAUUGAUUGUUGUCAGUGGGAAAGGGUUGAGUGCAGCAACACCACAGGCCGAGUGAUAGCGCUAGACCUUUUUGAAAUGUAUUCGGGAGAGUACAGCUGGUAUCUGAAUGCUUCUUUGUUUACUCCCUUCCAACAACUUGAGUCACUUGAUUUAACUGACAACAAAAUAGCCGGUUGUGUUGAGAAUGAAGGUGCUUCGUUUAAUUUAAUUAAUUUACUUUCUCCCCCCUAAUUUAAGUUGAAUAUCAAGACCGAGCAACUAUACGCAUAUUCAUUUAGUCGACAAUUUUGACUUUUUUUUAAGUGAUUAAUUAAUUUUAAAAUUACACCAAUAUCUAUGAUCUUUUUUUUUUUUUAAUUUUGCUUGCAGGUCUAGAGAGGCUAUCAAGAUUGAACAACUUGAAGAUGCUUAAUUUAAGUGAAAACUCGUUCAACAAUAGCAUUUUAUCAUCUCUAACUCAUCUUUCAUCAUUAAGAUCAUUAAAUUUAUUUUGGAAUAGAUUGGAAGGAAGUAUUGACUUUAAAGGUACAUAAUUAAAACUUCAUCCCUUCUCCAAGCUCUUUCAUUAACUUGCUAAAAUAAGACUCAAGGCUUUGAAUUCAAUUUUUUUUAUGAUUAGUAUUAAAAAAAACAGUUUUAAGCAAUUUAUAAAUACAAGUUUUAAUGGUUAUCGUAAUUUCAUCUUGUAAUUUCAUAUGUCUUGAAUUUAAGAUUAAAAAAAAACUCUAAUAGCGAACCAAACACCUCCACAACUUAUUAUUAUUAUUAUUAUUAUUAUUAUUUAUGGUGAGGUUGGAAACAUUCAACUUAAUUUGUACUUAUUACAGAAUUUGAUUCUUUGAGAGAUUUAGAGGAGCUAGACAUUGGCGCGAACAAGAUUGACAAAUUUGUGGUCUCAAAAGGUACUACAAAUACCACAAAAAAUGUAAACUUUUACAAAUUAACUGGAUUCUUUGCCAUUUGGUUUAUUAUUUUAUAGGUUUGAGUAAGUUGAAGUCUCUUGAUUUAAGUGGUAUCAAACUCAACCGUAGUAUCUUAUCUUCUCUAACUGUCUUUUCUUCAUUAAGAGAAUUACAUCUACGUGAUAUCGGAUUCAAAGGAACAUUUGAUGUUCGAGGUAAGCCUAAGCCUUGCUUUCUCAUUUUCUAUAUGCCAACUAGAUUUGUGUAUCAUCGACAUAAUUUAAUAUUUAAUUUGAUAAGUCUGAAGGAAUUACAUGCUAAUUUAAACAUACUUUUAUUUACUUUGUCAAUUAAUUAAUUAAUUAAUUACUAUUUGACAUUGGACGGUUCCUCUCUCCAUAUAAGCCUUCUGCAAAGCAUUGCAUCAUUCACUUCGUUAAAAAAUCUGUCGAUGUCUGAUUCUGAAGUCAAUGGUGUCCUACGUGGUCAAGGUAAAAGAAAAGUGUUGACUGUGAAUAAGCUGUUAAUUAAUUAAUGUUGUUGCUCCUUGCUUCUAAACAGAGUUGCGCAAUUUCACCAACUUGGAAUAUUUGAAUUGGAUUCUUCCUCGCUCCAUAUAAGCCUUCUACAAUUGCUUGAACAAUUUAUUUAUUUAUUUAUUUAUUAUUAUUGUUGUUGUUGUUGUUGUUGAAGUGGGGUGGGCAAGCGUUUACUCGGUUAAUAUGUGGGGAAUUAAAUAUUACAAUCCAAGGUAGAAUUGUGGAAAAUUAAAGUAAAAUGAGAAAUAUGGAAAGAAAGGAAGAAAGUUAAGGGCAUGAAAGACUAGGAGAAGACUAAAGACCACCAAAUAAGUCAACUGAAAACUAGCUGGGGCCUGGGUGUAAAAUUGUUAGAUGUGUUUGUUAUAAAUAACAUAGAGCCCUCUUGUUGGUUGCAGAGGCAGAGAGACAGAGAGUGUGCAUUUUGUUAAUUAAAAAUAUAAAUAUAUAAAAUGGGUGGUUCAAAAUCCAAAAUGGUGAUAAUGUUAGUUUUGUUAGUAUUAAUAAUAUUAUAAGGGAGGUGGCGUGAGGGAUGUUUGGUGCAUGAGAGAUUUGGUCUUUCGAGACUUAAAACAUUUCUUCAAUUCUCCUUCUAAUUUUUGUCACGACUGACCGUUGUCAAUGGGAUGGGGCUGGGUGCAGGGUUGAUUUACGUUAGAACAAUAUAGCCGGUAGUGUUGAGAAUGAAGGUGUUUCAUUUAAUUUAAUUAAUUUACUUUCUCCCUCCUAAUUUAAGUGGAAUAUCAAGACUGAACAAUUAUAUGCAUCUUCGUUCAGUUGACAAUUUUGACAUAUUUUUUUAAGUGAUUAAUUUUGAAAUUACACCAAACAUUAUUUGUGAUCUCUGUUUUGACUUUACUUGCAGGUCUAGAAAGAUUGAGCAACUUGACGAUACUUGAUUUAAGUCAUAACUUGUUCAAUAAUAGCAGCUUGUCAUUUGUUGCUCGUCUUUCAUCAUUAACAUCAUUAGAUUUAUCUUACAAUGGAUUGGAAGGAAGUAUUAAUAUUAAAGGUACGUAAUUAAAACGCCAUCGCUUCUCCCAACUCUUUCAUUAACAUGCUAAAAUAAGAUUCAAGGCUUUGAAUUCAAUUUUUUUUAUGAGUAAUAUUAGAAAAAUAGUUUUAAGCAAUUCAUAAAUACAAUUUUCAAUGUUUCUCAUAAUUUCAUCUUGUACUUUUGUAUGUCUUGACUUUAAGAUUAAAAAAAAAAAUUACUCUAAAUGUGAAGCAAAUACCCCAUGACUAAUUUACAAUUUUGUCCAAUUAAAAAUGAUAAAAUUUAUCAUUUGUUUACAUUGAUUUAUUAACUCUAUUUUAAGUCUUAAGUCUUGGCGUCUUGGCAUGUUUGCAGAAUUUGAUUCCUUGAGCAACUUAGAGGAGUUGGACAUGCGCGGUAAUGAAAUAGACAAUUUCGAGGUUCCUCAAGGUACACAAUUAAAAUAUUAUUUAAUUACAAUAAUUUAAUUCGUUUGAUUAGGGAAGGCCCAAAAUGUACAAAAACAUAAUUAAAAAAAAAUAAAGAAACAGAGAAUUCAUAUUAUUUCAAAAAACAAAAGGUAAUACUAUUAUUUCAAAAAAAGAAUGUAAUAAAGAUUUGAUUCCGGUUCUUUAAUCUUUAUAGCAAUUGAAAAACAAUGUUGCUCUUUUCCUAAAGCAUAAAAUAUGAAAUGAGUCAUAAUUGAAUUAGUCAUUUAUUUUGUUUAGAUAUAAAUUUAGACAAUAAAUUUUCAUUUUUUUUUCAAUCCUAUCCUUAUUAUUAUUAUUAAACAGGUUACAGAGGUUUGAGGAAGUUGAAAAGCCUCUAUCUAUCGAACGUUAAAAUUAGAGAUGGAAGCAAGUUGUUACAGUCAAUGGGAUCACUCCCAUCCCUCAACACUCUUUACCUGAAGCAUAAUAAUUUUACCGGUACAGCGACAACUACUACUCAAGGUAAGUAAAAGGUACAGAUGUGGCCAAAAUUAUAAACAAACUGUUAAUUAAUUAAUUUUUCCGUAUUAUUAAUUAAGCUAAAUUUGUUGCUCCUUCCUUCUAAAUCUACACAGAGUUGCACAAUUUCACCAACUUGGAAUAUUCGACAUUGUCCGGUUCCUCUCUCCAUAUAAGCCUUCUGCAAAGCAUUGCAUCAUUAUUCCCUUCAUUAAAAAAUCUGUCGAUGUCUUAUUGUGAAGUCAAUGGUGUCGUACGCGGUCAAGGUAAAAGAAAAGCGUUGAUUGUGAACUCACUCAAUGGUGUCCUGCGUGUUCAACAUUUUUGUUUAUUUAUUUUAUUGUUUAAUGUUUCUGCUAGGUUUUCCCCAUUUCAAGAGUUUGGAACAUUUGAACAUGGAACGCGCGCGCAUUGCACCCAACACCAGCUUUCUUCAAAUCAUCGGUGAAUCGACGCCUUCUCUUAAGUACUUAUCACUGUCAGAUUUUACUCUCAGCACUAACAGCAGCAGGAUUCUUGAUCGAGGUUAAUCAGAUGCUCCCACCCUCCCUUCUUAAUCUAUAAUAUUAAUUUUCAAUUAAAUAUUUAAUUACACAAAUGAAUCACUUAUUAUAAAAGAAUAAUACGCAUUCAUUAAUUUCUAUAUUGAAUUAAUUGAUGAAUUUAAUAAAUUUUCAGGCCUCUGUUCGUUGAUGCAUCUGCAAGAGUUGUACAAGGUUAAUAAUGAUUUAAGAGGUAGCUUGCCUUGGUGCGUGGCAAAUAUGACAUCCCUCAGGAUAUUAGAUGUUUCUUCCAAUCAACUUACUGGAAGCAUCGCUUCAUCUCCCCUCGCUCAUUUGACAUCCAUUGAGGAGUUGCAUCUUUCAGACAAUCACUUCCGGAUCCCAAUUUCACUUGAACCACUUUUCAAUCACUCAAGACUCAAGAUUUUCGAUGCUGAAAACAACGAACUUAAUGCAGAAAUAACUGAGUCAUAUUCUUUGACCACCCCAAACUUCCAAUUACAAUAUCUCUUGUUGUCUUCCGGUUAUGGAGAUGGUGCCACAUUCCCCAAAUUCCUUUACCAUCAACAUGACUUGGAGUAUGUUGAUCUCUCACACACAAAGAUGAAUGGAGAAUUUCCAAAUUGGUUGUUGGAAAACAACACAAAAUUAAAAACUCUUUUUCUGGUUAAUGAUUCUCUUGCAGGACCUUUCCGUUUGCCAAUUCAUUCACACAAGCGGUUAAGACAGUUAGAUGUCUCCAACAACAACUUCCAAGGCCACAUUCCAUUAGAAAUUGGAGAUAUUUUACCAAAUUUAAUAUCCUUCAACAUUUCAAUGAAUGCUUUAGACGGUAGCAUUCCCUCUUCAUUUGGUAAUAUAAACUUACUCAAAAUUCUGGACUUAUCCAACAACCAAUUGACUGGUGAAAUCCCUGAGCACUUGGCCGUCGGUUGCGUCUACUUGGAUUUUCUUGCGUUAUCAAACAACAGCUUAGAAGGUCAUAUGUUCUCUAGAAACUUUAACCUAAAAAACUUGAAAUGGUUACAAUUGGAAGGCAAUCGCUUCGUAGGUGAGAUCCCACAAAGUUUGUCUAAAUGCUCCUCACUAAAAGGAUUGUACCUUAACAAUAAUAGUCUUUCGGGUAAGAUUCCACGAUGGUUGGGUAAUCUCACAUGGUUACAAUAUAUUAUAAUGCCCAAUAAUCAUCUUGAAGGUCCUAUUCCAGUGGAGUUUUGUCAACUUUAUUCGCUUCAGAUUUUGGACAUUUCAAACAACAACAUAUCUGAAAGUUUACCAUCUUCUUUCCAUCCUCGCUUUAUCAAACAAGUUCACCUAUCGAAAAAUAUGUUACAUGGACAACUAAACAGAGGUACAUUCUUUAAUUGCUCUUCCCUUGUGACAUUAGAUCUUAGCUAUAACUGCUUGAAUGGCAGCAUUCCGGAUUGGGUUGAUGGGCUUUCUUAGUUAAGCCACCUUAUCUUAGGUCACAAUAAUCUUGAAGGUGAAGUGCCAGUUCAAUUGUGCGAACUGAACCGAUUGCAAUUGUUAGAUCUUUCUAAUAAUAAUCUUCACGGUCCUAUUCCUCCUUGCUUUGAUAACACCACACUUCAUGAAAGUUACAGCAAUAGUUAUAGUCUUGAUGAGCAAUUUGAAAUAUUUGUUUCCAUCGAAGGCUCUUGGGGAUCGGUAGAAAAGUAAAUCCAUGAAAUUUUUGAGUUCACAAUAAAGAACAUUGCGUACAUUUACCAAGGAAAAGUUCUUAGCCUCCUAUCAGGACUUGAUCUUUCUUGCAACAAGCUAAUCGGUCAUAUUCCUCCUCAAAUUGGAAAUUUGACAAGGAUUCAAACAUUGAAUCUAUCACACAACAACUUGACAGGAUUGAUCCCAUCAACAUUUUCAAACUUGAAGCAUAUCGAAAGUUUGGAUCUUUCCUACAACAAAUUGAAUGGGAAAAUCCCUCAUCAACUUGUGGAGUUAAAGACAUUGGAGGUUUUCAGUUUGGCAUUCAAUAACUUAUCAGGCGAAAUUCCAGAAUGGAAAGCACAAUUUGCAACCUUCAACGAGAGUAGCUAUGAGGGAAAUACUUUUCUUUGUGGAUUGCCAUUGCCCAUUUGCAGAUCACCAGCAACUACGCCGGAGGCUUCAAUUGGCAAUGAAAGAGAUGAUAAUUUAAUUGACAUGGACAAUUUCUUUAUCACAUUUACAACAUCGUACGUAAUUGUGAUAUUUGGAAUCGUUGUUGUUUUAUAUGUAAAUCCUUAUUGGCGAUGUAGAUGGUUUUACUUUGUUGAAAUGUGGAUAACUUCCUGUUACUAUUUUGUUGUAGACAAUCUUAUUCCAACAAGAUUUUGUCAUUGAAAUUAAUAAGUAGUUUAAUUAGGAUUCUUUAAGUACUAAUCAAGUUUGCUUAGGAAAUAAAUUUUUAUUAAAAUUGUAGUAGUAUUUAGCAUUAUAUAGCUUCCAACUUUCAAGCACUUCACAUUUGUCUCUACACUUAAAAAGUUGAGUGAUCAUGUUUUGCAGAUCUGGAUUUGGAGAAGGAUGGAUCCAAACCCAAAUCUGUCCACCAUAACUUAUACCCUACACUGUGUAGCAUACUUAAAUAAGAGAAUCAUCUCCAAUGUUAAAAGCAACCACUCUAUAACAUUCAUUUAGAAACUAUAUUCAGAAUAGUUUUAUAAUCAUACACAAGAAAUGAAACACCUAGAUACACUUGAUCGCCUAUUUUACUCUAAAAAAGAACGAUUAUAGUGUUAUCAUCAUCUUCUUCACUAGCAACAUUAACACCAAAUCCAGCGAUGGACGCAUACAUUUCAUCAAGAAAGGUAUAUAUCUAAUAAAGUUGAAGCCUGACAAAAAAUUCAGGAAGAUUCAUGCCUCGCCACAACAAGGGGCACAACAACAUCAAAGUAGAGAUUAAGCAGUAUUCUCAAAGCUAAAACUCUCAAAUCCACCCACCAAAUUUUCAUAUCUCCUCAACAAUUUUAAGAACUAAAGAUAAUUAGGAUUUAACAUUAGUUUUUUAUAUAGUAGUUUCAUAAUUUACAAAUCAAUGAAGAUGAAGAUUAUGCUAAUGAAUUCAAAUUAUACCAUACAUUCUCUAGAUGUUACCAAAAAUUUCUAAGUCAAUCCCACAUAUUUCAUAAUUUUAAGACUAGAAAAUUUCAAUAGUUAGAAGUUUCAUUACCUUCAAGUGGAAGAUGAAGAACAUUAUGCAAGUGAUUCAGGUUAUAUCAUACAUACUCCAAAUGCAACUAGAAAUUAACAAGUUCAUGCGCACAUAUUUCAUAACAUUAUGAUUGAAAAGUUUCACAAAGAGAAAUUCUAAAUUCAAUCCCUUGCAUCAAGGCAGUUUGAUUGAUUUGAGUUACUUUAUGAUCAAGCUACUAAUAUAACAUUCAAGUCAGGGAGAAAGUAAAUUAAAACUGGGUACAAAUAACAGUAAAAAUUUGUUGCUAAACAUGAUGUGUAUUUUUUUAAGGCAAUUUGGAAACACAUUUGUUACUAGAUAUUCUCCUCAACUUGGAGACAAAUACAAAUAUUAAAAUGCAUAUGAUCGCACAUACUACUUGGAGCUUAGUAAGAUUUCAUUAAAAGAAGCAAUCAAACCACUUAUCAAUUGUCGCAAUCGUUCUAUAAACUAAAAUAGCAAUAUAAUACAAGAAAAAGAACAUAUAGAUACUCGGCAAGAGUUCAUUAAGAAGUCGCAUCACAUUAGGGUGAGGAGUUUGCUUCUGAUAUCUUGCUAGCUGGGGCUUUUUCUUGUCUUUCUACGUAUGCCGAGGGAAACCAACCAGCUAGGCCCUUGCAUUCACCUUCCGACCAUCCAGUAGGAGCCACCUUGAGAAGUUAUAACUAAAACGGUGAAUUAAAAAAAAGUUGACAAUUCAAAGACCUAAGGGGAAAACUAAUUCUUUUACGUAGAGGAAGUGAACUAGUUGUGAUCACUGAAAUAAAAAAAUAACUAUGGAAGCAUAACAAGAUAUAAAUUCACAUGUCUAUAAGGGUAAACAGGGUGGUUUAGAACUGAGCUAGCAACCCUACUAUAUUCUGAUUUGCACUUCAAUGUAAAAGGGAAUAUAUGGUAGGAAGAAAAAAAACCAACCAUCAUUUGUUAACUUAUUGCUUUUCAAUCAAAAUUUUAAGAACAAAAUGCCAUGUGCUUUGAACAUCAAAUAAGUAUAAGCAUUAGUUCUAAAUUCCACAUAUUAUAAGUUGUUAGAAGGAUAAGUUAAUAGCAUAGUAGAAAAAUCUAUGUGUUGGUAUUUAGAGGGGAAAGUACCUGGCGAACCACAACAUAAUCAUCAAUUGAAAGACUUAGCUCUCCAUUUGCUUGAUCAUCAAAUGGAUGUAUAACCUGCAAGAUAAUGGGAUAAAUAGAACUUAAAAAAAGCAUAACAAAAGCAGCAACAGCAGCAGCAGCAUUCAUUGUAACCACUAUGAUCAUGGCCAACAAAGAUAUAUUAGAAACAAAAUUCCAUUUUUACUACGACUUUAAUAUGUACUAUACGAUAUCAUGACGAUUGGGUUAUCAAGUGCUAUCAAAGUCUAAUAAGUUCUGUAUAACUUUAUAUAGUUAUUUUAAUUAUGGAUCAAAUUUUAAAUUUGAAAUUUUGACUGCUCUCCACAAAAUAUGGCCUAUGCACAAGAAAGUCAUAGAUAAUGAGGAUUACAAGUGUCCGACAUCUUUUGAGUGAUGGAUUUAACAUGAGAGCUUAUGGUCAGUCAAUUUCCUCUGCCUAGCAAUAUAAGCUUUCUCGGCCAGAUUUAUCAUCAAAUACAUAGAUUGCCCCCAAGUCACAUCCAUAUAAACAUAGUUUUCUAGGUAAACCAAGGAGAAUCAUAAUUUAGACAUAAUCAUAAAAAGGCCCAUCUAACUUAAGAGAAAAUCUCAAAAAGAGGGAUGUUGAGCUAUCAGUCUUGUAUCUAUAAGCAAUAUCAAGACUUUACAUCACCUGCUACAUCGUGAGUGGCUACACAACUUUCAGUGGUUUGUCUUUCUUUGGCAUGCCUAACUCAGCUUUGAUGUUGCUGAGAUAUUGAUAGUAGAGACACAUGAUACUUCUAGCUCAUGCAUUUUAUCUAGCUCAUCCGACAACUAUUUCUUUUUUAAUUCAUUAGUGUUUGCUAAACCUCAUGCUCAAAAGUCCUGUUCUCCUAAACAAAGUUUCCUAAGAAUGACUUCCUCAGCACAACAUUUGGACACUUUUAGAGCAAUUUUAUUUGGAGGAAAAGAAUUUUCAAGGUGUUAACUAAUAAAUUUUAAAAUAUAAUUACAAUUUGUCCUACGAUCAUAUGACAAUUUAUUUGGGAUGAAAGGAUACAGACAGACAUCUUCCACUUUCAAGACUAAUCACUACUUCCGUAGAUGUUGUGCAAUGAUACAAAUACUUGACCAGAUGGUAGUGAUGGUAGAAAAAAAUUUAUUGCUCCAAAAUUAAAAUAAGAAUGCAAUAUGUUAAGCAAAAGACUGUGCAACAUCAAAUUAAUUGAUGAGUUUGUAAUUCAGUAAAUUAACAACUUUCAUGGUAAAAUACAACAAGUUUCUUUUAAAAAAAAUAAAAAAAAUAAAUCUUAAAAGACAGCAUUCAUUUUUGUGCGCAUGUUAUUUCUUAAGAUUUUUCAGGAGGAGGGCAAUAGAGGGACUUUCACCUAUGCAAGAGAGCAGAAGCCUUACUUUUGCUAUAAAGUAGACGUCAUUCUGAUUAAUAUGCGUUUGAAUCAGCUCCGUUUGCUAUAAAGUAGACGUCACACAUGAGGCAUUUACAUCCAUUUCCAAAGUCACAUGUUGCGAGGAGGACUCAUUUGAUUGCUCCUCUAGGAUCAUCUAAUGCAAGUAGUAAGGGUUGGAAGAAAAUAAAAAGUCACAAUUAUUCUUUUGCGUAAGUGAGACGAAAAUGAUAAAUGCAAUAUUAUCAGCAGUAAACAAGAAGAGAACGCUCCAAGGAAUAGAUAGAUGCAGACAAGCAAGUUAAAAUGCAUAGUCCCAAACCUCCGCAUACAACUUCUCUAAAAUAGCAAUAACGUGUUGAUGAUAUGUUUUCUCAGCAUCUACCUGCAAAGGCCCGAGACCAGGAAAACGGCAAUAAAACCACUAGCUAAAGGAGAAAGUAAAGAAAGAAAUACACUUGACAUAAAUCUUGACAAGAAGCACAGUUUAAACCCCAAUCAUAUUGUUUAGAACUACCAUUCGUUAUUGUAACAUUUCGAACAAGUGUUGACUUAAUUCAACAUUGUUGGAAAGAUAGGCUUUUAAAAGCGGAAGAAAGCCACUCAAACCAAAGUGAUUGUCCUUGUAUUGAUCAAGGGAUGUAAACAUAUUACAUUUGCAGGAUAAGUUUUAAUUAAUCACUCCCCUGAUUUAUUUGGGUUGCAGUUUAAUUUGUGAAUUUUUUUCUAUAGACAUGUUAGUUCUUGCUAUUGAAAUGUUAAAAGCAUUGAAAAAUUAUUCAAUAAAUUAUGCAUAACAUUAAAAUAGAGGACAUAUUAAAAAGUUUCUAAUUACAAUGUUAAUAUUUCCUAUAUUUUAGCAUUUGCAUAUUUUAAUUUAUUUAAAAGCUACGUCGAUCAACUGUGGGCAUGAAGAUUUUAGCUUCUACGAGACUUGAUUGGAAUAUGCAUAAGGAAGAGUGUUAAAAUAUGAUGCAUCCAACGAAAGACAAACCACGUGUAGUCUUUUAAUUAAGCCAAAGUAGCAGCUCAAACAAAUGACACUUGGACCAACAUGCAAUCAUGAAGUGGCCGGAAAAAGGACAAAUGCAACUUUGGCUUAAAUAAAAAAUAACAUGUGACUUGACUUUUGCUGGACAUGCAUCAUGUUAUUACAAGACAACAGAAAUCAGUAUGAUAGUACUAAAAGUUGACAAUAACAUGAAGAUAAGAGGCAGAAUGUCAACACAUGCAUAGGCACACACAAGAAAGUAUUAACUUAUAUACCAUAGCAAAAAGUCUUUGAUAUGUCAUCUGUUGCUGCUGUGAUUCAACUGACAGCAUGGCAGCUGUUGCUUCUCUACCAAGAGCCAUUAUUGUAGAUUUAAGCUCGGUCAAUCUUGCUUCUGCAUUUCGAAGCUUCACAGCACUCUCUGCUGAUAUAUCAGAUUCCCUAAUCUUUGAUCGGCGCCUAAAUACUUCAGCUGCCUGGUGAAAAUAUUCAAUAUAAAUCUAACAUAAUUCUAAUCUUACCUGGGCUUCAACUUCAUGUCGAAGUUUGUCAUAACGAUGAGUCAGGUGUCGAGCAUCUUCCAAAGGUGCUCCGUUGAUUAACGCCCGUAGUGGCUCAGAUACCUACAUGUCCAAAAACCUGUAACAUAGUUAGAAAAAUGAAAAGAAAGAGCGAAACCUCAAUUAAAAAGUUCCUCCAACAUAAUCAUGGAAUUUGGGCCUACUUCAAGGAUAUAUAUAUAUAAGGAUAAUUUAUGCAAUUUUGGGUCUUAGGAUGAUUCAUAUUAGGUUAGUGUUCUUCUCUUCUGUAUUUAAGGUUAAAAUAGAAAUAAACCUAUGCAAAUAUAUAAAUUAGGGCUGUAAGACUUCCACAUGCAUCCUUCAGUCUCAUGGAUUUGAUUUUACUAUAGAUGCAAGUGUCUUUAUCGAAAAUGCUUGGAGUCAAUUGAGAGAACUCACGGCCAAUAACUUGUCAGACGCUAGUCUUUGCUAGUGAUGUAAGAAGUCACAAGGUCUCUUCAGCAUUUGAACCAAUAAAAUUAUUAAGUCAUGGAUGUCACUAGCAAUGAUUUUAAUAUAAAACAUUAAAUAUUUCAGAGUUGUAACUUUAAAAUGGAUUCUUUUAUUCAAUAUCUUAGAACUAAGUUUCCUUAUGAGAAGAUAAUAGUUUCAGUAGUAAUUUACAUAUAAUUUUCUAUAUUUGAAUUAUUUUCUAGUUAGGGAUGAACUAACCUGAUCACCAAGAAUCCCAAGCAAAGUUUCCCUCUCAUUUUCCAUCAAAUCAUGUGAAGUGCCAAAUUGAAGAGCAGCUCUUGCAACGCAAGAAUUGUCACUUUGAUUCUCCGCUCCAUACUUGCAACAAUCUUCAGCCAACUUUCUCGCUACAAUAUUUGAAUACAAAAAUAUUGUGCACAAGAACUAGUCAAGAAAAAAAAAAUCAAAUAUUAUAACGAAUGCAAGAGCAAACAAACAACCUAUUUCCAUUUGUUUCAAGCUUACUGCAACAAGCCCUUCAAUGCCACGAACAAUAUUCCUCUGAAAAUGCUGCGCUACAGAGCAUAUAUUCCAAAUUAUUGUUCAGAUAAAACCAUAGAAACCAUCAUAAUUAUUCAACAUACAUUAAGCUCCGUUUGGUAAAUACUUGCAACUUCAGUCUAGAGAAUACAGUUCUAUAUAUGUAGCAGUCUAAAGGAGGAUGGUGCCUUAGCUGCCCUGGUGGAAUUGUAUAGAUUUUGAAGUUGUUGGUGACACUCAAUUUCAGCUUCAUCAACUGCCUGUACAAAUCAUAAAAAACUAAUGAAAAAAAUAAAUAAAAUCGAGAAAUUUCACUAAUUAAAAGUCUAAAUAUAAUUUUAAAAAAGAAAGAAACGCACUUGGUGCUGCUUGGCGACUUGUUCUCGGAGCUUGAUUGCCUGUUUCUUGAUAGCUUCCAUACUGUUUCUUUCAAAAAGCGGCGACGGCUCAGCUCAUGGAAGUUGGGGAAAAAAAAAAGUGUGAUCAAGAAAAUAAAAAGGCAUAUUAUUGUUGACAAAAUGUGAAAAUAAAAAAGAAAAAAGAAAAUUAUAAGUUUGAAAGGAGAAGAUGAUAGUGGAAGAGUGCGGCGUGGCUGCCAGCUACUUGGAUUGUAUUGUCGGGUAAGGUAAUUGUAGAAAAUUAUAAGUUUGAACAGAGCAUGUUAGACUUUUGUUGACCAAAUUCAAAAGGCAAAUGGCACGGCCCAGAAGCUUUGGAAUACAGUAACUUACAAGAAAGCUCCAUUUAUUCUUCUUAUACUUUACGCUUGCAUCAGCUUAAAUCACUUCUUAAUCGCUUGCUUUAACUGCGCCGCUUUGUACUGUUCUAUAUAUGUAGCAGUUAUGCGGAUGUAGUUCACGGCUGAGGGUACGUGUUUGUUUGACGUGGUAGUUACGUUACGACGUUACGAGAGUAUUAUUAGUUAUUUCACAGGGAUAAAUAAGAUUAGUCACAAUAAACCCACUAGUUUUAUAAAAUUCGAGUAAUAUAGAAUAAAAUAAAAAAUGAAUACAAAAUUGACUUUUAUUUUUUAUGGUUGACUAUAUUUUGUGUUCUCUUCUGGUACUACUACAAUUGUUCCCUGUAUAUCACUCAUACCCAUAUAUCAUUGACACAAGAAAUGAAAUCUAAUGUCAGAUGUUUAGUUAAAGAAUCACUUAUGAAAAAAUUUUACCAUUUUGAUUUGAGGAUCCCUAUUUUGAACUGCAAGCUAAUGUUCAUCAAGAACAGAGUAUGGCAGUUGAGUAGAAAAACUAUUUUUGGACAAAUUAUUUUUAUUGAUAGAAGAAUUUCUCAAGGGACUACUAAAAUUAUUAAAAAAAAAUGUCAAACACGCCCAUAUAUCAUCAACACAAUUGGUUUUGAGAAUCCAUACUUUAAACUGCCGCCUAAUAUUCAUCAAGAGCAGAGCAUGGCUUGUGAGUAGAAAAUUUUCUGAUUUUGGCCCCAAAUAAUCCAGCACUUUCUCAUGAAGAAAUGCAUACAAAGCAUACCAUGGUACCAUACAAUACAAGGAGUCUCCGUUCUCUAGUUUUUCAAACUCUAAAGGGGCCAAUACUCCCUAAUUCCCCCUCGAAAAUUCUGAUUAUGACAUUAUUCAUCCCUCGAUGCAAUCAAAGUAGUGACAAAGUUAGGAAAAAUAUGAGUCCUAAGUAAUUGCUAGGCAGGGCUCCUGUGAGCAAAAUUGUCCUAAGCAUUAUAUGCAUACAUGGUGUGGUACAUAAAGCACAAUGAAUUCCACACUAUAACACAAACCCAGAAAGAGAAGAAACAACUUAAUUGAUGUAAAGACAAAAAGAAGAUAAAAUGAUAUAGAAAAAAAAAUUCAAAGAGAUAGCAACAUACUAUAGACUGAAGCCACUUGAUCUGCUCAUUGAUUGCAGCCUUAAACUUGCAAAUAGUUACCGUAAGCUAGUGCUAUAAGAAGUGAAAAUGAUGCACACCCUGAUUCCCUUCGACUUCCAUUUACUGUCAAACAUUCUAUUAAUACAAAAAAAUUGUUCAAAUAUCUUGCCAUAAAUAUAGCCGUUUGACUGGCUUAAUAAAGUCACAAAUAACCAUUCAUAUUGAUCCACAGUGUCACACCGCCUGCUUUAUGCAUACAACAGCUGUAUGUAUACCAACUCCUAACCUUAUCAAUACAUUUGGCAAAAACUUAAGAAGAAAACUAUUUCUCCAUCUCUUUUUUGAAAUUUCACAAUAAACCAGCAUAUUGUAAACGUUAUGUUGUAACCUUAUGAUAAAUGCUCUAGACUCCAAAUGAAUUUUAUAUAUGAGGGUUUGUUGCAGCAGAUAUAUUGACUUAUCAAGUAUGAAUCAUUGUCUAGAAGAACUAUCUUUAGAUAAAAGAAUAUUAGAACCAUUCUAGAAUAUCUUUAGGUUGCUAGUUCUAACAGGAAUCUGCAUGUGGCAACAGUUGCCAGAUCCACAAUUCCCCAACUUGAAAUACAUAGUUGCACACCGUGAGAUAGUGCUGCAAUCUACUGAGAUCUAACUUAUAUGAUACUUUAAGCUACUAAUGUUUGCAUAUUUCUACAUGUUAAAUUGACACUACCAUCUAUAAUCACUCUAAAACGACAGAUGAUAAGCAGCUUUUGGCUACUUAUUACUAGCAUCCACAAUUAAUUUUUGUUCAGCAAUCAGCUUAUUUUAUAGAAAUUGAUUUAGUCAGCAACAAACACUAUAAUCCUUGAAAUUAGUUCUUGUUCUUUGUAAUUUUCUAUGAUUUUUCAUACAUCAAUUAAUCUGCAGUGCCAAGAUGAGGUUUGGUUUUUCAAACUAAAUAAUCAAGUAGCAAAAAUACAAAUUUAGAGAUUAGGGGGUGAACUAGCUAGGUGGUUUACAAAUAUUCCUAUUUGUAAGGUGAAUUAAUUGAAUCAUGAGAAAACAAUGUGACCAUAGCUCAAUAUGAGAUGAUUUCGGAGAGGCAUAUUGUUUUCAAGUGAAUUUGAUCCAUUAAGAGAUGAAGUGGAUUGAAGUGGAAAGUUUAAAUAACAAAUCCUUGUUCUUGAGUUUUACGACGUUGUUACUCCUUCAGGUGGCAGAUUAUGCAAGUGAAUUCAAAAACACAAUGCAUCAAUCACGGGGAUGCUACACCAAAAGACGGGAUCAUAGUCUAUGCAUUGAACAGUUACAGUUGCUGCUACCAAUUGACUCGGCAAAGAUCAAGAAGACUGAACGGGAAGUUAAUGCCAUCAAUGUCGUCUUCACUAUAGCUGCUGGGAAUGUAGGUGAACUUUCCUCAUUUGCGGCUGUCUAUACAUAGGCUUUUCCCCAGCUUAAGUACAAAUAAAUGAACCUGCUUUGAAGGCUUUAUUAUUGACCACAAUAAGGAUUACUAAUUGAAGAAGACUAUACGGAGUUAAUCCCACACUUUCGUUCUCUCAAUUUCUUUCAGAAGUGCCUCUGAAAAUAGCUGCCAAACCGUUAGUCAGCUUGUUAGACUCUGUUUUCUGGAAACAGAGCCCUAACUAACUGACUGUACAGAGUAAGUCAACAUAGCAUAUUUAAUCGUUUUAAUUGAAUUGUCUUCGUAGCGAUCAUCAACAAACUCAUCAUGAGAUUUUUGAAGCACCCAAGGACUAUCACUGGGUUUCUCUUCUGGUUGAUUAAUUAAUUAAUCAAAGAACGGUUGGAUACCCAAGGACAAUUAAAAUUAUUCGACUUCUGGAACUGGGAAUGAAGUGCAAUGAUGGAGCAAAAUUUACAAUGUCUCCGGUUUCUCCUACCAUCGGACUUUUGCAGUGAGAACAUAUAACAAAAAGGCCUUCAUCAAAAUUUGUAGACUCCGGGUAUGGAUUGGAUCGAUUUUUUUGUUUGAUAUUGAAGAACCUCUUUACUAUCGCGAUAUAGAUUAUGUGCAAGGAGUUGUCUACUGUUCUUUGCCUUGUGCUAUGAUCGGUGCUCUUGAGGCUGCCCUGAAACACAGGAAAAUACUUCGAUAUCCUCCGUUCGAUGAUGCAAAGAACCGGUUAAUGUAUGAUUACCUAAUUGACUCAGGAUCAGGUAACAACAACAACAAUUUAUUAAUAUCACAAACGAAGAAGAUCGCGGAGAGGGAGAUGUAUGCCUAUACUGUUUACAGGUUUGAUCCAUUGGGGAUGAAGUGGUCUCAAGUCGAAAGUGAUUUAUUAAACAACAAAUCAUUGUUCUUGGGUUAUACCUCAUGAUGUCAUCAAGUGGAAGAUUAAGAUUAUGCAAGACGAAGAUCGUUUGAUAUUGAAGAAUUUGAACAGAAAGCCCAUAGAAAGUACUUAAAAAAGCAUAUUCUUGUUGGGGUAGAAUAUUGAGAAAGGAGUUGUCUACUGUGUGUUGCGUGAUUAUGCUAUGAUCUGUGCUUUGAACAUUGCCCUGAAAACAGUGGAAAAUACUUCAUAUCCUCGACAUGAUGAUAAAAAAUUGGUUACCGAUUACGUAACUGACUCAGGUGACAACAAUCCAUUAAUAGCACAAUUUGAGGUGAUGCCGUUUAGGUAUAUGGUUAACAGGUUUGAUUCAUCAAUGAUGAAGUGGGCUUAAAUUAAAAGAUCAUAUAAUAAGUCGUUCUUCUUGGGCAUAUCGUCAUUACUACUUCAAGUGAUCAAAGAUGAAGAUGAAGAUGAAAAUUGUGCAAGUGAGUUCAAGAAUACCAUACAUCGUUACUUGGGAUACUUCUUCAAAUAUGGAUGGGGUCAUAAUUUACUCCCACGAAUUUCAACCCAAUUUUAUGAUUGGAGUGUCCCACCAUGACUCAGAAAAAUUUUGAUUCAACCUCCUCCACCAAUGGAUUUUGAAUAGUCACUUUGUGAUCAAGCAACUUAAUUAAACUCAGAGAGUCAGAGUUCGAUUUUGCUGGCACCGCAUUUUCUUUAAAAUGUGGCCAUGUAAGGAGAGCGGCACAUAAUGUCACUUCCUUAUCAAGCACUUUAAAGAGGGAUUUUAGAAGAAGAUACAACUGCAAUUGUUUUCGUAUGUAUAUAUAUAAACAACAGCACACAUUCAGUUCAUAAAAGAAAUUUUUGCUAACCAUGAUAUGUGGUAGUGCUUUUUAGGCAAUUUAGAAACAGAGUUGUUCAACUUACAGCAGGUAUUCUCCUCAAGUUCGACGUAAAUACAAAUAUUAAUUAGAAUCCAUAUUAUAAUGACACACAUAACUUGCUUCAAAAUUAUCAGAAAUUAAAAUUGCUGAUUCAUAAUGCAGAUAACUUGGAUGAAUUGAUGUUAAAGGAAAAAUCACACGCAUAACUUGGAGAGCAAUUGCGACAGCAGCCAAGUAUAUAUUUUUAUUUGAGAGUUGAGAAGAAUAUAUUUAAUGAAGCUUGAUAACAUUUGAUGGGAUAGCAAGUAAGGGUAAAUAAGAUAUUUUUAUUUGUUAUUUAUUUGAAUUAUAUCUAUUUUGUUCAAGUUAAAAUACUAAAUAUAAAUUGGAGGUAGACAUUUUAACAGAUCAUCUAAGCUCUCAAAUCUGAAAUUUUGUGUAGAUUUAAAUUCAUAAUUUUAGUUAAUUUUCAUUCAUUCAUAUAAACAAAUUUAUGAGAUUUUUCUUUUCAGCAUGUUAUAUUUUGAAACUUUCAAUGUAUUAUUCUAGCUUUAUUUAAACAAUUAAUUUAUUUAAUUUUGAAUUUGAUCAGUAGUAAAAUUAUUUUUAUAUCAAAUUUUUUUUAUUUAAAUAGUUCGUGGAUUGGACAAAAUUAAAAAAUUUUAAUCUACAAAAUGGUGGAUUAGAUAUGAAUUGGGUUAAAUCCACAUUCGAUUUGCAGUCGUAUGAAUUUGAUUUGGAUUGAAUUUCAUCAAUCCAUGGAUUAGAUUGGAUUGAAAAUUUAUUAUCCGCAAAAUCGUGGAUCGAAUAUGGACUGAUGUCCAAUCAGCAAAAUCCGAUCCCCGAACACGCCUCUAUCAAAAUUUUCAAGAAUAUGUUUUAUCUUACAAAUUUUUUUUUAAAGUCAUAAUCUAAUGGCAGCCCAAUUUUAUAAAGUCACACACAACCAUUCUUAUUAAAUUAGAAAGAUCAAACACUGCACUGGAUCUUGAACAGAUCAACACAAGUUGCACAACUUGCGAUUGAAUCCGGCCUGAAACAAUCAACUCUUUAGCAAGAACAAUUAAUCAGAGUCAAGAAACAAGUUUAAUGAAUAUAAACCUAUAAUUGAAACAAACAUAGCAAAGAAAAAAAAUACAGAUUUUACACGGUUCAGUUGUACCUAGGAUGGCACAACCUACACCACGAGAGAAGCUUUCUGGUGAGAUUUUAUUGAUGAUCAAAGAAGAAUCUUUUGACAAAGCUAAUAAUAGAGAUUUCAGAGAAUAAGCUAUAACCUCUCUCCCUCUUCAAUCUCUCUCUAUUUUGUUCCCAUUGAUGACCCCAAUCUGCUUAGUUAGCCAGCUUUAUAGCUGCAUCAGUAACAAACCAGCAAACCCAGAUUGAGCAGAUUGACGACACGUGGAUAACGGCUUUAACGAACCUGGUUAAGAACUGCUCACAUGUUCGUCACGCGUACUGCUUAAAUGAUGGCCAAAACGACUUCAAACAAAUGUCGUUUUGAGGCUUAUGAAUUACAAGUGAUAACACGAGAUUGUCUCAUGACUUUUAAAUGCAACAACGUGCCCAAAACGCUGUCGUUUUACUCUGUUGAGUUUGAUUCAUUACUAAGCUUUACGACUGGCAAUGGAGAAGAUGAUAAUUUAAUUGAUAUGGACAGUUUUUAUAUCACUUUUACAAAAUCCUAUGCAAUUGUAAUAUUGGGAAUUAUUGAUGUUUUAUAUGUGAAUCCUCAUUGGCAAAAACUAGUGGUUUUAUCUUUGUUGAAAUGUAGAUUACCUCUCGUUACUAUUUUAUUAUAAACAUAUAGUUUCGUAAGUGAAACUAUAUAUUUAUAAUAAAAUUAACAUAUAGUUUCGUUACAUUUCUGCCUCAUUAAGAUUCUCAAAUACCAGUCAGGUUUGCUUAAGAAAUAAAAUUUUUCCAUUAAAAUUGCAGUAGUAUUUCCAAGCAUAUCGCAUUUUCUAUGAUUUUUCAUAAAUUAAUUAAUCUGCGGUGCCAAUAUCAGAUUUAGUUUUUCAAACUAAAUAAUCAAGAAAGCAAACAUACAAAUAUACAGUUUAGAGGGGUAAACUAGGUAGGUGGUUUAGAUUUUAGAACUAAGCCAGCUACCUCACUAAAUUCCGAUUCGUACAGUGAACUGCAAGAAAUUGAGAAAACAAUGUAUUUAUAAUUUAAUAGAAUCAUAAGAAAACAAUGUAGUCAUUGCUCAAUAUAAGAUGAUUUCGGAGAGGCACAUUGUUUUCAAGUUAAUUUGAACCGUUUAUAAGAGAUGAAGUGGAAUGAAGUUGAAAGUUUAAAUAACAAAUCCUUGUUCUUGAGUUUUACGACGUCGUUACUCCUUCAAGUGGCAGAUUAUGCAAGUGAAUGCAGAAACACAAUGCAUCAUCCGCGGGGAUGAUACAUCAAAAGGCGGGGUUUGUUUAUGCCUGCAGAUUAGCAAUUUCACUCAUAUCGAAAAUUAAUUUUUUAUAUAUACUAAUCAACACUAAAUUGAUUAUGUGUUGUAUGUUUAUAUGCUAAUCAACACGAAAUUAUAUUGAAUUAUUAACAUUCAUAUUCCUAAUAAAAAUUAUUUUCCAUCAGUAUUCAAAAUUUUCACUUAUAGAAAAUGCGUUUUACGUGAAUACUAGUUAUUGUGUAAAUUUGAAUGAUAGCGAAAAAUAAACCUAUUUGAAAACUGUAAGGGUGUGUUGGGAUAUUUUACAACUGUCGGAAUCUGGUAGGAUAUUGCACCAUUUGCCCAAUAUUUUUAGACGUACUCCAACCGGUAUUCAAGAUAAGUAAAAUUUACAAGCGUGGCAAAAUAAAAAAAAUUAAAUUCGUAAUUUGUAAACGAAUUUUCCUGACAUGUAUAGUAGAUGAAGUUGUUGACCCUUUCUUUGGAUUAUUUCAGCUCUGGUUGUUGGUCACCGAUGAGCCGAAGUCUUAUUUUAAUUCUAUUUAAACUCAUCAUAAGAUUCGUGGAGCACCUAACUAACUUAACUGACUGUGCAGAGCAUCUCAACAUGGCAAAUUUAACCAUCAUUCAAGUGAUGGGUUUAAUAAGACUGCUUUUGUUCUACCAAGUUCCUCCGCCUCUAAGCAGAAUUACUAUUGAAGGGCCAAAUGGAAAAUGAAAACGUGUGAACAACAACAACCACCCCACAAAUUCAAUGACGAUGCUCGGAGAGGGUUAGGUUGGGCCUCUGAGAAAAAAAAAAAUUAUUUAGUUAAAAAGUUACCCUUAUUGAAACCUGUAUAAAAAUUUUAUAUUAAUUAGUUAUGUUGCCUCUUCAACUAUGAUCAAAUUUUUAUCUGAGCUCAUCAUUUAAUGAGUAAACAUGUAUUUUAAUGAUCUCAAUUAAUAUUUAGAACAAAUAUUUUAAGAAGUAAAGCUCAUUAUAUCCCCCAUUAUUAUGUAUCUCUGUAAUGUAUUGAAUUAGAAGAAAAAAAAAAUUCAACUCACUCAAAAAAAAAAAAAUGCUGGUAGCUUCGUAAUAAUUACUGUCUUGACUGCACCAGAUAAAGUUUUGUAAAAGAAUUCUGAUAUUUACCCCGGGUCAAACCCCGAAAAUAACUUAAACGGUGUCGUUUUGAUUUUUUUUUUUUUUAUACUCCAAAACGUUCUUACCAUUUCCGUUUCACUUACCAUUUAAUGCUCACAACUCAAAUAAAAAGCCCAGAAACUAGAAUCAAACUUUACAGAAACUAGAAUGCCCAGAAACGUUGUAUAGCAGGAACGUAUGUAAAGAGAGUAAACAAGAGGGAUUAAACAGAACAUACGUUUUCUUCACUUAUUAUUAGCAACAAACACCCUACACAACACACAUUUAAUGCUCACAACUCAAAUAAAAAGCCCAGAAACUAGAAUCAAACUUUACAGAAACUAGAAUCAAACAAUACACAUUUCAUUUCUUCAAGGUUAGGGAGAGACUCAGGGGAGUGAUUAAUUAACAAAAAUAAGAAUAAUAAUACCAACAUUUGUACAGGUCAAAUAAGAAUAAUAAUACUCAACCUAAUACCCAGUAUAUACAAACAAAUGCCCAGGCCAUCGUUCCUAUUUUGCCAUAACCUAAAGAGGAAAAAGCGAAGCACUACCUCAGGCUGUGAACUUUGCCGCUUCGUGAGUUUAAUUUCCCGAACAAGUUUCGGCUACCAGCGUUACCAGUGUUGACGGUGACCGUGGCUGUCAGCGUUGACGGUGACCGUUGGUGGAUCCCGAAUGCCUGGACCUUGGUCGAGGAAGGAAAGUAACGAAUUUUUUGAACAAACGAAGAAACGAAGCACCGAAGAGAUUUACGGUCAAACGGAACAAGACCAACUUGCUCUUCUAUCUAUGGCUUUCCCAGUUGAAACGAAGAAACGAAGAGGAAGAGGUUUAAUUCUUCUCAAAAUCGUCCAUCAGAAACGGCAACGUUUUGGAGUAUAAAAAAAGAAAAAAAAAUCAAAACGACGCCGUUUAAGUUAUUUUUCGAGUUUGACCCAGGACAAACAUCAUUUUCCUUUGUAAAAUAAUAAGUUCUCAUUAGUGGUUUUUAAUUUUUAAUUUUUUUUUCGGCACACCUGAUCAAGAAUUCUAUUUUGUUAACUAAUAAAUUGCAAAGCAUAAGUGUUGAACGGUACAAAAAAAUUUGAAAAAAAAACACUUAAAACGUAGGGAAAUGAGAAAUAUAGAAAGAAAGGAAGAAAGUUAAGACAUGAAACUGAUCUGCCGUGAAAUUGAUAAUCAUGUUUCUAUUUCGUUAACUAAUCAAACGGAAAACUGGAACUGUAAACAAACAUUAACACGUGUGGACUCUGCUAGCUGCCCUACAAGUCUACAAUAAUAAUUGAGUACCUUUGAUUCAUCCUUCUAUGAAUUUCUAGCUGUAUUGACCCCAACUGCUAAAGUUUUGUAAAAUUAAAAAAAAAAAAAAAAAAAAAAACUGGAAUUUCAACAAAAUUCAAAACGUGAGAAAUUUAAUUUUUGGCCAUGUGGAACAAAAUGUAAAUUACGGAAAAAGUAUAAAUCUCAAUUGCUUAGUAUGGUUAGGUUUUGUGAGCAUCACUAGAAAGUGAAAACUAUGAAUGAUAGGGGUGAUGUUUGCAACAUGAAUAAACGAUGAACUGAUUCAAUUGAUGAUCGUAAUUAUAUAAUGAGCAAAAUUUACAAAAUCAACAAAAGUUAAUAAAAAUUUAUUUUAAUAAUAAAACUUAUUAUUUAACGGCGCUCUAACCAUGGAGUACCAUAAUCAUAUUCUUCUUUUAAGAAAAUUAUAACUUAUUUCAAAUAGCACCAUAACAUAAUUCUAGAUAUUUAAAAGAAAAGCAUUAUUCACCUGAAAUGACUUGGAAGUCUAAAGAAAAAGAGGGAGUGGCUCCCCACAAUUUUCUUGUUUUCAGUAUAUUUUCUUUUUAAAAUCUUUUGACUCAUACAUAAUCUACCCUCGUUCAUUAUCUCUAUUUUGCUCUGUUCAAGUCCCUUUUUUUUCAAAUCUUAGUUUAAAUAAGAAAAUUGAAUAAAAGUACAUUUGUGUAAUUAAUUAGUAUCUGCGGGGGAUAUUUGGUGUAAUGUUUUGCUAUGUAAGACUCAGCUAUUAUUAAAUAGUUCCUUAACCUGUUUCGCAGUUUAUUUGCUAUCUUUGUGGAUCUCAUAGGCGUUGCAGAAUUUAAUAAUUUUAUUCGUCAGAAGAAUAGGAUAUUGGCUUCAAUAAAUUUAAUUUAAACCAACUUUUAUUUACUCCAUCAAUUAAUUAAUGCCAUUUGGUUUUGAAAAAUUCAAUAAUUAAAUUCUCACGUUUCAUGUGUUUGAAGUUAAAUUAUUCAUGGGUAAUUAUCACAAACCUCCCCUGAAGUUUGAUGUAUUAUCAAUUUGAUAGAUUGUAUUCGCGUAUUCUCAGCCACCUCCCCUUAAGUUAGUACACCGUUUAGUAUAAGUUUAGUGAGUGAGGGCAAGAUAGUAAUAGAACUCGUUAAUAAUAAAAAAUUCAAACAAACUUAAAAAUAUCAAAUUGGAUUCUGAAAUUGAUUUGAAUUUUGUUAAUAUUCCAAUGGGUAAAAACAAAAACAUGAUUUUAACCAACAGACAAUAUUAUAACAAAAAAAUGAGAAAGGAAAAUGGCAUCUUCUUGCUCCAUUCAGACAAGAGCUAACAAGAACAACGCCCCUUUCAUCUCUACUAUACUUUAAUAGAAAAAGGGUGCCACGAUCGGGAGACCAUGACGAUGAACUCGAAGACGCCGAUAGCAGGGACGACCGAAUCACGAACGCCAGGUGGAAGAAUGUUGACCAGUGAGUUUCCAUGUUGACCCACAGACAACCUCAGUUUGUUCGAGCCGCGAAUGAGGUAUGAAAAUGCUUAUUACUGUGCAUGUCAGUUUUAUUAGAUGGAAUUAAUCAAUUUGGUAAAAAUGAGUAAUGGGUCUCGACAAUUUUUUGAGAGUAUCUAUGUUGCUUCCAUUGUUUUCCAUCGAUUGGGUUAGUUGUAGGUUAAUGAUUGUUGUAAAUGCAUGUUCACCUGAUUUUGAUUGAAGAUGGCUUCAGCUACAUUAUGCUGCCUUGUGAAUGAUUGAAGAUGGGUAUGAAAAUUUUUUAAUUGUUUAAGCUAUUGCCACUGAUUGUUUGGAUUCAUGCUAGUUUUUAUUAAAUUACAGAUGUAAUUAAGUGUUGGAGAUUCCUUGUGCCGCAAUAUUAAUAUUUUGAGGAUACUUGAUUUUGUUUUUUUUUCUUUUUAUCACGAUAUGUACAUGUCUUGGUUGAAAAAAUGUCAUGAUUUGCUGCAUUCUCUCACACUGGAGCAGUGAGUUUAGUGGUUUUAAUUCUUUUCUUCUCUUUGACUAUGGCUCUACUUCACUGCAUUCAGAUGUCUUUAUUUGUCCAGCGUCAAAUGAUAAAGGAACAUAGUCUCCUUUUGAUUUCAGUUUGUCUUUCUGUUUUGCAGCCAAGAGGUUCUAACUACCAUCGAGAGUGAAAGGCUCUCCAAGUCAAGGCACAUAGCUCCUGCUGCUCUUGUUACUUUCCCUGAAGAUUUUGAUAAUGGGCUGGUGAUUAUUUAGUUUGGUUUCAAAUUAUGUUCUCGACAUUGUAUUUUGAAAUAUUUGGUUGGUGAGAUAAAGUUUAUUAUUAUAUCUCUAAUAUGUGAGAUGGGAUAUUUCAAGAUGGUAUUUUGGUUACAAUGUUUUAUUUGGUAUUUACAAUGUAAUCACAGCUCUUGGCGCUAAAACGGAUAUGACUAGCCAACAAUUCUUUGAUUUGUGUGAACGAAGUAUUUUUUUUCAACACAAGGGUAUUUUGGUCAUUUUGUCAAGUAACAAACAGUCAACUAAAUGGUAUACUAACGUUAGGGGAGGUGGCUGAGAAUACACAAAUACAAUCUAUCAAACUGAGAAUACGCUAAACCUCAAGGGAGGUUUCUGAUAAUUACCCAAUUAUUCAUUAACUAGAACUCUGUUCAAAAUUGACUGUCUUGUGGUUCCCAAAUGUAGUUGUAAUAUUGAAUGAAGGUAAAAACUUUCUAUGCGAGUUUAAAUCUAAAUCUGGACAAUGAAUUUUGACUUUCUCAAUGCUAUCCUAAUUACAAAAAUUAUAUUAAUUGAUUUAUUGUUACAGUUACUAGCCUUUUAAAAUGGAUGAAUUUAUUGUUUCCGUGACCAAAUUAUGCCUGCCUAACGGUGCAACUAUUAAAAAAACUAAUAUUUAAUGCAUAUGUUAAAAGAUUUAAAAUUUUAUGCAUUUAUUAAUUGUUAUAAUCUAAAAAAAAAUAAUUAAUUCAGGUCAAUCUGAGUUGGUGCAUCUGCAGGAGCCUUUUUUUUAAAUUUUUUUCCCCUUAUUGACCAUAAUGACAUCUCCUUCAACAUGACUAUUGACUAGGAGCAUGUAAAAACAUGGAAACAGAAUUUCCACAAAAAUGUCAAACGUGUGGAACUUAAUUUUUGGCCAUGGGGAACAAAUGCAAAUGAAAGAAAAAGGAAAAGACGCCUCUAAGAUUUGUUUCAAUGGUUUACAUUGACUCUUUAAUUUAAUUUAUAGUAACACAAUUUUUUUUUGUACAAAUAUAUAUUAUUCAUGUUUUGUAUUAUUUUUUAACAUCAUAUUUUUAUUUAUUAUAAAUAUUUAAAAUUAAUUUUUAGGUUGAUAUUUAAUAAAAGGGUAUAAUCGUUCUAUCCAUUUCUCAUCUCGCGAUCUCUCUCAAUUAUCCUUUAUUGAUAUCUCAAAGCGCGUUGCUGUGGAAAAUUGUAGCAAAAUGAAAAAUUGGAAAGAAAGGGAAGAAAAUUAUUGCUUGGAGAAAACAACCAAAUAAGUCAACUGGUCUUUAGUGAGAACAUAUCAUUUGUUUUGAUAUUGAAGGACCUACUUCUCUGCCGCGAUGUAGAAUAUGUGAAAGGAGUUGUCUACUGCUCUUUAGGUCAUAAUAAUGUGAUUGGUGCAUUCAACGUUGCCCCGAAACACUGGAAAGUACUUCCAUAUCCUCCGAAUGAGAACUGAUUUAUAUAUGAUUUCCUAAUUGACUCAGGAUCAGAUGACAACAACAACUUAUUAAUAGUUAUAUCAAAACGGCAGAAGACGUGUUUUGUUUACAGGUUGAUCCAUUUGGAAUGACGUGGUCUCAAGUCGAAAGUAAUUUAUUGCAUGCCUGUCGUCUAAAGCAUUACCUCACAAGGUUAUAUCAAAGGGUGUUUUACCUCAUCACGUCUUCAAGUAGAGGAUGAAGUCAGCCACUCGGCCUUUGGCCGAGUGGUGAGAGCUGCUCUCCAAUUUGGAGAGCAGCAGUUCGAACCCCCACAAUGUAUUGUGGGGGUCUUCCUUUCUUCAAUUAAAUUUGAGUGAAGGCAGUCUGUUUUUUUACCCAAGUGUGAGUAGCAGACAUCCCUUGAAAGUGUGAGUAGCAGACAUCCCUUGAAAGGAAUGAAGUUAUAGUCUGAUUUGUAAAUAUCAGUUAUAUUCUCAUGUAAUAUGAGUUGUAGUUUGAGCAAUAGUCUCAUGUAAUCAAAAAAAAAAAAAAAAAAAGUAGAGGAUGAAGUCUAUGCAAGUGAAUUCAGGAAUAUUGCAUGCCUGUCGUCUAAAGCAUUACCUCACAAGGUUUUAUGAGAGACGAAAGAUGUGUUUGCUUUGAACAAUUAAAGUUACUGCUACGGACCUCCCCAAAGGUCAAGAAGACAGAACAGGAAGCUAAUGCCAUCAAUGUCUUGUUCAUUAUAGCUGCUGGGUAGUUAGGUGUAGUUUCCUCAUUUGAAGCUGUCUAUACAUAGGCAUUUCCCCUGCUUAUGUACAAAUAAAUGAACAACCUUGAAGCUUUAUUAUUCGCAACAAAAAGGGAUUACUAAUUGGAGAAGACUAUACAGAGUUUCUCUCACACUUUCUCUCUGUCAAUUUCAUCCAGAAGGUCCCUCUGAAAGCUUCUCCCAAAACAGUUAGUCAUCUUUUAUGCUCUGUUUUCUGAAAGCAGAGUCCUAACUAAAUUAAUUGACUGUACAGUGCAUUUCAACAUAGCAUAUUUAACCGUUUUAACAGUUAUUUGGACCGUCUUCAGAGCUAACAUCAACAAACUCAUUCAUAUGCUUAAUAAUGAACGAAUAGUCUUGGAUCGAUGUUUUGCAGCAAGAGCAACUCGACACAAUCUGGAUUCAACCUCCUCCUUUCUAACAGGGGAUUUCGAUUUGAGUUACUUUGUGCUCAAGCAAAUUCACAUCAUAGUUUUGAUUCUUUAGAUAUGAAUUCAUCACAUUACAUGUAUCAGAUUAAGUGUAACAAAAUUUGUAAUUUACUGCGAAAGAAUAUGCACUAAAAAAUGAUUUCAAGACUAUUUGACUAUAAAAAGCAGCUGUCAGAGUGCACUAAAAAUUUCUGUAGGAUAUUUUGUAGCUGUUUAAUAUGUUAUGAUGGGCAUAUAAUUCUCAAAUUUUGAUGCCUCUCAGUGAAAAAUAUAUCAAAGUUUAGAUUAUGUGUUCGAGCUUUAAUAAAUGGUCGGAAAAAAAGCUGCUGUCAGAGUGCACUGAGUUAAUAAUAAUAACAACAAUAAUAAUAAACUAAAAAGCAGAAUUAAUUACUAUUGAAUGGUCGGAAAAAAAAUUGAAAACGUGUGAACUCCAAUAAUCACCCCACAAAUUCAGUGGCGAAUUUUGGCGAGGGCAAGGCCGGGCUUCUCAGAAAAAAAAUUAUUUAGUUACAAAAUUAUCUUUAUUGAAACCUAUAUAAAUUUUUUUUAUAUUAAUUAGUUAUGUUAUCUCUUCAAUUUGGUGAAUAAAUGUGUGUCUAAAUAAUUUCAAAUAACAUUUAGAACAAAUGUUUUGAGAGGUAAAGCUUAUUUUGUCUCGCAUUAUUAGGUGCAUCUAUAAUUUCUUAUUUACAAAAUUAUAUUGUACGAUAAAAAUGUAUUGAAUUAGGGGGAAAAAAGGUCAGCUCACUCAAAAACAACAAAUGGUAUUAGCUUCGCCACUGCACAAAUCUAGAAUAAUAAUGAUUCCUUAUCAUGCUGGGGGAUCCUUUACUUUCUAGCCGUAUUGACUGCACCAGGUAAAGCUUUGUAAAAUAAUAAGUUACUCAUUAGUGGUUUUUAAUCUUUUUAAUUCUUUUUACCGCACACCUGAUCGAGAAUUUUAUUUUGUUAACUAAUCAAUUGCAACGCAUAUACCGCACACAAGAUUGGAAAAAAAAAUCUUAAAAAACGUGCGGAUUCGGUAGCCACACCAGAAAUCUAUUACAAUAAUUCCUGGCCGUAUUGAAGUUUUUAAAAUAACAAGUUCCCCUUCUUGUUUUUUUUUUUUAAAUAUAUAAGCUUAUAACAAUUUUAGAAUAAUGACUCAUUUGUAGAAGAAUUUAUGAUUUCAUAUUAAUAUUAAUAUUGAAGUGGGGUGGGUCAAAUCUCAAUUGCUUGAAGAAUUUAUUUAUUAUUAUUAAUAUUAUUAAUAUUGAAGUGGGGUGGGUAACGGAUAAGCGGUUCACUCAGUUCGUGGCGAAUUAAAUAUUACCAUCCAAGGUAGAAUUGUGGAAAAUUAAAGCAAAAUGACAAGUAUGGAAAGGAAGGCUGAAAGUAAGGCAUGACGAAAGGCUUUGAGAAGGCUGAAGACUACCAAAGAAGACAACUGAAAGAGAGAAUGUGUGUUUUUUAAUAGUUAGAGAUAUAGCUAGAGUGGGUGGCUCAAAAUCCAAAAUGGUGACAAUGUUAGUUCUCGUAUUGGUAAUCUUGGGGGGGGGGGGGGGGGGGGGAACUCAGGGGAGGUCGAGUGAGGGAUGUUUGGAGCAUGAGAAAUUUGAUCUUUUGCGGCUUAAACAUUUCUUCAAUUCCCCUUAUACACUUCAAAACUGGGUAGGUGAACAAAGGGAAAGGGUUGAGUGCAGCAACUCCACAGGCCGCGUGGUACAACUACACCUUGGUCUUACUAUAUCGAUCUGGGAGAGUGGUAUCUGAAUGCUUCUAUAUUUACUUCCUUUCAACAACUUGGUAACAAAAUAGCCGGCUGCAUGCGUUGAGAAUGAAGGUCCUUCAUUUAAUUUAAUUUACUUAAUUUCUCCCUCCUAAUUAAUGUCUAUAACCAUUAGGAGGAACAAGGGAUUUUAUUAACUCAAAUAUAUCUAAUGGAGCUCAUUCUUUGGUUUUACUUGCAGGUCUAGAAGUAGGUGUCAUCUAACAGCUGCUUUAAUAAUUUCCCACCCCUUCAUCUUUGAUGGAAAGAUGAAAUAAAAACAAAAUGGUGAAAAUGGUAUUGGUACCUGAGGCUAUGUAAUCUAAUUCAAAAACUGCACCAUCAAAACGAUUACAUAAGUCUCAGAAGAAUCAAACAUCAGUUUGCAAAAUAUCAAUUGCUGGAGGUUUGAUUCUAACUUCCGCUCUUCAUUUUUAUGGGCAUGUUGUGUUGUACUUGCAUCAGAAAAUCAUAUUUUAGUUUAUUUACACUCAACGCUUGGAUUAAAGUUUUAGAGGGGGGGAUUGAAGAAGACUAGAAUGACACAAAAGAAAGAGUUGAGCGAGUGCCGCUUUUGUCGUCAUUUAAGGAGCUCUUUAUAAAUUUUAGGAUUUUUUUCCUGAGAAAAUUUAUGCCAACUCAUUCUUUGCUUCUUUUCUGAAGGGAUAGAUGCAACCGAAACUAUAUUCUUGAAUUAUCCAGGAUAAGAGACAUACGUUUAGAUUCUCGAGCCUUUAAAACAAUAUCAAAUUUUAGAUUGCCGAAAUUUUAUAUUGCCGAGUAUGAUGGUGUUCCAAUUAUAAGCUCCAGGGUGCAACUUCACUGAGGUUUAGAAUGCCUUCCUAUAGAAUUGAGAAAUCUCCAUUGGCAUAAAUAUCUUUUGAAAAUACUGCCAUCAGAUUUUGAAUUGGAGAACCUGAUUAAACUCAGCUUGCCUUCUAGUAAGGUUAAGCAAAUUUGGAAAAGAGAAAAGGUAUAAUGUAUUACUAUUACCAAAGUAUCUAUUUUUCUUUCUUUAAGUAUUUAUAAUGAAUAACUUUGAAAUUCAAUGAUGGUCAUUUAAUAUAGUUAUGUAUCUUUCAUUAUAGGAUGCUCUCAAGUUAAAAUUUAUAGACCUUCUCCCCCUGUAUCUUGAUAGGAUCCCAGAAAUCCUAAAUCUUAAGAAAAUAAAUCUUUCAAAUUGUGAAAGCAUGCUUACAUUACCCCCGUAUAUCCACAAUUUCAACCAGCUCAGUAUGUUGUGUUUCAUGGGAUGCAAAAUUCAUUUUGUUGCUCAUGAAAGAAUUGACUUGUCCGGAUGUAUUAAUUUUGCAGAUUUUCCACAGAUUAUGGGAAUAUAACAAAGCUAGACUUAAGCGAGACCCCAAUAAAAGAAGUUCCCUCAUCAAUAGAGUGCCUAGCUGAUCUGAAAACGUAGCGUUCGAGUAAGUGCACGAGGCUGAAGAGGCUUUCCAACAAGCAUUUGUAAAUUGAAAUCUCUUCUUGAGUUUUAUCUUUAUAACUACUCAAACCUUGAAUGUUUUCCAGAAAUCAUGGAGAAAAUGGAACGUUGAAAGAUAUAAAUCUAGCAAGGACGGCCAAUUACAGAGCUACAAUCGUGAUGGUCUUCUGGAUAACAUUAGCAAUUUAAAAUCUUUGAGGUACAUCUCGGCUAAUGGAUCGGCCAUUAGUCCUCUGUCGGAGAUUUGGCUGUACUUAAAUAUCUAUUGUUUUCUCGAUGCAGAGGUUUUGUAUCAUUGCCUCCAAUAUUAUUUUCAGGUUCAGGUUUAUCGAAUUUCGUACAACUAACUUUAAGAGACUCUGCUGUAGUGGAAAUUCCCCAAAACAUUGUUUGGCAAUCCUCAUUGAAAAUUUUAAAUCUAAAGGCUUGUUUGUUAACUACUUGAAGUAUGAAACUAAUGAUUUUUUUUAAUUUAUAUUUGAUUUUGAGAUAUUUGUAUCGGAAUUAAAAAAAUGAACUUUUGUGACAUUUAUCUAAAUAAAAAAAAGCUUAAUGAGAAGUAAAUAAUCCCCUUUUUCGUUUUGACUUACAAAAACAUAAUGUUAACUAACCAUGUUUAAGAUAUUUUUUAUUUAUAAAAACAAAUUAGAUGCUACUUAUAUUUAUUAUCGAAAAUUGAAAAACAAACAUGUUAUUCAUACAUUUAUAUUCAAACUUAUUCAGUCUUCAGCUAAAUACAGAUACAUUUAGAUUUCAGAGAAAAAAAUAAAUACUUCCUAAGUGGGAAUAACUUUGAGAGUUUACUUGCAAAUGUCAAGCAACUUGCAAGGCUAGAAUAUCUUGACUUGAACGGUUGCAAUAUGCUUCAGUCAUUAACAGAGCUUCCAUUGUUUCUAUAUUUUUCAGAAGUAAGGAAUUGCAAGCGCUCCAAUCUUUGCCAGAGCAUAGAUUUCAUGUUUACCAAUUGCCUGAAACUGAAUGAAAACGCAAACAACAGCAGUUUGGCAGAUUCAGAACAAAGGACUCAACAUAUGGCAAAUGCACCACUGAGACUAUUCCAUGAAAAGGUACCCCUACUCACUUUCUCUGUCCAAUCUUUGCAUCUGAUCAUCUGGGAUUCAAAUCCUCUACUCAUCUUGCUACUUGGCCUGCCAUUUUAACAUCCACUGACUGGUCGUUACCAAAAAUCAAAAACAGUAAAAUGAUACAUCUAAACCAUGCAUACAUAACCAAUAAUGUAUAUGUGUUGCAAGACUUUAGAAAGGCAAGAUGAGUAGAGUAUCGGCUUUGGUCUAAAAUUGUGGUUUUUAUAUGACAGCAGAAGCCUCAGGUACAACGUCAUGUCAGCAUUUGUUUACCUGGAAGUGAAAUUGCUGACUGGUUUAGCAAACAAGGUUUUGGAUCUUCAAGAACUAUCCAACUUCCACCACAUUGUUGGAACAGAAACUUAAUCAAAUUUGCUCUUUGUGUUGUUAUUGAACUUGAGGAAGGUUUUGAUGCUAAUGUUGAUGAAUUUUUUGUCCACUGUUUCUGCCAUUUUGAGAUAAGGGAUACUCCCUCUGAAACUAAACAUGAUCACUUUUGCGUUAUGAAAGCCGUAAACGUCCAUUGACUCGGAUCAUAUCAUAUUUGGAUUUCAUCCCUGUUGGAAUGUUGAGUGCAUUUAAGUCCAACCCUGUUACUAUAAAGUUUUUUGCCAACAGUGAAGAGGAAUGCACUCAAAGUGUUCCUCAAAUCUGAAAAAGAUGAAUUGGAACCGACUCCCAAGAGAAUUUAAAGAAAGCAAGUUGGUUUCUCAAGUUCUGAUUUCUUAUCUAAGUCCAACUCUCCAAUUACACUUUCUAUUUAUUUAUCAUUGUGCUUUAUCAUCAUCAAUAUUAAUAUUAAUAAAAUAAAAAGCAGUUGAGAGCCAAAUAAAGCCACUUGAAAAUCACUCAGUCACGCUUUUGGGACAUCAUUCUGCUCAUUACUUUUAAUCUGUAUCUCCGUUGUUUUAUUUGGUAUUUAUUACCAUUAGCAAAUAAAGGGAUUAGUUGAUUAUUGUGAGCUCACUAGAUGGAGCUCACCCUUAAAUGUCGGCUUGUACCAAGGAGGUGCCUUAGGGUUAAUAAACCAACUAAUCCCAUAAUUUAUUGAUGUAGGGUCCUAACAAAUUAUUGCAGUAGGUCAGUACACAGCUCGAAAACGUAUUUGAUCCAUACAUUGAAGAUGAUUCAAUAUUAAGCAUGUCAUAUAAUCUGGAAUAGGAUAUUGGACCAAUUUGAUGAUAAUGACUUUCUUUCAAUCUCAAUCUUUAUCUUCUUCGCAAUAUGACUAGCCAUUGCAAACUCAAACUCUGACAAUGAUUUCUCAAUCGCUUUCUAAGAUAUUGAGCAGGUAUGUAUAUGUAUGUGUGUAUGUGUGUGUGUGUGUGUGUGUGUGUGUGUGUGUGUGUUUGUGUAUAUAUAUAUAUAGAGAGAGAUCACGAGUGUGUGAUUUCCUUUUGCCAAUAAGGUAUGCAGAGACCUUGAUGUUACCCAAUAGCAAAAAAGCUUCCUAAUAAGUGAAGGUAUAGUCUAAAUACUUACACUCUCAUAUUAUUUUGUUCAUCAGCAGUUUGAUUAUUUUAUAUGCAUCUUUGAUUUUAGUUUUCUUUCCCUAUAAUUGCUAUUAUCUUUGAACUGGUCAAGAUUUGCCUAUAAGAUUUCUCAUGUUGAUUUUAGGUGCAAUGGAUUUUGAAUUUAGUGCAGGUGCAGAAGCUCGAAGGCAAAUUAUGAAAAAGGAUAAAGAUCUAUAAUUAGCGGUUAUGGGAUGUCAUAUAUCAUAUGGAUGGUAAUGGGGUCGGAUCACGAGUCCAUUAAUAAUCAUAGAUUGGCUUAUAUAUUUCAAACAAUGUACCAUGAAGUAAUUUCACAAGCACUUGUUAGUCUAUGUUGAGCUUUAUUGAAUCAGUAGUUCACAGUUCAAUACAAUGCAGGUUUACUAUUUGAAGUAAAUGCUUAUGGUGUGCAUUCUUCAUAAAACUAACUACUGAAUUUUUCGUUGAAACUUGCAGAAUGUAACAGAGAGAUGCAGAUAGCAGCCACAAAACACUAAGAUUGAAAAUCAGGACUACUAAAUUCUAUUACAAGCCCUUAGAAUAGACAACGAUCAUCCUCGAAUGUAUAUACUGAAAGUAAGAAAUAUUAAUCGUAAAGUUAUGCAUCAACAGAACUAUUAACUACUUAUCUUUAGCAGAAGAUUUAUAUUUUUAGUUGCAGCUCUCUACUUUGUUCGAAGAAUUAGGCAAAAGUGGCAUAUCUCCAAUCCAAUCAGCAUAUAUACCGCUCAUCUUCUCCAGUUCUUUCCGCUUUGAUUUGCACUCAUACCCUGCACUUGCUGCUUAGAAAUAGUCAUAGUUUGCACAUUGACAGUAGAAAAAGUACUUGAAACAGUCGUUGGCACAGCAUGAGAUUCCAUUGAGUCAUGGUCUCCAAGCUUUCGUAGUUCUGCAAAGAAAAUGACAAAACAUCAUGCUAUUGGCAUUCUACUUUUAACAAUUUUCCACAACCUGAGCUAUUUCAUAUCUCUCUAUAAAUUAUGAUCCAUGAGUGGACCACUGACGGAUGCAAGUUUAUUAUCACUUGUAACUGCUGGUUCAACCUUCAGAUAAGUUUGUGAUAAAGGCAUUUACGAGUACAAUGGCAAAAUUACAUGAACUUAUGUUAUCAAUCAUUGUUUUGCCUUCUCAUGAUAGAAUUCAAUGCAACAUAAAACAUUGAUAUAUUUGUACCUUGCCAUGCCGUGUUGUGAACCUAGAAGCAAUGCAAAGUGGAAGGAACAUAUCAAGCUAUCUACUGUAUAUAACAAAUUCUUACUAGCCCACAAUGCUGUGCCGCCACAUUGAUCAAGUAACACUACUAUUUCAUUUCCAAACUGGCAUAUAUAAUCUAAUGUUGAACAAACCAAAUUGGGAAUCAUCAUUCCUUACAUUAAGCUGACAUUCGUACCUGCUAGUCCAUGGGCAAAGUUGCAUAUAUUUUCAUACAGGCAGCUUCCCCUUAUCUCUCAGUUCCAACAGAGAUUUGGUUUCCCAUCACCAGCCUUUGAUUCAUUCGAUCAUAGAUACUCCGAGUUAGCAAGCCCCUUGUUGUGUUCCCAUUGAACAGACCCACUUCUGUUAUCCACAGAAGAUCCACCACUCAAAAUACUUAUCACUGAGCUAUUCCUAAACUGAGUAGAAACUUUCGCACAUCUCUCCGCAUUUACGUUAAGAAAUCGACACCUAUCCUCAUAUUUGCAAGUUUUCUGAUAAUAGAACGGUCUACAAAGCUGCAUUUCGUUAGGCAAUCUAGUCUCUCCAUUCCUCGCAAAGUGACAUUGAUUCCCGUAUUUGUAAUUGCCUAAUUGGGGUUUUGGCAAUAGCCUGAUCUUAAAAUUAGCACCCAUUACUUUGUUCAAAGCCACUGGCAUCCUCAGAUUAGGAACAACAUUUUCAAAUUUUUUAGCCCUGUUAGUCGAAUCACAUUCAACAGGAUAGUGAGGCAGCAUUUCACCAACAGAUUCAAUUUGACUACUCAUAUUGAUGCACAUAUAAGAAUUUGAAAUCACUUUUUCUUGGAAUAUUUAAUGACCAGACGAAAGUUCUUGAAUGGAAAUUAUUUAAUUUGAUUUGAUUUCCAACAAAUUCAAGAAACCCCAGAUAGUAACUAAACAAAAAUCAAACAAUAAUACGCAAUGGGUUUCUUUCUUUUUGCUUUUGGAGGGCCAUGGAGAUCUGGAGUGGGCUGUAAGUAAAUUAUGCCUUCAUCACUGGAAUGACAAAUUUGUAGAAGAUGAUAUAUGGGGAAGGAUUGAAGUAUUGAACAAAUUAAAUUACGUCCAUUGUGAUGAAUUAAAAAUAAAAUAACAAUUUUAACUUUAUAAUAAAAUUUGAUGUUAUCAUUACAUCUUUUAUUAAAAAAUUAAAUUAAUCAAGAAUGAUAUUAUUUUCUUUUAAUGUUAUCAAACUAAUCAACCUAUAAAAAUUAUAAAUUGUGAAGAAUAAAUACAUACACCACUUAAAAUGAUAUUUAUAUCAAAUUACUAGUUUUUAAGUUUUUCUUUUCAGAUGUUGAAAAAGAAAAAACAAACAUGUCAUUUAGAUAUUUUCAUUCAGACCUAUUCAGAUUUAAACUAAAUACAGACCUAUUCAGAUUUCAAAUAAAAAACAAACACAACCUUAGUAUAGCACAGAGCUUUUUUAGUGUAGCAUUUUAUAAGCAGAUUUUUUUUAAAAAAUUAUUAUUUAUUUGGUUGUUUUGCAUAGGAGAGCGUUUAAAGCUCCAAAAUCUUUGAUCAGUCAAUUUUUUUUUUUUUUGUUAGUAAAACUUUCAACAAAAAUUUAUUAUUCAUUUGAUCGUAUAUGAGAGUUUUUAUUAGUAAGUUAUAUAAAGUUCUUUAAUUUUUUUUUUAUUAGUGCAACUUUGUACAAGUACAAUUUUUAUUUUCUAAAAAAAAUUAAUUCAAUAAUAUUAGGAAUUUCAAUAUUUAAAUCCUAAUAUCAUCUGUCACUCAUUUAUUAAAUGACUAAUUUCAUAACUUAUAAAUUUAUUUAACUAACACCCAAUGAGUGAAUAUUACUAUGAUGAAGACUCAAAUUGAAAUUUAGAUGUUAGGUUGCGUAACGUUGCUCUUAUUUGGUUAUUUAUGAGAGCUUUCUUAUACAAACUUAUUUGUAUACAAAUUGAUAUAGUCUAAAUUCAUUAACUAGAUGAAAAUAUAAAAUAAUAAAAAUAAAUCAUAUGUACUAAGAAUUGUUUAAUUCAUCAAAUUGAAUUAUCCUACUUAUGUUUGUACCAAAUAAAUUUAUAUAAGAAUUUAUAAUUCUAUUUUUAAAUGUCCAACUAAAUUUUUAGUCCUUUAUUCUUUGUAAAAUUCAAAUUCAAAUGGCUCAUCAAAUAAAAUUAAAACUAUUGGCUAAUCAAAUAAAAUUAUUUGAAACCAUUGGGUAUGGUAGCUGGACCUCUUGGAACUAUCUAAGCCAUGAAAUUAACAGCGAAAAGAGUUUUAAAUGUCUAUUUUAUAAAUUUUUUAAUUAUUUUUUUAUUUACCAUUUUACCACCCAUAGUGAAAGUGUCUCAUCGACAGUUGAACAGUCAACAUAUCAGUCCUUAGGAAUUUACGUUUGGGGUAUUUUUGUAAUUAUAAGAAGGUAAACUAAUCGCAAAAUUCAUUUGGCUUGAACUUGCUCGCCUUCGCCCUGUGUAUGGUCGUGGCGUUAUCAAUAUCACCUUCUCCACUCGUACUGACACCAAACCUUAACCGUUCAGAUUCCCUUUCUCGAUUGUCAUACCCUAGGCCCCGUCUACGUGUCUCCGAUAAACAGUGCUCAAUUAAGGCCAUCAGAUUAUCCCGGACCCACAUUGAUCCAACGGCUCACAAUGACCGACAACCUCUAUAUCUCCAUUUCAAGCUCCCUUUUCAACUGGCUUCUGCUUCCGUCGUACUCUUUCUCGGAUUCGGAGUCCGUAUUUGCUCGGCCGGUCCCGCACAGCUCCCUCUCGCUCCAAUUGUCACCCAACAAGACCAAUUGCUUAAUCAAGGCACAGACCAAGAAGAGGAUGAGAAAUUGAAACAAGAAUUUGAGAAUUGGAAAUCGAAAACGUACCCAUUUGUGAUAAGGAAUUUAUGCGAAGUAAGGGAAAGAGAUUGAAGUUUCAGAUGAAUUUGUGUGCUAGCAUUGAUGGGAUCGUUAACAAUUUAUCUGUGCCCUUUAACAAAGUUAAGGCUAAGUCAGCUUCUUAUAUGGCUGCUGAUUUGGUUAGUGUUGGUGAUUCAUGGCUCAGCUUUGCGAUUAAAAAGAGAUUGAUUGAGCCAAUAGCUGGAGCUGAAGAUCAAGAUUGGUUCAAAUGCUUAAGUCACAAAUGGAAGGUAACAUCUUUGUCUUUGACCCGAUAAUUUUUAUUGUCUUACAUUGAAAUUUGGUAAUGUGGUUUGUAGUCAUUUUAUUUAUUUGCUUUUAUUUGCACCAACGAAGUCUCAGGUAUAUCUAUGCAGGAAUGAUACAGGAGAAAUUGAUCCUCGAGGUAAAAUAUGGGCGGCACCAUACAGGUGGGGCACAAUGGUGAUAGCCUACAAGAAAAGUAAAUUUCGAAAGCAUAAUUUGGCUCCAAUUGAGGUAAUAAUUGUCUUUAAAUUUUAUAUGAAACAAAAUCAAGACUGCCUUUCUGUUCAAUAUUUUUGAUGAUAAUAUCUUUAGAAGCAUCGCAUUGACGGGUAAUAAUGGUAUCCCUGAAAGAGUCUAUAAACUCAAUGAUAUUAUCUUCUACACAUGGUUUAUUAAACUUCUUCGUUGUAGUCAAAUGUACACUAAGAACAAUGAGAAGCUAUGCUACUGUAGCAUGUAGUGAUGGCGCUUAAUAAGUGAGUUGCUAGGAUGUGAACUAGAAAAAUUAAAUAUUGUCUCCUUGGGUAUGCUAGCUUGUAAGUCAGGGUUAAUAUUAGAAUUUAAGAUACUAUAACCAUGAGAAGCUAUUGACUGCCAAUUAAAAUAUCCAUUAAAAUGUCUAGGGAGUUAAGAAGGUGGAGGUAUCUUCCGAUUUCUAAGGCCACAUAGUAGACAUCAUCCAGGAUCCAAGGAAGGUGCGGUUAAGCUCCUGCUCGGUGCAAUUAAUAAAUUUGGUCAAUGCCACUGAAACCUGCUAACUGAUGUCACAAUGCACCAUGAGCACUUCAAAAUGGGAUAGACGGUCAGUAGCACUAAAUUUUUCUUGCCUAAGAUUGGGCAAUUGGUCUAACUGCUAACCCCUAUUGUAGGUUGAUCAUUAUUUUUUCAAUUAUGUUCAGUUUGACCCAAAAAGUUACAGAAUCUUGAUCUGAAUAUUGUCACCGAACACCGUCAAUGUUGUUUAGCAUAGCCAACUAACUAAAGUUUGGUAAAACAAACACACAUUGUGUCUCAUGUCUCACAAUUCAAAUUAUCAUCUGUAAUGAUGGAGGAUUUUUCUAAUGUAUGAAGUAUGCUUUGAUACGUGGGUUAGCUUGGAGAAGAUAUCUCAAAAUAAAGAACAUGGGGAGCGAAUGGGAAGAAAACAGUUCAGUAGUUUAUUAUUCUGUAGUCAAGUUUUGUCUCAAAAAUGGUCAAAAUUUAAAUGAAUAAGGACAGCGGAUCUUCAUUCUUUUUCCCUUUUUUAUGCCAAGAUAUCUCUCAACCUUUAUAUAAUCCCCACUGGAUAUCUACUUCUAACAAUUAAAAUAAAAAUUUCACCCACACAAAUAAAUACUGACCAAGCUCUAACAAUAAAAAGUAACAUCUUUAGUCAGGUAACCUCUUUACAGUUCCUCAUCAUCUUAGUGUGAGACUAUCAGUACGUUCCAAAAACAUAAUAAAACUGGUUUGAUCCUGUUUAUUGAUGUUUAAAUGUUGUUCAUUGUGACAUGUAGAAAUGAUGAGGCGAAGUUUCUUUGGUCAUCAAUUGGUAAGAUCUUGUUUGAAGUUGUUUUCUGAAAUGAACUGCCAAAUGGUAAUUUUUUUGGGCAUAUGAUGGCUCCUUUUUCCUCAUUUUAAACAUGUGCCUGCAUGGAACGGGAAGGAUUAGGCUGCAGAGUUGUUAUAUAUUUUGACAUGCAAUGGUUAUUACACAAUUUGUUCACACUGGAAAUUAGAAUGAGAAAUUUGUUGAUGCUGUUUUGAGAGAUCCGCAUUCUAUGCGCAUUAACAUGAUUAAUGAAAACAGAUUAUAGGACUGGAAAGAUCUGUGGCGGCCUGAGCUCGCAGGAAGAAUUUCAAUGGUUAAUUCUCCCCGAGAGGUUAUUGGUUCCGUUUUGAAGUAUAUGGGAGCAUCGUACAAUUCAAACAAUAUUGAUUUGCAAGUUGCUGGUGGGAAGAUUUCUGUUCAGCAGAAUCUGGCAUUAUUGGCAAACCAGGUACUCUUAAAGAAAUGAUAUCUGGUCAUUGCAUGUUAUUGCCUGACAACUGAUUUUGUUUGUAAAGUCUGCUUCUUCAUACAUAUGAACGCAUAUGUUAGUGUUUUCCUCUCCUUUUCAUACAUAUGAAUGCAUUUGUUAGUGUUGUCUUUUCCUUUUCAUACAUAUUAAUACAUAUGUUGGCGUUCUCUCCUGAAGAAAUGGCAAGGGAUGUGAGAUUCUGUCUCAUUAAAUUAACAAAAACCCAAAACAAUGAAAACCCAUAAUAAUGUGGUGUGGGUAAAUUGGCGCCAUUUGGUUCGUUUCCUUAAUGUGAAUACGCGAGCAAUAGAGACUAACAAAAUGAAGUGACAACAAGAAGUCAGUGUCGUCUGAUGGAUGCAUUUUUAGGCAGAAAUAGGUUUGUAAUUGACCAAAUUUGUCUGGCAUGCCAAUUUCAAAAAAAUUAAAUCAUGUGAUUAUUAGCUGUAAUGAAGGGAGACAGUAGGUGCAAUCAGGUGGAUCCAGGAAAGUUCAACAAAGUUCUGGUAUGGCGUAGUGAAAUUGGUUGUCCAACUCAAGAGUCUUUCAGGUGAACGAUGAUGGGUUUUGAUUUAUAAAUGUUAUAAAUCUACUAUGAAUAGUAUUCUAGCAGAAUCAUCUGUAAGUUCUAGUUAUUGAAAUUGUCUACUUUGUCCAGUUUGAAUUAAGGGCAAAUGUAAUAUGAAAAAUAGUUGCCGCAUCUUUUAGGUUACCUAACAUUUGAUCAAUCCUAUUAUGUGGGCUUCAAGAUGUCUAACAAUAUGUAGAAUGCACAUGCUCCUACCCAUUGUUUAUCUUAUACAAUAAUUUGUUUUAGAUGCUAAUAUCUUUGUCGAUCCCGGUAUCAAUAUUACAAUAUCUGCGUUUAUUGGGUUUUACAUAGGUUCGACUGUUUGACAGUACACACUAUCUGAAGGCAUUUGGAAUUGGAGAUGUAUGGGUUGCUGUUGGGUGGAGUAGUGAUGUUCUUCCUGCUGUCAAACGUAUGUCUAAUGUUGCAGUUGUUGUUCCCAAGUCUGGCGCUAGCUUAUGGGCCGAUCUUUGGGUAUACCCAUGCCUGCCUUUCUACUUCGAUAUUCACAUUGUUAUCUCCUUCAUAUUAGUGAUCAGUAAACACGAUAAUGUGACUAAUAAGUUCGUAUCCUCUUUAUAGGCAGGCCCUGCUGCCUCAAGACUUGAAACAAAACAAAUUGGAGGGCGAGUCAGAGGUCCAUCUCCAUUAAUCCAUCAAUGGAUAGAAUUCUGCUUGCAAACAGCGAGAGCAUUGCCUUUCAAGCAAGAGGUUAUCCCGGGCGCAUCUCCCUCUGCCCUUGAGAGUACUCUGGUUAAGUUGCCUGAAGAACUUCUGAAGGGUAAACCAAGUCUGGAUACUAACUUAAUUGUUGGAGUACCCCCGGCUGAAAUUCUGGCCAGAUGUGAGUUUUUGGAGCCAUUAUCUGAAGCUACUUUGUCAGAUUAUGAGUGGCUGGUUGCUAAUCAGCAAAAACCUGCUCCUGUCUUGAUGAAAAGGGUGCAACAUUACUUGUCAUCAUUGAUCCAAAGCUUUCUAGCAAAAGCUACAUUGAAAAGUUAAUGGCACUGCAUGCCAGUGAUUAUAAUGCUUCAGGGCAAUUGGGUCAGGGCAAUUAGGUCAGAGCAUAACUUCAUUAGGAAAAGAGGCUUCAGCUACAUUAAAUAUUACAGGAUGUACUGAGAUGGCUGAAGUUCUUGAGGUUUUAUGAGAAAUGAAAGAUGAGUCUUUGUUUGAACAAAGUUGUUGCCAAUUUUGCAGAGUUCGAGAAGAAAGAUCACGGAGCGAAUGCCACCGAUUUCUUCAUCAUUGUAGCCUCCAUAGUUGAAGUUUCCUCAUUUGAAGCUGUUUAUGCAUUAAGCUUAUUCCCUGCUCAAGUACAGGAAACUGAAGAAUUAACCAGACAUGAUAUGCUGAAAGAGGGAAGUUUUCUUCCUUGAAUGUGGCCUUGUGAUUUGUAGUGAAGUAAUAGGAUGAUCACUAGCAAGAACCCUAUCAAGGUAGAUUUUAUAAUGUCAACAUAUUAUUAAGCAUUUGUCAAUUUAGCACUUUCGCAAUGAUACAUUCAUAGCCUGAAAUUAAUUAUAUGAUCCUGAUUAAUCAAUUAAUCUUCAUGAGAUUUAACCUAGUUAAAACUAAGUACAAUCAUCGUUAACAAAUACUGAAAUUGGGUAAAUAUGAUCUCGACAUUGAAGAAUUUGAAAACACAACCCACGGAGGAAAUUACCUGUUGCAUGGGGAUGGAGAUGGUUACUGCAGGGAUAUAAAAUAUGUGCAAGGUGUUGUCCACUGCUCUUUGGGUUAUGGUGUGACUUGCGAUUUCAAGGUUGCCCUGAAACAAUGGAAAAGAUUAACAUAUCCUCCAAUGAAUGAAAACGGCUUGUCUAAUUCUAAUUACCGAAUUGACUCAGAAUCAGGUGGCAAUAAUAACAGGUCAUUAGCAUUACACAGUCCGAGUACUUUUCCAGGAUCAGAUACAACGUGGUCUAAUGUUGAUAAUAAUAGUUUAUUAAAUGACAAAUCAUUGGUCUUGGGUGUUGGUUAUAUACGUCAUUACUACUUCAAGUAGAAGAUGAAGGUUGUGCAGGUGAUUUCAGAAAUAAAAUACAUUCUGAGAGAUGCUGGUCUACCAUUGCAUGCCCCCAGAUAUAAGAAUUUUUUGAUUGGGGCAUUUGGCAAGAUUCGACAAAUUCUAGAUUCAACCUCCUCCACCAAGGGAUUCCAACUGAGUUAUCAAUUAUCGUAGCAGUUCUAUUAACUAAAAUUAGCAAAUAUAAUAUAAGAAAAAGAACAAUAAAUACACACUGAAGUUGAAUUGAAAAUGAAGUUGCAAGUUGCCGCCCAUAGCUGCUGACUAAUAAUAAAACGAGACAAAUUAAUUAAACUCAGACCUCUUUGUAUAUGUUAUCCUAACUUUACUUACCCUUGUUUGUAAUUUUCACUUAACACUUGAUGCCUAAACCAUUAAAACCAAAUGACCAUAGGGGUAUUUAAAGUAUGUAAAAAUAAACAAAAACACGUAAAAAAAUUCAAACAAUUAAUAAUUACACUCUAAAUGCACCACUCAACUCUUAAUAAUAGCCAUACUCUAAAACAAUCUACAACCUUUGAGGGGAGUAGCUAUGAGGAAAAUCCUUUUCUCAGUGGAUUGCCAUUGCCCAAUAGUUGCAAUGAAAAGAGACCACCUGCAACUGUGCCGGAAGAUUCAACUAGCUCUGAAAAAGAUGAUAAUUUAAUUGAUAUGGACAGUUUCCAUAUCACUUUUAAAUCAUCUUAUGUAAUUGUGAUGUUAGUAAGCAUUAGUGAUCUAUAUGUGAACUAUUAUUGGCGCCAUUGGUGGUUUUAUCUUGUUAAAAUAUGGAUGACUUCCGGUUACUAUUUUGUAGUACACAAUUUUAUUCAAUUAACAUAUACCUUAAAACCAUUAUGUAUGUGCUUUAUUAAGAUUCUCAAGUACCAAUCACGUUUGCUUAAGAAAUAAAAUUUUACCAUUAAAAGCGUAGUAAUAUUUCCAAGCGCUUCGCAUUUAUCUCAACAUUUUGAAGGAAUUUCGAGAAAUACACGGGUCCAAAAGUCUAGUCAUCAUCCUUAUUCUUGGUAUGAGUUGAUUUUUAGUGAUUAUCUAAUUGACUGGGGUGACAACAAUAGCACAACGUAGAAUUCAAUAAUAGAAUUCUCCUGUUUAAUUUGUUUUAAGUUAAAUUAUUAAUUACUUAAAACUCUGUUUUAAGUCUUUAAUUUUAUGUCUUGGCGUAUAUGCAGAGUUGGAAUCUUGAGUGAGUUGGACAUGACCUACAAUGAGAGUGGCAGUAAACAAACAUUAGAACGUGUGGACUCCGGUGGCUGCCCUGCAAGUCUACAACUCUACAAGAAUAAUUUCUAGCCCCGUUGACUCCACUAACUAAAGUUUUUUAAAAUUUAAAAAGGUACAUAGAAUUCAACAACAAGCAAAACGUGUGGAAUUUAGUUUUUUGCCGUGUGGAACAAAAUACAAUUUAGCAAAAAAGGACAAGAAAAAUGGUAAGAUUUCUAAAAUGAGUGGAAGUUGAUCCAUAUUUUACUGAAACGACUUGCCCCGAACAUCACGACGAUUGAUUUUUUUUAUUUAUUUUUUGAAUAACAUCAACUUUCAUAUCUUUCUAACCCCCAGAAUAUGCUCACGUUCUAGUCUAUCUUGCUAAUUUAAAAAAAUAAAAUCAAAUCAACACCAAAACAAUGAAAAGUAAAGCUUUUGAAUUUCAACUCCAGCUAGCAAACGUAUUCAGCGUUUUCAAAUUCUUCCCAUUGCAUAUCUUCUUCCUCCAUCAAUGCAAUAUUUGAACGAUUAUGAAAGAAUUUAAGAACAUAAAAAAUCUCCUAGGUUUAUACGGUGUAACAAAUUUAAAUUCUCAAUUACAAUAGAUAAUAAUUAAACUAAUAAUUUUUUAUGUACUUAUUUUAGUAAUUUCACCUAAGAAUAAUAUUGUAAUUAGAAAAAAAAAAUCUAAUGAGUAGGGUGGUCUUAUACAAAAUCAACUGCAUACAUAUAUGCAGAUGCAGAUAAUAAUUUUUAAUUCCUUUUUUUAAUAAGAAAAUUGUGUAUUGAGAUGAAUAAGAUGUUUAAUUUAAUUAAUUUCCUUACUUUCGUAUACAUUGUCUUUCUAUCUAGAGAAAGCUUGGUGUUCAGAACGACAUGAAGUUGCGAGUUGUCGCCCAUGGCUGCUGAUUAAUAAUAAAACGAGACAAAUUAAUUGAACUCAGGCCCAUAUGUAUAUGUUAUCCUAACUUUACUUGCUCUUGUUUGUUAAUAUUCAUUCUUAGAGAGGUGAAAAAAAUUACAAGUCUUGAAUAACGAGGAGUUUAAUUGCCUCUAACUUUACUUGGCCAGGCCUUCUAUAAUCUCAUUAAUAAUACAGAGAAUUAAUUAUCUUUUUAUUAUUAAACCAUCUUCAGGAAGAUUUUCCUUAAUUUGCUCCAGAAGAGUUGGAGCUGUGGUUCUGAUAAACCAAAGAAUUAGUAGCAAUUAAUAUUAAUAUUUCGCCCAUGGCUGCUGAUUAAUAAUAAAACGAGACAAAUUAAUUAAACUCAGGAGCAUUUAAACCACUUCCUUAUCAAUUGCGGCAGCCGUCUAUUAACUAAAACGCCAAUCUAAUACAAGAAGAAAGAACAUUUACAGACUUGGCAAUUGAGUUCAUUAAGAAGUAGCAUCGCAUUCGGGUGAUGAGUUUCCUUUUGUUAAUGAUUUUAGUCUAAUUUCAAUUGUACUGUGACCGCUUCUCACUCAAGGUAAGUGAAAGUUACAGAUGUGGCAAAAUAAAUAAUUAAAUUAACAAAAUGCUAACUAAUUUUCCUAAAUACCUAGGGUUGUACAAUUUCACCAACCUGGAAGAAUUGACAUUAAUGGACCGGUCUCCUCCCCAUAUAAUUAUAAUCCUUCUAGAAAGCUAGUUUUUAUUAAAUAUUUGCUUUUAAGUUAAUUUCAAUUAAAAAAUGUUUUAAGUUAUAUAUACUCUAAUGAGAUUCUGAAUUCCUUUAUUCCAAUAAUAAUGAAAACGUAUUAAAUUAGAAAUGAAAAAAUUGGUGUUGAUGAUUCAACCUAUUUGGAUAGAUUACGUGAAUAAAAUUGAAAUUUUGAUUUAAUUUUUGUUUAUUGUUAAUUCUCAUGCUAUCUUAAUUUCAAGAAUUUAGAAUGUUAAUUUGGUCAUGGAUUUCAACCCGUGAGUAUCAUAUUCUAGACUUAAUGGUACCAUUCUUUGAUUGAGGGCAAUGACUCUCACUCCUCUUGUAAAAAAAUAUUUUCAACUAUUUUGAUGACUUAAAAAUUGAUAGAUUUAUUGUUGUCAUGACCAAAUUAUUCAUUUUAAUGAAAUAUAAUUAAUGCAUCAAAGUUACCAGGUUUAUGUUCUAUCUUACCUCUGUUUCAUUUUUUUUUUUUCAGUUAUCAGCUAUGCCCCUGAGGCAUUUUGUAGAGUAUAGCUUCUGCUUACCUCUGUUUCAUUUUUUUUAAUAAAAAAACAAGGGAAGGUUUUUCCGAGUCAUCCAUUAUUUGAUUUCCGUCAAUCAAGAAAACGACCAAAUUAAUUUCUCUCCAAAAUUUCCAAAAGCUAGAAAAUUUUGUUAUUUGAAAAUAACAUCAUUAAUUAUAGAGUGGAUCAAACCGCGUUAUUGUCUUUCAUAAAAUUGAUGUCUUUUUAAGAGUCAAUACUUUUGAUGUACGCAAACCAGUCGACAUCAACUUAAACUUCCAUAUUUUUAUUAUUAUGUUAUUUAUUUUAAUCCCCGAUUAUUUGAUUAGCCACUAUAUAUAUAUCAAGAAAGCGACAAAAUUUAUUUCUCAUGACUUCCAAAAACUAGAAAACAACAUCAUUUAUUAUUUUUUUGCAACCCUAAUUGACAUAAACUUUAACUUUAUUAUGUUAUUAUUUCAAUCCCCCAUUAUGACCUUUCUAAUCCUCCAUUAUGCAUCUUUUAUAGUGCAAAUUUAAUUGCACAUCUAAAUAAAUUGAUUAUUGUUACUCCACCACCAAUAUUUCAAGGAAAAUUCUAUGAUGCCGUGAUUAAAAUUACGGUAUUAAUGCCGUAGUUAUUAUGUACCGUUAGAUUAGAUCAACGGCACAUAAUAAUUAUAAUUAUAUAAAUUUUAUUUUUUCAACAGGUUACAACCCGGUUAACAUUUUUUUAUAAGUAAAAGUUAACCGAUUAAAAUUAAAAAUAAUUAUUAUAUUUUUUUAGAAAAUUAUUAUAACUGAUUUAUUUUAAAAUCGCUCAUUCACGUUAAUUAGGGAUUAUGAUAGGACCGAAGUAAAACUUCAGCCGAUUCAUAUUGAGAGGAAAAGAGCAACUGAGUCUUUCUCCACUACCAGUCUUUCUCCACUACCAACUCCACGUCAUCGCCGUUCCGCCGUUUUGUUUCAUCAUGUGUUGGGAAAGGGCAGAGGUUGUUUCCCAGUGGCCAACUCGAAGAAGCUAAAGUUCGUUAAAUUCCAAAACACAUAAUCCUUGCAAACUAGAACGGGCAAAGGCUAUCUUUGAAUUGUGCUUUUUUUUCCUGUUUUUCGAGCCAGACUGCCCACCAAGUUAGCCAAUUCUUGGUACUAAUUUUGUCUUUUAGUAUUGAUUUUUGGGGAAUUCCUUUUUUCACCUUGAUUUUCUUUUGAAUUGUUUUAUAUCUGCUUGAUUUUCUUUCUUUCACUCUUUUGUAUUCUUUGGUUUUCUUCAUCAAAAUUUACUAUUUUCACAUGUUAUCUUGAUUAUUUCCUGCUAAUUAAUUUUGUAUUGUAAAUAAUCUAUUUGUUGGACUUCCAGAGUGAGCAAGUUAAUUUGAUUUAAUUAGGUGCCUAUUAUAAUAGCUUUUCUGGUUUGUUGUAGGCAAUUCUAACUGUAUUCUAAAUAAACUUCCAUAUGAUUAGAUCUUGAUAAAUGCAAAGGAUAACAAUGUUAUAAGCCAUUGGCCUAAGAAAAUGUGUAAAUCCUCUAUUUGAGGUACAAAUUUUCUCUCAUAUGUUUUUUUUUUUAUUUUGUAUUUUUUCACAAAGAACUGGUUGUUAAGAUCCUAUUUCAUUAGUUGAAACUGAUUAAAAGGAGAUUACCCUUCGGCAGUUGGUGGGAAAGAUUUAAGUUCAUCUUUCUGGAUCUUCUACUUUAGACUUAUCAUUCAAGAAAGUGUCAAAACUCGAAUGGCUGUAAAACUUUGAACAGAUUAUUAAUUAAUUUAGGUGCAAGAUCUUUUAUAACACUUUAAUAAGUUAUUACCAUUGCAUUCUUUUUUUCUUUUCUUUGAGAAGAAACCAUUUAACUUUAGACUAACUUCCAAAUUUACCUUUGUAAUUUAGCUAAAUAGGUAAAUUUAUUCAAAAGUUGUCCUCCUCGCAAGCUUAAGGUAUUUCAACUUUGCCUACAACUACAAGUUAAAGAGAAAUUAUCGUGAAAACCAUGCCACGGCCGCAGUAUUUAAAAUGUGCACAAGGAGCUUAGAGAACUGGGCUUUGUUUGAUUACAUGAAAGGAAAUGGACAAAAUUUAUGUUACAAAAGAAGCUUGGAGCUGAUAAAUGAUGCAGUAUGAGUGAACUUUUUGUCGCUCUUUGAGGAAUUUUUCUACAAAUUUUGAUGUAGCUAUUAUUUUGGUGAAUGAUUUAUUCUUUUCUUUUUUCUUCAAUAUUAUGAUUUUGUUUCCAUAUUUUAAUAGAAAUUAUUAAAAUUCUAAGGAAAUUGCACUAUUUAUCUCAAGAAAGUGGCUUAAUUCUACAUAUAUGAGUAAUGUUUCCAUAAUUACAAGCAUAAUAGUGGCUUAACUCCAUAAUUCUACAUAUAUGACAUCAAACCCAACUCAUGCUCACCCUUAUAUCAUUCUAUCUAAAUCAUAAAAUGACAAUAAUCCAACUCUUUAACAAUUUUCACAUUGGAUUUAAGUUGAGGCAAUUGACCUAAACUAAAUAACCUAAAUUCCAAAUAAAUGUGAAAUAACACAAAAAAUUUCUAAACCACACGUAUGACUCGUAAAUUGAAGGUAAAACAUGUAAAUUAGCGUUAGAGUGGUAAAUUGGUCUACAAAAUUAAAAAAAAUAAAAAAUAGAAAAAAACUAGUAAAUUGAUAGAAAAUGUAGUAAAUAAAUGUUGGAGUUGUAAAUUAUAAGAAGAAAUUGUAAACAAAACAAAAACUUAGAAAAGUGACAUAGAACUUGUAAAUUGACAUUAAGUGUGAAAUGAAAAACAAAACUUUGUAAACCACAUAUAAAACUAGUAACUUGAUGGGAAAAUGGGAAAAUUAAUGUUGGAGUUGUAAAUUGUAAGAAGAACUUGUAAACAAAACAAAAACUUAGAAAAAUGACGUAGAACUUGUAAAUUGACAUUAAGUGUGAAAUGAAACAAAAUAUUUGUAAACCACACAUAAAACUAGUAAAUUAAUGGAAAAAUGGGUAAAUUAAUGUUGGACUUGUAAUUGGCAAGAAUAACUUGUAAACAAAAUAAAAACUUAGAAAAAUGACAUACAACUAGUAAAUUGACAUUACGUGUAAAAUGAAAUAAAAAACUGUGUAAAUCACACAUAAAACUAGUAAAUUGAUGGAAAAAAUGGUAAAUUAAUGUUGGAGUUGUAAAUUGCAAGAAGAACUUGUAAACAAAACAAAAACUUAGAAAAAUGACGUAAAACUUGUAAAUUGACAUUAAGUGUGAAAUGAAACAAAAAAUUUGUAAACCACACAUAAAACUAGUAAAUUAAUGAAAAAAAUGGUAAAUUAAUAUUGGAGUUGUAAUUUGCACGAAGAAGUUGUAAACAAAACAAAAACUUAGAAAAAUGACAUAGAACUUAUAAAUUGACAUUAAGUGUGAAAUGAAAUAAAAAAUUUGUAAACCACACAUAAAACUAGUAAAUUAAUGGAAAAAUAGGUAAAUUAAUGUUGGAGUUGUAAUUGGCAAGAAGAACUUGUAAACAAAACAAAAACUUAGAAAAAUGACAUACAACUAGUAAAUUGACAUUACGUGUGAAAUGAAACAAAAAAAAUGUGUAAAUCACACAUAAAACUAGUAAAUUGAUGGAAAAAGGGUAAAUUAAUGUUUGAGUUGUAAAUUGCAAGAAGAACUUGUAAACAAAAUAAAAACUUAGAAAAAUGACAUACAACUAGUAAAUUGACAUUACGUGUGAAAUGAAACAAAAAAAAUGUGUAAAUCACACAUAAAACUAGUAAAUUGAUGGAAAAAGGGUAAAUUAAUGUUGGAGUUGUAAAUUGCAAGAAGAACUUGUAAACAAAAUAAAAACUUAGAAAAAUGACGUAGAACUUGUAAAUUGACAUUAAGUGUGAAAUGAAACAAUAAAGUUGUAAACCACACAUAAAACUAGUAAAUUAAUGAAAAAAAUGGUAAAUUAAUGUUGGAGUUGUAAAUUGCAAUAAGAACUUGUAAACAAAACAAAAACUUAGAAAAAUGACGUAGAACUUGUAAAUUGACAUUAAGUGUGAAAUGAAACAAAAAAUUUGUAAACCACACAUAAAACUAGUAAAUUAAUGAAAAAAAUGGUAAAUUAAUAUUGGAGUUGUAAUUUGCACGAAGAAGUUGUAAACAAAACAAAAACUUAGAAAAAUGACAUACAACUUGUAAAUUGACAUUAAAUGUGAAAUGAAACAAAAAAUUUGUAAACCACACAUAAAACUAGUAAAUUAAUGGAAAAAUAGGUAAAUUAAUGUUGGAGUUGUAAUUGGCAAGAAGAACUUGUAAACAAAACAAAAACUUAGAAAAAUGACACACAACUAGUAAAUUGACAUUACGUGUGAAAUGAAACAAAAAAAAUGUGUAAAUCACACAUAAAACUAGUAAAUUGAUGGAAAAAGGGUAAAUUAAUGUUUGAGUUGUAAAUUGCAAGAAGAACUUGUAAACAAAAUAAAAACUUAGAAAAAUGACGUAGAACUUGUAAAUUGACAUUAAGUGUGAAAUGAAACAAAAAAUUUGUAAACCACACAUAAAACUAGUAAAUUAAUGAAAAAAAUGGUAAAUUAAUAUUGGAGUUGUAAUUUGCACGAAGAAGUUGUAAACAAAACAAAAACUUAGAAAAAUGACAUAGAACUUGUAAAUUGACAUUAAGUGUGAAAUGAAACAAAAAAUUUGUAAACCACACAUAAAACUAGUAAAUUAAUGAAAAAAAUGGUAAAUUAAUAUUGGAGUUGUAAUUUGCACGAAGAACUUGUAAACAAAACAAAAACUUAGAAAAAUGACGUUGAACUUGUAAAUUGACAUUAAGUGUGAAAUGAAACAAAAAAUUUGUAAACCACACAUAAAACUAGUAAAUUAAUGAAAAAAAUGGUAAAUUAAUAUUGGAGUUGUAAUUUGCACGAAGAAGUUGUAAACAAAACAAAAACUUAGAAAAAUGACAUAGAACUUGUAAAUUGACAUUAAGUGUGAAAUGAAACUAAAAAUUUGUAAACCACACAUAAAACUAGUAAAUUAAUGGAAAAAUAGGUAAAUUAAUGUUGGAGUUGUAAUUGGCAAGAAGAACUUGUAAACAAAACAAAAACUUAGAAAAAUGACAUACAACUAGUAAAUUGACAUUACGUGUGAAAUGAAACAAAAAAAAUGUGUAAAUCACACAUAAAACUAGUAAAUUGAUGGGAAAAGGGUAAAUUAAUGUUGGAGUUGUAAAUUGCAAGAAGAACUUGUAAACAAAAUAAAAACUUAGAAAAAUGACGUAGAACUUGUAAAUUGACAUUAAGUGUGAAAUGACACAAAAUAUUUUUAAACCACACAUAAAACUAGUAAAUUAAUGUUGGAGUUGUAAUUAGCACGAAGAAGUUGUAAACAAAACAAAAACUUAGAAAAAUGACAUAGAACUUGUAAAUUGACAUUAAGUGUGAAAUGAAACAAUAAAGUUGUAAACCACACAUAAAACUAGUAAAUUAAUGAAAAAAAUGGUAAAUUAAUGUUGGAGUUGUAAAUUGCAAGAACUUGUAAACAAAAUAAAAACUUAGAAAAAUGACGUAGAACCUGUAAAUUGACAUUAAGUGUGAAAUGAAACAAAAAAUUUGUAAACCACACAUAAAACUAGUAAAUUAAUGAAAAAAAUGGUAAAUUAAUAUUGGAGUUGUAAUUUGCACGAAGAAGUUUUAAACAAAACAAAAACUUAGAAAAAUGACAUACAACUAGUAAAUUGACAUUAAUUGUGAAAUGAAACAAAAAAUGUGUAAAUCGCACAUAAUACUAGUAAAUUGAUGGAAAAAUAGGUAAAUUAAUGAUGAAGUUGUAAUUGGCCAAAAGAACUUGUAAACAAAACAAAAAUUUUAAAAAAUGACAUAGAACUUGUAAAUUGACAUUAAGUGUGAAAUGAAACAAACAAUGCGUAAAUCACACAUAAAACUAGUAAAUUGAUGGAAAAAUGAAUAAAUUAAUGUUGGAGUUGUAAAUUGUAAGAAGAACUUGUAAACAAAACCAAAACUUAGAAAAAUGACAUAGAACUUGUAAAUUGACAUUAAGUGUGAAAUAAAACAAAAAAUUUGUAAACCACACAUACAACUAGUAAAUUAAUGGAAAAAUAGGUAAAUUAAUGUUAGAGUUUUAAAUUGUAAGAAGAACUUGUAAAUAAAACAAAAACUUGUAAAUGUUACAUAAAACUUGUAAAUCAACAUUAACUUGUAAAAGUUUCAUAAAACUUGUAAAUCACACAUAAAAUUAGUAAAUGUAACCUGGAACUUGAACAAAAAAGAGUAAUUACCUGCUAUUUAGGUAACAGGUUACCUAUUUAUUUAGAAUUAAUGGUAGAAAUCUUUUAUUCAAAUCUAACGGUCCACGUCCAUUACGGCAUCAAUGCCGUAAAUUUAGUUACGGCAUUAUAGAAUGACCCAUAUUUCAAAUAGUCACUAGACCAUUUCUGCCUUUAAUUUUCCCUUAAGUUUAACUAUUGACUGUUUUUAGCAUCUUAAAAUAUACAUUUAUUCCUUGAUUAUGUGAUAAAAUUAUGAAAAAAAUCCAUUUUAGCUUAAAUUAAUUGGAAUAACCAUAAACAUAACUUAAAUUAAUAGAACAAAAUUAUCAAGUGUAUGUUCUAUCUUACUUUUUGAAGAAUUUAACAUAUAUAAUGCUAUACUAUUAAUAAAUUCAUCAUUUAAUAUAUAUGUUCAAAUAUUUUAUAUAUUUAUUAAUUGUUAUAUAGUCAAAGGAUGAAUGAUUUUUCAGGUCUACAUGAGUUGGUGCAUCUGCAAGACUCAAUUUUGACAACAAUGAUCUAAGGGGUAAUUUACCUUGGUGUUUGACAAAUAUAACCUCUCUUCAAGAUUUACUUCCAAUCUACUUACUGUAAAUAUCUCCUCAUCUCCUCUCAUUUAUAUGAUAACCCUUGAAGAUCUCACAUUUUCAAACAAUCAUAUUAGGGUUUUUAUUAUUAACAUCAUUGUGUCAAUAAUAUAUGUUGCAGUAAGAUUUUUUCAGACCAAUUCCCUUCUUCAAAUAAUAAUGGAAAAGUAUUAAUUUAAAAAUAAAAUGAAUAUGCAUUGAUUAUAUCCUAAUUUUCAUCGAUUAUAGCGAGAGUUUCUCCAAAUCAACUCCCUUAUUCAAAAAAUACAGAAAAAAUAGUAAUUUAAUAGUAAAAUUAACAAGUGUUGAUUAUAUAUCCUAAGUUUCAUCGAUUAUGUGAUCAAAGUGGCAUUGUUGAUUUAUUUCUUGUUCAAUGUUAAUUUUUAGGUUAUCUAAAUUUCAAGGAUUUAAAAUCUUUGUUCAUGGAUUACACGCUUAUUAAUUUUUCUGCCAUUGACUGUCAUAUUCUAGACUUAAUCGUACCUUCCUUGAUCAAGGAUAAUUACUCUCUGUUCUCCUCUUAUAAAUUCCUCUUCCAUUAACAUCACUAGAAGUAUGUUGAUCUCUCAGACGUUAACUUCAGUGGAGAGUUUCCAAAUUGAUUGUUACAAAACAACACAAAAACUAGACACACUUGAUCUGUCUAAUAAUUCUCUUUCGGUAAAAUUAAUUAAUUUUAGGGGAAUAUUUGACCAACCUAUAUAAUUUUAGAUUGAUCAUUAAUUAAUUAGACGAAAAAAGUACUUGUGCUUUUGUGGCGACAAUUGAACCAGAGAAGUGAAGCUGUAAAGAUUUGGCAGUAGUAAUUAUAAUUUUUUCAAAAAACUUUUUUACAACACAGGCACCUGGCCAAAAAUUUUAUUUUUCUAACUAACAAUAAUUGAGUAGCUGACCGUAUUGACUCCACCUACUUGCUAAAGUAAAAAAAUAGAAAUAGAAUUUCCACAAAAUGUCAAACAUGUAAAAUCUAAUAUUUGGCCGUGUGGAACAAAAUACAAAUGAAAAAAAAUAGAAAAAAAGGCCUAAAGACUUUUAAAAUGUGUGGAAGUCUUUCGGCCCUUUUAUAAUGGUGUGUUUUUCAAAGGAACAAAUAAUAAUAAUGACACUUCUACGGUUUGUUUUGAUAAUCACACAUAUACUCUUUAAUUUGAUAAAUGGUUACACAAAUUUUGUUUACAAAAAUAUAUUAUUCAUGUUCUGUAUUAUUUUUUAACAUCAUAUUUUUAUUUAUUAUAAUUGUUUAAAGUUAAUUGUUAGGUUGAUAUAUAACAAAAACGUAUAAUCGUUCUCUUACUAAACAAACAUACUCGUAGUUUCUGUUCAUUUGUCAUCUCAAUCUCUCUCAUUUAUCCUUUAUUGAUAGCUCAAAACGCGUCACUGUGGAAAAUUAUAGCAAAAUGACAAAUAUGGAAAAAAUGGGAAGAAAAUUAAUGCAUGAAAGAGUUGUAGAAGACAACCAAAUAAGUCAACUAUACGCUAGCUGGGUGUAUAAAUUGUUAGAUGUGUUAUAAACAAAUAGCAUAGAGCCUUGGUUGGUUACAGAGAUAGAAAAAGUGUGUGUGUUUUUUAGAACUUAAAGAUACAGUUAGAAUGGGUGGUUCAAAAUCAAAAAUGGUGAUAAUGUUUGUUCUGUUAUUAAUAAUAUUUGAAGGUGGGUGGAGUGAGGGAUGUUUGGAUCAUGAGAGAUUUGCUCUAUUGCGACUCAAACAUUUCUUCAUUAAUCCUUAUAAUCUUCUUUACAACUGGGUAGAUGAUGAUGGAGCUACUGAUUGUUGUCAGUGGGAAAGGGUUGAGUGCAGCAACACCACAGGGCGAGUGAUAGCACUAGACCUUUUUGACGCGCAUGGGGGAGAGUACUGGUAUCUGAAUGCUUCUUUAUUUACUCCCUUUCAACAACUUGAGUCACUUGAUUUAAGUUGGAACAAUAUAGCCGGUUGUGUUGAGAAUGAAGGUGCUUCGUCUAAUUCAAUUAAAUUACAUUUCGCUCUCCAAAUUUAAGUCGAAUAUCAAGACUGAGCAGCUAUAUGCAUAUUCAUUCAAUUGACAAUUUUUACAUAUUUUGUAAAAUGUUUAAUUUUGAAAUUACACCAAACAUCAUAUGUGAUCUUUGUUUUGAUUUUACUUGCAGGUCUAGAAAGAUUGAGCAACUUGAAGAGGCUUGAUUUAAGUCAUAACUUGUUCAACAAUAGUAUCUUAUCAUCUGUGGCUCAUCUUUCAUCACUAACAUCAUUAGAUUUAUCUGAAAAUAGAUUGGAAGGAAGUAUUAAUGUUAAAGGUACGUAAUUAAAACGUCAUCGCUUUUCCCAACUCUUUCAUUAACAUGUUAAAAUAAGAUUCAAGGCUUUGAAUUCAAUUUUUUUUAUGAGUAAAUAUUAGAAAAAUAGUUUUAAGCAAUUCAUAAAUACAAUUUUCAAUGUUUCUCAUAAUUACUCUAACUGUGAAGCAAAUACCCCAUGACUAAUUUAUCAUUUUGUCCAGUUAAAAAUGAUAAAAUUUAUCAUUUGUUUAUAUUGAUUUAUUAACUCUAUUUUAAGUCUUAAGUCUUGGCGUCUUGGCAUGUUUGCAGAAUUUGAUUCCUCGAGCAACUUAGAGGAGUUGGACAUGAGCUACAAUGAAAUAGACAAUUUCGAGGUUCCUCAAGGUAAACAAUUAAAAUAUUAUUUAAUUACAUUAAUUUAAUUCGUUUGAUUAGGGAAGACCCAAAAUGUACAAAAACAUAAUUAAAAAAAUAAAGAAACAGAGAAUUCAUAUUAUUUCAAAAAACAAAAGGUAAUACUAUUAUUUCAAAAAAAGAAUGUAAUAAAGAUUUGAUUCCGGUUCUUUAAUCUUUAUAGCAAUUGAAAAACAAUGUUGCUCUUUUCCCAAAGCAUAAAAUACGAAUUGACUCCCAAUUAAAUUAAUCAUUUAUUUCGUUUAGGUCUAAAUUUAGAAAAAUGAUUUUUGAUUCUCUUCAAUCCUAUCCUUAUUAUUAUUGUUAAAUAGGUUACAGAGGUUUGAGGAAGUUGAAAAGCCUCUAUCUAUUGGAAGUUAAAAUUAGAGAUGGAAGCAAGUUGUUACAGUCAAUGGGAUCAUUCCCAUCCCUCAACACUCUUGACCUUUCGUGGAAUAAUUUUACCGAUAUAGCGACAACUACUACUCAAGGUAAGUAAAAGGUACAGAUGUGGCCAAAUUUAUAAACAAACUGUUAAUUAAUUAAUUUUUCCGUAUUAUUAAUUAAGCUAAAUUUGUUGCUUCUUCCUUCUAAAUCUAAACAGAGUUGCACAAUUUCACCAACUUGGAAUAUUUGACAUUGGACGAUUCCUCUCUCCAUAUAAGCCUUCUGCAAAGCAUUGCAUCAAUAUUCCCUUCGUUAAAAAAUUUGUCGAUGAUUGGUUGUGAAGUCAAUGGCGUCCUACGUGGUCAAGGUAAAAGAAAAGUGUUGAUUGUGAACUCGCUCAAUGGUGUCCUACGUGUUCAACAUUUUUAUUUAUUUAUUUUAUUGUUUAAUGUUUCUGCUAGGCUUUCCUCAUUCCAAGAGUUUGGAACAUUUGGAGAUGGAUGACGCGCGCAUUGCACUCAACACCAGCUUUCUUCAAAUCAUCGGAGAAUCAAUGUCUUCUCUUAAGUACUUAUCACUGUCAUAUUAUACUCUUAGCACUAACAGCAGCAGGAUUCUUGUUCGAGGUUAAUCAGAUGCUCCCACCCUCCCUUCUUAAUCUAUAAUAUUAAUUUUCAAUUAAAUAUUUAAUUACACAAACCAAUCACUUAUUAUAAAAGAACAAUACGCAUUCAUUAAUUUUUAUAUUGUAUUAAUAAUUGAUGAAUUUAAUAAAUUUUCAGGCCUCUGUUCGUUGAUGCAUCUGCAAGAGUUGUACAUUUAUAAUAAUGAUCUGAGAGGCAGCUUGCCUUGGUGCAUGGCAAAUAUGACAUCCCUCAGAAUAUUAGAUGUUUCUUCUAAUCAACUUACUGGAAGCAUCUCCUCAUCUCCCCUCGUUCAUUUGACAUCCAUUGAAGAGCUGUAUCUUUCAAACAAUCAUUUUCGGAUCCCAAUUUCACUUGAACCACUUUUCAAUCACUCAAGACUCAAGGUUUUUUGGGUUAAGAACAAUGAAAUAAAUGCAGAAAUAACUCAGUCACCUUCUUUUACCGCCCCAAACUUCCAAUUAUCACGUCUCUCAUUGUCUUCCGGUUAUGGAGACGGUGUCAUAUUCCCCAAAUUCCUUUACCAUCAACUUGGUUGUUGGAAAACAACACAAAAUUGAGACAACUUUCUCUCGUCAAUGAUUCUCUUGCAGGACCUUUUCGGUUGCCAAUUCAUUCACACAAGCGGUUAAGACUGUUGGAUAUAUCCAACAACAACAUCCGAGGCCACAUUCCAGUAAAAAUUGGAGAUGUUUUACCAAGUUUAUACGUUUUCAACAAUUCCAUGAAUGCUUUAGACGGUAGCAUUCCCUCUUCAUUUGGUAAUAUGAAAUUCCUCCAAAUUCUGGACUUAUCCAACAAUCACUUGACAGGUGAAAUCCCCGAGCACUUGGCCGUGGGUUGCGUCAACUUGCAGUCUCUUGCAUUAUCAAAUAACAACCUACAAGGUCAUUUGUUCUCUAGAAAUUUUAACUUGACAAACUUGAAAUGGUUACAAUUGGAGGGCAAUCGCUUCGUAGGUGAGAUCCCACAAAGUUUGUCUAAAUGCUCCUCACUAGAAGGAUUGUAUCUUAACAAUAAUAGUCUUUCGGGUAAGAUUCCACGAUGGUUGGGUAAUCUCACAUGGUUACAAUAUAUUAUAAUGCCCAAUAAUCAUCUUGAAGGCCCUAUUCCAGUGGAGUUUUGUCAGCUUGAUUCGCUUCAGAUUUUGGACAUUUCAGACAACAACAUAUCUGGAAGUCUACCAUCUUGUUUCCAUCCUCUCAAUAUCAAACAAGUUCAUCUUUCAAAAAAUAUGUUACAUGGACAGCUAAAAAGAGGUACAUUCUUUAAUUGCUCUUCCCUUGUGACAUUAGAUCUUAGUUAUAAUCGCUUGAAUGGCAGCAUUCCGGAUUGGAUUGAUGGGCUUUCUCGGUUAAGCCACCUUAUCUUAGGUCACAAUAAUCUUGAAGGUGAAGUGCCAGUUCAAUUGUGCGAAUUGAACCAACUACAAUUGUUAGAUCUUUCUAAUAAUAAUCUUCAUGGUCCUAUUCCUCCUUGCUUUGAUAACACCACACUUCAUGAAAGUUACAGCAAUAGUUCUAGUCCUGAUGAGCAAUUUGAAAUAUUUUUUUCCAACGAAAGCUCUCAGGGAAAUGUAGAAAAGCAAAUCCAUGAAAUUUUUGAGUUCACAACAAAGAACAUUGCGUACAUUUACCAAGGAAAAGUGCUUAGCCUCCUAUCAGGACUUGAUCUUUCUUGCAACAAGCUAAUCGGUCCUAUUCCUCCUCAAAUUGGAAAUUUGACAAGGAUUCAAACAUUGAAUCUAUCACACAACGACUUGACAGGAUUGAUCCCAUCAACAUUUUCAAACUUGAAGCAUGUCGAAAGUUUGGAUCUUUCCAACAACAAAUUGAAUGGGAAAAUCCCUCAUCAACUAGUGGAGUUAAAGACAUUGGAGGUUUUCAGUGUGGCAUACAAUAACUUAUCAGGCGAAAUUCCAGAAUGGAAAGCACAAUUUGCAACCUUCAACGAGAGUAGCUAUGAGGGAAAUACUUUUCUUUGUGGAUUGCCAUUGCCCAUUUGCAGAUCACCAGCAACUAUGUCGGAGGCUUCAAUUGGCAAUGAACGAGAUGAUAAUUUAAUUGACAUGAACAGUUUCUUUAUCACAUUUACAACAUCAUACGUAAUUGUGAUAUUCGGAAUUGUUAUUGUUUUAUAUGUAAAUCCUUAUUGGCGACGUAGAUGGUUUUACUUUGUUGAAAUGUGGAUAACUUCAUGUUACUAUUUUGUUGUAGACAAUCUUAUUCCAACAAGAUUUUGUCAUUGAAAUUAAUUAGUAGCUUAAUUACGAUUCUUUAAGUACUAAUCAAGUUUGCUUAGGAAAUAUUUUUUUAUUAAAAUUGUAGUAGUAUUUAGCAUUAUAUAGCUUCCAACUUCCAAGCACUUCACAUUUUUCUCUACACUUAAAAAACUGAGUGAUCAUGUUUUGCAGAUCUGGAUUUGGAGCAGGAUGGAUCCAAACCCAUAUCUGUCCACCAUAACUUAUAGCUUCCCUAUACUGUGCAGCAUACUUAAAUAAGAGAACCAUCUCCAAUGUUAAAAGCAUUCACUCUAUAACAUUCAUUUAGAAACUAUAUUCAGAAUAAUUUUAUAAUUAAACACAAGAAAUGAAACACACAGAUACACUUGAUCGCCUAUUUUACUCUAAAAAAGAACGAUUAUUGUGCUAUCAUCAUCUUCUUCACUAGCAACAUUAACACCAAAUCGAUGGACCCAUACAUUUCAUCAAGAAAGGUAUAUAUCCAAUAAAGUUGAAGCCUAACAAAAAAUUCAAGAAGAUUAAUGCCUCGCCACAACAAGGGGCACAACAACAUCAAAGUAGAGAUUAAGCAGUAUUCUCAAAGCUAAAACUCUCAAAUCCACCCACCAGAAUUUCAUAUCUCCUCAACAAUUUUAAGAACUAAAGAUAAUUAGGAUUUAACAUUAGUUUUUUAUAUAUUAGUUUCAUAAUUUACAAAUCAAUGAAGAUGAAGAUUAUGCUAAUAAAUUCAAAUUAUACCAUACAUUCUCUAGAUGUUACCAAAAAUUUCUAAGUCAAUCCCACAUAUUUCAUAAUUUUAAGACUAGAAAAUUUCACUAGUUAGAAGUUUCAUUACCUUCAAGUGGAAGAUGAAGAACAUUAUACAAGUGAUUCAGAUUAUAUCAUACAUACUCCAAAUGCAACUAGAAAUUAACAAGUUCAUGCGCACAUAUUUCAUAACAGUAAAAAUUUGUUGCUCAACAUGAUGUGUAUUUUUUUUCAAGGCAAUUUGGAAACACAAUUGUUUCUACAGAUAUUCUUCUCAACUUGGAGAUAAAUACAAAUAUUAAAAUGCAUAUGAUCGCACAUAUUACUUCGAGUUUAGUAAGAUUUCAUUAAAAGAAGCAAUCAAACCACUUAUCAAUUGUCGCAGUCGUUCUAUAAACUAAAAUAGCAAUAUAAUACAAGAAAAAGAACAUAUAGAUACUUGGCAAGAGUUCAUUAAGAAGUCGCAUCACAUUCGGGUGAGGAGUUUUCUGAUAUCUUGCUAGCUGGGGCUUUUUCUUGUCUUUCUACGUAUGCCGAGGGAAACCAACCAGCUUGGCCCUUGCAUUCACCUUCCGACCAUCCAGUAGGAGCCACCUUGAGAAGUUAUAACUAAAACGGUGAAUUAAACAAAAGUUAAUCGUUCAAAGACCUAAGGGGAAAACUAAUUCUUUUACGUAGGAGGAGUGAAUUAGUUGUGAUCACUGAAAUAACAGCAUAACUAUAGAAGCAUAACAAGAUAUAAAUUCACAUGUCUAUAAGGGUAAACUGGGUGGUUUAGAACCGAGCUAGCAGCCCUACUAUAUUCUGAUUUGCACUUCAAUGUAAAAGGGAAUAUAUGGUAGGAAGAAAGAAAACCAACCAUCAUUUGUUAACUCGUUGCUUUUCAAUCAAAAUUUUAAGAAAAAAAUGCCAUGUGCUUUGAACAUCAAAUAAGUAUAAGCAUUAGUUCUAAAUUCCACAUAUCAUAAGUUGUUAGAAGGAUAAGUUAAUAGCAGAGUAGAAAAAUCUAUGUGUUGGUAUUUAGAGGGGAAAGUACCUGGCGAACCACAACAUAAUCAUCAAUUGAAAGACUUAGCUUUCCAUUUGCUUGAGCAUCAAAUGGAUGUAUAACCUGCAAGAUAAUGGGAUAAAUAGAACUUAAAAAAAGCAUAACAAAAGUAGCAACAGUAGCAGCAACGUUCAUUGUAACCACUAUGAUCAUGGCCAACAAAGAUAUAUUAGAAACAAAAUUCCAUUUUUACUACGACAUUAAUAUGUACUAUACGAUAUCAUGACGAUUGGGUUACUAAGAGCUAUCAAAGUCUAAUAAGUUCUGUAUAACUUUAUGUAGUUAUUUAAAUUAUGGAUCAGAUUUUAAAUUUGAAAUUUUGACUGCUCUCCACAAAACAUGGCCUAUGCACAAGAAAGUCAUAGAUAAUGAGGAUUACAAGUGUCCGACAUCUUUUGAGUGAUGGAUUUAACAUGAGAGCUUAUGGUCAGUCAAUUUCCUCUGCCUAGCAAUAUAAGCUUUCUCGGCCAGAUUUAUCUUCAAAUACAUAGAUUGCCCCCAAGUCACAUCCAUAUAAACAUAGUUUUUCUAGGUAAACCAAGUAAGGAGUAUCAUAAUUCAGACAUAAUCAUAAAAAGGCCCAUCUAACUUAAGAGAAAAUCUCAAAAAGAGGGAUGCUGAGCUAUCAGUCUUGUAUCUAUAAGCAAUAUCAAGACUUUACAUCACCUGCUACAUCGUGAGUGGCUACACAACUUUCAGUGGUUUGUCUUUCUUUGGCAUGCCUAACUCAGCUUUGAUGUUGCUGAGAUAUUGAUAGUAGAGACACAUGAUACUUCUAGCUCAUGCAUUCUAUCUAACUCAUCCAACAACUAUCUCUUUUUUAAUUCAUUAGUGUUUGCUAAACCUCAUGCUUAAAAGUCCUGUUCUCCUAAACAAAGUUUCCUAAGAAUGACUUCCUUAGCACCACAUUUGGACACUUUUAGAGCAAUUUUAUUUGGGGGAAAAGAAUUUUCAAGGUGUUAACUAAUAAAUUUUUAAAAAAUAAUUACAAUUUGUCCUACGAUCAUAUGACAAUUUAUCUGGGAUGAAAGGAUACAGAUAGACAUCUUCCACUUUCAAGACUAAUCACUACUUCCGUAGAUGUUGUGCAAUAAUACAAAUACUUGACCAGAUGGUAGUAAUGGUAGAAAAAAAUUUUAUUGCUCCAAAAUUAAAAUAAGAAUGCAAUAUGUUAAGCAAAAGGCUGUGCAACAUCAAAUUAAUUGAUAAGUUUGUAAUUCAGUAAAUUAACAACUUUCAUGGUAAAAUACAACAAAUUUCUUUUGAAAAAAAUAAAAAAAAUAAAUCUUAAAAGACAGCAUUCAAUUUUGUGCGCAUCUUAUUUCUUAAGAUUUUUCAGGAGGAGGGCAAUAGAGGGACUUUCACCUAUGCAAGAGAGCAGAAGCCUUACUUUCCCUAUAAAGUAGACGUCAUUCUGAUUAAUAUGCGUUUGCAAAUCAGCUCCGUUUGAAUCAGUAUUCUGAUAGACACACGAGGCAUUUACAUCCAUUUCCAAAGUCACAUGUUGCGAGGAGGACUCAUUUGAUUGCUCCUAUACGAUCAUCUAAUUCAAGUAGCAAGGGUUGGAAGAGAAUAAAAAGUCACAAUUAUUCUUUUGCAUAAGUGAGACGAAAAUGAUAAAUGCAAUAUUAUCAGCAGUAAACAAGAAGAGAACGCUCCAAGAAAUAGAUAGAUGCAGACAAGCAAGUUAAAAUGCAUAGUCCCAAACCUCCGCAUACAACUUCUCUAAAGUAGCAAUAACGUGUUGAUGCUAUGUUUUCUCAGCAUCUACCUGCAAAGGCCCGAGACCAGGAAAACAACAAUAAAACCACUAGCUGAAGGAGAAAGCAAAGAAAGAAAUACACUUGACAUAAAUCUUGACAAGAAGCACAAUUUAAGACAUAACAAACCCCAAUCAUAUUGUUUAGAACUACCAUUCGUUAUUUCGUUAUUGUAACAUUUCGAACAAGUGUUGACUUAAUUCAACAUUGUUGGAAAGAUAGGCUUUUAGAAGCAGAAGAAAGCCUCUCAAACCAAAGUGCUUGUCCUUGUAUUGAUCAAGGGAUGUAAACAUAUUACAUUUGCAGGAUGAGAUUUAAUCACUCCCCUGAUUUAUUUGGGUUGCAAUAAAACUAAGCGAGCAACUGUUUGACUUUCAAGCAACAACUAAAUCAGCUAUUAAAAUUCAAAUAAAAUCAUAAUAGAAUAAUAACAGGCCAUCUUGCAUCAAAAAUUAAGUUUAAUUUGUGAAUUUUUUUCUAUAGACAUGUCAGUUUCUGCUAUUGAAAUGUUAAAAGUAUUGAAAAAUUAUUCAAUAAAUUAUGCAAGCAUUAAAAUAGAGGAAAAAUUAAAAAGUUUCUAAUUACAAUGUUAAUAUUUCCUAUAUUUUAGCAUUUGCAUAUUUUAAUUUAUUUAAAAGCUACGUCGAUCAACUUUGGGCAUGAAGAUUUUAGAUUCUACGAGACUUGAUUGGAAUAUGCAUAAGAGUGUUAAAAUAUGAUGCAUCCAACGAAAGACAAACCACGUGUAGUCUUUUAAUUAAGCCAAAGUAGCAGCUCAAACAAAUGACACUUGGACCAACAUGCAAUCAUGAAGUGGCCGGAAAAAGGACAAAUGCUACUUUGGCUUAAAUAAAAAAUAACAUGUGACUUGACUUUUGCUGGACAUGCAUCAUGUUAUUACAAGACAACAGAAAUCAGUAUGAUAGUAAUAAAAGUUGACAAUAACAUGAAGAUAAGAGGCAGAAUGUCAACACAUGCAUAGGCACACACAAGAAAGUAUUAACAUAUAUACCAUAGCAAAAACUCUUUGAUAUGUCAUCUGUUGCUGCUGUGAUUCAACUGACAGCAUGGCAGCUGUCGCUUCUCUACCAAGAGCCAUUAUUGUAGAUUUAAGCUCGGUCAAUCUUGCUUCUGCAUUUCGAAGCUUCACAGCACUCUCUGCUGAUAUAUCAGAUUCCCUAAUCUUUGAUCGGUGCCUAAAUACUUCAGCUGCCUGGUGAAAAUAUUCAAUAUAAAUCUAAUAUAAUUCUCAUCUUGCCUUAUACAUGCAUAUGUUACCUCAAAGCUUACCUGGGCUUCAACUUCAUGUCGAAGUUUGUCAUAACGAUGAGUCAGGUGUUGAGCAUCUUCCAAAGGUGCUCUGUUGAUUAACGCCCGUAGUGGCUCAGAUACCUACAUGUCCAAAAACCUGUAACAUAGUUAGAAAAAUGAAAAGAAAGAGCGAAACCUAAAUUAAAAAGUUCCUCCAACAUAAUCAUGGAAUUUGGGCCUACUUUAAGAAUAUAUAUAAGGAUAAUUUAUGCAAUUUUGGGUCUUAGGAUGAUUGGUAUUAGGUUAGUGUUCUUCUCUUCUGUAUUUAAGGUUAAAAUAGAAAUAAACCUAUGCAAAUAUCUAAAUUAGGCCUGUAAGACAUCCACAUGCAUCCUUCAGUCUCAUGGAUUUGAUUUUACUAUAGAUGCAAGUGUCUUUAUCGAAAAUGCUUGGAGUCAAUUGAGAGAACUCAUGGCCAAUAACUUGUCACACGCUAGUCUUUGCUAGUGAUGUAAGAAGUCACAAGGUCUCUUCAACAUUUGAACCAAUAAAAUUAUUAAGUCAUGGAUGUCACUAGCAAUGAUUUUAAUAUAAAACAUUAAAUAUUUCAGAGUUGUAACUUUAAAAUGGAUUCUUUUAUUCAAUAUCAUAGAACUAAGUUUCCUUAUGAGAAGAUAAUAGUUUCGAUAAUAAUUUUACAUAUAAUUUUCUAUAUUUGAAUUAUUUUCUAGUUAGGGAUGAACUAACCUGAUCACGAAGAAUCCCGAGCAAAGUUUCCCUCUCAUUUUCCAUCAAAUCAUGUGAAGUGCCAAAUUGAAGAGCAGCUCUUGCAACGCAAGAAUUGUCACUUUGAUUCUCUGCUCCAUACUUGCAACAAUCUUCAGCCAACUUUCUCGCUACACUAUUUGAAUACAAAAAUAUUGUACACAAGAACUAUAAAAAACGAAUGAAAAAUAAAUAAAAUCGAGAAAUUUCACUAAUUAAAAGUCUAAAUAUAAUUUUUGAAAAAAGAAAAGAAACGGACUUGCUGCUGCUUGGCGACUUGUUCUCGGAGCUUGAUUGCCUGUUUCUUGAUAGUUUCCAUACUGUUUCUUUCAAAAAGCGACGACGGCUCAGCUCAUGGAAGUGGAAAAAAAAAAGUGUGAUCUAGAAAAAUGAAAAGGCGUGAAUAAUUUUUGACAAAAAGCGAAAAUCAAGGAAAGCCGGCUCUUUCCAGAAAAUAAAAAAAAGAAAAUCAUAAGUUUGAAAGGAGAAGAUGAUAGUGGAAGUAUGCGGUGUGGCUGCCAGGUACUUGGAUUGUAUUGUCGGGUAAGGUAAUAGUAGCGAAUUAUAAGUUUGAACAGAGCAUGUUGGACUUUUGUUGACCAAAUUCAAAAGCCCAAUGGCACGGCCCGGAAGCUUUUGAAUAGAAAAACUUGCUAGAAAGCAUCAGUUUAAAUCACUACUUAAACGCUUGCUUUAACUGCACCGCUUUGUACUGUUUUAUGUAUGUAGCGGUUGUGUGGUUGUAAUUCACGGCUGACGCUAUGUGUUUGUUUGUACUGUUCUAUUCGGUGAUUGGGUAUUAUUAGUUAGGCCAAAACUAUGUUGCAAUAGUGGUAUUUCAGUCAUUGAAUCUAUAGUUGUACAGUUACAUUAAUAAGAUCUAAUGGCUGAAAGCAACAGUGGUACCGUACCACUGUUGCAAUAUAACUGGACCCUAUUAGUUAUUUCAAAGGGAUAAAUAAGAUUGCUUACAACAAACCUACUAAUUUUAUAAAAUUCAAGUAAUAUAGAAUAAAUUAAAAAAAUAAAUACAAAAUUGACUUUUAUUUUUUAUGGUUGACUAUAUUUUGUGUUCUCUCUGCUACAAUUCUUCCCUAUAUAUCAAUUACACCACAUACUAUCGACACAAGAAAUGAAAUCUAAUAUCACCCGUUUAGUUAAAAAAUCACUCAUGAAAAAAUUUUACCAUUUUGAUUUGAGGAUCCAUAUUUUAAACUGCAAGCUAAUGUUCAUCAAGAAUUACUGAUGGCCGUUGAGUAGAAAAAUUAUUUUUGGACAAAUUAUUUUUGUUGAUAGAAGAAUUUCUUUAGGGACUACUAAAUUAUUAAUAAAAAUGUCGAACACACCCACAUAUCAUCGACACAAUUGAUUUUGAGGAUCCAUGCUUUGAACUGCAGCCUAAUGUUCAUCAAGAAUAGAGUAUGGCUUGUGAGUAGAAAAUUUUCUUAUUUUGGCCCGAAAUAAAAAGAAAUUAAAUUGGAUGAGAAUCUGCCACUUUCUCAUGAAGAAAGGCAUACGGAGCAUACCAUGGUACCAUACAAUAUAAGGAGCCUCUAUUCUUUGGUUUUUCAAACUCUGAACGGGCCAAUAUUGCCAAAUUCCCCCUUGAAAAUUCUGAUUACGACAUUAUUCAUCGCUUGAUGCAAUCAAAGUAGUGACAAAGUUAGGAAAAAUAUGAGUCCUAAGUAAUUGCUAGGCAGGGUUCCUGAGAGCAAAAUUGUCCUAAGCAUUAUAUGCAUACAUGGUGCGGUACAUAGAGCACGUUAAAUUCCCCACUAUAUCACAAACCCAGAAAGACAAGUAAUAACUCAACUGAUAUAAAGACAAAAAGAAGAUAAAAUGAUAUAGAAAAAAGAAUUUCAAAGAGACAGCAACAUACGAUAGACUGAAGCCACUUGAUCUGCUCAUUGAUUGCAGCCUUAAACUUGCAAAUAGUUACUGUACGCUAGUGCUCUAAGAAGUGAAAAUGAUGCCAGCCCUGAUUCCCUUUUGACUUCCAUUUACUGUCAAAC